rnacentral:lncRNA from 1 species
CGAAUCCUCCAUUUCGAUAUCGAACCUGAUAGUGUUUUGCUCGACCAAAACUUCACGCUAAAAAUCUCUGAUUUUGGUCUGUCCAAGUUAUGUUCCAAGGAUCAAAUCAAUGCCAAUGACUACAACGAGGGGGACCAUGGGAUACGUUGCACCUGUAGUGUUUUCCAGAAAAUGUGUCUUACAAGGCAGAUGUCUAUAAUUUUGGAAUGCUGCUGCUUGAGAUGGUAGGAGGAAAGAAGAAUAUUGGUUCAACAAUAGAGGACACGACAAAUGAAAUUUACUAUCCAAAAUGGAUUUAUAAUCUUCUAGAGGAAGGAGAUGACCAACGAAUCCAUAUUGAGGAAGAAGGGGAUGGUAAGAUUCCAAAGCAACUUGCAAUUUUAGGGCUCUGGUGCAUCCAGUGACACCCGGUGGAUCGUCCUUCCAUGAAAAUGGUGGUUCAGAUGUUAGGAGGAGAAAACUUGACGAUGCAAGCAUCCGUAAAAGGCUCCAAUAGUUAAAAGCAAUUGCUGAAUUAGAGUAACAUGUAUAUAUGUUUACGCACCAAUACAAGUGGUUCUUAGAUGAAUCCAAGCCCAAACAAUUACAGAUGACAAUUCUUCACUAAAUCAUUUUAAAGCAAUAAUUUAACUAAUAAUACAUUAUUGCACUUACUCAACAAUUUGAUCAUCACCUAGCUGACAAUGAACAUGUUAGCUCCACAUUAGAACAUAUUGGGUUCGAUUUAUUGACUUGAAUAUUGCCCACAGUCACAGGCGUCUCUUGUGGGCAUAGAGAAGGCCUGAGAGGCAUUUGCAGACAUUCAACAUCUCCUCCAAGCAUUUUGACAACUUUGGACAUCGAAGGGCGAUCACUUGGUUUCAUUUGAAUACACCACAAGGCGGUUAUAACCAUCUUUCUUAUUACUUUCUUUUCCUCCUCUGUAACAUUGUCCAUUUCUAAGUCAUUUCCCACUAUAUACUGAUCGUACACCCACACUGGGAAGUAGUUUUGGCUUGAAUGCUCUACCCUUGCAUUCCAAUUCUUCCUUCUGCUUGCCAUUUCCAUCAACAACAUUCCAAAACUAUAGACAUCUGCCUUGUAUGAGACGCCUCCAAUAUUUUUGUAGAACAACUCAGGAGCAAUAUACCCCAACGUACCUCGUGCUGCCGUCAAAGGGACAAUGCUAUUAUCUAUGGGAUACAAUUUUGCAAGCCCAAAGUCAGAAACCUUUGCUUUAAAGUUCUGAUCAAGAAGAAUGUUAUGAGGCUUGAUGUCGAAAUGUAGAAUUUGCAUUUCACAACCUUGAUGUAGAUAUUCAAUCCCUUGAGCCACUCCAAGAGAAAUCUCGUACAUGUUCUUGAUAGUCAAGGGAAGACUUCCUUCUUUGGAAUAAAUGUAUUUAUCAAGAGAGCCAUUAGGCAUGAAGUCAUAUACUAGAGCGCGCUUUGAUCCCUCGACACAAUAUCCAACAAGUUGCACCACAUUAGCAUGGUGAAUCCUUCCGAUCGUAGCUAUUUCGCUAAUAAAAUCUUGACCAUUAGCUUUGGGCUUGCCCAAGACUUUAACUGCUACAAAACGGCCACUGCGGAGCUUUCCUUUAAAUACAGUGCCAAAGCCACCUUCACCCAACUUGUGCUUGAACCUGCGAGUCAUUUUCUUGAUGUCCGAGUAAGAGUACCUUAUAGGCAUGAAGUUGUUAUCGCAUUGUAGAAAAUCUUCUAUUGUGCUAUACAUAGACAAAUGCCUUCUGCGCCAUCUAUAGAUUAAAAAUGCAGUCACAACUGGAACUCCAAAAAUUAUUUUGGCUAGGAAAAGUAACCCUGCAUGCAUUGACAUUAAUAUGUUAGAUCCACUGCUUACUACUUUUGUUCCCUUUCUUUCCAAAUUACUUGUUUGAUGUAAUUAAAGAGAGGGAAUGGGAAAUCUAUAUAUGCUAAUAAUACAAUCUCGUCUUAGUUCUUACCGAUGCAUAUGACUAUAACCCAUCCACGUACUGCAACAAAAUCAAUCGACUAUGAGUUUGAAAAGUGCAUAAAGUGAAAAAAAGAUCAAAGCGUGCCUUUAUUGACACCCAAAUUUUAGUAUAAGUUUCACUCAACUAAAAAAUUGUCAUUAUGCUUCAUAAUAUGCCGUCGGUUUUGAGUUCACCCAACCCACCAAGCAGCAAGUACCACUCACCAAAAGAAAGAGAAAAAACACACACACACCACCGCCUACAUUACCACACCAGCCUCCUCCAUCUCCUACGUUGGUCCUUAAUGGAAAUAACAUCUUGCAGGAAGUCUGCCAGUCAUUUCAUUUCCUUCCCCUUCUGGACACUUGAAAUCGACACUCUCGAACAAUUUGAUUUUGGGUGAACAUAAGAAUGAGGGCAGACUUUGAAGUUUAUAAGUGACAAAAUGUUUUAGUUAGGUGAACUUAACUAAAAUUUGGGUGCCAAUAAAGACACCCAAAACCAAAAUACUUGAGCGUAUGGACUAAUUAACUGAAGCUCUUACCGAUGUAGUUGUUGUGUAACAAUGAACUCAACUUGCCAGCUGCAAUAGAUACAUAUUAUAGAAAAGUGAGCAAAGUCAUACACUUACUAGGUUUAAUAAGUACAGAUAGAGGCCAAAGAAAUAAAAUAAGCUUUUGGGAGAAACUUCUUACGCAACCAGAUCCUUUCAUGACCUGCAGUGAAAAAUGUGAAGAAGAAUACACAAAAUUAGCAAUAGCUCACCCAGUCUUCAGAAUUUAAAAAAUCAAGGCUGUCGAUUGAAAACUUGUGAACAUUGCAUAAAUAAAACUAAAAGAAGACCGCUUACUGAUUUGCUGCCACAGAAAUUGAAAGAAACCUACAGGAACAAAGAAAGAACAAGACCACAUUAGCAUAACAAGUGUGAGGUACAUAAGUCCAUAUCAAGAAUUUAAGCUCAAUCACACAAUGGGUCCUCAAUAAUCUGACAUCGAACUCGCUAUUUAUAUGAGUCAAACAUGAGACCUCCUACCUACAAAUUGAUUGGAAUACCACUAGCGACAUAUGUUGAUACCUUUAAUCUCAUCUUCCAUAUAAUGGAUUGCAAGUUAGAAUAUAUCUGAACCGGUUAUUUAGUCAGUGUGUGAGUCCGAACAAUUAACCAGGGCUUUAUUCUUGCUUGAAUGUAUGUUAUAUGUUCAUAGUUUGACAAGGCAAUUAUUUUUCAGACUACAUACACAAGUUUAUUACUUUAGUCGAGAGUUGACCCACCUGAAAUGGUCUGCGGAAAACAUGUAGACACAUAAUUCCCGGUCCAAUAUUUGCCUUGGCAGCGUAUUGCAUAAGGCCUCUCAAAUCCAAGCUCGAAGCCAUACAUGCGCAUCGUGUAUGUCUUUAUAAGAGACGUUGCUGUAAUCAACGUAGUCGACGGGAGCCAAAGUCAUCCACUCUGCACUGCAACCCGCAUCCAAAUCCCAUACUUCUAUUUCCCCGACCUUGACAUAGCUAUACGUUUUUGGUUGGCUCGAAGAACUUGUGUUAUUCAAGCAUGAAGCAGUGUCCACGUACAGAGAAGAAUUCAAUGGAUUCGAACACAUCAAGUAAUAUAUAGAUGUUGUUGAAGGCCAUGACCAAUAUAGAUUAGUGUUGGGCGGAAUAUUUUGAGGCAUGGAAGAGCAAUUGUUGCUCUGAAGGCCAAAAUCUACAAUUCGGAUUGUCUUCUUAUCGUAGUUGAUUGCCUGGACGUAGUAUUUUCCGGAAGAAGGUAUGUCUAGUACUGUAAUGUUGCUCUCGCAGGACAUAGUAUACAUAACGUUGCCGCAGUGCUUCGGGUCAUCGUCCAGUCGAAAAGGAUAGCUGAUGUUGUGGAUAUGGCCGCAGGAUGAAGUACAUGACUUGGCACAAGUUUCACUGCAAAAGCAAAGAAGAAGAAAGGCUAAGCUUAGGGUGAAGGACCUGCUUCCACUAAUUUCCAUUUUUUUUUGGGGGUCGGGAAGAGAGAGAGAGAGAGAGAGAGAGAGAGGUGUACAAGUAAACACCAAGUAGUUAUAUAAUAAGGUGGGGUUAAAGCACCUUCCGUGAAAUUGCUGUAAGCACAUCAAAUAUUCUAGAGAAACGUCGGUCAAUGGUGUCCUAGGGACUCUUAAAAUGGCUGAAAAUGAAGGCUAUGAAAGUGGCAGAUUGAAUGAAUUUCGUAUGUUAUUGACUGAGUAUAUUGUAUAAUAUAGACACAACAGAGUCAACUAAUGAACCCUACAUCAUUGGCGAGGAAACAGGACCCCACAUUUAGUGGGAUUUGACUCAAACAUUACUAAAUUAGCCCUUAGUACUACUAUCAUUCUCCAUGAGACGGAAUGAGGUGUAGUGGUAAACACCAAGUAGUAUUAUAAUACAGGAGAGGGGUUAAAGCACCUUCCGUGAAGUUGCAGAAGGACUUCAAGUGUUUGACAGAGUCAGUCAACGAAAGACAGAAUUGUAUAAUCAUAAUGCUCUCUAGAGAGAGAGAGAGACAGAGAGAGAGGUGUAGCAAAUACCAAGUAGUAUUACAAUACAGGAGCCUUCCGUGAAGUUGCAGUAAUUCAACGGCAAAGACAGAAUUGUGUAAUCAUAAUGCUCUCUCUAUUUCUCUUUCAUUAAUGGAGGACAGUGUAUAAUUAGUACGUACAUAUCUCUGCUUAAUUACACAAAAGAAAAAUCCACGAGCAUUAUUUUUUUUUAUUAUUAGCUCAGAAAUGCAGAAAUUGUUCAUCUCUUCCUUUUGCAUAUUGUUGCUGGUUUUCUUCAAACGAGUUGGAGCAAGCCAAUAUGUGUGCCCGGAAUCCGAGUGUGGUGAUGAUCAAGGCCCGGCUAUCCAUUUCCCCUUACGCAUCAGCCGCACACAUCAUUGUGGAAAUCCUGGGCUUGAAUGCAAUGGGAGAUAUGAGCAGCAAAUAUUAGUAAAAUUAUUUAUCAAACAGAUAGAUUACAAGCGUCAGGAAAUCCAAGUGCAUCCCCCAAGCAACUGCCUGCUGCUAAAGCCCGUCGAAAUCACAAACGUGCCACCCUCUCCCUUCUACUUGUCAAAUUUUAGCAUCAGUAACGUUACCUUAUUCAGUUGUCCUACUGUUGCAAGAGUUACGUAUGCGUAUCAAGACCCCUGCCUAGGUGACCCUGGCCGCAGAAUUUAUGCCAUUGAUUCAAAACAUCAAUUAGAAUAUCUCUUCCAGAAUCUACAAUCUUGUUCAAAGAUGUAUGAUGUUUUAUCAGUUCCAUUUGGCUAUUGGAAGGGUAAUGGCUAUAUUCUUCAAUUCAAAUGGUCGAAACCAAAUUGUACAGAAUGUGAAGCACAGGGAAAGAGGUGUAGAUGGAACAACAAUGGCACCAACAGUGAAAUUGAAUGUCAACACGUGAGGAAACCAAGUAAGGAGAACAUUAUAUUCACUGCUAGUUUUAAACAUCGUUGCAUUUAUGUCGCAGUAAUUAUUAUUUGAAGGAUGUUGUCCGAUCCAUUUUUCCGAGGAUAUUAAUUGUCAGUCUCGAUUUAAUUUGCAAUUCUUUUACAGGCAACACAUGGAAAUUAGUGGUUACAGGUGGAAUCCUCGGUGCUUUGCUACUUGUUCUACUGAUGAUUGCAGCAUUUCGGGUAUACAGCGCUGAUAGGAAGGAAAAAGAGAGUCAAUUAAGAAUUGAAAGAUUCUUGGAGGAUUACAAAGCACUCAAACCAAGCAGGUAUUCGUAUGCAGAUAUUAAGAGGAUUACAAAUCAAUUCAAGGACAAGUUGGGCGAAGGAGCCUAUGGAACUGUCUUCAAAGGAAUGCUCUCUUCUGAAUUCUUUAUUGCUGUCAAAGUCCUCAACAGUUCUAAGGGAGAUGGGGAAGAGUUCAUAAACGAAGUGCGAACGAUGGGUCAUAUCCACCACGUCAACGUGGCUCGCUUGGUUGGAUUUUGUGCUGAUGGAUUUAUACGAGCUCUUGUUUACGAGUUCUUCCCCAACGGUUCCCUGCAGGAUUUCAUUUCAUCCGCAGGUAGUAAGAAUUCCUUUCUUGGUUGGGAUAAGCUGCAAGAUAUUGCCCUAGGCAUAGCCAAAGGAAUUGAAUACCUUCACCAGGGAUGUGAUCUACGAAUCCUGCAUUUCGAUAUCAAACCCCAUAACGUGUUGCUAGACCAAAACUUCACUCCAAAAAUUUCUGAUUUUGGUUUGGCCAAGUUAUGUUCCAAGGAUCAAAGCUUGGUGUCCAUGACUACAGCGAGGGGGACCAUUGGCUACAUUGCACCUGAAGUGUUCUCCAGGAAUUUCGGAAAUGUGUCUUACAAGGCAGAUGUUUAUAGCUUUGGAAUGCUGCUGCUUGAGAUGGUAGGAGGAAGGAAGAAUAUUGGUGUAACCAUAGAUAACAAUACAGAUGAAAUUUACCAUCCACAGUGGAUUUAUAAUCUUCUAGAGGAAGGGGAUGACCUACGAAUCCAUAUUGGGGAAGAAGAAGAUGGUAAAAUUCCAAAGAAACUUGCAAUUAUAGGGUUAUGGUGUAUCCAAUGGCACCCGUCGGAUCGUCCUUCCAUGAAAACAGCGGUUCAAAUGUUAGAAGGAGGGAGGAGAAAGCUUGACUGUGCCGCCUAAUCCCUUCAUGCCUACAGGUCCUACAACUAGAAAUGUAAGACGCCUAGAGCUAGAAGCAAUUGCUGAAUUAGAGUAAAAUGUAUACGCAAAUGUAUAGUAACAUUCGCAUUGAAUGUGUAAUGAUUCAAACCUAAGGGAUAUUUUGAUAACCAUUUCGUUUUGGUACCAAACAAAAGAAGUUUGUUUUCUCUCCUUGUUUAAGCAUUAGAUGCCAAUUAUUGUUUAUCAUUUUUAAAUUUAUAUUUUGUUACAGUAGAAGCCUAGAAGGAAAUCGAGCACUGGACUUACCAAAUUCUAACUCGUUUCUACACACCAAGAGCUUGAUGAUUUCGGCUCUUAUUUAUAGUAUUUAAGCUAUAAGCCGUGACAAUAAUUAGAGCACUAUCAUUUGUUGUGAGCUUCAACUGGUUAGCAUUUUUGUAUGUUUUAAACUUUUAAUUAGAAUAUAUAUUUCAUGUAGACUUAUCUUGCCAUAAAGCAUGUCAUCCCCUCCCAAGUUUUUCUCUUCGCGUUGAGUUUGGGAUACGAAAACUUGCCAAACAAAGUGGAUUGAUUAGUAACCGAAGCUUAUUAUUCGACUAAAUAUUAUUUGGAAUUUUAAUUAAAAGAAACAAUAUGAAUCGUUUUUGUUUGAUUUGAAAACUAUAAAAUGAGGAGAUUAAAUUGUUAGUUGUUAGGAGUAGAGAAAUUGGUAGAGAUCGAAUUCAUACAAGAAUGUAUAGACAUUAUUGUGCUUUGUCACAAGGAUAAAUCACAUAAAACAAAAUGUAGUACUUUGAGGAUGGAAGAAACUUCAUGGAUGACGGGUAAUCAACACAAUAUGGGUGGGGAUGCAGAGGUGACGCGGAAGGAAUUGGCGGGCUGGUGGAAGUGGGUUGUGGCAUGCAGAGAGAGUGGGGUUGGGGACGCAAGAGAUUGCGUAGAAGGUAGAGGCGGGCGUGAGGGUGACGUGAGGGCAAGGGAAGUAGCAAACCGUGUGGGCUGCUGUGGUUGAUCCACUAGGGUGGCUGGAUAGCCUUUUUGACCAAAUUAUAAAGCGCAUAGACUUUUUGACCAAGAGGAUAGUCAACAAAUAUGCAACGUUUUGCACGGGUAUCAAAUUUAUGAGUGGGAUGUGUAAGAACCAAUAAAGCCUCCUAGAGAUCUAAGUCAAGUUAAAUAAACCACGAAUAACCAAAACAAUUAAUAUACUACAAGUAUGAAAUAUAAACCAACUUGCAGCAGUAAUAGAUGAAACCAUGAUCAAACAAGUAGUAGACCUUCUCCUCUCUGUCAAAACCAAUAAUACUCAAACUAACAAUAGGUCUUAGUUCGAUAAUGAGCGUAUGUUUUGUAAGAGCAGAGGCUACUAUUUAUAUACAAUCAAUCUAUGUAAUUCUCCUAUUAGAAUCUUUAUUCAACACUGAAUAAGUUUACCUUAUUGUAUACAAAGUGUUAAAACCAGUUUUCAUACUUUCAUUCAAUCCUUCACAAAUAAGGAUUAAGUAUACCUUUUUACAUUGGGACUUUUCUAUACGGAUCUGAAACAAAUAGUAGGCCUUAGGAAUUAUAAUCAUGAUCAUAUUCUUACAUUCUCCCACUUGAUCAUGACCCAAAACCAUCGCACAACAAUUCAAAUCAUUAUAGAAGUGAUCACUAAAUGUCAAUGAAAAAUUACUUCAUCACAAACAAUCUAUCAAUGCAUUUCAAAGUACUGAAUCCAGAAAUUCACACUCUUGAUACAAUACAGAGCUAAUUUCAAAAUCACAGAUACUUAAUCUGCACCUUUGUAACAUUGUGAACCAACUGAUUAAAGACAAACUCAAAACAAGUUUGCUCCCACUUUUGAAGCCAAAACAUUUAAUAUCAACACAUGAUACCAAAUCGUAAUCAUCUCAAUAUUCAAACCGCUUAAAUAACAUGAUUCGUAAUCCAAGUAAUUACUUAAACCAAACUCUUGAAAGAUCAUAAGUAAUACUAUGAACAACACUUUAUAAUUCAGCCAAUUGCUUUAUCAAAUAAAAAACUGACUUUAAAGCAUUGUAAGAACCAUAAAACAAAAUUUUGUCUUCUAGAACAAUUAAUCACAGAUAAUCUGGAAAAAUUGAACCCAAAUGAAAACAUUCGAUUAUUCAAAACUAGCUAAAACAUAAAACUAGUUGAAACAAAAUAAUUGAAACAAAACUAACUAAUAAACCUACAAAGAUGUCAUCACCUUUAAUACUUCUGUACCAGCAACUACUCCCACUGAUCAAAAGAUUCCAGCACUCCCAUUCGAGUAACAUGAGCUUUGAAGACUCCAAUUGGUAAAGCUUUAGUCAAAGGAUCUGCAACCAUGAGAUUUGUACUAAGAUGUUGCACUUCUAUAGUUCCUUUCUUUACCAUCUCCCAAACUUUCAGGAAUUUUACAUCCAUUAGUCUACUAACAGAAUUCCUCUUAUUGUUUUUAGAGAAAAACACAGUUGAAGUGUUGUCACAAAACAUCUUCAUCGGCUUUUGAAUUGAAUCCAUUAACUUCAACUUACUUAUGAAAUUCUUGAGCCAAUUAGCUUGCUUGCUGCCUUCAAAACAGGCUACAAAUUCUGCUUCCAUGGUGGAUGUUGUUAUGAUAGAUUGCUUAGAACUUUUCCAUGAAAUAGCUCCACCUCCAAGCAUAAAGACAUAACCUCCAGUGGAUUUUCUUUCAUCUAAGUCUCCAGCUAGAUCUGAAUCAGUAUAUCCAGUGACUUCUAGAUGUGGAUUUCUGCCAUAUAUGAGCAUGAACAACUUGGUCCGUUGCAGAUAUCUCAAUACCUUCUUCGCCGCAGUCCAAUGAGCUCCACCUGGAUUUGAUUGAAACCUAUCCAAGAUGCCAACAAUGAAGGCAAUAUCAGGUCUCGUACAAACAUUUGCAUACAUCAAACUACCCACCAAAAAGGCAUAAGGUUUGUCUCUCAUCUUUUCCUCUUCAAUUUCACUCUUGGGACAUUGUGCUCUGGUGAAUAUAUCACCUUUAUUGAUAGGAACGUUGCCUCCUUUGCAAUGCUCCAUGUUGAACCGAGUUAGCACUCUAUCAAUAUAACCCUUUUGAGAUAAACCCAAAAGUCUCCGCCUUCUGUCUCUCACAAUCUCUAUCCGAAGAACAUAGUGUGCUUCACCAAGGUCCUUCAUUUCAAAAUUAACACUAAGCAUGGACUUAGUGUUCUGCAGUAAUUGAGAACUAGAACUAGCCAGUAGUAUGUUAUCGACAUAUAGCAUCAUUAUAAUGAAAUUUGGUCCACUGAACUUGAUAUACAUGCAAUCGUCUAACUUAUUUUCAGUGAAACCAUGAGCUGUAACUACUUGAUUUGAGAUACCAUUGCCUUGAAGCUUGUUUGUGACCAUAAAUUGACUUAUUUAAUUUACAAACCAUAUCUUCCUUCCCCCUUUGAGCAAAUCCAAUUGGCUGCCUCAUAUAAAUAUCUUCUUGUAGCUCUCCAUUAAGGAAAGCCAUCUUGACAUCCAUCUGAUGCAGCUCUAAAUCGAAAUGCGCAGUCAAAGCCAUUAUGACCUUCAUGGAAUCUUUUGAUGAAACAAGUGAAAAAGUAUCGUUGUAGUCAAUACCUUCUCUUUGAGUGAACCCUUUUGCAACUAAUCGAGCUUUGUACCUUUCAAUUCUACCUUGAGAGUCUCUUUUCGUUUUAUAAACCCACUUACAACCUAUAAGCUUGAUUUUGGAAUUAGAUUCUACCAAUGUCCAGACUUUGUUUUUGCUCAUCGAUUCCAAUUCCUCAUUCAUUACAUUGAUCUAUAAGAUUGAUUGUGAGCUCUUUAUAGCUUGAUUGUAGGUGAUGGGAUCAUCAAUAUCACCUAUGUCAUACUCAGAUUCUUGCAAAUAGACAUAAUCAUUUGAUAUGGUUGACUUCUUUGUUCUUGUCGAUUUUCUUAAUUCUGGUUCAGCUCGAGGUGGUUCUGAACUGUCAACUUGAUGUUGUGUUUGCACAACAUGAUCUUCCAGCCGAGUCUGUUCAGAUGUAGUUUCUGUUUCAAGUCCACAAUCUACCAUUUGAUGAUCUUCUUCUUCAUUUGGACUAAUCUUUUGCGGGAAUAUGGGAAGAAUCUUGUAAUUUUCUGCAGGAGAGACAUAUUCAUCUAAGAUUUGUUCCUCAAAAUUAAAUUCUUCUUGAUUCAGAUCUGCCACAUCUUGGUCUUAUAGAAAAACAGCAUUGUGUGACUCUUGAAUUCUUGAAUGAGCUUGUGGAUCAUAAAAGUUGAACCCUUUGGACUUUUCGCAGUAGCCAACAAAAUAACAAGACUGAGUUCUUGCAUCUAAUUUCUUCUCAUGUGGAUUAUAGAACCUUGCUUCAGCCUUGCAGCCCCAAACAUGAAAGUAAUCAAAAUUUGGUUUUCUUCCAGUCCAAAUUUCAAAAGGGAUUCGUGAAACAACUUUGGUUGGAACCCUGUUGAGUAUAUAAGUUGCUGUUUUGAGUGCUUUUCCCCAUAAGAAUGUUGGAAGUUUAGCUCUAGACACCAUGCUUCUCACCAUCCCAAUCAAAGUUAUGUUCCUCCUUUCUGAGCCUCCAUUCUGUUGUGGCGUUCCAGGUGUCGUAUAUUGUGCCACAAUGCCAUGUUUCUCCAGAUAAAGAGCAAAAGGUCCUUUCUAUUGACCUGCCUCAGUAUACCUGCCAAAAUACUCUAUUCCCCUAUCCGAUCUAACAAUUUUAAUAGUUCUAUUUAAUUGUCUCUCAACCUCAGUUUUAAAAAUUAUGAAGCAACUAAGGACAGCUGAUUUUUCACUAAUGAGAUAAGUAAAACUGAAUCUUGAGAAGUCAUCAAUAAAAUUCACAAAAUAGUUGUUUCCACAUAUAGUUUUAACUGGAAAAGGACCACAUACAUCAGUGUGUAUGAUUUCAAGCAGAUUUUGACUCCUAGCUUCUAAUUUUCUAGUAUUAGUCAAUUUCCUUUUCAAACAAUCAACACAUUCACUUUUGGUUUGAAAAUCAAAUGAGGGAAUCAAAUUGGACUUAGAUAAUUGUAAGAUUCUCUCUUUCGAAAUGUGUCCCAACCGUUUGUGCCACAAAAUAUUAGAAUUUUCAAAAUCAUGCAUCCUUUUGGUGUUUACAUUUAAAACAUGCACAUAAUCAUUUUCAAGAGAACAAUCCAAUUGCCAAAGGUUUUCACGUAAAUAAGCUUUUCCCAAAACUGGGUCUAAAUUAUUCUUUUGAAAAAACUUUAUGCCCUCAUCAUCCCCAAGAAAAACCAAAUUAUGUUUAGUUAGUUUUGAUGCAGAAACUAGGUUCCUUCUCAUUGUAGGCAUAAAAAGUACAUCAUUUAGUUCAACUAUAAAACUAGAAGAUAAUUUUAGUUUCACUUUCCCUAUAGCUUCUACAACAACCUUAGUCCCUUCCCCAACAAAAACACUAUAAUUCAUUUUAUUUGUUUGUUUUUGUUUUUCAAAACCAUGCAAUGUAUUUGUGACAUGAACUGAUGCACUAGUAUCAAACCACCAAGAUUUAGCAGGAAUUUCAACCAAGUUAGACUCCUCACAGACAUAGACAUCAAUAUUACCCUUACUCCUCAGCCAAUCCUUAAAAGUUUCGCAAUCUUUUCUAACAUGACCUUUGGUUUUGCAAAAGACACAUUUAAGCUUAGUUAUAUCUUUAAUUUUAACUUUAAUAUUGUCAUAUUUCUUAGAGGAUUCAACAUAUUUAGCAGGCAUACUAGAUUUAGAGACAUUAUCAUAAGACUUAGAGUUCUUACUUGGAUUAAUUCUGCCACCCUUCUUGCUCUUUCCUUUGGAUGCAUGUACAAGGUUUACUGCUUCAAUUUCCUUGACCUUGUCUUGCUUCAGUCUUUUCUCUUCUUGGACACAUUGAGCAAUGAGCUCAUCAAGUGUCCAAAGAUUCCCUUGAGUGUUAUAUGAGACUUUCAGUUGACAAUAUUUAGCAGGGAGUGCUUGAAGCACCAUAAAAACCAGUUGAGUCUCUGAAAUAUGUACAUCCAUUGAGUUGAGUUCUCGGCAGCAUCUGAGAGUUUCAGAAUAUGAUCCCUAAUUGAGCCAUUGCCCUCACACUUGUAAGUUGUCAAGAGUGACAUGUAGUGUCCAAUUUCAGCCUUCUGAGGUUCUUGAAACUUCUCUUCAACAGCUUUGAAGUAAUCAACAACAAGGUCAUGUUGUUUGAUACCUCCUCUAACAUGAUCAGUCAUGCCAGCCUCCAAAAUGGACAAUGUCAAUUUAUUUGAUCUCCACCACCUCUCGUGCUCUGCUUUCUUAGCCUUGGAACUUUUGUCAGUCAAUAAUGGGGGUUGUGGAUUGUCAAUUGCAAUGUCAAAUUCAUUGAGUAUCAGUAGCAACUUGAUCUCGCGUCUCCACUUCUUGAAAUUACUUCCACCAGUAAGAAUCGAAACACUUGCCAAAUUCAAGGGUUUCAGUGAAAUUGCAGCAGAUCAUAAUGAAAUCAGUAAACAUGAACCAAUAGGUUCCUGAUUUCUCUACUACUAGUUAAACUGUACAAAACAAAAUUUGAACCAAUUUGACCAUAUAUGUAGUCCCAAUGAUAAAGGAUACACAUAGAUCAAACAAUUCAAAAAAUGUCCUUUUUUUUUUCUUUCGGAAUAUGUAUCAAUUGAUAGUUCAAUACUUAUCACUCAUAAUUCCAUUUGAUUUACAGAUAACACAAUCUUCAAAAAACAAAAUAUGCAGUAUAUACAUGCAUACAUUUUUGACAUUGAACUGUUGAGUUUUUUUUUUGACCCAUCAAGCAAAACCAAUCAAUUAUUGGAGAUGUCUGGAUGCAAUAAUUUUAGUCAUCUUAAUUAAAAAUAGAUAAUUAAGAUCUCAACUUCUGGCAAUAAAAAUAAAGAAUCACACGAUAACAUGAGGAUCAUAAUUAACAUAUAUGCAUUUUAAAUCCAAUUCAUACAAGUCUAUUGAGUUUGUAUUGCUUUUGAAUCUCAUAUAGUAUCAAUUAGAAUAAGGCACUCAGAUUCAAAAUCAUAGAGAAGUGCAGUAAAUAAAAAAUUAUCACUUUCUUAUGAAUCAGCAAAGAUUGAAUUAGACGAAAAAAGAAAACGCAACACAUACCAGUAAGGAUCCAGAUUGAAAACGAAAUAGUGCAGAGGAAGUAAUGAAUUAUUUGUAAUCUAGAUUGACUACUCUUUAUGAACCCUAAUUCGAUCAGAAAACCCAGUUUUUCUGAACCCCCAAUUCGAAACGACGGCAACUUAAUUUUACCAAACAAACAUUAACUUUGUUUUUUAGUUUUUUUUUUUUUAUAAAGACAGCUCCUGGGUUCGAAACCUUUAGGGGCCCCUUUUAUUUUAUUAUUCGAGUUUUUUAACUAAAACUUAGGCUCUGAUACCACAUGUAAGAACCAAUAAAGCCUCCUAGAGAUCUUAGUCAAGUUAAAUAAACCACGAAUAACCAAAACAAUUAAUAUACUAGAAGUAUGAAAUAUAAACCAACCUGCAUCAGUAAUAGAUGAAGCCAUGAUCAAACAAGUAGUAGACCUUCUCCUCUCUGUCAAAACCAAUAAUACUCAAACUAACAAUAGGCCUUAGUUCAAUAAUGAACGUAUGUUUUGUGAGCAAAGGCUACUAUUUAUACACAAUCAAUCCAUGUAAUUCUCCUAUUAGAAUCCUUAUUCAACACUGAAUAAGUUUACCUUAUUGUAUACAAAGUGUUAAAACCAGUUUUCAUACUUUCAUUCAAUCCUUCACAAAUAAGGAUUAAGUAUACCUUCUUACAUUGGGACUUUUCUAUACGGAUGUGAAACAAAUAGUAGGCCUUAGGAAUUAUAAUCAUGAUCAUAUUCUUACAGGAUGGGCACUCAUUUUCUUCCUUAUUCAUGUUUGGUGUUGAAAAAUAGAAGCCUCCUAAUUUGGUGGCGUUGGAGAAUCCUUUUAACCAUCCAAAACAUGGAUCUAAGGAGUCAGGAAGCAAGAGGAGUUUAUCCAUAUUCAUGGAUACAAGAAGCUAUGAGCAAAGGAAUGAGGACCCCAUUUUAGGUGAUUAUUCUUUGCUUCUACAAAGAGGAUCUACAUAAGUAUAAAGUCACCUCUCUUUGUUUUGAAUUUGAGUUGAGUCUUUGACUAACAAUUACUAGACUUUUAAUUUCAUGAGUUAAGUUUUGUUUUUGAGUGCAUAUAAGCAUGCUAGAGCCUUUAAUUGUCAAUUACAUGUAUGUGUGUUGCUCAAAUGAACUUAGUUUAUCAAAAUUUUCCUUCAAGACCAACUUCUAUGGCAUGUGUGGUUUCUUGUGCCAAUCACACAAACGUUAUGUAAAAAGAACUUACACAUUACAUUGCAUGAUUGACAAUUAACAACACAAUAGUGUUAUAACUGUGUCAUGAAAGUUUUUAUGCAAAGUCACUUGAUAUGCUGCAACAAUUAGUAAACAAUAUUAGAAAGACCUAGAGGAACCCACGAACCCGCAAUUCAUUCCAAUCCAUUAAGUAGCUCAUGCAUCAUUUCUCCUCAGCAAAUGUGAUUUUGAAAGGUAGACGAAUUUCUGAUUGCAUUGGUCUAGUUUCAGAAGGGUUCAAUUUUAUGGAAAAAAAUGCUUGUGGUGGUAAUGUGAGCAUAAAAGUUGAUAUUGUUGAAGCUUUUGAUACUUUGAAUUGAAGUUUUCUUCUUCAUGUGCUUUCUAGCUUUGGUUUUCUCGAAUAUUUGUGGACUCGAUGCAUGUUUAGUUUUAGUAUGGUCGGCUCGACUUUCAAUUUUGGUAAAUGGCACACCACGAGGAUUUUUCUCUUGCUCUCAGGGUGUACGUCAGGGAGACCUUCUUUCUCCACUUCUUUUCUGUCCAGUAGAGGAAGCUAUGAGUAGGGGUUUAUCUUUGCUUUUUUCUACUAGUCAAAUUACUGCUAUUUCAGCUUUGUGGGGUUGCUGCCUUCCUACCCAUGUGUUAUAUGUUGAUGAUCUUUUUAUUUUUGGUCAUGGAAGUGUUCGAUCUCUUCGUGCUCUUCGAAAUUUGUUGGAUAAAUAUGGUUGUGCUUUGGGACAACUUAUUAAUGCAACUAAGAGUACUUUUUUAUCUGGGCUCCACCUCUGCCCAUUUCAGAGCACAGGUUUAGAGAUAUCUUGGCUUUCGUUAGGGUACUGGUCUUUUUACUUAUCUUGCGGUACCCAUUUUUUGUGGUAAGCCAAGGAGAAUUCACUUUCAAGUUUUGGUAGAGAAGGCUAAAGCUCGCCUAUCAAGUUGGAAAUAUAAACUUCUCUAAAUGGCUGGACAAUUUCAGUUGGUGCAGUCUGUUUAUCAAAGCUUGUUUCUUUAUAGUUUCUCAGUUUAUCAAUUGUCGGCGUGCCUUUUAAUUCAUCUUACUGCUUGUGCAAGGAAUUUUCUUUGGUAAGAAGACCUGGCUUCUUGAUAGUUGGUAAGUGUUGACUGAAGUAUGGUGACCUAAUCAGGAUGGUGGGCUUGGUCUUCAGGAUUUAGCUUCUUCAAACUUGACGACUUUACUUAGAUUCGGUUGGGAUGCUUUACAAUCCCGUUCUUUGUGGGGCUUUUUUGCUCUUCAGCGUUUUCUUCUUGCACCUUAAAAAAACAAAAUAUCUACUUAUGGUCUUCUGUGUGGCAUGGUUUAAAGCGUGCCUUACCUAUUCAUAAUAAUAAUAGUUGUUGGAUUAUUGGUGAUCAGAGGUUAGUUUCCCUUUGGUUCGACAAAUGGUUAGAUGACCCAAUUAGUAACUCUUCAUUAUCUCUAGUCAUUUCACCUAUGGUUCAUCCUCAAGUUUUAGAUGCUAUUGAAUCUCAAAGUUGGUCUUGCCAUAUUAUUUUACAAAUUUAUUCUCAUCUGUGGUUGAACAAAUUUUACGUAUACCUUAGCCUUUAAAUGCAGAGGAUGACAAAUUAAUUUGGAAACCACCACCUACUAGGAACUUUUCUUUUUCUUUUGGUUCACCUUAUCUGAGGAAUCUGCUGCUAUUCUUUUCUUUGGGUGUCGGAUAUCUAGGCAACUUUGGAGGUGGUUAGCAUGUCAAUUUGGUACUUCUUUGCCUCUUUCAGAUUCUUCAGAUGUGUUUAGGAUGUCUAUAUUAAACCCUUUCUUAUCAGUUGCAUAAUCUUUGGAUUUUUGCAGGUCUUUCUUCUAUUUCAACUAUUUGGAAAGCUCGAAAUAAGUUUAUUUUUUAGGGUCGAUCAAUCUCCCUUCAUCGACUUUGCAUGUCUAUCAAUUCCAGGGUCGUUCAUAUUGGGAAAUUUAUUCUUUGUUACUCUCAAGGUUUGGACACUCAUAUCAUUUCUUCUCUUGGGAUUCGACCUAUCCCUAUCAAGGCGCCUACUGUUCUUCUGCGCUUAGGUCUCCUCUUUGAUUUCCUUGGAUUAAAGUUAAUACAUAUGAUUUGUCUAAAGGAAAUCCUGGUCCUGCUAUGUGUGGAGGAGUUUUCAAGGAUUUCCAUGGUUAGUUUCCUGAUGAUUUCUACUAAUGGAUUGGGCAUCACAACUUUUUUUUUUUAAUUUUUUGCAUAAUUAUUAGCAAUUAUUAUUAGUGUUGAGUUUGUAUAUCUGCUGGGUUAACAUUGCCUUGGUUGGAAAGUGAUUAUUGUAGUGUUAUUGCUGCUCUCCAAUCAACCAAUUUUGAUUUUGCUUGGCCUCUUCAUACACAAUGGCCUACUUGUCUAGAUCGCAUUCGGAAUAUGAUAUUCUAUGCCUUUCACAUAUAUCAUGAAGGAAAUGUUGUUGCGGAUAAAUUUGCUAACAUGGACUUGUCUUCUCCAACUUUGGUGGCAUGACUUCCCUCCACCAGUGGCUUGUGCUGCUUUGUUUUCAAACUAUAUUCGCUUGCUUGGCUUCCGCUUCUCAAACUAAUGUGCAUCUCACCAUGCAGGUAUGUCUCCAUUUCUUGUUUUUUCCUAACCUUGUGGUGUCAUUUGACUUGUUUUGCAAAAUGUCUCCAUUUCUUGUUUUUUCCUAACCUUGUGGUGUCAUUUGACUUGUUUUGCAAGUUUUUGACUUUUUAGGUUUUGCUUUAGAGGGUUUAGGUUUCAUGUCCCCCCUUCUUUUCCUUGUAUCUUUUUUGUUUUCGUUUCUAGAGGGGUAAGGUCUAUGUCCCCCUUCUUAUAUAUUCAUGUUGUUUUUCUCCUUUUCUUGGUAUAAUGAGGGAUAAGGUUUAUGUCCCCUCUGACUAGGUGAAACUUAUUAUUAUUAUUAUUAUUUUGUUAUCCAUAAAAUAUCCUUCAUCCCAUCUAGGUUUUCUAAAAUACAAUAAAAAUUAAUUAGCUCAUGUGCAAGCAAAGUAUGGGCUUCCCAUGCGCAGGAACUUGAAUUUACUCAUAUUUGGUAGUUACGUAGUUUGAUACGAGGUGCCUCCCCAUCGUUCAAUGUGUUCACCCACAUGAUGUUAAGUGUAACCUUCUUAAGGUUCAACAAAAUUAUUGUUUCUAUUAACAAAUGUAAAUAAAAAAUAAGCAAAAUACUAGAUAGAUCACAUAUUUUAUUUUUAUUACAUUGGUGUGCCGUAUUGUGAUAUGACUGCAUGCAUGCCACGUUUUGUAAUGAGUUAUCUCAUUAGAUGUUAAUUGUAUGUAUCACUUUCCAUAUCAUAUGGUACAUCAAUGUAGUAUAAAUAUGUGGUCUUUAUAAUACUAAAAAAAAAAAAAAGUAAUGUUGCAUUUAUCACAUUUUUCAUACCAUUGUAUCAUCUCUUUAUAGAAGCAGGGCACAUCAACAUAUGUGUCUCAUCUCUGUUAAAAAAGUGAUACAAAUAUGGUAUGAAAAAUAUGAUAAGAGUAGCAUUUACAAAAAACAAAAUCUUAAAGUUAAAUGAACUGAACAAACAUAGAAAAUUUGAAAGGUACUGUUAGCAGUUCAAUCCCACGAAAAACAGGGGGUGGUCUUAAUCAACACAGAUGAGACGUGCAAUUCAUCUGUAAAGUUCAAUAAUUUUCAUUUACCACAGCUUAACAUAAACAAGCUUCGUCAUGCAUAAAUGUGGAACUUUAUGAACCAAAGUAGGCAGCACAAACAGGAUAUGAGCGAAAAAUGACACUCUCAAUAGACUGAAUGGAAUUGAGUAAAAACAAUCUCACAACUGAUGAGAAAGAUCAUGAAAAUUCCAAGUUAUCCCAUUAGUGUUUAAGACAAGAUGCCAUGAAGAACGUCAAUACUCUGCAUAGCUAUUCUCACAAAUGGUAUGUACAACAUUAUUAUUCCUGGUUACUUCCAAAUAAAAGCUUUUCAAGCACUGCAAAUCACUAUUCAGCUUUAAUGUGUCCCAUCAGUCUUCUACAAAAGCAAAACGACAGUAAUAAGUGCAUCGGUGGCCCUGGCGACGGAAUUUAUGGCGCCUCUUCGUUCUUUCAAUUAUUUCAAAGCUUCCCGGCCCUGUAUUCCUGUACAAAGAUGUGUGAUGUUUUAUCAGUUCCAUUUGGUGAUUGGGUGGGAAAUGAAUUUAAACUCUUCAUUUCAAAUAGUCUAAACCAAAUUGUAUAGAAUGUGAAGCAGAGGGCAAGAGGUGUAGAUUGAAGAACAAUGGCACUAAGAGCAAAACUGAAUUUGUUCAUCGGAGGUAAUCAAAUAAGGAUUAUGCGUGUAAAUCUUAUUUCGCAUGUAUUCUGCUCAUGAUGUUUUAAUGAUGAUUAUUGGUAUAUUCUGCUACGUGUUAUGAUUUUUCUGCUUUCAUGUAAUUAGCGGCUUAGAUAUGUGAAAAAAAAAAAAUUGUUUGGGUUAGUAUUUGAACAUUGGGUGUAAGUGAAAGAAGGCACAAGGAUGCCAAUUGAAAGGGGAAUUGCUCGAAGCCCAACAUUAUACCCAGAAGCAAAUUGAGGCUUUCUCAGCCAAGAGUCAUAAACCACGUGUCUAUAAGUAAAGUGACAAGUGAUGAAGAUUAACCUACUAUCAACAAAGAACACUUUCCAGUGGCAUUACAAGUAAGAAAGCUGAUGACUCAUUACCCUCCAAAUGUUUUCGGGCAAGAGCAAAAGUUACAGUAGUCGGGCUAGUUUGCCUAUAAAAGGAAGAAGAGGCCCCAGAGACAAAGACACUUAACCAAUCAAACAAACAAACAUACAAACUCUGCUCUCAAGCCAGAUUUGCAUCCAAAAGCUGAACACAGCCCAUAUUUAGUCCUUUUAACGCUAGUUCCCUACAAAAGACAUCUUUUGUCUAGUCUAAAAGCUUUUCUACCUCCCUUAGUGGCAUAGUAUCGAUUCCCUUGUGUAAACUUGUUUACCAUCCAUCCCUUUUUAAGCAUACAACUCUUGUAAACUCAAAGAGAAAUGAUUGUAAGAAGUUCAACCUUGCCAGACAAGGUGAAAUCUUGCCCGAAGCUCUUUGUUUGUUUUCUAAAUUAGUAGAUCUAUUGCUUAAUGCAUUCUCCAGUAUGUAUUUAAGUUAUUUCCACCUGUUUUUCUAUUUUAAGAAGUUCAUUUGCAUCUGGAUCUGGUUCGCUUAAAUGAAUAUGCUUUCAUUAGAUAUACUCUGGAACCAAACAAGUAACUUAAGGGGAUCUGGACCCCCUUCAUUUCGAACAUACAAGACUAUGAACUAAAAGUCCUUGUUUACAAGGCAAGAAAAAGAACUUAAUAUGGACUUAACCCAUCCACGACAAUCAUUUGAUAACAAGAAGUUUGAAGUAACUUGGGGCGCAAGUAAUCUACUUAAAACACACUUGUUCUACAUCUGUUAUACUGAGAUAGCAGUGACACGCCUAGAACUUAAUUAGUUUUGAUUAUGAGUCUUAAGGCCUACACCUAAGGCCCCAUAAAGGAACCUUUCAUAACUAACUUUGUUCUCUUCUUGUAGCACAUCAACAAGCAAGAGCCCGACUACACAUCCAAAGUGCCAAUCCCUUGGGGAGCUGUGCUGAGGUCCGAGGAUCCUUCUCCACAGAAAUCUUUGCCCGAACAUAGUUUUGGCACGCCCGGUGGGAUUCGAAUACUAGUCUUGUAUGCCAAGAAGAAGGAAGAAGGAGAAAACCUUCAAGUGGAACACAGAAUACGAGCUACCCCGGUGUCUACCAAGAUCAAUCAUGACAGCUCAUCCAAAAGAUUUCCCUUCCCUACGAGGGCUAGCUAUUUUAGACAGCUCGACUUCACCUGAGAAGUCAGGGAGGAAGGUGACCAAUGAAGACUUGCAAGCCACCAUGAUGCAAGUAUUGAAAACUAUGGAAAAUAUCACUUUGGAAAUCGGAGGAGAAGUGAGUAGACUUUGUUCUUUAACAGGGAGUCUACAAAGAAGAUUAGAUCUGGAGUACUUUACUCCAAAUAAUGGUCAUUUCAUGGAAAUGGUGAAAGAAGCAAACCCUGAAAGAGAACCAGUUAUCCCCCUAUUUCCUUUACUGGAGGAAAAAAAGGAUGAAGGAAAAAACAAUGAGGGAUUUAGAGUUAGUGAACCAGUAGUGGAGGAAAUCCUAUAAGCAAAGUUGCAUGACCCCUUAUUAUUUUCACUAGAUAGUAGAGGCAGAACGAGAAAGACAGAAAGAAGUAUGGGAUGCCCUAUGUAAUCGGAGAGUCCAGUGGGAAAAAAGAUUUCACAACUGUGGACAAACCUCCUCCUUAUAGGCCACCACCAUUGGCUAAUAAGGGAUGAGAGCCUAGAUGGAGAAAGCCCGAACCAAAAAAGGAAGCUUGCUUGGGCAAUGAUCCUAGCGCGAAGUGGGAAUUUCCUUACACCCCACUUAAUAAUACAACUAACCAACAACUCAGAGAUGAGUUAGCCAAGUUAAGAAGAAUGAUAGUCUACAAUGCUAACCUCAGGCUCGCCCCACUGUUUAGGAUCACCUACCAGAAGCCAUACCCCGAAAAGAUCGAUGAGCAUAAUCCAUUUCCACUCAACUUCAAGAUGCUCGCGUUUCCCACUUUUAGUGGAAAAGAUGGCAGUGUGUCCUCUAGAGAUCAUAUCUUUAAGUUCUCUAAUCACUGCGUGGCAUUCGAAGAUAAUCCUAAUUAUAAGUUAAGAUUGUUUGGGAACUCGUUGGUUGGUCUAGCAUCUCAGUGGUACUCUCUGUUGCUCUCCAAUUCUAUUGCUAAUUGGGGGCAAAUGGAGAUGGUUUUCCAUGAGCAGUUCUAUAGGAUGGAGCUCAAGAUGUCUAUCAAUGACCUAGUAGAGGUGAAGCAAUAUGAACAUAAGUCUACAGAAGACUUCAUGAUGAGGUUUAGAAGGACAAGAAUGAGGUGCCAAUUCCCUAUCAAUCAUGCUUAGAUUAUAUCUAUUGCUCAGAAAGCAUUGAGGUUGCCUUUGAGAAAAAAGUUUUAUGAUGUACAGUUCAAUGAGUUGCAAAAGUUGGUAAUUGCUGCCACAAAGUAUGAAAAGGUAUUGCUUGAAGAACAACAAGUGAAACACUCAUCCAAGGUCCCUCAUUUUUAUAAAAAUAAAGCUGCAAUUCACCAAGUAAAGUUUGAAGGAAGAGAGCCGGAAGGAAGCGAUGAUCAUGGAGAAGAAAAGAUUAAUAUGUGUGCAGCAGAGAUGACUACGCUUUUUAAACCAUCAACAGUAAAGGGUUUAGUUCAUCCAGUCAAAGAUCAGAAGAUAGUAAUGAAUGAUGGUGGAUUUGUCCCUAUGAACCCCCCUAAGUAACAGAAUUAUUAUUUUGAUUUAACCAAUGCCUCAUAAAUCUAUGAAGAGUUAGUGCGGGCAAGAGUAAUUGUGCCUAAUAGCACCAAGAAGAUGCCAAAGCCAGAAGAAUUAAGAGGAAAUAAAUAUUGCAAAUUACACUACACCUUUAACCAUUCCAUAACCAACCGUGUCCAGUUUAGGGAUUAAAUACACGACCUCAUAGUAAAAGGAAAGUUGUUAUUGGAGAAAUCGCAAGCCAAUAUGAUGAUUGACACAUAUCCCUUCCUAGAAGCUCUAAUAAACAUGAUCAACCUGACUUGGGCUGAGAAAGGGAAGGGAAAAGCCACUUGGGAAGUAAAAGCAGAAAUAAGGCAAGUUGAUAGACCGACAGAAUGAACUAUCAAGUUGUUCGAGAAACCCAAAACAGCCAUAAUUAAAGGGCUGGUAUUAUGUAGCAAGUGCCAGUAUGAAUGUGAGCUAGAGGUGCCAGCAUCAGGAGCCAUUAUUGAUCAAGAAUUGAUUAAAAGAAAAGAGAAAGAAAAACAAGAAGCCCACAGAAGCAUCAUGCGAGCAGUUGAGAAAGAAACCUCCAGGAAUGUCUUCUAAAAGUUAGGAGGGGAUUCUCAACCAAAGGGCUUGUCAGAGGUAUUCAGAAAUUGCGAAGCCUCUGAAGAAGUAGAAGACAAAGAAAGCUAAAAUACCAAAAUGGGUGGUGAAGGUUUAGCCUUCCCAGCCUAGAUAUGAAGAUAGUGAUGUCGGGAUGAAGGGAAGAACAAAUAGUGUAAUAUCCACAUUCACCAAGAAGGAUUCUACUCGACUCGGGGGGAAAUGGUAUGUAGUUAGGAAGGAUGGAAGACCUAUCAAGGAAAUGGGAGCCUCUAUGAUUAGGAGAGUCCAGAGAUAGCACAAAGCUCAUAUGAACUCACUCAAAGUCCCUGCUACAUCAGAAACCUCUGAAAAUGAGAAAUUCGAGAAGGUACGUCAUGCGGAAGAAAUCAACUUCACUAGAGAAGUGAAAAACAGGUAGAAAGAGCUAAUAGCAAGACUAAAGAAGAGGGAGAUCAUGUGCCACAAAGCCCUCAUCCAGGAAAGUACAGAAUCUUGAUGAGGGCUCAAAAGGAUAUGGUGAUGAUGCUAACCCCAAGAUGAAACCCAAAACCAAUAUGCUUUGGAACUAUCUCGCCUGAUAGAGGGUUGCACACACCUUUUUUGGUUAAUACUCUAUUUGAAAACCUGGAGCAAGUAUAGGACUUUGGAAUAACCUGAGAAGAAAAGUUGCUCGAGUUAAUGAUACCACAAAAAGCACAAGUUUGGUUAGAUGAAUUCAUGGACCACAUUAGGGGCAAAAAUGAGGAUGUACCUGAACCUAGCAACUUCCAUGUAAACAUGACAUAUGUUCUAUCUACUAUGUUUUACGUCGAGCCUGAUCAACCUGCCGCAAUGGAGGGUGAUUACUUGGCAACAGAACCUAUGAUGGCAUGAAAAGAGGAAUCCAGCCAGACAGGUUUGCCCGAGCAAAUAAGGAAGGAGCCCGAGAGAGUGUAUUUUGACAGAAUGGUCUUUAGCCACCCGAAUAUGGUCUUAGCUAACCAUUUUAAGCCCAUAUAUGUAACUGCUCAUUUGGAGGGAGUACCCUUUAAGAGGGUUUUGAUUGAUGGAUGAAAUGCGGUCAAUAUAAUACCAUUGAAGCAUAUGAAGAAGUUUGGGAGAAGUGAAGAAGAUCUCAUUCCUACGGUUUUAACAGUCUCUAGCUUUUCUAGAGCUAUCACCAAAACACAUGGAAUACUACCAUUAGAAGUUGACUUGGGGUCCAAGCAAAUCAUGCUAGCUUUCUUUAUAGUAGAUGGUACUUCCAUUUAUGGAGCUUUGCUUAGUAGAGAUUGGAUUCAUCAGAGUCUCUCUGUACCAUCUACAUUACACCAACAGAUUGCAGUUUACCAUGAAGCCAAGACUGGAAAACCAAGAUUUUGGGAGAUAGUGGAGGCCGAGACACGGCCAUUCCCCUCUCUCACAGUUAAUGUUGCAGAAGUUAGCUUUUGCAAUCCUAGUAUUGGGAUUCUCCAGUGCUUAGGAGCUGAUGAGAACGGCCGCCCGACUCAGGUGAUGGCCCAAAAGCUUUUGGAGCAAGGAUUGUUCUUCACAAGAGAUGAGUGAGAUGGACCCUAUAUUAUCCCAACUCCCUAACACCAGUAAUGUCGAAACAAAGAAGAAAUGACCAAGUAAUUGCAGUUAGGUUUUUAAUCAAAAGACUGUUAGUGUAUGGGAGAGAGAGAAAGCAAGAAAGAGAGAGCUUGACCGAGGAGCAAGAGGAAGAAGCUUCAAGCAACCAGAACAGAGAUAAAGAAGAGUUUUUUGGAAAUGAGUUGGAAGCAGCCAUACAAAUGGUUGAAUGUAUAUAUGACUUGGAUGGGCCAGAAGACUUGCCCGAGAGUCCAGAGUUAGUUGAAUUUUUGUGUGCAAGACCUUACAAGCCACCACCAGAGGUUCAAGACCAUUUGGAGACCAUUGAUUUAGGGACUAAACAGAUCAGUAGCUUGUUAGAAGUUGAAGAUCGGGCAAGAAUAGUCAGCCUGCUGCGCGAGUUCAAAGAUUUUUUUGCUUGGUAUUACACUGAGAUGCCAGGUUUAGAUUCAACCUUAGUAGAGCACAGAAUGCCUAUUAAGGAGGGGUGUAAACCUGUGAAGCAAGCAUCACGAAGGAUGUCAAAAGAGAUUGAAGAAAAAGUCAAGGAAGAGAUUUAAAGGCUAGUAAAUGCUGGAUUUAUUAGGCCUAUCAAAUAUGUCAAGUGGUUGACAACAUUGUACCUGUAUUAAAAGCUAUAACUAAUGUAGUUUGAUGUUGUGUUGACUAUAGAAACAUUAAUGGAGCCACGCCUAAAGAUGAAUACCCCAUGCCCAUAGCUGAUUUAUCCAUAGAUGCAGUUGCAAAACAUAAAGUUUUAUCUUUCAUGAAUGGGAAUGCCGGUUAUAAUCAGAUAAAAAUGGUAAAAGAAGAUAUACAUAAAACAGCUAUUAGGUGCCCAGGACAUGUUGGAGCAUAUAAGUACUUAGUCAUGCCAUUCGGGCUAAAAAAUGAUGGUUCAACCUAUCAAAGAGCAAUGAACACCAUUUUUCAUUACUUGAUUGGCAAUAGCAUGGAGGUGUACAUUGAUGACAUCGUGGUGAAAUCUAAAAUUAAAGAACAGCACCUAGUAGACCUCAGACAAGCCUUAACAAGAAUGAGGAUCCAUAAGCUAAAAAUGAAUCCUAAGAAAUGUGCUUUUGGGGUGAGGUCGGGCAACUUUUUGGGUUUCCUUGUUCAUCAAAGAAGGGUGGAAGUCGAAAAAAAUAAAGCUCGGGCAAUAAUGGAAUCACCACCUUCCACCAACAAAGUACAACUACAGAGGCUACUAGGAAAAAUCAAUUUCUUAAGGAGAUUCAUUGCUAACUUGGUAGGUAAGAUUCAACCGCUAACUCCUCUGUUAAGAUUGAAAGACAAAGAAGAGUUCGAGUGGGGUCCACCAUACCAAGAGGCCUUUGACAGAAUAAAGGCUUAUUUGACUUCUCCACCAGUGCUCAUGCCACCUCAGAGGGAAACCUUUAAAGCUUUAUAUUUCUGCCUCUGAAAAGUCAAUAGGAAGCUUGCUAGCUCAAAACAAUGAAGGUGGGAAGGAACAAGCAAUAUACUGCCUCAAUAGAAUCCUUACUGAGGUAGAAACAAGAUAUACACCAGUGGAAAGGUUAUGUUUGGCUUUAUACUUCACUGCCUGUAAGUUAAGGCAUUACAUGUUACUUUGCCACAUCCACAUUAUUGCCAAGACUGAUGUGAUCAAGCACAUGCUGUCAAAACCAAUGUUAACUUGGAGGAUUGGAAAAUAGAUUCUAGCACUUUCAGAGUUCAGCUUUCAAUAUGUGCCCCAAAGAGCGAUCUAGGGGCAAGCAAUUGCAGACUUUUUGGCUGAGCACCAAGAGUCACAAGAUGAGCUUGUUAACAUCCCAGGAACUUUGGAAGUGGCCAGUGUGUGGAUCCCACCAAGCAAAGCCUUCUCGAGCAAAGAAGAAUGGAUCUAGCAAGAGAUAAAAAGAAUAACUAGCCCCUGAAUCACUAAUUGGAAGCUAUAUUUUAAUGGAUCUUGCACUCAAAAUGCUGAUGGGGCUGAGAUUGUCAUUAUUGAUCCUAAGGGUGCUCACCACUGUUAUUCAUUUCUCUUAGAUUAUCAAGAGACUACCAACAAUUGGGCAGAGUAUGAGGCAUUAAUAAUUGGUUUGGAAAUCUUGAUAGAGUUGGGGGCAACUAAAGUUGAAGUGUUUGGUGAUUAAUUAGCUAAAUAGGGAGUACAAGUGUAGACAUAUUACCAUGACUGGUUAUUACUUGGCGGCCACGUAAUUGUUUAGCUAUUAGGGUGCUGAAAUAAUAGUUAGCCAUAUCCCCAAAAAAUCAAAUGCAAUGGCCAAUGAAAUGUUGUAGUUGCCUUCUGGAACACAGAUCCAAGAAAGAAGAUUCAACGUGGAAGUGGAAGUGCAAAUGAGGAAUCUCCCUUCUAUUUUUUAUAGAGGAUUCAACCUAGAUGUGAUGACUAAGGAGCUCGAGAUGGAAGGUUGAAGAUCACCCACAAUUCAAUACUUGAAAAAUUCUUCUUUCCUCAUAAGUAAGAAGAAUAGGCAGUAAGCAACUAAGUAUGUUAUGUGGGAGGAUAAUUUGUUAAGAAAGUCUCCAGAUGGAUUAUUGUUAAAAUGCUUAGGCUAAGAAAAGUCAAUGAGAGAAAUGGCUGAAGUACAUGAAGGAAUAUGCAGAGCACAUCAAGCUGGUACCAAGAUGAGGUGGUUACUUAGGAGAUAUGGUUAUUUUUGGCCCGACAUGGAAGAAGACUGCAAGGCCUAUGCCCGAGGGUGUGAGGAGUGUCAAAGACAUGGACCUUUCCAACAUGUGCCCUCAGUGCCCUUAAACCCCGUGGUCAACUCUUGGCCCUUCAGAGGAUGGGCAAUGGACUUCAUUGGGAAAAUUUACCCAACUUUUAGCAUGGGGCAUACAAUCAUAAUUGUGGCAAUAGAUUACUUCACUAAGUGGGUAGAAGCUUCAACUGUUAAAACUAUCACCUCAAUUGCAGUGAAAAAGUUCAUUAAAACCAAGAUCUUACAUAGAUAUGGGGUGCCCGAGACAAUUGUCACAGACCGCGGGCCAUCUUUUAUUUCAAAGGAAAUAGAAGAAUUUGCAAGUAAGUUCAAGAUAAAGAUGAUCCAAUCUAGUCUUUACUACCCCCAGUCAAAUGGUCAAGCAGAGGCCAGUAACAAGAUCUUGGUAAACAUUAUUAAAAGAAAGGUGGUAGAUAGUCCAGAGAAGUGGCACGAAAAGUUAGAAGACACUUUGUGGGCUUACAAAACCUGCAAAAGGGUAGGAACUAGAACUAUUCCUUAUGCCUUAACCUUUGGGCAUGAUGUUGUACUCCCCAUGGAGAUUAAUGUAAGUUCUAUUAUAAUUCAAAAUCAGUUUGGGUUGCACAUUGAAGAAUAUAUUCAGGCUAUCUGUCAAGGAGUUGAAGAUCUAGAUGUAGCCCGAAUUGAAGCUCUAAAUAAAAUUCAGGAAAGGAAGAGAGUUGUUGCCUGAGCAUACAAUAAGAAGAUGAUUGAAAAACUUCAAGGAAAAGAAUUAGUUUGGAAAGCAGUUUUGCCCUUAGGAGCUCAAGUGAAAGGCUUUGGGAAAUGGAGUCUUACUUGGGAAAGUCCUUUUAUUAUUCACCAAGCACUGGAUAAGGGAGGAUAUUACUUGGCAGAUUUAGAAGGAAACUUGCUAAGACAUCCAGUUAAUGCUAAGUUUUAGAAGAAAUACCAUCCAACUCUGUGGGAUGUCAGAGAUUGUUAUAUUGAAGAGGGCUAGUGAUUUCAAAGAGAAUUAAAGUUAGAAGGUGUAGUAAAACUUAAAUGUAAGGCAAGGAUUGAAACAAGUAAAGAUAUGGAAAGAUUUCAUUUCAUUUCAUAAUAAGGGAAUUACAGUGGCCUCAACCUAACAAAUUUACUUCACCAAAAGUAAUUAUUCUAGAAUGAUAAGUUUGCAUAACUGUGAAUAUUCUAGUAGGCUCAGCCAAAAUAGUACUGCUAUUGAUUAAUUGAGCCUCAUCAUAUUCCAACUCCGAAUUGUCCUUCUUCACUUCUUCAAUAUGUUGAUAAAGUUUACUUAGAAGAGUUCAUUGCUUAGCCCUUAGCAUAGCUAGUUGCUCAUCUAACUUCCAAAUCUCAAAAGUCACUACCUUAUUCUUCUCAUCUGUUGCUGAAUCUUCAUCUACCAGCUGUUGAAUAUGAGUUGAAAUACUGGAUUGUUUCUCCUUAAAACAUCUCACUCGAUUGGCUUGCCUCUCAGCCCUCUGAUGUUGAUCCCUCAAAACCAUCAAGUUCUCAAAAUAAGAGAUGAAGGAUUCAUACUGAGCUUUGGAUAGUUGAUCAGCCUUAAACAGAUCAGUUAUGGCCUUCUCUACGUCGUGAAGAGCCUUGAGGGUAAAGUAUGCUGAGAAAUCAUUCCUAGACUACUCUUAGAUGACUCGACGUUGCUCUUGAAAGCCUGAAAACCCUUGAGGAUCUCAGCUUUGUCUUGAGUUGCCCGAACUCUUUAAAAAGCUCGGGCAAAGCUGCAAUUGUAGAAAUAGGUGUAGGACAAGAGGGCAGCGCCCCAGUUCCUUCAGAGGGCACAACAAUGGAGGAGGUCUCAACAGAAAGAGGAACCCCAGAAGAUGGAGUAGAGGUAAUAGUGGCGGCAGUAGCUUUAACUUCCAUCUUUGGUCGAGGGAUGAGGGUCCCUGUGACCCCAGAAGCUAAAGGAGGUCGUGGAAGAUCUGAUUUGCUUACCAAGCGUGGAGGAGAUAUGCCUGAGCCAUCUUCAAAGCCCUGUUGGAAACGAAGAAAAACAAAUUAAGAAGAAAGAUUAUAAAUCAGAGCAUACAACAGGAAGGCGAGAAAAGGAAAAUUGAUAUACUUAAGUAGAGCUUGGAACCUUGGAAGAAGGUGGAUGAUGAGUUGUUUCUUUUCACUGUUGAGAGGGAUCAUUCCCACUUCCUUGUGAAUAAGGAAUGAUGCAUGAACCUUCACUAGAGACCUAUAAAUAUCAAAGAAAGAAGGCUAAUGUCAGUAAUUAGCUUAUGAAGAAAAGAAAAUAGAAAUAAGAGUACUUCUAUACCUGAGUAGGAUCUUGAGUGGAAAUAGGGAACUCCUAUGUGGUGGUUGCUGGUUGAAAAGAAGCCCGCAGCUAGUCACCUCUGAGACCACAGUGAUCUUAGGGACUAUGGGGUCCCCAAAGGCAGUAAUUGAUGGUUGUUGAGACUCCUAUGUUGGGGAAGACUAGAAGAAAGUAAAAGAUAAGUAUAAAAGAGAGAGAAUGCUUUAACCACAUAAUGUCAAGACAAAACACUCACCGAAUUGUUGUUGUCUUCCACAAAAUGCAGCAUCUCCCUAGUUAACGGAUCAAACAGGGAAGUAGAAGCCACUACCAAGGGAAGAGAGGUUGAAGGAAUAAAAAGAUGAAAAAGUAAAAGACAAGUAAAAGACAAGUGUUAAGGCUCUGAAAUUGGUGAAGAUACAAGUGUUAAGGCUAGAAAAAGUAAAAGACAAGUGUUAAGGCUCUGAAAUUGGUGAAGAUACAAGUUUAAAAAGAUGAAAAAGGACAUACUUUUGAAGGCUGAGCCCGAGAUGGGGAAGCAUGUGUUGGUCGGGCAGGAAGAGAAUAAGCUUCAGGCUGAAUGGACCUUCAUCUCUAAGGUCCUAUUUAAAAAUACAAGUAAAAAGUCAGUGCAAAUAUUGAGAGAAUGAAGAGGAAUUGAGUACUUAAAAUAAAUCAAACAUUUACCUCUAAUUCUUUGAGAGUAGCAUCAAGAACAGGCUUGUCUUUUUUAUAUACCUUCGCUCCCAACGGCUCCUCCCUUGAGACAAUAGUGGGUUUCUUGGUCUCUUCAUCUUGCCCGACGUCUAUCUCUGCAGGGUUGCCUUGGGCUGCAAGUGUAAAGAAACCAAGGAAAGGAUUAGAAGAGGGCAGAUUCAUGAAAAUUUAAUAAAUUACAAGUUAAAGAAGUAAAAGGUACCUAUCAGAAGGAGUUGGUUCUUCUGAUGAAUCAUUUCCUUCCAAUUCUCGAGCUCGCUCGAUUUAGGAUAGAAUUUGAUGGAUAGUUGCUUGAAGAGACAGUCAUGAGCUUCCCAUAUAUCUCUGCCAUACUUCUUAGUCCAUUUUGAUUCCCACUAAGUAGCAAAGCUUGAAGUACAUUCAAAAUUGAAAGCCAUAGGCUUUUUGGCAAUUUUGCUCAUAACCUUAAGACUUCAUUGGGCAGCUCGGAAUGUAACCUCUUGUGGGGGGUGUAGGUGAUAUGAGGUGCUGCAGUGAAUAAAAUCGAAAAAGGGUACAGGGAUGGUUUGCCUGAAGCCUAAUUGCCUGCUGCAGAAGUUUGGAUGAUAAACUUCUAGCCCGUGCUCGUAACGAUCACUUCUUACUCUCCAUGCAAGGUCAUUUGGUUGAAUGUAGCUAAUAAACUUAUCUCUGCAGAAAGUACUACCGUCAUCCCCAAAGGCAUCUUGGAAAGCUUGGUUGAAGAACCAAAGAUAUCUCCAUAGAACCGAUGUUCCUCACUCUAAAUCUGCCCGAGUCUUGCAGACACUAAAGAAGUACAGACAACAAAAGGUAGAAUGGUUGGUAGGAGAAGCCUCCGCCAGGAUUCGGGCAGAAGCAACACCCUUAGGGAAUUCAAGAUUGGGUGCCCGAAGCUCGGGGAAGUACUAUUGUAGCCAUAGCUGGAUCAUCCAGGUUGCCCCAUUGAGGUUGGUCUAGAAGGGGAUGCCUUGGGUCAUCUCAUACAAAAGAUAGUAAAGAUGAGCGAGGAGGAAGGGACUCGUAGCCACAUCAUCAAAAUUGUGCAGAGCUUCCACUAAAGGGAUUCGUUCGACUUUCACUGCCUUAGACUUGUUGAGGAAGACAUGCUUAUUAAGCCAGUAUAGUAGAAAAUACAUGUGAUCUUGGUCUCUGUUGGCGUUGGAAGAUGAAGGGCCAAAUUCCUUUUUCACAAAUGGAAUAAAACCCGUGAAAGAUGUCUCAUAACUCUUGAAAGUAGAAGAGUUAUAGUCUAGUUGGGCUAGGGGACUAAAGCUGCCUGAGCUCUCAGCCCGAAGACCUGCGCCAUAUCAAGGAUGGUUGAGGACAUAGGACCUAUCUUGAAAUCAAAAGUAUUUGUCCCCGAGUUCCAAAAGAGGAGAUAUGUGGUUAACAGCUCGGGCUUAGCAAUUAUCAUGGUCUUGGAGAGCAUUAUCAGCUUAUAGAUGUCACUGUUCCUCCAUUUUCUCUUGAAAGUAGGGUCGAGUUCAUUUACCCACCGCACCCAAGCUUCAUCAUUCAUCAAGGGGAAGCCACGAUGGUGGUGUGACCAUUUGGAGGAAGAAAUGCCCGACUCGGCCAAGAAUGGGUUAGGAGUGAACCAAUUUGCCUUGGGCAUGUUGUUUUCCACGACUACAGGGACUGGGGAGGUCCAUGCAUGCCCUAAGGAGUGUGCUCCUCCCUCCUCGAAGAAAAGUUCAGUAUGCAGGCCUGCCUAAGGACAAUGAAAGUCGUUAAGCAAGCGACGCAUGGUGGAAAUCCCCUCACCAGUCUCGUAGGAAGAUUAAGUUCGAACAACUUUGGGUGCCAUUGGUAAUUUUGAGAAAAAGAUAGGAAGAAAGUUGGAACUAGGAGCAAGAAUCUAGAAAACAGGAAGUACGGGGGAAUCUGGGAAGUGCUGGAAAUUCGAAGGCUUGAGAAUGCUAAGGUACUUAGCUGAAGGGUUUAAGUGAGCAUUAUAUAGUAAUCGAUUAGUUAAUGUUGGAAAACGUGGUUUAGUGCAAGGGUUUUGUUAAACAACGGCUGUCUUAAAUGGUGCAAGUCUCAAGUGAAGGCAUGCGGCGGUGGUUUAAUCAUUAUUAACGCCUCGAUUUGCAGACUCAACAACGAUUAAAAGGGGCACUAUUUGGGUUAGUAUUUAAACAUUAGGCUUAAGUGAAAGAAAGCCCAAUGAUGCCAAUUGAAAGGGGGAAUUGCCCAAAGCCCAGCAUUAAACCCAUAAGAAAAUUGAGGUUUUCUCAUCCAUGAGUCAUAAACCACGUGUCUAUAAGUAAAGUGACAAGUGAUGGAGAUUAACCUACUAUCAGCCCAAGAACACUUGCCAGUGGCAUUACAAGUAAGAAAGCUGAUGACUCACUACCCUCCAAAUGUUUUUGGGCAAGAGCAAAAAUUACAGCAGUGGGGCUAGUUUGGCCAUAAAAGGAAGAAGAGACCCUAGAGACAAAGACACUCAACCAAUCAAACAAACAAACAUACCAACUCUGCUCUCAAGCCAGAUUUGCGUCAAAAAGCUAAACUCAACCCAGAUUCAGUCUUUUUAAGGAUAGUUCCCUACAAAAGACAUCUUUUGUAUAGUCUAAAAGCUCUGCUACCUCCCUUAGUGGCGUAGUAUCGAUUCCCUUAUAUAAACUUGUUUACCAUCCAUCCUUUUUUAAGCAUAUAACUCUUGUAAACUCAAAGAAAAGUUACUGUAAGAAGUUCAACCUUGCCAGACAAGGUGAAAUCUUGCCUGAAGCUCUUUGUUUAUUUUCUAAAUUAGUAGAUCUAUUGCUUAAUGCAUUUUCCAUUAUGUAUUCAAGUUAUUUCCACCUGUUUUUCUAUUUUAAGAAGUUCAUUUGCAUCUGGAUCUGGUUCGCUUAAAUGAAUAUGCUUUCAUUAGAUAUAAUCUAGAACCAAACAAGUAACUUAAGGAGAUCUGGACUCCCUUCAUUUUGAACAUACAAGACUAUGAACUAAAAGUCCUUGUUUACAAGGUAAGAAAAAGAACUUAAUGUGGACUUAACCCAUCCACGACAAUCCUUUGAUAAUAAGAAGUUUGAAGUAACUUGAGGCGCAAGUAAUCUACUUAAAACACAUGUGCUCUACAUAUGUUAUACUGAGAUAGCAGUGGCACGCCUAGCACUUAGUUUUGAUUGCGAGCCUCAAGGCCUAUACCUAAGGCCCCACAAAGGCACUUUUUAGAACUAACUUUGUUCUCUUCUUGUAGCACAUCAACAAGCAAGAGCUCGACUACACAUCCAAAGAAUCAAUCCCUUGGGGAGCUGUGCUAAGGUUUGAGGAUCCUUCUCCAAAGAAAUCUUUGCCCAAACAAAUAUUAGUUAACUUCAGGAAAUGACAGUCUAAUUUACGGAACUAUCUUUUGCAGGCAAAACAAAAACGUUUGGGGCCACGUGAGUUACGUAGGAUUGGUGUUUAGCUUGGUUUACUCCGGGAUUAUAUUUCCUGAGUAGGUAGAAAGAACUCUUUCCUUGACUGGGAUAAGUUGCAAGAUAUUGCUAUUGGCAUUACCAAAGGAAACAAGGAUGUGAUCAACGAAUCCUUCAUUUUGAUAUCAAACCAUAAUGUUUUGCUCGAAUAAAACUUCACGCCAAAAAUCUCUGAUUUUGGUCUGGCCAAGUUAUGUUGCAAGGAUCAAAUCAGUGUCAAUAGCUACAGUGAGGGAGACCAUAGGGUGCAUUGCACCCAAAAUGUUUUCCAGGAAACUGUGUUUUACAAGGCAUAUGUCUAUAAUUUUGGAAUGCUGCUGCUUGAGAUUAUAGAAGGAAAGAAGAAUAAUGGUUCAACAAUAAAGGACACGACAAAUGAAAUUUACUAUCCAAAAUGGAUUCAUAAUCUUCUAGAAGAAGGAGAUGACCAACAAAUCGAUAUUCAGGAAGAAGGGAGUGUUAAGAUUCCAAAGCAACUUCCAAUUUUAGGGCUCUAGUGCAUCUAGUGACAUUCGGUGAGUUGUCCUUUCAUGAAAACGAUGGUCCAGAUGUUAGGAGGAGAAAACUUGACGAUGCAAGCAUCGCUAAAAGGCUCCUACAGUUAAUAGCAAUUGCUGAAUUAGAGUCACAUGUAUAUGUAUAGGCACCAACACUAGUAGUUCUUAGAUGAAUCCAAGCCUAAACAAUUACAGAUGACAGUUCUUCACUAAAUCACUUUAAAGUAAUAAUUUAAUUAAUAAUACAUUAUUGCACUUUCUCAACAAUUUGAUCAUCACCUAGCUGACAAUGAACAUGUUAGCUCCACGUUAGAACAUAUUGGAUUCGAUUUAUUGUCUUGAAUGUCACCCAUAGUCACAGGUGUUUCUUGUGGGCAUAGAGAAGGCCUGAGAGGCAUUUGCAAACAUUCACCAUCUCCUCCAAGCAUUUUGACAACUUUGGACAUCGAAGGGCGAUCACUUGGUUUCAUUUGAAUACACCACAAGGCGAUUAUAACCAUCUUUCUUAUUACUUUCUUUUCCUCCUCUGUAACAUUGUCCAUUUCCAAGUCAUUUCCCACAAUAUACUGAUCAUAUACCCACAUUGGGAAGUACAUUUGGCUUGGAUGCUCUACCGUUGAAUUCCAAUUCUUCCUUCUGCUUGCCAUUUCCAUCAACAACAUUCCAAAACUAUAGACAUCUGCCUUGUAUGAGACGCCUCCAAUAUUUUUGUAGAACAACUCAGGAGCAAUAUAUCCCAGUGUACCUCGUGCUGCCGUCAAAGAGACAAUGCUAUUAUCUACGGGAUACAAUUUUGCAAGCCCGAAGUCAGAAACCUUUGCUUUAAAGUUCUCAUCAAGAAGAAUGUUAUGAGGCUUGAUGUCAAAAUGUAGAAUUUGCAUGUCACACCCUUGAUGUAGAUAUUCAAUCCCUUGAGCCACUCCAAGAGAAAUCUCAUACAUGUUCUUGAUACUUAAGGAGAUACUUCCUUCUUUGGAAUAAAUGUAUUUAUCAAGAGAGCCAUUGGGCAUAAAAUCAUAUACUAAAGCACGCUUUGAUCCCUCGACACAAUAACCAACAAGUUGCACCACAUUAGCAUGGUGAAUCCUUCCGAUUGUAGUUAUUUCACUAAUGAAAUCUUGGCCAUUUGCUUUGGGCUUGCUCAAAACUUUAAUUGCUACAAAACGGCCACUACGUAACUUUCCUUUAAAUACGGAGCCAAAGCCGCCUUCACCCAACUUAUCAUUAAACUUGCAAGUCAUCUUCUUAAUUUCGGAGUAAGAGUACCUUAUAGGCAUGAAGUUGUUAUUGCAUUGCAGAAAGUCUUCUAUUGUACUAUACAUUGACAAAUGUCUUCUGCGCCAUAUAUAUACUAAAAAUGCAGUCACAACUGGAACCCCAAACAGUAGUCUUGCUGGAAAAAAUGACCCUGCAUAAGAAAUAUAUCACCAAAAGAAUCAUAAGAACAAAAACUUAUUUUUCAAAUCCACACUAUAAACUUUUUUCUUCUUUUGAGGUAAGCUUCAGAUCAAGCCACUCUUUAAUGAAUGAGAUAUAAAUUAACACUUACAAAAAAAUCUUUUGAUAAAUUAAACAAGUUCCGAGUCCCCAAAUCACCUCCACCACCCUUCCCCUCCCGCAUUGGCCGACUCCCUUCUCGGAUAGCUACACCGGCCACCCCACCCCACAACCAACCAUUCAUCCUUCCCUCAAGUCUCUCUUUCCCUUUCUCUUUCUUUCUUAUUGUUUCUUCCUCUUUUUAUUGCCCUCCUGUCUUAUGCCGGAGAAGGACACAAGGGACACCGGCAACCUCACAAGCUCUUAAAUCUGAGGUGGGUGACGGCAAAUUUGAAGGUGUCGCAGACCACCCUCAGGUUCAAUAUCAGAAGAGUAAUGCUAAGGAGAUUAAAAUUUUUAAACCAAAUGAUAUGUCAUAAAUAAGAAACACGCACAUUAAUCGAUACUUAAUUACUAAUCUAAUCAUCUUCAAUCAUAUCAUUUAGUUUGCAAAUUUAAUUUAAAAAUUUGGUUUCCUUAACAUUACUCAUAAUCAGAAUGAGAGUGGUAGAGAGCGAGAGGGAAGAGGAGAAAGAAAAAGAAAAGUUAAAACAUUCAAAGAGUAUCGAGUAGUACUGAUAACCCAUGAAUUUUGUUUGAUUUCAGUCAUGAGGUUGGAAUCUAUGCUAAAAAUGGACACGCACGCCCAUGCAUGCACACGCAUAAAUAUAUACAUUAAUUCUUACCGAUGACCAUGAGUAUAGCCGCUCCACGCGCUGCAAUAAAAAUAGCAAAAAGUAAAAAUCAAAUGGAAACGGCUCAAAGUUUGAAAAGUGAAUAAAAAUCAAAGACUUGACUAUAUUUUCAAGAAAUACAAGCUCUUGGGGGAGAAAGUCCCUACAAAUGGAAUUGAAUGGUAACCAUCGAGGAGCGUUUCCUGAAAUAAAUACCACACAAAAUUCAUCAACGAUAAAAUACUAGACUAUCUUUGAGAUGUGCAUAUAAUGUACCACAGUGACUAUUAAAAUAAAUUAGCAUUGAUUUGAGGGAGAAAGUCCUUACGAAAAUAAUAUACGGGUUCACGCAUAUAAUAACCUAGAGUGACAAAACAAUACACAAUUAGCAAUACCACAACGAAUCUUUAGAGUUUAAAAUCAACAAGUUUUGUAACAUAUCUUUUCAAGCAACAAUCGUAAACAUUGAAUUUGAAAGAGACUAGAAAGAUGCUUUUCUUUUCUUUUUGUUUGUUUGUUUUGUUUUGUUUUGGAGAGGGAUCACUUACGGAAUUGAUUCCACAGGAAUCGAAAUAAACCUACAGUAUAACAAGAAAACAACAUUAGCAUAACAACAGUUAGAAAAUAAAAUUCAAGUUGCUGCCAUUGUUGAUACCUGUAUAGCAUAUGAUAAAGCAACAUUUAAUUCAUUUGUCAUGCAAUUGAUAGCGGAACUAAGAUAUGGUUUUGGGAAAGGUCAUGACCCCCCACCCCCCACAACAACCCCAAACUCUUUAAUUUAGAUAAUAUCAUUUGUUCAAAAAAAUAAUCAUCAAUAUUUUAACAAACUCAAUGCCACAAUGAUGGAGAAGAGUGCUGCCCUUGCACCAUGGUGUGAAUUCGAACCGCAUCGGCUCCUAAUCUAACAAACCUAUUGUUUGACAAAAAAAAAAGAAGGGAAAACUAAAGAAAAGUCAUCAAAAACUUUAGUUUUAAUAAAAAUGAUAAAAUAAAGGCGUAAGUAAAUAGUACCAAAAGUGACUUUUCAAGGUAAAAAUGUCCUUAACUUUAAAAGUGAAUAGUACCGAAAAUGUUUCAUUAAGAUUUCCAAAAAAAAAUUAUUAUUUAAACCAUCCCCAUAUUUCUCGUCCUUCACAUCUUUCUCUCUCAAAUUAAUAAUUUUUUUAUAUGUUUAGCAAUCUCUUAACUUCUCUCCUCUUCUUUAAAACUAGAGUAACUAUUCACAAAACUAAACUAAAAAGUGCGCUAUGGAGUUUCUUGGAGCUUGAUUUUCUUAGUUUGACUCUUUAAACUAGCAUUCCAACAUAUUUAAAGAGUCUCAUGGAGAGCUGCAAAGACAAUAAAGGAUGCAACUAAAACGAUGGGUUUAUAAGCUUUAGUUUUUCAUACACCACACUAAAAAUUUCUAUUGAAGCCAUAUCGCUUUGGAUAAUACUUGCAUUCCUCUUUUGGGGAAUGAGCUCAUUCCUCCACUUACAAAUUAAUAUAUCUUUAUAGUAGAAAUUUCAUAAUUGGAACUAUUCAAUCUCCUAGUCUUCAUAUGAAAAUCAUACCUACAAAAAAUAAUUCGAAUCGGAGAUCGUUUAGUCAUCCAAAUGUAUCAAAUAAAUUAAUGGUGUAGGUACCAAGAAGCAUAAUCAUGAUGAAACGUUGAUUUCUUUGAUAGAUUUAGAUAACUAAGUGAUCUCCAACUUGAAUGAUAUUUUAUAGAGUUGAUCUUCAAUUGAAGACUAAGACAUUGAACGAUUCCAAUUAUAAAAUUUUUACAUUAAAUAUACGUUAUUUGUAAGUGGGGAUAUGAGUUCAACCCCACAAGGGGGAAUGCAAACAUUCUCAUGGCUUGAUUACUAUAGUCUAAAGUUGGAUUUCCAAUGGCAUUGUUCAUCUUUCCCCUGAUUUUGAAAAUUCACGGUUUUGGCACUGAACUCUUUCUUUGGGUGGUUCUGCGCCAAAAAGAAUGGGUUUCGGCUCUGCGUCUGGGCCCGAAGUGGGCUGCCCUGUGUGUUGGGCUGGGUUGCACGGAAAGAGUCGAAAUGACUCUUUUUCCCGCUUCAAUCCAAAUCCAACGGACAGGAUCUGGGGGCACUUUUUAUUUGGUAAAAUAUAUUUUCAUUUCACACUUUAAUAAAGUUACAGUUUAGGUAUACAUAUACAACAAACUAACAUAGUAUCUUAACCACUAAGCUAACAGCUAAGAAGAUACAUUUACAAUAUUGCCCUUUAUAUCCCCCCGCAAACUGAACUUAGGUUGUCGAAGUUGAAGUUUGUCAUGAAGGAAGAGGAAACGAAGCUUGGACAGAGACUUGGUGCAGAUAUCGGCUACUUGGUCUUGAGUGCAGACAAAAUGGACAGAGAUCUGCUUGGCAAAGACCUUUUCCCUAAUGUAAUGAUAGUCGAUUUCUACAUGCUUUGUCCGAGCAUGAAAGACAGGAUUUUUUGCUCGAGAUAUAGCAGAAAUAUUGUCACACCAAAGAUGAGGGGUGGUAGGUAAGCAGUAGCCAAUAUCCGAUAGUAAUUGACAGAGCCAGGUGAUUUCAGAUGCAGUAUUAGCAAGAGAGCGGUACUCUGCUUCGGUGGAAGAGCGAGCAACAGUCGGUUGCUUCUUAGCACUCCAGCUAAUCAAAGAGUUACCAAAAUAGACACAGUAACCUCCAGUGGACCGGCGGUCAAGAGCACAGCCAGCCCAAUCAGCGUCCGAGAAGGCAGUGAGAGUAGGAGGAGUGGAACACUUGGAGAACCAGAUACCAAUAUCAAGAGAUCCCUUGAGGUAUCUUAGAAUACGCUUUACAGCUUGAAGAUGUGAAAGUUUGGGAGUGUGCAUAUAUUGGCAUACAAGAUUAACUGCAAAACUGAGAUCAGGACGAGUCCAGGUGAGAUAUUGUAGAGCACCAACCAGGGAACGAUACUCAGAAGCAUUGUCACAUAAGGGAGAAUCAUGAUCAAGUUUGGAGGUGCUGAGAGGAGUACUGCAAGGUUUGGCACCAGUCAUGUUGGCCUUGGAUAACAAAUCCAAUAUGUAUUUAGUCUGAGAUAGAAAGAUACCAGCAGAAGAUCUUUUGACUUCAAGACCAAGAAAGUAGUGCAGCGGACCCAAAUCCUUGAUGGGAAACAGGGAACUCAGUUGCUGAAUAACUUGGUUACAGGCAUCAGAGUUUGGACCAGUAACUAAAAUGUCGUCGACAUAAACCAGAAUGAAAAUCAUAGCUGAACCCUUUUUGAUAAAUAAGGAAUGGUCGCUGGGAGAGCCAACAAAACCGAGAGAAGUGAGAGCACCAUGAAGCUUGUCAUACCAAGCCCGCGGAGCUUGUUUUAAACCAUACAACGAACGAUGCAAGUGACAGACAUGAGAUGGGUGAGCUGAAUCUUCAAAUCCAGGAGGUUGCUGCAUAAAAACUGAUUCAUUGAGUGUCCUAUGUAAGAAAGCAUUGCUGACAUCUAGUUGAUUCAAGAACCAAUCGAACUGGACCGCAAGAGUGAGGAUGAGGCGAAUGGUGACUGGCUUGGCUACCAGACUGAAGGUUUCGGUAUAAUCUAAACCUUCCUGCUGAUUGAAGCCCUUGGCAACGAGCCGAGCUUUGUACCGGUCUAUAGUACCAUCGGGCUUACGUUUGAUGCGGAAGACCCAUUUACAGCCAACAAUAUUCUGUGAGGGAGACGGGGGAACAAGAGACCAAGUUCCAGUUUUGAUGAGAGCAGUAACCUCUUCUUGCAUAGCUUGGGACCAAUGAGGAUAUUUGGAAGCUUGGAGAUAGGUUUUAGGGAUGUAAUCCACUGAGAGAUGAGAGGGAAAAGGGUGCUUAGUAGCAGUGAGAGCUUUGGGUUUGAAAACACCAGAUUUGGACCGGGUUUGCAUCGGAUGGGUGUUAGAAGGUUGAAGAGAAGUGGAAGGAACGAAAUCUGGAAUAGGCAGUACAUGACUGAAGGGAAUAGGUGUGGAAGGAUUAUGGGAGAAGGGGGAUGGGGAAAUGGAAGGGGAACGAGGGAAAGAGGGGGGAAUACUAGAGGAAGAAGAAAGAGGAAAAGUAAAAGUAAGGGUUGAUGGAAGAGAUGAGGUAGACCUAGGAGGCAGGGAUGAAGGUGGUAUGUUGGAGAUAUGAUGGAAUGGAAAACUGGAUUCAUUGAAGAUGACAUGUCGGGAAAUAUAUACUCGGUGAGUUGCAGGGUCAAGACAUCUAUAGCCAUUGUGAUUUAAACUGUAUCCAAGAAAGACACAGGCUCUGCUUUUAGGAUCCAGCUUCAAGGAAGUAUAAGGCUUAAGCCAGGGGAAGCAAGCACAACCAAAAACCUUGAGAAGGUCAUAAUUCGGAGCUCGAUGAUAUAGAGAUUCCCAAGGAGACUGUCUGGAUGCAGUAGGCAAUCGGUUGAUAAGAUAGAUGGCAGUGUUGAAAGCCUCCACCCAAUAGAUGUGGGGUACUUUGGAAGCUGUCAAAAGAGUGCGAGCAGUUUCAACCAAGUGACGAUGCUUGCGCUCGGCACACCCAUUUUGUUCGGGUGUGUGGGGGCAGGUAAGUUGAUGAUGAAUGCCAUGAGUAGCCAAAAAUUGAGAGAAACUAGUGCUCAAGUACUCUCCUCCGGAAUCAGAUCUCCAAAGUAAUAAUUUUUGUACACAGAGAAUUUUCAACCAGAGAUUUGUAUUCCAUAAAAGUGGACAGUACAUCAGAUUUGCAUUUCAAAGGAUAAAACCAGGAGUACCUAGUAAAGUCAUCCACAAAAAUGAUGUAAUACCGAAAACCUUGAGAAGAAGCUUGAAGAGAGGGUCCCCAAACAUCCAUGUGGACAAGUUCUAGAGGUUUGCGAGUUGUACAAAAAGUGGAUACAAAAGGAAGCUUGGAGCUUUUAGCCAAUGCACAAUAUGAGCAGAAUGACUUAGUUACAUGAGCUAAAACAGGAAUACAAGAUUGAGAAGCAAGUUUAUGAAGAAUCUUGACAGAUGGGUGACCCAAUCUUUGAUGCCAAACAUCCGUAGAAGCUUUAGCAGUGGUGGUGAGAGCCUUAUGAUUGCCAGUUGCAGAUUAGGAAAAAUGGAAAGGAUAGAACCCUUGCUGAACAGGUCCUUUAAAACACAUCCUCCCCGAAGAAAGAUCAUUCACAGUGAAGUGAGAGGGAUAAAGAUGCAAUGAACAGUGAUUAUCAAGUAAAAAUUGAUUUGCAGAGAGAAGGUUAUGUUUCAAAGCAGGCACAUAAAGAACUUUAUUGAGAUUGAAAGCACUAGUAGAAGUAUGCAAAGUAGUAGAACCAGAAUGAGUGAUAGGCAAACCUUUGCCUUCACCAAUAUACACUUGUUCUGGACCUGUGUAUGCUUCAGGAUUUUGCAGAGUGGAAUAGGAGUUGGUCAUGUGGGAUGUUGCUCCAGAAUCGACAAUCCAAGUAGGAUUGGAUGAAGAAGCAGUAGCAACCAUCGCUGCAGGAGAGGAUUUUCCACCAUAAGCCAGAUUGAGGCGAUGAGGACAAUCACAUGCUUCAUGAUCAAGUUGAUGACAAAUCUGACAGGGAUGUUUCUUGGUGUAGGAAGAAAAAUUGUUGCGACCUCCACGAUUAGAACGUGAAUUAUUACCACGAUUAGGAAAAGAUCUCGGAUUGUUAGAGGAUCGGUAAUUGCCACGAUUCAAAGGACCGCGAUUAUGAGAGCGAUCCACUCCACGACUUGGAUGACUGAAGUUAGAAGGAGAAUGAGCCACAAAAGCCUGAGAGUUAAGACUGGAUACAGGAAGAGGAAGAAUGCCAGCAGAGGUGUGAAGAGCCUGAAAAGAGGACAUCUCAGAGAUACUUUUCUUGCGAGUGGCUAAUUGAAUCUCCUUGCUAAGAAGCAAGCCAUGUAAUUCAUCAAUUGUUGUAGAUCCGAGACGAAAUUGAAUAGCAUCAACAAACGAAUCAUACUCAGGGGGAAGACCGUGGAGAGUGACAGAGAUCAGAUCGGAAUCUUCAAUCGGAGAGCCGGCACUGGCAAGAGCAUCAGCAAUGACCUCAAUUUGCUGGAGAUACUGAGCAGCAGAUGAAAUUCCUUUGGAAAGAUUACGAAGUCGAGAGCGUAGCUCAUGAAUAUGAGACUGAGAGGCCGUGGCAAGGCGAGAUUCCAAUUUCGCCCAAAGAUCGCGAGCCGAAUUCACACCAACAGUGUAGGGAAUGAGGGAAUCCGAGAGCGUGGAGUUGAGCCAGAUGAGAAUAUUCUGGUCAUUUUCAUACCAAGAAAUAAGCAGGAUUAAGAAUGCGAUUUCCUGAGGAAUCAAGAAGAAAUUGAACCGGCGCCGCCAUAGAUCCAUCAAUGUGACCAGUCAGAUUGUAUCGGCGAAAAAUUGGAGCAAAGAGAGCGCUCCAAGUCAAGUAAUUGGUGGUGGUGAGCUUGAUUGGCACCAUGGAUCCAAUAUUUUGGAUUGUGAUGGAGGUAGAAUUUGAAGAAUUAGGGUUCGAAGAUCCAGUCGGAAGGGGGUGAAUUGGAGAGGCCGAUUCCGAUGAAGGAGAUGCCAUUGGCAAAUAGAUGAGGAAGAGAGCACGAACAAAGAUCUUCAACCACGAUCUUCAACCACGAGCGAAGAAUCGAGCAAGAACGCAGAAAGAAGAAGCAGGAGAAAGGAGGAUCGAAGAACGAGAGUCGUUAGACAGAGAAGGCGAUUGAUACCAUAUUUGGUAAAAUAUAUUUUCAUUUCACACUUUAAUAAAGUUACAGUUUAGGUGUAUAUAUACAACAAACUAACAUAGUAUCUUAACCACUAAGCUAACAGCUAAGAAGAUACAUUUACAAUAUUGCCCUUUAUACUUUUGUCACUGCGUUUAAAGGGGUGGUUGCUGUCGAUGUCGUUGAGGCAUGGUUUGCCGAGGGGUUGAUGGGUUGCAGGUAGAGAUAGGGUUGACCAUAGGGGUUGCAGGUGGGAUGGGGUAGCAUACUUAGUCUGUGUUAUUUCAUUUCAACCAUCGACUAAAAUACACCAUUUUGGCAUCUAAGAUGAGAUCACACUCACAAUCACUACUAGAAUCUUUUCAAUUAUAGGGAAAUAUGCGUGAAGUGACAAACUUAUAAUAAAAAAAUAGAACUGGAGUGACACUAAAUAGAAGAUAGGUGAACCAACCACUACUUUCUUUCCAUUUAAAUAAAAGUCAAUUGAUUACGUUUGUGUCUUUGUGCUGUUUUUUUUUUUUUUUUUUUUUUUUUUUUUUUUUUUUUUUUUUUUUUUUUUUUUAAGAAAUGAUAGUUGAUUCAUAUUCAUAAAAGGUCAAUACAGAGUAAAGCCAAUCAUGGUUUAGGAAAGUCCUCAAAGAGUAAGUCAAGGAUUAAAUCAGGUGGGGAUUCAACCCAAUUACAAACAUGAUUAGAUGAUAAACCAAAACAUGCUUGUCUAUGGGCCACUCCGUUGGCUUGACAACGUACAUAGGUAAAAUAGGCCUCAAUGAUUGACGAGAGCAUUGCUUUGACAUCCUCAAUGACCAAGAGUGGAAACAUUAGUAGAGGGAUCCCGCAACAAGUCUACAAUCUGAAGCGAGUCCGAUUCAAAUUGGCAUCUUUGAAAAACCCUAUUGGAUGCCCAAGUCAAAGCCAAAUGUGCAAUCAGAACUUUUGCCUCAAGGGGAGAGAAGACGUUAGUGACCUGCCAGCCAUAAGGUUAUCUAUGAAAACCCCUUCAAAGAAGCAGUUUGAUAUUUCGGCUAACACAAACCUCGCUCUUGUUAAGGUUGAUUUUCUGACUGGAGGCGAGUUCAUAUGCAGUGAAGGCAUUUGACAGAAUGAGACAUUCAGGUUCCUUGGCCCAGCAGAAAAAAAGGUUGUCGUCAACUAACAACAAAUGACUGAUAGGUGGGGCCCUGAUAGGAGCAUUUUUAUGCGACUUAAUUGGCUUGUUCUCAUGCAUUUAUGUUGUUUUUCCUUAGUUAGUUUAGUGUUUAAAGUCAUUUUCGUGCAAUUUCAGGUUUUAGUGUCAAAGUAUGCAAAAAGGAGCAUUUUGGAGCUUUUAGGAGCAAAAUUGGGCUUGGAAUGAAGUACAUAUGCAUGGAGCAAGGAGUUUGGACGAAUUUGAAGUCAAAACAUCAAAUAAACAUGCUAAAAAUCUGGUGCAAUAAAUACAAGUUGAAAGAAAGGAUAGGUUUCUAGAUGGAUUGACCAAAAGUCCACUCAAAACCAUGUUCACACCUAAAAUCCACAUCCUUGCCGUGAGUUUUUGGUGUUUUCACACUAGAAAAUUGAGUGAAUGAUUCAAGACCUAACCCACCAUUAUUCUACACAUCCUUGCCGUGAGUUUUGGUUGUUUUCACACUAGGAAAUUGAAUUAAACAAGUCCAUCCUCUCCCUAUAAAUACCUAUGGCAGCAACCUCAUUAAGACAUCCAGAAAUUAACCAUUCUCCAAGCCUUUCCUUGCCUCUCCUACAUAUCUAAACCCCUUCCCAUCCAUUCCUCCAAAUAACCAACCCUUCAACAUCAUUCCAACCUUGUUGUUGCGGCAAGGAGAAGGAGAAAAGUCCUUGGACGCGCUUGCUAUCCAACAUGGAUCGUUGGAACGUUUAGGUGCUUUCUUCCCUUUGUUUUUCAAUGGUUAAAUUUCUUUAUCUUUGUUUUGUAAUAAUGAGGAACUAAACCCCCCUUGGCUAGGGGGAUUCAAAACCAUGUUUAUGCUUGCUAUAUGAUUUGAUUACUUCCAAUUGCGUUUCUUGAAUUGUGAAUUCAAUUUACUUAUCCGUUCGUAUAAAAACUAAUUUGUGUAUGUUGGUUGAGAGUGCACGCUUAAUUUUCAUGCAUGAAUUUUGACGCUAGUAUAUAAGGGAGUUUCACCUAAUCGUUAUGAACUUAUAUUCACAAGUAGUGAAGGUUGCUAGUCACAAUCACGUUAAGUAAAUUCUUGGCAUAAGUUUCAUGCAAAUCAUAGUAACGAGUGCCUCGUCAAUGCUUAUGUUUUUCAUAGAACUUAAUGAUUCUUGCUUGUAUCUCUAUUAUGCAAUUCAUGUAGGGAACUUGUAGGGAAUGUUUUGGGUUGUCGUAUGCAAUCAUCCAAUCUAAUAACUUGUUGAAAAACUGAGAGUUAAUUAGUGCAAUUCACGGUUAAUUUGGGGCGUUGAGUAUUCAUAACUUAUCGAAGAGCAAUUGGAAAUCAUUUUGUAUGCAAGCAAGACAUGUGUGGAGAAGAACCCCUUAGCUAGCCUUCCAUUAUCCAUUCAACCCAAAUUUGUUUAAAAUCUAUUUAAGUUUUUAGUUUAUUCGUUUUUUACUUUCAACUUCACCAAACUCAAAUCCCCCUUUUACUUUCUUGUUUUAAAAUCUUUUGUUUACAUUUUUAACUUUGUUUCUUUUUGUUUUUGAGUCAGUUUAGAGGUUUUAGCAAGCCCUCCUAAUCCCCGGUUUAGAACGAUACCCUACUUACAUCUAUACUACAAUUGUCAAAAAGAGGGUUUAAUUUGUGUGUCAAGUAAAAUUGUCGCAUCAGGCCCUAGAGCACAAAGAAAUUUCGCGAAUCCUUCCCCUCCAAAUUGUUCACCAAAGCCAACAAGCCUUCCGUACACAAAAUGAAGAGAUAUGGAGAGAGGGGGGUCGCCUUAACGGAGGCCUUGAGACAGAUGGAGAUAGCCCCGAGGGCAUCCAUUAAUGAUGAAAGAGUAUGAGACGGAGGAUACACACGUCAUCAUCAAGUCAAUCUGCCAAUUAGAGAACCCCAAGUUUGGCAAGGAUACGUACUCCCACCCAAUACAAUCAUAUGUUUUAUUGAUAUCUAGCUUAAAAGACAGUAACCCAUUAUUGCCCCGCUGAUGCUUAAACAAAUAGUUAGAUAGCUCCGAGGCGAGAAUGGUAUUGUCAGAAAUGUUCUAUCCCAGCACGAAAACACUCUGAGUAGGGGAGAUGAUAUGGAUUAGUAUGGAUUUAAGCUGGUUUCCUAAUGAUUUGGAAGCAAUUUUGAAAAGGACGUUGCAUAGGCUGAUUGGUCGCAAUUGAGACAUAUCAUUAGGGUUCUUUUCUUUUGGGAUUAAUGAAACUCAGGUGAAAUUGACCAGCUUAAGUAAAUUGCCAGUGGAGAAGAAGGAAAGUAUAGUGGAAGUGGCAUCCUUGCCCAUAAUAUGCCAAAAGUGUUGGUGAAAGAAAAGGGUUUUUGUCUGGGGCCCAAAGUUUGAGGGCGCCAUUUGGAAUAAGGCCGCCUUAAUUUCCUCCGCAUUGAACACCAUCCAAGGCCCUAUUCAUAUUCGCAGAGACUUUAGGUUUAACUGGGUCAAGGGUUAAAUCUCUAUUACCUGAGCUUGUAGAAGAGAAUAGGUCACCAAAGUACUUGAGAACCAUGUUUUCGUUGGUCGGGCCCUCAUUUACCCAAUUUCCAGCCUUAUCUGUCAGGCCUUUGAUUAUAUUUUUAACCCUCCUAUUGUUUGCCCUCCUGUGGAAGAAGUUGGUGUUUCUAUCCCUAUUCAUGAAGCCAUAAAACACGAGAUUUUUGCCUCCAAAAGGAUUCCUCUAGGCCAAUCAGAAUAUCAAGUUGUCACAUGAGAAUGGCUUUUUCCUUGAUGACCAUAUCAUCAAGCGAUCAUGAGAGUAAGCUGCCCAAUUUGGCACGAACCUUAGUCAGUUCAUAUUGACGACCCCUAAAAACGAAUUGACACUAUUUUGAAAGGGCCACCCUAGUAACCUUUAUCUUUUGCACUACCUGGAACAUAGGAACACCAGCGAAGGAUUGAGCCCAGGCAGCACGAAUGACGUCCUUGCACCCAUAGUGUUUUGCCCAAAAUUCCUUUUCUCCAUGUUUGCCUCUUCACGGGAAACCCACAGACGUCUAGGAUAAGGAAAACAUGGUUAGAUUUGCUUGGGUAAAGGUGGGUAACUUUGGCAGAAUUAAAGAGAUCCUGGGCAGAAGCAAGAAACCGAUCCAAGUGUUCUUUAAUUCCACAAGCUCUGGUAGUGAUCCAAGUGUAAGGAUGGCUUGUGAACCCAAGAUCAUGCAAGUUGCAAUGUUAACUGCUUCCCAAAAAUUAGGGAUUUGAUUGAUGGGACGGGCAUGUCCAUCUUCCUUUUCAGUGGGUUGAAGUAGUUCGUUAAAGUCUCAUCCAAUAGCCCAAGGUAACAAAUUGACCAAAGCCAACGAUUUGAGGAGGUCUCAUGACAGGGGGCAAUCUUCCAUCGCCGAGUGGCCAUAGAAGCCAAUGAAUCUCCAAUGAAAAUCAUCGCCAAUUGCACCAAUUUUCGAAUCAAUGAAGUGAUCAGAAAAGCCCAGAACUCGCAUAUUGAUUUCAUUAUUCCACAAAAGCACAGGCCCCUAGAUUGCCCCCGCGAGGGUACACCAAAAAACCUGUCGAAUCCCAAUUUUAAUCUCAGAGAAUAGAGGGCCACAAUGUUAACCUUGGUUUCACACAAGAAUACCAAGGUGAGAUCUUGUUGCCGGAUUAAAUCUUGUAGUGCCUGAACUUUCCAGAGGUUCCCAAGCCCUCGACAGUUCUAGACUAAUGUUAUCAUGGCUGGAGGCGGGGAUGAAACCCGUCAGCCUCCACCGAUAGAACAUUAUAUGUCGCCAUUUUCCUUUCAAGUAAUCCAUUCUUCUCAGCCUCCACCAACUCUUUGGAUAGACUUAUAGCCACAUCGUAAAGGUUAAAUUCAUACCUGGGUUCAACAUCAGACAAAUAUUCCAAGCCAUUGAGAGGUUUUGGUGCCACAACCACCGCCCCAACCACCCCUUAUGGAGGUCCACGAGCAUUGCAGUUGGCCUUGGUCGGAGUGUCAUCACUUUAUGUGGUUUGGAUUACCCUUGCCCUUGUCGCAGGUGGAGUAUAUAGAAUGUGGCUUUCAUUCACUACGUCGGAUUGAUUGAUGAGCUGGGAUGCCAUUUAUUGGCAGAAGCAUCGAAAUCCCUGAGAUUCGUUUGGGGUGGGAAGUAGUCCAGUAACUUGAAGUUUGUUGGGUUCACACUAACUUCGUUCGAGGCCUGGAAAAGGCCUGUUGAAUUUUGGAAGGCCUAAGAAGGUAGGCGGUUAUGAUCAAGCUAGUAUUUUUUCAAGCGAAGGGACAUUGACAACGAUAGUAAGGGUCUCAUUGGAGAAUUGGGUCCCAAAGCUGUCUGGAUGCUACAUAUGGCCCAAUUCAGAAGUUAAGCGUGAUCGAGCAGUGGAGGAUUGCCCAGGAAGGAUUGGUGUAGGAUUGACCCUUGAUUCUGUGUUUGUGGGAAACCACGAUGUCAAAAAAAGUAGAGGACACAGAGCCUGCAGAUGGUACCGCAGGGGGUUUGUCCCCUGCAAUUCCAGAACCGUCGGUAAUUUCUUUAUCCUUUCUCAUCACCAGAAAAUGUGUUUGGACUAAAACUUGAUUUUUUGGCCCAAGGAUGGAGUCGGCCCAAAAGGAGGCCUAGAGGAAUAGAAGAUCAAGGCCCGGCCGAAACUUGGGAAAGCAGGAAAGGGCCUUUUCUGACUUGAUACAAUUCAUAAGGGCCACUUGCCUACCUACCCAAGGACCAAGUGGUGUAGACUAAUCAGACUGCACAGCCCAUAAAGUACUUUAUGGUGGCAUUACAUGUAAUAAAGCUGAUGAGUCAUCACCCUCAAGACCGCAUUCGGGCAAAGCUGUCGCUACAGGAGCCAAACCGAGUCGUCUAUAAAAGGAGGAAGAGAAGACAGGAAUAGAGACACUCAAUCAAACAAACAAAAGCACAAACUCUGCUCAAAAAGCCAGAUUUGCCUUUCAAAACGAAGCUGUAAUCAGCCCAAGCCUUCAUCCCCCGCGGGAUAAUCUUUUCUCCCAACCUCUGUAAUAGCUCUGCUACCUUGUUCGAACUUGUUGUAGUAUCGAUUCACCUUUUGUAUUCUCCUUUCCCCUCUCCCCCUCUAAGCUUUCAGACCUUUGACAGAACUACAAAAGGGACCUGCAAGACGAUCAGCCUUAAUUGAUAAGGUUUAAUCUUGCCCGACCUGCUUUGCUCUGUCUUUGUCUUCUCUUUCUUUAAAGUCUAGCAAUAUGUUGUAUAUUUCCAGUUAUAUGCAAGUUGUUUCUAGCAAAAUCACAAUGACAAAGCUUUCUCAGUACUUGGAUCCGAUUUGAAUAUAUCUUCAGUGUUUAAAUCAGAUCCAAGUCCUAAGCCCUCAGGCAUGUAAAUCUGAUUAGUUUAAAAGUCCUUGGCCUCAAGGCAUAAAAAAGAACUUUAUGUGGACUUAACCCAUCCACGACAAUCCUUGAUAAACGAGAAAUCCGAAGUUACUUGGGGCGCAAGUAAUCGACCUACCUCUUGGUUUUAUUUCUAUUAUAUCAUGAUUAUCAUAGAACGCUUAAGUAUGGAAUGGAUUCUGAUAGGAAGCCUCAAUGCCUACACCUAAGGCCCCACAAAGGCACUUAUUUGGAUUCAUUCUAUUCUGCGGUCUAGAUGGUUUGAGUAUAAGAACGGACUUUAAUGGGAAGCCUUAAGGCCUACACCUAAGGCCCCACAAAGCCACCUAUUUGGGUACGCUCUACCUCUCAGACUCGGAUAAUCAGAAAUAUAAUAGUUAUAAGACUCCGACAACCAUAAAGACCAAAUAUAUAUGCUCAAGUACUGGUUUAGUUUGACAGGAAGCCUCAAGGCCUACACCUAAGGCCCCACAAAGGCACCUGUUAUAUCUAACACGGUUUCUCAGGCAUAUGCAUAUUCAUAACUAAAACUUGACAUCCAUUCGACAUCUGCCAUGCUGAAGAUGGCAGUGGCACGCCUGAGCACUAAAAUGUUAACCUUGAUUGUGAGCCUUAAGGCCUACACCUAAGGCCCCACAAAGGCACCUCUCAAAGUUAACGAUGUCCUUCUCUUUUAGCCUUGCCCGAAGAGUCUUGCCCGACGAGACUUGCCCGACAAAGCCCGACAGCAGCCCUCAACCGGCGCCGAACCUCCAGGGGAGCUGUGUGCUCGUCGGCCAGGAAACAUCCCCGACGGGAAUUCCUACCACGAACAAAAUGAUUCAACAGAAUAUGCAUCUCGCCAUCUGACAGCCAUAAAAGUCGCCACUUCCAGUUUUACAGGUGUCGAAGUCCACGUGUAGUCGCAGGAAUCCACAUCUUCCACCUCUAACACCGACCCAAUUUUUUUCCCCCAAGGAUUGAGCAUUGGCCUUAGUGCGAAAAUUCCUCAGGAUGUCGUGGGCUUGGAUCUAGAAGAUAGCACGGUCAAGUUUGAUGUCAUCAAUCGAGUGGUAUAGGGGCCAAAGUUUAACCGAGAAAGUAAUCCUUCACAAACCAUAGGUUUCCUUCCAUAAGCUUUCUGGCUACCACCUCAUCCCCGACAGCAAUGAUAUAUUUGUUAUCCUUAGCUUUUGAGGACACGGACCACCCCCAUUUUGUUCCAGGCUGAUUGGAGGGUUUCCUUAACCACAUUCUGGGAGGGUUCAUGGUCGGCAAUGAGUUGUCCCACGAGAUGGAUGGAGCUGUCAAAGCGUUCCUCCAAGUCGAGGCUAUCUUCCAGAGUUAUAUUCAGAUAGUCAACAAUCUCAUCUUUAGUAGCCAUGGCCACCACAAGAAGAAGCCGUUGAAGGAGACAAGAUCCACAGGGGAUACAAAAAGGAGCUCACGCCAAUGGUGCCAGAGCUAGGGUGCCGGAGUGUCAGAGCUAAGGAGUCGUUGAACCAAGCUACUCUUGUACAUGACAAUGAGCUCUACAUAGUAAGCUAUUUAGAGUUUUGUUCCAGUUUUGAUUAUGCACAAUUUCAAUUUUAAACUUCAAAAAAUUUUGAAAUUGGUUUAGGGUUACUGAAAUUUUAAAAGCAAAAAAAAAAGACAUUCUGCAAUUAAAUGCAGAGACUGUUAGGUCUAAAAGAAUAAGAAAAUGGAGAGAGCAGCAUAACAUUACUACUACUAUACUAAGAACAACACGAAACUGGCUUUGGGUAAGAUUCCACUAUGUGUAUAAUCUCCUUCAAAAGUGAUUUUGGAAGAGAUAAUGUCAAAUUCAUAUCUGAAUAAGGAAAUAAUAUGCAUGUAUAAUGAAGUAGGGUUUGUUUCUAAUUUGGGGUAAUUGAUCGAUAUUUUGCCGAAAUUUUGUAGAAAUCUUGAUCUUGCUUCAAGGGGCCAAAUUAAUUUGUAGUUUAAACUCGAGAUUUUUUUUGGUUCAGAGAGUUUUACUUUUAUUCAUUGAAUUUUCUUUGCAUAAUUUUUUUGUUGUAAAAGUUUAAUGUUGUGUUGUUGUUCAUGAGGAAGAGGACUGAAACCCAGCUGCGUGAAGAAGGUAUGGUUUGUGACAGUUAGUUUUAAUUUUCCAAGCUUCCUAAAAGUUUUGGAGUAUCGUCUUUGGGAUGUUUGUGGAUCAAUUUUUUUUUUACACCUUGAAUUGAAUCGUAGCUUCUGAUGUUUGAAACUCUAGCACUUUUAGUUAGUUAAGGAAUAUUCAAUGUAGUUGACCGUCAAAAUUGGUUUUGUUGUCGUACUAUGAAUCUGCAUCAUUGAUUAAGUUUAUUUGUGUCUCGACCCUAUGUACAUGAUACAUUUUUUGUAGUCAUCUUUUGAUGUGGAUCAUAUAUUGUCGUUGUGAACUAUGCAAAAGAGGAGAGACUAAGGAGAGAAGCAGCAGAAUGGAUGGCAAAAUUAGGCAAGAUUGCUGAAAUACAGAGGCAAAAAGGGAGGAACUAGAAGAAUUAGUUGCGUACAAAAGCUCUUUUGAGGUUGUGCUUAAGAAACCAAAUUGUAAAUAGCCAUCAGGCCCACCGCAAUGUUGAAUAGUACAAACAAAUAUCUAAAGAUAAUGUUGAGUUUUGAUAUCGAAGUUAAACUUCUAAUGCAUUUUGUUUGCGCUGUGUGUAGAUGCAAAGGAAAAGGUGGAGGCUGACAAUUCAUCAGAUUAUAAGAUCGAGAAGAUAAGAAGAUAGUUGGGGAUACUAAUUUCAUACCAGCUGGUCGAAGUGGAGGGAAUUUGAGAUUCUAGAAGAUUCAGGAAGUUGACUAAUACAAUACCAAAUAGUAUUGUUGAUUACUAUUAAUUUUGCUUUAGAUUAGUCUCAGUUGUUGAUUAAUAUUAGUUUGGGGCUAAUUACAACCCACGUACGACUGAAGGCUUACUGAAACUAAGCAUGCUUGAUUGAAACUAUGGAUUGGAUAAUCUACCAUUUCGUUAUGGAACUUAGACCAAACUCUAUCCUUGACUAGAGAGGUGUAUGUGCCUAAUUUCUCCAACUAUGGCCAUAUGUAUAUAAAUCUAGCUUUUGUAGCAUCUCUAUCUUUUGAGCAUUCAGAACUUGAACGCUGUCAAUCUUUUGAUAACUAUGAACUUAUGCACAUAAAUCUACUUUUUUAGCAUCUCUAUCUUUUGAACAAUGCGUAAUUUAACGUGCCAAUCUUUUGAUAACUAUAGAUUUAUGUAUAUAAUUCUAGCUUCUAUAACCUGUAUCUCCUAUCUAUUUUCAAAACAUUUUAAACACCAACAACAUCGUGCGGGCUCUUUUGCUAGUUAUUUCUAUUCCAGCAUAAUUUCGUUUGUUUUUCUUCUUUAAUUGGCAAAUUUCCGUAUAGUUUUUCCCUUUGGGAACUACGUAGUGAAGGCUUCAAUUGGUUAGUUAAAAGCUCAGAUUAUUUGAAUAAAAACGUCUACAAAAAAUCUAAAUGAAAAAUGUUCAAACUAAUUUGAAUAACUUAAAGCAGCUUGUGCAGCCGGAGGUAAAUUCGAAUAAUUAACUAGCAGUUGAUUUUUGCAUGAAUAUUCACUGCUUGGCAACAGACGAAUAUUUUAUAUAACAAUAUAAUAAGUCAGUACUUCAUUAGAGAAUUACGCACCUGGGAUGGUGUUUGGAAAACAUUUAGGAUGAGGAAUGUCAGAACUAUAGCCUUUGCAGGUCAAUUUAUCGGGCAAUUCAUCGGGCCAAUUCACUCCAAGCUCAAAGCCAUACAUGAGUGCACUGUGUAUAUAUUCAUAAGAGGGCUUGUAGUACUUCAAAUGCAUCAAAGCAAUCCUCUCUGCUCUGCAACCCUCAUUCAAUUCCCCUACUUUCAUAUCGUUUGGGCCAACCUUGACAUAACUAUAAGAUUUUGGUUGAAUCAAAGAAGUGGCAGUACUAUUCAAGCAUGGAGCAGUAUCCACGUACAGAGAAGAAUUCACUGGGUUUCUACACCUCAAGUAAAAUAUUGAUGUUGAAAGUCGUAAAUUGGUGGUGGGAUUAUACGAACGAUAUGGAUCUCUUAGUGAAUAAGGGCCGGGAGGCAAAUUUCGAGGCAUGGAAGAGCAAUUGUUGUUGUCAAGGCCAGGAUCUAGAAGUCGGAGUAUUUUGUUAUUGUAGUUGAUUGUCUGUACGUAGUAUUUACCAGAAUAAGGUAUAUCACCAUAAUAAGGUAGAUCUAGUAUUGUAAUGUUGUUCUCACAGGAAAGAGUAUACAGAAUGUGGCCGCAGUGCUUUGGAUCAUGUUUUAGUCGAAAAGGGUAGCUUAUGUUGCGAAUAUUGCCGCAGGAGGAGGUACAGUUUGUACUAUCAUCCUUAGCGUUACAAGUUUCACUGCAAAAGCAAAGAAGAAAGGCUAAAAUAAAGGUCAAGGACCUGCUUCCACUAAUUUCCAUUGGAGAGAGAGGGGGAGAGAGAGAGAGAGGUGUACUGGUAAACACCAAGUAGUUAAAUAAUAUAGGAGAGAGAACCUUCUGGGAAGUUGCAGUAAGCACUUCAAAUAUCCAAGAGAAAAGUCAGUCAAUGGCAGAGACCGACUUGUGUAAUAAUAAUGAUCUCUCUCUAUCUCUCUGUGAGGUGUACUAGUAAACACCAAGUUGUUAUAUAAUAUAGGAGAGAGAGGUGUACAAGUAAACACGAAGGGGAGGGGUUAAAGCACCUUCUGGGAAGGUGCAGUAAGCACUUCAAAUAUCCAAAAGAAAAGUCAGUCAAUGGCAAAGACCGACUUGUGUAAUAAUAAUGAUCUCUCUCUCUCUCUCUUUCUUUAAUGGAGAACAGAGUAUAAUUAGUACAUAUUAUAUCUCUUCUUAAUUACACAAAAGAAAAUUGGGGUUUUUGAACUUAAUCUUUGAAGAAGAUUAAAGUUUAAUAAAAAUCUGAUGUUAAAUUGGAUAUUGAUUUUGAUCCUUUAAUAUUUACUUAAUUCAAAUUCAUAUUAUAUUUUUGUUUUAAUAUUUAAUAGAUGUCUUAUUUUAUUUGAUGAGAUCUUAAAUUCGAUUCUCGCUAAAGGUAAAUUUGAACCAUAUUAUUGUAAGUUUAUUGCCCAUCCCUUCCCCUUAGUGUAGAUAAUAUCAAUUGUUCAAAAAAAAAACAGAGAUGUCUUUUUUUUUUUUUGGAGAAAUUAGGUUCUCAUCCUUCAUUUUGCUACUCCAUUGAUUAAAUUCAUAUUCAUUUUCAAUUUUUGAUCAAGGUCCUUGGGUAUUAAUAACAUCAUUAAUUAUUUCAAUAAUAAAAUAUUUUUUUAUUUCUAAAUAUAUUCAUUUAAUGUUAAAAAUGUUACAAUUAGUAUAUUUAUAUUUAUGACUAAAUUUUUUAUUAUAUAUUUUUAGUUUUAAUUUGUACCCAUUUUUAAGUUGUAAUUCUUUUUUAAUUUGUACCAAUUUUCUUUUCAGUUUUAAUUUGUACCCAUAUAUUAAUUUCUUUUUGUGCCCAUAUUUUUAAGUUUAUUUGUAUUUGUACCCAAAUAUUUUUUUUAUUUGUACUUUUUAUUUUGCUAAAUGUACCCAUGCUAAUUAUAUGUACCCAUUCAUGUAAUUUAAUCUUAAAAUGUACUCAUUCUUAAGUAUACCAAUUUGUUAUAUGUAAAAUGUACCAUUUUUUUUAUAUAAAAUCUAUUCAAUUUUUUUUCUAAUCCAUUUUUAAACUUAUAUGGGUACAUUCUUUUUUUUUUAUGAUUUUAAAAUGUAUCCAUGUCAAGUUUAAUCGAAGAAAUUUACUAAUGUUAUUAAGCCUAAUAUAUAUAUAUAUAUUGUGAUUUUGAAAAAUGUACCCUUGUUUUGAUACAAUAAUUUUUUUGGUUAAUUUUGAUGAAUGUACCCAUGUUUAUAUAUAUACACACACAAUAGUAUAUUUAUAUUUUAAUAUUUUUAAUCCCACAAAUUAUUGUUUUUUAUUUAAAAUCUCAAUUCUAUAAACAACUAAAAUUUCUAAUUUUUAAUUUAAAAAAUAUAGUAACGUACAUAGAAAUAAAUUAUUACAUUAAUUUCAGAGACCUCGAUCAAAAAUUAAAAACCAACAAGGUUUCAAUCAAAGAAUAUUCAUAGCUAAGGACCGCAUCCAAAGUCUCCCUUUUUUUUUUAAAUAAGGUACGAUAUUCAUUAAAUAGAAUGGAGCGUACAAAUAGAAGGAUAGCAGUGUAUACAUGGGUCUGGAUAAAAAUCUCAUCGGGACUUUCAACUCGAUCUAAAGAAAAAAGAGUGUUUCGUACCUAACAAUCAACUAAGAGUUUUCUCUCUUCACGUAGCAAAUCAACAGUACAAUUAAAUAGACAUAUCUUCAAAAAGUGCAUCCAUGAUUAAACCUAGAGGUUCCCCAUGCCAUCUUAACUCUUGGCUCGAAUUAAUCCCCAUGUCAUUACAUUAAAUUUUAAAUUUAUUAUUAUACAUUUUAAUUCAUUAAUUUUAUUUGCUUCCUUUAACUAUUGUAUGUCACAUCCCGGCCCGAGACGAACCACAUCCCGGGUCCGUUCGACCACCGUAGCACGAUAUUGUACUAUUCCCUCACGGUUUUGUUUUUUGAAAACUCACGAGCAACUUCCCAGUUGGUCACCCAUCCUGGGAGUGCUCUGGCCUCCUUCUCGCUUAACUUCGGAGUUCCUACAGAACCCGAAGCCAAUGAACUCCCCAAAGGCCUCGUGCUAGGUAGGGAUGAGAAUAUACAUUUAAAGAUCACUCCCCUGGGUGAUGUGAGAUGUUACAAUCCACCCCCCCUUAGGGGCCCGACGUCCUCGUCGGCACACUUCCGGCCAGGGAUUGGCUCUGAUACCAUUCUGUCACAUCCCAGCCCGGGGCGGACCACAUCCCAGGUCCAUUCCACCACCGUAGCACGAUAUUGUCCGCUUUGGGUUUACCAUUCCCUCACGGUUUUGUUUUUUGGAACUCACGAGCAACUUCCCAGUGGGUCACCCAUCAUGGGAGUGCUCUGGCCUCUUUCUUGCUUAACUUCGGAGUUCCUACGGAACCCGAAGCCAAUGAGCUCCCAAAAAGCCUUGUGCUAGGUAGGGAUGAGAAUAUACAUUUAAGGAUCACUCGCCUGGGCGAUGUGGGAUGUUACAUUGUACCUAAACAUCUGUAUCAUAAUAUAUUUUAUUAAACUAGCGUACCGAAAUGCCUGUACCUAAAUAUAUUGUAAUGAAUCAGUGGCACAUAAGAAAAUAUGCAAAAACAUAAGUGUACUAAAAAUUCUGUACCUAAAUAUAUGAUCCUAACUAGUGUACCGAAAUGUUGGUAUCUAAAUAUAUUAUACUAAACUAGUGUGCCGAAAUGUUCGUACCUAAACAUAUUAUAUUAACCUAGUGUACUGAAACAUUUGUACCUAAAUAUAUUGUAAUGAAUUAGUGGCACAUAAAAAAAUAUGCAAAAAUUGUACAGAAAAAUCUCAACAGAAAUAUUUUUUACAUAAGAUACUUAACAUAAUGAGAAUUAAAAUGUCAUGCCCCGAUCCCGACAUACAUCCAGGAUCGACACGUGACGUUACUAAAUACCCAUAUCUCAACAUACCCCGUCUCUAGAAUAUGGCAAAUCACAACUCGAGAAUCGAAUCGCAUAGUCAUUUUUCUGUAUACUUUAUGGCUGCAUCUAACCUCCCCGAUAGACUGCCUACGUAUCCUUAUUAGGGAUCAAAUCAUUCGUAGUUUGUCCUUUCGCUACACUUGAACAUUCAUCAUAUAAACCACUGUAUCUCAAUAUAAUACCACAAUUCAAUUAUGUAGCACCUCAAGGAGCAUUUAACAAGGCAUAAUAUUAAUCUCUAUUCAUAUCAUCACUUAUCCACACAUAUGCAUUCCAACACCAUCCAAUUAUCACAUUAAUCAAUAAUGCCAAUCACCAUAUCAUCAAUAACACAUACAAUUCAUCGAACUGCAGGGCUAGAGCGACAUGAUUCAGCCAAAGCCUACAUCUCUGAAACUGUCUCAAAUGAAUCAAAUGAUGCGAUUUCGAACCACUCAACGAAAUCCAUCAACAUCGGGUUUCGGACCUCUCAACGGAACCAAGACACCAAAGGGGAUUCCGGACCAUCACUCAACGGAAUCGCAGAGUAGAAGGGAUUCCGGACCAUCACUCAGAAUCGCGAAGUAUAAGGGAUUCCGGACCAUCACUCAACGGAAUCGCGGAGUAGAAGGGAUUCCAGACCAUCACUCAACGGAAUCGUGGAGUGGAAUGUAUAACAUCAGUCGAUGAAAUAAGACAUGGACCGAGUUACCCAAGUUACAAAGACUCAACGAAAUGAGAAAUGAAAUAAUGACACGAGGGUGAAACACAUUUCAAGCAACAAACCCCAUGACAAUGGGUUAGCGGCCCACUACUAGCCCUCACAUUUCAUCACAUCCAUCCAAUCAUACAAUACAACCCAUAUUUCCAAUGCACAAGUCAAAUCAUACUUAAUGAAAAUAGAUUGAUGGCCAGAAACAAAAAUAACAGUUCAAUAGAUUUCACAUUUAAUAAACAUAGAUCUAUGGCAUAAAUAUAUAGAAUUCACAUUUCAAUAGAAAUCACCUUUAUAAGGCCAAGGCAUAAUCACAUAUGAUACUAAUAUAAAAAUCAAGGUAAUAGCUAUAUCACAUAUACACAAGUCAUUCUCUAACCAAUGUAGACUGACUAGACUUCGCUUAAUCUUCCAUAGUACUAAUUUUAGUAAUUAGGAUGUUUCAUGACAUGUUGACCAAAAGUCAACUCUCGAUCAACAAUAGGGUCCACAAACUUACGUAGUUUGAUCUGGAAGAUCCGCACCUUGGAUUUCCGAUCUGUAACUUUCCAAAGUCCACAUUAUGCUCAAAUAACUACAUACUAAAAUCUCAACAAGAUCCGACGGUUGGAUCUCCGCCAAUUUCAAAAUUCAAGUGGCGGUCGACAUUUAAUUUUACAAACUUAGAAAUCCAAAUAUGGAAGAUCCAUAUGUCAGAUUCCCAAUCUGUAAAUUUCUAUGAUCCUCAAAUAUUACGUAUUACAACAUAUCAAAGUUUGGUGACGAUCCAACGGUCGGAUAGUCGAUUCUUAUUUUCACCUAACCACGUAUCAUAAUAAAAUUAGGUUCAAUUGCUCAAUCUACGUCAUUCGAUUAUCAAAACUGAAUUUAAGACAACAAACAUAGCCUAAAAAUAACAUUGAUGGCCCACUAGCUACAUGUCGCCGCACGUGCCGCCGUGGGUGGCGGUCGACCGCCCCGACUUGCUAGAAAAUUCAACUAUUUUUAAAAAUUACCAAAAUUUAUAGAAAUGAAGAUCUCAAUGAGUAGAACAAGUUUUAUACCUGUGUCGAAGUCCAAUUUGGCCAGGAAAAGCUCCAAUUUUACUAAAACCCGCCGGAACCCUAGAAAUUGGGUAUAGUUUAAUUCAACGUCAAACUCAACUCCGCCACCUCCAAUGUUGAUUGGGGUUUGUUCCUGGAAUCAAGAGGAGUUGAAUAAGGGUGGUGGCCGUCGUCGGUGUUUGCAGAAUCAGCGGAAUUGCCGCGGUGGAGUAUGAGGACCAACGUGGUUGUUCUUCGCGAAAUCAUGCCCAAAUCAUCUCGAUUUUGGUGGAAUAGUGUAGAUGGGAGGUCACUGAGUUGAUUUAUGGUGGUGGAUGGCUGCAAUUUGCCGGAAAAAUCAAGAGAAACCGUCGAAAAAUUUGUAGGUAACUGGGUCAGGUCGAAAAUGGGGGACCGGUAAAGGGAUCCGGUGUCCCUCCCCUCUCCUCAUUUUUCCUCCUUUCCCCUUCUCCCAUUCGUCCCUUCUUCCUCUCUCCUCCCUUCCGAUUGGCUAACCCUCUUUCUUCCCUCCUGAAACUCUUCUCCUGCUCUCUCCCCUGCUGCCCUCUAGCAGCUCUAUUUAUUAUUAUUUUUUAUUAUUUUUUUUCUUUUUUUUCCUCUUGUUUUCUUCUUUCCUCCCCCAUUUCUAAUUAGUCCCUUUUCCUACCAUGUGGGAGUUUUACAAAUAAAUUAAAAUCUAUAGUUUAGUAACACAACUUCAAAUAUCCAUAACUAUACCAUUAAAACCUGGACUCGCAAACGGCUUUCGCCUAUGCGUUCGUGAUCUUGAAAUCUAUUCAACAAUAUAAAUUGUGACCUCAAAAGGUCUACGGAUUUUAACUAAUUAAUUUCCAAACUUCAAACUUCGUAACUAAAUUAAUUAAAAUCUAAAUUCAGACAAUUAAAAUAAAUUGUCCAAAAAAAUAAUAUAAAUCUCAAUAAUACAAAUACGUAGAUUAUAAAAGUGAAAUCCAAGAACAGGAUUUCACAUAAAAUUUAAUUUAUGAACACCAUAAAAUUUUAAUAAAAAAGAGAGACAUUGAAUACAUAUGAUGGCAUUAAACAGAGUCUAGGGACUAAAAUCAGUUUUUAAUCUUGUAUAAAACAUUUUUCUAAACUUCAUUUUAUUUAGGGAAAAUUAGAAUCCCCUACAGUUUUUUUUUUUUAUAUCAUUUAGAUUAAACAUCUGUGCCUUUUUAAAAUUUGAUUAAAGUGUUUUGACCAAUAACCAUCUCAAGCUAAAUUACAUGUCAUUAUUAUAUUUUUUAAAAUUAAAAUAAUUUUUUAAUUUAUCCUUUUCGCAUGAUGCACUUUGCCUUAUUUAGUGGAGAUAUUAGUAAUUAAACUAUAUUUUCUCUUAUUCCAAAUAUGUUUUUUCGAUCACAAUUUUUUUUUCUUUUUUUUUGGUUAUGCAAACAUUUAAUAUUUUUUUUUUUCAAAUGGUUUUUUUUUUUUUCAAAUAGUUGGUGAUCAACAUAAAAGCUCCGUGUAAUUUUUUCAAUUUUUUGUGAUUUUUUUUGUGCUGUUUUUUUUAAGUAUAGUUGUUGACGAAUUAUUAUUAGGUACAAUACAUUACGUAUAUAUUAUCUGCGAGUACGUUUGAAUUUACAAAAAUCAUUAAUUGGUACGUUUAUUUGUAAUUUUGGUACAUUUGAUUUGAUACAUAUUGUUAAUAUUGGUACAUUAUUUUUAUUUUGGUACGUUUUAUUUUGUACACAUUGUGUAUUGGUACAUUUAUUGACACACCCUGACCUAAAUCAAGGCAUGCUGACCGUCAAUCGAGAGUGACGUAACUAAUUUAGUACUAAAGAUAUAAAAACGUGAAUAAAUAAAAACCAACCUAGCUAGCUAACUAACUAAUUUACACUAGAUAAGAUAUAAAUGCGAGUGACAAGAUUUAAGCGUAAUUACACAUAAUUAGAGCAUAGCUAACCCAAGUGCAAUCCAGCAUGACAAAUACUAAUUAUACAAUACCAGAGAGAUGGUCCUACAUUAAUUACAGUCUGUCAAAACCGCCGCUAACUCCUCGUAAGCCACCAACAAGCACUCCUACCUAGAACCUGGUGGGGCGCAAAACAAAAAGUGUGAGUGGGCAAAAACAAAGCUUUUCCAAACCAUUUCACUUAUCAAAAGUACUAACCCCUCAUCGUAAAACCCGUAUAAUUUCCCAGAAAAUAAGAUACAUAUCUAUAUCAAACCAUAUUCGGAAUAGCAAAAUCUCCAUGUAUGCCAUGCCAAGUAUCUCAACAUAAAGAAAUAAGUAAACCAGGUGAAGAAAAUUAAUAAAAAGUAAUAGGUCAGCCGGAUCCACCUAUUGUGGCCUAUACGGCUGAACCUAUAACUCAUCAACUAUCCCUGCACACGAGUCGGAACCACCUAUAGUGGUCGGUACGACCAAACUAGGUGUAAAUAAGUACGCUCAAGUGCUACGAUCACGUGAAGACUGUGCGAAUAAUCGCGGGUCACCUACAAGUCGGAACCACCUAUUGUGGUCUGUACGACAAGACUGUGCACCAAACUUGGAUCCAAGGUGAGUGUGCGGUGCGAGAGGUGAACACCACGUGAAUGACUGUGCUCUGGCCACGAGCGGGAGCACUAACACCGGGAUGCAGGUUAAUGAGCUCUAAAUACAUCUAUGUACCACCAUCAUAAUGCAACUCACAAUCAUCAAUACAUAUACUCACCUGAAACUUACCUAAGCAUCCGCAACGUCAAAUACUAGCAUGCCACAUUACUAAUGUAUAUUCUAAAAUAUAAAGCAUUUGACAUGGCAUUAAAAACACAAAAUCAAUUAAAUCAAUUUUUAUGGGAAAAACAUAAUGCAUAUAUAUACAUAUAAUGAAAACCAAAAACCCACUUACUGAUAUGUGGUAAGGUCGUAACCCCCGAGCCUCGCCUGACUGCGCUCGUCCUCUGGAAACGUCUCACCUAUAUGUGAAACAACUAUUUUAACGUUAUUUUAAGCACAUAACCAAAACUAUGAAAUAACUUCUCAUACGUUGCUCAAUUGGGGUGUGUGAAUAUACCAUCAAGGCCUACACAACCCCACGAUCAUCCCCAUAUUUUUAGAAAAAAUUUCCGAUGUCCCACGCGCCCUCACGCGCCGGCCAAGGCACGACCAUGCGCAAGCACGUGCCUGGCACACGGACGGAACCUUUAACGCCGUUAAAGAAUAUUCCGUUAAAUAAUGGAAUAUACCGUUAAAUAUACUUGACGCCGUUAGGUAUAUUCCAUCAAACUUGAUGGAAUAUUCGCCUUCUCUUUCCUUGAUUCGCCGGAGUCCGGCGGCAGUCACUGCUGCACUCGCCGGAAACUGGAAAACUGGAAAACUGAAAAACUUCAAUAUCUCUUCCAUUUCAACACCAAAAUUCAUGAAAUUUGUACCAAAAUGAAGUUCUCAACUAGGAGAACAUGAUCUUACCACUUUUAGAGUCCCUAAACCAACGGAAAUUGGCCAGAAAAAUUUCGUGAAAACCGGCUAAGUCUGCAACUCAAAGAACUCGAGUGUCCCGACGUCCAAAACCUUCCAAAAUUCCUAUAACAACUUCGUAAAGCUGUUUUAAGACUCUCUAGUACCUUAAAACCCCGCGUAACACUCGCGACCAAGCUCGAGCAACAGGACACUUUGUUAGAGCUCACAGGUUCUCGAGUUCCCAAAGUCCUUACGUCCAACUAAGGGUAUAGCUCGACUCCUGAGCUUACAAGGAACUUGGAAAUGGCCUCCACUAUGUCGAUUUGUGCAAGAUGAAACUAGUUGGGUGUGUGUGUGUACAGACUGUACGGACGGAAAGAGGUUUCGAGAAAGAGGGUGACAGAUGCAAGUUGCACGUGUGUGUGUGUGUGUGUGUGUGUGUGUGUGUGUGUGUGUGUGUGUGUGUGUGUGUGUGUGUGUGUGUGUGUGUGUGUGUGUGUGUGUGUGUGUGUCUUGAUCCAGAUUAGGCACCCAUAUACAAUCCUAAAACUCUAAUUGGGCCACCAGUUAUAAGCUAAAAAAAAAAACCAUCCAAAACAACCCCAUAUUUCAAUUGGGUCCAAAGAAGUAGGAAAUGAAAUAAUUGGUCCAUUUUUCUUAGCCCAUAAAUACAUUCACAACCCAACGCUCAAGGGUAAAACCGUCAUUUCCACGCUUUCGAGAAUCAAAUAUAUAUUAAUUCGGGACACGUCGUCACAUUUAUAUUAUUCUCAAUCCUAUUUUCUCUCAACGCAAAAGAAAAACUUAUUUCAGUACGUUUGAUUUUGUGGGAUUUAAAAAUAUUUUAAACUAUUUUGGAAAGAAAAUAUCUUAAAUCGUAGAUAAUUAUUGCUAAAUUGUAGCAUUAUUGUGAAAAUAAAUUGAAUCUAACCAAUUUUUUUUUUUUUUUUUACAAUUAUCUCUAACGGAGGAGAGUGUAAUUAAAAAGCUAGAUUAUAGGAAAUUUGUUACAAUAUAAUAUGCAUAUAGCACCAAAAUUAUGACCAAAAAAAGUUUAAUCAAAUCACUAAAAGACAUGAAUGUUUGAUCUAAAAAAUUCAGAACUGAGACGCCUAUAUCAAAUGAUCUCUAUUUAUUUAAUGAUUAAAAUCUAGUUUUCUAUAAUAUUAACAUUGAACGUAUAAUCCUUCAAACGUAAAUUAAGGGACUUUGUUUCCGGUUCUUGUUUUGACUUUCUAUUUUUUGGGGUUACCGUAGAAGGAUGUAGCAACCCCACCCCAAGUUUUUUUCUUGAAUCUUUUGACACUCCGCCAAACUUCUCUUGGAAUUUUAAUUAGAUGAAACAAUAUGAAUCUUGAACAAAGCAAAAGCAAAACGUAAUACGUAGAGAUUGAAUCAUUGUAGUGGAAGUGGAUGCUGGGUACUCAACACUCAUAGGAAAUCAUAAGUCCAAGAAUGAAAACUCUCUUAUCGGUUUCUAUCUAAAAUUUUGGAAUUAUGUGUGUGUUGCAACGAUUGUCCAGGAUUAAUCUUUAUCUAUUAAAUUUCAAAGGAAAAUAAGCUUGGGGUGUAAAUGUUGAACGAAUGAAUUUUCGACGAGUUGGAAAGGGAUUGUGCCUUUAACACGCUAUUUUUCUUCCUCUUAUGCACUCAUGGUUAUUAAAAGACAAAUAAGUAUGACUUUACAUAAAGAAAGAGAGAGAAUAUUUUCCUUUGAAUAAAUCAACUAUUUGUUUAAGAAGAUGUGGAUGCUGAUUGAAGCGUCAUGCAAAUACGAAGAACGACCUUGGAGGGAGAUGAGACAUUCAUUAAAAGCCAAGAAAAAAGCCGCAUUUUCUAAGUGAUAGUUAUUGACACGAUACUUGAUUAGGAGAAAAGUCAGUAGUAUUUUGUUUUAGUGGGAACGAGAGUGCGAGGUCUCAAUUAGAACAUGAGAUGAAGUUUCUACAUAACCGUAUAUGACAAAGAAAGAAGUCUAUGUUUCUAACUGGUGGGGCUUUUAAUUGAUGUGAGUUUGUUGAGAAAUGAAGAUGAACAUGUAUACUGACAUUGAUGUGAGUUAGUGAACCAGAUGCACAGAACCGUUCAGACCGGUUUCAGUCUCUGUUUUCAUCUUGAUAGAACGGCUCAGAACCAAAUCAAACUGUGAAUAUAAAUAAUUUAUGAAAAACAAAAAAUUAAUAAAAAUAACACAAUUGGCAACCUGAUUCCCACUGCAGCUCUAAAAUCAUCCUCCAUGAUCGCUGUAUGUACUUUUGUAAAUCGAAUGCAUAGUUGUUUGUGGACAGAUGAGUCUGCAAAAUUUGUGAAAACAUGCUUCAGAUAUAAACUACUGAAAUGUGAUUCAUGACAACCCCACACACACACACACACACACACAUAUAUAUAUAUAUAUAUAUGUUAACAUCAAAUUUUAUAAUUAUAAUAACUGUUUGGGUUAAAACUUAAAAUUUGGGCUCAAGUGGAAGUCAGCCCAAAGGGAAGUCUGGAAGGAAGAAAACCCAAGGUCCAGCCGAAGCCCAGAAGAUGGAAGAAGCCCUUUUUCAGCUAGGUGCAGACCACUUGAGCCACUUGCUCACCUACUCAAAGAACAAGUGGUGUAGAUCAACUAGCUAAUCAGCCCAAAAGUACUUUACAAUGGCAGUACAAGUAAAAAGCUGGUGAGUCACUACCCUUCAGUCACAUUCGAGCAAGAGCAAAGCUACAGUCAAUCGAGCCAAAUUGUCUAUAAAAUAAGAAAGAGAAAUUAGAAAUGAAGACACUCAAUCAAUCAAACAAACAAUCUUACAACUUGUUUAUCUCAGUCAAGCCAAGAAACCCACAAAGUUGUGCUUUGUCCAGAGUCUACACUCUUUUCAGCUUUAAGCUCCCUGUAGAACAGACAACCUUUGUCUUUAUAAAAGCUCUGCUACCUUGUCUAAAUCUUGAUGUAGUAUCGAUUCCCUCCUAUAAACUUCUCUACCAAUCUUCCCCUUCCAGCACCCAAACACUUUGUAACCACAAAGAGAGGAAGCUGCAAGACGAUCAACCUUGCCCGACCCUCUUUGUUCUGUCUGUUAAUUCAUAGAUCUAGCAGUAUGAUGUAUAAUUCAAUAUAUAUCCAAGUUAUUUAUAGUCAGUUUGUGAUUAAAAGAUCUCUUGGUUCUCGAAUCUGGUCUGAUUAAUGGUUUUAACCAUUACAAAAGAUAAGUAAAGGUUUGAGCUCAUAGCUUGAUCAAAUCUAAGUUCCAACCUUUCAAGCAUAUAAGAUUGAUCAACCAAAAGUCCUUGGUCUCAAGGCAUAAAAAAGAACUUAAUGUGGACUUAACCCAUCCACGACAAUCUUUGAUAACGAGAAGUCCGAGUUACUUGGGGCACAAGUAAUCGACCCAUUUCUUAGUUUUACAUCUGUUAUACUAUGAUCGCUAUAGAAUGCUUGAGUAUGGAAUUAAUUCUGAUGGUGAGCCUCAAGGCCUACACCUAAGGCCCCAUAAAGGCACCUAUCAGGGUUCGUUCUGCUCUUUGGGCCCGGGUGAUUAAAGUAAAAAUAGUUGUAAUACUUCCACAACAAUGAAACACCAGCUACAUGCCAGAGUACUUGGUCGGUUUUGAUUGUAAGCCUCAAGGCCUACAUCUAAGGCCUCACAAAGGCACCUCUCAGAACUGACUUGGUCCCUCGAGCAUAAGCAAUUAACCUAAACACUUGUUUUACAUUUGUCAUGCUAAAGAUGGCAGUGGCACGCCUGAGUACUUAGUUAGUUUUGAUUGUGAGCCUCAAGGCCUACACCUAAGGCCCCACAAAGGCACCUUUCAGAAUUAACUCUGUCAUUCUCUUACAGCCCGCCAAUAACCAAAAGGCCGACAUACAAUAUCAACCGGCACCAACCUCUCGAAGAGUUGUGUGCUCGUCGGCCAGAGAGCAUCUCCAGCAGAAAUUCCUGCCCGAACAUAGUUUUGGCACUUCUGGUAGGAUCAUCUUUGAUCAAUCUUACUUGCCAAGACAUGGCAAAUAUCCCUACAAAUUUACAAAGGUCAACUGUCCCAAAAAGAACAACUAAUGAAGAUUUGCAGACUACUUUGUUGCAAAUGUUACAAAGAAUGGAGAACGCCUCCAGAGGGUUCAGAGAAGAAGCAGGCCAGCUCCAUGCUUUGACAGAAGAUUCACAAGAAAAGCCCGAUCUUGUGGGUGCUAUUCCAAACAGUUGCACCAAGGUGUUGAAGAGAAAAGCAAACCUAGCUAUGGAACCAACUAUUCUCAUAUCUUUGCCUCUACUUGAGGAGAAAGGUGGUAGGGAAGAAAAGAGAGAUAAGAUCGAGGCCAGCCAGCCGGAGGUGGAGGUAACAUUGGUAAACAAUCCACCUAGCCCAUCGCUAUUCAUACAAGAUAGUCGGGGGCAGGUCAAAGCAAAAGUGGACAAGCAUGUAGAUCCCCUUUCUGAGGUCCCAGUAAUUAUGAUAAAUUUAACAUGGGCCGAGAAGGGAAAAGGGAAGGCUACAGAAGAAAGAAUGCUGGCCGACAGAUCUACAGAAGGGGUUAUCAAAUUGCCCAAAAAACCAAAAGCGGCCAUAAUCAAAGGGAUGGUCAUGUGUGGUAGAUGUCAAUGCAAGUGUGAACUCAAGAUACCACCAACAGGAGUUAUCAUAGAUCAUAAGUUGAUCAGAAGGAAAGAAAAAGAAAGGCAAGAAGCCCGCGAGAAAGUUAUGCGGGCAGCAGAAAGAGAUACUUCCCAGUGUGUUUUCCAAAGGUUGGAAGGAGAUUCCCAACCUAGGGGUUUAUCGGAGGUGUUUCAAAAUCAUGAAGCCUCUGAGGAAGCAGAAGACAAGGAGGCAAAAAUGCCAAAAUGGAAGGAUAUAAGGCCUCCUCAAUAUGGCCACAUGGGAGGAGAGAUCAGAAGAAAUAAUAGGAUAACAAAUCCUGCCAAAAAAGAAAAUCCUGCCCGCCUCGGCCGAAAGUGGUAUGUGGUUGAGAAAAAUGGACAGCCCGUCAAGAAAAUGGGAGCCUCCAUGGUUAGAAGGGUCUGGAGACAACACAAGGCUUACAUGAAUUCUUUACAGACUCCCGCAACGUCUGAAGACUCUAAGAAUGAAAAGUUUGAAAAAACAUCAUCCAGGGGAAAAAGUCAGUUCCAUUGGAGGAGUAAAAAAGAAGUGGAGAUGGCCAAUAGCAAGACGGAAGGCGAAGGAAACCACGUACCACAAAGCCCACACCCUGGGAAGUACAUAAUCUUGAGGAGAGCUCAAGAAGAUAUGAUGAUGAUGCCAACACCCAGAUGGAGGACAUAACUUAUUUGUUUUGGAACUGUCUCUCCCGAAAUGAGAGUCCCCUCACCAUUGUUGGUGGAUCCUUUUGGCGAAGUUCUGAGGCAAAUACUAGACUUUGGCAUAGAUCAGCAUGAGGGGCACCAGAACUAAUGCUCCUAUGAGAUGCACUGGCCUGGUUGGAUGAAUUCAUGGACCGCAUUAGGAGCAAGAAAGAAGACUUACCGGAACCCAGCAAUUUUCAUAUAAACAUGACAUAUGUUUUAUCAGCCAUGUUUGGUGCCGAGCCUAAUCAGCCCGCCAUGAUGGAGGGUGAUUAUUUGGCAGCAGAGCCAAUGAUGGCCCAUGUCAGUGUGGAAGUUGCUGAAGAAGGAGAGUCAGGAAAAGCUGAGUUGUUCGAGGCAUCCAAAAAUAAACCAAUGAGGAUCUAUACGGACAGAAUGGUGUUCAGCCGCCUAAACUUGAUGUUAGCCAAUCAUCUUAAGCCUAUAUACGUCACGGCUCAUUUGGAAUGAGUGUCUUUCAAAAGGGUUUUGAUUGAUGGUGGGGCAGCUGUCAACUUAUUGCCAGCCAAACAGAUGAAGAAGUUGGGAAGAAGGGUAGAAGAUCUCAUUCCCAUGGACCUAACAAUUUCAAGCUUCUCGAAAGCCAUCACCAUAACCCAUGAGAUAUUGCCCUUAGAAAUAGACUUGGGGUCUAAACAAAUUAUGCUGGCAUUCUUUGUGGUGGAUUGCACUUCCACCUAUGGAGCAUUACUUGGAAGAGAUUGGAUCCACCAAAGUCUCGCCAUACUUUCCACCCUACAUCAACAAAUUGUUGUUAACCACGAAGAAGGGACGGGAGAACCAGGUUUUUGGGAGAUGGUGGAGGCCGAAUCACAGACAUUUCUUCCUAUAGCCAAUGUUGCGGAGGCUAGUUUCUACAAUCCCAACGUAGGAAUUCUACAAUGUUCAGGAGUAGAUGAGAACGGUCGCCCUACUAAGGUGACGGCCCAAAAGCUCUUAGAACAGGGAAUGCUCUUCACAAGGGAGGAAUGAGAUAAACCAUGCAUCAUCCCAACACGCCAACACCAUUAAUGACAGAGCAAAAAAGGAAGGAUCAAGUAAUGGCAGUCAGGUCUUUGAUCAAAAGAUUGUUGGUGUAUAGGAGAGGAAGAAAACAAGAAAAGUAGGAAUGGCAGCUAGAAUUUCUAAACAGCCAGAGUAAAAACAAGGAAGAGCUUUGCGGAGAAUAAUUGGAUGCGGCCAUACAAAUGGCCGAAUACAUAUAUGACCUGGAUGGGCCAGACAACUUGCCCGAAAGCCCGGAGUUAGUCAAAUUUUUGUGUGCAGAGCCAGACAAGCCACCACCAGAGGUUCAGGAUCCUUUGGAAGUCAUUGAUCUGGGGACGGAAGAAAAUCCAAGACCCAUACAAAUCAGUGGCUUGUUGGAGACUGGCGAUCGGACAGAGAUCAUUAGCCUUCUGCAAGAAUUUAAAGAUUGUUUUACUUGGCAUUAUACAGAAAUGCCAGGUUUAGAUUCAACCUUGGUGGAACACAGAAUGCCCAUCAAGGAGGGAUAUAAACCUGUCAAGCAAGCGUCACGAAGGAUGUCAAAAGAAAUAGAAGAAAAUGUCAAAGAAGAAAUUGAAAGGCUAGUAAAAACUGGAUUUAUUAGGCCUGCCAAAUAUGUGGAGUGGUUGGCCAACAUUGUACUUGUUUUAAAAGCCGUAACAAAAGUAGUACGAUGUUGUGUUGAUUACAGAAAUAUCUCAUGGCGCUACACCAAAAGAUGAAUAUCUCAUGCCCAUGGCUGGCCUAUCCAUAGAUGCAGUGGCAAAGCACAAAGUCAUAUCUUUUAUGGAUGGGAAUGUCGGGUAUAAUCAGAUAAAAAUGGCUCAGGAUGAUAUACACAAAACAGCUUUUAGGUGCCCCGGGCACGUGGGGGCAUAUGAAUACCUAAUCAUGCCAUUCGGGCUCAAAAAUGCUAGUGCAACCUACCAAAGAGCCAUGAAUGCCAUCUUUCAUGAUUUAAUUGGCCGAAGCAUGGAGGUAUACAUUGAUGAUAUCGUGGUGAAAUCCAAGACAGAAGAACAGCAUUUGACAGACCUCAGGCAAGCCUUGACAAGAGUGAGGAUCCAUAGACUAAAGAUGAAUCCAAAGAAGUGCGCGUUUGGAGUGAGAGCGGGCAACUUUUUAGGAUUCCUUGUUCAUCAAAGAGGUGUAGAGGUGGACAAAAACAAGUCUCGAGCAAUAAUGGAGUCACCUUUGCCCACCAACAAAGUACAACUUCAGAUGCUGCUAGGCAAAAUCAAUUUCUUGAGAAGAUUCAUUGCCAAUUUAGCGGGCAAAAUCCAGCCGCUAACUUCUCUUCUGAGAUUGAAGGAUAAAGAAGAAUUUGAAUGAGGACCACCACAUCAAAAGGCUUUUGACAGCAUAAAAGACUAUUUAACUUCUCCACCAGUGUUCGUACCACCUCAAAGGGGAAAACCCUUAAAGCUAUACAUCUCUGCUUAAGAAAAAUCAAUUGGAAGUUUACUGGCCCAUGACAACAAAGGCGGGAAGGAGCAAGCGGUGUACUACCUUAGUAGAAUUCUGACUGAGGUAGAAACAAGAUACACCCCAGUAGAGAGAUUGUGUUUAGCUCUAUAUUUCACUACCGGCAAGUUGAGGCAUUACAUGUUACCUUGUCACGUCCACAUCAUAGCCAAAACAGACGUGAUUAAGUACAUGUUGUCAAAACCAAUGCUAAUAGGAAGGAUUGGGAAGUGGAUUCUAGCAUUAUCAGAAUUCAGCUUUCAAUAUGUACCCCAAAGAGCAGUCAAAGGCCAAGCAAUUGCCGACUUCUUAACAGAGCAUAAAGAGUCUCAGAAUGAGAUUAUUAGCAUCUCAAGAACCUUAGAGGUAACCAGUGUUUGGAUCCCAUUAAGCAAAGGCAUCUCGGGGCAAGGAGGAAUGGGUCUAACAGGAGAUAAAAAAAGUAAUAGGUUUUUGGGUCACUUCUUGAAAGCUGUAUUUUGAUGGUUUUUACACUCAGAAGGCUUCUGGAGCUGGGAUUGUCAUCAUAAAUCCUUAAGGGGUUCACCAUUAUUAUUCGUUCCUCCUAGAUUAUCAAAUGAGCACCAACAAUCGCGCAGAAUAUGAGGCCUUAAUAAUUGGCCUAGAAAAUACAAGUGCAAGCAAUCACCAUGGCUGGAUAUUACUUAGCAGCCACUCAAUUGUUAAGUUAUUGGGAUACUGAGAUAUCGAUUAAUCAUGUCCCCAGGGAAUCCAAUCUGGUGGCCAACGAGGUGGCGCAAAUGGCCUCCGGGGUACCAAUCCAAGAAAGAAAGUAUGAAGUAGAUAUUGAGAUUCAAAGGAGAAAUCUCCCUUCUAUUUUAGAAAGGGGAUUCAGUCUGGAUAUGAUGGUUGUAGAGCCCGAGAUAGAAGAUUGGAGAUCACCUAUCAUUCAACAUUUAAAGGAUCCUUCUUCACCCACAAGCAAAAAGAAUAGACAGCAAGCAACCAAGUAUGUCUUAUGGGCGAAAAACCUGUUAAGAAAAACUCCAGAUGGGCUACUAUUGAAGUGCCUUGGCCAAGAAGAAUCUAUGAGAGUAAUGGCCGAAGUACAUGAAGGGAUAUGUGGGGCACAUCAAGCUGGAACAAAGAUGAGAUGGUUUCUUAUGAGGUAUGGGUAUUUCUCGCCCGACAUGGAAAAAUAUUGCAAGUCCUAUGCCCGAGGCUGUGAAGAAUGUCAAAGGCACGGACAUCUCCAACAUGUGCCUUCAGUACCUUUAAAUCCAGUGGUCAAGCCUUGGCCCUUCAGAGGAUGGGCAAUGGACUUCAUCGGGUAGAUUUAUCCAGCUUCUAGCAAGGGGCAUACUUUCAUAAUAGUGGCAACGGAUUAUUUCACCAAAUGGGUAGAAGCCUUGGCCGUGAAGUCCAUAACCUCAUCUGUGGUUAAGAAAUUUAUUGAGACCAAGAUUCUGCACAGAUAUGGGGUGCCCGAAACCAUAGUCACGGAUCGUGGGCCAUCUUUUAUUUCAAAGGAGAUUGAAGAAUUUGCAAGUAAAUACAAGAUAAAGAUGAUUCAGUCUAAUCCUUACUACCCUCAGUCAAAUGGUCAGGCCGAAGCUAGCAAUAAGAUUUUGAUAAACAUUAUCAAAAGAAUGGUGACAGAUAGUCCGGAGAAGUGGCAUGAGAAGCUAGGGGAUACUUUGUGGGCAUAUCGAACCUUCAAAAGGGCAGGAACUGGGACGAUUCCUUAUGCUCUGACUUUCGGGCAAGAUGCAAUGCUUCCCAUGGAAAUCAAUGUGAGUUCUGUCAGAAUUCAGAAUCAAUUCGGGUUACACAGUGAAGAAUACAUCGAAGCUAUGUGUCAAGGGAUUGAAGACUUAGAUGUAGCCCGAAUUGAGGCCUAAACCAGAUUCAAGAAGGAAAAAGAGCGGUUGCCCAAGCUUACAAUAAAAAGGUGAAGUUAAAGUCUUUCAGAGAAAAAGACUUAGUAUGGAAGGGAAUCCUCCCUUUAAGAGCUCAGCUUAGGGGCUUUGGGAAAUGGAGCCCGACUUGGGAAGGUUCUUUUAUUGUUAGUCAAGUAUUAGACAAAGGCGGAUAUUACUUGGCGGACAUAGAAGGGAAUUGGCAGAAACAUCCCAUUAAUGUUAAAUUCUUAAAGAAAUAUUAUCCUACAUUAUGGGAUGUCAGGGAUUGUUAUAUAGAAGAAGAAAGAGGAUAACGCAGGGUUCGAGAUGAAGAAGGGCAAUGUUUGUUCAUCAACCAUUCGAAAAAGGCAUAAAGAUAAAAGCAGUUAAAAAGGUAUAUUUUAUUCAUUUCGACAAAUUGGUGAAGUUUACAUUCAGCUCAAAGGCUUUACUUUCUUAAAAAGCUAGAAUAGAUCCUAGAAAAGAAGUUUCUACAUUUCUCCUGACGCGCUUUAUCCAACUCCUUCCAGUUGUGAUGCCGACUCGUGCAGUCUUCCGGUGUCUUCAUUUGCAAAACCCGAUCAGGUGAUCGGGUUGUGCGACCAUAAUAGGCCUGGUAGAGGACCCUCAAAGAAAACUUUCACAAGAUGUGACGGUGAAGUCUGACUUAUGAGGGCAACUACCAAGCUGGCAUUUACUCGACUAAGCCUAUAUAUUCAACAAGCUUAGAACGAGUAGAACGUCUGACCAAAGGUGUUGGGGAUAACGGGACGUUUGACCAAAGGUGUUGGAGAUAUUAGCUAUUUGGUGAGGAUCUUUCUUACGGAAUGAGAGUUUCAAGACUUUCCACAUGAAUCCUGAUGAGCGUUUUUCCCCAGUUUCAGAAAAAGAUUUAGAAGGCAGGGACGCCCGAAGGUGAUGAAGACUCUCCAAGAGGGGAAAGUAUUGAAGAUGGCUUGUCUGCUAAACAUGGGGAGUGAUUGGUUUGAGUUGCUUGCUCAGAAAAUGAAAAUUUGAGCCGGAAUUUAUAAGAGCAUCAGAUGAUAACCAAAAGUCCAUGGGAAGAGCAAGAGACGCAAGAUUGCAUUAAUUCCGUCCAAAGCUACAAGUUCCGAGAAUAGGCGUGCACACACAAACGACUGUUUAAUCAAUAUUGGCGCUUGGAAUUCCAGCCUAAAUAAUGAUUAUAGGGGGCACUGUUUGGAUUAAAACUUAAACUUUGGGCUCAAGUGGAAGUCAGCCAAAGGGAAGUCUGGAAGGAAGAAAACCUAAGGUCCAACCGAAGCCCAGAAGAUGGAAAAAGCCUUUUUUCGGCUAAGCGCAGACCACUUAAGCCACUUGCUCACCUACUCAAAGAACAAGUGGUGUAGAUCAGCCAGCUAAUCAUCCCAAAAGUACUUUACAAUGGCAGUACAAGUAAAAAGUUGGUGAGUCACUACCCUUCAGUCACAUUCGGGCAAGAGCAAAGCUACAGUCAACCGAGCCAAGUUGUCUAUAAAAGAAGAAAGAGAAAUCAAAGAUGAAGACACUUAAUCAAUCAAACAAACAAUCUUACAACUUGUCUAUCGCAGUCAAGCCAAGAAACCCACAAAGCUAUGCUUUGUCCAGAGUCUACACUCUUUUCAGCUUUAAGCUCCUUGUAGAACAGACAACCUUUGUCUUUGUAAAAGCUCUGCUACCUUGUCUAAAUCUUGUUGUAGUAUCGAUUCCCUCCUAUAAACUUCUCUACCAAUCUUCCCCUUUCAGCACCCAAACACUUUGUAACUACAAAGAAAGGAAGCUGCAAGACGAUCAACCUUGCCCGACCCUCUUUGUUCUGUCUGUUAAUUCAUAGAUCUAGCAGUAUGAUGUAUACUUCAAUAUAUAUCCAAGUUAUUUCUAGUCAGUUUGUGAUUAAAAGAUCUAUUGGUUCUCGAAUCUAGUCUGAUUAAUGGUUUUAACCAUUACAAAAGAUAAGUAAAGGUUCGAGCUCAAAUUUACGAAUCUAGUCAGUUGAGGAAGAAGUGGCUUAGACCUAUUAUGAUGGUUCAGAUAUUUCUCAAAUUUACGAAUUGAAGGUUAAAUCUUUCAGACUUCGUCAAGAGGGCCGGCCAGCUGGUGCUCCUCAUCCUAAUAAUCCUUCUAAUCAAUCUUUAAAUUCUCGUCCUUUUAAUCGAGAAAAUAAAGAUGAUUUGAAGUGGACUUUCUAUGGACAAACCCGUCAUACUGAGGAUACGUGCUUUGCUAAGCAUAGGGUGCCUGAUUGGUUUCCGAAGUUGAAGAAAAAUUGCGUGCAAAGGAGCUUGGAAGUGCAAGCAAUAAUGGAGGUCGUGUCUUCCUAGCUACUGCUCCACCGAAGGCUAAGGAGGCCGAGCCUACUUCUUAUGACCCGAGUCAAACCUUGUUGACUCGUUCUACCCAUGGCGACUCAUCCUUCACCACAGGUACUAUAGGGCAUGGUCUUUUGGCCUCCGAUACUGAGCAUCAUACAGGUUAGAUUCUGGACUCUGGUGCAAUAGAUCAUAUGACAUAUGAUAAGAAUAUGUUUUCAAUGUAUGACAACAUCUCACAUGGAAUAUAUUGCCACCACCAAUGGUACCCGUGCCCCUGUUGUUGGUGAUGGCACUGUGUAUCUUACAGCCUCUCUCCCUUUACACCGAUGUUUACUUGUUCCAUCUUUAUCACAUCAUUUACUUUCCAUACCACAGGUUACUGAACAAUUGGAUUGUGUUGUUCUAAUGUAUCCGUCAUUUUAUCUACUUUAGGAUAUUCAAACCAAUGAGACAAUUGGGCGUGGCACUAAGAGAGAGCAGUUGUACUAUGUGGAUGAUGUUGUUCCUAGCAGAGCUCAUGCAAUACGAGUGUUCUGUGAUAGUAAUCUACAAGAAGUAUGGUUAUUGCAUCGUCGAUUAGGGCAUGCAUCCUUUAGAUAUUUAAGGCAUAUGUUGCCUAGUUUAUUUAGUGGAAUAAAUGAAUCAAACUUACAUUGUGAAGUUUGUAUUCUUGCUAAAAGCUACCGUGCUUCAUUUCCUCCUAGUAUGAAUAAAAUACCUUUUCCGUUUGAUCUUGUGCAUUCCGAUGUUUGAGGGCCUUCUCCAGUUACUACUUCUUCAGGAAUUCGGCGGUUUGUUACAUUUGUUGAUGAUUGCACUUGUAUGACAUAGCUUUAUGUGUUGAAAAAUAAAAGUGAUGUUAGUGCCAUAUUUCGAUCUUUUGCUCAGAUAAUUCAGACAUAAUAUUCUUCUGUUAUCAAGGUUCUCCGUUCUGAUAAUGGAGGAGAGUACAUCAAUUUUGAGUUGUCGGAGUUUCUACGUGAUCAAGGGAUUCUCCAUGAAACCACGUGUCCGUAUACUCCACAACAAAAUGGGGUUGCAAAGUGUAAAAAUCACCACAUUUUGGAAACAGCUCGUGCCUUGCUCCUUGGCGCCUCGGUUCCGCAGCGUUUUUGGCCUGAAACGGUUACCUAUGCCGUGUAUGUUAUUAAUCGUAUACCCUCUCGGGUGGUUAGUUUUCAAACACAUCUUCAAGUCCUCACACAACAUGCUCCAGUGGUGUCCAGUAAUACUCUCACCCCUCGAGUCUUUGGUUGUUUGGCUUAUGUUCAUAUUCAGAAAAUACAUCGUAAUAAAUUGAAUCCGUGUGCACUACGAUGUGUCUUUCUGGGUUUCUCUUCUCGCCAAAAGGGGUAUAAGUGUUACCAUCAUGAAACCCGGCAUAUGUAUAUAACCAUGAAUGUGACCUUCUCUCAAACGGGAUAUUUCUACACUUCUGUAUCCUCCACUUCAGAUCACCAGGGGGAGAACACUGUUGGUAAUCUGAAAUUGUUGGAUCUAUGGGAGAUGUGAUUAUUAAACAGCGUGUAGGACCUGGAAUUGUUGGUGCCGAAUGUACAGUGGGUACCGAGUGUAUUGAUAGCUCGGAUGAUGUUUGUGAUUUAAAGUUGAAUCUGACCGAACCCAUAAGAGAGUCUCAGCCAGCUAGUGUCAAGGAAUGUCCAGUUGUUCAGCAAUCCCUUGCUGAGCCCACUACACAUGCCCUUGUCGAGCCCAGUACAUCCUCUCUCUCUAGUUCUGAUGUGCCACCCAAUACAUCUUCUCUGAAUAUGCCAGAGGUAAGUAUCGUAAAUGAUUGUGUAACUAAUCUAAGUAAUAAUGUGAGUACUUAUAAAGUGCCACCAAGACAAAAUCGAGGUGUGCCUCUUGAUAGGUUUUCUCCUGAAGGGAAGGUGAAGUAUCUGAUAGCCAAUUAUGUAUCAUGUAACAAGCUUGCACCAGAACGACAUACAUUGGUGAGUACUAUGGAGUCUAUUCCAGUACCUACUCGAGUGGAGGAAGCUCUAAAAGAUCCAACGUGGGCAAAAGCAAUGGAUGAGGAGAUGUUGGCAUUACAGAAAAAUAAUACUUGGGAGGUGAUGAUGCUACCUACAGGAAAGAAAACAGUAGGAUGCUGAUAGGUAUUUACGGUUAAAUAUAAGGUUGAUGGAACUGUAGACAGAUACAAAGCAAGGUUGGUGGCUAAAGGGUAUACUCAAACAUAUGAGGUGGAUUAUCAAGAGACUUUCUCCCAGGUUUCCAAGAUGAAUAUGGUACGUGUUCUUAUCUCUUUAGCUGUAAAUAUGGAUUGUCCAUUAAAACCGUUCGAUGUGAAGAAUGCGUUUCUCCAUGAGAAUUUGAAGGAAGAAGUAUAUAUGGAUUUUCCUCCUGGAUAUAGCAAUGGUGGGAAUACCGGAGUAUGUCGGUUGCGUAAGUCACUUUAUGCGCUUAAACAAUCGCCUCGUGCAUGGUUUGAUAAAAUUACUCAAGUGAUGAAAAUGAAUGGAUAUCGUCAGAGUCAUUUUGAUCAUACUUUAUUUGUAAAGCGUAAACAAAAUAAAGUAACAACCUUGAUUAUUUAUGUAGAUGACAUGAUUAUAACAGGAGAUGACGUUGAUGAGAUGUCCAAGUUGCAAGGAAACCUUGCGGUUAAAUUCAAAAUGAAGGAUUUAGGAGAUCUGAAGUAUUUUUUGGGAGUUGAAGUUGCUCGCUCAUCUAAAGGUAUCUUCUUGUCUCAAUGUAAGUAUGUACUGGAUAUAUUAAAAGAGACGGGUAUGUUGGAAUGUAAGCCGGUAGAGACUCCUAUUGUUGAGAAACAUCAUUUGUGUUUGAAUCUAAGUCAGAAACCGGUUGACAAAGGUAGAUAUCAGAAGCUUGUAGAGAGACUGAUUUAUUUGGCUCAUACUCGUCCUGAUAUUGCCUAUGUUGUGAGUGUUGUGAGUCAGUUCAUGCAUUCACCAAAUGUGGAUCAUAUGGCUGCUGUUAUGCAUAUCUUGGCAUACUUGAAGUCGGCACCUGGAAAAGAAGUAUUGUAUGGGAAACACGGGCAUUUGAGAAUUGAAGGGUUUACUGAUGCAGAUUGGGCAGGUGAUGUAACUGAUAGACGGUCUACUUCUGGGUAUUUUACCUUUGUUAGAGGGAAUUUGGUGACAUAGCGAAGUAAGAAAUAGAAGGUGGUGUCACGGUCUUCAGCUGAGGCCGAAUAUAGAGGAAUGGCUCAAGGAAUUUGUGAAAUCCUUUGGCUACGAAAACUUCUUUUAGGACUUGGGGGUUUAAACCGAAGGAGAUCAUGAAGUUGUAUUUUGACAACAAGUCAGCAAGAGAUAUAGCUGAUAAUCCAGUGCAGCAUGAUAUAACGAAGCAUGUAGAGGUGGAUCUGCAUUUUAUUAAGAAGAAGCUUGAAAAGAAGAUUGUAUCAAUACCGUUUGUGAAUUCAGAGGAGCAACUUGUAGAUGUUCUUACUCAUGCAGUAUGUGGUCGAAAGUUUGGUGACUCACCUGUCAAGUUAGGCAUGCCACUACUAGAAAUUUGGCUAUAAGCCACCCUUUCAUUUGGUGGCUAUUGUCAAGUGUUGCCACUCACAUUGGUGGCAAACCUCUAUGGCCACCAAGCACCCACUAAACUAGAGAGUGUGGCCUAUGUAGAGGACUCUAUUGUAACAAUGGCUAACAAUAUUGCAUUGGUGGGUAUGUGAAUAGUACAACAUUUUUAUAUUUUAUAAUUAUUUGUAAAAUUCAAAAUAUGUCAUUGUCUCUCUUAUUAGUGGCUAGAUUUGAGACUAACAUUGGUGGUUUUCAGACUCAUACACCCACCAAUCCUAUGUGUCUCUAUUAGGAUCAGUGGCUUUUAAAGUAUGGGCACCAACAAUGGUGUGAAUCUAUAGCAUUCCAAAUGGCCUUUAUGUUCGAAUUGUAUUACAUGGCUGUUAAAUCAUAGCUCUGUACUAUAUUAAAACUCAUCUUCUUAAUAUAAACUUCACAUUGAUUUUAAAUUUGCAAAAGGAUUCACCUUGAUAACCAACCACACUUUAUAUCCCAUACGGAAUCAAUAACAAGGUUUGUCCCUUUUAAAGGAAGCAUAUUACAUUCAUGUUUGUUAUCCAACACAUCCAACUACCCAAGGGUGAUGAGAUUACAUUUUAUAAAACCAACAGUACAUAUGCACAUCCACCAAUAGCAACUGAACUAACAAAAUCCACCCAAUUGGAUCUAUGUCUUCCCUAUGACAUUUGUACUAUAUACAUCAAGCAAAAUUCACAGGAAUGAUCACAGUUAGCUUAUCACGUACUGAACCUAGUGACAUUCACCAUGCAUGGACGAUAGACAAUUAGCUUAUCACUUACUGAACCCAGUGACAUUCACCAUGCAUGGACGAUAGACCAUCUCAUCAUCUGUGCCAUUAUUCUGCAGCACAACAAUGCCAUCAUCUUCAACUUCUCCACUUGCCUAAAUCUCCAAACUAGUCCCUUGUUCAAUUCUAGUCACACAAGCUUGAGUCACAUCAACUCGAUUUGGUUCCACAAUGCCUCCAUCAGCAGCCCUCAUCAGCAUGGACAUAAUUGCAGCCCUCAGUUCACGUUUCAUGUUUCCACAACAAGGUGCCUAAAGAUGAAGUAGUCAAGUAAAAUAUGUAACGUAAACAAAUUAAGUAAAUAUAGUAUGUGAAUAAAGAGGACAAAAUUUACAUACGCAACUGCAAGGGAGUAUAUUAUUUUAGAAUUCAAUUUUUGUAAGAGGAAAAAAAACUCCAAUCGCUUUUAUGAGUGACAUUGUAUAUAUGAGUCUUGCACAGGAUUUUAGGGUGCAGGUGUCACGCCCCGAUCCCAACUCCAGGAUCGACACGUGAUGUUACCAAACACUCGUAUCUCAACAUACCCCGUUUCCAGAAUAUGGCAAAUCACAACUCAAGAAUCAAAUCGCAUAGUCAUUUUUCCGUAUACUUUAUGGCUGCAUCUAACAUCCUCGUUAGACUGCCUACGUACCCUUAUUAGGGAUCAAGCCAUUUGUAGUUCGUCCAUUCGCUACACUCGAACAUUCAUCACAUAAACCACUAUAUCUCAAAAUAAUACCACAAUUCAAUUAUAUAGCACCUCAAGGAGCAUUUAACAAGGCACAAUAUUAGUAUCUAUUCAUAUCAUCACUCAUCCACACAUAUGUAUUCCAACACCAUCCAAUUAUCACAUCAAUCAAUAAUACCAAUCACCAUAUUAUCAAUAACACAUACAAUUCAUCGAAAUACUCAACGAAAUCCAUCAACAUCGGGUUUCAGAACUCUCAACGGAACCAAGACACCAAAGGGGAUUCCGGACCAUCACUCAACGAAAUCCAAACUAGGAUACGAUUCCGGACCAUCACUCAACGGAAUCGCGGAGUAGAAGGGAUUCCAGACCAUUACUCAACGAAAUCCAAACCAAGAUACGAUUCCGAACCAUCACUCAACGAAAUCGCGGAGUAGAAGGGAUUUUGGACCAUCACUCAACGGAAUCACAUGAUAGAAGGGAUUCCGGACCAUCAUUCAACGGAAUCAUAAGAUAGAAAGGAUUCUGACCAUCACUCAAUGGAAUCAUAGGAUAGAAGGGAUUCCAGACCAUCACUCAAUGGAAUCAUAGGAUAGAAGGGAUUCCGGACCAUCACUCAACGGAAUCCAAGCAAAGCAUAUGGUACCUACCAAAUGUACCAGGUAUAUCUAAACCUUAUCAUCUCCAUAAUUACAACGUAGUCACUUACCACAUUCACUUCUCGCGGCCACCAACUAAUAUGUCACACAAGCAUAUAAGUUCUAUAGAAUACUUCUAAUAGGAAUAUACGAUCACAUUGUCACCACAUUUAUCGGACUUACCCUUCACAUUACUAAAAGAUAAUUAAACGCACAUAUAUCACAAUCAUCACUCUUACCCUUCAUAGACUUUCUUUGUGUCAUGUUUGGUGAUACACAAACUCUCACAAAUGGUGUUCCUGACAACCGACCUUGCUACUAACAAACUGCAAUAACAGAAAUUACAUCAUAUGAAAGUAGUUAAAUAAUUUUAUUUAAUCGUAGGUCAUAAAGCUCAAAACUUUCUAUCAAAAUAAUUCAAAACCUCAAAUAGAGAACAAAACAUCUACAUUGACAAUAACAACCCCGAACAAUGAACGAAACAUUGAAAUGAAAUCAAAUCAUGUGAUACCUUUUCAAGUGAUGCCCCUAUGAGGAGAUCAAAUUAUGUACCCUAGAAUGGACUGAAAACUGCUCAAUGAGAAUAAAACCAAGCAAAAAAUAUAAGCAAAAACUGGGUUCCAAAGUACGCCCCAAAAUUGUACUGCUUAGACUACUGUCUCAAUUGAGCGCAGCAAAAUGGAGACCCCAACAUUCAAUGAUAAAGAGAAUGUUUUCGUGCCAAUAAAUGCCUCCUUGAAGUUAGAGAGGGAUAUGAAGGACUACUCUACCACUCUUUGAUUAUUAUUUGUAGCUGUUAGAUAGCAAUGCAAAAGCUCUCAUGAGGGGAAAUCGCAGAGGCUGGUCCUAAUUUACGAGACAACAUAGAUGCAUGUACGUAAACAGCAGGGAGUUGUCCUACAGAGGCCAUGUCGCUUCCUCGUCUACUAAUAAUUACAUUGUUUUGAAGUUGUAGACCACAUAACGAAGCAUGGAAUGUAGCUUAACUAUUAGCAUUCAUGCAGGGGUCGUAGGUAUCAGCUUUAACUCAUACCAAAACUCAAAAACACAUAAAAUAUCAUAUGCAAGUUCUUUCAUAGCCAUGUUAAUGUAAACCAAACUUUCUCUACCAAAGUCCAUUUUUGUGUUUACGCUGUUUACAGAACACAAGCACAAAAUGUGAUAUCCUUAUAGCAUAAGCUUAACCAAGAGUGGAACUUUACAUAGAUAGUUCUACUUAUACCCAUUUUCUUUCAGUUUCUACAGGCUGUAAGGAUAGUGGUUUGUUUAAAAAAAUGUAGUUGCGAUUUGCCUAACUCGUGAUGUUGUGGAAACAGUACAGAGAUUCUUAUAUUUAUACACCAACCAAUAACUCCUAGCUUAUAUCUGCAAUAACAAUAAUAAGCAACCCUGUAUGGUUUCCAGUUUGAUCCAACGUGAACAGAUAGAAGAAGCACUUCAAACUAAACUAACAAAAAACUCCAACAUAAUCGAAGACUUAAUAAACAAAUUGAAAAGUUUGGUCUAAAAAAUGUUGAAUAUUGAAUAUGAGAAACACAAAAUUACCUGUUUUUACUCCCUAAAAUCAAUUCGAUGUGUUGCAAGCCCCAAAUUGAUUGUAAGAAACCCAAUUGAUAAUAAAUAAUGAACCGAGGAGCUUAAUCUGUUGAGAAAUUAAAAGGGCAAGGUAUGCGAAGCAAAUACCCAGCAACGUGGGAGCCGAGUUCCAUUGCCCACGCCAGUCGCCAACAAAACGAAGCCACUAACAAUCUUGUCCAUUAUGCCCUGUCCGCAUCCUGAGACUGAGACUGGUUCGCGGAACCGCCCGACUUCAUCACUGAUUCAAUAAUGACCGAGAUAUGCGAUUAGGGUCCAAGGCUCUAUCCUUCUAUGAGUUUUUGAUGCGAAAAUUAUCUUAACACACAAAUUUAACCCUCUUUUGACAAUUGUAGUAUAAGUAUAAGUAGGGAUCGUUCUAGGCCGGGGAUUAAGAGGGAUUGCUAAUUUACUCUAAACUGACUCAAAGACACAAAAACAAACUUAAAAGCGUUAGGAUAGAUUCAAAAUACUCAAAACUAGUUCACAAGACUCAACAUAAGCUAAGAAGACUCAAAACUGCCUAAAAACAACAACUAGGCAAUUUCUGACACUAAACACAAUUUUGGACGAAAAUAAAGUUUGGACUUGACUCAAAACACUUAAAACGCAAACAAAACAAGUUUAAAAGAAUUUGAAACAAGAAAGUAAUGGGGGGUUUGAUUUGGACGAACUUAGAAUAACAAAACAAAUUGUAACUUAAAAACAGGUUUGAAAAUAAAUUUAGAAAAUUAGAUGGAUGAUGGGAUAGCUAGAGGAUUUUUCUCCACACAUGACAUGUAUGCAAACAACUCGAUUUCCAGUUACUACUUCAUUGAAUUAUGAACGACAAUACUCCAAAUUAACUGUGACAUCACUAGUUAACCCUCAAAUUUUCCUUGUUUUAUUGGAUUGGAUGACAUCAUUCGACAACCCAAAACAUUCUUCAAAAGUUCCCUACAUGACAUCAUAAUAGAGAUACAAUCAAAGAUCAUUACAUUUAAUGAAAAUCAUAAGCAUUGACAAAGCACUUGCAACUAUGACAUCAUGUCACUCAUGCUAGGAAUUAAACUUAACGCGAUCGUUUAUAAGCGACCUCCACUACUUGUGAAUAUAAGUUUUUAACAAUUAUGUGAAACUUUCUUAUACUCUAGCAUCGGAUUUAUGCAUGCCAAUUAAGUGUCGACCCUUAAUCAACAAAUACAAAUAAGUUAUCAAUCAAACAGUUAAGCCAAUUGCAUUCAUGAUUCAAGAAUUCAUAACUGGAAUUUAUCAAAUCAUCUUGUACACAUAAUCAUGGCUUUGAAAUCACCCCUAGCCAAGAGGGGUUUAGCCACUCAUGUUCACAACAAAACGAAAGAAAAUGAAUUUAAACAUUGGAAACAAAAGAAAGAAAACACCUAAACGCUCCAAUGAUCCAAGUUGACAGCAAGCACGUCCAAGCACUUUCCUUUCCUUCCUUUGCUACGGCACAAGGUGUUGGUGAGUGUUUGAAGGUUGUUUGUAUGGAGGAAUGAAUGUAAAGAUGAAUGGAUGUGUUUGGAUGAAGGUUGUGUUGAAAUGGGAGUGAAUGAUCUAACAAAAUAUGCACUAAAUUUAUGUUACACACACUUCCUUUUAUAGAGGAAGUGCAAGGCAAUGGAGGGGGACAUGAAGUGUGUGUGCAAUGAUUCAAGGGUGAAAGUGAAGUAAUGAUGCAAAGCAUGGGUAAAAUAGAGUGGUGUUGAAAUGAUUCAAGGGUGAAAGUGAAGUAAUGAUGCAAAGCAUGGGUAAAAUGGAGUGGUGUUGAAAUGAUUCAAAGGUGAAAGUGAAGUAAUGAUGCAAAGUAUGAGGGGUAAAAUGGAGUGGUGUUGCAACAAUGAAUGCAAGUAGGGAACAUGAAUGAUUGUGCACAUGGUAGAGAAAGGAAAGUGAGGUGGAAUGGUGUAGAAAUGAGUCAAGGGUUAAGGUGGAGUGAUGAUUGAUGCAAGAAAUUUGGAAUGAUGGAGGGAACAAGGGUGGUGCAAGGCAAUGAGUGAAUGAAAUAGACAAGGAAUGUUGUUGGAACUUAGGGACAUUGAGGAUUAGGAAAGAUUAAAUCAAAAUAAGGUAAUCUUGACUCAUGUUUCUUCAUUGGUUGCUGAGCUCUUUGUCCUUUUUAAAUUAAUUCUUCUUUCUCUUUAACACAUUCCUAGCCUCUUUAAUCUUCAAUUUCGCCUAUCUACUUAGCUCCAAGGAUGUGUUAUAUAUUCCAAGCCCAAAACUGCUCCAAAAGGCUUCAAAAUGCACAUUUUUGCGUACGUUGUCCUUAGAACCUGAAAUUGCACGAAAAUGACUUUAAACACUAAAACAACUAAGGAAUAACAACAUAAAUGCAUGAGAACAAGCUAACUCAGUCGCAUAAAUAUGCUCCUAUCAGUUUUGGCUCUAUCUCCCUUUUGUAUUGGACGUGCAUCCGUAGGUCCUGAUAAGCAAAUAUAUAUCCCAGCUUUAAAAACAAAAAAAUUAACCAGUACGUUCCCAACAAAAUAAAUAACAAAAUACAUAAUGAAAUUAAAAAGUAGAAGGAAAGAAAUUUUAAGAAAUAAAGAUAUUUAACAACCACCAAUCAUUGGUGGCUCAAUGUUGAAGGCCACCAACAUCAGCGGCAUCCCAUGGUAAAACCACCAAAAAAUAGUAAGAGUAGCAACUUUACAUCUAUGGCCACCAAUUGCAAAGGGUGUGAAAAAAAUGGUGUCCUAUGAGCCAAAAUUCUAGUAGUGUGUGUGAUAUCUAUGCACCAACUUAAGGGGAGUGUAAACGUGAGUCAUUAAAAAUAAGUAUGUAAAUAUAUUGUAAAUAUUAGGAGUCCUUUAUUAGGAAGUUUUAAUUGUUGUGUCCUUUAUUUAUUAAGGAAAACUAAUGAAAAGAACUUGAAAACUUUGAGUUUUAACGAUAAAGACAAAAUAAAGGGUAAAAUGAAUAGUACCAGGUUUGACUUUUUAGUGUAAAAAUGUGGUUUUUCGUUAAAGUGAACAGUACCGUGGGUUUUUCGUUAAAACUCCCUAUUUAUUAUUGUUUCCAUAUAUAACAAGGAUUGUAUUUGUAUAUAUUUCAAGGAAGUAAUACAAUGAAAAUUAUUCCAUAAAAUUCUAUUAUUAAUGUUGUAUCAUAUCUCGGAGUUCGGGAUGUAACAUUAUUGUGAUUCGAUUUAGGUACAGACCUUACCAGAGUGACAAAGACAAGGCUCCUCCAGGGAGGACUAGUCGGAGGUGUGAAUGGACAUUUAUUUUAGAGAUGUUUCUUUACUUCUUUCACUACUCGAGAUUGCAGCAUAUCGGACGUAUAGCGCUGAUAGAAAGGAAAAAGAGAAUCGAUUAAGAAUUGAAAGAGCCUAUGGAAUUGUCUUCAAAGGAAUGCUCUCUUUUGAAUUCCUUAUUGUUGUCAAAGUCCUCAACUCGUAAUACUGAGAGAUUGAAUCUUUCACGCUCGGCCAAACUUUUCUUGGAAUUUGAAUUAGAUGAAACCAAGUCCUCAACUCGUAAUACUGAGAGAUUGAAUCUUUCACGCUUGGCCAAACUUUUCUUGGAAUUUGAAUUAGAUGAAACCAUAUGAACCUUGAACAGAGCAAAACAAAACUAAUACUGAGAGAUUGAAAUCAUUGAAGUGGACGUGGAUGCUGGGUACUUAACACUCAAGGAAAUCAGUCCAAGAAUGAAAACUCUCUUUUCAUUUGCUAUCCAAUUUUUUGGAAUUAUGUGUGUUGUCCAAUGGAUUAUUCUUUUUUUAUUAAAUUUCUAAGGAAAAUGAGCAUAAGGCGUAAAAGUUGAACUAAUGAAAUUUCAACGAUUUGGAAAGGGAUUAUGAGUUUGCCACGCCACGAAAAACUAUAUUAGAGAGAGAUGAGACAUUUUUUAGAAGAAAACCUCAUUUUCUAAGUGGUACACGCAACUUGAUUAGAAGAAAAGUCAUAGUAUUUUAUUUACUUCCAACUCUUUGGGGAAGAGAGUGCAAGUUUCCAAUGGAAUAUGGGAUGAAAUUUCUACAUAACUAUAUAUGACAAAGAAAGAAGUCUUAAGUUUCUAAGUGGUGAGGCUUCUAAUUGUGUGAGUUUGUUGAGAAAUGAAGAUGAACAUGAAUAUUGAUAUUGAUGUGAGUUAGUGAACAAGUUGCUUCGAUCUCCUUUGGCCCUCUAAUAAGAUAAUAUCGGAAAACAAGUUGUUACUAAUAUUUUUUUAAGUGUCACUAGUCUCGCCCUAUUGUCUUAUUUUUUUCAUCCACAUUAUAAUCUCACCCAUCAUAAAAAAUUAAAAAUAAAAAACUCUAUUUUCCCACCCACCCUUAUUCCUAAUAUAACCUUUUAUAUAUCUCUAAAUUCUUUUAGAUUUUAUCUAUUAGAAUAUAUAUAUAUAUACACACACACACACACACACCUCAACAAAAAAAUGAUAAAAAUUAGUUAACCAUCCCAAUUCCAAAACCGUAGAAGCAACAUAAUUCCAAACCCCAUCUGCACCACGAUCCUCAAUACGGCAGUCGUACCAACACCCAAGCUCCACCCCAUCCAACCUUCGCAACAACUGCAUUCCCUUCUCUGAAUGUAUGAGAACAAGAAAUACAUUUUUUUUUCAUCGUGUCUGGAGUAGCCAAGGAGGAGAAAAAGAAGUAGAAGCAAAACAAUAAAUCACACUAGAAGAGUCACUUUCAAUCCAUAAAUUUUGCCAAGCAUGCGCGUCAGCCAACUCCACAGCACGGAUGACCGCAUGAAGCUCCGCAUAUAAAGAAGUAUGAUGUCCCAAGCUCAAGGAGAAAUCCCUAAGAAAAUAACUCGCAGAAUCUCGAAAAACCCCACCACAAGCUGCAGGACCUGGGUUACCUUUAGCGAGGUUUUCCAUAUUCACUUUGACCCAGGAAAAUGAAGGGGGAUGCCAAGGAACGUGAACUAUGGAAUGAGCUUGACAAGACUCAGCCGAGAUUCGAAGAGAGAUUAAGAGUUGUUUAUCCAAAAUACCACGUACAUGAUCAUGAGUGAAAACUCCAACCUGCCUAAUCCAUGCCAAAGUGGAACGACAAAUGUGUGCAAAGGAAUGAGGCUUACUAAUACAUGUACCGGAUUGGUAGACUAAGACGUACGGUAAGAUUUUUGAUAACCAGAGAAGAUGAACACUGUCAAUGUCGUGACAAAAUUUAUCCAAAUAGAUCCAAACACUCAGGAAGUUUCAUAUGCAGAUCUAGAGCUAAUUUCCUUUUUUUAUCUUAUAGUCAUUACGUAAAAUGUAUAUGCAUAUUUCUAGAUGCAUACACACCAAUGUACAUAAUAUUAACUCCUUUCAAGUAGUCAUUUGCAAAUUUAUUUCAUGUGCCAUUUGUAAUGCUCAUGUGGUACAUUUCUAAUAUCUUAUAUAUAACUUUUUGUGAUCCGUUUCUUCAUCACUAUGCCUAAAUACCUUUAGAAUUUGGUAAUUUCCUCACCCCAAACAAACCCUAACACUCUGUUUAGAUAUGGUAAAAAAACUCGAAAUUUCAUUUAAACUCGAAAUUUCAUUUAAACUCGAAAAUUUAGGGAUGGGAAAGAAAUUUUCCCUUAUUUGGCACUUGUAGCGAGAGAAAAAGGCAAAUUCUAAGGGAAAAAAGUUGAAAUAGGGGAUGAAGAUUUUCCGAUUUUAAUUUCAUCUAAAUAGGUGUAAUUUCACAAUUCCAACUACGACGAGAAUCACAAAUUCAUAUGUAGGAAAAUCUUGCAAGCGCAAAACUUUACAAUUAGGGCACCAAAAUUUCAUGAUAAAACCUGAUAAGGGUUUAGGGCUGCAUCUUUCACUCUACUAACUCUCCAAUCUUCAAAGAGAUUUUCGGCUCAUGCAUCAUCUUCUUGCUUUUGUUAGAGGUCAGCGCCUCUAAUAUCUUCUUUCUUGAAUUAUUUUAGCUUUUCGGGUAUACUCUUUAAGCCAAUUGUGAAUUUUUGCUAAUUAUUUUUAUUUUCUGAUAGUCAUAAGUUUGUUGUGCUUGUUUUCUUUCUUCCGAUUGAAUUGUGUGUUGGUUGGAUCUGUGACACAAUUUUCAGUUUUUUUAUGGAUUUUGCUGCUAGUUCUUUGUUAUAAAUAUUUUGCUUUUGAAGGUUAACAAUAGCCAAGACUGAAUAGGAUGAUUUUGGCGUUAAUUACUAUCUCAUGGUACCAUACCACCACACGCCAAAGCCACCAUCACAUCAUCAUCGCCGCCACCACGAGCCCAUAGGACAACAAAAGCUUGGAGCUUGGGUGGCAGAGGAGAUAGCACCACACGCCAAAGUCACCAUCACAUCAUUAUCGUCGCCACCACGAGCCCAUAGUAAUGGACUUGGAUUGUCUGCCCUCCUAGUUGUGGUGCCCUUCCAUGCCCUCCUAUUUUGUACGGUCACGGUUAAGCCACGUCAAUAUUUUAUAUUAAUUUUUUAAUGAGAUAAUAAGACAAAAAAUAAUUAAAAUAUAAAAUAUUGACGUGGCUUAACCGUGACCGCACAAAAUAAGAGGGCAUGGAAGGGCACCACAACUAGGAGGGCAGACAAUCCAAGUCCCAUAGUAAUCGGCAUAAAAUCAUUAGCCUUAAACGCCGCCAGGGGUUUCCGCCGACUGAGAAAAAGAUAAGAUUUGUGAACACCGAGGUCAUAUCGAUGGCAUCAUAUCAAAACUGAAAUCUUUUAAUCAUCCUCAUCAUUACAGCUAUCCACAAAUUGAAGCAACGAAUUGGGCAAGUGUGCAACAAAUUUCCAAUGUGGGUUUAAUGAGGUUUGUAGUUAAAGAGGGAUGCAAUUUAAGGAUCUGUUCUUGUAAUUUUAUCUGUUCACUUUUGCUUUAUUUGUUUUUUGGUUGCAUUGCCUCAAAAACCUUGUGCUUAUACAUGUAUACAGAACUUUUGGUUAAAACAAAAAGUCACAUAUACCGUAAUUAUUUAAAUUUUGUUGCAUAUCACAAUAUAUCUUUGUUCAUACAUUCAAACAAGCAUGGCAAAUACCGAGGAGGAACAUAGGAAAAAAAUUAAAAUUAUUGUUACAAUUGUAUAUUUUAUUGACAUGGUCAUGCAUUGGUAUAGUAAGAGUUUCCUUGUCAUAGAAUUUUCAAAUGAUUGGGAUCAAGAAAGACAACAUUUUUGAAACUGAUUAUUCUCACCACACAGUAGAAACAAUUUUUUUAAAAGCAUAGCAAUACCAAACUACUACUGUCAUUCUCCUUGGCGCUAUAUUUUUCCUUAGCGCCAUAAGUUUGCUAAGGUGAAGAACCAGCGUCCAUUAAUUUCCAUAUGGAGAGAGAAAGAGAGAGAGAAGACCAAGUAGUCUCAUAAUAUAGGUGGUGUUAAAUCACCUUCCGUGAAGUUGCAAUGGUGUUUGAAACAGUUAGUCAACGGAAAAGACAGAAUUGUGUAUUAUAAUGCUAUCUCGCUAUCCCUCUUUCGUUAAUGGAGGGCACCGUAUAAAUGUAUAAUUACUACAUAUAUAUCUCUGCUCAAUUACAAAAAGAAAAAUCCAUGCGCAUUAUUUUUAUUAUUAUUAGCUUAGAAAUGCAGAAAUUGUUCAUCUCUUCCCUUUAUGUGUGCCCGGACUGGUUUUCUUCAAACUAGUUGGAACAAGCCAAUAUGUGUGCCCGGAAUCCAAGUGUGGCGAUGAUCAAGGCCCGGCUAUCCAAUCCCCAUUGCGCAUCAGCGUCACACAUCAGUGUGGAAAUCCUGGGCUUGAAUGCAAUGGGGGAUAUGAGCAGCAAAUACUAAUAAAAUCAUUUGUCAAACACAUAGAUUACAAGCGUCAGGAAAUCCAAGUAUAUGAUCCAAGCAACUGCCUGCUGCUAAAGCUUGCUGAAAUCACAACCAUGCCACCCUCUCCCUUCUACUUGACAAAUUUUAGAAACCUUAACCUUACCUUAUUCAGUUGUCCUACUUCUGUUGCAAGAGAUAUGGAUUUGUAUCAAGUCCCCUGCCUCGGCGACCCUAGCAGCAGAAUUUAUGCCAUUGAUUCUACAUACGAAUUAGAAGAUUUCUUCCAGAAUCUACAAUCUUGUUCAAAGAUGUAUGAUGUUUUAUCAGUUCCAUUUGGCGAUUGGGCGGGUAAUGGCCGUGUUCUUCAAUUCAAAUGGUCGAAACCAAAUUGUACAGAAUGUGAAGCAGAGGGAAAGAGGUGUAAAUGGAAGAACAAUGGCACCAACAGUGAAAUUGAAUGUCAACACGUGAGCAAACCAAGUAAGGAGAACAUUUUAUAUUCAUUGCUAAUUUUAAACAUCGUUAUAUUUAUGUCUCAGUAAGUAUUAUUUGAAGGAUGUUGUCCGAUCCAUAUUUCUGAGGAUAUUAAUUGUCAUUCUCAAUUUAAUUUGCAAUUCUUUUACAGGCAACACAUGGAAAUUAGUGGUUACAGGUGGAGUCCUGGGUUCUUUGCUUCUUGUUCUACUGAUGAUUGCAGCAUAUCGGGUAUAUAGAGCUGAUAGAAAGGAAAAAGAGAGCCAAUUAAGAAUUGAAAGAUUCUUGGAGGAUUACAAAGCACUCAAACCAAGCAGGUAUUCGUAUGCAGAUAUUAAGAGGAUUACAAAUCAAUUCAAGGACAAGUUGGGCGAAGGAGCCUAUGGAACUGUCUUCAAAGGAAUGCUCUCUUCUGAAUUCUUUAUUGCUGUCAAAGUCCUCAACAGUUCCAAGGGAGAUGGGGAAGAGUUCGUAAAUGAAGUGCGAACGAUGGGUCAUAUCCACCACGUCAACGUGGCUCGCUUGGUUGGAUUUUGUGCUGAUGGAUUUAUACGAGCUCUUGUUUACGAGUUCUUCCCCAACGGUUCCCUGCAGGAUUUCAUUUCAUCAGCAGAUAGUAAGAAUUCAUUUCUUGGUUGGGAUAAGCUGCAAGAUAUUGCCCUAGGCAUAGCCAAAGGAAUUGAAUAUCUUCACCAGGGAUGCGAUCUACGAAUCCUGCAUUUCGACAUCAAACCCCAUAAUGUUUUGCUAGACCAAAACUUCACUCCAAAAAUUUCUGAUUUUGGUUUGGCCAAGUUAUGUUCCAAGGAUCAAAGCUUGGUGUCCAUGACUACAGCUAGGGGGACCAUGGGCUACAUUGCACCUGAAGUGUUCUCCAGGAAUUUUGGAAAUGUGUCUUACAAGGCAGAUGUCUAUAGCUUUGGAAUGCUAUUGCUUGAGAUGGUAGGAGGAAGGAAAAAUAUUGGUUCAACCACGGAGAACACUACAAAUGAAAUUUACUAUCCACAGUGGAUUUAUAAUCUUCUAGAGGAAGGGGAUGACCUACGAAUCCAUACUGGGGAAGAAGAAGAUGGUAAAAUUCCAAGGAAACUUGCAAUUAUAGGGCUAUGGUGUAUCCAAUGGCACCCGUCAGAUCGUCCUUCCAUGGAAACAGCGGUUCAGAUAUUAGAAGGAGGAGGAGAAAGCUUGACAGUGCCGCCUAAUCCCUUCAUGCCUACGGGUCCUACAACUAGAAAUGCAAGACGCCUAGAGCUAGAAGCAAUUGCUGAAUUAGAGUAAAAUGUAAUAUGCAAAUGUAUAGUAACAUUCGCAUUGAAUGUGUAAUGAUUCAAACCUAUGGGAUAUUUUGAUAACUAUUUCGUUUUGGUACCAACCAAAAGAAGUUUGUUUCCACUCCUUGUUUAAGUAUUAGAUGCCAAUUAUUGUUUUUUUUUUUUAAUUUAUUUUUGGAUACAGUAGAAGCCUAGAAGGAAAUCGAGCACUAAACUUACCAAAUUCUAACUCAUUUCUACACACCAAGAGCUUGAUUUCGGUUCUUAUUUAUACUAUUUAAUCUCUAACCCGUGACAAUAAUUAGAGCACUAUCAUUUGUUGUGAGCUUCAACUGGUUAGCAUUUUGUAUGUUUUAAACUUUUGAUUAGAAUAUAUAUUUCAUUUAGACUUAUCUUGCCAUAAAGCAUGCCAUACCCUCUUAAGUUUUUCUCUUCGCGUUGAGUUUAUGAUAAGGAAACUUGUCAAACAAAGUGGAUUGAUUAGUAACUGAAGCUAAUUAUUCCGCUAAAUAUUAUUUAGAAUUUUAAUUAAAAAAACAAUAUGAAUAUUUUUGUUUGAUUUGAAAACUAUAAAAUAAAUAAAAAGAUUAAAUUGUUAAUUGUUAAAAAUGGAGAGGUGAUAAAUAUUGGUAGAGAUCGAAUUUGUACAAGAAUGUAUAAGCAUUAUUGCACUCUCCCACAACGAUAAAUCACAUUAAACAAAAAGUAGUAGUUUGAGGAUGGAAGAAACUUCAUGGAUACCGGGUAAUCAACACAAUAUUGGGUGGGGUGUAGAGGUGACGCGGAAGGAAUUGGCGAGCUGGUAGAAGGAAUGGGAUUUGGGGACGCAAGAGAUUGCGUGGAAGGUAGAGGCGGGCGUGAGGGUGACGUGAGGGCAAGGGAAGUAGCAGACCGUGUGGGCUGCUGCUGUGGUUGAUCCACGAGAUGGAUUGUGUGCCCUUCCAUCCUCAUACCCUUUUAUUUUGUGCGGUUACGAUUAAAUCACGUCAAAAUUUGUUUUUUAUCUUAUUAUUUUUAUAAAAAAAUUAAUAUAAAAUGUUAACGUUGCUUAAACUUGACAGCACAAAAUAAGAAUGCAUGAAGAAGGUAUAAAAAAGAGAGGACAGACAAUCCAUCUCCGUUGAUCAACUAGGCUGGCAGGAUAGCCUUUUUGACCAAAUUAUUAAGCGCAUAGAUUUUUUGACCAAGAAGGUAGCCAACAAAUAUGCAACAUAUUUCACGGGAAUCAAAUUUGUCAGUGGGAUGGACACUCAUAUUCUUCGUCAUUCAUUUUUGGUGUUGAAAAAUAUAAUAAAUUAUAUCAAUGUUCUCUUAAUUUUAAAUAAAUUGAAAAAAUAAUUUUUUAACUAAAUAUUCAUUAUUAUUAAUCCAUUAACUCAUCAAAAUAUGUAGCUAUAGUCAUUUUCAUCAGCUCUCUCAUAAUUAUGUCAAAAUGAGUUAUGUUGGAAUGAUCAUUGCCCCAAUUGGGUUAAAGAUAUGGACCAUUGCUCCCAUUGGGUUAAAGUUGAUUGACAAUUUCUCCAGUUGGAUUAAAAUUGAGGGACCCUUAAUAUAAUUUUUCUUAUUUGAUUUUUCAUAUUUGCCCCUUGAUUUAGCCUCCAAUUUACUUUAAAAAAUAAAAGUCUCCUACUUUAGUUGAAAGAUCAAUGCUACAAUUUACUUCAAAAAAUAAAAGCCUCCUACUUUAGUUGCUUUGGAAAAUCCUUUCAACCAUCCAAAACAUGGAUCUAUGGAGCCAAGAAGCAAGAGUUUAUCCAUAUUCAUGGAUACAAGAAGCUAUGAGCAGAGGAAUGAGCUUUAAGUGAUUAUCCUUGAGGAUCUACAAAAGUAUAAAGUCAACUCUUUUGUUUUGAAUUUGAGUUGAGUCUUUGACUAACAACUACUAGGCUCUAAAUUUUAUGAGUUAAAUUUUAUUUUUGAGUGCAUAUAAGCAUGAUAGAGCCUUUAAUUGUUAAUUACAUGUAUGAGUGUUGCUCAAAUGAACUUAGCUUAUCAAAAAUUUCCUUCAAGACCAACUUCUAUGGCACACGUAGUUUCUCGUGCCAAUCACAUGAACAUUAUGUAAAAAGAAUUUACAUGUUGCGUUGCAUGAUUGACAAUUAACGAUACAUAGUGUUAUAACCGUGUCAAUGUUAUGAAAGUUUUUAUGCAAAGUCACUUGAUAUGCCGCAACAAUUAGUAAACAAUAUUAGAAAGACCUAGAGGAACCCACAAUUAAUUCCAAUUCAUUAAGUAGCUCAUGUGCAAGCAAAGUAUGGGCUUCCCAUGGGCCGGAGCUAGAAUUUACCCAUAUUUGGUAGUUAUGUGGCAUUAUACGAGGAGCCUGCUCAGCGUUCAAUAUGUGCACCCGCAUGAUGUUGAGUGUAAUAACAAAUAUAAAUAAAAAAUAAGUAAAAUGCUAGAGAGAUUACAUGUUUAUAUUACAUUGUUGUACCAUAUUGUGAUAUGGAUGUGUACAUACCACGUUUUGUAAUGAGUUUAUCUCAUUAAAUGUUAGAUUGUUGGUUAUAUGUAUCACUCGUCACAUCAUAUGAUAUAUUAAUAUGGUAUAAAUAUGCAGUCUCUCCAACAUUACUCUACUAAAGAGUAAUAUUGCACUUACCAUAUUUGUACCAUCAAUUUAUAAAAGUAUGGCUCAUCAACACAUGUAUGUCAUAUCUCCGUUAAAAAGGUGAUACAUAUAUGGUAUGAAAAAUAUGAUAAGACUAGCAUUUACAAAAAAUAAAAUUUUAAAAGUUAAAUGAAAUGAACAAAACACAGGAAAUUUGAAAGGUACUGAACAAAAUCAAUCGCAUUCAAAUCAGUCCUGAAAGAAACGAAUUGUACUGGAGUAUACAGAAACCACCACAAAAAAGGAUUAGCAAUUCAAUGCCACGAAAAACAGGGGGAGAUCUUAAUCAACACAUAUGAGACGUACAAGUACAAUUCAUCUGUAAAGUACAAUCAUUUAUCAGAAACCCCAAAGACAGGAAAUAUACAUCUAAACUUGCUAAGUCCUUUAGUUCUUGGAAUCAUCUAAGAACUACUUAUUCGAGCAGAUGCUAUGCUUGCAUUACUAGAAUUUAUGGCUUGCCCUGUCAACUAUUGCUCGACAGAGAAGAUUUCGUCGGUUUCACCUUUUUUAACCGACAGAAUAUAAGUUUAGUAGGGAAAAAUUAGUCAACAAACUGGGUUGACUGAAUAGAUUUACAGGAUGGCUAGAGUUUGUAGAUUAAUACAUCAGUCGUCGGGCAAACAUUUGGAGCAAAGAUGGAAGUGUUUUAACUGACGAAUAAGCUAGUCGUAGUGUAGAUCUUCUUUACCAACGGACAGUUCACCGAAUAGUUCUUUGGAUAACAAUUCAUUCUCAAGGGGAACAUGUUGCUUCUUAGAUAAAUGGUUAGAGGCAAUUGUGAGAUCAUAAUUUUCUAGCGAAGGAAUAAAGCUGAUCCGAAUACAGUAAAGCCCUCAUCGAUUCUCUCUUUGUAACCAUCCACCAAAUGCCCUGAUAGGAUUUUUAGAACCUACACAAAUAAGGUUAAAAUCACACAAAAGACUUGCAAGAGUACAAUAAUGUUGUAGUAUAGAUACUCAUGCAAAGUCGUUCUCUACAAUGACUAUUUUAAUAAUUUAUGUAAAAACAAUUCAUAUUUAAUUACUUAAAAUUAAAAAUUGAGAAAGGAGAUUUUGAAUUUGGGUAAUAUUAAAAACGAAUUUUAAUUAAAAACUAAUAUUAAAUUCCCCAAAAUUAAUACGAUAAAAGAAAAGAGUUGUAAAUACCCAUUUAUAAAAGCACUAGGGUUCCACCAUCAUCUAGCAAUCCUAUGUAUUUUUACCAAUUACUUAUGAUCUACACAUGCCACUUUGAAUGUUAGGUUUUUCUAAUAUAUACUAGCAUUUGCCUACAUACUUUGUGUGUAUGAACACAUUUUUUUAGAAAAUGAGAAGGAGAGAGGGAGAGAGAGAACGUUGGGGGGGGGGGGAGGGAGUGGGAGGUUUUUGUUUUUGGUUUUUUUUUUUAAUUUAUUAUAUUGGAGGUAUUUUAACAUCACAUAUAGGUGAGGCUUCAAUAAAAAAAAGUAAAAUUUGGAUAUGUGAAAUUACAUUAUUGCCCAUCAUAUUUUUUGUGUGAUAGAAAAUUAAAUUGUCUUUUCACCAUCUUUUAGUUGACAAAGAAGGUUUCAUUAAUUAGUAGAGAUUCUACUUGAAACCUCCAACAUAAAAUGUAUAUCUAACAUGCAAUCUAUUCGGAUGUUCGGAUCAAAUAUGAACAUGACAGACUCAUUAUGUUUUAUGAAAAUCAUUUGAAAAACCAUGCAACCCUUAAGAUGUGGUGUUCAUCCUAAUUAAAAUUACAAUUAUUAACCACAAGAAGCCAACGUCAAUUUCAAGGAAUCUUUCGACCAAAAUUGCAUCAAAUUACUUUUCUAAAUAUCUUAAUGUGAUCAAGCAUUAAGACAAUUAGACAGUUUAAAACGGUAAUCAAUAAUUCAAAGCGUGCAUGCAAUCAAUCAUAAGCAAUUAAAUUAAAUAAAAAUUACAUAUUCAUGCUAAGGCUCAAGGCUUUGCCCUAGCAAACGGAUUAGUUACGCAUAUUCAUAAUUAAAAUCCUAGAAAAUAUUAUUAUUAUGAAGAAAAAGAAUGAAAACACUUUAAAAUAAAAAUCUGAAAGUCUUCAAGAACCCUAACCAAUUUCUCUAUGUCUCCAAAGUCACAUACAAGAGAAGAUAAAUAGACUAGGGCCGGCCAAAACCUUAAAUAUCCCCCUAAAACCAUCGCAUAAUCCUUAGAAAACAAAAUCUUUUAUUCCUACUAGGAAACUAAAUAAUAAUAAAAUAUCUUUUAAAAUAAAGUCCUAAUUAAGCUAGGAAAUCUACCAAGUAACUGUCCAGCCAUGUUUUACCCUCCAAUUUCCUCCAAAUUCAGCCCAUAAUAGCUUGUUUUGAAGAUCGGGAUGUUUUGAACACAUCUCCAAAAGGUCACGAACCCAUCAGAUGUCAUCUCGAGACCUACCGCUUAUGGGCGAAGGCACUUGCCAUCGCACCAAGUGCGACCUCUAAGAAGAAGAAGGAAGAAGAAAAAAAAAAAAACCCAACCCAGUUUGUCCCCCCCUCAACAAACCCAGAAACAACAACAACAACAACAACAAAGCCUUUUCCCACUAAGUGGGGUCGGCUAUAUGAAUCCUAGAACGCCAUUGCGCUCGGUUUUGUGUCAUGUCCUCCGUUAGAUCCAAGUACUCUAAGCCUUUUCUUAGAGUCUCUUCCAAAGUUUUCCUAGGUCUUCCUCUACCCCUUCGGCCCUGAACCUCUGUCCCGUAGUCACAUCUUCGAACCGGAGCGUCAGUCGGCCUUCUUUGCACAUGUCCAAAUCACCGGAACCGAUUUUCUCUCAUCUUUCCUUCAAUUUCGGCUACUCCUACUUUACCUCGGAUAUCCUCAUUCUCAAUCUUAUCCUUUCUCGUGUGCCCACACAUCCCACGAAGCAUCCUCAUCUCCGCUACACCCAUUUUGUGUACGUGUUGAUGUUUCACCGCCCAACAUUCUGUGCCAUACAACAUCGCUGGCCUUAUUGCCGUCCUAUAAAAUUUUCCCUUGAGCUUCAGUGGCCUACGACGGUCACACAACACGCCGGAUGCACUAUUACACUUCAUCCAUCCAGCUCGUAUUCUAUAAUUGAGAUCUCCAUCUAGUUCUCCGUUCUCUUGCAAGAUAGAUCCUAGGUAACGAAAACGGUCGCUUUUUGUGAUCUUCGCUAGAUUGCUCCGGUCAUUAGUGUGGAUAAGUAUAUAAAUGGAUAGAGAUAGGAAAGCAAACACAAGAUGUACGUGGUUCACCCAGAUUGGCUACGUCCACGGAAUAGAAGAGUUCUCAUUAAUUGUGAAGGGUUUACACAAGUACAUAGGUUUAAGCUCUCCUUUAGUGAGUACAAGUGAAUGAUUUAGUACAAAUGAUAUUAGAGUACAAAUGACAUUAGGAAAUAUUGUGGGAGAAUGAUCUCGUAAUCACGAAACUUCUAAGUAUCGGAGUGUGGUAUCAUCUUGACUUGCCUUAUCUGUCUCAUAGGUAGAUGUGGCAGCUUCUCUGGAAGUACUCUUCCUCCAUCCAGGGGUGGUAUCUUUAAUUGGUGGAGAUGCACAAGGUAAUGUAUCAAUUUCACUUGAAGCUUACUUGUAGUUUCAAGCUUGGUCAAGCGCGAUACAAACCAUGUAGUAGGACUCCCCCAAGUCGCCGAGCUAGGGGAUCUGCUGAAAGAGGUGACAGACAAGGUAAGCAAUCAGAGCUCCAGCUGAUUGUUCACCUUCUCCCCAUCUUGCAGCAGCAUGAAGGAUACAACAACAACAACAAAGCCUUUUCCCACUAAGUGGGGUCGGCUAUAUGAAUCCUAGAACGCCAUUGCGCUCGGUUUUGUGUCAUGUCCUCCGUUAGAUCCAAGUACUCUAAGUCUUUUCUUAGAGUCUCUUCCAAAGUUUUCCUAGGUCUUUCUCUACCCCUUCGGCCCUGAACCUCUGUCCCGUAGUCACAUCUUCGAACCGGAGCGUCAUUCGGCCUUCUUUGCACAUGUCCAAAUCACCGGAGCCGAUUUUCUCUCAUCUUUCCUACAAUUUCGGCUACUCCUACUUUACCUCGGAUAUCCUCAUUCCCAAUCUUAUCCUUUCUCGUGUGCCCACACAUCCCACGAAGCAUCCUCAUCUCCGCUACACCCAUUUUGUGUACGUGUUGAUGCUUCACCGCCCAACAUUCUGUGCCAUACAACAUCGCUGGCCUUAUUGCCGUCCUAUAAAAUUUUCCCUUGAGCUUCAGUGGCCUACGACGGUCACACAACACGCCGGAUGCAUUCUUACACUUCAUCCAUCCAGCUCGUAUUCUAUGGUUGAGAUCUCCAUCUAAUUCUCCGUUCUCUUGCAAGAUAGAUCCUAGGUAGCGAAAACGGUCGCUUUUUGUGAUCUUCGCUAGAUUGCUCCGGUCAUUAGUGUGGAUAAGUAUAUAAAUGGAUAGAGAUAGGAAAGCAAACACAAGAUGUACGUGGUUCACCCAGAUUGGCUACGUCCACGGAAUAGAAGAGUUCUCAUUAAUUGUGAAGGGUUUACACAAGUACAUAGGUUCAAGCUCUCCUUUAGUGAGUACAAGUGAAUGAUUUAGUACAAAUGACAUUAGGAAAUAUUGUGGGCUUUUUAAGAUGGCCUCCCGUGCUUUUUAAAGAAUGAUCUCGUAAUCACGAAACUUCUAAGUAUCGGAGUGUGGUGUCGUCUUGACUUGCCUUAUCUGUCUCAUAGGUAGAUGUGGCAUCUUCUCUGGAAGUACUCUUCCUCCAUCCAGGGGUGGUAUCUUUAACUGGUGGAGAUGCACAAGGUAAUGUAUCAAUUUCACUUGAAGCUUACUUGUAGUUUCAGGCUUGGUCAAGCGCGAUACAAACCAUGUAGUAGGAGUCCCCCAAGUCGCCGAGCUAGGGGGUCUGCUGAAAGAGGUGACAGACAAGGUAAGCAAUCAGAGCUCCGACUGAUUGUUCACCUUCUCCCCAUCUUGCAGCAGCAUGAAGGAUAAAGAGAAGAAAAAUGAGAAGAGAUGAUAUGAGAUACUUUUGCUUUUGAAGAAGUAACUUUCCACAGGCUUAUUCUUGAACUGAGCUGGAGGGUUUUCUGGUUUCCUCCAGAGUAUAAGGCCGACUGAAGAAUUUGAGGGUCAAAACAAGUCCAUCAAAUCUAGAGUACGUUCCACCCUGCUGAUAUGGGAUACUUUUGCUUUUGACAGAGUAAUGGAUGUAUCGGCACGUGUGCUGUUACGCUUGUCUCCACAUGCUUCCUUGUAUCCUUCGCACUUGCCCUAUCUGUUCCUCAAGCAGAUGCGGAAUCUUCCCUGGAAACAUAAGAUGUUGAAGAUGAGUACUCGAGAGCAAUGCCAGGUAAGUAAUCAGGUAAGGGGUUCCAGGCAGUCAGUUCCUGGCUGGAAGCUUGAUUCCAAGUGCUGACUGAUUGCUCUCUUUCUCCUUGUCUUGCAGGUAAAAACAAGGCCAAAAGGAAAAGACAGGGAAAAAGCAUGAUAUGGGAUACUCUUGCUUUUAACCCUGAUGAUAUGAGAUAUUCUUGCUCUAGUAUAGCUUGUUUGCAGAGGUAUUAUCGGGGGGAAAGAAAGCUGAAUAUUUCGAAAGGCUUCGUUGGGAGUGCCCUCUCAGAUAUGAUGAAGGGUUGAGCAUUUUUGCAGGUCUGCCUGUCCGUUGGGGAUGGAGGUCGACAUAUAUAGGAGUCUCCCUAACAACAAGUAGUAAUGCUAUUCCUUUACCCUGCUUGGUCAUAGCACGGUAGUGGGAGCUGCCAGUUUCACAUGUUUUAACUCUGUCAGAGCACUUUGAAAAAGUGGUCUGUGGUAUCUGGCUCUCGAGAUUCGGAGAACGAUGCCUCUUCGAUUUUUGAGAAAGCAAUCAUGCUGGGGGUCUGGCUCUCGAGAUUCGGAGAGAGCAGUGUCUCUUCGAUUUUUGAGGAAGUAAUCAUGUUGGGAGUCUGGCUCUCGAGAUUCGGAGGGCGGUGCCUCUUCGAUUUUGGAGCAAGCAAUCUUGUUGGGAGUGUUGUCUCGAAUGUGAGUAAAGGUUGGGCAUGUUUGCUAGUCUACCUUGCCACGAAGCACAAAGGUUGACACACAGGGACUUUCCAAUUAUCCAGCAAUGGUACUGUUCCUUUACCCUCUCUUCGAUUUUGAGAAAGUAGUCAUGUUGGGAGUCUGGCUCUCGAGAUUCGGAGGACGGUGCCUCUUCGAUUUUGGAGCAAGCAAUCUUGUUGGGAGUGUUUUCUCGAAUGUGAGUAAAGGUUGGGCAUGUUUGCUAGUCUACCUUGCCACGAAGCACAGAGGUUGACACACAGGGACUUUCCAAUUAUAUCCAGCAGUGGUACUGUUCCUUUACCCUUGUGGGUAAUAAUAUGGUAGCUAGACCUUCAAAAUUUAUGUGUCUAAACUUUGUUAGUGCUGUUUCUUUGCUAUUCUUUUACCUUUCUUGGUCAGAGCGAUGUAGUGGGAGCUGCAAGCUUCACGUGCUCAACUUUGGCAGAGAACUUUGGCAAAGUUAUCUGUGGUACCCAUGAGCUAUUGUUGCGUGUGGGAAGUGGGUGAUUGAACAGUAAGAUUCAUGUGCUUUCUACUUCACCAGAAGUCUUCGACAGAAUGCCCAUAAUUUCUGCAAAGCUGAGUGUGCGUGUGACAGGUGCUGACAAGGCUAGAAAAGUAGGUGCCUCUUCGAUUUCUGAGAUCGGCCCUCGUGGUCUCUGAGCAGCCCAGCUUUUGAGAAAGCGAGCGCCUCUUCGAUUGAUUCGGAGAACGAUGCCUCAUCGAUUUUUGAGAAAGCAAUCAUGCUGGGGGUCUGGCUCUCGAAGAUUCGGGGAGCAGUGUCUCUUCGAUUUUUGAGAAAGUAAUCAUGUUGGGAGUCUGGCUCUCGAGAUUCGGAGGGCGGUGCCUCUUCGAUUUUGGAGCAAGCAAUCUUGUUGGGAGUGUUUUCUCGAAUGUGAGUAAAGGUUGGGCAUGUUUGCUAGUCUACCUUGCCACGAAGCACAGAGGUUGACACACAGGGACUUUCCAAUUAUCCAGCAAUGGUACUGUUCCUUUACCCUCUCUUCGAUUUUUAAGAAAGUAGUCAUGUUGGGAGUCUGGCUCUCGAGAUUCUGGCUUUUGGAGCAAGCAAUCUUAUUGGGAGUGUUUUCUCGAAUGUGAGUAAAGGUUGGGCAUGUUUGCUAGUCUACCUUGCCACGAAGCACAGAGGUUGACACACAGGGACUUUCCAAUUAUCCAGCAGUGGUACUGUUCCUUUACCCUUGUGGGUAAUAAUAUGGUAGCUAGACCUUCAAAAUUUAUGGGUCUAAACUUUGUUAGUGCUGUUUCUUUGCUAUUCUUUUACCCUUCUUGGUCAGAGCGAUGUAGUGGGAGCUGCAAGCUUCACGUGCUCAACUUUGGCAGAGAACUUUGGCAAAGUUAUCUGUGGUACCCAUGAGCUAUUGUUGCGUGUGGGAAGUGGGUGAUUGAACAGUAAGAUUCAUGUGUUUUCUACUUCCCCAGAAGUCUUCGACAGAAUGCCCAUAAUUUCCGCAAAGCUGAGUGUGCGUGUGACAGGUGCUGACAAGGCUGGAAAAGUAGGUGCCUCUUCGAUUUCUGAGAUCGGCCCUCGUGGUCUCUGGGGAGCCCAGCUUUUGAGAAAGCGAGCGCCUCUUCGAUUUCUGAGAUCGGCCUUCGUGGUCUUUGAGCAGCCCAACUUUUGAGAAAGCAAACGCCUCUUCGAUUUCUGAGAUCAACCCUCGUGAUCUCUAAGCAGCCCAGCUUUUGAGAAAGCAAACGCCUCUUCGAUUUCUGAGCAGGCGCCUCUUCGAUUUCUGAAGCUCCGUCGAGUGCAGAUUUUUAUAGGGGCUGGCAUUAAGUUCCAAAGCACACUUGAAUCUCCACCAGUAGAAGCUUCAUUCUUGCACUUCUAAGAUCUUGAUUUGUCCGACCUCUUCUCUCUUCAACACCUUUGAAAAUGUCUGGCCCCUCCGACCGUCGUUUUGACUUGAACCUUGUUGAAGAGGCAGCCCCGCCUUCUCCAGACAACAUAUGGCGCCCAUCCUUCGUCUCCCCUACUGGUCCUCUUACCGUUGGGGAUUCCGUGAUGAAGAAUGAUAUGACCGCUGCGGUGGUGGCCAGGAACCUUCUCACUCCCAAAGAUAACAGACUACUUUCCAAACGGUCUGAUGAGUUAGCUGUUAAGGAUUCGCUGGCUCUCAGUGUUCAGUGUGCAGGUUCUCUGUGUCUAAUAUGGCCCAACGCCUAUUUGCUCGAACCCGCCAAGUUGAAUCAUUGGCGGCUGAAGUGAUGAGUCUCAAACAGGAGAUUAGAGGGCUCAAGCAUGAGAAUAAACAGUUGCACCGGCUCGCACAUGACUAUGCUACAAACAUGAAGAGGAAGCUUGACCAGAUGAAGGAAACUGAUGGUCAGGUUUUACUUGAUCAUCAGAGAUUUGUGGGUUUGUUCCAAAGGCAUUUAUUGCCUUCGUCUUCUGGGGCUGUACCGCGUAAUGAAGCUCCAAAUGAUCAACCUCUGAUGCCUCCUCCUUCUAGGGUUCUGUCCAGUACUGAGGCUCCAAAUGAUCCCCCUCCGGUGCCUUCUCUUUCUGGGGCUCUACCGACUGCUGAGACUUCUCCUAAGCAACCUUUGUGAAGGCUCCCUCUUGUGUGUUUAUUUUGACUCAUGUAUAUGUACAUAUUUGUAGCUUAUCGGGGAUAUCAAUAAAUAAGCUUUCCUUCAUUUCAACGUAUUGUGUUAAAUACACCAAAGCCUUCUUCGCUAAGUUCUUUGAAUUUUCUUUUGUUGAAGCUUGUAUGUUGAAGCUUUCUGAGUGGAGCAUGUAGGUUGGGGUAGUGUUCCCUUAAUUUCCCGAGUGAGGAAAACUUCUCGGUUGGAGACUUGGAAAAUCCAAGUCACUGAGUGGGAUCGGCUAUAUGAAUCUUAGAACGCCAUUGUGCUCGAUCCUGUGUCAUGUCCUUCGUUAGAUCCAAGUACUCUAAGUCUUUUCUUAGAGUCUCUUCCAAAGUUUUCCUAGGUCUUCCUCUACCCCUUCGGCCCUGAACCUCUGUCCCAUAGUCGCAUCUUCUAAUCGGAGCGUCAGUAGGCCUUCUUUGCACAUGUCCAAACCACCGUAACCGAUUUUCUCUCAUCUUUCCUUCAAUUUCGGCUACUCCUACUUUACCCCGGAUAUCCUCAUUCCUAAUCUUAUCCUUUCUCGUGUGCCCACACAUCCAACGAAGCAUCCUCAUCUCCGCUACACCCAUUUUGUGUACGUGUUGAUGUUUCACCGCCCAACAUUCUGUGCCAUACAGCAUCGCCGGCCUUAUUGCCGUCCUAUAAAAUUUUCCCUUGAGCUUCAGUGGCAUACGGCGGUCACACAACACGCCGGAUGCACUCUUCCACUUCAUCCAUCCAGCUUGUAUUCUAUGGUUGAGAUCUCCAUCUAAUUCUCCGUUCUUUUGCAAGAUAGAUCCUAGGUAACGAAAACGGUCGCUCUUUGGUAUUUCUUGAUCUCCGAUCCUCACCCCUAACUCGUUUUGGCCUCCAUUUGCACUGAACUUGCACUCCAUAUAUUCUGUCUUUGAUCGGCUUAGGCGAAGACCUUUAGAUUCCAACACUUCUCUCCAAAGGUUAAGCUUUGCAUUUACCCCUUCCUGAGUUUCAUCUAUCAACACUAUAUCGUCUGCGAAAAGCAUACACCAAGGAAUAUCAUCUUGAAUAUGUCCUGUUAACUCAUCCAUUACCAACGCAAAAAGGUAAGGACUUAAGGAUGAGCCUUGAUGUAAUCCUACAGUUAUGGGAAAGCUUUCGGUUUGUCCUUCAUGAGUUCUUACGGCAGUCUUUGCUCCUUCAUACAUAUCCUUUAUAGCUUGGAUAUAUGCUACUCGUACUCCUUUCUUCUCUAAAAUCCUCCAAAGAAUGUCUCUUGGGACCCUAUCAUACGCUUUUUCCAAAUCUAUAAAGACCAUGUGUAAAUCCUUUUUCCCAUCUCUAUAUCUUUCCAUCAAUCUUCGUAAGAGAUAGAUUGCCUCCAUGGUUGAGCGCCCUGGCAUGAACCCGAAUUGGUUGUCCGAAACCCGUGUCUCUUGCCUCAAUCUAUGCUCAAUGACUCUCUCCCAGAGCUUCAUUGUAUGACUCAUUAGCUUAAUACCCCUAUAGUUCAUGCAAUUUUGUACGUCGCCCUUAUUCUUGUAGAUAGGCACCAAAGUGCUCGUUCGCCACUCAUUUGGCAUCUUCUUCGUUUUCAAAAUCCUAUUGAAAAGGUCAGUGAGCCAUGUUAUACCUGUCUCUCCCAAAAGUUUCCACACUUCGAUUGGUAUAUUCGUCUGGGCCUAUUGCUUUUUUAUGCUUCAUCUUCUUCAAAGCUACAACCACUUCUUCCUUCCGGAUUCGACGAUAAAAAGAGUAGUUUCUACACUCUUCUGAGUUACUCAACUCCCCUAAAGAAGCACUCAUUUCAUGUCCUUCAUUGAAAAGAUUAUGAAAAUAACCUCUCCAUCUGUCUUUAACCGCGUUCUCUCUGUAGCAAGAACCUUUCCAUCCUCAUCCUUGAUGCACCUCACUUGGUUUAGGUCCCUUGUCUUCUUUUCCCUUGCUCUAGAUAGUUUAUAGAUAUCCAACUCUCCUUCUUUGGUAUCUAGUCGUUUAUACAUAUCGUCGUAAGCCGCUAACUUAGCUUCUCUAACAGCUUUCUUCGCCUCUUGCUUCGCUUUUCUAUACCUUUCACCAUUUUCAUCGGUCCUCUCCUUGUAUAAGGCUUUACAACAUUCCUUCUUAGCCUUCACCUUUGUUUGUACCUCCUCAUUCCACCACCAAGAUUCAUUUUGGUGUGGGGCAAAGCCCUUGGACUCUCCUAAUACCUCUUUUGCUACUUUUCGGAUACAACUAGCCAUGGAAUCCCACAUUUGGCUAGCUUCCCCCUCUCUAUCCCACACACAUUGGGUGAUUACCUUCUCUUUGAAAAUGGCUUGUUUUUCUUCUUUUAGAUUCCACCAUCUAGUCCUUGGGCACUUCCAAGUCUUGUUCUUUUGUCUUACUCUUUUGAUAUGUACAUCCAUCACCAACAAGCGAUGUUGAUUAGCCACGCUCUCUCCUGGUAUAACUUUGCAAUCCUUACAAGUUAUACGAUCCCCUUUCCUCAUUAGAAGAAAAUCUAUUUGUGUUUUUGACGACCCACUCUUGUAGGUGAUCACAUGUUCUUCUCUCUUCUUAAAGAAGGUGUUGGCUAAGAAGAGAUCAUAUGCCAUUGCAAAAUCCAAGAUAGCUUCCCCAUCCUCGUUUCUCUCCCCAAAACCAUGGCCACCAUGAAAACCUCCAUAGUUGCCUGUCUCCCUGCCCACAUGUCCAUUUAAAUCUCCUCCUAUAAAUAACUUCUCCGUCUGAGCAAUUCCUUGCACCAAGUCUCCAAGAUCUUCCCAAAAUUUCUCCUUCGAACUCGUAUCCAACCCUACUUGAGGUGCGUACGCACUAAUCACAUUAAUAAGUUCUUGUCCUAUUACAAUCUUGAUUGCCAUGAUUCUAUCUCCUACCCUCUUGACAUCUACAACAUCUUGUACCAAGGUCUUGUCCACGAUGAUGCCAACACCGUUUCUCGUUCUAUUUGUGCCCGAAUACCAAAGUUUAAACCCUGAGUUUUCUAGAUCCUUUGCCUUACUACCAACCCACUUAGUUUCUUGUAGGCACAUAAUAUUUAUCCUUCUCCUCACCAUAACUUCCACUACUUCCAUAGAUUUUCCCGUUAAUGUUGCUGACAUAUUAAACUACACAACAUCUAUUGUAAUUUAUGUCUUAUUAGUAUCAUCACUUUUGUUCUUUAUUUCAAUGUCUAACAUAAUGAUCUGGUUUCAAUUUGCUACAGGCAUUAUUCCCAGACAAUAGCUAUGGUUUUGAUUGUAGCGGUGACUGAAAAAUUAUUCCGAAACUAACAUUUGAGGAAUUCAAGGUUUGUUAGUUAAUUUGUACAUCAGAAUACCAUGACAAACUUUGAAGUUGUAAUUGUUGACCUUACAACGUAUCUUUUGGUUUGGAGCAUUAGACUUAUAUGUGUUGCUUUCACUUGAAGGCUAACUCUUUAUUUUAGGCCUUGGAAUAUAACUAGGAAAUUGUGCCCGCACGUUGUUGCAGGAACGAAAAUAAAACUAUAGAACAUAUCAUGAAAAUCCAAAUGUACAUAAAUGUUGAGUAACACUAUUAACAUAAACAUAAUAAAGACUGCAUAUAAAAUGUAGUCAAUAUUUUUACAGGCCACUGUUUAUAGUUGUACAAUUUAGGCAAAAAACAUUAGGAAACAUUUUGACAUGGAUGUACAAAAGUGAUGAGUCUGAUAUUUCCCCCUGGUAGCUAUGUUAGGUGUUGAUCAGCAUCAGUUGUUCAUGUGCACAAAAAAUAGGGGUAUCAAUGUUAUGGUGGCCUAUUUACACGCAAAAAAUAUGGAGAAGCACUGAUGUUGUUUUAACAAAAGAUGAUCAGUCUCUUUUCUAUAGCAGCAAAAGUUUGUUCCUUCUGGCAAUAACUGCAAAUAAACGAUGUGCAGAUGGUAAAAAAAAUAUGUAAAUGCUAACUGAGCUGUAAUCAAGUGUGUGCAAAUAUGGUUACAUCAUAUAAAAAAUAGGAAUGGAGCAAAGUUACCUAGUUUUUUUUUUUUUUGGUAGAGGGUCUUUUUUCAUGCUUGUUGGAGAAGAUGCUUUUUUUUCAACAAUUUGAUUGGAACCUGACCAAAAUCCUAGACAUCUACUUCAGAGACUUCCUCUGUCUCACCGUACCAAAUAUAUUAAAGAGAUAGGAAAAAUAGAUUUAGAUCAGAUUGAAAAUAAAUUGAGAAUGAGAAAAAAAUGCUGUGAUGCAGAAUAUAACAUGUUUUUAGCCUCUGUAAAAAGGGCUCUCCUGAUGGAAUCUCUUUUCCUCUUGUGCGUUUCUCCGGUUUUUUCAGCUGGUGUAGUGGACGAUGAAACUGUUGUCGAAGACACUGCAAUUUCUUUCAUAAAAGACUGGUGUUGUUGGUUGGAUCAUUGUGUCCUCAGAAACAUUGUAGAUAAGGAGAUCAUUUGAAUUCAACAAAUUUCGUCGGCUUCCAAACCAAAGGUGAAAAUUUUUCCUUUGGCCUAUAAGUCUGAAAAACUCACUUGGUAAUUGCUUGUGAUCUGUUGAUCUUUGAUUGUAAACCAAAUCUUUGCAUGGCAUGCCAAAGACCUUUUCUCCUAAUUUGCCGAUAAUGAGAGCAUUGAUCUCAUUUGUUUCGUCUUCAAGGACCAAGAACACUUUGUACCUUCAUUCAAAUAGAAAAGCCAUUAAUUAUAGAGGAUACACAGUGUAAUAAGUCAAGAACUACAUUCUCAUAGAUUUUUCUAUGGUAUGGUUUAAUGUUAAUACUAAUCAUAUGAAAAAUAAAAGGAUAGGUAUGCAAAGUUUGAUUUCAAAUUUAAUUAAAUUUAUGGCUUGUAAGUUUGUUACGUGAUCAAUGAACUAUUAAUUGAAAAUAUGUAAUUAAAAACAGAAUAAAUGAUAAGUUUCAGUUUAAUAAGGAUAUGAGACAACGAUCAAUUGACAAACGCAAAAUAUAGUGUUUAACUCGUUACCAAGGAGUUGGCAUUUGAUUUAUAUGUUUUUGGCACAUCAGUUGACCAGUUGUUGGGUCCUUGUACAUUUGUUUGGCACAUGUAGGGCAAGCAGCAUACCACCAUUCAUAUGAUGUGUUAAACCGCUUAAUUGAUGCCUUGCACAAAAAUGUAUCAUCCUGUUAAAUAUCCAAAAAGAUGUUUAGAUAGUUAAUAAUCAUGAAAUAGAAAGCUUAUGUAAAAGAAGUAAAAAUAGAAAGCUUAUGUUUAGAUAGUUCAUAUGAUGUGUUAACUCGUCAAGUCCAAAACGCUGGACUCCAACCACAUGACCAAUAACAUCUACAAAUUUGAAAAAAAGAAAGAAAACCAAAACAUAAUUAGGUGAGGAGAAAAUGUUUCAUAAAACAUGUAUCAAUGCAUUGUAACACACAGCUAUAUAUACAUGCGUACAUAUUUAUUACCUGUUAGGAUAUCAGUCUUGUUCAGCCUGGAUACAAUCUAUUAUAAUCUUGCAAAAAAAAAUCUGCGACACAGAAUAGGCAGAAACACACUUGUUAACUUGUUAAAAACUGUUUUGGCAGUUAACACGAGAUGGGUGUCAUGCGGGACUACUUGACACUGGCCUCUUAUUUUGUUGGUACGAAAAUUCAUAAUCUCGUAGCAAGCACCUGCUUCAAUUUUUGGGACUAUUAUAUCAUAGUUCAUUUCGUCAGAAGACGCUUCUAUCGCUUGUUCCUUGAUAACCAAACAUUGAGAAGGGAAGAAAAAGAAAUUGUCAAAGAUAUCAUGAAUAGGUAAAUAACACUAAAUUUGAAACUUAAAAUAAUAUGAAAACAUUUGCAAAUUACCAACAUUAUAGACUAAGAUGAAUACUAAAUACUGAAAGCCAAGUUAUCAUUGUAAUUAACAGUUUAAAGGCAAUGGAUACCCAUAAAAUAAUUACAUGUCACAUAGACUUAACAUGAGAGUUGAUAUAUUUAAUACUUGAAAUAAUAUGAAAAUAAAUGUAAAUCACAAAUAUUAGAGAAUAAGAUGGAUAGUUAACGUCAAGAGUGAAUUUAUUAGUGUAAUUAACAAGUUAAAGACAAUGCAUAUGCACCCAAAAACAAAUUCUUAUCACAUAGAGACAGAAUGAUAACUAACAUGUAAUUUUCCGAUACAAAAUGAAAGAAUACAGAGAUUAGAAAUGAAUUGGAGAUUGUGUUUAUCCCAGAGAGUAAAAAUGUCAUGUGAUAUGUAUUAGAACAAAUACAAAAUUCACAUGUUAAGAGCUUAUCAAACAGUAUUAUUAAAGAUUAAUUACUGACCUUUUCAUCAACUAAUACACAGUGUAGACCUGCAUAUUUAUCAGUCAUGCCUGAAAAUCUUGGUAUCUAUAUUCUGCAGAUACGAACUUUAAUUUUUCCAAUUUUUUCAUAUGGGACCAAUCGAUCAAGAGGAGUUGGACCUCGACCUUCCAUGUUUAACUGCUGAAAUGAGAUUUAAGGUUUGUGAAUUGACAAAUAAUGCAGAAAGAAAUUUCAAAGAGGCUGAACAAUGAUGUAACAACUACACUUUCAAAACUAUAGACCUACAACAGUUUGUUUAAAAGCGUAACUGAUUAAAAGAAUGAGAUUGCCAAAAGAAAACACAGCACGACCACUGCUUAACUGAACCACAUUCUCAACACACAAACAUAAACGUAGUGAUCCUAUACAUCCAUCAUAUUCUUUUUCUCUGUUUCCAUAUCCCUGAUCCCAAUUCUUUAUCCCAUCCUUUCAGUGUUGUUUUUUGCUCACUCUCAAUGUCACGCCCCUAUCUCGACAUACGUCCAGGCUCGACACAUGACGUCACCAACUACUCGUAUCUCUAACAUAUCCCGCCACCAGGAUAUGCAAAACACAACUCGAGAACCAAUUGCGUAAUAAAUUUUUGUAUACUUUAUGGUUGCAUCUAACCUCUUCGUUAGACUGUCUACGUACCCUCAAUAGAGAUCAAGCCAUUCGUAGUUCAACUUCGCUAUAACUCGACAUAUAACACAAUCUAUUCAAGCCAAAAUGCAUAACAUUCCUCAAUCAAACAUUUGGACUUGACGAGCAUGAAUUAUUCGAUUCAAACUACAUAACAACCCGCAUGACAAUCAAGGUUUCUAUUUCAUCCAUCAUAUACAUCAUUAUGUUUCAACAUAAAAUCACUAUUCAUAUCAAGUAAUAUAUCAAAGAAUCAAUAAAGCACAAUAGUAUCCUCUAGUCGCAUUGAUCACUGAUCUAAUCAUUAUAAUAACAAUCAUAUUCAACAUCCUUCCACAAUCAUCUCAAGUAACCCAUUCCAUGAUAUCAAGGAUGCACGAUAUUAACAUUUAAUUAUGUUAAUCAGUCAAUCAGAUCACAUCUCAAUGCACAAAAUUAAUAAAGGACUUCUAUAUAAUUCCCCUGGAUUUCAAGUAAUAACUUGAUAAUUCAAAUUUAUAUUCACAAAAUUUAUUGUGGGUAAUUCUCAUUCACUCGAAUCCAAGGUACAAGUCUAACUUAUAGAAAUGAGCAAGAGUAGGGAUUCCAGACCACUCAACGGAAUCCAAAUCAAGAUACGAUUCCAGACCACUCAACGGAAUCCAACCACAUCGGCUUCCGGAUCACUUAACGGAACCAAAAUUAUCCAUCGGUUUCUUGCAUGUAAAAUUAGUGACAUCGAUGACAAUCUAUAAACAUCAAGUAUAGAAUUAUGCUUUAUGAAAUCAUAAUCAAGUCACUGACAACUUCGAAGGAGUCACCCAGACAUCCAACGACUUUUUUAAUUUAAAGCACAAGAUUCUCAAAAUCCAUCGUUCAUAUGUACAUUAAAAACUAGGGCUAGAUGGACGCAGUUCGGCCGAAGCCUACAUCUUUGAAGCUAUCUCAAUCCAAACUCAAUGAAACCCGAGGUGGAUACGACCCCGGACCAUCACUCAAAAAAAUCACGGAGUAGGAGGGAUUCCGGACCAUCUCUCAACGGAAUCCAAGUGGAUACGAUUUCGGACCAUCACUCAACAGAAUCGCGGAAGGCCAACAACCAUAUAUACAAUGACUCAAAGAAAUGAGACAAGCACAAGUUACUUAAUUUACAAAAGCUUAACCAAGGGAAAUAAGGCACAAAUACUAAAUUUAGAACGAAUCAACGAAGUGGAAGAUGAAACCAUAUCGAAUCAACAAAUCCCCAUCACCACAGUUUAACGGUCUACCACUAGUCCUCACAUUUCAUCACAACAGGCCAAUCAAACCAAUCAAACCAAUCAAACCAUAUUUCAAUAUAUAUACAUGUCAAAUCUCAUUUCAUAAACCUAAAUUAAUAAAGGACUUCUAUAUAAUUCUCUGCCUGGAUUUCAAGUAAUAACUUGAUAAUUCAAAUUUAUAUUCACAAGAUUUAUUGUGGGUAAUUCUCAUUCACUUGAAUCCAAGGUACAAGUCUAACUUAUGGAAAUGAGCAAGAGUAGGGAUUCCAUACCACUCAACGGAAUCCAACCACAUCGGGUUCCGGAUCACUUAACGGAACCAAAAUAAUUUAUCGGUUUCUUGCAUGUAAAAUUAGUGACAUCGAUCACAAUCUAUAAACAUCAAGUAUAGAAUCAUGCUUUAUGAAAUCAUAAUCAAGUUACUGACAACUUGGAAGGAGUCACUCAGAUAUCCAACGACUUUUUUAAUUCAAAGCAUAAGAUUCUCAAAAUCCAUCGUUCAUAUGUACAUUAAAAACUAGGGCUAGAUGGACGCAGUUCGGCCGAAGCCUACAUCUUUGAAGCUAUCUCAAUCCAAACUCAAUGAAACCCGAGGUGGAUACGACCCCGGACCAUCACUCAAAGAAAUCACAGAGGAGGAGGGAUUCCGGAACAUCUCUCAACGGAAUCCAAGUGGAUACGAUUUCGGACCAUCACUCAACAGAAUCGCGGAAGGCCAACAACCAUAUAUACAAUGACUCAAAGAAAUGAGACAAGCACAAGUUACUUAAUUUACAAAAGCUUAACCAAGGGAAAUAAGGCACAAAUACUAAAUUUAGAACGAAUCAACAAAGCAGAAGAUGAAACCAUAUCGAAUCAACAAAUCCCUAUCACCACAGUUUAACGGUCUACCACUAGUCCUCACAUUUCAUCACAACAUGCCAAUCAAACCAUAUUUCAAUAUAUAUACAUGUCAAAUCUCAUUUCAUAAACUUAAAUCAAUGGCUAAGCAUUAAAAAAAAUUAUUCAAUAGAAAACAUAUUUAUAAACCCAAGUCAUAUCCACAUAGGAUAACAAUUACGAAAAUAAGGUAAUCACCAAUAUCACAUAUAUUAAAGUCACUCACCUGAGGUCCACACUAACGCACUCUAGCAUGGAAUUCAAGGCAUCAAGCUCUAUUACCGCCAAAAACAAAGCACAAGUCCACAUUUAGAUUUCUCUCGAUAAAUUCACAUGCCCAAAACUCUCAUAAGUCUCCCACAACGACAUUUAAUGAGAAUCAAACCGUCGAUCAAAGGUAUGGUCCAUGAUCUUACAUCAUUUGCUCCGUAAGAUCCAACCACUAGAUUUUCACUAGUAAGUUCCUAAGGCCCAACAACUGAUAAAUAUGGUGCUCACAAAAUUGUACAACGAUCCAACGAUCAGAUUGUCAUCAAUCACAUAAACAAGUGGUGGUCCAAUUUGAUCGCCAUACCAAACAAUUGAAUUUCGGGAAACCAAGCUAGACAUAGGUUCAUAGGGUCACUAGAAGGUAUUUGGUACUUGACAACACUCGUGGACAAUCUCACGCACCGCCACACGCGAUGGUAGCCAUGGUGAAGGAUUUGAAAACCCAAUUUUUCAACCUUAACCACAAAGGCUCAAAUUUACGUGGUAAUUAGAGUAAAAAUCCAAUUUCAUCAUGGAAAACCGGGUUUCUAGGGUUCUACACACCCAACUCUAAAACGAAUACGAAAGCACCAACUUGAAGAUUAUGAAGAGUAUACUUCACUCGAAGGAAAUGGUUGACGGAAUCACCGGAAAAAUGAUAAAACCGCCGGAAACCCACAGAACUUUGCUGUCUCUAACUGGAAAAAUAGAUAAGAAAAUGGGAAAUCUAACACUACAGAGAUGUAGGGCUCGUCAAGAGCUUUAAUGAACACCAAGAUCACCCAAAACGGAGAUCGGAUGAAGGAGAUAUGAGCGGAUCAAGUUUGCGGGUUAACGGGUCUAAUUCGCCCCAAAACGGGUUUUUCCUUCUUUUCUCUCGCCACCUUCCCGUGGCUUUCUUUUCCUCUCCUCUUUUUAGCCACUCCCGUGGCCUUUUCCUUCUCUUUUCAUUUUUUUUUAAUUUUUAAUUUUUAAUUUUUUUAGCAACAACUUCAAACGUCCGUAACUAUACCGUUAUAAUCUGGACUUGCAAACGGUUUUCGCCUAUGCGUUCGUAAUCUCGAUAUCUAUUCAACAAUAUAAAUUGUGACCUCGAAUGGUCUGCGGAUUUUAAAUAAUUAAUUUUCCAAAAAAUAAUAUAAAAUUUCUAUAAUACCACUAUGUAGAUUAUACUAAUGAAAUCCAGUAUCUAGAUUUCACACUCAAUCCCAUUUUCUUCCAAGUCUGAUAAAACCCACAUGCAUAAACGGGCUACAAAUCUGCCAAACCCAAAACAAAACCUAACUAAAAAUCUGAGAGAUUAAAACUUUCGCUCAAAAAAACAGUCUAUCUCUCCGAUAAAACAGAAAUAUCCCAAAAUAGGAAUGCUUGGUAAUAAAAUAAUGAAGCAACAAAUGGCAUGAAAUAAUCAAAAAACAACCCUACAAAUUCAAAUAACCGAAACAAAUAAUCAUAUGGCCAAUUCAGUUCGAAAAAAAAAAAACAUCGCACAAAAAACUAAUACCUGACAAAGAACCCAAUUGGGGAUACUGGAAAUUGCAACUACACGAUCCUCCAAUUGACGAUCAGACAGCCGUUCAACCACUGCAAAAACAACCAUAAAAAAACACAAAGUCAUAGCCUAUCAAGAGUGUAAGUAAAAAAAAUGAACAAAUCGAUAUUUCCUGUCCCGAAUUAAAAACUGGAAAGCGAAAACAAAGGCGCUGAAAAACAAAAGCUGAAAAUCAAUUGCACAACAGCAGAAACCAACAAGAAAAACGAAAGACAGAAACGAUAACAAAAAGCAUAAGCAAAACGAAAGAAACGGCAAACAAAGCUAACCAAGCAAAUUUGAAACGAAGAAAAAUGCACAACCAGCUUAAACCACGGCAAAAAUAAGAGAGAGAAGAGACAAAGCCACGGCCAAUUCGAUGAUCGACACGUGGCCAUAAGUGGAAAAGGCAAAGCCGAGCAACACGCCGGGGGGGGGGGGGGGAAGAUAACAAACGGUCGCGGUGAUAAGGCAAUCAGAAGGUAACGUAAAAAAAAUUAGGAUUUAAAUUUUUGUGGUAGAUUUCGUUAGCAAAUUUAAUCCAAAAUUAUUUUUUUUUUGUUACUUGUCUGUUAAAUACAGGGAUAAAAAUGUAUUUUAACUAGUACGCAUUCUUCUUCCUCCCUCUGCGUUUCAUCUAUUUAUAUCUUAAAACAACCCCUACCAGAAAACCACAGAAAAUAAACCAUGAUCAUUAAUCUCUCAUCUUCUCCAUCAUCCUCUUCUUUCUCUCUCAUCAAGUUAUCUAAUUCCAAAUCACUCAUCUCUGAUUUUCCAUCAAAACCUAAAACCCACCACCCAAAACCUCUAUCUUCUUCCAUUUGCUGCUCAUUUUCUUCACUAGACCUUGGUUUUCACUGCAAGGAUCGAUUUUUCAUUGAAAAUGGUAGGUGCCCACAUGGGAAAAGGUUCAAGUUUAGGACUUGUGCGAUUCCUGGCUUCGACUCUGGCAACCUCAGUUGGUUUUGGAGGCGGCUGCUGUGUUAACGGCCAUAAUUGUUGUCCAUGAGAGCGGUCACUUCGUUGCAGCUUAUCUCCAAGGCAUCCAUGUAAGCAAAUGGAAGAAGAUGGAGGUUUUGGGUGGUGGGUUUUGGGUUUUGGGUUUUGGGUUUUGAUGGAAAAUCAGAGAUGGGUGAUUUGGAAUUGGAUAACUUGAUGAGAGAGAGAGAAUAGGAGCGUGGAGAAGCUGAGAGAUUAAUGAUCAUGGUUUAUUUUCUGUGGUUUUUUUGGUAGGGGUUGUUUUAAGAUAUAAACAGAUGAAAUGCAAAGGGAGGAAGAAGAAGGAGUACACGUUAAAAUACAUUUUUAUCCUUGUAUUUAACAGACAAGUAACGGAAAAAUCAAUUUUGGAUCAAAUUUGCUAACGGACUCUAUCACAAGGGUUUAAAUCCUAAUUUUUUUUACCACAAGGGCUAUCUUCCGAUUACCUUAUCACCACGAGGACUGUUUAUCCGAUUAGGCCAAAAUAUAAAGGAAAGGGGCAAAAUGACAUUUCAUAUAGCAUCUUCAAAAUGCCAAAAAAGUGAGCGUUAGAUCAGGGGCAAAAUCGGGUGGGCACUGUUAGUGAACAAUGGUUUUCCCACAGGGUUUUAGUAUAGAUAAUAAUUUCUUGGAGAAUCAACAUUGUUGACAAUUUUUUGAGCAAUAUUAUCCCCAAAUUUUCUUUGCAUGUUACCCUCAACGUAGACAUCAUAUAACCAUCCUUGAACUUCUGAACCAAAAAUUUGAGUUUUAUGAUUAUAACUAAACGUCUAUAAACACAUGAUACAGAUUGAGACAAAUGUCAAAUUUAAAAUGGCAUUAAUCAGGACAGCUGCAAACUCUGAUUUGUAGGCUUUGAAAUGGAGAAGUUACUUCUUGCUUCACUUUAGCAUCAUAGUUCAGCUUCUAAGUUCAGUUCUCAACUAUGAGGUUUCUCAGUUACCUCUUUCUUGUAAUAAAACAUUAGGUAAAUUAUACAAAACUACCUCAACUAUUGAGUAAUUAACAGCUUCAUACCUCGUCUUUAAAAAGUUUCAAUGUCAUACCUCAUCUACGAACUUGUUACAAUUUCAUACAUUCCGUAAGUUGUCUGUUAAUUCUUCUGUUAAAAUGCUGACGUGGCAAGUGACGGGAUCCAUUUUCUAUUAAAAAAUAAUAAAUAUUAAAAAAAAAAGACCCAAACCCAGAUCCCCAUCCCCCCUUCCCAUCUGUCCCCCCUCCUCCUUCUCCUCAUCCUCCUCCGCACCCACCUCACACCCACCCUCUUCCCUUCUCUACACACUCCACUCCUUAAAUCCACACCCAUUCCCCCAUUCAAAACCCCCAGUUCGUCUUCUCCCUCACCCGAGCCCAACCUGCAACUAGACUUGGCAGUUUUUGACACGACACGAAAACGACACGAAAAUAACGGGUUUCGGGUCAACACGAUAACUUAUCGGGUCACUAUCGGGUGACCCGUUAAGAACCCGUUAACGGGUUCUUAACAGGUAUACACGCGGGUAACACGUGGGUAACCCGUUUCGACCCGUUAAGAAAAGAAUUAUUUUAAUAAUUUUAAGGUUUAAUUACUAAAAGAUUUAUUAUAAAAUACAAUAGUCAUAUUAAUAUAUACAAUAUAUUCUAUAUUAAAUAUAUAGUUUUGUAUUAUUGUUCUAUAUAAAUUAUAAAAAAAUUAAAAAAAAGUUUUAGUCAUUAUUUAUUUUUAUUAUGAGAGUUCCUUAUUAUCAUUACUAGGAUAAAUUUUACAUAACAUAUUCUUGUCCAAAAUUAAAAUAUACUGGUAUAGUAUUUGUAUAUGCAAGAACUAAGAAGACAUACAUACAAGUAUGAAAAAUGUGAAAAAAUAUAUAAACACUCGUGAUUUAUCAUUAUUCCUCCACGAAUAAAUAAUUGUUACACUUAUAUUAUCGUUUAGAUUUUUUAAAUCCUUCAAACCCUCAUGAAUAAUGUUUUUUAUUUGAGGGAAAAAUUAAUAAAAUUAAUAAUAAUUAUUGUAGAAGUGUAAAAAUGUAAAAAUAUAUAUAUAAAAUCACUCAUAUAUAAAAAAAUGUAAAUGCUUUAAAUAAAAGAUCAAAUUUAUUCAUUACAUUCUUAUAGGGUCGAGGAGUGUAUCUGUAAAAAAAUCAUCAAAAUCAGAGAUAAAAUAACCGUUAAAUUAUGAUUUUUCGUUUAUAACCGCCGAAAACUUUUAUUCCAUUACGUAAUCUCUAAAUGUUUGUUUUUUACGAUUUUUUACAUAUGCGAUCUCGGAAUGUGUACAAAUAAGUUUGACGGUUGGAUCGUUGAAAAAAGUUUCAUAUAAUGCAUAUUGCGUCAAAACGGUAGAUUAAGCAAACACUUAGAGUUAAUAUUAUACUUCUAUUAAGUAUAAAAUAAGUUUUUGUGGUAUCCACUAGUGUAAAUACUUUAAAUUAAAGAUCUAAUUUAUUCAUUACAUUCUUAUAGGGUCGAGGAGUGUAUCUGUAAAAAAUAAUCAAAAUCGGAGCUAAAAUAACCGUUAAAUUGUGAUUUUUCGUUUAUAACCGUCGAAAACUUUUGUUCCGUUACUUAAUCUCUGAAUGUUUGUUUUUUAUGAUUUUUAACGUAUGCGAUCUCGGAAUGUGUACAAAUAAGUUUGACGGUUGGAUCGUUGAAAAAAGUUUUGAAGAAUGCAUAUUGCGUCAAAACAGUACAUUAAACAAACACUUAGAGUUAAUAUUAUACUUCUAUUAAGUAUAAAAUAAGUUUUUGUGGUAUCCACUAGUGUAAAUACUUUAAAUUAAAGAUCAAAUUUAUUCAUUACAUUCUUAUAGGGUCGAGGAGUGUAUUUGUAAAAAAUCAUCAAAAUCAGAGAUAAAAUAACCGUUAAAUUGUGAUUUUUUCGUUUAUAACCGUCGAAAACUUUUGUUCCAUUACGUAAUCUCUGAAUGUUUGUUUUUUACGAUUUUUUACGUAUGCGAUCUUGGAACGUGUACAAAUAAUUUUGACGGUUGGAUCGUUGAGAAAAGCUUCGUAGAAUGCAUAUUGCAUCAAAACGGUAGAUUAAACAAACACUUAGAGUUAAUAUUAUACUUUUAUUCAGUAUAAAAUAAGUUUUUGUGGUAUCCACUAGUGUAAAUACUUUAAAUUAAAGAUCAAAUUUAUUCAUUACAUUCUUAUAGUGUCGAGGAGUGUAUCUGUAAAAAAUCAUCAAAAUCAGAGAUAAAAUAACCGUUAAAUUGUGAUUUUUCGUUUAUAACCGCCGAAAACUUUUGUUCCAUUACGUAAUCUCUGAAUGUUUGUUUUUUACGAUUUUUUACGUAUGCAAUCUCCGAAUGUGUACAAAUAAGUUUGACGGUUGGAUCGUUGAAAAAAGUUUCGUAGAAUGCAUAUUGCGUCAAAAUGGUAGAUUAAACAAACAUUUAGAGUUAAUAUUAUACUUCUAUUAAGCAUAAAAUAAGUUUUUGUGGUAUCCACUAGUGUAAAUACUUUAAAUUAAAGAUUAAAUUUAUUCAUUACAUUCUUAUAGGGUCGAGGAGUGUAUCUGUAAAAAAAUCAUCAAAAUCGGAGCUAAAAUAACCGUUAAAUUGUGAUUUUUCGUUUAUAACCGUCGAAAACUUUUGUUCCGUUACGUAAUCCCUGAAUGUUUGUUUUUUAUGAUUUUUUACGUAUGCGAUCUUGGAAUGUGUACAAAUAAGUUUGACGGUUGGAUCGUUGAAAAAAGUUUUGUAGAAUGCAUAUUGCGUCAAAACAGUACAUUAAACAAACACUCAGAGUUAAUAUUAUACUACUAUUAAGUAUAAAAUAAGUUUUUGUGGUAUCUACUAGUGUAAAUACUUUAAAUUAAAGAUCAAAUUUAUUCAUUACAUUCUUAUAGGGUUGAGGAGUGUAUCUGUAAAAAAUCAUCAAAAUCAGAGAUAAAAUAACCGUUAAAUUGUGAUUUUUCGUUUAUAACCGCCGAAAACUUUUGUUCAGUUACGUAAUCUCUGAAUGUUUGUUUUUUACGAGUUUUUACGUAUGCAAUCUCGGAAUGUGUACAAAUAAGUUUGACGGUUGGAUCGUUGAAAAAAGUUUUGUAGAAUGCAUAUUGCGUCAAAACGGUAAAUUAAACAAACAUUUAGAGUUAAUAUUAUACUUCUAUUAAGUAUAAAAUAAGUUUUUGUGUUAUCCACUAGUGUAAAUACUUUAAAUUAAAGAUCAAAUUUAUUCAUUACAUUCUUAUAGGGUCGAGGAGUGUAUCUGUAAAAAAUCAUCAAAAUCGGAGCUAAAAUAACCGUUAAAUUGUGAUUUUUCGUUUAUAACCGUCGAAAACUUUUGUUCCGUUACAUAAGCUCUGAAUGUUUUUUUUUAUGAUUUUUACGAAUGCGAUCUUGGAAUGUGUACAAAUAAGUUUGACGGUUUGAUCGUUGAAAAAAGUUUUGUAGAAUGCAUAUUGCGUCAAAACGGUAGAUUAAACAAACACUUAGAGUUAAUAUUAUACUUCUAUUAAGUAUAAAAUAAGUUUUUGUGGUAUCCACUAGUGUAAAUACUUUAAAUUAAAGAUCAAAUUUAUUCAUUACAUUCUUAUAGGGUCGAGGAGUAUAUCUGUAAAAAAUCAUCAAAAUCAGAGAUAAAAUAACCGUUAAAUUGUGAUUUUUCGUUUAUAACCACCGAAAACUUUUGUUCAGUUACGUAAUCUCUGAAUGUUUGUUUUUUACGAUUUUUAACGUAUGCAAUCUCGGAAUGUGUACAAAUAAGUUUGACGGUUGGAUCGUUGAAAAAAGUUUCGUAGAAUGCAUAUUGCGUCAAAACGGUAGAUUAAACAAACAUUUAGAGUUAAUAUUAUACUUCUAUUAAGUAUAAAAUAAGUUUUUUGUGGUAUCCACUAGUGUAAAUACUUUAAAUUAAAGAUCAAAUUUAUUCAUUACAUUCUUAUAGGGUCGAGGAGUGUAUCUGUAAAAAAUCAUCAAAAUCGGAGCUAAAAUAACCGUUAAAUUGUGAUUUUUCGUUUAUAACCGUCAAAAACUUUUGUUCCGUUACGUAAUCUCUGAAUGUUUUUUUUUAUGAUUUUUUACGUAUGCGAUCUUGGAAUGUGUACAAAUAAGUUUGACGGUUGGAUCGUUGAAAAAAGUUUUGAAGAAUGCAUAUUGUGUCAAAACAGUACAUUAAACAAACACUUAGAGUUAAUAUUAUACUUCUAUUAAGUAUAAAAUAAGUUUUUGUGGUAUCCAAUAGUGUAAAUACUUUAAAUUAAAGAUCAAAUUCAUUCAUUACAUUCUUAUAGGGUCGAGGAGUGUAUCUGUAAAAAAGCAUCAAAAUCAGAGCUAAAAUAACCGUUAAAUUGUGAUUUUUCGUUUAUAACCGUCGAAAACUUUUGUUCAGUUACGUAAUCUCUGAAUGUUUGUUUUUUAUGAUUUUUUACGUAUGCGAUCUUGGAAUGUGUACAAAUAAGUUUGACGGUUGGAUCGUUGAAAAAAGUUUUGUAGAAUGCAUAUUGCGUCAAAACAGUACAUUAAACAAACACUUAGAGUUAAUAUUAUACUUCUAUUAAGUAUAAAAUAAGUUUUUGUGGUAUCCAUUAGUGUAAAUACUUUAAAUUAAAGAUCAAAUUUAUUCAUUACAUUCUUAUAGGGUCGAGGAGUGUAUCUGUAAAAAAUCAUCAAAAUCAGAGAUAAAAUAACCGUUAAAUUGUGAUUUUUCGUUUAUAACCGUCGAAAACUUUUGUUCCAUUACGUAAUCUCUGAAUGUUUUUUUUUUACGAUUUUUUACGUAUGCGAUCUUGGAACGUGUACAAAUAAUUUUGACGGUUGGAUCGUUGAAAAAAGUUUUUGGACCGCCAGCAAUAGAUAAUUUUGUAGUAGUGAAACCUUAAAUUUAUUUAACCGUUAAUUGUUAUUUACACUUUAUUCUUCUGACUGAAUUUCAUUUUUAAAAUUUUAUUUUUUGAAAACAUGAUCAUCUGGUGGAUGUAAGAAGAUGAUAUCACGUUUCGAUAUUUACGAUUAACUGAAAUAUGAGUCAAUGUCAUAUAAUUUGUAGAAACUUUAUAAACAUCAAGCAAUAUUUUCACUAACCGUAGAACUCUAAAUAUAAUAUCAACGAUUCAACGAUCCAAACCGUUCAUCUACCGGCACCCUCUAAUAGAUCAUGUUUUCAAAAAAGAAAAUCUAAAAAAACGAAAUUUGAUGAGAACAAUGAAGCAUAAAUGUAAACAACAAUCAACGGUUAAAUUUUGAUCUAUGAUUUAUAUGAUUAUAGUGGCGAAUUUCGAAGUUAAGCUCUUCAUGAAAGUUAUAAAGCUUGUCAUUACGAGUGUUUAUAUAUUUUUUUACACUUCUACAUUAAUUAAAAAACUAUUAAAGACUUUAGGUAAGCGAAAAUAUACUUAAAACAAAAUUGCGUUUUUAUGUUUUGGAUGUGAUAAUAUGGAAUGUAUAUACUUAUUUAGUAUUAUGUUUUUCAUUUGAUUAUUUAUUGGUUUAAAAUAUAUUUUCCUUAACGGGUAACGGGUCGGGUCAUAUUACCUGUUAAUAUUAUUGGGUUGAUUUCGGGUCAGGUCAUUUUACCCGUUUAUUUUAACGGGUGUUACAUGACACGACCCGUUAAGAUAUCGGGUAUGACACGAAAACGACACGAACACGGAAAACACGACACGAAUGCCAAGUCUACCUGCAACCCAGAAGAGAAAAUAAAAAAAAAGCUCAGAUCCCUUCUUGCCCGAGUCUCGACCCCCUUCCCUGCACCCACCCUCUCGAGGAAGAUGAAGAUGAUUUUUUUUUCUUUUCUGGGUUGCAAGUUGGGCUCCGGUGAGAAGGGGGAGAGGUUAGUGAAGCAGCAGGAGGAGGAGGAGGAGAAUGAGCACCAUGGGAGGGAGGAGGAGAUGGAGGAAGAGAAGGCGCUAGGGGGGGUUUAGGUUUGGAAAAGGGGGGACGAAUGGGUUUUGCCAGGGGAGUGGGGGUGGGGGGAUGAGGAUCUGGGUUUGGGUUUCUAAUUUUUUUAAAAAUAUUUUUUAAUAGAAAAUGGGUCCCGUCACUUGCCACAUCAGCAUUUUAACGGAGUAAUUGACAAACAACUGACAAAUGGUAUGAAAUUGUAACAAAUUCGUAGAUGAGGUAUGACAUUGAAAUUUUUUAAAGAAGAAGUAUGAAACUGUUAAUGACCUAAUAGUUGAGGUAGUUCUGUGUAAUUUACCCUAAAACAUUUGACCAGUACUUGUCAGGAUAUCCAAUUAAUUAGGUCAAUUUUUGUCAGCGGUAAUAAUUUGUUUUUGCAGUUUUAUAUGUGUCUCUGUCUCCAAAUAUGAUGAUCUCUUAAUUUGCUUCUAUAGUUUUUGUAAUAUGAUGAUCUCUUAAUUUGCUUUUGCAUAUCUUCUUUGCUUCCUCUGCUAGCUCUAUAUCCAAAUAAUUAUUCCUUAUUUCCUAUUUUUACAAGAAGCAAAUCAUUGAAUACACAUGGAAAAUUAAAAGGGUUUUAGUUUUUGGAUUAGUUUAAAAUUUUUGUUGUUAUUGGUUGUAUUGCUUUAAAAUAUUUGAUGGGUAGUUUGAAAUGGAGAACUUAGUUGAUUGAGUAUUAACUUUUAUUAAAUUAAGACUCUAAGGCUCUAAUCUAAUUUUCAUGCUCAACAUCUCCUCUAUCUUUCUACAAUUGGUAAAACUUUUGUAUUAUUAUUCCAAUUUUGGUUACUGGGUUUUGGAAUUUUCCAUUUUUUUUCUGGGUAAUCAAUAUUGUAUAUAUGCAUGACAAGUAUAAACAAUAUUUUAGGGCAAAUUUAGUUGUUUAAUUUUUGAAUUAGAAGUUUUUGGUUUAUCUAUAUUACGUGAAAUAAAAAAAAAUUAUAAAGCUUUCGUUUUCAUGUCUUAAAGCUUUAAGCUUUACUUGAAAAACGAACUUAAUUUUGGGCUCAAAUUAUUGAAUUUCUUUGUUCUAUGCGUUUGAAUUUCAUUAAAUUUUUGUUAACGUUUGGUUAAAAUCUUCAUUACUGUAAUAUGAUCGAAUUUGCGAUUUAAUUUUUAAUUUUUUUUUGUGACAAUGAGAUUAUGGUAGGAUUUCGUUUAGAUUCCUCGGCCCAAGGAGAGUCUCUGCUUUUGAUAAGAUUGGGGUUGAUGCUAUCUCUGUCACAGCCCGUCCCGGAGAUAUGUAUUAUUUUAUUCUCGAUAAUGUGAAAGGACGGUUUUAUCCUUAGACAUUGAAAUUGUAGUGUAUGUGUGUGACAUAUUUUGGUUCUUGGAUGUCAUGUUCUUGGUUGGUUGGUGACCACGUGGGACACACACACACACAAACCUCAUUCUCUCUCUUCUCUCCCGUGCUUUCUCUCUCAGACUCACUAUCUCUCCUCAUUCUUCGUACGGUCGAGCACCAAACUCACCCAUUCACGCACAGAUCGAGAUCGUGCUUGGUUGUAUUGUCUUCAUCUCCUCACCAUGAGCUCAUCCAUACCAGUUUCAGGUAUGAAAACCUUCGAAAACCUCGUGAACCAAGAAUCUCCAAUUUGAACAUUGUUCAUGCUAACGUAAAAACAUGUGUUUUUGGAAAUUCUAAGCUCACAUGGAGCUUUGGAAGGCCCUCUACAGGCUCGGAGAAGUUCGUUUGGUGGUUUUGGACGUCGGAAUCGAGAAGUCGAAGCUUGGCUGGUUUUUCUCGAAUUUUCCCAGCAAGAUCCCGUGGUUUUUGAGGCUUGAAAGAGGUAUAAACUUGUUCUAUUCUCCAUGCACUUCAUUUUGGUAUAAAGAUCGUGAAAAAUGGUGCAAAAAUGGCCGAGAUAUCAUAGUUUAAAAAUUUCUCAGUUUUCCGGCGCCAACGACGGUUGCCAGAGUUCAGAGGUAGGAGACGACGGAAUAUUCCGACGUAGUCAGUUAGUUUGGACGGAUUCCGUUAGGACUUAACGGAAUAUUCCCCAGUAUAUACUUGAUGGUGUUAACUGACGCCGUCAGUAUGCUUGUCACCUGGCCACGCGUGGGGGUGCGUAGGGCCGUGCCCUUGCUUGCGCGUGGUGGCGCGUGGGUGAUCGAAAUUUUUUUCUAAAAAUAUUGGGACGUGACGUUGUUUAGAUCACGUUGGUAUAUUCAAAUACCAAAUUUGAGCAGUGUAUGAGAAGUUAUUAGCUAGUUUUGUGUAUGUGCUUUAAAUAACGUUUUUAUAGUUAAUUCGCAUAUAGAUGAGACUUGUCCCGAUGACGAGCGUGUUCAAGGGCGACUCAGGGGCUACGACCCUUCGACAUACUAGUGAGUGAGAUUUUGGUUUUCAGUAUAUAUUUAUAUACUUGAUAUUUUCCCAUAAAUAUGUGUUUAAAUGAAAGUAUGCCUUAAAUGUCAUGCAUAUGAAUUUAUAUAUCGUAUAUGAAUUGGUAUAUGAUGCACUAUAUAUAAUUGUGGUGUUGUGGACACUCAGGUAAGCUCAGGUGAAUUAUGGUUGGUUAUGUGAAUUAUCGAUGAUGUGAUAUGUGAUUGAAUAACGUUGAGCUCAUAAAACUGCACCUAGGGUGAUUGUGAUUUAGCCAGAGAUAUGGCACAUGCCUGUUUAUAAUGUCACCUCCCGCACCAUAUGCUCAUUUUGGAUCCAAUUUACGUGCACAGUCUUAUCGUACAGAUCUUAUUUAUGGUUUCGACUUGUAGGUGACUAGCGAUUUAUCACCCAACUAUUAUGUGAGAGUAGUAUUGAGCAUAAAUAUAUUACACCCAGUAUUGUCGUAUAGACCUUUUCAUUUGGUUCCAACUCUUGUGCAGUAUAGUGCCGUAUAAGUCAUUGUAGUGAUUCCGGCUAGAUUGACUUUUGAGCUAUGAAUUCAGCCGUACAGACUACCACAGGGUUCCGGCAUAUAUGUUACAUUUCUAUGAAAUUAUUCUUACAUGAAUUGCUUACUAUGUUAUAUCUUGGCAUGGCAUACAUAUGAAUAUGAUUAUGUGAAGCAUGAUUUGAAUUGAUAUAUUUACAUAUAUAUUUAUGUAUAUGCUUAUAUCUUGAUUAUGGGAAAAAUUAUACAUGUUUUACAGCGAGGGGUUAGAUAUGUUGAUAAAUAAAAUGAUUUUGUAAAACAUUUGUUUUUGCCCACUCAUGUUUUCUAUUUUGCGCCUCUCCAUGUUUUAGGUAAGUUUUCAGUUGCUGGGUGCGAGGACUUCGGCGGUUCUAACCUAUCAAAAUAAUUGUAGAACAUCUUAUGGUACUGUAUAAUUAGUACUUGUCCUACUGGACUGCACCUAGACUUUCUAUGCUUUGAUUAGGAGUAUUUACUUUUGUAUUUUACUUCUAACACUUCCUGUUUAAUAAUGCACUCCAGUAGUUUCAGUUUUAAUUAUUCGUAUAUUUCUUAUCUUAAUUGCUUUCGCAUUGUGCACAUGGCUACGUCACCCCCACGUGACGACCAAUAUGCCUUGAUCUCGAUCGGGGUGUGUCAAUAUCAUGAAACAAAACCCAGGUCUAAAUAUUUGAUAAUUUAUAAUUUCAAGAAAGCCAAUAAGCCUACUGUGGACGCCGCAGCGGCCUAGCGCCGUUUUCCAAAAUCCUCUCUUACUUGGGUAAACAAUUAAGACUUUUGGUUCAGUUUUUAUUAUGCCCAAUUUUGUAUUUAAACCUUAAAAAAAUUUAAACUAAUUUGGGGUUACUGAAAUAGGCAUGCUUGAUGAGUGUUGCAGAGCUGCCAUCCCUGAAUCAGAAGAUGUUCAGAAGGAAGAAAAAGAAGAAGAAGAAAGUCGUGGAAUAUCAAAAGCUUUUAGCUUGUGAAUGUAUGCUUUUCCCAACUCACCUUUUGCUUUUGUUGCACUGAAUUGGUAGAUUGGCUUCAAAAACAUAUAUAUGUGAUUUUUCGUGUAACUAUUUUGUUUAUACCAUAUUUAGGGCCUCGUACUUAGACCUCGUAUAAAUACUCGGGGGACUCAAAUGUAAUUAUGCAAUAAGGAAAGGGGCAAAUAUGUAAUAAGUGAGGAAUAUAAUACAAUCAGUGUGUACGUAGCCCAAACCUUGGGAAGAAAAGGUGUCGGCGACACUCUCAAGAAGCCUCGCGAACGCAAGCUUUACUACCCUGCUCUCAAGCUCUCGGAAGCUAUGGAUAGAAGAGGAAUGAACAACACAGUCGGUGAUCAGGCAAUACAUCUUGUUCUUGUUGCUAAAGUCUGGCAUAUUCCUACUGCAGAAAGUUAUUUCAUUGAUCUUCUUGAAUCAGCGAAGACCCAUCUUUGUUACGGGGCCCUGCUCAACUGUGGCCGCCAAAGCAUCAUCUUCCCCACCAUUUCCCAUCUCUAGUACUACCACCUCAUCCAGACGAUUCCCCACUCAUCCACUGCUUUUGUCGGCAAAAGCAGAAAGGGAAACAAAGAACUUGAGUGCCAUCUGCACUCUGCAAAGUAAAAGUAAAAGUUAAAAAAAAAGGGAAGUAAUGAUGGUGCCAGUCAGAUGCACCGAAAGCACUUACAGCUAUGAAUGUCAAUACCAAGAAUGACUGCUGGGUCCGGUCAAUGAUGAAAGUACAAAUACAUCCUCCUAGCGCUAGUCAGGUACUACUUCCAGAUGGGAGACGAUUGGCCUAUCAAGAACAAGGAGUCCCAUCAAAUAACACUCGAUUUUUGUGGUGAUGGCAUUAUGAGCGUGACCCAUUGAGCAGAGGGUCAGAUUUAUUUUUUGAAUGAUGUAAAUUAUUUUUCUUAUCUUUCGGAGACAUCUGUAUACACCCCGUCAGAGGGUAAUAAAAUAAAAAUAAAAAAAGGCAAGCCCAAAAUAAUAGGCUACAAGCCCAAAGUAAUGGGCUGCAAUGUCAUGUGGAGGGCAAACGCCCAUAUGCCCAAAAAUGUCAAACCCUCUAUUAUCACCAACCAGGUGAUCAAAAGUACGCCCAGUACUUCAAAAUUAUUCGGCAACCCACCGCUAUUACCACCAACCCGGUGAUGAAAUGUACAACCCGUACUCUAAUAUCCUUUGGCACCUGGCCACUCAUACUACCAACCAGGUGAAGAAGGAACUUAUCUUCAUGAGCAUGAGCACUACUCAUGUCAAUCAUACAUAAACAUUCAUGAGUAUCACUUAUAUCAAUCAUACAUAAACAUUCAUAAGCAUCACUCAUGUCAACAUUCAUGAGCAUCACUCAUGACAACAUCCAUGAGCAUCACUCAUGUCAAUCAACAUAAACAUUCAUGAGCAUCACUCAUGUCAAUCAGCUUCAAAAGCUUCAUUUACAGAACUCUAGCUUCAAAGCUUCACUUGCAAAGCUUCACCUACAAAGCUUCAGUGCGGGGUAUACAAAUACCGUCUCCGAACAACCGCCACUUCGGCCCAUACAUGGAUUCAAUUUGAAGUCUUCAGCCAACAGACUCUAUUGACCGAAGACUUGGGGGACUACACUAUACACCAUAUAUGGGGCCUCAACUGGGCCUCAUGAAAAAUAUACACCAUAUAUUGGGCCUCAACUGGGCCUCAUGAAAAAUACUCGAGGGACUUAGCCCAUUACUUAUGUAUGAAUGGGCGAGCCCUUAUUCUAUAAAAGGGACUCAUUCACCAUCAUUAGAGAGUAUUGCCGCCAGCUGAGCAACCGCCUCGCCGCGAGCAUCAACUCUAGCACAUUAUUCAUGUAUUGAGGAGCGAGCCCUUAUUCUAUAAAAAGGACUCUCUCACAUUCGUUAGAGAACAUCGCCGUCAGCUGAGCAACCACCUCGCCACGAGUAUCACUCAUAACCCAUUAUUCAUGUACUGAGGAGCGAUCCUUUAUUUUAUAAAAGGGACUCCCUCACCAUCAUUAGAGAGCAUCAACUCUAGCCCAUCAUCUAUGUAUUGAGGAGUGAGCCCUUAUUCUAUAAAAGGGACUCCAUCACCUUCAAACGCCACAAGCCGAGCCAACCAAGGCAACAUAAGCCACAAGCCGAGCAGUCUCGUAGCAUGUGCUACUUCUGGUUGAGCAUCAUUUCAGAUUGAGCACCGCCUUACAUCGAACAUCAGUUCAAGACAACAUCUAAUUACUUCGGCCCACACAUGGACUGAAUUUCAAGUCUCCAGCCAAAAGACUCUCUUGACUGAAGACUUGGGGGACUACUGUUUAUACCAUAUUUAGGGCCUCGUACUUAGACCUCGUAUAAAUACUCGGGGGACUCAAAUGUAAUUAUGCAAUAAGGGAAGGGGCAAAUAUGUAAUAAGUGAAGAGUCAUUAUUCUAUAAAAGGACUCCUCAUCCUCACAAUUAGGGGGAGGCUCAUUCUCACCCUCAGAUGCCAUUUCUGAAGCCUCUCUCACCCUCUCUUAGAGCUCUCUCUCUCUCCCUCACUUCUCAGAGAAAUAUAAUACAAUCAGUGUGGACGUAGCCCAAACCUUGGGGUGAACCACGAUAACCCUUGUGUCAUUUACAUUUUAUGCAGAUUCACGGUCGGAUUUACGUUGUUCCAAGACAUCCAGUUUUGUGCAUCAACAUAUUUCUUUACAUAAUUACCAAUUGAAGCUGAUUUGAGAUCGUGUAACAUUUCCUUGCCCAACCAAAGAUCGCUGUCGCUCAGAGCUGCAUUUCAUGAAACAAGUUUAUCUCCUGCCAAUUUUGUGUACCCACUUUUUAUUCAUGAGGGUUGGUGCUUGCUUGCAAGGCAAGUUGGUGCUAUUAAGUUUUGCGGUUUUACAAUCUGUUCAUGCUUAAACCUCUUUCAAUUUUUCAAUUCUAUGUAAACCUUGCAGGUCAGGACGGCACCCCUAUCUAGGCAAUGUCAGGAUGUCUAGGCUUGGGUGGAGACGUGGACUUAUGGAAGAGGUGAAGUAGCUUAGCUCUAUCUCAUUAGCUCUUAUCUGUUCUAUUAAUGCUAAGAUCAAUGGUAAAAAGUUAUAUUGAUUUUAUAAUCAAAGAUACAUAUAUUAUAAAAACAGAGGGUAUAUCAUUAAUUUCUUGAUGUAAACAACUUCCUAAGUUGGCUCCAUCAUCUUUCUCCUCACUUUCGAUCGGGUACCGCCUCUACUUACCGCGUUUUGUCGUGGAUCUUUGGGAGGGUGUGUAGAGCUUUAGCUCGGGUGUCUGCACCACCACCUUUGUUGGCCCUUGCUGGUCACUCCCGUUGUUGCUCGCCCUUGUUAGCGAUGUUGCCUGUGGGUUCUUUCUACUUGCAUGCUUGUUUGUUCUCUUGGGGGCUAUUCCAGUGCUGGUUUUGGGAUGAUGAUGUGACCUCUGUCCUCACCACUUCUGGGUUUCUUGAUGGUUUAAUCUUAAGUAAUCGUGGCGGGUGGCCGAUUGGGAUGUGGUUCUGUCGGCGAUGGGUUCUGUGUGGUUUGGUUGUUUGUCUUGGGCUCCAAGGUUGGUCUUGGGCCUUUGUUUUCUGUGUGUUGUGGCCCUUUUUCUUUUGUUGUGUUCAUAUGGUUUUGGGCCUUUGUUGUACUUCUCUAGUUGGUAAUGAAUUUUAUCCUUUGUCCCAAAAAAAAAAAAAACAAUGAUAAUUUGAAGAACCAUUUAAAGUAUUUUGGUAAUUAGCAUACUUAAGCUUAAAUGUGAUAUAUCUGUUUAGUAUUUUUUUGGAUAAAUUACACUUUCAUACCUCAGGUUUGGGGUCUAUUUCAAUUCAUUACAAUAUCUUUAAAACAUUUCACUUUCAUACCUUAAGUACUAUUUUAUUUCAAAAUAAUACAUCCGUUACAUUUUCCAUCCAUUAAUCUGUUAAAUGCUGACGUGGCUGCCACAUAUAUGCCACGUGGCUGCCAAAUGUCUGCCACGUGGCAAAUAAAAUAAUUUUUUAAUUUUUUUUUAAAAACCUGAAUUUUCUCAACAAAAAAAAAUUGAAACACACAUCUGCAAGAAGAAGAAGAAGAGGGAGGAAGAAAGAAAAAGAAAAAAAAAACUGUCCCUCAUCCCCCAGCGACCCAGAAGAAGAAGAAGAAAAAGAAGGAGGAAGAAAAAAAAGAAAAAGAAACCCACAUCUGCAAGAAGAAGAAGAAGAAGAAGAAGAAGAGGGAGGAAGAAAGAAAAAGAAAAAAAAUGUCCCUCCUCCCCCCAACGACCCAGAAGAGGAAGGAAAAAAAAAAAUAGAAACGCACAUCUGCAAGAAGAAGAAGAGGGAGGAAGAAAGAAAAAGAAAAAGAAAUGUCCCUCCUCCCCCUAGCGACCCAGAAAAGGAAGAAAAAAAAAUAGAAACCCACAUCUGCAAGAAGAAGAAGAAGAAGAAGAAGAAGAAGAAGAAGAGGGAGGAAGGGAGCUGGGUCGGGGUGGGGGGAGGGUCGCUGGGCUGGGGGGGACGGAGGGAGGGUCGCUGGGCAGGGGGGCCGGAAGGAGGAUCACUGGGCUGGAGGGAGGACGGGAGGAGGGUCACCGGGCGGGGGGAGGGUCGCCGGGGGGGGGUUCUUCUUUUUUCUUCUUCUGGUCACUGGGGGGAAGGACAAAUUUUUUUUUUCUUUUCCUCCUUCUGGUCGCUGGUUGCAGAUGUGGGUUUCAUUUAUUUAUUUAUUAUUUUUUUUGUUGAGAAAAUUCAGGUUUAAAAAAAAAGAAAAUUAAAUUUUUUUUGCCACGUGGCAGACAUUUGGCAGCCAUGUGGCACAAAUGUGGCAGCCACGUCAGCAUUUAACAGAUUAAUGGAUGGAAAAUCUAACAGAUGUAUUAUAUUGAAAUAAAAUAGUACUUAAGGUAUGAAAGUGAAAUGUUUUAAAGUUGUUGUAUGGGAUUGUAAUAAACCUUAAAAUCUGAGGGGCUACUGUGUAAUUUACCCUAUUUUUUUAUACAGUGAUAAUACUCAAGUAUAAUUUACAUCAUAUAUCUUUUGAAGUACAUAAAACUAUGAAGAAAAAUCCCUAAUUAAUCUGAUUAUGGGGAUUUUGUUUUAUAUCAAAAUAUUGCAGCAGAAGUCACACUUUGAAGAGUUCACGCUGCACAUAAAGAUGAUGAAAUGCUACAUGAGGUAUACUUUUGUUCUGCAAUAUGACCCUUUUUAUUUUAUUUUUAAGACAGAUAAGGUUGAAAAGAAAUUAUUUAGUAUUUUUGUAUCAGUUUUGAGUGCCUAUUUUGGCUUCCAUAUUUGGUCUGUACAUGUGAGGUAUAGAGUGUUCAAUAUGUAUUUGGUUUCUAUAUUGUUAAUGGAUCUAUAGCAAGUCCGCUUCCCUCAGUGUCCCUGGUAACAAAAUUUAUGGCGUGUCUUCGUUCUUUCAAUUAUUUGAAAGCUUCCCUGCUCUGCACUCUUGUACAAAGACUUAUGGUGUUUCAUCAGUUCCAUUUGGUGGUUGGGUGGGAAAUGAAAUUAAAACUCUGCAUUUCAAAUGGUCUAAACCAAAUUGUAUCAAAUGUGAAGCAAAGGGCAAGAGGUGUAGAUUGAAGAACAAUGGCACUAAGAGCGAAAUUGAACUUGUUGACAGGAGGAAACCAAGUAAGGAUAACGCGUCUAAAUCUUAUUUCGCAUUUAUUAUGCUCAUGAUGUUUUUAAUGAUGAUGAUCGGUAUAAUGUGCUACAUGCUGUGAUUUGUCUGCUUUCAUGUAAUUAGCGGCUUAUAUUUAUGGUAACGAUAUUGAUUAAUUUCGAGAAAUGACAUUCUAAUUUUCGCAACUGUCUUUUGCAGGCAAAACAAAGACGUUUGCAAGGGUGAGUUGUGUAUGACUGUUGUUUAGCUUUGUUUCAUCUCCAAAGGACAUUGGAGAAUAAAUGUUUACUCAUGGAUAGUAUCUAUCUAUUUGCAGGAGCAACCCUACGUUCAUUUGUUCUGUUACUGCUGGUCAUUGCAACAUAUCACGCCUAUAACGCUGAAAAAGAGAAUCGAAUGAAAAUUGAUAAGUUUUCGGCGGACUACAAAGAUCAUAAGCCAAGCAUAUAUUCCUAUGCAGAUAUUAAGAGGAUUACAAAUCAAUUCAAGUACAAUUGGGCCAAGGAGCAUACGAAGCUGUUUUUUUUUUUUUUUUUCUGAAUGCUUUGUUGCCAUGAAAGUACUUAACAUUUCCAAGGGCAACGGGGAAGAGCUUGUGAAUGAAGUGGGAACAAUGGGUCAUAUUCACAAUGUCAAUGUGGUUCGCUUGGUUGGUUUUUGUGCUGAUGGAUUUAGAUGAGCUCUGGUUUAUGAGUUCUUUCUCAAUGGUUGGCAUAAGUUGCAAGAUAUUGCUAUUAGCAUAGCCAAAGGAAUCAAGGAUGUGAUCUACAAAUCCUCCAUUUCGAUAUCAAACCACAUAAUGUUUUGCUCGACCAAAAAUUCCUGCCAAAAAUCUCUGAUUUUGUUCUGGCCAAGUUAUGUUCCAAGGAUCAAUCAAUGUCAAUGACUUAAGCGAGAGGGACCAUGAGAUACAUUGCACCUGAAGUGUUUUCCAGGAAUUUCAGAAAUUUGUCUUACAAGGCAGAUGUCUUGAAUGUUGCUGCUUGAGAUGGUAGGAGGAAAGAAGAAUGUUGGUUCAACCACAGACGACACGACAAAUGAAAUCUACUAUCCAAAAUGGAUUUAUAAUCUUCUAGAGGAAGGAAAUGAACAACGGAUCCAUAUUGAAGAAGAAUGUUAUGGUAAGAUUCCAAAGCAACUUGUAAUUUUAGGGCUCUGGUACAUCGAGUGACACUCGGUGGAUCAUCCUACCAUGAAAACGGUGGUGCGGAUGUAGGAGGAGGAGAAAACUUAAUGAUGCAAGCAACCCUAAAAGCCUCCUACAGUUAGAAGCAAUUGUUGAAUUAAAGUAACAUGUAUAUAUAUACGCACCAACACAAGUCAAUUCUGAGAUGAAUCCAAGCCAAACAAUUACAAACGGCAGUUAUUCACCAAAUCACUUUAAAGCAAAAAUUUAAUUAAUAAUACAUUACUGCACUUCCUUAACAAUUUGACUAUCACCUAGCUGACAAUGAACACGUUAGUUCCGCGUUAGAACAUAUUGGGUUCAAUUCAUUGUCUUGAAUAUCACCCGCAGUCACAGGCGCUUCUUGUGGGCAUAGAGAAGGCUUGAGAGGCAUCUGCAGACAUUCAACAUCUCCUCCAAGCAUUUCGACAACUUUGGACAUCGAAGGACGAUCACUUGGUUUCAUUUGAAUACACCAUAAGGCUGUUAUAACCAUCUUUCUUAUUACUUUCUUUUCCUCCUCAGUAAUAUUGUUCAUUUCCAAGUCAUUUCCCACAAUAUACUGAUCGUAUACCCACAACGGGAAGUAGAUUUGGCUUGAAUGCUCUACCAUUGCAUUCAAAUUCUUCCUUCUGCUUGCCAUUUCCAUCAACAACAUUCCAAAACUAUAGACAUCGGCCUUGUAUGAGACACCUCCAAUAUUUUUGUAGAACAACUCGGGAGCAAUAUAUCCCAUUGUACCCCGUGCUGCCGUCAAAGAGACAAUGCUAUUAUCUACAGGAUACAGUUUUGCAAGCCCAAAGUCAGAAAUCUUUGCUUUAAAGUUCUCAUCAAGAAGGAUGUUAUGAGGUUUGAUGUCGAAAUGUAGAAUUUGCAUUUCGCAACCUUGAUGUAGAUAUUCGAUCCCUUGAGCCACUCCAAGAGAAAUCUCGUACAUAGUCUUGAUAGUUAAAGGAAGACUUCCUUCUUUAGAAUAAAUGUAUUUAUCAAGAGAACCAUUAGGCAUGAAGUCAUAUACUAGAGCACGCUUUGAUCCCUCAACACAAUAUCCAACAAGUUGCACCACAUUGGCAUGGUGAAUCCUUCCGAUUGUAGCUAUUUCGCUAAUGAAAUCUUGGUCAUCAGCUUUGGGCUUGCCCAAAACUUUAACUGCUACAAAUCGGCCACUACGUAGCUUUCCUUUAAAUACAGAGCCAAAGCCACCUUUGCCCAACCUGUCCUUAAACUUGCGAGUCAUUUUCUUGAUGUCCGAGUAAGAGUACCUUAUAAGCAUGAAGUUGUUAUUGCAUUGCAGAAAAUCUUCUAUUGUGCCAUGCAUUGAUAAAUGUCUUCUGCGCCAUGUGUAGAUUAAAAAUGCAGUCACAACUAGAACUCCAAAAACAAAUCUGGCUAGGAAAAAUAACCCUGCAUGCAUUGACAAUAAUAUGUUAGAUCCACUGCGUAUUACUUUUUCUUCCCUUUCUUUCCAAAUUACUUUGUCCUUGAUAUAAUUAAAGAGAGAGAAUGGGAAAUCUACAUAUGCGGAUAAUACAAUCUCGUAUUAGUUCUUACCGAUGCAUAUGAGUAUAAACCAUCCACGUACUGCAACAAAAUUAAUUGACAAUGAGUUUGAAAAGUGCAUAAAGUGAAAAAUAAAAAAAUAAAAAAAAUCAAAGGGUGCCUUUAUUGACACCCAAAUUUUAGUUAGUUUCACUCAACUAAAAAAUUUUUGUCAUCAAACUUUUUAAUUUGCCGUCGAAAUUGAGUUCACCCAACCCACCAAGCAGCAAGCACCACUCACCAAAAAACACGAACAACACACACCCACAACUCACCAAUAGAAAGAGAAUGAACACACAGACCCACAAAGAGCUGGCAUCGACGCUGUUGAUGAGGGAGGGACCAGAGGAUGGUGUAGUUUCGUCGGGUGCGCGGUAGUGGUUUUGUCUGUUCAUUUUCUCUUUCUUUUGGUAUGUGGAGGCUGGUGUGGAUUUGGGCGAACUUGAAAAUGAGGGGAAACUAUGAAGUUUGACAAAAUGUUUUAGUUAGGUGAACUUAACUAAAAUUUGGGUGCUAAUGAAGGUACCCAAAAUCAAAAGACUUGAGCGUAUGGACUAAUUAAAUGAAGCUCUUACUGAUUUCUAUUUCUUCCAACUUGCCAGCUGCAAUAGAUACAUACCACGGAAAAGUGAGCAAAGACAUACAGUUACUAUGUUUAAGAAGUACAGAUAGAUCACACAAAAAUAAAAGAAUCUUUUGGAGAGAAACUUCUUACACAAUGAGAUGCGUCCAUGACCUACAGUGAAAAAUGUGACGAAGAAUACACAACAUUAGCAAUAGCUCAUCUAAUCUUCAGAAUUUAAAAAAUCAAGUUUGUCGAUCGAAAACUUGUAAAUAAAACAAAAGGAGAACCCCUUACGGAUUUGGUCCCAUUUAUAUUCGAUUAGGUCCCAAAGAUAUUCGAUUAGGUUCCAUAUAUAUUGAAAGAAACCUACAAGAACAAAGAAAGAACAAGACCACAUGCAUUAGCAUAACCAGUGUGAGGUGUAUAAGUCGUUAGAAAAUAAAUUUAAAAUUCUAGUUUUGUCAAUACAUUGAUUAAUAUAUAUAUGUAUUAUUUUUUCUAAAAAUUUAAUCGUCCCCCUCCAAACUCAUUUUUCUAGCCUCUAGCCCAUCAUAUAUAUAUUUAUCUGAAUAAAAUUCAAUGAUUAGGAUCCAACUGAGAAACUUACCAAAUUAAGUUUGUGUGUCCAUUUUUAUUUGUUUUAAUGGAUCAUGUGCAUUGAAUUUGGCAAGGUUUUGUAGCCAUGAAAUAUGGUUCUAGAUGGAGGAAUUAAUUUGGAUUUUUUUUUUAAUUUCGACAACAAAUUUCAAUUUGAAACAAUAUCUAUUGUUUAAUUUUAUGAAAAUAAUUUACCUACUAUGAAAAUUAAUUUUAUGAAAACAAUAUCUAUUGUUUAAUUUUAUACCUACAUGAUAAUUACAUGAAAAUAGUUAACCUAAUAUGAAAAUUAAUUUUUUGAAAACAAUAUAUAUUGUUUAAUUUUAUGAAGAUAAUUUACCUACUGUAUAAUUACGUGAAAAAAUUUACCUACUAAGAAAAUUAAUUUUUUGAAAACAAUAUAUAUUGUUUAAUUUUAUGAAGAUAAUUUACCUACUGUAUAAUUAUAUGAAAACUAAUGUGCCUACUUUUUUAAUUUGUAACAAAACCAAUUUACCUACUUUUUAUGGUAUUUAGUAUACAUAAAUGUAGAAUAUAUGUUCAUAUAUGGGGUUUAGGUGCCUUCCUAUAUAUGACCCUUGAUUUUACUUUAUUUACAGCACUGCAAUCAAAUGUGUGGCUGAGUUGGAGGGUAUUAUUAAAAGUUAGGAGGAUAAUUUUGUCCAAGGGCUGGGGGCGAAUUAGCAUACAGAGGGCGAUGGGAGCCAUGCCCAUUGCACAGAGAGAGAGAGGGACAGAAAAGGAGGGGAUGGGGGAUUUGAUGGAUGGUCACAGAGAGAGAUUGGGUGUGGGAUGUGAGGGGAGAUUACAGAGAGAUAAAUAAAAGGGAGGGAUCGGGGGAUUUGAGGGAUGGUCAGAGAGAAAUAGUGAGGGAGAGGAUGGGGGGCUGAUUUUCGGUUCCUCCUUCCAGAUUUGUUCCGUAAAACCUGUUGGGUACAAUUCAAUUUCCUCCCCCUUUCCCCUGAACGAAAAAUUCGAAACCUACAACUCAAAACUCACUCAUUUGACCCCCCUCCUUGGCUUUCCACCUUACUCAUCUCCUGGUGGUUCUUUCUCUCCAUACGAUUCGAUUUCGUUGAGUUCUUCGUUGCCCUCAUGAUUUCCCAAUUUGAUUUUUUGGGCGUCCUUAGUCGUCGUUUUUAUCUGGGUUUACUGCAUUGUUGCUUUUAGUUUCUGGAUUUUUAUUUUUUUUGGCGGUUUGAUGAAUCGUGGUUAAUAAUUUCACACCAUGGGAUUUUCGCACUUCUGAUGGAAUUGAGCGAGGGGAUUCGAGGUGGGGUUUUACUGAUAAUUUGUCUUCAUUCAAAUGAAUGGUUAAAAUUUAUGAGUAUUAACAAAUUUUGUAAAUUAUUCUUAUGCAUUUUAUUGAGGGAUAUGGGGAUCUAAUCGAUUUCUCUCUGUAGUGGGAUUGAAAUUGGGACUUUGUGGUACUCUCUCUCGCUCUUCCUCUCUCAUAUGUGUAUGAAGUGAGUUCUGAAUUGAGUUCUUUCAAGGGAACCCAUCAACGGUUUGCUUGCUGGGGGAAUUCGGAGACUACCAGUGUAUGAUUUAGUUAUCAUUUAUUUUUUUACUUAAAUUUAUCCAUAAAUAAUAUGUGGGUAAAUUUAUACUAAACAAUUGUGAUAAGCCAGCCAAUAUGCCAUACGACUUUGAAAGCAUUGAUUUUAUGUAUAGUUUGCAUUUUUGCAUUGUGAAUGUUGAAUUUUGUGUUUAAUUUGGAUUUUUGUGUUUGAAUUUGUAGCAUGAUCUUCCACUGCAGCAUCCAAAUUUUGCAUUUGUAAAUUGUCAAAGAAAAACGAAGUAUGAGGAAAUUAUAGGAGAUUGUGUCGGCUUUGGCCAUGAAGGGUAUCAGCAGUUUACCGCCCCCCCCCCAACACAGGUGAUUAAUCGUUUUUUAGUCUGUGUUCUAUAUGGAUGAGAAAGUGAUUGAAAAAUAUGAUUUUUUUUAUUUGUUGGUUGAUUUUGUAAGGACGAUGUAUUAAUUUUUUUUUUUGGGAGCAGCUUCUCCAUAAAUGGGGGUAAGGCUAGCCGACAUUCACCUCUCCCAGACCCUGCGUAAAGCGUGAGCCUUGUGCACUGGGUACGACCUUGUGUAUUGGGUAUUGUGUAGAACCAGCAAUGCAAGAGCAGGAUCUGAUCAGUCACGCCCGAAAAGGGGUUUGUUUCUCAAAUCACAUUCAUUAGUUAGAUUAUUAAUGUGCGUUGGAAGGCUCUUCAAUAUGAUUUUGUAAUUUCUCAUUUCCGGCAUUCUCUUUUUGGUUUUUGGAGUAUGUAUGUGAUUUGUACUUGAUUAUAGAAUAAAAAUUAAUAAAACACGAGAUGCAGCAAUUAAUUUGCAUCCUUAUGACAACACAUAUAUGAAAGUGCAUUCAAAUUCAAUAUGCGAAUGUGUGACAGGAUUUGCCUGCCUGCUGCUGCUGGUAUGCUUGCUGUUGUUUCUCGCGUUGUUAAUUUUUUGUGUGUGUUGAUUUGAUUAACAAUUCAAGCGUAUCUCUUUUCUUUUUUUUUUUUUUUUUUUUUUUGUGUUGGUUAGCAGCCAGUUUUAUUUAUUGGAUUUUUUAUUUGGAUUUAUGGCACUGAGGGUAUAGGUGAACAGUGAAGCGGUUUGUAUGGGCUCAUGUAACUUAAACAUGUAGUGAGAAGCGAGGAUUUUGUUUUAGUGUUUAUGAUAAUCUGAAGGAAUAUGUAGAUACUAUGAUUUGAGGUUGCUUUCUUAAACCAUGAUAAAGCAGUCCAAGUAAUUUUAACAACAACAACAACAACAACAACAACAACAAAGCCUUUUCCCACUAAGUGGGGUCGGCUAUAUGAAUCCUAGAACGCCAUUGCGCUCGGUUUUGUGCCAUGUCCUCCGUUAGAUCCAAGUACUCUAAGUCUUUUCUUAGAGUCUCUUCCAAAGUUUUCCUAGGUCUUCCUCUACCCCUUCGGCCCUGAACCUCUGUCCAGUAGUGACAUCUUCAAACCGGAGCGUCAGUAGGCCUUCUUUGCACAUGUCCAAAUCACCGGAACCGAUUUUCUCUCAUCUCUCCUUCAAUUUUGGCUACUCCUACUUUACCUCGGAUAUCCUCAUUCCCAAUCUUAUCCUUUCUCGUGUGCCCACACAUCCCACGAAGCAUCCUCAUCUCCGCCACACCCAUUUUUUGUACGUGUUGAUGGUUCACCGCCCAACAUUCUGUGCCAUACAACAUCGCUGGCCUUAUUGCCGUCCUAUAAAAUUUUCCCUUGAACUUCAGUGACCUAUGACGGUCACACAACACGCCGGAUGCACUCUUACACUUCAUCCAUCCAGCUUGUAUUCUAUGGUUGAGAUCUCCAUCUAAUUCUCCGUUCUCUUGCACGAUAGAUCUUAGGUAGCGAAAACGGUCGCUUUUUGUGAUCUUCGCUAGAUUGCUCUGGUCAUUAGUAUGGAUAAGUAUAUAAAUGGAUAGAGAUAGGAAAGCGAACACAAGAUGUACGUGGUUCACCCAGAUUGGCUACGUCCACGGAAUAGAGGAGUUCUCAUUAAUUGUGAAGGGUUUACACAAGUACAUAGGUUCAAGCUCUCCUUUAGUGAGUACAAGUGAAUGAUUUAGUACAAAAGACAUUAGGAAAUAUUGUGGGAGAAUGAUCUCGUAAUCACAAAACUUCUAAGUAUCGGAGUGUGGUAUCGUCUUGACGUGCCUUAUCUGUCUCAUAGGUAGAUGGGGCAUCUUCUCUAGAAGUACUCUUCCUCCAUCCAGGGGUGGUAUCUUUAACUGGUGGAGAUGCACAAGGUAAUGUAUCAAUUUCACUUGAAGCUUACUUGUAGUUUCAGGCUUGGUCAAGCGCGAUACAAACCAUGUAGUAGGAGUCCCCCAAGUCGCUGAGCUAGGGGAUCUGCUGAAAGAGGUGACAGGCAAGGUAAGCAAUCAUAGCUCCGGCUGAUUGUUCACAGUCUCCCUAUCUUGCAGGCAGCAUGAAGGAUAAAGAGAAGAAAAUGAGAAGAGAUGAUAUGGGAUACUUUUGCUUUUGAAGAAGUAACUUUCCACAGGCUUAUUCUUGAACUGAGCUGGAGGGUUUUCUGGUUUCCUCCAGAGUAUAAGGCCGACUGAAGAAUUUGAGGAUCAAAACAAGUCCAUCAAAUCUAGAGUACGUUCAACCCUGCUGAUAUGGGAUACUUUUGCUUUGACAGAGUAAUGGAUGUAUCGGCACGUGUGCUGUUACGCUUGUCUCCACAUGCUUCCUUGUAUCCUUUUCCCUUGCCCUAUCUGUUCCUCAGGUAGAUGCAGUAUCUUCCCUGGAAGCAUAAGAUGUUGAAGAUGACUACUCGAGAGCAAUAUCAGGUAAGUAAUCAGGUAAGGGGUUCCAGGCAGUCAGUUCCUGGCUGGAAGCUUGAUUCCAAGUACUGACUGAUUGCUCUCUUUCUCCUUGCCUUGCAGGUAAGAAUAAGGUCAAAGGAAAAGACAGGGAAGAAGCAUGAUAUGGGAUACUCUUGCUUUUAACCCUGAUGAUAUGAGAUAUUCUUGCUCUAGUAUAGCUUGUUUGCAGAGGGAUUAUCGGGGGGAAAGAAAGCUGAAUAUUUCGAAAGGCUUCGUUGGGAGUGCCCUCUUAGAUAUGAGGAAGGGUUGAGCAUUUUUGCAGGUCUGCCUGUCCGUUGAGGAUGGAGGUCGACAUAUAUAGGAGUCUCCUUAACAACAAGUAGUCAUGCUAUUCCUUUACCCUACUUGGUCAUAGCACGGUAGUGGGAGCUGUCAGCUUCACAUGUUUUAACGCUGUCAAAGCACUUUGAAAAAGUGGUUUGUGGUAUCUGGAAAGCUGAUGUUGCGUGUGAAGAUUACAAACAGCUUUAUCCAAGGGGAUCCGGCUCUUGUAGUUGGGAAAGUGUUGCCUCUUCGGUUUUCGAACAAGCAAUCCUAUCGGGUAUCUGGCUCUCGAGAUUCGGAGAACGAUGCCGCUUCGAUUUUUGAGAAAGCAAUCAUGCUGGGGGUCUGGCUCUUGAGAUUCGGAGAGCGAUGUCUCUUCGAUUUUUGAGAAAGUAAUCAAGUUGGGAGUCUGGCUCUCGAGAUUCGGAGGGCGGUGCCUCUUCGAUUUUGGAGCAAGCAAUUUUGUUGGGAGUGUUUUCUCGAAUGUGAGUAAAGGUUGGGCAUGUUUGCUAGUCUACCUUGCCACGAAGCACAGAGGUUGACACACAUGGACUUUCCAAUUAUCCAGCAAUGGUACUGUUCCUUUACCCUCUUCGAUUUUUGAGAAAGUAGUCAUGUUGGGAGUCUGGCUCUCGAGAUUCGGAGGACAGUGCCUCUUCGAUUUUGGAGCAAGCAAUCUUGUUGGGAGUGUUUUCUCGAAUGUGAUUAAAGGUUGGGCAUGUUUGCUAGUCUACCUUGCCACGAAGCACAGAGGUUGACACACAGGGACUUUCCAAUUAUCCAGCAGUGGUACUGUUCCUUUACCCUUGUGGGUAAUAAUAUGGUAGCUAGACCUUCAAAAUUUAUGUGUCUAAACUUUGUUAGUGUUGUUUCUUUGCUAUUCUUUUACUCUUCUUGGUCAAAGCGAUGUAGUGGGAGCUGCAAGCUUCACGUGUUCAACUUUGGCAGAGAACUUUGGCAAAGUUAUCUGUGGUACCCAUGAGCUACUGUUGCGUGUGGGAAGUGGGUGAUUGAACAGUAAGACUCAUGUGCUUUCUACUUCACCAGAAGUCUUCGACCGAAUGCCCAUAAUUUCCGCAAAGCUGAGUGUGCGUGUGACAGGUGCUGACAAGGCUGGAAAAGUAGGUGCCUCUUCGAUUUCUGAGAUCGGCCCUCGUGGUCUCUGAGCAGCCCAGUUUUUUGAGAAAGCAAGCGCCUCUUCGAUUUCUGAGAUCGGCUUUCGUGGUCUUUGCGCAGCCCAGCUUUUGAGAAAGCAAACGCCUCUUCGAUUUCUGAGAUCGACCCUCGUGGUAUCUGAGCAGCCUUGCUUUUGAGAAAGCAAACGCCUCUUCGAUUUCUGAGCAGGCGCCUCUUCGAUUUCUGAAGCUCCGUCGAGUGCAGAUUUUUAUAGGGGCUGGCAUUAAGUUCCAAAGCACACUUGAAUCUCCACCAGUAGAAGCUCCAUUCUUGAACUUCUAAGAUCUUGAUUUGUCCGACCUCUUUUCUCUUCAACACCUUUGAAAAUGUCUGGCCCCUCCGACCGUCGUUUUGACUUGAACCUUGUUGAAGAGGCAGCCCCGCCUUCUCCUGACAACAUAUGGCGUCCAUCAUUCGUCUCCCCUACUGGUCCUCUUACCGUUGGGGAUUCCGUGAUGAAGAAUGAUAUGACCGCUGCGGUGGUGGCCAGGAACCUUCUCACUCCCAAAGAUAACAGACUACUUUCCAAACGGUAUGAUGAGUUAGCUGUUAAGGAUUCUCUGGCUCUCAGUGUUCAGUGUGCAGGUUCUGUGUCUAAUAUGGCCCAACGCCUAUUUGCUCGAACCCGCCAAGUUGAAUCAUUGGCGGCUGAAGUGAUGAGUCUCAAACAGGAGAUUAGAGGGCUCAAGCAUGAGAAUAAACAGUUGCACCGGCUCGCACAUGACUAUGCUACAAACAUGAAGAGGAAACUUGACCAGAUGAAGGAAUCUGAUGGUCAGGUUUUACUUGAUCAUCAAAGAUUUGUGGGUUUAUUCCAAAGGCAUUUAUUGCCUUCGUCUUCUGGGGCUGUACCGCGUAAUGAAGCUCCAAAUGAUCAACCUCUGAUGCCUCCUCCUUCUAGGGUUCUGUCCAGUACUGAGGCUUCGAAUGAUCCCCCUCCGGUGCCUUCUCUUUCUGGGGCUCUACCGACUGCUGAGACUUCUCCUAAGCAACCUUUGUGAAGGCUCCGUCUUGUUUGUUUAUUUUGAGUUAUGUAUAUGUACAUAUAUGUAGCUUAUCGGGGAUAUCAAUAAAUAAGCUUUCCUUCAUUUCAACGUAUUGUGUUAAAUACACCAAAGCCUUCUUCGCUAAGUUCUUUGAAUUUUCUUUUGUUGAAGCUUUGUGAGUGGAGCAUGUAGGUUGAGGUAGUGUUCCCUUAAUUUCCUGAGUGAGGAAAACUUCUCGGUUGGAGACUUGGAAAAUCCAAGUCACUGAGUGGGAUCGGCUAUAUGAAUCUUAGAACGCCAUUGUGCUCGGUCCUGUGUCAUGUCCUUCGUUAGAUCCAAGUACUCUAAGUCUUUUCUUAGAGUCUCUUCCAAAGUUUUCCUAGGUCUUCCUCUACCCCUUCGGCCCUGAACCUCUGUCCCAUAGUCGCAUCUUCUAAUCGGAGCGUCAGUAGGCCUUCUUUGCACAUUCCAAACCACCGUAACCGAUUUUCUCUCAUCUUUCCUUCAAUUUCGGCUACUCCUACUUUACCCCGGAUAUCCUCAUUCCUAAUCUUAUCCUUUCUCGUGUGCCCACACAUCCAACGAAGCAUCCUCAUCUCCGCUACACCCAUUUUGUGUACGUGUUGAUGCUUCACCGCCCAACAUUAUGUGCCAUACAGCAUCGCCGACCUUAUUGCCGUCCUAUAAAAUUUUCCCUUGAGCUUCAGUGGCAUACGGCGGUCACACAACACGCCGGAUGCACUCUUCCACUUCAUCCAUCCAGCUUGUAUUCUAUGGUUGAGAUCUCCAUCUAAUUCUCCGUUCUUUUGCAAGAUAGAUCCUAGGUAACGAAAACGGUCGCUCUUUUGCAAGAUAGUCCAAGUAAUUUUAACAUAGAUAUAAUUUUUUAUGCAAUGCAUGAGUAUAUGAAAUGUUAAGACGAUAAUAUAUCAUGUGAUUUAAAAUUCAAAGAGAGACAAUGAACCAUGUUUGAUAUUUUGUUUGUCUUGUUUCGUUUAAAUUUGGGCGUUUUUCAGUUGGAUUCAUGGGUUUUGUUUAAGAUAUCAUUUUUGGUUUAGCCAACGCAAAAGUUUACAUCUUUUCUAUGUUGGAUUCAUGGGGUUUUCUUAAGCUUUCAAGUUUUCAGUUUUUGUCAAGAAAUUUAAUCUAGGUUUCAUUUAUUUUUCAAACUAGACACUUUUGUGAAGAUUUUCUUUAUAAUUCAGUAAAUGAUUGCUCCUUUACCUGUAAAUUUGACUUAUGUAAAUUUCCAGGUUGUUCAAAACCCGCAGGGAAGCGCGGGCAAUUUUUCUAGUUAAAUGUCUAAAAGAAACGUAUAAGAGAUUUGGUGGCAUGAUUUUGUAAAUGAACACAAAUUCAGGGACAUCUUUUAUCCAACAUGACAUCAUAUUUAAAAUUUGGGUUUUAUUUAGAAGUUAUAAUAUUUAUGUGGCCUUUUGUCUAGAGUUUAAGAGUUGCCAGGAUUGGAUGAAAAUUUGCUGAGUGUUGGACAAAUGAUGCAGCAUGGAUAUUUCCUUCUAUUUGGAUUGAUGAGGUUGCUCUAUUUGAAGAUAAGAUGCUGGAAAAUCAUGUGGUUACAGUACAAAUGACUGGGAAUAGAUGUUUCCCUCUCAUAAUGGAAGAUAAGAAAUUCAAUGUGUUGAAAGCUGCUUUGGAAGACGGUGCUUAAGAUUGGCACAUAAGACUUGGACAAUUGAAUUUUCAAAGCCUGUAGUUACCUGUUAGUCGGGAAAUGGUACUAUGAAUGCCAAAGUUGAAGCAAACACAAACAGUAUGUGAAGGUUGUGCGGUGGGAACGCAUCACAGAGAAGCCUGUAGCAGGGAGAUAAUGUGGAGAGCAAGUCAUCCACUAGAGUUGAUACACUCUGAUAUUUGUGCAGGUUACAACAUCGGGUGGAAACAAGUAUUGCUUGACUUUCAUAGAUGAUUGUACAAGAAGGUAUUGGUUGUAUCUUCUGAAGCACAAGUCUAAAGUGUUCACUGUGUUUAAACAUUUCAAAGCCAUGGUUAAGCUACAAUGUGGAUACCAGAUCAAAAGAUUGAGGAGUGACAACGGUGCAAUAUCUAUUUACUAGACAUCCUUUGGGAUUCUUCCAUAUUAGAACAAGGAUUCUAUUCUAAAAAGGCCCCCUCUCCCACGGUAUAAAUACACCCAUCUAGGGUUCAUCUACGGUAGCACAAUCUAAACACUUUGAAUUCUCUUGCCCACUGCUUGAGUCUAAAAUCAUUCAUUAACUUAACUAACCUCCCCCCCCCACCCCCCCCAACCAAAGGUUUGCUUACGAUUGUUUCACUAUUUUGCAGGUUGUUCCAGACUACAUGAAUUCGUGCUCGACCGCCUCUUACGGCUCCAAACUAAUUAAUAAGUUUAAGGGGGAUAUGAUGAAGAAGUAUGAGAUGACUGAUCUUGGCUUGCUUUAUCAUUUUCUUGGUAUGUGAAUAGUUCAAACAGAGCAAAAGUAUCUUUAUCAAUCAAAAGAAGUACACUCUUGCACUUUUAGACAAAUUUAGUUUUGAAGAUUGCAAGCCUCUCACUAUAACACUUGCAGUGAAUACGAAGUUGAAAGGAGAAGAUGGUGGUGCUCUUGUAGAUAAAGCUCUUUAUAGGUAGAUUGUUGGUAGUCUGUUAUAGUUGAUAGCUACAAGGCCUAACAUUGUGUUUGAUGCGAUCUUACUCUCAAAAUUCAUGCACAGUCCUUCAAAGAAACACUUUGGUAUUGCAAAAUGGGUGCUAAGAUACAUACAAGGAACCUUGGAUUAUGCCAUUGAAUAUUUGAAAUCCAAGGAAGCAAUAUUAUGCUAAUAGGCUAUUGUGGCUGUGAUUGGAGUAGGGAUGAAAAUGAUUUGAAAAGUACUCCUGGAUAUGCAUUUUCAUUUGGCAGUGGAAUCUGCUCAUGGGCUUCAUCGAAACAACACAGUGUAGUAUUGUCUACUGCAGGUGCUGAGUAUGUUAGUGCCUCUGAAGCUAUUACUCAAGAGAUUUGGCUUUGAUUUAUAAUGGAAGACUUUGCUGAAUUACAAACUUAGGCUACUUGAUUGCAUUGUGACAACACAUCUGCCAUUGUCAUGACAAAAACCAUGUGUUUCAUGAAAGAUCCAAGCACAUAAAUAGCAGGUAUCACUUCUUUAGAGAAUCACUACAAAACAAUAUCAUCAAUCUAUUGUAUUGCAGAUCAGAGGAACAAUUGGCAGACAUCUUCAUCACAGCAUUGUCAAAUAAUCUAUUCUUCUAUCUCAGAAACAUGCUAGGGAUCAAAUCAGCAACAAUCUUAGAAGUGAGUGUUAAUGAUUAAGCAUUGGUGUUGAUUCCUUAGACUGCAAGCUUAGAAGGUAUGGACUGCACAGAGAGAAGGAGGGGGAGAGAGCGCGGAGAGAGGAAGAUGACGGAAGGGUGGGUCUUUUGAACAGAGACCUUGCAGACAAAGGGUGAGGGAGGGAUGGGACUGAUCUUAACGAAAUUACAGGUUUGUUUUCAAUUUCUUAUUUACAUGUUUUCAUAUUCAAUGGCAAUUUGGUUUCUUUUAUUUCAAAUUUAACUUCGAAAAUGUCUUUUAAAUUUAGGUAUUUUGUCUUCAACUCUAUCGCUUCCAUGCUAAUUAAGGUAGAUUAAAAAGUAGGUUUUUUAUUCAAAAUGGUCCUUGAGAUUUGCAUCAUUCAUAAGUUUGGUUUUUAAGAUUUAAAAUCAAUAGAAGUAGUCCUUGAGAUUGUCCACCAUCCAUGAUUUUGGUUCUUCCGCUGAAGCUUUUGGCCGGAAGUUUGAGCAAUUUUCAAAGUUUCGUAACUCAAUCGUUUUUUAACCAAAUUCGACUCAUAAUAUAUCAAAAUAAAGAUAGGAAAGUGUAGAAUAAGAUUAUAUCUAUUUGGAAGCCCAAUUAUUGCCGAAGAUGGUCAGAAAAUAGCCUCAAAGUUGACUGGUCCGAGGGAAAACUGGAACCGGAAAUUCGCUGAAAACUGGGUAAACUUUAAACGUUCAUAACUUCUUCAAUACUCAACAAAAUCAAGUGAUUCAAAAACGAAAAUCAUACUUCUCAACGAGAAGAAGAGAAUGGUACCUUUUUCAACAGCUAACUUGCCGUGGUUUGGUCGGAAAACGGCUCGAAAGUGGCUGUUGAAAAACAAGUCAACAACUUUCAAGCCGUUUUCUGGCCAAACCACGGUGAUUUAGCUAUUGAAAAAGGGUACCAUUCUCUUCUUCUCGUCGUGAAAUAUGAUUUUUGUUUUUGAAUCGCUUAAUUUCGUUGAGUAUUGAAGAAGUUAUGAACGUUUAAAGUUUACCCAGUUUUCCCUCAGACCAGUCAAUAUUGAGGCUAUUUUCCGACCAUCUUCAGCAACCAUUGAGCUUCCAAAUAGAUAUAAUCUUAUUCUAUAUUUUCCUAUCUUCAUUUUGAUUUAUUACGGGUCGAAUUUGGUUAAGAAAUGAUUGAGUUACGAAGCUUUGAAAAUUAUCCAAACUUCCGGCCAAAAGCUUCAGCGGAAGGACCAAAAUCAUGGAUGGUGGACAAUCUCAAGGACUACUUCUAUUGAUUUUAAAUCUCAGGGACCAAACUUAUGAUGAUGCAAAUCUUAGGGAUCAUUUUAAAUAAAAAGCCUAAAAAGAAUUGCAACAGAAACAACUAAAAACCAAGUUGGCCUGCAGGGUUAUCUGUAUGUGUAUUAUAUUGAUAAUUCUAGGACUUAUCAUAUCAUGUUCCUAACUUGAUGCUGUGGGCAUCUUCUCCUAUUAAUAACAGUGGCACCUUAAUUUGAUCAACCAAAUUUGGUGAAGCACCAGACAAACAGAAACCCAUGCAUACAGAGCCAACUGCACUGAAGCAUGAAUUUAAAAAAAAUAAUGUACAUGAUUAUUAUUCCACUACUUAAUUUGUUCCAACUCACCACAAAUUUCUCUUCAUUAUGGUUGUUAGGACAAUAGAUUAGGUUGCAAGAUAAAUUUCCAAAGUUCUACUAGCUUAGGUUUUCAGAAAUCAAACAUGCAAAGUUUCUAUGCAUGUUUUGAAAUUGGUUUUAGGAAGUGGGCUUCCAAGUCUUAACAAUAAUGGACACUAUGAAAUCAGGGUAACCAAUUGGGGAUAACUAUAUACUUCAAAAACGCAUAUUUUACACACACACACACACAUUCUGUCAAGAAUCAGAUUUGAUUGGCACAGAUGAAGAUGAACAAUAAGAAUGAACAAUAAGAGGCUAGCUAGGAGCUGAGUAAAUUGAAUCGAUUACCAUGUUGUAAUUGGCCUAGCUACUCUCUAGUUAUUCUUCAAGGUUGUAUAUAAUAUAUCUACCUAUAUAAUCUCACCCUGUUUCCCCCUUUUGUCUCUCUGUGCACUCAGAAAACAAGCCACCCUAAUUCAAGUUCUCUAUCUUCAGAUCACCAGCAAUAACCUCAUCAAGGUCCUAGGAGGAAUCACGAGGAUUCACAGCCGAAUUGGUAUGUACUUAUGCUUUUGCAAAAAGCCCUUUUCUUGCCAUUUUUCUGUUUUAGAAUUGGGACCAAAAUGAUUAUGAGUGAUUUUGAAAAACACCGAGAAAAAAUGGCUAUCAAGCAAGCAGGCUGUGAGUAUUCAAAAUAUAAUUUUCAGUCAAAUAAAAUAUUGGCACCACAAGCUUUUAAGUAGGGAGGGAUGUUUGAUUAUAUAUUUAAAUUAAGCAAAGAAUCUUGCAUAAGAAAACGAUCCAAGUUGAAGUAAACCAAAUAUAUGGUGCAACAACUGUUAGUUUGGUCAGUCUUCAUCACACUAAUCAAAUGGGCCCGAGGGGUUGAUUUUCACAGUAACCACUUACUUUUUAGUAUGUUCCGGAGUAUUUUAGUGUUUAACUAUUUUUUACAUUUUUGAGGUUCGGAGUGAUUUUUAAAACGAGUCAUGAAUUUUAGUUUUCUAAUAUUACACUCUCUAUGCUUCAGAUUUUCCACAUUUUGACUUGGACUUCUUUUUUUCUUUGUUCUGUUUGAAGAACUUAGUACUUUUGAUUUCAGUAGCAAAAUAAUUUGAACAGGAUGAGAGAGAGAGAGAGAGAGAGAGAGAGAGAAAUAAAGCAUCUACUUGAUCUCUGUACUUUCUCUUAUUCUUAUGUGUGGUUAAGGUUGCAUAUCUGAAUUUUAACCUAUCAUCAUGUAAGUAUUAUAGUGUGUUUUAGAAGCGGGAGUGUGUGAAAUGUGUUGAUGCUGAUGAUGGUGUCGAAUUUGGGGACACUUCCCAGCUAGCAGAGCAAGUAACAGAGAGCUUUUUCCAACUCAAAUUUAAUGAUUCAAGCUGCUUAAGACUUGCAUAACAUUUCCAAGUUGUAGUCGAUGUGCCUGAGUUCUUGAGUACUUCAGUCUUCACUAAUGAAUGUAACACCAUUAAGACUUGGAAUGUCUUUGGGGGGUACGAAAUAACAUUGCUCAUUUCGUAUUUUAUGGGUUCGAAUUUUUUGUCGAGUACGUGAUUCUUGCAAAAGAGUUGUAAAUAUCGUUGUAAAUAUGUGUAAGUAGAGUUGUAAACCCUACCAUUGAACACUUAAUAUAGUUGUACAUAUAUAUAGAAAUUUUUACAUGCUUUGUACAGUUUUAAACACCCACAACAUCGUGCGGGCACACUUUCGCUAGUAUUUUAUUGUACUAGUGCACUCAAAUGUCUGUAGCUAAAUAUGUUAUUAUGAAUUAGUGGAACAUAAGAAAAUAUGGAAAAACAUAAGUGUACCAAAAAGUUCGUACUUAAACAUAGUAUACUAAAUUAGUGUACCGGUAUGUUCGUGCCUACCCUAAACUAGUAUACCGAAAUGUCCAUACCUAAACAUGUUAUUCUAAACUAGUGUACUAAGAUGUUUGUACCUAAAUACAUUGUAAUAAAUUAAUGGCACAUAAGAAAAUAUGCAAAAACAUAGGUGUGCCGAAAAGCCUCUACCAAAAUAUUUUCUUAUAUAAGAUAAUUACAAUAAAUUGGUGAUGCAAAAUGUCAACAAAUAAAAGCUAAUUCAUUUGAAUUCAAAUGAGUAUUAAAAUUUAAUUCAUAUCAGCAUAAAAUUAUAAAUAGAAAAAAAGAAAGACAUUGAAUGCAUAUGCUGCCAUUAAAUAGAGUUUAGGAACUAAAAUCAAUUUUUUAAUCUUGUGUGAGACAUUUUUCUAAAUUUUAUUUUAUUUAAGGAUUAAAAAUAUAGUUUUCUAUUACUUAUAUUUCUGACUACAUAUGGUUAUUACUUUAGUCGAGAGUUGACGCACCUGGAAUGGUGUCUGGAAAACAUGAUGACCCAUAAUUCCAGCCUUGGCAGCGUAUUCCAGGCCAGAAAUGAAGCUCAAAGCCAUACACGAGAGCAUUGUGUAUGUCUUUAUAAGAGACGUUGCUGUAGUCCUUAACGGAGUAGUCAAAGUGACCCAAAUUCAUCCAAGCCCUCCCCUCUGCACUGCAACCCUCAUCCAAUUCCCAUACUUCCAUGUACUCCCCGACCAUGACGUAGCUAUACGUUUUUGGUUGGCUCGAAGAAGUAGAACUUGUAUUAUUCAAGCAUGGAGCAGUGUCCACGUACAGAGAAGAAUUCAAUGGAUUCGAACAUUUCAAGUAAUAUAUAGAUGUUAAAUUCCCUCGUGAAUAAUGUUCAUAAUAAUUUAAAGUAUUGUGCGGAAAAUUUCGAGGCAUGGAAGAGCAAUUGGUGUUCACAAGGCCAGGAUCUAGAAGUCGGAUUGUUUUGUCGUUGUAGUUGAUUGCCUGGACGUAGUAUUUUCCGGACGAAGGUAGGUAUAGUACUGUAAUGUUGCUCUCACAGGACAGAGUAUACCUUACGUCGCCACAAUAUUUUGGAUCAUCGUUCAGUCGAAAAGGAUAGCUUAUGUUGUGGACAUGGCCGCAGGAUGAAGUACAGGACUUGGCACUGGUGUCGUCCUUAGCGUUACAAGUUCCACUGCAGAAGCUAAGAAGAAGAAAGGCUAAACUUAAGGUGAAGGACCUGCUUCCACUAAUUUCCAUUGGAGAGAGAGAGAGAGAGAGAGAGAGGUGUACUAGUUCACACCAAGUAGUCAUAUAAUAUAGGAGGGGUUAAGGCACCUUCCGUGAAAUUGCAGUUGAAAUAUCCUAGAGAAAAAUCGGUCGUCAAUGGUAUCCUAGAGAAAAGUCGGUCGAUGGUGUUUGAUACGGUCAGUCAACGGUGAAGACAGUUGUGAAACAAUAAUGCUCUCCCCCGCUCUCUUUAUUAUAUAUGUCUUUCAUUAAUGGAGGAUACUGCGUAAUUACUACGCAUAUAUCUCUGCUUAAUCACACAAAACAAAAAAUACCAUGCGCCUAUAGAAAAUUUGACUUUUUCCCUAAAAAUUAAUUUUCUUUCACCUCCAACCCAUCAUAUAUAUUCUAUAAGAUAAGAAUAACCCAUUGACUAGCUCCAAUUAAGCAAGUUUCUUAACUUGCUUGAUGACUCUGAUCAUGUGUAAUUUUGGGGAAUUGGAUGCUAUUUUGUCUCUACUUUAUUAGGCUUUUUCAAAUGGUUCUUUCACAUUUUUCAAAUGGUUUACAAUCUCUCUUCAUUUUUAUUUUUUGCAAGAAUGUAUUUAGUUUUGGUUUACAAUUUCACCUAGCCAACCAAAUGUCGUAAAUACACUUGUGACUCGUUCAUCACUGAUUCAUGAAAAUGUGUCCUACUAUAUAAGCAACAAAUUCAAAACCAGGUUGAAAACUUAUGUAUGUAACUAAGGACUCAUGAGAAUUGUAACCAUUGUACCUAAGUACCAUAUGUGCUCGAUAGCUUGAGGUGUUUGUCUGACUACGUAAGUACAUUGGAGGUUUGUUGGAUUGCUUGGGUUUUCACUUGAAACCAGUGGCUGGCCAAUAUGCAUCACUUUUCCACAUAACUUUUAUGCAAAAAUCUUUCCUUAAGUUUUUACAUCACAGUUCUUGACUAGCUUCAAUAGACAUAUUGUUGUCAUGCUUGCUUAGUUAUGAUCCUUCAAAGUUUCUAUGUUCUCAGUUUCCCCUUCAAAUCGAUAUGUUUUGUAACUUCUUCUUUUUUUCUUUCUUCAGUACUUUUAUAUACUGAGAGCGAUAAUUCCGCGACUUGGUGAGAUUGGAAUGAUAAAUUAUUAGUGAGCCUUCACUUUUUCUUGAACAAUAAUCACUUUAGGAUGAGUUACAUUACCAACUAGAGAGAUUGGUCUAGUCACAUCUCUUCAGAAUGUUGAAAUAAGUUUCAAGUUUAAUCCAUAGCUCAACCAAAAUAAAUAAGAUAUUGUUGAUUGCACAUUGAUUUAUAUGAGAAAAUAAAUAAACUACUAGUAAGGAAACUGUUGGCAAGUGUUGAAUUGUUCUGGUAUUUAAGGUCUUCUUUUUCAACCUGCUGUACUUCUAGUGUAAACUUUCCUUCUUUUUUAAUGUAGAUUAGCAUAGAAUAUCGCUUAUGAUUAGAAGAAGAAAAAAGAAAAAUAAAAAGGAAACUAUUGAAUUUUGUUCAAAGUCUAGGUCGUAGUUCUUCUCUAGAUUAGAAGAAGCAGUUUUUUUUUUUUUAAGCAUAGCAAUACCAAACUGGCCCCUAAACCAACAUAAGACAAGUGAAUAAAAAACUACCACAUUGAAUUCCUAAGUAGGUAGCAUUUUACACAUCGGAGAUGCUCUUAUACUAUCCUUUUUAUAAUUUUAUAUUAUUCUUGAGUGGCAUCACUCAUCUUUGGUGCAUCCAAUGGAACCCAGUGGAUCUAGAUCGUCCAUCCAUUAAAGUGGAGGUUCAGAUGUUGGAAGGAGAGAACUUAACCAUGCCUCCAAAUUCUUGUGCCUAUACAGGUCUUGCACGAACUAAUACAAGUCCGCCUGCAGUGCCGGUAUAUUAGACUUCCAUGACUAUCGUGGUCUUUGGGGUUAACUGAAGAAUUUCCGAGCGAAUGGAACCACAUGUAACACAGCUAAGCCUAAUUGAUAGCGAUUUUACCACUUUUAAAACAAAGGGUUAAACCAUAGAAAAUUCUUGCAAGAGACAAGUGUUUGUAGUAUAGAAUGGCUCAAGCAAGGUCGAUCUCCUCAGGGACUGAUAUAAACAAUUUACGAGUUUUUGUGUAUUUAACUUAUUUAACUCUAAAAAUUACACUAAUUUGACGAAACUAAAUAUUACUGGAUGUGACUUAAACAAUUAUCUAAAAUGGGAAUUGGUUUAUAGGAAUAAUGAUUCAACUAAACAAAACAAGUAAAUGAGAAAAUUCAAGAUAAAAUAAAUGAUUGAAGAAAAAUAGAUUGACAAUAUGCUAGAGUUCAACCUUUACCAACAACACUCAUACGUAGCUUUUCCAAUUGCUUAAAUAAUUGAAAACACACAUGCUUUGAAAGUUGGAUUUUCCUUGUGUAUGUUUUACUUGUGACAUUCAAGCUAAAACGCAUACCACUACAUGCAACUUAUCCAUGACAUUUGGAUUAAAUAUAAACAUGAGUGAUUCAUUAAUCUUGGUGAAAAUCCUUUUGUUAAACCAUGUAAUCCCUAAGAGCAUGAUAUUUACCUUAGGAGAGUACAAUCCUCAAUCACAAGAAGCACAACCAAUUUUAACGUGACAUUCGUUCAAAAUUGCAUCCGAUAACUUUUCUAAGCAUCCUAAUGGUGAUCAAGCAUCAAGGUACAUAGAUAGUUUAAUUCAGUGAUUGAAAAUAUCAAAGCAAGCAUGUAACAACACUUAAGCAAUUGAAAAAUAAAUCUACGUAUUCAUGUUGCCGCUCAUGGCCUCACUCUAGCAUAAUAAUUUAGUUACACAUAAUUAAUUUGAUACAUAAGAAAUUAUUCAUAAAAGAAAAUAAAUAACUAAGAAAGAAGACACCCGUUUCUUUUCUCCCGUCGCAAGUCUAUGUGAAAUUUUCCGUGUGCACUGCCUUCUCCUGCUCCUCCCUCUGUUUCCGUGCUCUGCCUGCACUCCUGCUUUGCUCCCUCUGUUUCCGCACCUCUCCUCUAUUCCCUGUGCUUCUGCUUCUGUCCUUCUGCUGCUCGCCAGUCCGAGUCAACUGCUUCUUAUUCUUUUAUUUUCUUUUCAGUCCUGCGCACUCCACUUCCUUCCCACUCUUCUCUGUUUUUUAUUUGUUUAUUUUUUUCUUUUCUUUCCACACCUCUUUGUCUGCCAGUCUGUCUUUUUUAUUUGUUUCUUUUUCUUUUCGUCACUGCCUCAAUGCUCUCUCCACUCUGUCAGAAUUCUUCCAUGCUGUUUUUCCACUUUGUUUCCUGCCAUCCUCUCUGCUCCUUUGUCCGUGUCUUCACUUUUCUUCCUUUUAAUUGAAAUUAAUCCUAAAACACAUUUAACUGCACAAUAACACAAGGUAAGGUAAAAUGUCAUAAUUAUAACACAAAAACAUCACAAAGACUUUAAAAAUAGAUGGUAUAAAUGUAUGAAAUAUAUGAAUGAUCACUAAUCGACAAUGAUUCAUACAGCGACAGAUGAGACGCGCAAAGCAGCUUCAAAGAAAGCACUAUACUGCUUUAGUUAUGUGCUAAGUUGCAUGCAUGGACGCUUCAAUACACUAGCGUGUGACGUAUCAGACACAAAAACAAACACAAAACUUCACAGACACUCUUGGACACUUGUCCAACACUCCACAUGGCAUAUCGUUGACUUUGACUGACUGACACUUUAGGGAUACACGUAGGACAUUGUUAAAAAAACACGCCAGUGGUAAUUGUAAAAUUAAAUUAAAAUUUUAGGGUAAAAUUGAAAUAUGAAAAAAUUGUCUUAGGGUAAUAUGAAAAACGGAUUUAGAGGUAAAUGUAAUGUUGUAUUUUGUUUGGAUGAAGAAAUUUAAUAAUACUAAGGAAUUUUAAAAUGAAAUUUUAUUUUCUAGAAUUUCUGAAUUUUCUUAUUUGGUUAACUUAAAAUGAACAAGAGAAUUUGAAUACGGAAUUUAUUUAUUUAUUUUUAAACUCUCACUCAUAGAAAUUUAAAAAUGACACAUAUUUACAUGAAAUUUAAAUUUGGGGAUUCGAGGUCUCAAAUUCCAAGUUUUUUUUUCUUGCAAAGAUUCUAAAUUUCUAUUUUUAUGAAUCGAAAAAAAAGAAAUUGGUUUGUGCCAAUUUAUAAAUUCUAACGUUUGUCAACUUAUAUUGUUGCCAUACUUGCUUAGUUAUGAUCUUUCAAAGUUUUGAGCUCUCAGUUUCCCAUUCAAAUCGAUAUGUUUUGUAACAUUCUUUUUUUUCUUUAGUACCUUUGCAUUUUAAGAGCUUUAAUUGCGCUACGUGAUGAGAUUGUAAUGGAAUUAUUAGUGAGAAUUUCUUGAACAAUAGUCACUUUAGGAUGACUAGUACAAAGAUGUCAAAGUGAAGUGGGCCCUUACCAUUGACCUGCUAGGGGCACAGCCAUCAUUAUUGACCCCGAAAAGUAUGCAUGCCAAUAAAAAAUAAUUUAGUCAAAUUCUUUCUUUUUUUCAAAUAAGUAACUCAAUUUCUAAUAAACUCGAAUUUGCUGACUAGUGGGUUCUUACCUAAAUUAUAUCUUGUUUUGUCUAUGACAUUUUGAACUCCAUAAGCAAAUUUAUUGUUUCAUCUAGUUAUAUAUCUUUACACAUUAGUCACUUAAAAGAGUGUUAUAACAUUAAUUACGUAAAUGAGUGUUGUACAAACAAAAACAAAAGAAUAUCUCUUAGAUUAUUGGUGCAAAUAUCAUAUAUCAUCACAUGAUUCACCCCAAAUGUUUCGUUUUCAAUGCCAAGAGUAAUGAUGAUUACAUGUGUGUCAUUGUUAGAGGCUACCAACAGAGAGCAUUUGUGUAGUGAUUUUGUAUGUUUGCACGAGAUUUGACUUCUCAACCAAACUUUGAGCACCGAAUAGGAUGCUGGUUCGAUUAUGUACUUUUUUAUGCCCUGAGAACUGAGAACUAUGAGUUUCUCUGUGUUCUGCUUGCCUAAAAGCAUACAUUAACAACCUUGGGAUCACCUAAAUUCUAUUAAUAUAGCAUGAUAUCAAUUUAUCAAUAAAAUUAUUAAUUUACAAAGAUUAUUUCUUUUCUUGUGCAUCCAAUGGAACCUAGUGAUCUAGAUCGUCCAUCCAGUAAAGUGGUGGUUCAGAUGUUGAAAGGAGAGAACUUAACCAUGCCUCCCAAUUCUUGUGCCUCCACAUGUCUUGCACGAAAGAAUAAAAGUCCUCCUGCAGUCCCGGUACAUUAGGCUUCCAUGACUUCCGUGGCCUUUGGGGUUAACUCAAGAAUUUCCAAGCGAAUGGAACCACAUAUGAGUAUGACACAGCUAAUCCUAAUCGAUAAUGAUUACUACAGCGACAGAUGAGCGCAAAACAACUUUAAAGAAAGCACUGUUACUAGUACUUUGUUAUGUGCUAAGUUGCACGUGUGAACACUUCAAUACACUAGCGUUUUACGUAUCAAACUCAAAAACAAACACAACACUUAGUCGACACUCUUGGACACGUGUCCAACACUCCACGUGCCGUGUCGUGGACUUUGACUGAAGGACACUUCUUGGGCACUUUUAAAAUUGAAUUAAAAUUUUAGGGUAAAAUUGAAAUAAGGAAAAAAUUAUUUUAGGUAUAAUAUGAAAAAUAGAUUUAGAGAUAAUGCUAGAGAUCGCAAAUUUCUCUCUUGACGUAGGAGGCAGAUUGUCUGCCCUCCUGUUUGGAUGCCCUUCCCAUCCUCUUCUAUUUGUGCAGUCACGGUUAAGCCACGUCAACAUUUUAUAUUCUUAUUGCUUUUUGUCUUAUUAUCUCUAUAAAAAAAUUAAUAUAAAAUGUUGACGUGGCUUAACCGUGACCGUACAAAAUGGGAGGGGAUGAGGAUGACACCCAAACAGAGGGCAGACAAUCUGCCUCCCUUGACGUAAUAACAUGAAAAUUAUUGAUGACUUAAGUGUACGUGAAGCAGCUCUAGUCAAUACUCAAUUGCAAUUUGGCCCAUUUUUCUAAAGCGUGUUUGAAGCCGAGUCAUUGUUGGAAAUCUGCAAGUUCAGUUUCAUAAUUUCAUGCACUUCUACAUGAUAAGUUUCAAAAUUUCUUGCACAUCUACAAGAUUAAUUUCAUAAUUUUUUGCACUUCUGCAAUAGCAGUGUCAAAAGUUUUAGAAUUCUGCAAGGUUAGUUUCAAAAUUCCUACAUUUCUACACAAAUUUCAAAAUUUAUGCAUCAAAAUAAAACUCAAAACCUCAAAUCGAGUACUUUCAAAAUACUAAAAUCAAAACCAAAGAUCAAAAGUUUCAAUCAUUGUCAAGAAAAAAUAAAAAAUAAAAGGUUAUAGAGGACGGUGUCAUUCCACACUACAAGUUUAUACAAGUAUUGUCCUUUACUAAAAGGCUAUUUGAGGACUGAGGAUUUAGGGUUUAAGGUUUCGAAUGUAGGAGGGCAGUAAUCACGGACAACUUCUUCGAAAGAAAGGAGCAAAGAUCUAACUUCAUCCAGCAAGUGCCUUUCCAUACUCAAAUCCUCCUCAUGACAGGAGUCAGUACGAAUUUCACCUAGCCAACCAAAUGUCGUAAAUAAACUUGUGACUCGUUCAUUCACUGAUUCAUGAGAAUGUUUCCUACUAUAUAAGCAGCAAAUUCAAAACCAGGUUGAAAACUAAAUUAUGAAACAAGGGGCAACUUUUAUCUUGAGAAACCAUUUGAAAACUUAUGUUCUGUCGUAUGCAAGAAGGUAUUUCCUUUUGUGUUUUAAUUCUGCACUUAUUUUUAUUUUUUCCACAUAAAUAUAAUGUGCCUACAUUAUUUUUCUAUGGAUUAAUUUACCUACUUUAAUUAUUUUAUAUACCUACGUUAUUUUUUCUUGAAUCUUUUCACACUCGACCAAACUUCUCUUGGAAUUUUAAUUAGAUGAAACAAUAUGAAUCUUGAACAAAGCAACGCAAAACGUAAUACUGAGAGAUUGAAUCAUUGAAGUGACGUGGAGCUGGGUACUCAACACUCAUAGGAAAUCAAUCCAAGAAUGAAAACUCUCUUAUCACUUUCUAUCCAAAAUUUUGGAAUUAUGUGUGUGUUCCAACGAUUAUCCGAAGGAUUAUUCUUCUUUUAUUAAAUUUAUAAGGAAAAUUAGCAUGGGGCAUAAAUGUUGAACUGUGAAAUCCCGUCUCCGGAAUUUCACCAUUCAUUAUGUAUCUCGCAAUUUAAAUUCGUAUUUCACGUUUAUGUUAUUUUUAUUACUUAAUUUUAAUUCCGCAAAUUUUGAGCUUAAAUCGAAUAGUUAUCGGGUUUGAAUUUUCGUAAUUAAUCUUUAAGACUCGUUGACCUUUCGAGGUCACAAGUAACGUUUUCGAAUAGAUCUCGAAACCACGAGCACAUAGGCGAAAGCCGUUUGGGAGUCCGGGUUUUAACGAUAUAGUUACAGACAUUUGAAGUUGUUACUAAAUUAUAGAUUUUAAAUUUAUUUUGAAACUCCCACCUUGUGGGAAAAGGACUAAUGAGAUAAGAGAGUGAGGGACCAAUUAGAAAUGGGAGAGAAAAGGAGAACGAAUCAGGAAGGAAGGGAAAAAGAAAAAAGAAAAAAAAAGGAGGGACUGGAUGCUGCCAGGUGGCAGCGGGAGAGAGAAGAAGAUGAGGUUGCGGGAGAGAAAAGGAAGGGAAGAGUGACCAAUGGAAGGAGAGAGUAAGGAGGGGAAGGAGAGACCCAAAAAUGGGUCAUUUUUCACCCGCGAACUACCAUUUUUGACCUGGCCAUAUCUUCUUCAUCCGACUUCCGUUUUGGGUAAUCUUGGUGUCCAUAGAAAGCUCUUGACGAGUCCUACAUCCCUGUAGUGUUAGAUGUCUAUUUUUCCUUUCCAUUUUUCUAGGUCGAAGCCACAAAGUGCCUAGGGUUUUCCUGCGAGUUUUCUCAUUUUACAGUGAUUCCGACAAUGAUUACCGUCGAUCAUCACUACCAAUAGACUCCUCUCAACCCCUGGACCAAGGCCCAAGCAUUGGAUGAGGCGUCGAAGUUCGUUUUGGCGAUGAAUCGAGGAACACCCAUUUCUAGGGUCUCCAACGUGUUUGGAUGAAAUUGAGACACUUCUCGGCCGAAUUGGACUUGGCCACAGGUAUGAAAAUUGAUCCCCACACUGAGAUAUACUUGCCUGUAAAUUUGGUAAUUUUUUGAAAUUGUUGAAUUUUUCGGCGAGUCGGGGCGGCCGACCGCCACCGGCAGCAGUGCGGGCGGCGGUGCUUCGGCCAGUGGGCCGACGAUGCCUUUCUAAGUUCAAUUAGAUGUGCUGGAUUUGUAUUUGAUAUUCGUAUGACGUGGUUUGAUCGUUUGAACCUAAUUUCAUUAUGAUACAUUACUUGAUCAAAAUAUGAAUUGACGAUCCGACCGUCGGAUCGUGAUGAAAUUUUAGUAUGUUGUUCUAGAGGAAUAAUGUGGAUUUUAGAAGAUUACGGAUCCAAAAUCCAUGUGUAGAUCUUCUGGAUCAAAUUACGUAGAGAUGUGGACCCCACCGUUGAUCUGAAGUUGACUUUUGGUCAAUAGGUAUUGAAUCAUUUAUUUUACUAAAAUUAGUAUUGCUAGAGACUCAAUGAGGCUUUGCGGACUUGUCUUGGUGAGUGACUUUAAUAUAUGUGAUAUGGUUUUUACCCUGUUUUCUUAUAAGUAUCCUUUGUGGAUAUGACUUGGUUUUGUAAAUGUGUUUUCUGUUAAAAUGUGAUUUUAUAAUUGGUCAUCGAUCUAUUUUUAUUAAAUGUGAUUUGAUUUAUGGAUUGGAAAUAUUUGUGAAAAGGUGAAUUGAAGUGCAUAUUGAAAUAUUUAUGAAUUGUGUUAUAAAUAUACAUUUGAAAUGUUGAGAAAUGCGAGGGCUAGUAGGGGACCGUUACCCUAGUGUCACGGGGUUAGGUGACACCGAGUCUGCACCAUGUAGCAGUGGUACAUGGAUGGUCUUACUUGGUUAAUCCGCAAUGGGGGACCAUAUUAUUUAUGGAUCGCACUUGGUUAAUCCGCGAUGGGCGAUCCUUAUGGCCAUGUAUACUUAGGAGUGAUAAUGCUUAGUUAAUUCACGAUGGGUGAUCACUGCCUAACAGUUUUAUAGGUGUGACUUUGCUUGGUUAAUCUGCGAUGGGCGAUCCUUAUGGCCAUACAUACUUAGGGGUGAUCAUGCUUGGUUAAUCCGCAAUGGGUGAUCACUACCUAGCAGAUUCAUGGGAGUGACUCUGCUUGGUUAAUCUGCGAUUGGGGGUGGGGGGGGGGGCGCGGGGAGGGUCACUACCUACAUGGUUACUCAGGGGGUGGCUCUGCUUGGUUAAUUUGCCAUGGGGGGCCACUUCUUGUUUGGUUACUUAUGUAGGCUUCGGCCGAACUGCGUCCCUCUAGCCCUAGUUUUUAAUGUACAUAUGAACAAUGGUUUUUGAGAAUCUUGGGGGUUUGAAUGGGAAAAGCCGUUGGAUGUCUGGGUGAGUCCUUCGGAGUUGUUGAGACUUAACUAUAUUUUCAUAUUUACAAACUUAUAUUUGAGGUUUAUAAACUGUGAUCGAUGGUCUUUUCUUUUAUUGAUUAUCACAUACUUGUAUUAUUGUCACUCACCUGAGCUCCGCAACUUAUCCAAGUUCCGUUUGGCCGGUGCACCAUUCUCAUGAUGGAGGCACUGAUUUUACAUAUGAUAGGUUUGGGUAGAUUAUGAGACACCACUUGAUAUUUUGGUUCCAUUGAGUGGUCUGGAAUCCUUGCUCUUGCUCAUUCCCAUAAGGUUAGUCUAGAACCCUAGAUUCGAGUGAAUGAGAAUUACCCACAAUAGAUGAUAGGAUUUUUACCACCUGCACAAAAGGGUUAAAAACACCUAAAAUACUUGCAAGAGAAACAAGGUUAUCGUAGUAUAAUUGGCUCAAGUAAGGUCGUUCUCAACAAGGACUAAUUUAAAUAGAUUGACGUGAAAUCAAUUCCCAACUAAUUAAUUAAAACAAAGUCUUUGAAAAAGGUGAUUUAACGGCCUAAAUUAAGAAAAACGAAUUUAAUUAAAAAGAUUACUUAAAAACCCCAACUGGAAGGAGGAAGAAACAAUUUUUACAAUUCAAAGUGAGAAAGUACUAGGGUUCUGCCGUCACCCUAACAAUCCUAUGUAACUCUUCUAAAUUACUUAUGAACCAUACAUGCAUAUCUUGAAGGUUAGGUUUUCCUAGAGUAUAUCCUACCUGAAACCUCCAACAUAGAACAUAUAUCUAACAUGCAACUCGUCUGUUGUGUUCAGAUCGAAUGUGAACAUGCAAGACUAAUUAAGUUUUAUGAAAACCCUUUUGAAAAAACCAUAUAACCCUUAAAACGUGUCGUCCAUCCUAAGAGGUUGCACAUAUUAACCACAAGAAGCCUUAGUCAAUUUUAGGGACAGCCCUCUACCAAAAUUGCAUCAAAUUACUUUUCUAAUUAUCCUAAUGGUCGCGAAUCACUAAGAAAAAUAGAUAGUUUAAAGCACAGUGAUUAACAAUCCAAAACUUGCAUGCAUGAAUUCAUAAGCAAAUUAAAAGAGACUACAUAUUCUUGCUAAGGAUCAUGGCCUCACCCUAGCAAAAUAAAAUUAGUUACGCAUAUUCAUAAUUAAAAUCAACAUAAUUGUAUUAAACUAGAAAAAGAAUGAAAACACCUUGUAGAAUAAAAUUUGAAAAUCUCUAAACUUUGUCCCAAAUCUUCUCUCCAAAAAAUUGCAUGCGUUCUCUCUCUAAAAAAAACCCCUAGGUCUGCCAAAAGGCUUAUUUAUACUACUCUAAAUAAAAUCCUCCUAAUAAAAGGUCUUAGAAUAAGACUAGGAAACUAAAUAAAUUGAAAUAAAUUAGGAAACCUAAUCCUAAAUUGGCUUGGUAAAUUUGCCCAAAAUUCUGCACAGCCACGUUCUGGACCCAAAUCAGCUCCAAAACUAGCCCAAAAUUUAUGAACUUAAACUUUGACUAUUCUGAACACUUCUCCAGAAGGUCACGAACCCAUCUGAAGUCAUCUUAGGCUCCAAAAACACAGUUUAAGCCUAGAAACGUCAAUUUCCAACAACGCGCACUGCUCCUUCAUUUAAUCUCCAAAAAAUAACCGCUUGGUAGAAAUUGCUGAGAUUUUGACACGAACAAGCUAAGGAACAUACGAAAUCACUCCAAAAUUCGUCUGUUUGGUCAUGUUUUGCUCCAGAGGAAGUCAAAUUUCCUAUGUUGAAAAUAUAAAGCACAAUAUCAAAAUUCUAUCAAAAUAAUUAUCAAAUUAUACUAAGAAUAGGGUGAAACAUAUAAUAUAAUUUUGACUCAUCAAUAGACCUUGUGAAUAUAAAAUAGAUUUACCAUGUUAUUUCUCAUAAUCCAAGUAGGAAAUUAUUUAGAGUUCCUUGUUUAAAUUUGUGAAAUGAUAUGUUACUACAUUCAUUGAUUAACAUAAUUAAAUGCUAAGAUCAUGUAUCUUUGAUUCAUGAAUUGAUUGAUUGAUGGGAUUGCGGAAUGACCUUGGUUAUGGUUGUUAUUAUUAUGAUUAUUUUAGUUGAUCAAUGUGGCUUGAGAAUAAUAUGUGCUUCGUUGGUUAUUAGAUAUGUUACAUGCUGUGGAUGGAACUAUCAUGCUGAAAACAUGGAAUUUAUAUGAUGGAUGGAAUGAGAAUCUUGAAUGGCAUGUUGGUUUGUUUUGUAGCCUAAACUUGGUAAUGUCAUGCAUGUCAAGUUCUAAUAAUUGAUUACAGAAUGUUAUGUAUUCCUGUUAGAACGCACUAGAAUAAAUGUCUAAAUUAGUGAACGACGAACUAUGAAUGACUUGAUCCCUAAUGAGGGUAUGUAGGCAGUCUAAUGAGGAGGUUAGAUGCAGCCAUAAAGUAUACGAAAAAUUACUAUGCGAUUCGAUUCUCGAGUUGUGAUUUGCCAUAUCCCGGAGGUGGGGUAUGUUGAGAUACGGGUAUUUGGUGAAGUCAUGUGUUGAUUCUGAAUGUAUGUCGGGAUCGAAGCAUGACAUGAACGAAUAAAUUUUCCUCGACUUGGAAAGGGAUUGUGACUUUAACACGCUAUUUUUCUUCAUCUUAUGCAUCAUGUUUAUCAAAAGACAAAUAAUAUGACUUCACAUAAGGAGAGAAUAAGAGUAUUUUCCUUUGUAAAAAUCAACUUUUGUUUAAGAAGAUGUGGAUGCUGAUUGAUGCACCAUGUGAAUACGAAGAACGACCUUGGAGGGAGAUGAGAUAUUCAUUAGAAGCUAGCGAAAAAAAAAAAGUUAAUAAUGAUUUAGUCAAAAAGCAAGAAAGCCUCAUUUUCUAAGUGGUAGUCAUUAACACGAUACUUGAUAAGGAGAAAAGUCAUAGUAUUUUAUUUUACUGGGAACGAGGGUGCAAGGUCUCAAUUGGAAUAUGAGAUGAAGUUUCUACAUAACUAUAUAUGACAAAGAAAGAAGUCUAAGUUUGUAGGUGGUAGGGCUUUUAAUUGAUGUGAGUUUGUUGAGAAAUGAAGAUGAGCAUGAAUACUGACAUCGAUGCGAGUUAGUGAACACGAUGCUUCUCCUUUGGCCUUUUAAUAUGAUAAUACCGGAAAACAAGUUGUUACUAAUAUAUGUAUAUCUGAUUGGUGGACUAAGAUGUACAGUACGAUUUUUGAUAGAGUAAUGUUAUGGAAACUAAAUUUGUAGACUAGAUUUUGAAAACUAAAUGACAUGGAAUCCUUACUUAUGUGCUCAUUUCCGAUUAGUGACACAUCAUUUAGUUUGUAAAUUUAGUCUACAAAUUUAGUCUCCUUAACAUUACUUUUUUUGAUAACUAGCGAAGAUGAACACUCUCAUGACAAAAUUUAUCUAAAUAGACCUAAAGGCAAGACUUACGAACUUCAUAUGCAGUGGGAUAAAAUCUUAAACUAAUUUCCAUUUUUAUUUUGUAGUUGAUAGGGAUUUUACCACCUCCAAAGGUAGAGAUAAAAACACUUAAAAAUACUUGCAAGAGUACAAGGUUAUCGUAGUAUAGCAGCUCAAGCAAGGUCGUUCUCCACAGAGAUUGAAUGAAUAAUUUAUGUAAAUAUCAAAUCUUAAUUAAUUAUUUGAAAACAAAGUUUGGAAAAAGGUGAUUUUAUGACCUAAAAUAGUAAAAAUGAAUUUAAUUAAAAAUAAUUAAAUAAAUUGGCAAAGUAAAGAGAAUAAAAGAAAAUAGUUUUGAAAAUAAAUUUGAGCACUAUAGGCCGUUCUGCCAUCACCUUAACAAUUUUACGUAGUUCUUCCAAUUACUUAUGAAUUACGUAGUUCUUCAAGGUUGUAUAUAAUAUAACUACCUAUAUAAUCUUAGCCCGAGACAUGUAUAUAUAUAUAUAUAUAUAUAUAUAUAUAUAUAUAUAUAUAUAUAUAUAUAUAUAUAUAUAUACAUGUCCUGAGAAAUAUGAACAAUUAAAGGGUUUUCUAUUCAAAUUUACAUGGGUUUUGUUUGCAGCCUCGGAUCAUACAUGUGCAUUUAAUUUGGUUUUGUUUUCAGUUUCAAGAGACCCUGACAUUUUUCCUUUUAUGGGCCUUUUCUUUGCAGACUCGGACGCCCUUUGUGCUCAAGGUAGGGGCGGAGCCACCAAGGGACUAGGAUAGUCCCUGGCCCAUCCUGACUUCAUCUGAGGCAUGAACCUCAUGGAAGAAGAUGAAGCAAAUGACGUCGUUAAACUGUUUUGAUUUUAAAUCUUUUCGGCUGUCUAAUGCAACGAUAAGUUUGGCAGGGGAGUUUUAAAAGAGAUGUGCAAUUUUAAAUGGAAAAAGCAACCCCACUUCUGGUUCGAUUCUCUCACCUAACAGUAAUAUACACCCUAUAAUUUUCUAAAGCAACCCACCUUCUUUAUUUGCAGACCUCUCCCCCUUUUCCUUCUUUUUCUACUUCUUUGUAUUUUCUUUAGCCUUCCACAACCUACCUCUUACUUGGUUGUUUGGGUUUUUACAUUUUUUUCUUCUUAGUAUUGAAUUUAAGAGAAUUUUUUCAAUUUUAUGAGGAUUACACAAAUUGCAUAUGUCAACAUGUUAUGAAUUCAACUUUUUACACACACUUAUAUAUAUAUAUAUAUAUAUAUAUAUAUAUAUAUAUACACACACAUAUUUGUGAAAUACCCCUCCUCAUUCAGAAUUUUGGCUCCGCCACUGGCUCAAGGAAAACAAUUUCAACUUUUUACUUCUAAAGUGUUGCUCUUAUUUAGCAGCAGGUAUUCCGUUGUAUACAAUAAUAUGUUUUGUGUUAUGCUAGGAACCCUGUUUCCUUCUUUUGUCUCUCUGUGCACUCAAAAAACAAGCCACCCUAAUUCAAGCUUUCUACCUUCAGAUUUCCACAUUUUGACUUGCUUUUUUUUUUCUUUGUUUUGUUUAAAGAACUUAGUACUUUUGAUUUCAGUAGCAAAAUAAUUUGAACAGGAUGAGACAGAGAGAAAUAAAGCAUCUAUUUGAUCUCUGUACUUUCUCUUAUUCUUAUGUGUCGUUAAGGUCGCAUAUCUGAAUUUUAACCUAUCAUCAUGUAAGUAUUAUAGUGUGUUUGGGAAGCGGGAGUGUGUGAAAUGUGUUGGUGCUGAUGAUAGUGUCGAAUUUUAUGUGUCGUUAAGGUCGCAUAUCUGAAUUUUAACCUAUCAUCAUGUAAGUAUUAUAAUGUGUUUGGGAAGCGGGAGUGUGUGAAAUGUGUUGGUACUGAUGAUAGUGUCGAAUUUGGGGACACUUCCAGCUAGCAGAGUAGGUAACAGAGAGCUUUUUCCAACUCAAAUUUAAUGAUUCAAGCUGCUUAAGACUUGCCUAACAUUUCCAAGUUGGGGGGGGGUAGGAAUUUAUGGGUUUGAAUUUUUGUCAAGUAUGUGAUUCUUGCAAAAGAGUUGUAAAUUUGUGUAAGUAGAGUUGUAAACCCUACCAUUGAACACUUAAUAUAGUUGUACACUUAUAUACAAUUUUUUACAUGCUUGGUACGGUUUUAAACACCCACAACAUCACGCAGGCACACUUUUGCUAGUAUUUUACUAAACUAGUGCACUCAAAUGUCCGUAGCUAAAUAUAUUAUAAUGAAUUAGUGGAAUAUAAGAAAAUAUGGAAAAACAUAAGUGUACCAAAAAGUCCAUACCUAAACAUGGUAUACUAAAUUAGUGUACCAUUAUAUCUGUACCUAAAUAUAUUAUACUAAACUAGUAUACCGAAAUAUUCAUACCUAAACAUAUUAUAUUAAACUAGUGUACUGAGAUGUCUGUACCUAAAUACAUUUUAAUAAAUUAAUGGCACAUAAGAAAAUAUGCAAAAACAUAGGUGUGCCGAAAAGCCUCUACCAGAAUAUUUUCUUAUAUAAGAUACUUACAAUAAAUUGGUGAUGCAAAAUGUCAACUGUUUGUACCAUACUUGACCAAUCCCGAAACUACUGAGCACCGGUCAACGUUAUACCGUCAAGGACCCAGAAGAGCUUCCCUUCAACCAGGAGGCCAAUCACAAUGCGACACGUGUCGACAUCAGAAGCCAAUCACAGCUCGACACGUGUCAACAUCAGAAGCCAAUUACAACACGACACGUGUCAAUGUUAGAACAAAACUAGAAACUCUCUUCUAUAAAUAGGGAUCAUUCUCCCACAAUAAUCUCUAAUGUCAUUUUGUACUAAACUAUUCACUAGAACUCACAAAAUGAGAGCUUGAACCUAUGUAUUUGUGUAAACCCUUCACAAUUAAUGAGAACUCCUCUACUCCGUGGACAUAGCCGAUCUGGGUGAACCACGUACAUCUUGUGUUUGCUUCCCUGUCCCUAUUCAUUUACGUACUUAUCUUCACUAGUGAUCGAAGCAACCAAGCGAAGGUCACAAACCUGACACUUUCUGUUGUACCAAAGUCCUCGCUGAUUUUGUGCAUCAACAUUUGGCGCCGUCUGUGGGAAACGACACUUAUUCCCACUCUCUUCAGCUUUGUCAAGCUGGUUUCCACUGCUCGUACACUCUCUUUUGGCCAAGCAUCUCUCUCCGACAUGGGGAGCGAAAGAAGCCAUAGCACACAGAAUGACACCCCCAUUGGACCUAGUAUGAAGCAACGAAAGCAGGAAGGAAAUAGAGUUACUCUUCAAGCUAAAGUUGAUGAGUUAGAAGCUCAGAACAACAAGAUAGUGAUGAGGAACGAGGUUCUCCAGGAGCAGUAUGAAAAACGUUUUGAGAUGCUUCACGAGGCUAGGCAUGCUCAAGCACACAAGCUUGUCGCCCCUGCUGAGGUCAACAAUCAUCUGAAUGCCCCCCAACACGAAGGGUCACCGAUAUCCAACACGGACAUCCCUGAUAAGGAUCGAGCUACACAUCAAUGUGAUAAUCAACAUGAGACUUCUCUCAACCCAGCUGCUUCAACCCGAAGCAGAAGGAGUAGAGGAAAGCACCUCCUCACAAAAGGAGUGGAAGGAUCAAAAGCCGUCUAUCGCGAUUGUCGAGACUUCCUAAAGCAACGUCGAGAGAAUCCCAUCCACAUAAGCUCGAAGAUCAAUGACCCAAGAGUUUCUGAAAGACUCGGUCCUCUCCCACGACCCAGGCCAGCAGUUAAUCUAGGGAAUGGGCAACAAGUCCCAGAAGAACAUGAAGGUACAGGGGACUCGGAAAUGUUCCGACAUACUCACUCUAGGAGUCAGUGUGAUGAGUCCAAGGAAAAAUCACGUUAUCUUGAUCAAACUUUCCUACUUACAAGAGGCGAUGGGGACUUACGGAAGAAACCUUCAGUGGUGCACGACUCCACUCAGGACCCCCUUGUCCUACAGCUCCUGGAGGAAGUAAACAAGUUGAAGGCUGAACGUCAAGCCGAGAUACCUGACUGGAACCAACCCAGGCCUGGGCCCCUCACAAGAAGGAUCCUCAACACCCCCCUCCAAGCAAAGACAAAGCAGAAGCUUGGCUUACAACUCUAUACUGGAAAGGAAGACCCGAUUGAACACCUUAACCUCUUUGAGUCCACCAUGGUAUACCGGAGACACACCGACGAAGAACGGUGCCUUCUCUUCCCCUCCACCCUCUCUGGCUGAGCUUUAAAUUGGUAUUGCCGUCUUCCGCCUGAGACAGUAGACUCAUUUGAAGAGUUGAGGAAGCUGUUUGUCUCUCAACACAUCUUCCAGACCGAUCGCUUGCAUUCCGCAGAUGACUUGUACACUAUUCGCCAGAAGCCAGAUGAGUCAUUACGAAAGUAUGCUGGCCGCUUCAGCCAUGAGUAUUCUCGUUGCGCUGAGGCAGAUGACAAGACUGCCCUCAAGGCCUUCACGACAGGCUUACGUGACUGUUUCUUCAAGUACAUGAUCAAUGCCAACACUUGGAAGACUUACUCUGAGGUGAUGACACAAGCUUACAACCAUGCCUCAGCCGAGGCAAGGACAUAUCAAGGGAAACCCCUUACAGUAACCCCUUAUCAGCAAGUAGGGAGUGGAGGCCAGAUCCAACCAAAUGAGAAGACCUCAACCUUCCAAACGGUAGCAGCACACCCCCUGCCUCAUUUAAUGCUUCGCCAAGUCAGCAGACAUAUCAAUCCCAGGGCAAAAGGAAAGAUUUCCAUCCUCACCAAUCUCAUUUUAAUAAAAAGAAUAAGGGGCACUAUCGCGAUAACUCAGGAUAUCGUCACAAUAACGCCCGUCCCCAAGCAGUCAAUGCAGUGGGCCAAUCACGUGUCAAGACAGGCCCUACCCUCGGUAUGAGACAUACACACCUUUGAACGCUACAUGCGCGGCCAUCUACCCCAGUAUAGCUCAUUUGAUACCAAAGCCAAAGCCAAGACAGCCAGAUUACAAGUCCACGAAAAACACGGGCAUGUUUUGCUGCUACCACGAGUAUAAUGGCCAUGAUGGCGAGAAGUGCGUCAUCCUCCGUGAUCAUAUUGAAGCUUUGGCACGUGAAGGAAAAAUUGAUCAGUUCCUCCUUCACCCUCCAAAGGAUAACCGUAACCAACGCCAGGUGAAUGUGAUAUAUUCUAUAAGCGGCGGCAUACCUAUGUCUGAAUCUUCCAAUAGGGCCAUGAAAAACAGUGAACAAACUUUGAGACCUGGCCAUCAAGUGUUUCACGUGGAAGACAUCAGGGGAGGCAAGUAUCAAAAGCCUAACUGGGAUCCAAUAUGUUUCUACCCUGAGGAAGAAAGAGGUAUCAUCUACCCUCACAACGACCCGCUGAUCGUGGAGGCUCACAUAGCAAAUUUUGAUGUGAAACGAAUCCUGAUAGACACAGGUGCUUCAGUCAAUAUCAUGUUUGCUGAAGCUUUCAAGGCACUUAAUGUAGCUGAACACUUGCUCGAUCGCUCGAUUUCUCCUCUGAUAAGCUUCUCUGGCGAUAUCGUGCAACCUUUAGGGAGUAUACACUUACCCUUCACCAUUGGUACAGGCCCCUACACAGCUAUUAUUACCACUAACUUCCUAGUGGUCAAUUGCCCGACGGCAUACAAUGUCAUCUUUGGGCGCACAGGCAUCAAUGAUCUCAAGGCCAUGGUAUCCAUACAUAUGUUGUUGAUGAAGUUUCCAACCCCUUUCGGCAAUGGAUACAUCAGGGGAGAUCAACUUAGUGCUCGAUCAUGUUACAACACUUCAGUUAAGCAACAACACCUGCCUGUCCCCAAGGAGACCCUCUCUAUACAUAACCAGGUAGUAAAGACCAGUCCAGAUGAAGCCAACUUGAAUCUUCAUGAUGGCAACAGUCAACCCGACGACCCUCGAGAUGACUCAUUCACCCAGCAAGCACAACCCGCUGAAGAGUUAGAGAAUGUCUCUAUCUCCAAAGACCAUCCAAAUCGCAUGGUGAAGAUUGGCACCACUUUGUCACCACCCCUUCGGUUGUCGCUGAUCUCUUUUUUGUAAGAGAACACCGAGGUCUUCGCUUGGUCAUAUAAAGAUAUGCCGGGCAUCUCUCCCGAUAUCAUCUGUCACCACUUGAGUAUUGAUCUCAAGACCAAACCAGUAAAACAGAAGCGAAGAUCUUAUGAUGUUGAACGAUACGAGGCGAUGAAAGCAGAAGUGAAAAACUCAAGGACAUAGGCUUCGUCCGUGAAGUCAAUUACCCAACAUGGGUAGCAAAUGUUGUCCUUAUUAAGAAAAAUCCGACCAAGGAAAGUCUCUUGCUUCAGAAGGUCUUGUGGAGAAUGUGUGUCGACUACACCGACCUAAACAAAGGAUGCCCGAAGGAUAGUUUCCCCCUUCCUCUCAUUGAUAGACUUAUAGACUCUACGGCAGGGUGUGAGCUCUUGAGCUUCAUGGACGCUUAUUCAGGAUACAACCAAAUCCUCAUGAACCCCUCAGACCAAGAACACACAGCCUUCACUACUGACAGGGGACUAUAUUGCUACAAAGUCAUGCCUUUCGGCCUAAAGAAUGCAGGAGCAACUUAUCAGAGACUGGUCAAUUCAAUGUUCGCCGAACAGAUUGGGAAGAGCAUGGAAGUUUACGUUGAUGAUAUGUUAGUCAAGAGCAAACAUGCUGACCAACACAUCACCAACCUAUCUGAAACUUUCACCAUUCUAAAGAGGUAUCGAAUGAGGUUGAACCCCAACAAAUGUGCCUUCGGCGUGGGCUCUGGCAAAUUCUUAAGCUUCAUGAUUAGCCAACGAGGCAUUGAAGCUAACCCCGAAAAGAUCAAAGCAAUCCUCGACAUGAAAGAGCCAGUAACUUCAAAAGACAUCCAAAGCCUUACUGGCAAGGUGGCAGCCUUAACCAGAUUCAUCUCUAAGGCCACAGACAGAUGUGCUCCUUUCUUCAAAACAUUCAAGGGAAAUAAGAAAUACAUUACAUGGACGGAGGAAUGUGCCAAGGCAUUCAGGAACCUCAAAGAGUACAUGAGUAAAGCCCAUCUGCUCUCCAAACCAGAAGUUGGUGAUACUCUCAUUAUCUAUCUAUCAGUUUCGGCUUCAGCAGUCAGUUCUGUUCUUAUUCGAAAGGACAGUGGUGUCGAACGGCCCGUCUACUAUGCUAGCAAGGCCCUACAAGAUGCGGAGACACGAUACUCCAACAUUGAGAAAUUAGCUCUAGCAUUGGUCAUGUCUGCUCGAAAACUUUGCCCUUAUUUCCAAGCACACGCCAUCAUCGUGCUUACCAAUCACCCUCUUCGACAGAUACUCCAGAGUCCUGACACGUCUGGGUGAAUGAUUAAAUGGGCGAUAGCAUUGGGUGAGUUUGACAUCUCCUACCAACCAAAACCAGCCGAAAAAGGGCAAGCAGUAGCAGAUUUCAUCGCCGACUUCACAUAUCCUGUUGACAUUGCUUCUACACCUGAAGCAGUAGCUUCAUUACCAUCGGAAACUCAGAAGAUAGAAUCAACAACCCCAUCAUGGAGUCUGUAUGUUGAUGGCUCAUCCAACCAACAGGGCUGCGGAGCAGGAUUAGUCCUCACUACCCCGGACAAAGUGGCGAUAGAAUACGCUUUUCGUUUCAAAUUCAAGGCAUCGAACAAUGAGGCCGAAUACGAAGCCCUUCUAGCAGGCUUACGUUUGGCCAAGCACCUUGGGGUUAAACAAAUUGAUAUCUUCAGUGACUCCCAAUUAGUGGUCAACCAAGUCACGAACAACUUUGAUGCUAAGGAUAGCUCCAUGGCAGCAUAUCUUGCGCAAACACGACUUUUGCUCAAGCACUUCCACUACCAGAUCACCCAAGUUCCUCGAGCGGCAAACAGUCAUGCAGACGCUUUAGCUCGCCUCGCCUCGGCAGUGGAAGACAAGAUUGGGAGAAAAAUUCAUGUCGAAUUGUUGGCAGCACCAAGCACCAUGGUCGCGGAGGUGUGCAAUUUACAACAAUGAGAUAGUUGGAUCACCCCAAUUUAUAAAUUCCUUGCCCAUGGCACCCUUCCAAAUGACAAAGUCCAAGCUAAGCAGAUUCGAUACAAGUCUGCCCGCUACCUGAUCAUUAAUGACUAACUCUACAAGCGCGGUUUUACCCUGCCAUACCUAAGAUGCCUUACACCUGCGGAGGCGGAAAUUGUCCUUCGGGAAAUACAUGAAGGAGUCUGCGGAGAUCAUGCUGGGUCUCGGUCCCUAGCACACAAGACUUUUCGCCAAGGAUACUAUUGGCCAACACUCCACCAAGAUGCCAUCAGAAUAUCUCGCUCAUGUGAUAAGUGUCAACGCUACACAACUAUCCCUCACUCCCCUCCCGAGCCGCUUACUCCUAUGAUCAACCCUUGGCCCUUCGCCCAAUGGGGACUUGAUUUGAUCGGCCCAAUGCCUGUAGGGAAGGGCAAAGUCCGCUAUGCAAUCGUUGCAGUUGACUACUUCACAAAGUGGGCUGAAGUAGAACCCUUGGCAACCAUUACUGAGGGAAAAAUAGAAGACUUCGUAUGGAAGAACAUCCUCUGCAGAUUCGGCAUUCCCAAUGCGAUAGUCACGGACAAUGGGCGGCAGUUCGACAACAAGAAGUUCAAGAUGUUUUGCUCUAAGUUCAACAUCAACUUAUGUUUUGCCUCUCCAGCCCAUCCCCAGUCUAAUGGACAAGUCGAGGCCGUUAACAAAAUAAUCAAGCGCAUUCUGAAAACUAGCUUGGACAAAGCUAAAGGUUGUUGGCCAGAAUUCGUACCCCAAGUUCUUUGGUCAUACCGCACUUCAUAUCGGACUUCCACAGGAGAAACUCCAUUCUCACUUGCUUUUGGUACAGAAGCAGUUGUCCUGGUUGAGCUUGAGCAAGCAACAUACCGAAUCCAGAAUUACAUGCAGAGUGAGAACGACAAACAACUCACCCUCAACCUGGAUCUAGUCGAGGAACACAGAAAUCAGGCUCACCUGAGGAAUGUCGCCUACAAGCAGCGCAUUUCCAACUACUACGACUCAAGGGUCAAACCUCGCUCUUUCAAAGUGGGAGACUGGGUACUGAAGAAAAGAUUACUAUGUGAUAGGGUCCCGAGUGAAGGAACACUCAGUCCUAACUGGGACGGACCGUUCGAGGUCGUCGGCAUCAGCCGCCCUGGCUCCUACAAGCUCAGAAACUCCGACUGCAAGACCCUUGGCCAUCCAUGGAAUGCUGACCACUUGAAGUAUUAUUACAAAUAGACUCACAUUGUACAAGUGUUAAGCUACAUCCGUUCGGCAUCCUAUGUAACAAAGACCAUUUGGUAUGAAUUCAAUAAAGAGGUGAUUUAGCCAACUCGGCCCUAAACUCUUUUACAUUCUGAGCAAUGAAACACUCAAGUGUUGAAGCUUCAACGCAAAUGUUUCCAAUACAAAAUCAAAUCUAAGUAUGUGUCAACAAGACUAUACAAAGGAUCUAUGCAAACAUAGUCAAACAUUCAUCAAUGAUAGGGCAAACACUUGAAGCUUGAUAAUGCAAACACUUGAAGCUUGACAAUACAAACACUUGCUUGAUAAUGCAAACACUCAUAAACAUACAAAACAAAAAAAACUCUCAGGCUUAUAACAUGGCACAUGCCAUACAAACAACAAACUAGUGUAGGUAGAGUACAUGCAGAAAGUGAAAGCACUUCUAGUCAUCCUCAUCUGAGGUUGAACCCCUGAUCAUAUCACUAUGAGUCCUACCGCCAUUUUCUGCAUUUCCAAACUCAUCAUCACCCUGAUGACUCUGCUCAUCAGCACUAGCCUCAUCACCAGACUCAUCUGCACUGCUAGAAUAAACGGCAAGGUUGAAGGUUUCACCUUUUCGAUGAUGCUCAUCUAUUUCUUCACGAUAUUUUCGAAGAACGCUUCCAUCAUCAUAACGAUCAAGGACAGCCAUCCAUUUCCUUUUUUCAAAGUGAACUUCCCGGGUACAGCGAGGUCUAAGGACAUGGAGAAAGGCCGGGGAACCCAAGAACUCCUUCACAGCAGCUUCCUUCUCAGUCGGGAUACUACUCUUCAGCUCAGAAACCUCAACCAAGGCACUAUCCAACUCCCCUUUAACCUUGGAAACCUCGAGCAAAGUUGUCUCCAACUGUUUCUUAGUCGCCUCCAACUGUACUUUGAGUCUCAAGUUCUCACCAUUCCGCCUCUUCAAACUCUCAAAAUGUUGAUCCCUGACUUCAAUGGCCUUAGCCAAAGCUUUGCUCGUCUUCCUGGCAUCAUUCACAAGCUGCUUAUUCUCUUUCAGUUUCACCUUGCACCGCUCAGCCUCUCGCAGUCUGUCGUGAUACUCAGUCAUGACCUGCAUGACAAGACGAUCAUCGCUACCAAAAUAAUGCUAAUAAAGAGGAGAAAACAAGGAAAUGACAAAGUAACACUCACAUAUGAAGACAGCUUCAACAUCCGGUCACAAUCCGAUUCAUCUUUAGCUAAAGGCUCUCCGAGCUCAUCGAAAGUGAAUCGACGCCCUGCCAGGCAAUUGUUGAUAUACCCAAAGUCCUUUGGUCGCAUGGCAACCUUCAAAUCCUUCCAAGGGACACUGCCAACCUCUUCUUUAUCUUUACCCUUGCUGCUAGAACUAGGAUCACCUUUCUGCCCAAUGUGCUCCCUAACUGGAGGAAAGAUAGGAUUGAUAGUAGGAAGAUGAGGCAACAAUCGCCUAUCUUCCCCGGCAACUAUGGCAGCAGCACAUCCAAUGGCCUCAGCUUCAGCUUUCUUCGAGGCAGCAACCUUGAGGACUUCUUCUCGAGACUUAGUUUUAAUGAUUGGUCUCACUCGGUGCUUGCGAGCUUCCUUGUGAAACAGGAUGUCUUCUGAAGGAACUAACAUGGGCAUUCUCCUUUUCUUGGUGCUAGUCUCCACUUUCUUGCCCACCUUCUCCACUGAACAAGGAAAAUCAAAGUAAGGAAUACCACAUUAUAUAUCUAUAUAAAAAAAAAAAGGGAAGAACAAGGAUCAAGUGAGGAUACAACUUACUCGCUCGUCUCUGGCACUCGGAAACUAAGGGCUGGAAACCGUACUUUCGAAACAAGGGUCGUAGCUUACCCAAGUGUCUAUCUUCUUUAGGCACCCUCAGCACUUUCUCUACAUCAGCUAGCUCCUGUCCGGAGAGUUUGAUGGUGCCUCGUGUCACUGCAUGAAGAAAAAUCUUAGAAGCAAGAGAAAAUCACAACAAUAGCAAAUAAUGAGAAAAUGGAUACAUUACAACCUACAGUCUGGAAGUGAGUAGGAACACGUCGCUCAGGCGUGACACCCUUAGCAUGCUCCCAAUCAUUAUAAAGAAAGCACCAACGUUUCUUCCAUGUGCAGUACGCCUUUCUCUUAUCAAAGACAACACGCUCUCUCUCACUCCGACAUGCACAUUCAGCAUAACCAGUACAUGCUUUCACCGGGCGCAUCUUAUAACAGUAGCGCCACUGAUGGAAGGAAGGUUCACCUAAUCCACACUCCAUCCAUAUAAUAUAAAACCCGAUCAAGGUAUCCCAGAAACCGGGGUUGAGUUGCCCCGGUGCAUAACCAAUAAAAGACAGCAUCCGUUGCAACCACGGAUGCAAAGGUAAAUUUACCCCCAAGGUCACUAAUGUCUGGGUAUAGAACAUAACAUGACCCGUGGGCGGCUCAGAAGGCAAUUCUUCACAACGCACCAAACGUAUUCCUACACUACGGGGGAUACUACAUGAUCGCCUUAGGGCCUCAAGCUGCUUUUCGAUAUCUAACAAGUUAUUUUCUAAAUGGUCCGCUGUGAACUCAGAGCGAAAUAUGGGUAUGGCGUCACAAACAACCCCCUCACCCACUAGCAUGGAGGAAGAACCAAUAUUGGCUAAGGUUUGACAAUUGUGAGGAUCAGAACGAAAUAUGGGUAUGGCGUCACAAACAAACCCCCUCACCCACUAGCAUGGAGGAAGAACCAAUAUUGGCUAAGGCUUGACAAUUAUGAGGAUCAUCCAACGUUUCUUUCAUACCAGACUCUAACAAAGGCCAUGAAGACCCUGACAUGGCAGGCUCAAACCUAGAGCUAGAGCUAGGGGAGCCCUCAUCACUAAGACUUCCAGACUCCGACAUCUACAAACAAACAGAAACAAACUCUAUCACUACAUGAAGGAUCAAAACAUAAGGAAGCUCAUAGGGCAUGCAGAAAAGCUCAACCAGUUCCUUAUGUUCUUAACAGAAUACAUGAACACUCAAACAAUNNNNNNNNNNNNNNNNNNNNNNNNNNNNNNNNNNNNNNNNNNNNNNNNNNNNNNNNNNNNNNNNNNNNNNNNNNNNNNNNNNNNNNNNNNNNNNNNNNNNNNNNNNNNNNNNNNNNNNNNNNNNNNNNNNNNNNNNNNNNNNNNNNNNNNNNNNNNNNNNNNNNNNNNNNNNNNNNNNNNNNNNNNNNNNNNNNNNNNNNNNNNNNNNNNNNNNNNNNNNNNNNNNNNNNNNNNNNNNNNNNNNNNNNNNNNNNNNNNNNNNNNNNNNNNNNNNNNNNNNNNNNNNNNNNNNNNNNNNNNNNNNNNNNNNNNNNNNNNNNNNNNNNNNNNNNNNNNNNNNNNNNNNNNNNNNNNNNNNNNNNNNNNNNNNNNNNNNNNNNNNNNNNNNNNNNNNNNNNNNNNNNNNNNNNNNNNNNNNNNNNNNNNNNNNNNNNNNNNNNNNNNNNNNNNNNNNNNNNNNNNNNNNNNNNNNNNNNNNNNNNNNNNNNNNNNNNNNNNNNNNNNNNNNNNNNNNNNNNNNNNNNNNNNNNNNNNNNNNNNNNNNNNNNNNNNNNNNNNNNNNNNNNNNNNNNNNNNNNNNNNNNNNNNNNNNNNNNNNNNNNNNNNNNNNNNNNNNNNNNNNNNNNNNNNNNNNNNNNNNNNNNNNNNNNNNNNNNNNNNNNNNNNNNNNNNNNNNNNNNNNNNNNNNNNNNNNNNNNNNNNNNNNNNNNNNNNNNNNNNNNNNNNNNNNNNNNNNNNNNNNNNNNNNNNNNNNNNNNNNNNNNNNNNNNNNNNNNNNNNNNNNNNNNNNNNNNNNNNNNNNNNNNNNNNNNNNNNNNNNNNNNNNNNNNNNNNNNNNNNNNNNNNNNNNNNNNNNNNNNNNNNNNNNNNNNNNNNNNNNNNNNNNNNNNNNNNNNNNNNNNNNNNNNNNNNNNNNNNNNNNNNNNNNNNNNNNNNNNNNNNNNNNNNNNNNNNNNNNNNNNNNNNNNNNNNNNNNNNNNNNNNNNNNNNNNNNNNNNNNNNNNNNNNNNNNNNNNNNNNNNNNNNNNNNNNNNNNNNNNNNNNNNNNNNNNNNNNNNNNNNNNNNNNNNNNNNNNNNNNNNNNNNNNNNNNNNNNNNNNNNNNNNNNNNNNNNNNNNNNNNNNNNNNNNNNNNNNNNNNNNNNNNNNNNNNNNNNNNNNNNNNNNNNNNNNNNNNNNNNNNNNNNNNNNNNNNNNNNNNNNNNNNNNNNNNNNNNNNNNNNNNNNNNNNNNNNNNNNNNNNNNNNNNNNNNNNNNNNNNNNNNNNNNNNNNNNNNNNNNNNNNNNNNNNNNNNNNNNNNNNNNNNNNNNNNNNNNNNNNNNNNNNNNNNNNNNNNNNNNNNNNNNNNNNNNNNNNNNNNNNNNNNNNNNNNNNNNNNNNNNNNNNNNNNNNNNNNNNNNNNNNNNNNNNNNNNNNNNNNNNNNNNNNNNNNNNNNNNNNNNNNNNNNNNNNNNNNNNNNNNNNNNNNNNNNNNNNNNNNNNNNNNNNNNNNNNNNNNNNNNNNNNNNNNNNNNNNNNNNNNNNNNNNNNNNNNNNNNNNNNNNNNNNNNNNNNNNNNNNNNNNNNNNNNNNNNNNNNNNNNNNNNNNNNNNNNNNNNNNNNNNNNNNNNNNNNNNNNNNNNNNNNNNNNNNNNNNNNNNNNNNNNNNNNNNNNNNNNNNNNNNNNNNNNNNNNNNNNNNNNNNNNNNNNNNNNNNNNNNNNNNNNNNNNNNNNNNNNNNNNNNNNNNNNNNNNNNNNNNNNNNNNNNNNNNNNNNNNNNNNNNNNNNNNNNNNNNNNNNNNNNNNNNNNNNNNNNNNNNNNNNNNNNNNNNNNNNNNNNNNNNNNNNNNNNNNNNNNNNNNNNNNNNNNNNNNNNNNNNNNNNNNNNNNNNNNNNNNNNNNNNNNNNNNNNNNNNNNNNNNNNNNNNNNNNNNNNNNNNNNNNNNNNNNNNNNNNNNNNNNNNNNNNNNNNNNNNNNNNNNNNNNNNNNNNNNNNNNNNNNNNNNNNNNNNNNNNNNNNNNNNNNNNNNNNNNNNNNNNNNNNNNNNNNNNNNNNNNNNNNNNNNNNNNNNNNNNNNNNNNNNNNNNNNNNNNNNNNNNNNNNNNNNNNNNNNNNNNNNNNNNNNNNNNNNNNNNNNNNNNNNNNNNNNNNNNNNNNNNNNNNNNNNNNNNNNNNNNNNNNNNNNNNNNNNNNNNNNNNNNNNNNNNNNNNNNNNNNNNNNNNNNNNNNNNNNNNNNNNNNNNNNNNNNNNNNNNNNNNNNNNNNNNNNNNNNNNNNNNNNNNNNNNNNNNNNNNNNNNNNNNNNNNNNNNNNNNNNNNNNNNNNNNNNNNNNNNNNNNNNNNNNNNNNNNNNNNNNNNNNNNNNNNNNNNNNNNNNNNNNNNNNNNNNNNNNNNNNNNNNNNNNNNNNNNNNNNNNNNNNNNNNNNNNNNNNNNNNNNNNNNNNNNNNNNNNNNNNNNNNNNNNNNNNNNNNNNNNNNNNNNNNNNNNNNNNNNNNNNNNNNNNNNNNNNNNNNNNNNNNNNNNNNNNNNNNNNNNNNNNNNNNNNNNNNNNNNNNNNNNNNNNNNNNNNNNNNNNNNNNNNNNNNNNNNNNNNNNNNNNNNNNNNNNNNNNNNNNNNNNNNNNNNNNNNNNNNNNNNNNNNNNNNNNNNNNNNNNNNNNNNNNNNNNNNNNNNNNNNNNNNNNNNNNNNNNNNNNNNNNNNNNNNNNNNNNNNNNNNNNNNNNNNNNNNNNNNNNNNNNNNNNNNNNNNNNNNNNNNNNNNNNNNNNNNNNNNNNNNNNNNNNNNNNNNNNNNNNNNNNNNNNNNNNNNNNNNNNNNNNNNNNNNNNNNNNNNNNNNNNNNNNNNNNNNNNNNNNNNNNNNNNNNNNNNNNNNNNNNNNNNNNNNNNNNNNNNNNNNNNNNNNNNNNNNNNNNNNNNNNNNNNNNNNNNNNNNNNNNNNNNNNNNNNNNNNNNNNNNNNNNNNNNNNNNNNNNNNNNNNNNNNNNNNNNNNNNNNNNNNNNNNNNNNNNNNNNNNNNNNNNNNNNNNNNNNNNNNNNNNNNNNNNNNNNNNNNNNNNNNNNNNNNNNNNNNNNNNNNNNNNNNNNNNNNNNNNNNNNNNNNNNNNNNNNNNNNNNNNNNNNNNNNNNNNNNNNNNNNNNNNNNNNNNNNNNNNNNNNNNNNNNNNNNNNNNNNNNNNNNNNNNNNNNNNNNNNNNNNNNNNNNNNNNNNNNNNNNNNNNNNNNNNNNNNNNNNNNNNNNNNNNNNNNNNNNNNNNNNNNNNNNNNNNNNNNNNNNNNNNNNNNNNNNNNNNNNNNNNNNNNNNNNNNNNNNNNNNNNNNNNNNNNNNNNNNNNNNNNNNNNNNNNNNNNNNNNNNNNNNNNNNNNNNNNNNNNNNNNNNNNNNNNNNNNNNNNNNNNNNNNNNNNNNNNNNNNNNNNNNNNNNNNNNNNNNNNNNNNNNNNNNNNNNNNNNNNNNNNNNNNNNNNNNNNNNNNNNNNNNNNNNNNNNNNNNNNNNNNNNNNNNNNNNNNNNNNNNNNNNNNNNNNNNNNNNNNNNNNNNNNNNNNNNNNNNNNNNNNNNNNNNNNNNNNNNNNNNNNNNNNNNNNNNNNNNNNNNNNNNNNNNNNNNNNNNNNNNNNNNNNNNNNNNNNNNNNNNNNNNNNNNNNNNNNNNNNNNNNNNNNNNNNNNNNNNNNNNNNNNNNNNNNNNNNNNNNNNNNNNNNNNNNNNNNNNNNNNNNNNNNNNNNNNNNNNNNNNNNNNNNNNNNNNNNNNNNNNNNNNNNNNNNNNNNNNNNNNNNNNNNNNNNNNNNNNNNNNNNNNNNNNNNNNNNNNNNNNNNNNNNNNNNNNNNNNNNNNNNNNNNNNNNNNNNNNNNNNNNNNNNNNNNNNNNNNNNNNNNNNNNNNNNNNNNNNNNNNNNNNNNNNNNNNNNNNNNNNNNNNNNNNNNNNNNNNNNNNNNNNNNNNNNNNNNNNNNNNNNNNNNNNNNNNNNNNNNNNNNNNNNNNNNNNNNNNNNNNNNNNNNNNNNNNNNNNNNNNNNNNNNNNNNNNNNNNNNNNNNNNNNNNNNNNNNNNNNNNNNNNNNNNNNNNNNNNNNNNNNNNNNNNNNNNNNNNNNNNNNNNNNNNNNNNNNNNNNNNNNNNNNNNNNNNNNNNNNNNNNNNNNNNNNNNNNNNNNNNNNNNNNNNNNNNNNNNNNNNNNNNNNNNNNNNNNNNNNNNNNNNNNNNNNNNNNNNNNNNNNNNNNNNNNNNNNNNNNNNNNNNNNNNNNNNNNNNNNNNNNNNNNNNNNNNNNNNNNNNNNNNNNNNNNNNNNNNNNNNNNNNNNNNNNNNNNNNNNNNNNNNNNNNNNNNNNNNNNNNNNNNNNNNNNNNNNNNNNNNNNNNNNNNNNNNNNNNNNNNNNNNNNNNNNNNNNNNNNNNNNNNNNNNNNNNNNNNNNNNNNNNNNNNNNNNNNNNNNNNNNNNNNNNNNNNNNNNNNNNNNNNNNNNNNNNNNNNNNNNNNNNNNNNNNNNNNNNNNNNNNNNNNNNNNNNNNNNNNNNNNNNNNNNNNNNNNNNNNNNNNNNNNNNNNNNNNNNNNNNNNNNNNNNNNNNNNNNNNNNNNNNNNNNNNNNNNNNNNNNNNNNNNNNNNNNNNNNNNNNNNNNNNNNNNNNNNNNNNNNNNNNNNNNNNNNNNNNNNNNNNNNNNNNNNNNNNNNNNNNNNNNNNNNNNNNNNNNNNNNNNNNNNNNNNNNNNNNNNNNNNNNNNNNNNNNNNNNNNNNNNNNNNNNNNNNNNNNNNNNNNNNNNNNNNNNNNNNNNNNNNNNNNNNNNNNNNNNNNNNNNNNNNNNNNNNNNNNNNNNNNNNNNNNNNNNNNNNNNNNNNNNNNNNNNNNNNNNNNNNNNNNNNNNNNNNNNNNNNNNNNNNNNNNNNNNNNNNNNNNNNNNNNNNNNNNNNNNNNNNNNNNNNNNNNNNNNNNNNNNNNNNNNNNNNNNNNNNNNNNNNNNNNNNNNNNNNNNNNNNNNNNNNNNNNNNNNNNNNNNNNNNNNNNNNNNNNNNNNNNNNNNNNNNNNNNNNNNNNNNNNNNNNNNNNNNNNNNNNNNNNNNNNNNNNNNNNNNNNNNNNNNNNNNNNNNNNNNNNNNNNNNNNNNNNNNNNNNNNNNNNNNNNNNNNNNNNNNNNNNNNNNNNNNNNNNNNNNNNNNNNNNNNNNNNNNNNNNNNNNNNNNNNNNNNNNNNNNNNNNNNNNNNNNNNNNNNNNNNNNNNNNNNNNNNNNNNNNNNNNNNNNNNNNNNNNNNNNNNNNNNNNNNNNNNNNNNNNNNNNNNNNNNNNNNNNNNNNNNNNNNNNNNNNNNNNNNNNNNNNNNNNNNNNNNNNNNNNNNNNNNNNNNNNNNNNNNNNNNNNNNNNNNNNNNNNNNNNNNNNNNNNNNNNNNNNNNNNNNNNNNNNNNNNNNNNNNNNNNNNNNNNNNNNNNNNNNNNNNNNNNNNNNNNNNNNNNNNNNNNNNNNNNNNNNNNNNNNNNNNNNNNNNNNNNNNNNNNNNNNNNNNNNNNNNNNNNNNNNNNNNNNNNNNNNNNNNNNNNNNNNNNNNNNNNNNNNNNNNNNNNNNNNNNNNNNNNNNNNNNNNNNNNNNNNNNNNNNNNNNNNNNNNNNNNNNNNNNNNNNNNNNNNNNNNNNNNNNNNNNNNNNNNNNNNNNNNNNNNNNNNNNNNNNNNNNNNNNNNNNNNNNNNNNNNNNNNNNNNNNNNNNNNNNNNNNNNNNNNNNNNNNNNNNNNNNNNNNNNNNNNNNNNNNNNNNNNNNNNNNNNNNNNNNNNNNNNNNNNNNNNNNNNNNNNNNNNNNNNNNNNNNNNNNNNNNNNNNNNNNNNNNNNNNNNNNNNNNNNNNNNNNNNNNNNNNNNNNNNNNNNNNNNNNNNNNNNNNNNNNNNNNNNNNNNNNNNNNNNNNNNNNNNNNNNNNNNNNNNNNNNNNNNNNNNNNNNNNNNNNNNNNNNNNNNNNNNNNNNNNNNNNNNNNNNNNNNNNNNNNNNNNNNNNNNNNNNNNNNNNNNNNNNNNNNNNNNNNNNNNNNNNNNNNNNNNNNNNNNNNNNNNNNNNNNNNNNNNNNNNNNNNNNNNNNNNNNNNNNNNNNNNNNNNNNNNNNNNNNNNNNNNNNNNNNNNNNNNNNNNNNNNNNNNNNNNNNNNNNNNNNNNNNNNNNNNNNNNNNNNNNNNNNNNNNNNNNNNNNNNNNNNNNNNNNNNNNNNNNNNNNNNNNNNNNNNNNNNNNNNNNNNNNNNNNNNNNNNNNNNNNNNNNNNNNNNNNNNNNNNNNNNNNNNNNNNNNNNNNNNNNNNNNNNNNNNNNNNNNNNNNNNNNNNNNNNNNNNNNNNNNNNNNNNNNNNNNNNNNNNNNNNNNNNNNNNNNNNNNNNNNNNNNNNNNNNNNNNNNNNNNNNNNNNNNNNNNNNNNNNNNNNNNNNNNNNNNNNNNNNNNNNNNNNNNNNNNNNNNNNNNNNNNNNNNNNNNNNNNNNNNNNNNNNNNNNNNNNNNNNNNNNNNNNNNNNNNNNNNNNNNNNNNNNNNNNNNNNNNNNNNNNNNNNNNNNNNNNNNNNNNNNNNNNNNNNNNNNNNNNNNNNNNNNNNNNNNNNNNNNNNNNNNNNNNNNNNNNNNNNNNNNNNNNNNNNNNNNNNNNNNNNNNNNNNNNNNNNNNNNNNNNNNNNNNNNNNNNNNNNNNNNNNNNNNNNNNNNNNNNNNNNNNNNNNNNNNNNNNNNNNNNNNNNNNNNNNNNNNNNNNNNNNNNNNNNNNNNNNNNNNNNNNNNNNNNNNNNNNNNNNNNNNNNNNNNNNNNNNNNNNNNNNNNNNNNNNNNNNNNNNNNNNNNNNNNNNNNNNNNNNNNNNNNNNNNNNNNNNNNNNNNNNNNNNNNNNNNNNNNNNNNNNNNNNNNNNNNNNNNNNNNNNNNNNNNNNNNNNNNNNNNNNNNNNNNNNNNNNNNNNNNNNNNNNNNNNNNNNNNNNNNNNNNNNNNNNNNNNNNNNNNNNNNNNNNNNNNNNNNNNNNNNNNNNNNNNNNNNNNNNNNNNNNNNNNNNNNNNNNNNNNNNNNNNNNNNNNNNNNNNNNNNNNNNNNNNNNNNNNNNNNNNNNNNNNNNNNNNNNNNNNNNNNNNNNNNNNNNNNNNNNNNNNNNNNNNNNNNNNNNNNNNNNNNNNNNNNNNNNNNNNNNNNNNNNNNNNNNNNNNNNNNNNNNNNNNNNNNNNNNNNNNNNNNNNNNNNNNNNNNNNNNNNNNNNNNNNNNNNNNNNNNNNNNNNNNNNNNNNNNNNNNNNNNNNNNNNNNNNNNNNNNNNNNNNNNNNNNNNNNNNNNNNNNNNNNNNNNNNNNNNNNNNNNNNNNNNNNNNNNNNNNNNNNNNNNNNNNNNNNNNNNNNNNNNNNNNNNNNNNNNNNNNNNNNNNNNNNNNNNNNGCUCUUCNNNNNNNNNNNNNNNNNNNNNNNNNNNNNNNNNNNNNNNNNNNNNNNNNNNNNNNNNNNNNNNNNNNNNNNNNNNNNNNNNNNNNNNNNNNNNNNNNNNNNNNNNNNNNNNNNNNNNNNNNNNNNNNNNNNNNNNNNNNNNNNNNNNNNNNNNNNNNNNNNNNNNNNNNNNNNNNNNNNNNNNNNNNNNNNNNNNNNNNNNNNNNNNNNNNNNNNNNNNNNNNNNNNNNNNNNNNNNNNNNNNNNNNNNNNNNNNNNNNNNNNNNNNNNNNNNNNNNNNNNNNNNNNNNNNNNNNNNNNNNNNNNNNNNNNNNNNNNNNNNNNNNNNNNNNNNNNNNNNNNNNNNNNNNNNNNNNNNNNNNNNNNNNNNNNNNNNNNNNNNNNNNNNNNNNNNNNNNNNNNNNNNNNNNNNNNNNNNNNNNNNNNNNNNNNNNNNNNNNNNNNNNNNNNNNNNNNNNNNNNNNNNNNNNNNNNNNNNNNNNNNNNNNNNNNNNNNNNNNNNNNNNNNNNNNNNNNNNNNNNNNNNNNNNNNNNNNNNNNNNNNNNNNNNNNNNNNNNNNNNNNNNNNNNNNNNNNNNNNNNNNNNNNNNNNNNNNNNNNNNNNNNNNNNNNNNNNNNNNNNNNNNNNNNNNNNNNNNNNNNNNNNNNNNNNNNNNNNNNNNNNNNNNNNNNNNNNNNNNNNNNNNNNNNNNNNNNNNNNNNNNNNNNNNNNNNNNNNNNNNNNNNNNNNNNNNNNNNNNNNNNNNNNNNNNNNNNNNNNNNNNNNNNNNNNNNNNNNNNNNNNNNNNNNNNNNNNNNNNNNNNNNNNNNNNNNNNNNNNNNNNNNNNNNNNNNNNNNNNNNNNNNNNNNNNNNNNNNNNNNNNNNNNNNNNNNNNNNNNNNNNNNNNNNNNNNNNNNNNNNNNNNNNNNNNNNNNNNNNNNNNNNNNNNNNNNNNNNNNNNNNNNNNNNNNNNNNNNNNNNNNNNNNNNNNNNNNNNNNNNNNNNNNNNNNNNNNNNNNNNNNNNNNNNNNNNNNNNNNNNNNNNNNNNNNNNNNNNNNNNNNNNNNNNNNNNNNNNNNNNNNNNNNNNNNNNNNNNNNNNNNNNNNNNNNNNNNNNNNNNNNNNNNNNNNNNNNNNNNNNNNNNNNNNNNNNNNNNNNNNNNNNNNNNNNNNNNNNNNNNNNNNNNNNNNNNNNNNNNNNNNNNNNNNNNNNNNNNNNNNNNNNNNNNNNNNNNNNNNNNNNNNNNNNNNNNNNNNNNNNNNNNNNNNNNNNNNNNNNNNNNNNNNNNNNNNNNNNNNNNNNNNNNNNNNNNNNNNNNNNNNNNNNNNNNNNNNNNNNNNNNNNNNNNNNNNNNNNNNNNNNNNNNNNNNNNNNNNNNNNNNNNNNNNNNNNNNNNNNNNNNNNNNNNNNNNNNNNNNNNNNNNNNNNNNNNNNNNNNNNNNNNNNNNNNNNNNNNNNNNNNNNNNNNNNNNNNNNNNNNNNNNNNNNNNNNNNNNNNNNNNNNNNNNNNNNNNNNNNNNNNNNNNNNNNNNNNNNNNNNNNNNNNNNNNNNNNNNNNNNNNNNNNNNNNNNNNNNNNNNNNNNNNNNNNNNNNNNNNNNNNNNNNNNNNNNNNNNNNNNNNNNNNNNNNNNNNNNNNNNNNNNNNNNNNNNNNNNNNNNNNNNNNNNNNNNNNNNNNNNNNNNNNNNNNNNNNNNNNNNNNNNNNNNNNNNNNNNNNNNNNNNNNNNNNNNNNNNNNNNNNNNNNNNNNNNNNNNNNNNNNNNNNNNNNNNNNNNNNNNNNNNNNNNNNNNNNNNNNNNNNNNNNNNNNNNNNNNNNNNNNNNNNNNNNNNNNNNNNNNNNNNNNNNNNNNNNNNNNNNNNNNNNNNNNNNNNNNNNNNNNNNNNNNNNNNNNNNNNNNNNNNNNNNNNNNNNNNNNNNNNNNNNNNNNNNNNNNNNNNNNNNNNNNNNNNNNNNNNNNNNNNNNNNNNNNNNNNNNNNNNNNNNNNNNNNNNNNNNNNNNNNNNNNNNNNNNNNNNNNNNNNNNNNNNNNNNNNNNNNNNNNNNNNNNNNNNNNNNNNNNNNNNNNNNNNNNNNNNNNNNNNNNNNNNNNNNNNNNNNNNNNNNNNNNNNNNNNNNNNNNNNNNNNNNNNNNNNNNNNNNNNNNNNNNNNNNNNNNNNNNNNNNNNNNNNNNNNNNNNNNNNNNNNNNNNNNNNNNNNNNNNNNNNNNNNNNNNNNNNNNNNNNNNNNNNNNNNNNNNNNNNNNNNNNNNNNNNNNNNNNNNNNNNNNNNNNNNNNNNNNNNNNNNNNNNNNNNNNNNNNNNNNNNNNNNNNNNNNNNNNNNNNNNNNNNNNNNNNNNNNNNNNNNNNNNNNNNNNNNNNNNNNNNNNNNNNNNNNNNNNNNNNNNNNNNNNNNNNNNNNNNNNNNNNNNNNNNNNNNNNNNNNNNNNNNNNNNNNNNNNNNNNNNNNNNNNNNNNNNNNNNNNNNNNNNNNNNNNNNNNNNNNNNNNNNNNNNNNNNNNNNNNNNNNNNNNNNNNNNNNNNNNNNNNNNNNNNNNNNNNNNNNNNNNNNNNNNNNNNNNNNNNNNNNNNNNNNNNNNNNNNNNNNNNNNNNNNNNNNNNNNNNNNNNNNNNNNNNNNNNNNNNNNNNNNNNNNNNNNNNNNNNNNNNNNNNNNNNNNNNNNNNNNNNNNNNNNNNNNNNNNNNNNNNNNNNNNNNNNNNNNNNNNNNNNNNNNNNNNNNNNNNNNNNNNNNNNNNNNNNNNNNNNNNNNNNNNNNNNNNNNNNNNNNNNNNNNNNNNNNNNNNNNNNNNNNNNNNNNNNNNNNNNNNNNNNNNNNNNNNNNNNNNNNNNNNNNNNNNNNNNNNNNNNNNNNNNNNNNNNNNNNNNNNNNNNNNNNNNNNNNNNNNNNNNNNNNNNNNNNNNNNNNNNNNNNNNNNNNNNNNNNNNNNNNNNNNNNNNNNNNNNNNNNNNNNNNNNNNNNNNNNNNNNNNNNNNNNNNNNNNNNNNNNNNNNNNNNNNNNNNNNNNNNNNNNNNNNNNNNNNNNNNNNNNNNNNNNNNNNNNNNNNNNNNNNNNNNNNNNNNNNNNNNNNNNNNNNNNNNNNNNNNNNNNNNNNNNNNNNNNNNNNNNNNNNNNNNNNNNNNNNNNNNNNNNNNNNNNNNNNNNNNNNNNNNNNNNNNNNNNNNNNNNNNNNNNNNNNNNNNNNNNNNNNNNNNNNNNNNNNNNNNNNNNNNNNNNNNNNNNNNNNNNNNNNNNNNNNNNNNNNNNNNNNNNNNNNNNNNNNNNNNNNNNNNNNNNNNNNNNNNNNNNNNNNNNNNNNNNNNNNNNNNNNNNNNNNNNNNNNNNNNNNNNNNNNNNNNNNNNNNNNNNNNNNNNNNNNNNNNNNNNNNNNNNNNNNNNNNNNNNNNNNNNNNNNNNNNNNNNNNNNNNNNNNNNNNNNNNNNNNNNNNNNNNNNNNNNNNNNNNNNNNNNNNNNNNNNNNNNNNNNNNNNNNNNNNNNNNNNNNNNNNNNNNNNNNNNNNNNNNNNNNNNNNNNNNNNNNNNNNNNNNNNNNNNNNNNNNNNNNNNNNNNNNNNNNNNNNNNNNNNNNNNNNNNNNNNNNNNNNNNNNNNNNNNNNNNNNNNNNNNNNNNNNNNNNNNNNNNNNNNNNNNNNNNNNNNNNNNNNNNNNNNNNNNNNNNNNNNNNNNNNNNNNNNNNNNNNNNNNNNNNNNNNNNNNNNNNNNNNNNNNNNNNNNNNNNNNNNNNNNNNNNNNNNNNNNNNNNNNNNNNNNNNNNNNNNNNNNNNNNNNNNNNNNNNNNNNNNNNNNNNNNNNNNNNNNNNNNNNNNNNNNNNNNNNNNNNNNNNNNNNNNNNNNNNNNNNNNNNNNNNNNNNNNNNNNNNNNNNNNNNNNNNNNNNNNNNNNNNNNNNNNNNNNNNNNNNNNNNNNNNNNNNNNNNNNNNNNNNNNNNNNNNNNNNNNNNNNNNNNNNNNNNNNNNNNNNNNNNNNNNNNNNNNNNNNNNNNNNNNNNNNNNNNNNNNNNNNNNNNNNNNNNNNNNNNNNNNNNNNNNNNNNNNNNNNNNNNNNNNNNNNNNNNNNNNNNNNNNNNNNNNNNNNNNNNNNNNNNNNNNNNNNNNNNNNNNNNNNNNNNNNNCAACUUGGCGGGUUCUAGCAAAUAGGCGUUGGGCCAUAUUAGACACAGAAGCUGCACACUGAACACUAAGAGCCAGAGAAUCCUUAACAGCCAACUCAUCAGACCGUUUGGAAAGUAGUCUGUUAUCUCUGGGAGUGAGAAGGUUCCUGGCCACCACCGCAGCAGUCAUAUCAUUCUUCAUCACAGAAUCCCCAACGGUAAGAGGACCAGUAGAAGAUAUGAAGGAUGGACGCCAUAUGUUGUCUGGAGAAGGCGUGGCUGCCUCUUCUCCAAGGUUCAAGUCAAAACGACGGUCGGAGGGGCCAGACAUUUUCAAAGGUGUUGAAGAGAGAAGAGGUCAGACAAAUCAAGAUCUUAGAAGUGCAAGAAGGGAGCUUCUACUGGUGGAGAUUCAGGUGUGCUGUGGAACUUAAUGCCAGCCUCUAUAAAAAUCUGCCCUCGACGGAGCUUCAGAAAUCGAAGAGGCGUUUGCUUUCUCAAAAGCUGGGCUGCUCAGAGACCACGAGGGCUGAUCUCAAAAAUCGAAGAGGCGCUUCCUUUCUCAAAAGCUGGGCUGCUCAGAGACCACGAUGGCCGAUCUCAGAAAUCGAAGAAGCACCUGCUUUUUCAGCCUCAUCAGCACCUGUCACAUGCACACUCAGCUUUGCGGAAAUUACGGGCAAUCUGUCGAAGAUUUCUGGUGAAAUAGAAAGCACGUGAAUCUUACUGUUCAAUCACCACUCUCCACACGCACCAUCACUCCUCGGGGUACCACAUAUAACUUUGCCAAAGAUCUCUGACAAAGUUUAGGCACGAGAAUUUCGAAGUUCCAGCUACCCUACUAUUACCCACAAGGGUAAAGGAACAGCACCACUGCUUGACAACUGGAAAGUCCCUAUGUGUGUCGACCUCCGUGUUCUGCGGCAAGACAGGCUGGCAAGAACGUCCAACCUUUACUCACAUUCGAGAAAAGACUCCCAACAUAAUUACUUUCUCAAAAACCGAAACAGCACCGCUUUCUGAAUCUCGAGAGCCAGAUCCUCGACGGGAUUGCUUGUUCGAAAACCGAAGAGGCACAGCUCUCAGAACUUCGAGAGCCAGAUUUCCUUAGAUAAAGCUUGUCUGUAAUCUUCACACGUAACAUCAGCUUUCCAGAUACCACAUACCACUUUUUUCAAAGUGCUCUGACAAAGUUAAAACACGUGAAGCUGGCAGCUCCCACUACAUUGUUGUGACCAAGAAAGGUAAAAGAAUAGCAUUACUACUUGUUAUUGGGAAAUCCCUAUAUACAUCGACCUCCCUCCUCAACGGACAGGCAAACCUGCAAAAAUGCUCAACCCUUUCUCGCAUUCGAGAAUGCACCCUCAACAUAACCUCUCGAAAUACUCAGCUUUAUUUCCCCCGAUAAUACCUCAAGCAAAUAAGCCACACCAAGAACAAGAGUAUCUCAUAUCAUCAGGGUCGAAAGCAAGAGUAUCCCAUAUCAUGCUUUCUCCCUGUCCUUGUCUUCGUCCUUGUCCACACCUGCAGGACAAAGAGAAAGAGAGCAGUCAGUCGGAACCUGAAAUCAAACCUCUAAUCUGGAACUGACUGCCUGAGACCUUUGCAUGGUUGCUUACUUAGCAUUGCUCUCGAGAACUCAUCCUCAACUGCUGUCAAGGUCAUGAAUUCCACCGGCACAUACCUCAUGACAGGUUGAUCAGAUAUUGGCUCUUUACACUGAAGCUGCCAAGCGUGGAUGAGUCACUAUGAAGGAAUGUUCUGAAGGACCAUUUAAAUGCAAAGGUUGCACACCACUUCUUCCAUGCAAAAGAUUGAAGCAGAAGGUUCAACGGUGAGCUGAAACAGAUCACUACAGCACGACACCUUUCCAUACCACAUUCAUUAUUCCGUCAACAGCAAAAAGUAUCCCAUAUCAUCAAGGUCGAACGUACUCUAGAUUUGAUGGACUUGUUUUGACCCUCAAAUUCUUGAGUCGGCCUUAUACUCUGAAGGGAACCAGAAAAACCCUCCAGCACAGUUCAAGAAUAAGCCUGUGGAAAGUUACUUCUUCAAAAGCAAAAGUAUCUCAUAUCAUCUCUUCUCCAUUUGCUUCUCCUUAUCCUGGCAGCUGAAUGAGAGACAGGAGGAAAGGAGAACAAUCAACCGGAAGCCAAAGUCGAACCUCCGAUCCUGGGUUGCUUGCUUGGAAGUUUGACUGCUUACCUUGUCUGUCACCUCUUUCGGCAGAUCUCCUAGCUCGGCGACUUGGGGGACUCCUACUAUAGGGUUUGUAUCGCACUUGACCAAGCCCGAAACUACAAGUAAGCUUCAAGUGAAAUUGAUACAUUACCUUGUGCAUCUUCAUCGGUUAAAGAUACCACCCAUGGAUGGAGGAAAAGUACUUCCAGAGAAGAUGCCACAUCUACAUAUGAGACAGAUAAGGCACGUGAAAAUGAUACCUCACUUCAGUACUUAGAAGUUUCGUGAUUACUCAAUGGCUUGGAUCUUGCAAGUCCCCAACCGAGGAGCUUCCCUCACUCGGGAACUUAGGGGAGCACUAUUUGUACCAUACUUAACCAAUCCCGAAACUACUGAGCACCGGUCAACGUUAUACCGUCAAGGACCCAGAAGAGCUUCCCUUCAACCAGGAGGCCAAUCACAAUGCGACACGUGUCGACAUCAGAAGCCAAUCACAGCUCGACACGUGUCAACAUCAGAAGCCAAUUACAACACGACACGUGUCAAUGUUAGAACAAAACUAGAAACUCUCUUCUAUAAAUAGGGAUCAUUCUCCCACAAUAAUCUCUAAUGUCAUUUGUACUAAACUAUUCACUAGAACUCACAAAAUGAGAGCUUGAACCUAUGUAUUUGUGUAAACCCUUCACAAUUAAUGAGAACUCCUCUACUCCGUGGACGUAGCCGAUCUGGGUGAACCACGUACAAUUAAUGAGAACUCCUCUACUUAUCUUCACUAGUGAUCGAAGCAACCAAACGAAGGUCACAAACCUGACACUUUCUGUUGUACCAAAGUCCUCACUGAUUUUGUGCAUCAACAUCAACAAAUAAAAGCUAAUUCAUUUGACAGCAGGAUUCAACGUUUAUGUGUGCAUUAUAUCUUAAAAGUAAUUCAGCAUUAUAAGGAACAACAAAACCAUUAUCAAUUUUGAUCCAUUUUUUAUGACAUAUUUUGUAUCAUCAGUGUCUAUAAAUAGGAAACCAUUGUCUUAAAAAAUUGUCUCAUUUUUAUAUGGCUUAGGAAAGUUUUUGGAACACUUAUUUUCCCACAUGCAAGGAGAAUUUUGAUUAAUAUGUCCACAUGGACCAUGAAUCAUAAAUUGGUUAACAAUUUCGUAAAGCUGAGGAUUGACAAAUUUGUUUGGCAACUCAGCAGAAAUAAUUGAAUCUAUAUCUGAUGCCAUAUAACAUUUGAAAUUUGAUUUCAAUCAUAUUAACAUAUGAGAAUGAGGCAAACAUAUUUUUUGAAAUUCAAUUGUACAAACAUCUGUUUCCAAAAAUAAUUGAAACAGACAAAAACCCAAAAAAAAAAAAAAGUUAGCAUGAUAAAGCAAAAAAAGGGAAACAAAUUUCAGAUAAGGGAAAAAAUAAGUUUUUAGAAACUUACCUGCCUCAACUUGUCCAAAGGGUUUUCUAGAUUUAAUGAAACCGAGCAUAUCAUCAAGUUUCAUUUUAAAUAUUCUAGAAAUUAUAUCAGGCCUGUCCUCAGGUUUGUAUCCCAUUUUUUUUUUUCAAUUUCUCUUAUAAUUUCUGGCCAUUUUACUUUGCAUGUAAAGGUUAUGAACAAAUCAGGAUGACCAUAUUCUCUACAAAUAGCCAUAGCAUCUUGAUAAUUAUUAAUCAUAUAUCUAGGACUUCCUGUGUAUGAAGCAGGCAACACAAUUUUUUGGCCUAACUUGUUUGCAUCAUUGUCACCUCUUGACAUUGCAUCGUAAAUUCCCUUGUAAAUUUCACUUCUUAAAUUUUUCAGAUUUUGUCUAAUAUAAUCCAACCUAUCUUCUUCAAGUGUUGCAUAGGAAUCUACCAAAUAUUGUUGAAAAAGUCUACCACAUUUUAACAGUGUAGUUAAGUAUGGAUCUCUUUCUUGAAUUUGGUAAGCUAUAUAAGUUCUCAUAGGUAUUCUUUGUCUCUUCGUUUUUGGACCGUUAUAAUUUUCAUUCCAUUGUAAAUCUGGUCUAUACUCAACUUCACCAUAUGGAAAAAGAAUAGGAUACUGAAGGGCCAUAAAUUUUGGAUUCAAUUUUGUAACACACUUUAAUCCUUUUCUUUUACAAUCUACAAUAAUAUCUCUAUUAGAGUCAGAUAAACCUAUAUCACCAAUUAUUAAACCACCUAUUUCAUCACUUGUUGGUUGAUCAUAUUGCUUGCUAUCAUUUGGUUGUCUCCCUAACAACGUAAGUUUUAAAUUGGUCAAACCAUCAGUUUCAUAUUUGUCUCUUGUUGUUUGAAAAAGUUUGACCAACUCAUUUGAUUCAUCAAACAUUUUAAUCAAGUUUUCCACAAUUUUUGAAUCAAGUUUUUUAUUUGUUCCAUCACAAUCAAAAGCUCUAAGUUGAUUCUGUAUUUCAUUAUAUAUAUCAUAAACAUAUAACUGAGCAAAUUUUGGAGACUCAUUAUCAACAGGUAAAAGAGAACCCAUCAAAUGACAAAUUUGACCACUAAUCUUAAAAAUGUAAGGACUUGAUCCGUUAUUCAUUGAGUGAUCAACUUUUGCUCCCAUUGAAGUAAAUGAAAACAUAGAAUUGUAAGCUCUAAUAUUUUCUCGAAAUGAUAAACUCUUUUACUUCCUUUUGGAUCAAGCAAGGAAUCUAAAAAAGAUGGUGUUGGCUUUGGACUUGAAAAUUUAAUUUUUCCUUGUUGACAACAAAGAGUAAAAAUGGGUUGAUUUUUUUUUUUCUAGCUUUGUUUAAGAGGCUCUUUUAACCAAAAAUAUGCACCACAAUACACGCAUUUAUAACUUUUAUCACCCAAAUCCAUAUCUUUCACAACCCCUACAAAAAAAACAUAUAUAAAAAGAAAUGUAAUCAAUACAUGGAAGUAACUUAAUCCUAAAACCAAGCCUAAAGAAAACAAUUAUUGCAAAAAAUUAAAAACAUACCGUUUCUAUUUUUUUUUUUUGGAAAAAGGCCUGACCCUUCUUCAUGAGACAACAAUUGUCAGCAUCUACGGUAUUGAACAAACUCACAACGUUUUUCCCUUUUUUAUCAAAGGUGUACAUGGUUUUUUCAAACGGGAUGAUGUCCAACAUUUCAUUAUCGUUAACAGAGUCAAUCACACAGUGGUUAGUAGAAGAUCUACCGGAGGAACAUUGAUAUUCAACUGAUGAAUAUUCGCAAAUAAAUAUGUCAAUCGCAUACAUAAUAACAUCUUCAGAAUUAUGCCUAUAACUCGCUCUACACAUUCUUUUUCGCUGGUGACCAUCGUCAACCAAUGUAUUACAUUCACUAUCAGUAACGCUUUUGUUUCGUUUUAUAGCAUCUUUUGUUUGAUCAUUUGUACAUUUUUAGACAUGAUGGAAACCAACCGUUACAACUUUUUCAUAAACAAACAACUGGACAACAGAUUAAAAAAAAUGAAAAAAAUCAAUAAAAAGAUAAGAUAUAUAUGAAAACAAUAAAGAUCACACAAAAACUAAUGACAUGUCUGAAUCAAAAGUUUCAUUUCAAUUUAACAAAAUGCAAAAGAAAACUGCAUUGUUAAAGUUUUAAUAAAUAAUUUCAGAACUUUAAAAAAGUUACCUUGAGGACAAAGCGCCUUGGAAGUUGAGGACAAAUAGCUUUAAAUCCAAAAUACUCAAGAUUUUUCAAAUUCUGUUAAAAAAAAAAAAACACAUCACCAGAAAACUCAUUACAACAAAUAAACACUUAUUUGUUCACAGGAACUAUCUAUUGUAAUAUAUGAUGAUGGUGCACGGUUGAGUGUUUAAGUUUAUUAAAUAACUGAAAGUUGGGGGUGGCUGGGUACAUGUUUUCCUUUCCUUUCGUUUUUUUUUUUUUUUUUUUUGGUGUUUAUUUAAUAUCUCCAAGUCAACGGUAGUAGUUCCUAGGAAAACAAAAGUUGAGUUAAUUAUUAAAACAAGGAAUACCAUAGUUCACCAAUGUGACAGAGAUGCACUGUGUGUGCAAGAUUAGGGAUGAGUGCGGAUGUACUUACGCUACCAAAAAAUCUAAGCAGAAUUGAUUACUGAUUUUAAUAAUUAAAAUCAGAUACAAUUUUUCAAAAAUAAAUGCAAGGUGAUGGGUAAGUUUGUCAAUGAAACGAUUUGAAGUCAUAUCUUUACAGGUAGGAGAUAGCAGAUAUUUGCAUUGCAUAUCUUAGCAGAAUGAGCAGAUAUGAAGGAAAAUUAGAUUUAUUCAAUUUCGAUAUAAAGAGAAUUAAUUAAUGCAGGAACAACGUUUGUGCACAUUGAGAAUCAAAUUAACUAAUUAACUUACUAACCCGUAUUGUAAAUUUCACACCUAUACUCAAAACAAAUUUUGUAACCAAUGUCCCAAAAAAGAGGCAAAAGGAAAGAAAAAAAGCCUUUGUAUGGUAUACUACGGCGUUAUCUGUGUAACCGAACUCAACCCAGCAACCUUCUUGUAUACUUGGAAAUUUGUUACAGAUGUUAUGGCUGCAGAAGAAAAUAUAUCUUUCAGCAUUAAUAUCAUUAAGACUUAAGUAUAAUACCAUAGUUCACCAAUGUGACAGAGACACUGUGUGUGGAAGAUUAAUGAUGAGUAUGGAAGUAAUAAUGCUAUCAAGAAAUUUAUGCAGAAUUGAUUACUAACUUUAACAAUUAAAAUCAGAUACAACUUUUCAAAAAUAAACCAAGGCCAUGGGUACACUUUGUCAAUGAAACAAUUUUAAGUCAUAUGUUUACAGCUAGGAGAUCGCGGAUAUUUGCAUUGCAUAACUUAACACAAUGAGUGAAUAUGAAGGAGAAUUAGAUUUAUUCAAUUUCGAUACAAAGAUAAUUAAUUAAUGCUCCUUAGACAUCAAUUUGAUUAAGAUGUGUGCCUGUCUUCUCAGUUUUUGGCAUUAUAGAUGUGGGUGGUAUAAAUUUUUACUUAAAAAAUUGAACUCGAAAUGAAAACCUAGGUGAGAAAGCAUGGAAACAACUCUUGUGUACAAAUGACUUGUACGAAUGAAUUUUCUUGAGAUUUGAUCCCAGCUUUUUGAUAAUUGUCAGCUUUUAUAACUCAAACCAUUUCCAAUAACUAUUUGGUUAUAGGAUGAAUAAUUAAGCAUAAAAAAGUGAGUUCAUGCUUAUGAAAUUGAGAAGGCAGGCACACAUCUUAAACAAAUUGAAAAAUGAUGUCUAAGGAUUACAUAUAGCAUAUUUCAGCUAAUGAUACAACGGCCAUUGAAUUCUGUAUUGCAAAUUUGGCUAUUCAAAAGCCUCUGAAUUUAUAGACUAAAUCAGGAUCGCAUUAUUAAAUCAUAUUAUCAAAUUGGAAUACAAACAUUGAAAAAUACAUGAACUCAUGCGCAACUUUGAUUAAUCCAACAUUAAUAUCGGAUCUAUCUUGAGAGAGUACCUUCUCACAGAUCAAAAUAGUCACAUCUUACUUUCUAACUCUUUCGUAUAGGACCUCAUCCUUCUCACAGAUCUAUAUCUACUUCUAGAUAGCCUUUAGGAUUUCCCUGGCUUAGCACAAGAAUUCUAUCCUUAAAAGAACUCUCUACUGACUGGUAUAAAUACACCAUUCUAGAGUUCGUCUCUGGUUGCGCAAUCAUCGCACUCUAACUCUUUUGCCCACUGGUUAAGUCUUAUACUUGCUUAUUAACUUGACCGUCGGAGAGUCUUUGGCUAACACACACCCCUUAGGUCUUAGGCUUGCUCACGUUGUUUGCUGUUUUACAGGUUACUCAAAUUUGUGCCUCCACCAUCUGCGAUAGUGACGAAUUUGGUUCCAACAAUUGGUUUUUUCAUUGAGAUAGAACUCAUAUUCCUCUCGACUAGAUCACUCUACCCAUUGAGGCCCCUCUUAAAUGAUUGAGAUGUGACUGUGCCAUCUUCCCACAUGAAAAAGAUAUUUCCUUCAUGGAAAAUGUAUGGGAAAACAUGUUAUAGAUACAUGCGUCUAUAAAAGGGCUUCGAAGAAGUUCACGAGCCAAGGAAUAGGCAAAACUCAUUAACCUUGAGAUGCGAGUAAAGGCUAUUGAAGUUAAGGAAUGGGUAAAUGACGGAUCAGAAGUCAACAUCCUCUUUAAGGGUGUAGCUAAGAGGAUCGGCAUUCUUGGCAACAUUAACGAGGGUAAGACCAUCUUCCAAACCCUUAACGAAGCCACUGUCCAGUCGUUGGGAACGGUAAAACUAACAGUUCAAGCAGAAUCACAGUCACCUGGUGACCUUUCAUAUUAUGGUCUGCCUAAUCUUUACAAUGCCAUUCUCAGCCGAAACUGGUUGCACGAGAUGAAAGUUGCUCCAUCAACCUACCACCAGCUGCUUCGCUACCCCAUAGUGGAUGGAGUUUAUAGAGGGCGGAAUGUUUGAGAAGGCAAGGAAGCUGACAGAUACCAAAACCUUUUAACUCUGAAAUGGGGGCAGGAAGAACAUACAAAAACAAGAUAAGAGCUGGAGCCCAUCCCAGACACAAUACGACAGUUUUCCAUCCUUUAUCCGAUCAAUACACUAAGACAAGUGGAAAGCAAAAGAUUUUCCAUGGGUUUAAUACCUAGUACCAAAAUAAGGUGGUACUUCGGCUAUUGUGAUGGGAAUCUUUAUGAACGCAAAGUUUGGAAGGUAAUGUUUGUCCGAAUCAACAUUACCAGGGGGCUUCGAGCUUUGUGUUCUGCUUUAUUACUCAUUACUUCGAAGUUAACGUACUUCGGAAAAAUUGUCGGAUUAAAUCAUAUUCUACAAUUUUAAAGCAAAGGAUGGAAAGUCUCCCAAGCACUUAGUAACUUGGGUAAGAGCUAUUUAGACACAGGCAUAAAUGUCAUCCAAAACACCAUGCAUUCACAAGUAAAUUGCAACAAAAUAAGAUAUCCCAGAGUACCAUCACUAGGGAAAGGAUGUUCAAGUUAUAGAAAGGACAUGCCCUCAUCCUAGCAAAUAACAAAUUAACGCAAAACAUUGCCAACAACCUUUUUUGGCAACAACUUCCCUUUUGGCAGUAGUUAAAGGAUAUGCAAAAGUAUUGGCUGAUGGAUCACCACUGGAAGCAUAUCCUCUUAUUCGAAUGCCUCAAAGUCAGAAAUUUCACUCAGUAAAUCUUUAAGAGCAGCAAAAUCAGCAUCCCGGAUUUCUUUCAGAAUCUGGUAGUUGUCCCAACCUCCCAAAUGAUCUUGCUACGUGUAGCCAAAGAUAUACCCAAAGUUGUACCCCUCCGCAUAUUCUUUUGCGAGCACUUUCUUGUGAGAUGCACGCAGGCCCAUUAUUUCUGACUCAUGCUCAUCCUUGAGUUGUUGAAGAUCUGCAAGGUGAAUCAUCUCACGGAAAAGUCUUUCCACCUCUGAUUGGAGACUAGUCCACUCCCCUUCUUAAGCAUUCCGUUUCGAAGACAACGUUCGCAUUGAUUAGGCUUCAAGGCGCACCAAAGUUUGCUCCGCCUCAACUUUGGCUCCAACUUUUCCUGCAGUUCAGCAAGAGUUGCCUUGUAUUCAUUCGCUUUAACAUAUUCAAGAGUGGCUUCAUUUAAGAAUUUCUCUACCUCUACCUUAUGGGCUACUCUCAUAGUUUAUUGCUCUACUUGUACCCUCCUGAGCUCCGCCAAUUGAGCUUGCAAUUGUUGCUCGAGCUGCAUUUGGCCUCUAAUUCGUGCAAGAAAGACCGCUCAAGAAGAAAAAUUCACUUCGCUUGGUCGAAAAGAGUCGCCUUUGUUCAGACAUCAGCCUGACCAACACAAGUAAGGGAAAGGAAAAACAAAAUUACUAAAGUUAUUUUGUAAGAAAAGAAUGAAUGAUUACCUCAUAUCGACUUUCGUGACAUUGCAUCAUGGCAUCUUCAAAGGACGUGCGAGCUUCCUUGUAGUUUGCAGAAAAAAACUGCAGAGCCAAGAAGAGCUCAGGUAAAGUCUGCGUUUUGAAGUCUAUUAGUGUCCAUUAAGAAGGCAACGUGAUUUAUUGAAGGCUUAAUGACAAUCGAGGGCAGCACGCCCCCUUCAAUUCUGGUUAAAGUCGCCAGCAAGGGAAUGUUAGCUUCGAAAGGCACCUUGACAGGUUCGGGUAAACUCCUUGUCGCUGGAGGUGUCAGAACUGGGAUAUAAAAAGGUUUAAGGACUCGAACAUCAUUCAAAAGUGGAGGCAAGCUUGGAUUCAGGUGGUUGUUGUUGCGUUAGUUCUUGAGAUGGAAGGAAGAAAGGUUGAGAUUCUCUUAUGAGAGGAUGCGGAGCAGAAGUAUCUGGAGUUAUAUUUAUUGAAACAGUAUGACUUCUCUUUCUCCUCACAGUGGAAUUUCUUCCUUUUCUUUGGGAUUCUCUGGUACCACCUCUAUUUUUGGUAGUUCCCCUUCUUUGGGAUUCUCGGGUACCACCUCUAUUUUUGGUAGACGUAUUUGAAAAGGUGUAGCUAAUGACAUUGAGGAAGUUUUGCUGGACCAUUUUCACUUUUUUUUUGCUGGAGUGGGAGAAAUUUUGGGUUUAGGAUGAUGGGCCCCCUUAUAAACCUGUUUCACUUCGAUCCAAUUAGGAUUCAGAAUAGGGAAAAUAGAGCAAUGAUUGAUGACUAUAUUAUUCCCCUAAUCUCAAAAUCGAACUGGGGAAGUCAUCCAAUUCCAAUUAUGGUGCUUAAUAAGGAUUUGCAUUGCCUGAUUGAUCAACUCUGGUCAACACGCGCCAAUAUUCUUUAGGUCAUUGUUCAGACAAGGGUUGCGAGAAGUGAUGUUUUUAACUCUAACCCCUAAGAUGUCACCCUCUCAAUCACCAUCGACUACCCAGACAUCCUUGAACCAAUCUUUAUCUUGCCAAGGAAAAUCUAGGAUAUAUGGCGUUCAUAAUAGGCUGGGUUUUGGCAUGAAAUAGUAAAGGUCGUCAGAGGUUCUUCGCACGUUGUACAUCAUCCUGAAUUCUUGGAGCCCGAGAUCAGACCUUUACCAAUGAUUAGACAAAGCACGUGAUAAGUUUGAAGGCAGCUAGGGCCAAGUCACAUAUAGCAACGUCAUAACUGAUCAGAAUACCUUUUACAAGAUUAGACAAAGGGAAUCUUAGGCCUAGGGAUUAGACGAAGCAGGAAGAUCGACUUGAACAUUUUGCUCAGGUUCCCACCAAACCCUACAUUGGUUUAAUAGGUCUUGAUGGCUUUGAAUGAGGGCCUUGCCUUCUUCUUGACUACAUAAACUCAUCAAUGGAAGAUUGUACGGAAAGUUCUUUGAUGAUUUUGAAGUUUUGCUCGAAGAAACAGCCAUUAGAGAAGACUGAAAGGAUUUAAAAAUUUGAAUGUGUGGGUGAAAAAGUUGAAACCUUUUUCCUUGACUGAUUUGAGGAUUUUUUGAAAGAUGAAAGGAAAGAGCUUGAGGUUAUAUAGGUGGAAUGUUGCGAAGUAGUCCAGCCGUUAAAUGAAGUCCCACCUCUCUAGGGAUUAAUAAAUUCGACAAGUAUUUUUGACAUAAAUUUCUCCUUUUUCAUGCAUAUGCAACAAAGAUAAACUUCAUCAUUGGGACCUUUGGUGCGUUUGGUACGUGGGACGGGACGGGACGGAACGGGACGAGGCGUUCCGUCCCGCGUUUGGUGCGCCAAAAAUGGGUGGAACGGGUUGUUCCACAGGACAGAUUUUGGGUGUUUUUGCGUCCCACCUCCCCCCCUGGAACGGGUUUGUUCCACGUAUGUGGAACGCAAUGUUUUACCAUUUUAAGACAAAUAUACCCCAUGUCUUUUUCAAAAAUUACACCUUCAUUCCGUCCCGUUCCGUUUCGUCCCGUCCCGUUCCGUCCCGUCCCGUCCCGUCCCGUCCCGUUCCGUUCCGUCUGCGUACCAAACGCACCCUUAUGGCACAAUACUCGAGACAACACAUCUCAAUUUGGAAUGUCUCGUCGACUCUAUAAAAAGGGAUCACCUAAUGAAGAUUGAAGGCUAAACAAUCCGUAUUCCAGCUUACUUUGAAAGGCAUGGUCUUGGUCUUUGAAUAACUAUCCAUCCUCAAGGGGAACAAGUUCCUUUUAGAUACAUAUAGUUAGGGGCAAUUGGGGGACCAUGAUUUGCCAGAGCCGAAGUCGGGCUAAUCAAAAUAAAGUUACCUCAAAAGUUCGGUUAUGGUCUUAACAUGUCAAAGCGGAGCUAGAUUAACCGAGCUGUGGUGCCACCAACAUCCUGUUCCGGAGCAGUGUCCAAAGUCCAAACGAUUUCACUGAGAAUGACCAUACUUGUUCCGCAAGACACUGGGAUAUGAUCUGGUAUGGAAUCAACCAAAUCUUCUAUAUGUCUUGGAGUUCAUACAAUCUAGGAAUUGGUAUGCACCACAAGUAAUCACACUCCUAAAGAGGAUGCAAUAUCUACUUCUAGAUAUCCUCUAGGAUUCUCCCAGCUUGACACAAGGAUUCUAUCCUAAAAAUGUCUCUCUCAUGACUGGUAUAAAUAUACCCUUCUAGAGUUCGUUUCUAGCAACACAGUCGUCGCACUCUAAUUCUCUUGGCCACUGAUUGAGUCUUAUACUUGCUUACUAACUUGAUCGCCGAAAAGCCUUUGGCCGGCACACAUUCCCCCUGGGCAGUUUUAGGCUUGCUCACGAUUGUUUGUUAUUUUACAGGUUGCUCGGAUUUGUGCUUCACCAUAUGCGAUGGUGUGCGAAUUUGGUUCAAGCAACCGUGUUGACAAAAAAAGUCAACAUAGGUUCAAGAACUGGACCGAACCAUUCAGACCGUCCUGACAUAAUCGCUCCAAACUAAACCGAACUAAACCGUGACUAUAAAAAAUUUGUAAAAAUAAAAAUAACACAAUUGGCAACCUGAUUCUGACUACAACUCUAAAAUCAUCCUCCAGUGAUCGGUGUAUGUACUUUUGGAAAUUGAAUGCAUUGUUGUUAAGGCAGAUGAGUCUACAAAAUUUGUGAAAACAUAUUUUAGAUAUAAACUACUGAAAUGUGAGAAAUAAGAACCAAAUAACAGUGAAAUGAAUGAUAUAAGACUUAUAUUUCCGAACAACAAUGCAUUCGAUUUCCAAAAGUACAUUCAACGACCACUGGAUGAUGAUUUUAGAGUUGUAGUCGGAAUCAUCCUCCAUUGAUUUGAUAUAAAAACAUAUUUGAUGGGAUUUAGUAGCAAAUGUUGGAUUGUAGAAUCUAAAAACGGAUUGAGAGGCUAAAGUGUAAUUCGGAUAUUAGUACUACAGCCUAGUAGCGUACUUGUAAGUGAGAGAUCUUAGGUUUGUAUUUCAGGAAUAAGGAGUUCAUAGCGAAUUUAUUCCAUAUAUAAUUGUGCAUAUAAAAUAAUGUAAUUCGAAAAUUAAUUUAGUGACCAUGCUACAAUUAAUUAUAUCAUCAAUUUUGGAAUCCCUUUCUUGGCUUAUGUCAAAAUUCAAACAAAUUUAAACCUGUUGUAGGCCUAUUUAACUAAACUACACUAAGGUGUAGAGAGAGAGGGGGCUGGCAGUAGCAAGAGAGAGAGGAGAGAUUUAAUUGUGAGAUGUGUAUUGUAUCACCCCAUUGUGCCUUUAUUUAUAGUAGUAGGAUAGGUAAAAACUUUACCUUACUAGGAUUACAAUUUUUAUUAAGUAAUCAACUCCUAAUAGGAAUACAAGAGAUAUUCCUAGAUUCACUAGGAUUUACAAAAUCACAUUCUUAUUCUAAAUAUGACUGCAACACUCCCCCUUGAGUGUGUAAAUACUCAACAAGCCGUCGCAUCAGAUCUUCAGCAGAUAAGGUAGAAUAGUUGAUGAAGUCAGUGGCACAAUGGGUGAACGCAACUCUCAAAUUUAAGAAAGUAUCCAUUGGUAGUAAAACUCAUAAAACCUCGCUAUAGUAAAACUCAACAUGGGAGAAAAACUCAUAGACUAAGGAGAAAAGUGAGAAGUAUGCAUAAUGUCUAAAACAAACGUCACACAAGAUGAAAUUAGUGAACUCAACGGAGUAUGAUCAUCCCAGGAUAGGUGCCUCAUCAAAAUCUUGUUAGGUAGCAAUAACCCAGUAGGAAAAUGCUCUUAAUCAUAGGAAAAAGAGUUCAUUAAGGUCAAGUGAGUAUGCUUCUGGAUACUCCCCCUGAGUUAGACAUAACUUCUAAAUAAGAAAACUACAAGUGAUUCAACUCAGAUAAUUUAAGCAUAUCGAUUCCUUGGACGAGCUUCUGAAAAGUAGACUUAGGUAAUGACUUGGUGAAGAGAUCAGCCAGGUUGUCCUGGGAACGGAUUUGCUUGACUUUAAUGUUCUGAUGUUGCUGCUGCUAAUAAGAGUAGAAGAAUUUCGACACUAUGUGCUUGGUGUUGUCUCCCUUGAUGUAUCAAUUUUUAACUGCUCGAUACAUGUUGCAUUGUCUUCAAAGAUCAUCGUAGGAAGGUCAACGACGGAAGUAAAACCUCUAGAGCUUCGAAUAUGUUGCAUGGCUGCUCUCAACCAAAAGCACUCACACGAUGCUUCAUGCAGGGCGAGGAUCUCAGCAUGGUUCGAAGAAGUCGCAACUAGCGUUUGCUUGGUAGACCUCCAAGAUAUAGCGGUGUCUCCAACGGUAAAGACAUAAUUGGGAACGUGUCCUAUAUAGGUCAGACAGAUAUCCAGCAUCUGCAUAACCAACAAAGCAAGAAUCAAUCCAAGAACUGAUAGGGGCUGCAACACUCGAAGAUUCGGGGGUAUAAAACAAGCCCAAAUCCAUCGUACCCUUGAGGUAGCAAAAAAUGUCUUUAACAAUAUUCCAGUGCUUGCAUGUGUACGCAUUACCGUAUCUUGCCAAACGAUUAACAACAAAGGAAAUGUCAGGUCUAGUGCAUUAAGCCAAGUACAAUAUAGCCCCAAUUGCACUUAGGUAUUGAACUUCGAGUUCCAAAAUCUCUUCCUCAUCCUCCUUUGUAUGGAAGGGAUCUGGUUUAACAUCUAGAGUCCGAACGACCAUAGGUGUACUCGAAGGCUUUAUCCUAACAUCGCAACACCUUCUGGGUAUAGUUUGGUUGAUGUAUUAGGAUUCCAUCUGAACAAUGCUCGAUCUCCAGGCCGAGGCGAUAUCGAGUUUUCCAAAGAUCUUUCAUCUCAAAUUCCGAUUUCAAGUGUGUAGCAAUUUCUUCAAGCUCUGUGAGAGUUCCAAUGAGGUUCAUGUCAUCGAUAUAAACUGCAACGAUUGCAAAUCUAGAAUGUGGUUUCUUUAUGAACAUGCAUGGGCAUAAUUCGUUGUUCACAUAACCCUGACUUAUCAAAUAUUCACUCAGACAGUUAUACCACAUCCGCCCGGAUUGUUUUUGAAUCCUUAGAGUGACAUCCUCAUUCUAAUAGAGAAAGUGUUCCGUGGUUUAGAACUAUUUGAACCAGUCAAUGGAAGUCCUUCUAGAACUUUCAUGUAUAUUUCUGUAUCUAAAUCCCCAUAGGAUACGCGGUUACCACGUUCAUAAGCUGCAUAUUCAGCUUUUCAGAAACUACCAAACUGAUAAGGUAGCGGAACAUUAUGACGUCUAUUACGGGGGAAUACGCCUCCUUGUAAUCAAUCCUAGGGCAUUGAGAGAAGCUUUGCUCUACGAGGCAUGCUUUGUAUCGCACUAUUUCAUUCUGCUCAUUACGCUUCCUCACGAAAACCCACUUGUAGCCAACGAGCUUCACAUGUGGAGGAGUAGGAGCUACGAGCCCAAACACCUUAUGUUUUGCAAGUGAAUCAAGUUUGACCUAGAUUGCUUGUUUCCAGUUUGACAAAUUUGUUCUACAUCGGCAUUCAUCAACAGAACGUGGUUGCAUGUCAUCACUAAGCAUGAUGUCAGUAGCUACUAAGUACGCGAAUGCAUCGUCGAUGAUCAUCUCAUUCUUAUUCCAAACCUCAUCCAAUACUGCGUGGUGGACCAAAAUCUCACGAUUCUCAAGAAACCAGUUUAUCUCAUCUAAGACAUCACCGUAAUCUAGAAUAACCUUCAUGCGUUGGAACGGAUGAGUGAGUGAUGGUCAGAUUCAAACUGGGGUCACUAGUUGGUGCUGAUUUCCUCUUUCGGGUUUGUGAAUCCUUUGAACCAAGGGGUCUACCACGCUUCAGGAUUGGAGCAUAUGAUUGGCUAGCUGCCAAUGUACUAGGCCACGUGGAAGGUACAGCCUCCCCACCAUCGGGGACGGUCCGGCCUUCCCAGGCAGGAUAGUGACGUAUAUGGGAUACGUAUAUCCUUGCAGGUGCGUUUGCAGCGGGUAUAUGUGAUAUUGUCACCUUUGCUAGAUUGGUAAAAGCAUCUAGUAUGCUCUAAGCAAUGCUCUGAAGAUCUAUAAUUUGGCGCACCUCAGUUUCAAACUGAGCAGUGCGGGGUUCUAAAUAAGACAUAGUGGGAGCAUACCAUGACAAUUCGUGGCAUUCUCCAGGAACAUUAGCAUGUUUAUCUCCUCCUAACGACAGGAAAACUGUCUCAUCAAAGUGACAAUUUGCAAAAUGUGCAGUAAAGAGUUCUUCUGUUAAGGGUUCUAAAUAGUGAACAAUUGAUGGCGAAUCAUAAUCGACAUAGAUUCUCAUUUUUCUCUGAGGACCCAUUUUGGUACGUAGUGGCGGCGUUAUUGGCACAUAAAUAGCGCACCCAAACACCCGUAAAUGAGAGACGUCAGGCUCGUAUCCAAUGACCAACUGUAAUGGUGAAUGUGGUUGGGUAGCGGUGGGCCUCAGGCGGACCAACAUAGCUGCGUGCAAUAUUGCAUAGCCCUUGGCAGAUACCGAUAGUUUGAUUCACAUAACCAAAGUCUGAACUAUUAACUGAAGGUGCUUUAUGAAAGCAUUUGCCAGGUCGUUUUGGGUGUGAACAUAGGGUACAUGAUGUUCCACAUCAAUCCCUACUAACAUGCAAUAAUCGUCAAAAGUUUGUGAUGUAAACUUUCCAGCAUUAUCCAGUCGAAUCGACUUAAUCAGAUAAUUAGGAUGGUAAGUGUGAAAUCCCGUUCCUGGAUUUCACUGUUAUCACCUACAUAUUUGUAUUAUUGAGAUUUUAUAUUAUUUCUCGAUAAUUUAUUUUAAUUUGUUGAAUUUAAAUUUUAAUUAAAUUAGUUAUUAACGUUUGAAGUUUGGGGCAUUUUAAAAAUAAAUAGAAAAAUCUAGAAUUCUCUUAUCAAAUAUGGUGUGCCACAUGGGUGGCCCAGAUUUAAUGAAAAGGAAAAUGGAUGGUGGAGAUGCAAAGGAAAGGACUUGAGAGAGGAGUGGAGAGCAUGGGCACUGCCCAAUUAGAAAUUAAGAAAAGAGGGAAAUGAGAGAAGAAAAAAAUGAGGGAAGAAAAGGAAGAAACGGGUUUGUACGACCCGUGGGUAUUGCCGGCCACCCAUCUCCAUUUUCCGACGAAUUUCUUCAAACAACCACUUGGAAACACUCUCUUGACCUUCCCUCUACAUGUUUCACCCUAAAAAUCAAAGGUUUUGGACUUGAAUUAGGGAGAAACCGCAUUAAGGGUGCGGCGGGUGUGUGUGUCAAAUCUCCCAAAUCCCAAAUGUUUACACACAAUGACCAAUCAAAAGACUUCCCUUAAGCCCCUGAACAAAGCCCAGGCAGUGGUGGAGGCGUCGGAGCAAGUUUGGAGGUCGAAUUGGAGCACACCCAAUUCUAGGGUUCUUACGGGUUUUAGAGAAAUUGGAGCACUUCUUGAUAAAAUUGGCCUUGGUCACAGGUAUAAAUUUUACUCUACUCAUUGAGAUCUUCAUUUCUGUAAUUUUUGGUAAUUUUUAAAAAUAGUUGAAUUUUCCGGCAAAUCGGGGCGGCCGACCGCCACCCGCGGCGGCGACCCGGCCAGCAGGCCGACGAUGUCCUUUUAAGUUCAAUUAGAUGCCUUGAUUUCAUAACUGACAUCCUUAUGAUAUAGUUUGAUUGUUUGAACCUAAUUUCAUUACGAUAUGUGGUUAGGUCAAAAUGUGAUUCGACGAUCCGACCGUUGGAUCGUCAGCAAACUUUAAUGCGUCAUAGAAUGUAAUAUUUGAGGAUGGUUUGAAUUGAUGGAUUGGGAAUCCGAUGUACUGAUCUUCCUAAUUUGGAUUUCUAAGUUUGUAAAAUCAAACGUUGGUCGCCACUUGAAAUUGUAAUUAGCGGGGAUCCGACCGUCGGAUCAUGAUAAAAUUUUGGUAGGUUGUUUUAGAAGUAUAAUGUGGACUUUAGAAGGUUACGGAUCUGAAAUCCAAUGUGCGGAUCUUCCAUAUUGAAUUGUGUAGAAUUGUGGAUCCUACCUUUGACCGAGAGUUGACUUUUUGUCAACAUGUCUCCAAACGUUCUUAAUGCUAAAUUUAGUACUACGAGAGACUUAAGUGAAGUCUAGUGGACCUCCAUUGGUCGGAGAGUGACUUGAAUAUUUGUGAUACGGUUAUUACUUUAAUCAUUUAUGUUAAAAUCAUUUAUGAAUAUGAAUUCGUCUUAUAAAUAUGAUUUCUAUUGAAAUGUGAUUUUCAUAUAUUUAGCCAUAGACUUAUGUUUAUUAAACAUGAUGUGGCUUGUGUACUGAUGAUAAUGGUGAAUAUGUGUGUUUAAUUAUUUCUAGUAAUGCAAAGGAUAAGUAUGAUAGAUUUUAUGGCAAUGUGAUCUUAGAAUCCUAUUAGAAGUAUUUUGUAGAACUUAUAUGCUUGUGAGACCUAUUAGGUGGUGGUCAUGAGAAGUGGAUAUGGUAGGUGACUACGUUGUAAGUAUAGAGGGGAUGAGGGUUAGAUAUACUUGGUACAUUCAGUGGGUACCAUAUCCACAUGGAUUCCGUUGAGUGAUGUUCCGGAAUCAUAUCGUUGUUUGGAUUCUGUUGAUGAUGUUCCGGAAUCGUAUCGUUGUUUGGAUUCCGUUGAGUGAUGUUUCAAAAUCGCAUCGUUGGUUGGAUUUCGUUGAGUGAUGUUCCGGAAUCGUAUAGUUGUUUGGAUUUCGUUGAGUGAUGUUCCGGAAUCUUUGGAUUCCGUUGAGUGAUGUUCCGAAAUCGCAUCGUUGGUUGGAUUCCGUUGAGUGAUGUUCCGGAAUCGUAUCGUUGGUUGGAUUCCUUUGAGUGAUGUUCCGGAAUCGUAACUUUAAUAUGUGUGAUAUUGGUGAUUACCUAUGUUUCAUAAUUAUGACCCUCUGCAGAUAUAAAUUGGUUUUAUGAAUAUGUUUUCUAUUGAAUUGUCAUUUCCAAUACUUAGACAUCGAUUCAUGUUAUGAAAUGGGGUUUGGCGUGUAUAUUUGAAUUAUGGUUUGAUUUGUAUGAUUGGCAUGUUGUGACGAAAUGUGAGGACUAGUAAUGGACUGUUAACCAUUGUGAUGGAGAUUGGUUGCUUCGAUAUUGUUUGAUUUUCCGCUUUGUUGAUCAGUUCUAAAUUUGGUACUUGUGCUUAAUUUCCCUUUGUUGAGCUUUUGUAAAUUAAGUAACUUGUGUUUGUCUCAGUUAUUUGAGACGUCGUACAUUAUGGUUGUUAGCCUUUCGUGAUUCCGUUGAGUGAUGAUCCGGGAUCGUAUUCACCUUGGGUUUUAUUGAGUUUAGAUUGUCAUAACUUCAUAGAUGUAGGCUUCAGUCGAACUGUGUCGCUCUAGCUCAGCAUUCCGAUGAAUUGUAUGUGUUAUUGAUGAUAUGGUUAUUGGCAUUAUUGAUUGAUGUGAUAAUUGGAUGGUGUUGGAAUGCAUAUGUGAGGGUGAAUGACAUUAUGACUAGAGAUUAUUAUUGUGCUUAUUUAAAUGUUCCUUGAGGUGCCACAUAAUUGAAUUGUGGUAUUAUGUUGAGACCUAGUAGUCUAUGUGAUAAAUGUUCGAGAGUAAUGAAAUGGUGAACUACGAAUGGCUUGAUCCCUAUUGAGGGUACGUAGGCAGUCUAAUGAGAAUGUUAGAUGCAGCCAUAAAGCUAGAAAAGAAAAAAAAUUAUUGUGAAAUUUGGACCUUGAGUGGCCUUCUUUCAUAUCCUGGAGGCAGGGUAUGUUAGAAGUUCGAGUUUUCAGUAACAUCACGUGUCGAUCCUGGGCGUAGGUCAGGAUCGGGGCGUGACAGUAAGCCCUUACCUUAAUAAUUUGUGCUAGGUGUUUAGCAAAUGCAGCAUUGCGUGUGGACAAUAGGCAAACAUGUGACCAUCGUGUCGAUGCAUCAACCAACACCAUAAAAUAUCGAAAUGGUCCGCAUGUUGGUUGGAUAGGUCCACAAAUAUCCCCUUGAAUCAUCUGAAGAAACUUAGGAGGGGGUCAUGAAGAAACAUAAGGAGGUAACUGAUGCCCAUGUGAUGAUUUGAGGAUACAACGCAUCAUGUCAUGUCCAGGAUGUACUAAACUAUCAUGCCAAAGUAGCAAAAUGUUCUGGAACUCAGGCAUAGGGUCGGCCAUAUGAUGAGCUUCUAUGCCACGAAUGGUUGUGAUGUACAACCCAUUCGGGAGACGUUCCAACUUCUCAUGAAUACGUUUUUGGGCCAUAUUCGUAAGAAGUGAUACAAAGAAAUUCAGAAUCAUUAUCUUCAGUGGUUUCAAUAUGAUAUUGAUUAUCUCAAAUAUCUCUAAAGCUUAGCAACGUUCUUCCGAAACAUGGAGAAUAAAGUGCCUCCUUAAUGGUUAAGAUUGUACCAUUGGACAACAUGAUACAGGCUUUUCUGUAUCCUUCAAUCAGGUUGGAUGGGCCUGAUAGAGUUGUCAUCAGAGCAUUCUUGGGUAUUAAGUUAGUAAAUAAUGUCACUCACGCAAGAUGGUGUGCAUGUUAGCAUUAUCAGCCAGACAAUUAACUUCCCCACUAGACAUACCUAGAAAGAAUUUAAUUGAAUUGGUCACAUGUAUAAAUGUAAGUCCAUUCAUUAAAAUAAGCAAUUCGAGAAAAUAAUAUCCAUCAAAUAACAAUCCAUAAUUCAAAACAAACCAAAACCAAACAAAUUAUUCCAAAUACUUAGAAAAAUUGUUCAAAAUUAAACCAUGAACCUAGAAAAAUAGGGGGGAGGGUUCGGCCACUCCUAGUGAGUUUGGCCACUAGGGGUAAAACACCCUAAAACAUGUCUAAAAUUCAUUCUUCCAUCGGAGCUGAUGCCUCCUGAAAAUCCAAUAUCUCCAUUGAUGUAAUAGUAUCUUCCGAAUGUUCCACAUAUGCAAAGUUAGACUCACGACGGGAAUGAUACUUGGCAAUAGCCUUGGGGGUAGCUCGGCAUACGCAUGACCAAUGAUCCUUUGGUCCACAGCGGUAGCACAUGUCCAUUUCAGUGGAAGCAGACUGAACGGGAGCUUUGCCCUUGUUCUUGAAGUUUGGGGCCUUAGGGGCAACAGGUGGAUGCUGCUAGGUCGGAUUUCCUCCCUUAGGGCCGACACUCUAUUGACUUUAGGCCCGUUGUUGGGCUUACCGCCUAUUAUCAUAGCCACGACAAUUCUUUCGUCGUUUGUGGCUGCUAGAAUUUCUCGUAUGUACUUCAAGCGAGGUGUUUAAGCUAGUCGGUCAGGCUUGAUGAUUCUUCAUCAAAAGUUGGUUCUACUUUCAACAAGAAGUAGUACAGAGAUCAAAUCCAAAAAUUUGGUGAAUUUAUGUGCCCUAUAUUGUUACUGCAGGACAAUAUUGGUUGCAUGGAAGGUCGAAUAGGUCUUCUCUAUAAGAGAUCUGAUUCGAUUAGUUCCACUUUACAGAACUUUAGAAGUGAUCGGAUUCUACAAACUUCAUAGUUGUUUCAUUCAUGGACUUAAAGUCUUGGAAGCAAAGAUGUCGCCAAACGUGUCUUGCUUCAGGCAAGUAGAGGUCUUUCUAGUGAUCAAAACGGUUGGCCAGAACAAGCUAGAAGGUGUGUGGGUCCUCCUUAAUGAGGUACUCGGUCUACAGUGCAUCAUGGAUGUGUCUUCGAAUGAAGAUCAUUGCAGUAGCUUUUUCAUCUUUGUCGAUGGGUUCAUCAUCAAUUGGUUCCUCGAUAGCGGCUCGAAAACUCUUUGCAGUUAGAUGGAGCUUCACAUCUUGAACCCACCUCAGGUAGUUUCUUCCAGAUACUUCCAGAGCGGUGAAAUCAAGCUUUUUUAAGUUCGACAUGUCCCUAAAACAAAGGGUACAGAAAAAACGUGAUUAGUCAUAUGGUGAUCCAUAGACAUAUAUCGUAGAACAUUCAGGUUCUAUAGACAUGUAUUGGUUUAAUUUAUGCAUGAAAGUUAUAGGUUUCAUGUGGUAAGUUUUGAAUGAAAACUUCAGGUUUCAAAGGCACUAAAUAUGAAACUACAGGUUCAAUUUAGUUUUAUGAACGAUUAGUUCAUGAGUGAAAGGUUUCUGCAAGAAACACAGAAUGCAAUAUGUUGAUUUAAGUAUAGUGGAUUUGAGUUUCUUCGGGAACUCAAGUGUGAGAGCUUCGUUACUACGAAAGUAUGCCAACGGUUCAAAGUAUAAAAAUAAAUUAUUAAAUUGUUAAUGUCCAAAAGUGAUCUUUAGGUCAAUAAUUUUGGAUUCAUUAUCAUAUUAAUGGACUGCAUGUCACUUUUAAUUAAUGCAAUAGAUCGGGACUAAACGGGGUCGAUCGUGGACGCAAAAUUAUUUGGGAAAAUGCCUUGCAGGUUCGGCUGCAAGCAUGUUGGGCCUCGAUGAGGCCAACAAGCCUCAGGCUGAAAGGCUUUGGGGAGCCCAAUAGCCAAGGCUGUUGGCUUUAGGUCGAAAAACAUAGCCCAAAAAUUUGGGCUUGGGUUGGCUGCAGAAGGGCAACCCACUGGUGGCUGUAGGCCACGAGCCGAGAGGGGACACAGGUGCAGGCCUAGCGGAUUGCUGGCCUUGGGUUCAAGUAGGGAACCCAGUCGAGGCUGGGUCCGGGUAGGGGCAAGCUUCAACCCAGUGCACAAGGCUGCGGGAAGCGGGGCAGGGCUCAGGACAAAGCCUAGCAGCCUUUUGCUGCUUGCAGUUUUGGGCUGAGAAUAGAGGGAAAAAUCCAGGGAAGGCUACAAGCUUCCGUUUGGAGGUAGGUUAGGCAUAAGGCCCGAGUUAAGCUAGCCAGGCUGAGGCCUGGUGUGUCCAUGUGCUCGCAACAAAGCCUAGAGGGCUGCUGCCAAGGUCCAAACGUCAAAACGACGUCAUCCUGGUGGCGUGCUCCACACGGCUGAGCUUCAGGUCAAUGGUGGUAGUGUGGCGGAGCCACGGUGGUAGUGUGGCGGCUGUGCCGCAUGUUCCCAAUAUAUAUUUUUUUACAUCCAUAAGGUUUGAAAAACCCUAUAUUGCUUCUAAUUUAUUUAUAUAUUUUGACUCACAAUUCCACAUUGCAAUUUAAUUGGUUAAUGCAUGAAACAUAUAUAUAUGUAUAUUGAAAAAAAUAUGAAACAUAUACAAUAUAUAUAUAUAUAUAUAUAUAUAUAUCGGAAGGAAAAUAUAACCAUAGAGGGGUUCAUACAUCAUGGGGAGUGUUUUCAUGCAUCGUGGACGUUUCAAAUAUCUUCCUUUAUUUUAAGCAUACCUGAUUUGCAGAAAACUAAUAAGAGCCUUUGAAUUUUGUGGAAGAUAGCCUUCUCCUACAAUCCGUCAGUUCCUCAGCUUCUGGCAAGAGCUUGUUGAUAACGUGUUGUAGGUCUAUUUAACUGAACUAUACUAAGGGGUAGAGAGAGAGGGGCUGGCGGUAGCGAGAGAAAGAUGAGAGAUUUAAUUGUGAGGUGUGUGUUGUAUCACCUCAUUGUGGCUUUAUUUAUAGUAGUAGGAUAGGUAAAAACCUUACCCUAUUAAGAUUACAACUCUUAAUAAGUAAUCAACUCCUAAUAAGAAUACAAGAAAUAUUCCUAGAUUCACUAGGAUUUACACAAUCACAUUCCUAGCUAUUCUAAAUAUGACUAUAAACACGGAAAUUCCUGAGAUGAAUGAGACAAGAACACGUGUAUAAAAUAAUAUUUUUGUAUUAAUGAUUUUGGGGUUACAAUCUCUCAGAUUUAAUCCUCUGAUUCGAUCUCUAUAAGGUGUUGAUUUGUGGAUGGGCUGCUGAUCCAAAGGGUCAUCGGGGCUUGAUCUUUAGGAUGAGCAGUGGUGUAUGGAUCUUCAAGGGCUUUUGUGCUUGAUCUUGAAGAACAGUGGUUGAAUUUAUUAAUGUUGUUGAUCCAAAGGGCCGUCAAGGGCUUGAUCUUAGGAUGAACGGUGAUGAACGAUGAACACUUUCUUCAAGGGCAGUCGGGGUUGGAUCUUAAAUUGGUGGAAGUUCUUCAAGGGUCAUUGGGGCUUGAUCUUGAAGGAGGAUUUGACGAAGAAUGGAGAGAGCUUUCUUGAUCCUUCGGGAUUUGCUUGGAAGAUUUGGAGUUUCAAAGCUUCAAGGUUUUGGUGUGAUGUGAAUUGGUUAUGAAUUGGUCUCUAAAAUGAAUGCCUUGGCUUCCUAUUUAUAGAAUUCCAAAACUUUAAUUUUUGGAUUUAAAUGAUCAUUUGAAAUAAAUCAUUUCUGCCAAAUGUUGACACAUGUCAUGUUUGAUGACUUUUCUGAUGAUUCUUGAUUUUUCGUUAAGUCACAUGCUAUGUGUAAAAUUUAUGUGACACGUGAACGUUGAAAUUUUAAUUAUUGAUCAACAUUUAUUUCACCGAAAUUUCGAUGUUUACGAUGACUACAGCAAAACCCUCAUUUUUUCAGAUUUUGGAAAGAAUGGCGUCAUUGAAUUCAAUAUCGUGAUAUGGGAGAUUGAGUAAGCUAAAUUUGGAGUAUUUUAAUGUCACACUAAAUAUGGCACCGACAAUAGACGUAAGCCAAAGUCAUAGGUUUAAUGCAGACAAAAGUGAAUACUAAAUACUAUAUACUGGAUACUGAAUGGAGGGUGGCUUUAAAGCUUUCGGCGUACCAAAUUAUGAUACUAAUUGACUUGAUUCCUUCACAUGGUAUAUAGGCAAUCUAGCUCGAAUGUUGGAUGUAACCAUAAGAUUGAAUAAAUUAAUAUUUUAUCAUGUUCCGAAGUUCAGCACAUGACAUUAUUGUGAGGUCUAGGUAUAGUCCUUAGAGUGAUAAAAACAAGGCUCCUCCAAGGAGGGCUAGUUGGAGGUGUGAAUUGACAUUUACUUCACACUCAUAGGAAAUCAGUCCAAGAACGAAAGCUUUCUUUCCAGUUGCUAUCCAAAAUUUUGGAAUUAUAUGUGUUGUCCAAAGGAUUAUUCUUCUUUUAUUAAAUUUCUAAGGAAAAUGAGCAAGAGGCGUAAAAGUUGAACGAAUGAAAUUUCAACAAUCUGGAAAGGGAUUGUGAGUUUGCCACACCAUUUUUCUUUCUUUUAUGCCUUCAUGUUUAUUAGAAGACAAAAAUAAAUGACUUUACAUUGGAGAAAAAAAAAAGUAUUUUCCUUUGAAAAAAAAAUCAACUAUUUAUUUAAGAGGAUGUGAAUGAUUGAUGCAUAAUGUGAAUACAAAGAACGACCUUAGAGGGAGACGAGACAUUUAUUAGAAGCCAAAAAAAAAAAAGUUACAAUGAUAUAGUAAAAAGGCAAGAAAACCUCGUUUUCUAAGUGGCAGUCAUUGACACACUACUUGAUUAGAAGAAAAGUCAUAGUAUUUUAUUUACUUUUGUUGGAAUGUAUAUUAAUAAUUAUAAUAUUUAAUUCAAAAUAUUGAAUGAAAAACACAUAACCGUUUGAAAGGGAUCAAGGCAUUCCUUGGUAAAACGGUAUCAUCUAAUAGAUGAAUGUUUGUAUCUCUUAAUCAACCAAUAUCUUAGGUUUUAUAUAAACUCAUGUUAGUAUAGCCGUGAAAGAUAUAGAAAAUUAGAGUUAAUUUUUAUUCUUGAGAAAUAGGGUUUCCCCGCUUUGUUUCUCUCAUGCUUCGUAUGUCAAAUUCCAAGUCGUGUCUUGAGAGUACGGAAUAUAUAAAGUUCGCCAGAGUCCGAAGAUUGAAGUGUUUUGACUUCGAAUUAUAAAUUGUUGAAUCCUGGGAGAUGGACGCCUACCAAACUACAAGCACAAGAGUAAGGGCGAAAUUCUAUCUUUAGGACAUUGCAUUUAUGCAAGCCUCAAUCUCCAAAUUUAUCAGUUUUUCUAACUUUAUCUUUAGUUGUUUAUAUUAAUCUUGUAAACUAUUGAUGUUGUUAUUUACUUUAUGAUUAUUAUCAUUGGAAUUCUUGUGUUGUUAUCAUAUUUUCUAAUAUUGCCUCAACAAUCUAAAGAUAGAAGUUUUAUCCCUAUGGAACAAUCAGAAAAAUAUGAAUGUUCGCAGUUCUCAUAUUGAGAGUUUAAAGCUGUGGCUUUAAAAGUGUUGGACAACAUAAGGUGUCGUAUUUGAUGUGAAGCCAAGAAUUGAAUGUUUCUUGACAUUAUACUGUGAGUUUACUCUCGUUAGUUUCUGAUUUAGGUGAGAAAUAAAUAUAUGUUUAUGUGGACUGUAUGCAAUAGGGUAAAUCUAGGUUUGUAUCUCAUAAUUGAAAAGGAUUCGAUACAGAUAUGUCUCAGAAAAUGCAUUCAAUUUGUAUGGGCAUUGCCACAUUCAAUAAAAAGUCAUAUUGGUUGACUGCAAGGGUCAGAUGGUUUGUGGUCAGACCAAUGGAUAUUUGGGCAUCCCCGAUGACUUUUCUCAACAGAUGCCUUGCUUGAUCAGUUUGGUUGGCGAUUGCCGAGCAAAAUGUCUGCAUCAUAAACUUUCAAUUCAUUCCCACAAGGACUAGAUAUGCAUGAUACAAAUGAUCGAAGAUUUUGAUUUUCGCAUGGGUUUCAUUAAUGUCAGAUUUGAAGAUAAUUUGAUGAAACCAAAAUUUUCCUUCAAGACUGAUCAAAAGGAUUUGGAAUGUUUCGAAUGCAUAUACACAUGGCUAUUAGAAGAUAUGUAUAUAAUGAAUGAUAUGAUGCCAAUCCAAUUCUAGGUUGGAACUUGAGCAUGAUGGGAAUAUUUAGAAGAUUAUACUUCUAAAAUCUUUUUAAAGGGAAAAAUUAUGACGGAUCUUGGGUGAAUGACCAAACUGCCUAUUUCAGAUAGGUGCAUACCAAAUGUUUAUUGGUUAAUAAAGAAAUACAAUAGUAAUAUGCAUAUAUUUAUCAGAUUUAUGUGUGUAUUCAUAAAAUCCAUGCCUGCAUUACCAGGUAUAUAGAAAUGCAUUUAUUAUCGUUUGUCAUAUCAUUAUUGCAGAUUUGUAUUUCUCCAUUGUAUAUCAAGUGUUGUACUAUGGAGAAUUAUGAGUACUUUCUCGAAAGAGGAGUAAUGUAAUGGGAACCAUGUUCUUCAUGGUAAGACGAUGAAAUUUGACUUUGAGUAGUGACAAUCAGUCGUGAUGUUGAGACGAUCAGUCGUGAUGUUGUCCUUAGUUAAAUUGUAAAGCAUGAAGUCAUUUUGUUUGAGUUAUUCGUCUUGAAGAUGACGCUUCAGUUGUGGGGGCCAAAGUCUGCUUUGAAAGGUUUAAGCACUCUAAGGUGAGGCUUACUGUGGAAACUGUGUACAUGCUACAGACAAACCCCUAACAAUUGAAGAUAGACUUAAAAAUGACUUGUGUGUUCUUCAUGCCACAAUGCGAUUGUUCUUUCUUCGGGAUAGAGAAGAUAGCCCUCCUUAUGUCCGUAUGUGGCUAUGAACUUUGGUUUGUGACAAAGAGAACCAUUGAUUUCAAGGUCAUUGAAAUGAAAUGGGCAUGACAAUAUCCAUAGGUGAGAUCAAAGGCCAAAGAUAUAAUUGGAAAGCCUAACCAUAUUGUCUAUAAAGCAGAUUUAUGCCGUGUUUACAAACCACAUGUACAUGGUUUUUGUUUGCUCCCUAAGUCCGCCAUGGUGCCUUGCGGGCAAGCCAGGGAUUUACUUCACAUACGAGAUUGGUGGGUGCGGGCGUGCCACUACUAGAUGCCGCUAGUAGACGGGAUUUGAAUGAUUGAGGUUGCGCCUUUGGACUUCAAAUCAAGAGAUUGUGCCAUUUGAGUGGGAAUUGCUCAAAUUAAGGUUCUUUGUUUGCCUUGAAAAUAAGGACUUUACUUAUAUGGAGAGAUAGAACAAUAUGUAAAUGAUAAGGUUGCUUGGAAAUAUAAAUGACAGAGGAAAAUGACUAAUAUUGCAGAUUGCUUGUGACUGGAAAUGAGUACAUAAAAGCUACAAAUGAGAUCGAUACCGCAAAUGAGCAGCAGAGCUAAUAAACUUAAAUAAAAGAAGGCUUUUGGCAAAUCUGGUUUGAGCAGAGUUUGUGCUUUUGUUUGUUUGUUUGAGUGUCCAUAAUCCUUCUCCAUCUACUUCUUUAUAUAAGGAUCUGGAAGAGCCCCCUUAUUGAGAUCUUUGUACUUGCCCGAAAGAAGCUUGGGCAGCUUGCAUUUCCUUACUUGGGUAGCUUGCAUUGCUUUUGCCAACUUGCAUGUAGAAACAAUAUUAAAAGGGGAACUUGCAUCUCCACCAUAUGUUUUAGCACAUGUUUUCCUACUUGUAAUAAACUAACAUUUAAAAGAAGCAAGUUGGCUUCUUUCACAUAUUUUUUGCAUCCACAUCCGUAAGUUGCCUUCCAACCCUUUUGCAAGGAUGCAUGCAUCUUGAUUAAACAAAGCUUGACAAAUCUCCACCACCAAAACAAAUUGGAAGAACAAUAUUAUAGUGUCAAACCCCUCCACUUGCCUCUAAAUAUCUUUCCAAAUUAGCUUUCUUGCAUAUUAAUCCUCUAAAUGCCAUAUUUUACCCAAAUUACCCAAAUAAGUAAAAAUGGGUAUAUUUUGAGUGCAAACAGUUUUAUUACAUUCGGGCAAAAGAUUUGGUGAAAGAAAAUAACCAACCAAGUCAUUUGGGAUAAUGGGAUUUCACGAGGAUGAUGGAGGAAGAUUUAGUCUUCUUUAUAUCUUGUUCAACUAUUAAUAAUUAAAUGUGACAAAAAAAAAAGAGUUUUGCUCAUAAGCCAAGUUAGUCAUGGAUAAAACCAAAGGACAUUCCUUUGAGAGAAAUUAUACACUGAAAAUGUGGGGGUCUUUUGGAAAGAAAAGAUGAUACAUUGAAAAUGUGUGGAGCAUCUUGCAAAAUUAAAUUAGACAUGAUGAUGCUUAUUAAGUAAGCAUAUGAAUAGUCAUGCAUGGUAGUCAUAAUAUGGAAAGGAUGAAAGUCAAGAAGUGCUUUUCCCAUAAUAGCUAGUGAGGCAUGAAGGCCUAGGAAGAUAAAUACAUAAGGUCUUAUCUUUAGUUGUUUCCUACUUUUUAAAGAACAAAACAUGAUCGAUUUAACAAUAACGUUAGAAAUUAACCACAAUUAUCGAAGAAUUGUGGGGGUAGCUUAACUAUUUUUGAGAUAUGAGAUUUACUUACAAAGAAUGGAAACAUAAUUUGCUAAUCAAAUGAGACAAUCAAGAUGUCAUCUCUUGUAAUGAGUAAUUGUUUAAGGUAUGGCAAGGUUAUAGACCUUCUAUAGAUACCUUAAAUGUGGGGGAAGUCUACUUCGGUAUGGCAAGGUUAUAGACCUUCUAUAGACACCUUAAAUGUGGGGGAAGUCUACUUCCUAGUGUUAGCAAAUUAUUACAUAAGUCCUAACAUAUGUUUCGAGGACUUAACAUUGGAAAACAACUAUUCUCGUAUGAAAAAUAAUUUCAUAAUAUGGAAGUGCACACCAUAAGAGUAGUCAACCUUAGUGGUACCAAUUAGUAAAUGUUUGACUAGGGAGUAAGUUAAUCAUCGAGGGGAAUGAGGCUGAAGCCAACAUAACUAAUGAAUCAGUCGGGCGAAAACCUAACUUAGUUGAUUGGGGAUCCCAUGGUCUAAGUUCAAUAGGCAAACUAGUUGGGCAUGAUUCAAAGAAGUUAACAUACUAUAUACCUCAUUCCUAUGAUGGAAGAAGUGUGUUGUCUGCAGAAGUUUUAGGGUGUAUAUUUAUACUUAAUGACAGUGAUAUCUUAUAAAUAAGAGGAAUAGAGCAGACUAUUUUUUAUCAGUGGUUACCUAUGUGAGAAUAGAAGUGGGUCGCUUCUGUGAGAAUGAGAUGGCUAAAUUCUCUAAAGCUCUCAUGAAUCCGAGAUUUGUUCAUGACCAAAAUAAACACAACCGUAUGAACCAGAAUAUAUUAGGAUUAGGGAUGUAUGUUGCUUAUUGUCUCGGUUUACUGCUGCGGUGAACAGUUCAAGAUUCCAUAUCCACUGCGUCACCAAGUAAAUCCGAUAAGUAUUCACUAGGGUAGGUUCAAGUCCAAAAGACACCUCUCCUGAUGCAUAUCUUGUCCGCCUGUACUCUCAAAUUCUUCCUAAUUUUUCAUUCAUGUAGGGGAUUGUUGGAAUUUAUAUAUUAUAAUAUUAAUAAUUAUAAUAUUUAAUUCAAAAUAUUGAAUGAAAACCCCAUAACCGUUUAAAAGGGAUCAAGGCAUUCCUUGGUAAAACGGUAUCAUCUAAUAGAUGAAUGUUUGUAUCUCUUAAUCAACCAGUAUCUUAGGUUUUAUAUAAACUCACGUUAGUAUAGCCGUGAAAGAUAGAAAAUUAGAGUUAAUUUUUACUCUUGAGAAAUAGUGUUUCCCCACUUUGUUUAUCUCAUGCUUCGUGUGUCAAAUUCCGAGUCGUGUUUUGAGAGUACGGAAAAGACAAUUUCUAUGGGGAAAAAGUUGAAAUAGGGGAUGAAGAUUCCCGAUUUUAAUUUCGUUAAAUAGGUGUAAUUUCACAAUUCCAACUACAACAAGAAUCACAAAUUCAUAUGCGGAAAAAUCUUGCGAGCACCAAACUUUACUAUUAGGGCGCCAAAUUUCAUGAUAAAACCUGAUAAGGGGUUUAGGGCUGCAUCUUUCACUCUAUUAACUCUCCAAUCUUCGAAGGGAUUUUCGGCUCUUGCAUCAUCUCUUGCUUUUGUUCUAGGUCAGCGUCUCUACUCUCUUCUUUCUUGAAUUAUUUUAGCUUUUCGGGUAUACUCUUUAUGCCAAUUGUGAAUUUUGCUAGUUAUUUUUAUUUUAUGAUAGUCAUAUGUUUGCUGUGCUUUUUUUCUUCCGAUUGAAUUGUGUAUUGGUUGGAUCUGUAACACAAUUUUUCAGUUUUUUUUAUGGACUUUGGUGUUAGUUCCUUGUUAUAGAUAUUGUGCUUUUGAAGGUUUAACAAUAGGCAAGGCUGAAUAUGAUGAUUUCGGUGUUAAUUACUUUCUCAUGGUACUAUACCAGAUUGUUCUCUCUUUGCAUUUACAUGUAACUAACUGUUCAUUGUAGAAAUGUAGUAUUUGGAAGACCUUUUUUUUCUGAUUUAGUGUAUGUUUGUUGGACAAAAGAAACAUGUAGAAGAGAAAACAUGAUUAAUAACAUUGUGCGUCUAUUUUUUUUUUUUUUUGACAGAAGCGAUAGAGUAUUCUAUUACUAAAAACAACCAAAUACAAGAGGUGUCAUGGCUACAAUUUCUCCAUGGCAAAUUUUUUGCAAACAUUUUGUAAACGCUCUACGGCUACCACAAUAGACCAUUAUAAACAGAGAUUCCGGAUAAAACUGUCACAAGGACGGCAGACACGACAAUCCUCACACCCGUACCCUAACAUAAGAGCAACUCCAUCCAUGGAGCCCUACCCCCUGGCAAUCCACUAUUCAAUCCACCAUAUUGAACAGUAACUGCCUUAAAUGAAUAGUAAUUACCAUUAAUGAACAGUAAUUGCCAUUUACAUCUUCAUCCUUGGAACCCUCCCCCUAGCAAUAAGCAAUUAAAAUAAUAGUUUUUUUUGUUUGUUUAAAUAAUAAAAAAUUGCAAAAGCUCUGGUCCCUCUCUCUCUCUCUGACACAAAAAAAAUAAAAAAUUGCAAAGCCCUCGGGCCACAUGCCCAUCGACUCCCCACCCCCCCCCCUUCGCUCGGGCUCUCACUGUCGCUCAACCUCCACACGGCUGGACCUCUCUCCACCGGCCCUCGGGCCCUUUGUCCUCGCCUGUCGCCCGAGCAACCAGCCUCCGCUGGAGUUGCUCUAAAGCCAUCGACAAUGAGGCUAAAUAAAUCGCUUAAGAGAUACAAACAAAUCACCGCAAUAACACAAUCUACUUAACCCGCCCAAGGCGCUACAAACAAAAUCUUAAACCUAAAGUCGAUGACAUGUCCACAUGCAUGUCCAAGGGGAAGAGACGUUGCAGGAGGCAUGGGUUGCCCGACCAUGUGGGUCUGUCGGUGGCAAGGACAACAAAGCAAUACCAAACUACUUCUAUCAUUCUCCUUAGCGCUAUAUUUUUCCUUAGCGCCAUAAAUUUCGCUUAAAAAGCAUAGGAAGGAAGGCUAAAAUUAAGGCGAAGAACCUGCCUCCACUAAUUUCCAUAGGGGAGAGAGAGAGAGAGAGAACACCAAGCAGUAUUAUAAUAUAGGUGGUCUUAAAUAACCUUCCGUGGAGUCGCAGUAAGGACUUCAAAUAUCCCAGAGAAAAGUCAGUCAAUAGUUUUUGACAGAGUCAGUCAACGGCGAAGACAGAAUUGUGUAUCAUAAUGCUCUCUCCCUCUCUCUCUCUCUCUCUCUCUCUGUCGUCAAUGGAUAACACCAUAUAAUUACUACGUGUAUAUCACUGCUCAAUUACACAAUAGAAAAAUCCUUGCGCAUUAUUUUUGUUCUUAUUAGCUCAGAAAUGCAGAAAUUGAUCAUCUCUUACUUUUGCAUAUUGUUACUGGUUUUCUUCAAACUAGUUGGAGCAAGCCAUGCGUGCCUGGAAUCCAAGUGUAGCGAUGAUCAAGGCGCAGCUAUCCAUUUCCCAUUGCGCAUCAGCCGCAAACAUCAUUGUGGAAAUCCUGGGCUUGAAUGCAAUGUAAGAUAUGAGCAGCAAAUACUAGUAAAAUUAUUUGUCAAACACAUAGAUUACAAGCGUCAGGAAAUCCAAGUGUAUCCCCCAAGUGAUUGCCUGCUGCUGAAGCCUGUCGAAGUCACAAACAUAGAUUACAAGCGUCAGGAAAUCCUAGUGUCUCCCCCAAGUAACAACUUGUCAUAUUCUUUCAUCAGAAACUUAACCUUAUUCAGUUGUCCUACUUCUGUUGCAAGAGAUACAUAUGCGUAUCAAGUCCACUGCCUCGGUGACCCUGGCAGCAGAAUUUAUGCCCUUGAUUCUACAUAUCAAUUAGAAAAUCUCUUCGAGAAUCUACAAUCUUGUUCAAAGAUGUAUGAUGUUUUAUCUGGCAAUUGGGAGGGUAAUGGUUCUGUUCUUCAAUUCAAAUGGUCAAAACCAAAUUGUACAGAAUGUGAAGCGGAGGGAAAGAUGUGUAGAUGGAAGAACAAUGGCACCAACAGUGAAAUUGAAUGUCAACGCGUGAGGAAACCAAGUAAGGAGAACAUUAUAUUCAUUGCUAGUUUUAAACAUCGUUACAUUUAUGUCUGAGUAAUUAUUAUUUGAAGGAUGUUGUCCGAUCCAUUUUUCUGAGGAUAUUAAUUGUCAGUCUCGAUUUAAUUUGCAAUUCUUUUACAGGCAACACAUGGAAAUUAGUGGUUACAGGUGGAAUUCUGGGUGCUUUGCUUCUUGUUCUACUGAUGAUUGCAGCAUAUCGGGUAUAUAGCACUGAUAGGAAGGAAAAAGAGAGUCGAUUAAGAAUUGAAAGAUUCUUGGAGGAUUAUAAAGCACUCAAACCAAGCAGGUAUUCGUACGCAGAUAUUAAGAGGAUUACAAAUCAAUUCAAGGACAAGUUGGGCGAAGGAGCCUAUGGAACUGUCUUUAAAGGAAUGCUCUCUUCUGAAUUCUUUAUUGCUGUCAAAGUCCUCAACAGUUCAAAGGGAGAUGGGGAAGAGUUCGUAAAUGAAGUGCGAACGAUGGGUCAUAUCCACCAUGUCAACGUGGCUCGCUUGGUUGGAUUUUGUGCUGAUGGAUUUGUACGAGCUCUUGUUUCCCUGCAGGAUUUUAUUUCAUCUGCAGAUAGUAAGAAUUCACUUCUUGGUUGGGAUAAGCUGCAAGAUAUUGCCCUAGGCAUAGCCAAAGGAAUUGAAUAUCUUCACCAAGGAUGCGAUCUACGAAUCCUGCAUUUCGAUAUCAAGCCCCAUAAUGUGUUGCUAGACCAAAACUUCACUCCAAAAAUUUCUGAUUUUGGUUUGGCCAAGUUAUGUUCCAAGGAUCAAAGCUUGGUGUCCAUAACUACAGCUAGGGGGACCAUGGGCUAUAUUGCACCUGAAGUGUUCUCCAGGAAUUUCGGAAAUGUGUCUUACAAGGCAGAUGUCUACAGCUUUGGAAUGCUGCUGCUUGAGAUGGUAGGAGGAAGGAAGAAUAUUGGUUCAACCACGGAGAACACUACAAAUGAAAUCUACUAUCCACAGUGGAUUUACAAUCUUCUAGAGGAAGGGGAUGACCUACGAAUCCGUAUUGGGCAAGAAGAAGAUGGUAAAAUUCCAAAGAAACUUGCUAUUAUAGGGUUAUGGUGUAUCCAAUGGCACCCGUCGGAUCGUCUUUCCAUGAAAACAGCCGUUCAGAUGUUAGAAGGAGGAGGAGGAGAAAGCUUGACCAUGCCGCCUAAUCCCUUCAUGCCUACAGGUCCUACAACUAGAAAUGCAAGACGCCUAGAGCGAGAAGCAAUUGCUGAAUUAGAGUAAAACGUAUAUGACAGAUAUGUAGAUUCGUAUUGAAUGUGUAAUGAUUCAAACCUAAAGGGAUAUUUUGAUAACCAUUUCAUUUUGGCACCAAACAAAAGAAAUUUGUUUCCACUCCAUGUUUAAGCAAUAGAUGCCGAUUAUUGUUUAUCAUUUAUUAAAUUUUAUUUUUGGUUACGGUAGAAGCCUAGAAGGCAAUCGAGCACCGGACUUACCAAAUUCUAACUCAUUUCUACACACCAAGAGCUUGAUUUCGGUUCUUAUUUUUACUAUUUAAGCUAUAAGCCGUGAUAAUAAUUAGAGCACUAUCAUUUGUUGUGAGCUUCAACUGGUUAUUUUGUAUGUUUUAAACUUUUAAUUAGAAUUUAUUUUUCACUUAGACUUAUCUUUCCGUAUGGCAUGCCAUCCCAACCCUAGUUUUUCUCCUCGCUUGGAGUUUGGGAUACGAAAACUUGCCAAACAAAGUAGAUUGAUUAGUAACCGAAGCUAAUUAUUCGACUGAAUAUUGUUUAGAAUUUUAAUUAACAGAAACAAUAUGAAUCUUUUUUGUUUGUUUUGAAAACUAGAGAUUAAAUUGUUACUUGUUAGAAGUAGAGUGAUUGGUAGACAUCGAAUCCUUACAUAAGUGCAUAGGCAUUAUUGCGUGAGGAUGACGUGAGGGCAAGGGAAGUAGCAGCAGACCGUGUGGGCUGCUGUGGUUCAUCUGCUCGGGUGACAGGAUAGCCUUUUUGACGAAAUUAUAAAGCGCAUAAACUUUUUGACCAAGAGAGUGGUCAACUAGGGGUGGGCACUUGAAAUCGAAAACCGAAACCGAAACAUGAACCAAAUCGGACCGCACCGAACGAUUUGGUUUUGCGGUUUUGAAACCGAACCGCAUUGUAGGAAACGGUUUGGUUUUGGUUUUGGCUUUUGAAAACCGCACCGAAACCGAAACCGUAUCUCAAAUUAUAUGCCAUGUUUUAAUUAGUUGUUUGUUAGAGUCCAUACAUUUAGUAUGUACAUGUCAUAAUAAUGAUUAUUUUUUCCAAGUUAUAUCCCUCAUCAAGCUUGGCAUCUCAAUGUUUCUUUACAGGAAAAGAAGAAAACUUUGUCACAGUUAUAUCCUUAGAACCCUAAUUUUCAAGUUUAGAAUGAUAGCCUAUAUAAUAUAUUAAUCAGAAAUGCAAAUGAAAACUCAAAAGGAACAAUGAGCAUCAAAUAAGAGUAGUCACAGAAGGAGAGAUACAAGACCGAAUCUCUAAUCAAGUAAUAAGUUGCAGCACUUCAUUUGGGUACUUUUUCCUGCUCACAGAGUUUAUCACUUGUGCAAGAGUUUAUCAUCUGUGCAAUUAGCUAGCUAGAGUAAAGAAAAGAAUUCUCAUGUGGGUGGUUAAUUAAUGUAUGUGUGGAAAAUGAGACUGUGGUAUGUGUAAAUAAGUAUAAAUUUUAAAUUGUAGAUUUUUUUUUCUAAAAAGCCAAACUUAAACCGUUUGAAACCGCACCGAACCGAUCGGUUUUGACUUUAAAACCGCACCGAACCGCACCACAAAAAGUUGUGAUUUCGGUUUUGGUUUCACUCAAAACCACACCGAACCAAACCGUGCCCACCCCUAUGGUCAACAAAUGGGACAUGGAUUCGUCGAAUCCAAAUCCUAAGAAUUCAUUAAUCUAUAUUAUUGAAAUUUGAUCAAAAGAUUAAAAUUAUUAUAAUUUUAAAAUAAGCUCGUAUUUGUAACUGUUGAAUCAACCUUUAAUGAUCCAGAUUGAUAAAUCCUUAAGAUUAGGAUGUAUGAAUCCGAAAAGGAUCAAUGUCCCAAAAAAUAUGCAACGUUUUGCAAGGGUAUUAAAUUUAUGAGUGGGAUAGACACAAAUAGCAGACCGUGUGGGGUGCUGUGGUUGAUCCACUAGGGUGGCAGGAUAGCCUUUUUGACCAAAUUAUAAAGCAGACUUUUUGACCAAGAGGGUGGCCAACAAAUAUGCAACGUUUUACACGGUAUUAAAUUUAUGACUGAGGAUUUGGAUCCUCUCCUGAGCUAAUGGAGAUGAUCUUCCUGACCAACCAUUAUGGGUUGUUGGAUUUUUAUCCAACGGUUAUAAUUAUUAUAACUUUAAAGGAACUCCCUUUUUAUAACCGUUGGAUAAAAAUCUAACAGUCCAUAAUGGUUGGUCAGGAUGAUCCUCUCCAUUGGCUCAGGAGAGGAUCCAAAUCAGAUGGACACAAGUAGCAGACCGUGUGGGGUGCUGUGGUUCCUCCACUAGGGUGGCAGGGUAACCUUUUUGACCAAAUUAUAAAGCAGACCUUUUUGACCAAGAGCGUGGCCAAUAAAUAUGCAACGUCUUGCACGGGUAUUAAAUUUAUGACUGGGAUGCACACUCAUCUUCUUCCUCAUUCGUUGUUUAUGUAAAAAAAUGUAAUAAAUUGUAAUAAUGAUCUUUCAACUUUAAUUAAAUUGAAACAAUAGUUUUUUAAUUAAAAUUCAUUAUUAUUAGUCUAUUAACUCAUUAAAACGUGUAGCUAUAGUCAUUUUCGUCAACUCCUUCAGAAUUCUGUCAAAAUAAGUUAUGUUGAAAGGACCAUUGCUAUAAUUGGGUUAAAGUUAGGGACCAUUGCUAUAAUUGGGUUAAAGUUAGGGACCAUUGCUCUAAUUGAGUUAAAUUUGAGGAAUCAUUUCUCUAGUUGGAUUACAGUUGAUGGAUCAUUGAUACAAUUUUUCUUAUUUGAUUUUUCAUUGUGCCCCUUGAUUUAGCCUCAAGUGCAUGACAUGUGACUAUUUUGACGGAAGUUCUAAUGGAGUUGACGAAAAUAAUCAUAGUUGCACGUUUUGAUGAGUUAAGAGACCAAUGAUAAUGAAUUUUUAGUUGAGGGAUCAUUGCUCCACUUAGAUUAAAAUUAAGAGAUCAUUACUAUAAUUUACUCUGAAAACUAAAGGCCUCCUAUUUUAGUUAUGUUUGUACCAUACUUGACCAAUCCCAAAACUACUGAGCACCGGUCAACGUUAUACCAUCAAGGAUCCAGAAGAGUUUCUCUCAAACCAGGAGGCCAAUCACAACACGACACAUGUCGAUAUCAAAAGCCAAUCAUAGCGCGACACGUGUCAACAUCAGAAGCCAAUCACAACACGACACGUGUCAAUGUCAGAACAAAACUAAAAACUCUCUUCUAUAAAAGGAGAUCAUUCUCCCUCAAUAUUUCCUAAUGUUCUUUGUACUAAAUCAUUCACUAGUACUGACUAAAUGAGAGUUUGAACCUAUGUACUUGUGUAAACCCUUCACAAUUAAUGAGAACUCCUCUACUCCGUGGACGUAGCCAAUCUAGGUAAACCACGUAUAUCUUGUGUUUGCUUCCCUGUCUCUAUCCAUUUACAUACUUAUCCACACUAGUGACCGAAGCAAUCUAACGAAGGUCACAAACUUAACACUUUCUGUUAUACCAAAGUCCUCACUGAUUUUGUGCAUCAACAAGUUGCAUUGGAGAAUCCUUUCAACCAUCCAAAUCCAAAACAUGGAUCUAAGGAGCCAAGAAACAAAGAGGAGUUCGUCCAUAUUCAUGGAUACAAGAAGCUAUGAGCAAGGGAAUGAGGACCUCACUUUGGGUGACUAUCAUUUACUUCUGCAAAGAGGACCUACAAAAAUAUAAAGUCAACUCACUUUGCUUUGAAUUUGAGUUGAGUCUUUGACUAACUACUAGACUCUGAAUUUCAUGAGUUAAGUUUUGUUUUUGAAUGCAUAUAAGCAUGCUAGAGCCUUUAAUUGUUAAUUACAUGUAUAUGUGUUGCUCAAAUGAACUUAGUUUAUCAAAUUUUUCUCUCAAGACCAAGGUAUUAAAUAUCGAUGAUAUCGGAAAUAUCGGUAGUCCAAAAACACGGAAAUAUCGAUGGAAAUAUCGAUGGAAAUAUCGGGAUAUUAUCGAUAUCGAUAAAAAUAAUAUGGAAACCACGGAAAUUGUAAGAAAAACUUGGAAAUUUUUAUUGAAACUUUGCAGAAUGUUUAUUUAGUCAAUUAUCUAUUAGUUUAUCACAAAAAUUUGGAAGGAAAUGCAUUGCAUGAUGGAUUUAACUGAUUUAAGUUGAUUAUAUAGCGAGCUGGCAAACAUUGUGAGUGUAGAAAAUAUGUAGUAAUUAAUGAAAGAAGUUUAAACACACCAUAAUCAUUUAUAUAUAAUGAAUUAGUACAAUAUUUUACACUUUAUACAUUGCAUGGUAAGAUACAUGAGUGACUAAGUACCACAUAGAGUUCCUAUGAGGUUCAAAAUUUUCACUAUCUUCAUCAUCUCUAUGUGUAGAGUAAGUGUAUUGUGAAGAGUAGUCAGCAACCAUGGCAAUGGCUUUCAAGAACCGAAAUCCAAAAGUCAAUAGGAAACCGAAUACUUCGGUAUUUUUCGGGAUUUCGGGAUUACCAAACAAAUGGGAUUUGGAAACCAAUCCCAUAUCGAAAAUUUCGGUAUUUUUCGGGAUGGGAUUCCCGAACUUCGGGAUGGUUUUGGUUUGGGAUUUUUCGGUUUGGGUUUGGGACUUUUUCGGUUUGGUUUGGGAUUUUCGGGAAUUUUUUCCAACCCUACAUGUAAGUGACCAAAUAAAAAAUAGAAAAAUUAAAAACCACAUGCCAUUGACUAAGUAAUUAAUUGACACAAUUUAAAAUAUAAUACCACAAAAAAUUUGGAAUAUGUGCAAAUUUGUUUCUUGCAAAAAGAAUUCAAAACAAAACCAUAUAUAUAAAUAUUUUAGCAUGUUUUCACAAAAACAUAAGUGGUAUAGUGGUCAAGGCGCUGAAGGAGUUAGAUGGGAGGGGUUUGAAUCCCUCUAUGUGCAUGUUUGAGACUUUUCAGAAAUUUUCAAAUAUUUUUAGGUUCAUCUCGCGAUAAUAUCGAUAUUAUCGCGAUAUAUUAGCGAUAAUUAAAGGAAUACUCGUGAAAUAUCGUUAUAUGAAAAAAACGAUAAUAUCGGCGAUGUUUCGCUGAUAUUAUCGAUAUUUUCUUCUAUGUUCAAGACCAACUUCUAUGGCAUGCGUGGUGUGUUUGAGACUUUUCAGAAAUUUUCAAAUAUUUUUAGGUUCAUCUCGCGAUAAUAUCGAUAUUAUCGCGAUAUAUUAGCGAUGAUUAAAGGAAUACUCGUGAAAUAUCGUUAUAUGAAAAAAAACGAUAAUAUCGGCGAUAUUUCGCUGAUAUUAUCGAUAUUUUCUUCUAUGUUCAAGACCAACUUCUAUGGCAUGCGUGGUGUCUCAUGCCAAUCACACAAAUGUUAUGUAAAAAGAAUUUACACGUUGUGUUGCAUGAUUGACAAUUAACGACACAAUAGUGUUAUAACCGUGUCAAUGUUAUGAAAGUUUUUAUGCAAAGUCACUUGAUAUGCCGCAACAAUUAGUAAACAAUAUUAGAAAGACCUAGAGGAACCCACAAUUAAUUCCAAUUCAUUAAGUAGCUCAUGUGCAAGCAAAGUAUGGGCUUCCCAUGGGCAGGAGCUGGAAUUUACCCAUAUUUGGUAGUUAUGUAGCAUUAUACGAGGAGCCUGCUCAGCAUUCAAUAUGUUCACCCACAUGAUGUUGAGUGUAAUCCUUCUUAAGGUUCAACGAUAUUGUUUCUAUUAACAAAUAUAAAUAAAAAAAUAAGCGAAAUACUAGAGAGAUUACACGUUUAUAUUACAUUGUUGUACCAUAUUGUGAUAUGGCUGUGUACAUACCACGUCUUGUAAUGAGUUUAUCUCAUUAGAUGUUAGACUGUUGGUUAUUUGUAUUACUUAUUACAUCAUAUGGUACAUCAAUGUGGUAUAAAUAUGCAAUCUCUCCAACAUUACCCUUAGGAAAAUUUUAUUUGAACCCAUCUAACCUCUUUCUACACCCAACUUAAAUUCUAAAUGUGAAUUGUCUAUUUUAUCCUAAUGCAUAAUUACCAUCAAGUACAAGAUGAAAUUAAGAAUAAAACUAAAAUUUAUCAAUAAACCCAUACUCAAUAAUUAAGUUCUACCAUCACACAAUUUUUAUCCUACAUUCAUUUUGAAUAAAUUCCUAAGGGCUGCAAUAAAACCCUACGAUCACCUAAUAAUCAAAUCCGGUUGCUUUUUGUUUCCUCUCUAGCUUCAUGUUAACUCGAUCAGUAAAAACAAAGUAUUCAAAGUAUUCAUGUAUAAAAUAAGCCAACUUGGACUGGACUUGCUAUAAACCUAAAAACAUAAGCAGAAUCCCAGUUGCUAAUUCCACAAGAACUCGACUUGCGACCAUUCAAAACCCAAUAAAAAUUCAAGAAAACCAGAACUUACCAAGUGAACGUUGACGGCUGAGCCAGAGCAGCAACGACGAAAGGAAGCAUUGCAGAUAAGACCUGAGACGACGAGCCGUCGGAAGCCCCUUUGGAUAUUUCAGCUGAUGGGUUUAUCCCAAACGACAGCAUCAACGCGUUGCCUUCCUUCCUCUGCGACCCGACUCUGCUGAUGUGCAAUGUGCUUACUCUUGUAAUCACUCCAUGUGCCAUGUGCAAACAAUCGAAGCACAUCGAGGUAGACAUAAUUUUCAGUUCCUUCAAGCUGCACAUAUUCCACAGUAAAAAAACAAAUGCAUAUGAAACAAGACCCUAUAACAAUCAACAAUUUUAUUUUGACUUUGGCUGCAACAAAAUUCUGAUUAUACAUCCUUUGCUCAAAUCCAGAAACUACACCACCAAAAUAUACACAGAAAAAUGAAACUUCCACAAUAAAUAAAUAGAAACAUGGGAACCUGAAGAACAUUAGGGACAUCGAUAAUUUCCGAAAAGGCAAAAAGGGCAGGGUGGGAGGUGACUUCUGCGACGAGGGGGCCGAGGGCGGAGCCAUCGAGUGAUGAGGCUUGCUUCACGAAGUGAUCAAAGGCCUCCUCUUGCUUUUGCUUUCUAAAAGGGUGUAAAGAUGAAUUUUUAUAUAUUGAAUUGAGUUUGUGAGGGUAGUUUAGAUAGUAAUUUGGGUUUAGAGAGAAAUUGAUUCUUUAAUUAAAAAUAAUAUGGGUGUAAAGAAUAAGUUAGGUGUAGCAAGAAGUUGUAUGGGUUCAAAUAAAAUUUCCCUUACCCUUAUCAGAAACCCUAAAAGACAAGAAAUGCUCUAUACUAAGACGUGUUUAUCAAACCGGAAUGAAAGUGUAGGAAAUGGAAUUGCACGAACUCCAAGUCAUUUUAGUGUUUACUAAACCAGAGGGAAUCAACAUUCAGGUGGGACCCACCCAAAAUCCGGAAUACAAUUCCUUAAAUACCCGGAAAUGGAUUCUUGACUUGGGAGGUGGGAAUUGAGUUCCUGAAAAUAGAUUCAUCAGGGAUCCAAGUUUUCUACCCAUACUAUCCUCAUGCUUUUUUGGUAAACCCAAAUAUCCCUCACAAUUUCACCUCCCCAGUUCCAUGACCAGUGUAUAGACCCAUCUCUCUUCUCCCCAAUCCCACCAUUUCCUAACAGAGGAGCUUCGACUCCAGUGAAAUCCCGACCCCUUUCUCCUUGCCCCGUCGCCGCAGACUAUCCAAAAUACAUGCAUGAACGCACAAAGAGAGGGGAAAAUGUAUGGCGUGGCCGCAUGGUCAUCUAAAAACAGGGGGUGGGGACGGUUGUGAUAGGUGGUGAGGAGCUGGGUUUGGGGAUGUAGGGGGGAGAAGAUGGCAUCGCAGCUUUUUGUGUUUUGGGUUUUUUUAUGUUAUUUUAUAUUUUUAAUAAAUUUGUUAAUUAUUUAUUUUGCUGAAUAGUUAUGUUUUCAUGUAGCUAAUUGGAUUUUAUGAGCAUAUGUGGUUAUCAAAAUUAACCAUUAACUAGCAUAUAAAAAUAUAAUUUAUAACAAGGGCAAUUUAGUAAUCAAAUAGGUUUCAAUUCCGAUUCAUGUGAGUGAGUAAAUAAUUUUUAUGUAAUCAAUAUCAUUUUUAUUCCGAUUCCAGAUAGUUUAGUAAACAGAUUCAACAUGAAUCCAAUUCUAAUUCCACUUCAUUCCAUCUUCUUCUCAAUUCAAUUCAAUUCCUCAUACUCUGAUUACGGAUUAGUAAACGGGUCAUAAAACGGAAAGAGAAAAACAUUGUUCAUAACCAACAGUGUUUUUACUUUUUUGCCCUCAUUUUUAAUGUUUCUGUGUUCCCACUUUUAUGCCUCUAUACAGUGAAAUCCCCAAUUGCCCUAUGGGCAUAGGUGUGUAAAAAAAUUGUUUUGCACACGUGGCAUGCUAGGGAGAUUUCUCUGCUGCACCGUUUCCUUCCAGCUCCACUCCGAAUCGAUACUGAAUACUGCUCAACCAAAUUUUUUCAUCAUUUCAUUCCGUCCUUGUCAACCUCUUCAUUCUUGCUCCACCAUGAAUCGAAACAAAAAAUUGCUCAUCCAAAUCAAUUUCAGUUAACUCAAAUCCCUAAAACCCAAAUUUCUCCAGAUCUUUGGAUUUAGUUUACUUUUUGUUGUUGCGUAAAGCUUAAAUUUACGUACAAUUUUUUUAUUUUCUUGAUUGGAAUUUGGAAAGAAUCAAUUGUUCUUUGAAGGAAUUACAGAAAAUUGGAAAGGGGAAAUGGGAAAUGGGAAAGCGAGGAAAUGCGGGCAAAUGGGUUUUGGGAAAAUGACUUUUUUUUUUGGCAUUCGCUUUUGGCUUUCAUCCUUUCUGCGUUUGCUUUUCCUCAUUUUUUUUCUCAAGAACCAAACAUAAAAUAAAAAGAACCUAGAAAAAAGAAAAGGAAAAUCACAAGAUUAAGAAUCUGGGAUUGCAACAAUGGAGCUUCUGUGCCGAAAUAUCAAUUGGGUUCCGUUUGAUCUUCGGUGCUUCUUCUGCAUUCAAAAAGUUGGGGUUUUUUUGCGUGAUGGGAACACAUUUCCAAAUUCGACCUCAAUCCCAAAGGAACCAUCCACCAAAUAACCCUUCCUCCCUUUCUAUUUCUCUCUCUGUAAUUUCCCCUGACCGAAUCACACAAUCCAACCAACUCUCUGUGUAAGGCUGCCUCACAAAUUCCAUGGAUUUCAUGGACUUACCCUCUCUAUGAGCCUCCCUCGCCGAAUCCAACUAAUUUCCUUAGGCCCGUUUGGGAUUGAGGUGAUUUUAAAAAAAGCAAUUGUGAAAAAAAGCUGAGGGUCAUUUUUGUGUUUGGUAAACUGAAAAAAAAUGGCUUAUUUUGAAAGCUGCUGUGAGAAUAAGCUGAAAAUCAAAGGAAAAGCUGAAGCUGCUAUUUGCUGCUUUGAAAAAAAGCCAGUUUUUUCAAAGCACACGGAGCUACAAUGCUCCUUUAAUGAAAAGACACACUAUCAUCCUGCUUUUUUUUCCAAAAGCACUUUCACAAAAAAGUUUACCAAACACUCUACUGGCUUUAUUUCACAGCCGCUUAUUCUCACAGCAGCUUUUUUUCAAAGCACAGCAAUACCAAACCAGCCCUAAUUCCAUCGAUAGCCACACCCACCCCUCCCAACUGAAAAUGACAAUAAUGCCCACCCAACUUUUAUUCUCUGCCUUUAGAUCUCAAAUUAAAAUGGGUAAUAAAGUCCUUUUCACACCAAUACCCGCUAUUUAACAGCUCAAAUGUACACAACCCAAACAAACACAUGGCCUAAAGGGCCUACCCCAGACCCCCGGCCCAAAAAUAUAAAGGAAAACUAAUGAAAAUUGCUUGAAAACUUUGAGUUUUAAUGAUAAGGACAAAAUAAAGGGUAAAGUGAAUAGUACCAGGAUUGACUUUUUAGUGUAAAAAUGUGGUUUUUCGUUAAAGUGAACAGUACCGGGUGCUUUUCGUUAAAGUUCCCAAAAAAUAAUUGGAAAAAGAAGUGGCAAUUUGGUAAAUAAAAUGUUACCUUUUCCAUUGCCCAUUCCUUUUGGAAAAAGAAAUGAAAUUAAAACUCUUCAUUUAAAAUGGUCUUAAGCCAAAUUGUAUUGAAUGUGAAGCAGAGGGUAAGAGGUGUAGAUUGUAGAACAAUUACACCUAGAGCGAAAUUGAAUUUGUUGACAGGAGGAAACCAAGUAAGGAUAACGCGUCUAAAUCUUAUUUCGCAUCUAUUCUGCUCAUGAUUUUUCUGCUUUCAUGUAAUUAGCGGCUUAUAUUUGUGGUAACGAUAUUGAUUAAUUUCGAGAAAUGACAGUCUAAUUUUCGCAACUGUCUUUUGCAGGUAAAACAAAGACGGUCUAAUUUUCGCAACUGUCUUUUGCAGGCAAAACAAUGACAGUCUAAUAUUCGCAACUGCCUCCUACAGUUAGAAGCAAUUGUUGAAUUAGAGUAACACUAGAAAAUGCACCCGCGCUUUGCUGCAAGCAUUGAAUAAUUAGUCACAACAUUCAUGAAUAGCAUUCCAAUAAAGCAACUAAAAAGACGUCGUAAUACGUAAGAACCAUCGAAGUCAAAUUUUGCUUGCUAUAUAUGGAUAUGCAUGCUAUAAGAAACAUCUAUUUAUAGAUUGUAUUGUGUCAUCAAUAUCAUAGUUGCAAGUAAUCAGCCUACUACAUGGAAGAAAAACACAGAAAAGGGAAAGUAGAAAAGUAGAAACAUAAUACUUGAGUACCUGGCAAGAAUAGUAAGUUCUUGAAAAAAUUGCUAAACCGUCUAACAAAUUCAAUCGUUAAACGUUAUACUGUAACCCAAGACAAAAAUAAAGUAUAUUGUUUGUUUACAAAUCAAAACGAAGUGCUGCUACAAUCCUCAACAGCUAUGAAUCAUUUUCAAAUAAAGAUACUCAGAUUUGACGGCACAUCAAAUAACCACCAAGCGAAGCAAAUUACGCCAUGUGCUAAUAAGAAACUAAAACAAAAGCAAGAUUAAAUAUCGAAAUUUUUUUAUAAGGCAUCAAUUGACAAAAUGCUUCUUAAUGUGGUCUUCCAAGAAAUGAAUGCAGCUCACAAACAACUUAGAAAUCAUUGUCACCUCAAUCUUACUAAAUAGAAGCAUAAAUGGACAUGAUAGCUCCCUAAUUUUGUAAUAGAAACUCUAACAAAGAAUAUCAGGCUCCAAAGGCCCUAACUUUUCCUAGGCAUAAAUCUAUACAUUGCAAGUUUAAUUCCAACGAAGCAAAUAUGCGUGCAAAGUAAAAGGCAUCAACACUACAUGUACUGCUUACAAUCGUCUCAAGUUGCUGACAACAACAACAACAACAACAACAACAAAGCUUUUUCCCACUAAGUGGGGUCAGCUAUAUGAAUCCUAGAACGCCAUUGCGCUCGGUUUUGUGUCAUGUCCUCCGUUAGAACGCCAUUGCGCUCGUCUCAAGUUGCUGACACAAUGUUUAAAAUAUUCCAAGACUCAAAGAUUUUCACACAAAUAGAGCACCUUACCAAAACAAUAACCGAGGUUGUCGUAUUUGAAUCAAGCAGAUGCUUUGCAAGGCCUUCUUCAAUAUCGUCUCAUAUUCCCUUUUCAUUUUUCGUAUAUGAUACAAUAAACUAUUCAAAUCUAGACAUAAAUAAGAGAAUCUGCUACACCCUACUAUCACAAUUGUCAGUCCUGAACAAUAAUGCAAGUCUAGUGGCAAAAACCACCUCAAUGAACAACUCACACACACUGAUCAUACAUCUCUAACUCUCUUUUUCAAAUAACACACACUCUGAUCCAAAACAGGGUAAAUAAAAUGCACAUCCUUAUACAUUUCUAACUUUCUUUUUCGAAAUCCAAAAUAGGGUAUUCUAACUCUCUUUUUCAUUCAUUUCUUACAAACCAAUCAUACAUUUAAAAUAGGCUUUGAAUAAAAAUAGGGUAUAUAAUUAUAUACCUCAAAAUGCCUAGGAACCAACUUCCCCCUCCAACGAUUCAAAUUCUUGAAAUUGCCAACACAGUAAAUCCAUUAGUACUAUAUAAAUGAAAACACAAUUGAAACCCAUCAAACAAAACAAUCCCACAAUUUAAAUGAUUCAAUCCUACUACAAUUGAAAUUCACAGAAAGAAUGAAAAACCAGAACAAAACUGCAGCACCUAAAAAGUUGUCAUACAAAAAAACAUGGAAUGUAAAAAUAUGUUAAGAAAUCUAGUUCGUUAAUUUCCAGCUGCUAAGUGGCAUUAUGUAACUUUAGUAGUAUAACUAAUUAACUACUUAUCUGGUGGGUUGCACUUCUAUCCAAUUGGUAAGGAAAGGAAAAUAAAAAUCAACCCCUUGGUCUUAGUUGUGGCUGCAAAGUGCAGGCCACCACCAAGUCUCAGUGUUUGUGUUUUAGCAAAACACUUAAAUAAAUUAAAUUCUGAAAUGUAAAUUAUAUUCCUAUAACUUUAAGAUGCACAUAUAGUAUUGUUGAAGUCGAACUGAAAGCACUGACAAUUCCAAGCAACAGAGCAGCAAUUAUUAAGAGCCAAAACUCAUUCCUAGUCUCCUCAUCCUGGUACUCAACUCUAAUCUUCGGUCAGCAUCAUUGACUGAAAUUAGGAGAGAAAAAGAAAAGGAAUUUCAGAAAUUGUCUAUGAAGCAAAGGAUACUGCAGUUACUUCAAGACAUGUAAAUUGCAUAUGUAUAAAGUAAUUUUCUACAUAAAGGAAUGAGGCAUAACUUUCUCUCUCCUCUUCAAACCCUAAACAGUGCAAAGCCACAAACUUUACAGAGAUUAGAAUGAGAACUGGAAUUAAUAGAACAAUGACUGAAAAGUAACAUACUUGAGGAGUGAAUGAUUUAGUGUUUCCAUCAUCGGAACGCCGGAGUAAGUCGCUAAGAGAGGUCGCAAACAGCCCAAAGGGACAAACCCAGACCCCCGGCCCCGAUCCAUACCCUUCCCCCUCAAAUCCCGACGGCCCCCAUACUUUUCUCUGACUGUACACCCUCUCCCACUCAUGAAAUCGAGGAUCUGCAGCAAUGGUACUGAGAUCCCCACUCCUCCCUCUCCCUUUCUCUCUGUCGCUCUGUCUCCCUCUCCCACUGUCUGUCUAUCUUUAUCCCAGAGCGGCAUGGUCUCCCAUCCCUGAAACCCUCACCGAAAGGUGGCAAUUUUGUAAAUAACUUGAAAUCCACCAACAGCAGGAGCAGAGAAUUGAAACAAACAUUUAGGCUCGUUCGAUAACCAUUUAGGCCAAAACUGAGCACACCUAAACCAUUCCUACUCGUGCCAAAUGUUAGUGGGGAAGCAAGAUGAUGACUUUAUUGUUCAAAACCAAAAGAAAAAAAGAGAGAAAACAAAAUAACAAAUCUAAUGGUUGUAGUGUAAAAGCUGAGAACGUAAAUAAACAUGCAGAGAAAAAAAUUGAAGAUACAAAGUAGCUGCAUCAUGAAACACUUACUCCAAUUAGACGCAAAAAGUGAUGGUGAUGAGAAGAGAGAGAAAAUGCAAUCGUUUUGAUUUUUCUGGCUUUUAAAGGGAGCAGCUUUCUUCGACCACCCAAAAAAGGAAGCUGCUUCGUAUGGUUGUGAUUUCCUGAGUGUAUGUGAGCGGGUCUAUGGCACUUGCACUUUUUGUGUCGGUUACGGUAACCGGGCGAGCUGAACACGGCGGCAUGGGACUGAAUUCGGAGAGGUGAGAAAAAUUAAAAACACAAAAAGAAGGUGUUCAUUUUGUCACAUUUUUAUUACUAAAAAUUCAAUAAAGUACAUUCAUUAGUAUGGUAACUUAACUAUUUAAUUCCAUCUCAUUAAACUAAAAAAAACAAUUACAAAAAAAUAAGGGAAACCUUGUCCAAAGAGACCUGAGAGAAAGUGACGACUUCUCCUCUCAUUCCACUCCAUACUUGAUCUCUAAAGUCCAUUUGGCAUGUAAUUGAUGUUCAAUUUCAAAUUUAGUGGUAGCAAUUAGCAAAGCUAAUGAAAGAAUCAAAUAAAAUGAAAGAAAAAGCAUCAUGAAAUAAAUCAAGAUGAAGAAUGAAAUUUUGGCAACUCCCCAUUCUCUUCUUUUAUAUAAAAGAUACAUCCUAUUUGUAGUGAAAACAGGUCCCGACAAGCCCAUUUAUCCUCAAGAAGUAUUUUCUAUGACUUUAAAAACAUAAUCUGUGAAAUUAUCUCUUGGCAGAGAACAACAACAAAUCUUCAUGCAUAGCUUGUAGAGAAAGACAUCAGGCAUACAAAAGAACACGCAAGCAUAAAAUAAACGACGCAGGGAAAACAAAAAAUACAAUUAAAUACGCUGUCAAAAGAACAUGAAUAAAUGAAAAUUACAAAACAAAGAAGUGAUGAGAAACCAAAGUACCCAUUUCAUAAUCUAAUUGUUUUUUAGUUUGCUGCCAGCCAUCCCUGAGUAAUGCAUUCACUUCUGAACCCCAAACACACUGAAACAAAAAUUCACACACAUGAACUACAACUCCGCUAUGUAACAAGAAUUAAAAGCAUCUCAAAACAAAAUGGCAAACUAUAAGAGCACUGUAAAAGUAAAAUUGCAAGAAAUCUAAUACUUGGAGGGCAAGUACUAAUCAGACGAAAAUGAAAGAUUGAACUACUUCGCGUGGAACUGUGCCUUGGUUUUUUCCCAUGCUUACAGGAAGCUUUGCACUGAGCCCUUAUAGCCCAAAUUUUCUCUGAAGGAAAAAAAAACACAAUUUUGAAAUAAGAUUUUCAUAUUAUACCUUAAAGAGAAGAAUUAGACAACAAAAAAGAGAAGAAUUAGACAACAAAAAAGAGAAGAAUGAGUACUAUUCAUCAUAUAUUGUUAGAGUAUGUGGUCCUCUGGUCCAAUGGUCCUGCAGCCAUAUUUACUUUAUAACUCUUUCUUUUAGUCUUAAAAACAUCUUGGAUCUCAAAUUAACAUGUUAGCUAUGCGUUAGAACAUAUUGGGUUCAAUCCAUUGUCUUGAAUAUCACCCCCAGUCACAGCUGUCUCUUCGGGGCAUACAGAAGGCCUGAGAGGCAUUUGCAGACAUUCAAUAUCUGCUCCAAGCAUUUCGACAACUUUGGACAACGAAGGGCAAUCACUUGGUUUCAUUUGAAUACACACAAGGCGGUUAUAACCAUCUUUCUUAUCACUUUCUUUUCAUCCUCUGUAACAUUGUCUAUUUCCAAGUCAUUUCCCACAAUAUAUUGAUCAUAUACCCAUAACGGGAAAUAGAUUUGGCUUGGAUGCUCUACCGUUGCAUUCAAAUUCUUCCUUCUGCUUGCCAUUUCCAUCAACAACAUUCCAAAACUAUAGACAUCGGCCUUGUAUGAGACACCUCUAAUAUUUUUGUAGAACAACUCAGGAGCAAUAUAUCUCAUUGUACCCCGUGCUGCCGUCAAAGAGACAAUGCUAUUAUCUACUGGAUACAAUUUUGCAAGCCCAAAGUCAGAAACCUUUGUGUUUGCACUCAAAAUAUACCCAUUUUUACUUAUUUGGGCAAUUUGGGUAAAAUAUGGUAUUUGAAGGAUUAAUAUGCAAGAAAACUAACUUGGAAAGAUAUUUGGCUGCAAGUGGGGGGGGUUUGGCACUAUAAUAUUGUUUUUCCCAUUUGUUUAGGUGGUGGAGGUUUGUCAAGCCUUUGUUUAAUCAAGAUACAUGCAUGUAUUGCAAGUGGAUGGGAGAGCUUUCGGGCAAGAACGUGUAGUGAAAGAAGCUAGUUUGCUUCUUUUAAUUAUUUUAUUGCAAGUGGGAAAAUACAUGUGGUGGAGAUGCAACUUGCUUCUUUUUUAAUUGUUAGUUUAUUACAAGUGGGGAAACAUGUGCUAAAAACAUGUGGUGGAGAUGCAAGUUUCCCUUUUAAUAUUGUUUCUACAUGCAAGUUGGCAAAUGCAAAUGCAAGCUGCCCAAGCUUCUUUCGGGCAGGUACAAAGAUCUUAGCAAGGGGGCUCUUCCAGACCUCUAUAUAAAGAAGCAGAUGGAGAAGGAUUAUGGACACUCAAAACAACCAAUCAAAACUCUACUCAAAUUAGCUCAUCAGCUUCCUUGUAGACAUUUAUUUUUAGCCAAGCAUCCUUUGCUUUUCUUGUUUAUUAGCUCUGCUACUCACUUGUAGUAUCGAUCUUAUUUGUAGCUUUUAUGUACAACCCUCUUUCAGUCAUUUAAUCUACAAGCAAUCUGCAAUAUUAGUCACUUUCCUCUGUCAUUUAUAUUUCCAAGCAACCUUGUCAUUUACAUAUUGUUCUAUCUCUCCAUAUAAGUAAAGUCCUUAUUUUUAAGGCAAACAAAGAACCUUAAUUUGAGUAACUCUCACUCAAUGGCACAAUCUCUUGGUUCGAAGUCAAUCUCAGGCGCAACCUCAAUCAUUCAGAAUCUGUCUACUAACGGUAUCUAGUAGUGGCAUGCCCGCACCCCACCAAUCUCGUAUGUGAAGUAAAUCCCCGGCUUGCCCGCAAGGCGCCAUGGCGAAUUUAGGGAGCAAACAUAUUUUGGCACACCCGGUGGGAUACCUUAAAUAGAGUUAUAUUAUGAGCAAUCCUUAUGUUCAUGAUUUUUCUCAAUAUGCUUUUUCGGAGUAUGAGGAGGAUGACGGUGUUGAAGAGCGCCCAAGCUAUGGCUAUCACAUAGAGCCAACCUAUGAGUUGUCAACUUAUGGGUACAUGGCUGAAAAGUACUCAAGUCCCAUGGAACAUGAUUGUCGGCCAACUAAUGGCCAUCAAAUAAAUAAUAAUCUUGAAGAUUGGCCAACUUAUGGCUAUGAUGAAGGUUAUUAUUCUUUUGAAGACAAUCAUAUUCAUGAAUACUAUGAUAGGCCAACAAAUGGCUUUGAGUAUCAAAAUGCUUCCAAUGAGUACAUAGAGCCAAUAUAUGAGAUACCAACUCAUGAUCAUCCAGAUGAAAAGCUCUACAAAGAGGAUGUGGGCAAAUUAGAGAAGGUGUCCAAACUCCAUGUGGCAAGCAUCGAUAUGGUGAAGAGGUGACCAAGUGUUUUAGAAAGGUGGAGGAAAGCUAUACCACUUUUGGAGAAACUUUGAGAAAGUUGAUAGAUCAAAUGUGUCAAAUCCCCUCUACAAAGCACACUCACCCUACUACAACCAAGGAAGAACAAAUCAUACACGUUGAUGAAGGCCAAACAAUGGCCCCACCCAAUGAAAAAUCCAUGAAAAUGGAUAUGGUUGUAGAAGGCCAAGCCGACAUAUUGAAACCGAUAACGGCUAAGAUGGAGCUUAUGGCUAUUGUAGGCCAAACACCAACGCUCGGGGGGCUCGAACUCACACCUCAUGUGGAGCCCGAAGAAGAAGAAAAUAUUUCCCACUCUCUUCUCCGCCAACACAAGCAUGUCAUCCAUACCAAGAUCUCAAGAAGGGCAAAGCUUGGGAUCAAACAUAAAUGGCCACCUCCUAUUGUUUCCAAGCUAUAUGGUAUGGCUAAUUUAAAUGGUGGAUCUAAUCUCUCUACACUCAAUUUUAAAAAGAGAAAAAGAUUUGAGUGUUAAGAGAUAUCUGGGCAAUCAAGGGGCUUAACCAAUAUGCCCAAGUGGGGCUUAUUUUGUUGUUUCCUCUUUUGCCUGAAGUUGAACUCCCAGUCUUCCUUUUCUUCUUUCCUUCUCUCUUUCCUUUUCUUUCUCUCCUGUUUCCUUUUGCCCGAAAGUAGGUGCCAAAUCCCUCCUCUAUUCCUUUUUCUUUAUUUCUUUCUCUUUGUCUUAUCUUGUCUUUCACUUUUCCCAAAAGGGCUAUAUAUAUACAGAGAGCUUAAGGGGAGGGAUCCCCAUUUUUUGAAAAAAAUGGGGAUUAGGUGUGGGGCCCACUUCACAUUGAACUUCAACAAUCCGAACCGUCUAUUUUGUUAGUCUCGAUUCAUAGAUCAUCCUUGCAAAAAUUCAAUUCAAUCCGAAACCAUUUGCCUAUUUAAUUAUCAAGAUCAAAUUUCAUUUUUUCUUAUAUAACAAAGUAUUCGUUUAUUUCAUUGAACCCAAUUAGAUGUCUUAAACAUUUCCAAUUUAGCUAAUAUUUUGCAAGGAUGAUCUAUGAAUCGAGACUAACAAAAUAGAUAGUUCGGAUCGUUGAAAUUCGAUGUGAAGUGGGCCCCACACCUAAUCCCUAUUUUUUUCAAAAAAUGGGGAUCCCUCCCCUUAAGCUCUAUAUAUAUAUAUAUAUAUAUAUAUAUAUAUAUUAUAUGUGAAAAGAGGGGAAUGGAAGUACUUUGCCCGAGUGGGCUUGUUAUAUAUAUUAUUUUAUAUAUUAUAUUAUAUUAUAGUUUUGAAAGUCAUUCAAAAAAAAAAAAAAAAAAAAAUCUGAGCAGUUUGCCCGAUUCCCUUUUCUUCAAAAUUUGCCCAAAUUGGUUCUUUCUUUUACUUUGGUCUGUGUUACCCGAGAGGGCUUUGUCCCUUUUUGUUUCUCUUGCUUUGGUUGCCUGACAGUCUUCCCUUUUAUUUGUUCUUUCACUUUUUCCAGCCAACCCAACAGGGCCUUUAAUUUCCUUUUUCUGUUUGCCCGAAAGGGCUCUGUUUUUUUGUGUGUUUCUUGUGCUGUUACAAAGAAAAAGAUAUAAAAAUUAAAAAUUCCAAAAAUCACAAAAACAUUUUGCUUUCUUGCUUUUGUUUUUUCUUGCUUUCUUUCCUUUUUUGUUUUCUUGCUGGGGAACUUUACAGAAAAUAUCAAAAAGUUGGGCAGCUUGUGAGUAGCCAUUUUUACCUUUCUUUCCACUUUUCUCUUAUCCAAUGAGUGUAUUUAGCCCGAACCCAAAAGUUGAAAUUAGAAAACCAUCUAGUGGCUGUACCCAAAUUCAUGGAAUGAGGAGUUUCAUAAAAAGCCGAAUCUAUGGCUUUCUUGCUGAAAAGCAUGUCAUCUGUGUCUCAAUGGCUAUUGCAAGAAAGCAUGGGGCUAUCUUGCCCAACUGGUGGUGCCCGAUGGAACCAUAACCAUGCCUGACGGUAAUGACGUCUUCCCUACUCACCACCAACAGACUCUGCAUGUCUCCCUAACGCUCACCAGUUCCUACAACCAAGGGUCGGGCUACUUUGACGACUACCAUUAGAGGCUACAGUAAGAGCUUUUGAUGUGGCUACUAUUAAUCACUGGAGACUAGUUUUCAUGGGUAAGAAAAUAGAAAAAUGGAGCUGCAUCUAAAUGUGAAAUCCGAAAGCUGGAGGAAGAUGACAGAAAAUUAUGUUGCUGUUGCCCGAGGAUGCUACAAUCUUGCCCGAUGAGCAUGACAUCUUCUCUGUUGCAAUUUGUUUAGAUGUUGUCAAUCAUAUAUGGGGCCCCAUGCUUGAUCUGGCAAACGUAUUUGAAGUGUUCAUGCCACUACAACCAGCAAUAAAUCAAGACCAGAUCUCUGAAGGAUUCUGCAGAUCGGUCGGUUCACUCAGACAUAACCACCUCCCUCCGAGCGGAACAAAAGCAACAGUGCAAAGUAGACAGCAUUACCUUGAUUUGGGAAGCAGAAUUCUGAACCUCAAGCAGGAUCUCUUGAUACGCAGGAGUUGGAGUAAGGAAACAAUGGCAGCCAACAUAAUAGCCGCAGCUUCGAAGCCAGACCUACCCGGCCUUCGGUCGUCAUCUUUAACCCCUUGGAGCUUCACCACUGGUUGAAGGAAGUAUGCAGAAAUUUACCUUUGCAGACGGAGCUUGGUUUACAUUUGCCCAGUUAAAAAGGAGGAGGAAGGGAUUGGAUCUCCAACAAACACUAAUAGCUUUCCGUUCUUUCUGCAACAAUCAAUUUUCAUGAUCCGUGGACUUGGGUUAUUUUCUUCACGCACGCACAAGGCAUACCCUUUCAUAGCUCCAGGAAAAAUCACCACUCUCUUCUCAUUUGACCAGCAGCUCUCUCUCUCUCUCUCAGACUUGGAUUAUGGUUGCCGCACCUUGAUCUUUAAGUGAUACCUCGAACAGAGAAACAACUUCUCUUUUGGAGAAGAGGAAAGGCUAGAGAACGACCCACGUUCAUCUUUUUCUCUCUAUCUCUCUCUCUCUCUAUCUAUCUCUUUCUUUUUCCUUUUCUUUUUCUUUUCUCUUGCUUUCUGUUCCUUUUCUUUUUCUUUUCUCUUGCUUUCUGUUCCUUGUCCCUUUCUCAAGGUAUGUCCUUCACUUGGCCCGAAAGGGCAGCAUACUAUAUAUAUUAUAGUAUGUGGCCUAAGAAAGAAAGUCUAGUCCUUUUUAUUAUUUCUUUUCCUCUUAUCUUUUUGUCUCUCUCUCUUUCUUUUCCUUCCUUUCUCUUUCUUCCUGUCUAUUUUUUCUUUUUGUUUUGAGUUGCCCGAAAGGGCUUUAUAUAUAUAUAUAUAUAUAUAUUAUAUUUGAAAAAGGCAAAAAGAAAAAGAUAAAAAAUAAUAGUUGCCAAAGUUUAUUUAUGUUUUAUCCUUCUUUUCCAGUUGUCCGACUUCGGGCAUUUUCAGUUUAUUAUCUAUGUAACCAGUGAAGAUGCUCUUAUGUUUUUUGGUAUCAACAAGAAGGAUGCACAAGUCAGACAACAUUUUUUUCCAAUGCUAGUUGCACUACCAAUUGCCUUGCUCCUCUUGCCAAAGUUUAUCAACGACGGCAGGACCGAAGAGGUAGACGUGCCUCUUCCUUCGACAUCAUUCUUGGCAGCAUUAGAGUUGUAAGUUUCACAAACUUUGCUCAAAUUUGUAAAACUUGGGGGGCACUGUUUGCACUCAAAAUAUGCCAAUUUUUACUUAUUUGGGCAAUUUGGGUAAAAUAUGGUAUUUGAAGGAUUAAUAUGCAAGAAAACUAACUUGGAAAAAUAUUUGGCUGCAAGUGGGGGGGGGGUUGGCACUAUAAUAUUGUUUUUCCCAUUUGUUUGGGUGGUGGAGGUUUGUCAAGCUUUUGUUUAAUCAAGAUACAUGCAUGUAUUGCAAGUGGAUGGAAGAGCUUUCGGGCAAGAAUGUGUAGUGAAAGAAGCUAGUUUGCUUCUUUUAAUUAUUUUAUUGCAAGUGGGAAAAUACAUGUGGUGGAGAUGCAACUUGCUUCUUUUUUAAUUGUUAGUUUAUUACAAGUGGGGAAACAUGUGCUAAAAACAUGUGGUGGAGAUGCAAAUUUCCCUUUUAAUAUUGUUUCUACAUGCAAGUUGGCAAAUGCAAAUGCAAGCUGCCCAAGCUUCUUUCGGGCAGGUACAAAGAUCUUAGCAAGGGGGCUCUUCCAGACCUCUAUAUAAAGAAGCAGAUGGAGAAGGAUUAUGGACACUCAAAACAACCAAUCAAAACUCUACUCAAAUUAGCUCAUCAGCUUCCUUGUAGACAUUUAUUUUUAGCCAAGCAUCCUUUGCUUUUCUUGUUUAUUAGCUCUGCUACUCACUUGUAGCAUCGAUCUUAUUUGUAGCUUUUAUGUACAACCCUCUUUCAGUCAUUUAAUCUACAAGCAAUCUGCAAUAUUAGUCACUUUCCUCUGUCAUUUAUAUUUCCAAGCAACCUUGUCAUUUACAUAUUGUUCUAUCUCUCCAUAUAAGUAAAGUCCUUAUUUUUAAGGCAAACAAAGAACCUUAAUUUGAGUAACUCCCACUCAAUGACACAAUCUCUUGGUUCGAAGUCAAUCUCAGGCGCAACCUCAAUCAUUUAGAAUCCGUUUACUUGCGGCAUCUAGUAGUGGCACGCCCGCACCCCACCAAUCUCGUAUGUGAAGUAAAUCCCCGGCUUGCCCACAAGGCGCCAUGGCGGAUUUAGGGAGCAAACACUUUGCUUUAAAGUUCUCAUCAAGAAGGAUGUUAUGAGGCUUGAUGUCGAAAUGUAGAAUUUGCAUUUUGCAACCUUGAUGUAGAUAUUGUUGACUUUUGUAUUUUAGGUAGGAUCCCUAAUUGAUAUGUAAUCCCAUGUAAUCACUUGUAAUUAGUUUUUCUUUCCUUUUAUGUUAGGGUUGUACACCUAUAAGUUCCUCUUAUUGAGAAGAAUAUAUCAUCAUUCAAAGCAUUCUCUUCUUGGCACCAGAGCCUAGGUUUUGAAAAGAAAAAAAAAAGAAAAGAAAGAGGAGACGAGAUCGUGCUCUGUACGGAAAACCAUAACUACCAGCCGCACAGCCAGUUGUGCAGCGCCGUCCGACCAGCAAGCGACGCCGUCGUUUCUGACCCGAGAACCCGAACUACCCGCCAUGCACCCAGGUGUGCAGUGUGCCGAUCAACCAGCGAGCGACGCCGUCGUUGCUGAUCCGAGUUCACCGAGCCACUCCCUGCAUCUACCACCACGAACCGAGAUUCAACCCACUGCCUGAAAUUUGUCCCAGAUUUCGGCCUGUGUAUCUGUUUUGCGUGCCCAGAUUCGAUUGAACCGAGUGCACCCACUUCACAAUGGCUCCCUGUGCUUGUCCUUUUUCAAAUGGAUUUGACCGAACCGGACAUGAGAGUAGGACCGAUCGAGACCAGUUCAAGACUUGUGAUCCCCACUGUAACAAGUCGUGUACCUCGAUUGUCGAAUCGAAAAUAGAUUCUAAUAUAGGUAACAAAGGUAAGGCUUUAAAAGUUUCUGCAUCUGUUACGAAUAAUACAUGGAUAAUUGAUUCCGGUGCUACUGAACAUAUGACUUGUGAAUCUAGGCAGGUACAAAUCCUAAAACCACCCACCAAAACUGUUGUGAGUGUUGCCAACGGUAAUGUUGUUCUCAUUAUUGGAGAAGGCACUGUCUCCCUGUCAAAUACCCUUAGUCUUGAUACCGUGCUUGUUGUUCCUUCUCUUGACCAUAAUUUAUUAUCUGUUGCUCAAAUAACUGUCGCCCUGCAUUGUCUUGUGAUUUUUUGGCCUUCCUUUUGUGUUUUUAAGGACAUUCGGACUCACAAGACGAUUGGUUAUGGUAUUAGGAAGGGGAAGCUCUAUUACUUGGAGCUGACAUCAAACAGUUUUCGAAUGUUGACUCACGCUCUUGCAGUGGACGGAAAUUCGGGGGAUAGGAAUAAAGCUUCGGAGGUUUGGUUGUGGCAUCGUCGACUUGGACAUGCUUCUUUCGGCUAUCUACGGAGGUUGUUUCCUAGCCUAUUUGUUAAGCAUGAUGUUUCUAGCUUUAAAUGUGGUGUUUGUGAACUAGCUAAAAGUCAUCGUGCUUCGUUUCCAUCCAGUUUGAAUAAAAGUUCUGUUCCAUUUAUGAUAAUUCAUUCUGAUGUUUGGGGUCCAUCUAAAACUGCUACAUUUGGUGGUGCUCAUUGGUUCGUUACUUUUAUUGAUGAUUGCACACGUAUGACUUGGGUUUGUUUGAUGAAAUCCAAAGGUGAAGUUACUUCUUUGUUUCAACAGUUUUACAAAAUGGUACAAGUACAAUAUAAGUCACAAAUACAGGUUCUCAGGAGUGAUAAUGGUGGCGAAUAUGUUAACUCUGAACUUCGUGCCUUUCUUGAUCAUCAUGGGAUUGUUCAUCAAACUACAUGUCCAUAUACUCCACAACAAAAUGGGGCUGCCGAAUGCAAGAACCGUCAGCUUCUGGAGGUUGUUCGUGCUUCUUUACUCGAGGCUCGUCUCCCGUUAUCCUAUUGGGGAGAAGCUCUCACCUCAGCUGCGUAUCUCAUUAAUCGUGUUCCAUCCCGAUCGGUUGAUUUUCAGACACCCCUUCAGGCAUUUUCUUUACAUGUUGAUGCUCCUGCAUUCCCUAAUCUUCCACCUCAUGUGUUUGGAUGUGUGGCCUUCGUUCAUCUUCAUAAACAACAGCGAAGUAAGCUUGAACCUCGAGCCUUACGAUGUGUGUUUGUGGGGUAUGCAUCAAGGCAGAAAGGAUACCGUUGUUAUCACCCACCGACGAAUAAGUUGUUUGUCACUAUGGAUGUUGCGUUUCAUGAGAAUGAUAUGUACUUUGCCAAUCUCGAGUCUUCACUUCAGGGGGAGAAUCAGAAAGAAGUUCAAACUCUUGAUUAUACUAUUCCAGAUAUAGAUAGAGUGAAUGAUUUGGAUUUAAGUGGUGAUGUCUUGGAAAUAAGUGGUGAUCAUUCACACGAAAAUAAUGAUGUGAAUGAAUUGGAAUUAAGUGGUAAUGUCUUGGAGACAAGUGGUGAUCAUUCACAUGGAAACAAUGUUGAAAACCUUGAAAGGGAUGAGUCGACAUCGCCAGAUAACUCACUGCCUGAUAGCUCACUGCCAGUUUCCUCACCACCGGACAACCCUGUGUCGCCAGCUACCUCACAGUCGAUCUUGAGUCCCAAUAACCAUAAUCAAUCGUCUUCGAUCCCGGAUGCACCACCACCACGUCGUCUCCCUGAUCGCAUCAACCGAGGUAUUCUUAAACUUACUUAUGAAGCCGACCCUAAAUGCAAAACUAGGUAUCCGGUGAGUAAGCCCAACCCUGAGUCUAAUGUGUUAUACCCGUUAAGUAAUUAUGUGUCUACCAGUCACCUGUCAGAAUCAAAUAAGUCAUUUGUGCAUCAAUUAUCUACUGUAUCUAUUCCUAACAGUGUGUAAGAGGCUUUAACUGAUCCACGUUGGCAAGUAGCAAUGAAUGAAGAGUUGAAGUCUUUGAAGAAGAAUGCUACCUGGGAGAUCACAGAUUUGCCAGCUGGCAAGAAACCUGUGGGAUGCAAAUAGGUCUAUACUGUGAAAUACAAAGCAGAUGGGACGGUGGAUCGUUUCAAGGCAAGACUGGUAGCAAAAGGAUAUACUCAAAAAUAUGGAAUCGACUACACAGAUACAUUUGCAGGAGUAGCCAAGAUCAACACAGUUCGUGUUUUGUUGUCCUUGGCUGCAAAUCUUAAUUGGCCUUUACAACAGUUCGAUGUGAAGAACGCCUUCUUGCAUGGAGACUUGACAGAAUAAAUUUAUAUGGAUCUUCCACCGGGAUGUAAUGCUCCAGAUAAAUACAAAAGAAAAGUGUGCAGAUUGAAGAAAUCUUUGUAUGUCUUGAAGCAGUCCCCUCGAGCAUGGUUUGGAAGAUUCACAAAAUCUAUGAAAGCAUUUGGUUACAGACAAAGUAACUCUGAUCAUACUUUGUUCCUGAAAAGACAGAAUGGGAAGCUUACUGCACUUAUUGUGUAUGUAGACGAUAUGGUGGUAACAGGUAAUGAUCCGGAAGAACGUGCGGCCUUGCAAAGAUACCUGUCUACAGAAUUUGAAAUGAAUGACCUUGGAUCCCUGAAAUAUUUUUUAGGGAUUGAGGUGUCGAGAAGCAGUUCUGGAAUUUUCUUGUCUCAGAGGAAGUAUAUUAUUGAUUUGUUGCACGAAACUGACAUGUCAGCUUGUCAGCCAGUAGCUACACCAUUAGAAGAAGGAUUGAAGCUUAGUGUUGAUCCUAAUCAAGUACCAAUUGACAAAGGAAGAUACCAAAGGUUAGUAGGCCGUUUGAUGUAUUUGGCACACACAAGACUGGACCUUGCUUAUGCCUUGAGUGUAGUGAGUAAAUACAUGCAUGAUCCUGGAGAACAACAUAUGAAUGCCGUGACGAGAAUAUUGCGAUAUUUGAAGGGAAGUCCGGGCAAAGGAAUUUUGUUUAAGAGGAAUAAUCACUUUAGUGUUGAAGGUUAUACUGAUGCAGACUGGGCAGGUUCCAUUGAUGAUAGACGCUCAACAUCAGGUUACUUUACGUUUGUUGGGGGUAACUUGGUUACAUGGAGAAGUAAGAAACAGAAUGUGGUUGCCCGUUCCAGUGCAGAAGCAGAAUACAGAGGUAUGGCUUUGGGGAUUUGUGAAAUUUUGUGGCUUAAGCUUCUGUUAAGCGAUUUGGGUAUACAACAUGAUCAGCCCAUGAAAUUAUUUUGUGAUAAUAAAGAUGCUCGUGACAUUGCACAUAAUCCGGUACAACAUGAUAGAACAAAGCAUGUUGAAGUUGAUUGGUUCUUCAUCAAAGAAAAAUUGGAAGGGAAAAUAAUUGAAGUACCAGCGAUAAGAACAGAAGAUCAGUUGGCAGAUAUCCUCACAAAAGCUGUUUCGAGUCACAAGUUUUCAAGUUUCUUACACAAGUUAGGCAUGAUCGACAUAUAUUCACCAACUUGAGGGAGAGUGUUGACUUUUGUAUUUUAGGUAGGAUCCCUAAUUGAUAUGUAAUCCCAUGUAAUCACUUGUAAUUAGUUUUUCUUUCCUUUUAUGUUAGGGUUGUACACCUAUAAGUUCCUCUUAUUGAGAAGAAUAUAUCAUCAUUCAAAGCAUUCUCUUCUUAUAUUCGAUCCCUUGACUCCAAGAGAAAUCUUGUACAUAGUCUUGAUAGUUAAGGGAGACUUCCUUAUUUGGAAUAAAUGUAUUUAUCAAGAGAGUCAUUAGGUAUGAAGUCAUAUAUUAGAGCGCUCUUUGAUCCCUCGACACAAUAUCCAAAAAGUUGCACCACAUUGGCACGGUGAAUCCUUCCGAUUGUAGCUAUUUCGCUAAUGAAAUCUUGGCCAUCAGCUUUGGGCUUGCCCAAAACUUUAACUGCUACAAAUCGGCCACUGCGUAGCUUUCCUUUAAAUACAAAGCCAAAGGCACCUUCGCUCAACUUGUCCUUAAACCUGCAAGUCAUUUUCUUGAUGUUCGAGUAAGAGUACCUUAUAGGCAUGAAGUUAUUGCAUUGCAAAAAAUCUUCUAUUGUGCUAUACAUUGAUAAAUGUCUUUUGCGCCAUGUAGAUUAAAAAUGCAGUCACAACUACAACUCCAAAAACAAAUCUGGCUAGGAAAAAUAACCCUGCAUGCAUUGACAUUAGUAUGUUAGAUCCACUGUACUACUUUUUCUUCCCUUUCUUUCCAAAUUACUUUGUCUUUGAUGUAAUUAAAGAGAGAAUGGGAAAUCUACAUAUGCUGAUAAUACAAUCUCGUAUUAGUUCUUACCGAUGCAUAUGAGUAUAAACCAUCCACGUACUGCAACAUAAUUAAUCGACAAUGAGUUUCAAAAGUGCAUAAAGUGAAGAAAAAAAAAUUUGAAAAAAAUCAAAGGGUGCCUCUAUUGACACCCAAAUUUUAGUUAGUUUCACUCAACUAAAAAAAAAAUUCAUCGAACUUUUUAAUUUGCCUUCGAAAUUGAGUUCACCCAACCCACCAACCAGCAAGCACCACUCAACCAAAAAAUGAACAACACAAAGAGCUGGCAUCGACGCUGUCGAUGAAGGAGGGACAUGAGGAUGGUGUAGUUUCGUCUGGCGCGCGGUAGUGGUUUUGUCUGUUCAUUUUCUCUUUCUUUUGGUAGGUGGAGGCUGGUGUGGAUUUGGGCGAACUUAAAAAUGAGGGGAAACUAUGAAGUUUGACAAAAUGUUUUAGUUAGGUGAACUUAACUAAAAUUUGGGUGCUAAAAAAGGUACCCAAAAUCAAAAGGCUUUUGUUUACCCAAUGCUAUGUACAGGUUUGACUUUUGUUUAUAUUCUUGGAUCUGUUGCUUGGUUGUAUAAUUUGGAUGUGGUUUUGUUUCAAGAUAAUUUGUUCUUCGUUUCUUGAGGCUUUUGUGUGUAGAUUUGAAACCGUUUAGCUUUCAAGCCGUUUAUACUCAAGGUAAAUAAUUUCGUUUUUUUCUUUUUAACCUUUUUUGUAAGAAUUUUUUAUUUAAUUUUGUGAGAGUUGUGUUUUCUAUAGUAUGAAAAUUGAAUCUUUGUGAUCUUAUAUCCUUAGAUAUGUUGCUUGGUUAUAUGAUUUGGCUGUGUGCAUUGUUUCAGGACAAUUUGUUCUUCGUUUUUGGGGCUUCUGUGCGUAGUUUUGAAGCCUUUUGUAGUCAACAUAAAUAAUUUUAUUUUUCUUUGUUUCUAGUCUUCUUUGUAAGAAUUUCUUAGUUAAUAUUUUGAGAAUUAUGUUUACUAUAGUAUGAAAACUGAAUCUUUGUGAUCUUCUAAGUGAUGUAACGUCAUUGCACCAUGUAUGACUGCCAUUAUCGAACAUGAAAAGCUUUUUUAUUUCUGUACUCCGUCCUUUCAUACGAUCUGCCUCAAAAAUGGUUUCAUUACAAGUUCUAACAUGAUUUUUGCGAUGUCUUAUGAAAAAACAAUGUCCACCAAAACAAUAGGAAAACGUCGCCGUCUGCUCUUCUUGGCUGAGCUUCAUGACUGGCCGAAUUCCCCUAUUCCCUUCCUCUUAUACUUUUUUGUAUUCGUUCACCAAAACAAUAGGAAAACGUCGCCGUCCGUUUGAUUGACGGCGAAAGAAAAAGACAGAGAAUAAAAGCCUGACGGAAUAUUGCGAUUUGAGAAAAAAAAGAAAGAACCACGUUGACAUAAUAUACUCACAAUAGGUGUACAAGGUUAAUAAAGCUUUACUGUGGUUCCAUUUUUUUGCAUACUUCAAAGGCUCUGAAUUGCUAAUGGAAUUAGCCUUUAGUUUUAGGAAGAAACUUGGAACCCCCUCCGUCCGUUCUAUCCCCAAUGGAAUUAACACUUGGAUAGUACUAUGACAAUGUGUCAUUAUUUGAUGCAUACCUGUAUAAAUUUAGGCUAAGUGUUUUAUACACAAAUUGGUACAGAUUAAGCUUCUGGGAGCAAAAUCAUAUACGGGAGAGCUAACUAUACAAUGAUACAUUCUUAUCUGUUAAUUAUCUUUGGUUACCAGCUAUCCAUGUUGCUGACAUAUUAAAUUACACAACAUCUAUUGUAAUUUAUGUCUUAUUAGUAACAUAAUGAUCUGGUUUCAAUUUGCUACAGGCAUUAUUUCCUGACAAUAGCUAUGGUUUUGAUUAUAGCUGUGACUGAAAAAUUAUUCCGAAACUAACAUUUGAGGAAUUCAAGGUUUGUUAGUUAAUUUGUACAUCAGAAUACCAUGACAAACUGUGAAGUUGUAAUUGUUGACCUUACAAUGUAUCUUUUUUGGUUUGGAGCAUUAGACUUAUAUGUGCUACUUUCACUUCAUGAAGGCUAACUCUUUAUUUUAGGCCUUAGAAUAUAAUUUCUUGGAGAAUCUACAUUGUUGUUGAUAAUUUUUUGAACAAUAUUAUCCCCAAAAUUUCUCCGCAUGUUACCCUCAACGUAGACAUCAUAUAACCAUCAUUGAACUUCUGAACCAAAAAUUUGAGUUUUGUGAUUAUAACUAAACAUCUAUAAACACAUGAUACAGAUUGAGACGAACGUCAAAUUUAAAAUGGCAUUAAUCAGGACAGCUGCAAACUCUGAUUUGCGGCCUUUGAAAUGGAGAAGUUACUUCUUGCUUCACUUCAGCAGCAUAGUCCAGCUUCUAAAUUCAGUUCUCAGGUAUGAGGUUUCUCAGUUACCUCUUUUUUGUAAUAAAACAUUUGACCAGUACUUGCCAGGAUAUCCAAUUAAUUAGGUCAGUUUUUGUCAGCCGUAAUAAUUUGUUUUUGCAACUUUAUAUGUGUCUCUGUCUCCAAAUGAUGAUCUCUUAAUUUGCUUCUAUAGCUUUUGUAAUAUGAUGAUCUCUUAAUUUGCUUUUGCAUAUCUUCUUUGCUUCCUCUGCUAGCUCUAUAUGAGAUUCCAUCUCCAAAUAAUUAUUAUUAUUUCCUAUUUUUACAGGAAGCAAAUCAUUGAAUACACAUGGAAAAUUAAAAGGGUUUUAGUUUUUGGAUUAGUUUAAAUUUUUUGUUUGUUAUUGCUUGUAUUGCUGUUAAAUAUUUGAUGGGUAGUUUGAAAUGGGGAACUUGGUUGAUCGAGUAUUAACUUUUAUUAAAUUAAUAUUCUUAUUCAAUAUUGAAUUAAGACUCCUCUUAUUAAAUUAAGACUCUUAAGGCUCUAAUCUAAUUUUCAUGCUCAACAUCUCCUCUAUCUUUCUACAAUUGGUAAAACUUUUGUAUUAUUAUUCCAAUUUUGGUUACUGGGUUGUGGAAUUUUCCAUUUUUUUCUGGGUAAUCAAUACUAUAUAUAUGCAUGAAAAGUAUAAACAAUAUUUUGGGUCAAAUUUAGUUGUUUAAUUUUUUAUUUUUUUUGUGACAGUGAGAUUAUGGUAGGAUUUCGUUUAGAUUCCGUGGCCCAAUGGGAGUCUCUGCUUUGAUAAGAUUGGGGUUGAUGCCAAGAAAGCCUUUCUACUGUGGACGCCGCAGCCGCCUAGCGCUGUUUUCCAAAAUCCUCUCUCACUUGGGUAAGCAAUUACGACUUUUUGGUUCAGUUUUUAUUAUGCCCAAUUUUGUAUUUAAACUGAUUUGGGGUUACUGAAAUAGGCAUGCUUGAUGAGUGCUGCAGAGCUGCCAUCCCUGAAUCAGAAGAUGUUCAGAAGGAAGAAGGAAGAACAAGAAGAAAAAGAAGAAGAAAGUCGUGGAAUAUCAAAAGCUUUUAGCUUUGUGAAGGUAUGCUUUUUCCCAACUCAUCUCUUGCUUUUGUUGCACUGAAUUGGUAGAUUGGGUUCAAAAUAUAUAUAUAUGUGAUUUUUUGUGUAACUAUUCUUUACAUAAUUACCAAUUGGAGGUGAUUUGAGAUCAUGUAACAUUUCCUCGCCAGAACCGAAGAUUGCCGUCGCUCAAAGCUGCGUUUCAUGAAACAAGUUCAUCUCCUGCCAAUUUUGUGUACCCACUUUUUAUUCAUGAGGGUUGGUGCUUGCUUGCAACAUAAUUUGGUGCUAUUAAGUUUUGCGGUUUUACAAUCUGUUCAUGCUUAAACCUCUUUCAAAUUUUCAUUUCUGUGUAAAUCUAGCAGGUAGGUCGACACACCUAUCUGGGCAAUGUCGGGAUGUCUAGGCUUGGGUGGAGACAUGGACUUAUGAAAGAGGUGAAGUAGCUUAGUUCGAUCUCAUUAGCUCUUAUCUAAAAAGUUCUAUUGAUUUUAUAAUCAAAGAUACAUAUAUUAUAGAAACAUAGGGUAUAUCAUUAAUUUCUUGAUGUAAACAAUUAUAACUUGAGCAACCAUUUAAAGUAUUUUGGUAAUCAGCAUACUUAAACUUAAAUGUGAUAUAUCCGUUUAGUUUUUUUUUUUAUACAGUGAUAAUACUCAAGUAUAAUUUACAUCAUAUAUCUUUUGAAGUACAUGAAACUAUGAAGAAAAUGAUAAACCAAAUCCCAUUCCAUCUCCGUUUGCUACUGCACAAUCACAAUCCAAUUCCAACAUGGAAUCCUCAGACGACAUGCCUACUGCAGAACAAGUUUCAUCUUGACUUAACUUCUAUUUAGUCCACUUCUUGUUUAGAUUGUAAUCCUAGUUCUACGUGUGUUUGUAUAGUACUCCUAUAAAUAUCAAUGAACAUCGCUCACUCUAAUUAAGAGUUGAGAUUCUGCAAAUCAUAUUUACUAUCUUUCAUGGUAUCACGAGCCAGGGUCUAACGACAACAGUUCAUGUUAUAAUUUUUUUCUCUUCUGCAGAUCCUAAACUAUGGCAUCUUCUUCCUCCUCCGCUGCUCCCUCCGUCUCAAAUUUUCUUACGAUUAAGCUCGACCGCAACAACUACCCUCUUUGGCGUGCUCAAUUUCUUCCCUUGCUGCGCAGCCGCAACUUACUCUCUUAUGUUACUGGCGAAACUCAAUGCCCCUCUGCCUUUCUUCUUGAUGACAAUGGUAAAUUCACAGACAAAGUCAAUCCAUUAUAUAAUGAAUGGAUCCAGACUGACGAGAUGAUCCUAUCUUGGAUUACGAGUUCUCUUACUCCCAAGGUUCUUGCUACGAUCGUCAACAAAAUUGAUAAAGCCUCUGCUUGGUCGUCAAACCCGAAUUAAUCUGAUUAUGGGGGUUUUGUUUUAUAUCAAUAUAUUGCAGCAGAAGUCGCACUUUGAAGAGUUCGUGCUGCACAGAAAGAUGAUGAAAUGCUACCUGUUGAGUCUAUCAUUGCUCCAUUGGAGACAGAGCUGAAGCUUGCUGCAGGAGUUAUACAUUUGUUAUGCAAUAUGACCCCUUUAAUUUUAUUUUAAAACUGAUACAAAAAUACUACAAAAAUUUAUGUAGUAUUUUUGUAUCAGUUUUGAGUGUCUAUUUUGGCUUCCAUAUUUCGUCUGUACAUGUGAGAGGUAUAGUGUUCAAUAUGUAUUUGGUUUCUAUAUUGUUAAUGGAUCUUCUUUUUUUUCUUUUUUUUUCUUUUUUUUUAAAGAUAACCAAGUUGCAGGAUGACAGCAGAACACUUGAUCUGCAGGUAAACCUUCAAUUUCCAUAUGAAGUUUGCAUGUUCGUUGUUUCUGGAAUUUGAGUUUUUAUUAUUUAUCAAUUCUAUCACAUAGAUUACGAUUUCACAUAUGGGAUUAUUAAUGGCAAUUAGAUGAUAGAAGAAUUGGGAUUGGAAGAAGAUAUUGAGUUGUUUAUUUAUGGGGAUUAGAAAAUGAUUAUCAUACGAGUGAUAUUUAUUUUUGUGUGGAUUGUUAAUAUAUAAAACUAUAAGCUUUUGAGAUUGGGAGACAAAACCCACACAUUCAAAUCAGACAAAAUAAAUAAAAAAUUUAACUGACUUAAAGAUCAAACUCCAAAAGGGUAUUAAAAACAAGGCUUAUUUGAUCCAUUGAGUGUGAAAGUUUUGAGCUUUGAAGAAGCAGAGGAGGAGAGUUGUUAACCAAGCUGCAUUAUCCAUGUAUUAGGAUGUUGAAGGUAGGCAGGAAAAUUACUUUUUGACGCCAUAUCCAGAGGAGCAUAACGACAGGCCUGCAUUUUUGCAGCAAUGACCAAAACAAGUAGAAGUGAAGGCUUGACUGUUUGGGUAUUCAUCCUAAACCUAAUUAUUCUUAUUUAGGUUUAGGAUAAAUGAUUGAGUGUGUCUCGAUGAUUGUAUUACUAUGUUUGAUGAAUGAUUUGAGGAGUUGGAAAUGGUUUAUUGCUUAUCUUUUUUUUAGGUGUGUACUUUGGUUAUUUCCGAGCUUUUCAUGACUUUUGAUACCUAAUAGAGAAUAUGGAAACCCCAACUUUAAUUUUAUGAAUUGGUUUUGGUGCCUAAAAUGAAAUCUAGCAUAGUGAAAUCUUGCAUAAUGAAAUUAUGACAAAUUUCCCUUCAUCUUUAGAUUUUCAUUUAAUUCAAUUCGUAUGCAAUUUAGGGUUAUUCAAUUCAUGAGUGAUCAAAUUAUGUUUUUAAUUCCUUCUUUUGAUUUACAGUUCAACAUUGUCGUACAAAAUGAAAAAGGCGCCAGUAACAGAGUUAUGGAUUUGGAUGCCUUUAGUGGAAUAAAACUGAAUUUUUUAACUUUGUAUAGUUGUAAACAUAAAAUACUCCAUGAGAUAGACUCAUAGCUUUUGAAAACAAUCCUUGAGGAUGGCAUAACAACAUCUCCAACUUUUGUCAUGUAAUGUAUGAAUGUCAAUAGCACUUCGUAAACAUAUGGAUGUAAUAUAUGUAUAUAAACACUCUUUAGCAUGUAUAUUUUUCAAAACUUUCUACAUCUUCAACAAUGUUUCAAUGAUUUCUUGAUGUAAACAAUGAUAAUUUGAAGAACCAUUUAAAGUAUUUUGGUAAUCAGCAUACUUAAGCUUAAAUGUGAUAUAUCCGUUUAUUAUUUUUUAUACAGUAAUAAUACUCAAGUAUAAUUUACAUCAUAUAUCUUUUGAAGUACAUGAAACUAUGAAGAAAAAACCCUAAUUAAUCUAAUUAUGGGGGUUUUGUUUUAUAUCAAAAUAUUGCAGCAAAAGUCACACUUUGAAGAGUUCACGCUGCAUAGAAAGACGAUGAAAUGCUAUCUGUUGAGUCCAUCAUUGCUCCAUUGGAGACAGAGCUGAAGCUUGAUGCAGGUGGUAUACUUUUGUUCUGCAAUAUGAUCCCUUUAAUUUUAUUUUAAGAUAGAUAGGGUUGAAAAAAAUUUAUGUAGUAUUUUUUUUUUUCAGUUUUGAGUGUCUAUUUUGGCUUCCAUAUUUGGUCUGUACAUGUGAGGUAUAGAAUGUUCAAUAUGUAUUUGGUUUCUAUAUUGUUAAUGGAUCUAUUUUUUUUUUUAGGUAACCAAGUUGCAGGAUGAAAACAGAACACUUGAUCUGCAGGUAAACCUCCAAUUUCCAUAUGAAGUUUGCAUUUUCGUUAUUUCUGAAAUUUGAGUUUUUACAGGAUGAAAACAGAACACUUGAUUUGCAGGUAAACACUUGAUUGGUUAUUUCCGAGCUUUUCACGACUUUUGAUACCCAAUAGAGAAUAUGGAAACCCCAACUUUAAUUUUAUGAAUUGGUUUUGGUGCCUAAAAUGAAAUCUAGCAUAGUGAAAUCUUGCAUAAUGAAAUUAUGACAAAUUUCCCUUCAUCUUUAGAUUUUCAUUUAAUUCAAUUCGUAUGCAAUUUAGGGUUAUUCAAUUCAUGAGUGAUCAAAUUAUGUUUUUAAUUCCUUCUUCUUUUGAUUUACAGUUCAACAUUGUUGUACAAAAUGAAAAAGGCGCUAGUAACAGAGUUAUGGAUUUGUAUGCCUUUAGUGGAAUAAAACUGAAUUUUUUAACUUUGUAUAGUUGUAAACAUAAAAUACUCCAUGAGAUAGACUCAUAGCUUUUGAAAACAAUCCUUGAGGAUGGCAUAACAACAUCUCCAACUUUUGUCAUGUAAUGUAUGAAUGUAAAUAGCACUUCGUAAACAUAUGGAUGUAAUACAUGUAUAUAAACACUCUUUAGCAUGUAUAUUUUUCAAAACUUUCUACAUCUUCAACAAUGUUUCAAUGAUUUCUUGAUGUAAACAAUGAUAAUUUGAAGAACCAUUUAAAGUAUUUUGGUAAUCAGCAUACUUAAGCUUAAAUGUGAUAUAUCCGUUUAUUAUUUUUUAUACAGUGAUAAUACUCAAGUAUAAUUUACAUCAUAUAUCUUUUGAAGUACAUGAAACUAUGAAGAAAAAACCCUAAUUAAUCUGAUUAUGGGGGUUUUGUUUUAUAUCAAAAUAUUGCAGCAAAAGUCACACUUUGAAGAGUUCACGCUGCAUAGAAAGACGAUGAAAUGCUAUCUGUUGAGUCCAUCAUUGCUCAAUUGGAGACAGAGCUGAAGCUUGAUGCAGGUGGUAUACUUUUGUUCUGCAAUAUGAUCCCUUUAAUUUUAUUUUAAGAUAGAUAGGGUCGAAAAAACUUUAUGUAGUAUUUUUUUUUUUCAGUUUUGAGUGUCUAUUUUGGCUUCCAUAUUUGGUCUGUACAUGUGAGGUAUAGAAUGUUCAAUAUGUAUUUGGUUUCUAUAUUGUUAAUGGAUCUAUUUUUUUUUUUAGGUAACCAAGUUGCAAGAUGAAAACAGAACACUUGAUCUGCAGGUAAACCUCCAAUUUCCAUAUGAAGUUUGCAUUUUCGUUAUUUCUGGAAUUUGAGUUUUUGCAGGAUGAAAACAGAACACUUGAUUUGCAGGUAAACACUUGAUUGGUUAUUUCCGAGCUUUUCACGACUUUUGAUACCCAAUAGAGAAUAUGGAAACCCCAACUUUAAUUUUAUGAAUUGGUUUUGGUGCCUAAAAUGAAAUCUAGCAUAGUGAAAUCUUGCAUAAUGAAAUUAUGACAAAUUUCCCUUCAUCUUUAGAUUUUCAUUUAAUUCAAUUCGUAUGCAAUUUAGGGUUAUUCAAUUCAUGAGUGAUCAAAUUAUGUUUUUAAUUCCUUCUUCUUUUGAUUUACAGUUCAACAUUGUUGUACAAAAUGAAAAAGGCGCUAGUAAUAGAGUUAUGGAUUUGGAUGCCUUUAGUGGAAUAAAACUGAAUUUUUUAACUUUGUAUAGUUGUAAACAUAAAAUACUCCAUGAGAUAGACUCAUAGCUUUUGAAAACAAUCCUUGAGGAUGGCAUAACAACAUCUCCAACUUUUGUCAUGUAAUGUAUGUAAAUAGCACUUCGUAAACAUAUGGAUGUAAUAUAUGUAUAUAAACACUCUUUAGCAUGUAUAAUUUUCAAAACUUUCUACAUCUUCAACAAUGUUUCAAUGAUUUCUUGAUGUAAACAAUGAUAAUUUGAAGAACCAUUUAAAUUAUUUUGGUAAUCAACAUACUUAAGCUUAAAUGUGAUAUAUCCGUUUAGUAUUUUUUAUACAGUGAUAAUACUCGAGUAUAAUUUACACCAUAUAUCUUUUGAAGUACAUGAAACUAUGAAGAAAAAACCCUAAUUAAUCUGGUUAUGGGGGUUUUGUUUUAUAUCAAAAUAUUGUAGUAGAAGUCACACUUUGAAGAGUUCACGUUGCAUAGAAAGACGAUGAAAUGCUAUAUGUUGAGUCCAUCAUUGCUCCAUUGGAGACAGAGCUGAAGCUUGCUGCAGGUGGUAUACUUUUGUUCUGCAAUAUGACCCCUUUAAUUUUAUUUUAAGACAGAUAGGGUUGAAAAAAAUUUAUGUAGUAUUUUUGUAUCAGUUUUGAGUGUCUAUUUUGGCUUCCAUAUUUGGUCUGUACAUGUGAGGUAUAGAGUGUUCAAUAUGUAUUUGGUUUCUAUAUUGUUAAUGGAUCUAUUUUUUUUUUAGGUAACCAAGUUGCAGGAUGAAAACAGAACACUUGAUCUACAUGUAAACCUUCAAUUUCCAUAUGAAGUUUGCAUUUUCGUUGUUUCUGGAAUUUGAGUUUUUGCAGGAUGAAAACAGAACACUUGAUCUGCAGGUAAACACUUGAUUGAUUAUUUCCGAGCUUUUCACGACUUUCGAUACCCAAUAGAGAAUAUGGAAACCCCAACCUUAAUUUUAUGAAUUGGUUUUGGUGCCUAAAAUGAAAUCUAGCAUAGUAAAAUCUUGCAUAAUGAAAUUAUGACAAAUUUCCCUUCAUCUUUACAUUUUCAUUUAGUUCAAUUUGUACGCAGUUUAGGGUUAUUCAAUUCAUGAGUGAUCAAAUUAUGUUUUUAAUUCCUUCUUUUGAUUUUCAGUUCAGCAUUAUCGUAUUUUGGAUGCCUUUAGUGGAAUAAAACUUAAUUUUUUUAACUAUGUAUAGUUGUAAACAUAAAAUACUCCAUGAGAUAGACUCAUAGCUUUUAAAAACAAUCUUUGAGGAUGGCAUAACAACAUCUCCAACUUUUGUCAUGUAAUGUAUGAAUGUAAAUAGCACUUUGCAAACAUAUGGAUGUAAUAUAUGUAUUUAAACACCACUCUUUAGCAUAUAUAUUUUUCAAAACUUUCUACAUCUUCAACAAUGUUUGAAGCCCCGCAACAAUGGGCGGGUACACUUGCUAGUAUACAUCUAAAAUUAUAAGACUAAAUCCUUUAGUUCUUGGAUUCAUCUAAGAACUACUUAUUCCAGCAGAUGUUAUGCUUGCACUACUAGAAUUUAUGGCUUGCCCUGUCAACUAUUGCGCGACAGAAGACUUCGUCGGUUUCACCUUUUUUAACCGACAUAAUAUAAGUUUAGUAGGGCAAAAUCAGUCAACAAACUGGGUUGACUGAAUAGAUUUACAGGAUGUCUAGAGUUCGUAGGUUAAGACAUCAGUCGUUGGGCAAACAUUUGGAGCGAAGAUGUGAGUGUUUUAACUGACGAAUAAGCUGGUCGUCAUGUAGAUCUUCUUUCCCGACUGAUGGUUCAACGAGUAGCUCUUUGGAUAACAAUUCAUCUUCAAGGGGAACAGGUUGCCCCUCAAAUGAAUGGUUAGAGGCAAUUGUGAGACUAUAAUUUUCUAGGGCCGGAAUAUCUAUAACCAUCCACCAAAUACCCCUUCUUCCCUUUCUAUUUCUCUCUCAGUAAUUUCCCCUGACCGAAUCACACAAUCCAACCAACUCUCUUUAAGCCUCACUCAUCGAUUCCAUGGAUUUCAUGGACUUAUCCCACCCUCUCUCCUUCCCCCUAUAUAUAGCAAGUCCCCUUGCCUCAGUGUCCCUGGCAACAAAAUUUAUGGCGUGUAUUCGGUCUUUCAAUUAUUUGAAAGCUUCCCUGCCUUGCAGUCUUGUACAAAGGCGUAUGGUGUUUCAUUAGUUCCAUUUGGUGGUUGGGUGGGAAAUGAAAUUAAAACACUGCAUUUCCAAUGGUCUAAACCAAAUUGAAUCAAAUGUGAAGCAAAGGGCAAGAAGUGUAGAUUGAAGAACAAUGGCACCAAGAGCGAAAUUGAACUUGUUGACAGGAGGAAACCAAGUAAGGAUAACGCGUCUAAAUCUUAUUUCGAAUCCAUUCAGCUCAUGAUGUUUUUAAUGAUGAUGAUCGGUAUACUUUGCUACAUGCUGUGAUUUUUCCGCUUUCAUGUAAUUAACGGCUUAUAUUUGUGGUAACGAUAUUGAUUAAUUUUGAGAAAUGACAGUCUAAUUUUUGCAACUGUCUUUUGCAGGCAAAACAAAGACGUUUGCAAGGGUGAGUUAUGUAGGACCAAUGUUUAGCUUUGUUUCAUGUCCAAAUGACACUUGAGAAUAAAUGUUUACUCAUGGAUAAUAUCUAUCUAUUUGCAGGAGCAACCCUGGGUUUAUUUGUUCUUUUACUACUGGUCAUUGCCGCAUAUCACGCCUAUAGCACUGACAAAAGUAAAAAGAAAAUCGAAUGAAAUUUGGUAAGUUUUCAGCGGACUACAAAGAUCUUAAGCCAAGCAUAUAUUCCCAUUCAGAUAUUAAGAGGUUUACAAAUCAAUUCAAGUACAAGUUGGGCCAAGGAGCAUACAUAAUUGUUUUUAAAGGAUAGUUUUUUUCUGAAUGCUUUGUUGCCAUGAAAGUACUUAACAUUUCCAAGGGUGACGGGGAAGAGCUUGUAAAUGAAGUGGGGAACAAUGGGCCAUAUUCACCAUGUCAAUGUGGUUCACUUGGUUGGUUUUUGUGCUGAUGGAUUUAGAUGAGCUCUGGUUUAUGAGUUCUUUUCCUUUGGUUCACUCCAGGAUUAUAUUUCAUCAGUAGAUAGAUUUCUUUCCUUGGUUGGCAUAAGUUGCAAGAUAUUGCUAUCAGCAUAGCCAAAGGAACCAGGGAUGUGAUCUACAAAUCCUCCAUUUCGAUAUCAAACCCCAUAAUGUUUUGCUCGACCAAAAAAUCACGCCAAAAAUCUCUGAUUUUGGUCUGGCCAAGUUAUGUUCCAAGGAUCAAUCAAUGUGACUAAAGCAAGGGGGACCAUGUGACUAAAGUACCCGAAGUGUUUUCCAGGAAUUUCGGAAAUGUGUCUUACAAGGCAGAUGUCUUGAAUGCUGCUGCUUGAGAUGGUAGGAGAAAAGAAGAAUAUUGGUUCAACUAGAGGACACAACAAAUGAAAUCUACUAUCCAAAAUGGAUUUAUAAUCUUCUAGAGGAAGGAAAUGACCAACAGAUCCCUAUUGAGGAAGAAUGUUAUGGUAAGAUUCCAAAGCAACUUGCAAGUUUAGGGCUCUGGUGCAGCCAGUGACACUCGGUGGAUCGGCAGUCCAUGAAAACGGUGGUUCGGAUGUUAGGAGGAGGAGAAAACUUGAUGAUGCAAGCAAUCCUAAAAGCCUCAUACAGUUAGAAGUAAUUGCUGAAUUAGAGUAACAUAUGUAUAUGUAUACGCACCAACACUAGUCGUUCUUAGAUGAAUCCAAGCCAAACAAUUACAGACAACAGUUAUUCACUAAAUCACUUUAAGGCAAGAAUUUAAUUAAUAAUACAUUACUGCACUUUCUUAACCAUUUGACCAUCACCUAGCAGACAAUGAACACGUUAGCUCCGCGUUAGAACAUCUUGGGUUCAAUUCAUUGUCUUGAAUAUCACCCUCUGUCACAGGCGUCUCUAGGGGGCAUAGAGAAGGCCUGAGAGGCAUUUGCAGACAUUCAACAUCACCUCCAAGCAUUUUGACAACUUUGGACAUCGAAGGGCGAUCACUUGGUUUCAUUUGAAUACACCAUAAGGCGGUUAUAACCAUCCUUCUUAUUACUUUCUUUUCCUCCUCUGUAACAUUGUCCGUUUCCAAGUUAUUUCCCACAAUAUACUGAUCGUAUACCCACAUUGGGAAGUAGAUUUGGCUUGAAUGCUCUACCGUUGGAUUCAAAUUCUUCCUUCUGCUUGCCAUCUCCAUCAACAACAUUCCAAAACUAUAGACAUCUGACUUGUAUGAGACACCUCCAAUAUUUUUGUAGAACAACUCAGGAGCAAUAUAUCCCAGUGUACCUCGUGCUGCCGUCAAAGAGACAAUGCUAUUAUCUACAGGAUACAAUUUUGCAAGCCCAAAGUCAGAAACCUUUGCUUUAAAGUUCUCAUCAAGAAGGAUGUUAUGAGGCUUGAUGUCGAAAUGUAGAAUUUGCAUUUCGCAACCUUGGUGUAGAUAUUCGAUCCCUUGAGCCACUCCAAGAGAAAUCUUGUACAUGUUCUUGAUAGUUAAGGGGACACUUCCUUCUUUGGAAUAAAUGUAUUUAUCAAGAGAACCAUUAGGCAUGAAGUCAUAUACUAGAGCGCGUUUUGAUCCCUCAACACAGUAUCCAACAAGUUGCACCACAUUGGCAUGGUGAAUCCUUCCGAUUGUAGCUAUUUCGCUAAUGAAAUCUUGGCCAUCAGCUUUGGGCUUGCCCAAAACUUUGAUUGCUACAAAUCGACCACUGCGUAGCUUUCCCUUAAAUACAGAGCCAAAGCCACCUUCGCCCAACUUGUCCUUAAAUCUGCGAGUCAUUUUCUUGACGUCCGAGUAGGAGUACCUUAUAGGCAUGAAGUUGUUAUUGCAUUGCAGAAAAUCUUCUAUUGUGCUAUACAUUGAUAAAUGUCUUCUGCGCCAUGUGUAGAUUAGAAAUGCAGUCACAACUGGAACUCCAAAAACAAAUCUGGCUGGGAAAAAUAACCCUGCAUGCAUUGACAUUAAUACGUUAGAUCCACUGUGUACUACUUUUUCUUCCCUUUCUUUCCAAAUUACUUUGUCUUUGAUGUAAUUAAAGAGAAAGAAUGGGAAAUCUACAUAUGUUGAUAAUACAAUCUCGUCUUAGUCCUUACCGAUGCAUAUGAGUAUAAACCAUCUACGUGCUGUAACAAAAUCAAUCGACUAUGAGUUUGAAAAGUGCAUAAAGUGAAAAAUAAAUAAAUAAAUAAAAUCAAAGGGUGCCUUUAUUGACACCCAAAUUUUAGUUAGCUUUACUCAACUAAAAAAAUUUUGUCAAACUUUUUAAUUUGCCGUCGAAAUUGAGUUCACCCAACCCACAAAGCAACAACUACCACUCACCAAAAAAACCAACAACACACAUCCACCAGUACCACUCACCAAUAGAAAGAGAAGGAACACACAGACCCACCAAGGAGCCGGCAUCGACGCAUCUACGAGGGAGGGACCGGAGGGUGGUGUAGUUUUGUUGGGCGCGCGGUAGUUGUUUUGUCUGUUCAUUUUCUCUUUCUUUUGGUAGGUGGAGGCUGCUGUGGAUUUGGGCGAACUUAAAAAUGAGGGGAAACUAUGAAGUUUGACAAAAUGUUUUAGUUAGGGGAACUUAACUAAAAUUUGGGUGCCGAUAAAGAUACCCAAUAUAAAAAAUACUUGAGCGUAUAGACUAAUUAAAUGAAGUUGAUCUUACCGAUCGGGUGGCUGUAUGAUGAAUACAACUUGCCAGCUGCAAUAGAUACCACAGAAAAGUGAGCAAAGACAUACAGUUACUAGGUUUAAGAAGUACAGAUAGAGCACACAAAAAUAAAAGAAGCUUUUGGAGAGAAACUUCUUACGCAAAUAUAUGUAUUCAUGACCUACAGUGAAAAUUGUGAAGAAGAAUACACAACAUUAGCAAUAGCUCACCCAGUCUUCAGAAUUUAAAAAAAUCAAGUUUGUCGAUCGAAAACUUGUAAAUAAAACAAAAAGAGGACCCCUUACUGAUUUGUUGCCAUAGAUAUUGAAAGAAACCUACAAGAACAAAGAAAGAACAAGACCACAUGCAUUAGCAUAACAAGUGUGAGGUGUAUAAGUCGUUAGAAAAUAAAUUUAGAAUUCUAGUGCUGUCAAUACAUUGAUAAUAUAAUAUAUAUGUGUUAUUUUUUCUGAAAAUUUAACUUUCCCCCUCCAAACUCAUUUUUCUAGCCUCUAGCCCAUCAUAUAAUAUUUAUCCGAAUAAAACCCAAUGAUUAGGAUCCAACUAAGAAACUUACCAAAUUAAGUUUGUGUGUCCAUUUUUAUAUUUUUUGGAUCGCUAAUAUACCCCAUCUAAGCCAGUAUGGAAAGUUCUUGUAAUUUUGUUUUAAUUGAUCACGUGCAUUGAAUUUGGCAAGGUCUUGUAGCCAUGAAAAAUGGUUCUAGAUGGAGGAAUUAAUUGGGAUUUUUUUUUUAAUUUUGACAACAAAUUUCAAUUUGAAUAUACCUAAUUUAGUGUUUAUUUUCAACAAUAUCUAUUGUUUAAUUUUAUGAAAAUAAUUUACCUACUAUGAAAAUUAAUUUUAUGAAAACAAUAUCUAUUGUUUAAUUUUAUACCUAUAGGAUAAUUACAUGAAAAUAGUUUACCUACUAUGAAAAUUAAUUUUUUCAAAACAAUAUCUAUUGUUUAAUUUUAUGAAAAUAAUUUACCUACUGUAUAAUUACAUGAAAACUAAUGUGCCUAUUUUUUAAAUUUGUUACAAAAUUAAUUUACCUACUCUUUAUGGUAUUAGUAAUAUAUGUCCGUACGUAUUUGAUCUAAUUAGGUUUUGGAUUGGAGGAGUUGACACAAAAUUAUAAAUAUAUUAAACAAAUUUAUCUAUCCUUAAGUUGGAGGGGAAUUGGCCUGCACAUUGCUACGGUAAACAAAUGCCACUCGAUUUCACGUUAUUUACAACAAAGCUAUCAGAUUUGGGUUGGGUUGGAGGGUAAUUUUGUGCAUAGGGUUUAGGUGCCCUCCUAUAUAUGACCCUUGAUUUUACUUUAUUUACACCACUGCCAUCAAAUAUGUGGCUGAAUUGGAGGGUAUUAUUAAAAGUUAGGAGGAUAGUUUUGUCCAAGGGGUGGGGGCGACAUUCGCAGACAGGGGGCGAUGGGAGCCAUGCCCAUUGCACAGAAACAAAGGGAGUGAUGGGGGAAAUUACAGACAGAAAAGGAAGGGAUGGGGGGAUUUGAUGGGUGGUCACAGAGAGAUUGGGUGAGGGAUGUGAGGGGACAUUACAGAGAGAUAAAUAAAAGGGAGGGAUCGGGUGAUUUGAGGGAUGGUCAGAGAGAGAAAUAGUGAGGGGGAUGUGGGGCUGAUUUUCGGUUCCUCCUUCCAGAUUUGUUCCGUAAAACCUGUUGGGUACAAUUCAAUCCCUCCCCCUUUCCCCUGAACGAAAAAUUCGAAACCUACAACUCAAAACUCACUCAUUUGUCGCCCCUCCUUGGCUUUCCGCUUUAUUCAUCUCCCGGUGUUUCUUUCUCUCCAUACGAUUCGAUUUCGGUGAGUUCUUCGUUGCCCUCAUGAUUUCCCAGUUUGAUUUUUUGAGCGUCCUUAGUCGUUGUUUUUAUCUGGGUUUACUGCGUUGUUGCUUUUAGUUUCUGGAUUUUUAUUUUUUCCGCGGUUGGAUGAAUCGUGGUUAAUAAUUUCACACCAUGGGAUUUUCGCACUUCUGAUGGAAUUGAGCGCGGGGAUUCGGGGUGGGGUUUUACUGAUAAUUUGUCUUCAUUCAAAUGAAUGGUUAAAAUUUCUGAAGUGAGUGUGCAGGUGGGCCCGUUCACUAACUAAGCUUUCAAGGGAACCCAUCAACGGUUUGUUUGCUGGGGGAAUUCGGAGACUACCAGUGUAUGAUUUAGUUAUCAUUUAUUUUUUUACUUAAUUUUAUCCAUAUAUAAUAUGUGGGUAAAUUUAUACUAAACAAUUGUGAUAAGCCAAUAUGCCAUACGACUUUGAAAGCAUUGAUUUUGUGUUUAGUUUGCAUUUUUGCAUUGUGAAUGUUGAAUUUUGUAUUUAAUUUGGAUUUUGUGUUUGAAUUUGUAGCAUGAUCUUCCGCUGCAGCAUCCAAAUUUUGCAUUUGUAAAUUGUCAAAGAAAAACGAAGUAUGAGGAAAUUAUAGGAGAUUGUGUCGGCUUUGGCCAUGAAGGGUAUCAGCAGCUUGUUCCCCCAUACAGGUGAUUAAUCGUUUUUCAGUCUCUGUUCUAUUUGGAUGAGAAAGUGAUUGAAAAAUAUGAUUUUUUAUUUGUUGGUUGAUUUUGUAUGGACGAUGUAUUAAUUUUAUUUUUUUUGGGAUUUUGUGUAUUGGGUAUUGUGUAGAACCAGCAAUGCAAGAGCAGGAUCUGAUCAGUCACGCCCGAAAAGGGGUUUGUUUCUCAAAUCACAUUAAUUAAUUAGAUUAUUAACGUGCGUUGGAAGGCUCUUCAAUAUGAUUUCUAAUUUCUCCUUUCCAGCAUUCUCUUUUUGGUUUUUGGAGUAUGUAUGUGAUUUGUAUUUUUUUAUAGAAUAAAAAUUAAUAAAACACGAGAUGCAGCAAUUAAUUUGCAUCCUUAUGACAACACAUAUGAAAGUGCAUUCAAUUUCAAUGUGCGAAUGUGUGACAGGAUGUGCCUGCCUCCUUGAAAACACUUUAUGUGAACAAGUGUGAGGUUCUACAUAAAAACAGGGCCAGUAAUACCCUGAACGUGGAAUCCUUACGAGGAUCUCUUGAAAAACUGACAAUAAAUGGAUGCCCGGGUCUCUCAUUGUUACUAGAGUCGACGGAGACGCUGCCGUCGCUUCAGAAGCUUGAUAUUGAUAGUGUUGGUGGGAAAGAGUUGUUGGCGCAAAUGGUGCACAACAGCAAUCGUCUUCAAAGUUUGACUUUAUAUAAAUGUUACUCACCCUUGUCGUUCCCUACAAAUGGUCUGCCCACCACGCUGACGUCACUGAGCAUAACAGAUUGCAAGAAAUUAGAAUUCCUAUCACGUGAGAUGAUGGCCAAAUUGACUUCCCUUCGGUCUUUGCGUCUAUCCAACAGCUGUGAACGCAAAGGCUUGAGUAUUUGCAGUUUAGUUUUUUUUUUCUUCAUUUUAGAGAUUUUUCUACUGUUUGGUUUUUGGGUUUUGUCUAAUUUUUGUGGUCUGCUUUAUAGAUUGUUCUCUUUGGAAGCUUCUUUCCAGCCUUGACCUUCUUCUUGCCUGGUGCCUUCUCAUUGAGUAUUGGAGGAGCAUUAAAACACAGGUGUGUGUGUGUUUUGUCGACGUAAGAGAUGAACGACAUAAAAACAUCCAUCUCUGUAUUUUUUUGUGCUUUUUCUAACCCAUCAAUUUCUUUUGAGUCAACCAAAUAGUCCCAAAUUGCAACUUAUGUUGUGAGGUAUUAUUGUCUAAAAUUAAGUAUGCAUGUAUAUUUUAUGUUUAUGCCCGCGCACACCUCCGCAUGGUGUUAAUCUCUGUGGGUCAUCUAUGUAUAUGUAGAUAUAUCUAUAUGUGUAUGUGUGGAAUGCAACAUAUCGGAUUUAGGUUAUACUGUGCAUAGUUUUAUUGCCUGUUAUUAUCUACGAUAUCACUAUGCCAUUUCUAUACUGGCUCUGAAAGUUAUUCAUGAGCUUAUAAGCACUUACCAUAAUUUAAGCAGUCUGUUUUGGGUUCUUUUUCAUUAGGUCAUUAGCUACAGAUUAAUGGAGAAACGAGGACCAUGCCACUGAUUUGGGUUCUUUUUCUAAUUUUCUGAUUUUGGGGUUUUGCAGGGAGUACUGAUGUACUGAUUUUCUGGGAUUUUUUUUUGUCCUUGCAGGAUUUUUGGUCUUUGAAAUGGGUAUGUGUUGUUUUUAAUGUUUCAGUUCUAGCGUGUUCCGUUCUUCGUUGCUUCGUGAUUCUCAUUUUUCAGUGUUGGGUGAUGGAAAUUUGUUAAAGUAGUUGGUAGUUUUUUGAGAAAGUUGGCAUUUUUAGUUAUAUUUUCUGUUUAAUCCUAAAUGUAAGACUGGAAAAUCAUUGAAAUGAUGGUUUUUUAAAAACUCAUAAUUUUUUUGUUCUGGGAUUUAAAAGCAUCUUUUCCAGAUUGGUUACAAGGGUUAUGUUCUCUUCAAUUGGUUCACCUAAUUUUGAUUAGUUUUAAGUUUUGUCCUUUUAAGUUUGUCUUUUAAGUUUUGUUCUUUAAGUUUUGUCUUUUAAGUUUUGUUCUCUAAGUUUUGUCUUUUAAGUUUUGUCUUCUGUGCUGUAAUGAGAGAUUUCUGUUGGCUUUUCGGAUUUUGGCAUGGGAAAGUUCACUUAUUUGUCUAAUUAGAUUGUGUAUGCCUUCGAUUCUUUAUUUAAUUGUUCUGUUUGCGUUCGGGUGUGAUGAUCUAAAUUUCAUAUGUUUGGAAUUAUUUACUUAACACCAAUUUGUUACAUUCAGAUCUCCACCCCACAUUUCACUAGUUGAAAUUCCAUAGAAGUCGGUUACUGCAGAUUGCGUCUACAAUUAGAUCAGAGAUCAACUGCUCUUUUGUUAUCCUGCAGAAGAUUGCUUUUGGGAAGGAUCUGAAGUAGUUUCUCUCUGUAUGUUUAUUCCCAUGUAGCUCUGUCUUUUCUAAUUGUGUUGAUAUUACACUGUAAUUCAUGAUGAUGAUUUAAUUGUUUAUUGAUUUGUAAUUGAUUGUGAAUAAUGUGGCAUAUAUGAAUUGCAAUCUGUGUUUGUAUGAAAGGGAUGGCAUAUUAUGUUGCUGACUUAAUUGUUUAUGUUUUUCAUAUUUGCAAAUGGUGUUAUGAUCAAUUAGGUGAUUGCUGACCUGUGACUUUGUUUGGAGCUCAAAUUUUGUGAGCAUUACAUUGGAUUGUUUUGAUGUUGUUUUGGUUAACAAUGCAGCGAUAGGAGAAACAAAGAGGAUGACACUUAUAACUGCCCUUCCCCAUCGGCCGUCUUCAAAUUUGGAUCACAAGAAGGGAGCAACAUAGGUGUUUUCCUUCUUCAUUUAGAUAUGGUUAGUGUAAAUAAUUGGACAAAAGAGCCAAACAAACCCUGUUCUCUCAAAUGGAGUCGAUGAUGUGGUCGACGGCCACCAGCCCCAACUCAAGAGUUUGGCCUUCAUAUAAUUGGAUUGUAGUAUAAUUUUAUUUUGGUUCAUUUCUUUUUUCCUUUAUAUAAGUGCAGGUGUUGUGAUGUUUUGAAUAAAGGGUGAUGAAAGGUGGUUCACACACUUCCUCCUUACUUAAAGCAAGUGGAGAUGACGGUUUGUAUAAAAAGAAAAACUUGCCACGUACUUCAAUUUUCUAUUUUAUUAAUUAUUGUUUGGUUUUCCAAAUGUUGUAUUCACUAAGAGACCAAUUAUGUCUUUGAGAAACAAGUUUCUUUGUCUACAUUGCGAGAAUUUGCAGUUUGCAACUUUCAUUGGUUAUUAUAUUUGAUUGAGUUAAACUUGGAUUUCUGGAUUUUGACUUUUUCGUUUGUUUCUUUGUUGCAGAGUUGGCUUCAUUUCAUUCCAGGAACUGUCUAAAUAGGGCCAAGAACUCACUAAUAGGUAGUCAAGAAGAAUUCAGUGUUGCCUUCAAUUUUUGCCUUCUGUUUACAUUCUUCCUGGAUGCACUCUCACCGCUUCUCUCGCUUACCACUUUUGUCUCACUCACCGCUUCAUCUCUUCUGUUGCUUACAAGGUCGUGUCAUAUAUUUUUUUAAUUUUGUGUGGUUUAAUUUAUUGAAUAUUUGAAAAAAGAGAUAAAAUUUUCAAUUUACAAUUACUGAUAUGAUGUUUGUUUUGAAAAUCAUUAAGGUGAAUGGAGAGAUUUACAACCAUGAAGAGCUGAGGAGCCGUUUGCCAAAUCAGAUUUAUAGGGCUUCAUCAAUUAUAAAUAAACGACUUUUCAUUCCCAAUGACCUUUAUCGUUUUUCUUAAUGGGUUAGCUGAACAUGAGGUAGAUGCUGACUUUAUCAAAUAUGAGAAUGUUUUAGGAUUUCAUUCUAAUUUUUUGGCUGUUUGAUUACUUUGCUUUUCGUAAUUUGAUUUGCUUAUCGUCAAUUGGAUGGGAUAAAACAUAUUUUUGUAACCAGUUUGUACUUUUUUUUUCUUUUUUUUGUGGAAACUAACCAGUUUGUACUUUUACCAAUUACCAUAUCGGUUUUGAUGGAAUUGGAGCUUUCAGUAAUGGGUUCUGAGGGAAUUGGAGUUCUGAGUAAUGGGUUUUUUUUAACAACUAUAGUAUCAUUUGUGAUUCAUUUAUUUAUAAGAUAUUAUAUAGGAAACUGUUUUUAGCACUCUAAAAAUCUUAUUCUACACUCUCGACAAAUGUAUUUUUCUUUCUAAUUAUGAAAAGUUUGGAGGGCAAAAUGAGAAUUGUGGAGUGCCAAUAACAAUUCCCUAUUAUAUAUAGCUCUACUAGGAAGGCGACUGUAUGUCUUCAUCCUGUUAAAUUGUAUAUGGCUCUUGAUGUCGGCUGAAUUAAAUCAAAAUGAAAACCAAGCUGCUGAUCUUACCAGCCCAUAUCACUUAUCACUUGCUUAUUUAAAUUAUUUGAAGAUGCGUAUGUGGAUUGGUGAUUUUGUUGGAUUCACUUGGCUCAAAUAUAUGUUAUCUGAGUCGCUACAUUUGAGAAUGUGAUUUUGUUCCUACCACCAUUUUGCCCACUUUUUGUGGAAAUUAUUUCUGCUUGUUGUGAAUGAUACAUUCAUCCCCGGCAGCAAAGUGCGAAGUGCGGGCGCAUUUUCUAGUUUAAGUAAAUCACACAAUGGGUCAUCAAUAAUAACAAACUUGUCAUUUAUGAGAGUCAAACAUGAGGCCACCUACCUACUAGUUUAGUGGAAUACCACAAGUGACAUGUUGAUACCUUUAAAUCUCAUAUAAUGGAUUGCAGAAUUAGGAUAUUCCUAGACUAAUUUAGUUAGUGCGUGAACCCGAACAAUUAACAAGGGUUUUAUUCUUGCUUGAAUGUUUGUUAUAUGUUCCUAGUUUGACAAGGCAAUUAUAUUUCCGACUACAAGUUAUUAAUUUAGUCGAGAAUUGACGCACCUGAAAUGGUGUGAGGAAAACAUGUAUCCACAUGAGCCGCAGUCCACUGUCCUUGGCAUCUAUCUUUAAAAGGCUCGAAAUGAAGCUCAAAGCCAUACAUGAGGGCAUUGUGUAUGUCUUUAUAAGAGAAGUUGCGGUAGUCCUCAACGUAGCCGGCAGCCAAACUCAUCCACUCUACACUGCAACCAUCAUCCAAUUCCCAUACCUCCCUGAACCUGUCCCCAACAUAUUCCCCGACCAUGACAUAGCUAUUCGUUUUUGGUUGACUCGAAGAAGAAGAAGAAGAAGAAGUAUUAUUCAAGCAUGGAGCAGUGUCCACGUACAGAGAAGAAUUCGAUGGAUUCGAACACUUCAAGUAAUAUAUAGAUAGAGAAUUAAUGUCAUAGGCGGGCCAAUAUAGAGAAUUGAUGUCCUCGGUGGUGGGCGGAAUAUUUUGAGACAUGGAAGAGCAAUUGUUGUUGUCAAGCCCAGGAUCUCGAAGUCGGAUUGUUUUGUUAUUAUAGUUGAUUGCCUGGACAUGGUACUUUCCGAAAGAAGGUAGGUCUAGUACUGUAAUGUUGCUCUCACAGGACAGAGUAUACGAUAUGUUGCCACAGUACUUUGGAUCAUCGUUAAGUCGAAAAGGAUGGCUUAUGUUGUGGAUAUGGCCGCAGGAUGAAGUGCAGGACUUGGCACUACUGUUGUCAGCGUUACAAGUUUCACUGCAAAAGCAAAGAAGAAGAAAGGCUAAACUUAAGGUGAAGGACCUGGUUCCACUAAUUUCCAUUGCUCUGAGAGAGAGAGAGAGAGAGAGAGAGAGAGAGAGGGUACCAUAGCUUAAACACCAAGGAGUUAUAUAAUAUGGGAGGGGUUAAAGCACCUCGCUUACAGUUGCAGUAAGCCCGUCAAAUAUCCUAGGGAAAAGUCGGUCAAUGGUGUCCUAUAGAGAAAAGUCGGCCUUGGUGUUUGACACGGUCACUCAACUCUCUCUCUCUCUCACAUUGACGAGGGACACUGUAAUUGAAAAAAAAAAAUGUUCUUCAGAGAUAGAUCUUGAAAUUCUUAUUUUAUAUAAAAAAAACACCUAAUAUUAAAUUAUUAAUCAUUCAAAUGAAAUUCUUAAAAUUAAGUAUAAAUAAUACAUAACGAAAACUGAGCACAUACAAUCAACGGUCACGAUCGUGAAAUCCUCCGGAUCCUCAGAAAAAAAUCCGACGAUGAUCUUUUUCUGUGUAAAAUAAUUUGAGGGUAUAAUACUGGAUGUGGAGCCAAAAAUAUUCGCUAGGCGACACGUGGACUUUUGGACAAAAGAGGACAAAAAUACCCUCGAAGCAUACAAGGAUUCCUACGCGCGAGCAGUGGGCAAUCAUCUUUCAAUCAAGUCAAAAGUGCCCAAAAAAGGUAACAAUUAAAAACCUCUCUCAUCAAAUCCUUUCUAUAAGGUAUUUCCCAAAACCUAGUAUUUUCUAUUUCAUUAUUUAGCUAAUCAAUUAGCUAAAUAAUAUAAACCUACCAUAUCUCCUAAAAUCACCCAAUUAAUAGCCCAAAACCGGCCCCCACUAUUCACAUCCUCAUCUUUCCCAUUUUCCUUAUUAAAAUAAUCAUUCAUUUUUAUAAACCACCCAUUUUAUUAUUUUCAUAUUUAAUUAGCCAAUAAAUUGGCAAAUUAAACAUGAAAUUAACCCCCACAAAAACCCUAUGGCUGGCUACUAUUAUUCAAAAUAGGGCAAACCCUAACUCUAUAAAUAAACACAUAUUCUCACCAAAAAUUCAUUCCAACUCUCUCACAAAAAAUCACAAAUACUCUAAACACUAUUUCUCUCUAAAAUUCUAACUUUGGCAUCAGAGGUUCUUCGGCCAAAGCCCCCCCCAUUCAUCGUGGGCGCGUGAGGCUCUUGGCCUUAACCUAAGGUGCUAGUUGUUUUGUAGGUGCAAAAUCGUCCAAGAUCGAAGAGGAGAAAAUUUGCAUCCACAAAUUGGUGCUUUCAUUGAGAGUUGAAAUCCAUACUCGUAGAAGACUCUCGCACAAAAAGGUUUUUUCUUUUAUUUUCUAGUCCAUUUGAAUAUUUUUCAUACGUUCUUAUUAUUAGAAUUUUUUUACUUGCAAAGGUUCUUUGAUAAAACGUAUAAGCAAAAUAUAAUGGCUAGAAAUUUAGAAAAUUCCACAAGUGAAAAUUCUAAUGUUCAAGAAAUGGGAUUGCGGAGAUCCGUGAGGCUAAAUGCGACAAUAAGGGGAGCGGCAUCAUCAUCACGAGCUUCCACCAUGGGAACCACCAUGGUGGCUACCUCGGUAGCCACCCGCGGCGAGGUCCAUGGUGCCUUCACCACGGCCACCAUGGGAACCACCGCGGUGGCUACUUUGGUAGCCACUCGUGGCGAGGUCCAUGGAGCCUUCACCACGGCCCGGAGAUCCGUGAGGCAAAAUGCGACAAUAAGGGGAGCGGCAUCAUCACCACAAGCUUCUACCAUGGGAACCACCGUGGUGGCUACCUCGGUAGCCACCCGCGGCGAGGUCCAUGGUGCUUUCACCACGGACACCAUGGGAACCACCGCGGUGGCUACUUCGGUAGCCACUCGUGGCGAGGUCCAUGGAGCCUUCACCACGGCCCGAGCCGUGCCAUCCAAGGCUCACGGUACCAAGACCACGAUCCAAGCCGUGCCAUCCAAGUUUACGUGGACCCAAGCCCAAGCCUCGCAUUCACAUGCACCGCGCAUUGAGCAGCCUGUUCCCGUGAUCCAGCCUGUUCCCGUCAAGCAACCCACUCUCACGGCCCAACCUGCUCAUGCCGAGCAGCCUGCUCUCGUGACACAGCCUGCUCCCGACGAGCAGCCCACUCCCGUGGCCCAGCCUACUUUCGUCGAGCAGCCCACUCCGGUGGCCCAGCCUGCUCCUGCUAAACAGCCCACUCCUGUGGCCCAGCCUCCUCUUGCUAAGCAGCCUGCUUUCGUCGAGCAGCCCACUCCGGUGGCCCAGCCUGCUCCUGCCAAGCAGCCCACUCCGGUGGCCCAGCCUGCUCCUGCCAAGCAGCCUACUCUCGUGACCCAGCCUGCUUCCGACGAGCAACCCACUCCCGUGGUCCAGCCUGCUUCUUUCGAGCAGCCCACUCUCACGGCCCAGCCUACUCCUGUGGCUUUCCAAGCAGCCCAAGUCGGCCCAAGACUAUCUCCCGGACCUACCAUCGAGCCGAGGGCAUUCUCACCACAUUUUUUCACGGAUUUGACAUUUCCCAACUCAAAUCUCGCGCCCGGAGUCUACCACAUUUCCACUGCCCAAGGAGGCGCAUUCCUUCCAAGCUCUUCCAAUCCAAAUGGCGAACAACACUUGUCUCGACAAGUCAUAGAGUUGACGAGCGCCCUUGCACAACAGAAAACCUUGGUGAAUCAACUUUUGCAACGUAUCGGGAUCCAACGUGCCCCGGACGAGGUAUCCCGAAGUAGGACAAGGGCAAACGAACAUUUCCAGCAGCCACUCGACCAGCCACGAGCCGAACGUUUGGGCAGUGUACAUUCCCGUCUUAGAGCGCGAGGGAGCAUGCACUCUCGACUAGGCCCACGGAUGAGCAUACAUUCACGGUUGGGGUCAUACUCCGAUAGUCAACAUGAGCAACCUUCCGGGCAAAGUGUCUAUUCGCAGCUAAGCCCACAAGGAGCGUCAUCCACCUCACAUCAGAGUAGGCAGCACGACGGACGGAGAGAAGCAGUCACUCAAUCCAGCUCAAGUUCAACCAGCAGCCUGCGAAGAACUCGCUCGCCUACUAGGAACGCACCACAUGCACUGCAUUCGCGGCAUAGACGAGCCAAACACAUGGAAGAGCAGCUUAGACCAGCAAGUCAUGACUGGAGGCAGCCAAGAGCUCCGCUACCCCAACAAAGGCAAAUUCAGGAAGAAGUAGAGAGACUCUUGACCAAGCGAUUGCAUGAUUUCCAACGCAACGAGGUCACCGACGAGGCACUACGACGGAACAUGACCAACAUAAGCAAGCAGGUCACCCUUCACGGACGAGAUCGAGCAGGCAGAGCCUCCACGAGAGUUCAGCAUGCCACAUUUCACAUCUUUCAAAGGGGAUGAAGACCCGGAGAGACACUUAAAGCGCUACCGAAGCGCAAUGAUCCUUUAUCGAAACAACGAUGAGCUUAUGUGCAAGAUAUUCGCCACCACUCUACAAGGCGAGGCGCAAGAUUGGUUCUACACCCUGCCGUCACAAUCCAUCCGGAAUUUCUACGAACUUUCUUUGGUUUUCACCAAAGAAUAUUCAUCCUAUCGCUCGAUCAAAAAGAAAUCUGAUCAUUUGUUCAACGUCAAGAAGAACCCAAAGGAGUCAAUUCGCGACUAUGUGAGGAGGUUCAAAGUAGAGAAGGCAAAAAAUAGUCGGAUGCAACGACUCGAUAGCUAGAGCAGCCUUCCAAAAAGGACUUCCAGCAGACCACCCGCUAUUUGGAAAAUUGAUCAUGAAAGAAGAUCUAACUCUGGCAGACUCUUUUGCUUUGGCAGAGAAGUAUGCACUUUGGGAUGAGGCUCGCCAAUGCACAUUCAAGGACUUGAAGAAGUACCCGACAUCACCUCCCUAGAAGCAGCGGAGGACUUAUUCACAUGUUUGACGAUAUCUAAAGUAGCAAUAAGCUCUACCAUCAUGCGAGAAGAGAUGGGGGCCCGACUACCUGUAUUCCACAGUUACCUGUAUUCUACAGUUCAAAAGCUCUCCUCGAUGUUAUUAAAAAUUCAAAAGCUAACUUUGGUGAUAGUUGUUGCAACCCAGAAGCACAAGUUUUACUUUCAAACGCAUGCAAUCAUCCUAAUGACGUACUAUUCUGCCCAAUCCAGACGCGCGACGAUAAAGGUGUAGACCAUGGCGGAUGUAAAGUUUUCUGACGAACGCAACACUAGAAGGACACACUCGAAAGCAAGUUUUGUCCUCGUCACCCUAAAAGAUUCUACAUAGGAGCAACAUGUACCGGCAGUUGAGUACCAUUUCUUGCUGCGCAUCACACGGCCCUAGCCGACCCUUGCUCAAUGAUUCAACUCUAGAGUGGCCCAAUACCGGCAGUUGAGCAUCUCCUGUUGCGUAUGACAUGGCCCCAUCUCCACAGCUCCCUACUGCGUCUUCACGCCGAGCCUAAGUGACGUAACAGAGCAGCCCAACGAUGCCUCAGAAGUAGCCGAGCACACUCUAGCUGCGCCUACUCCACCCGAUGGAGACUUUUGGCAUUUGCAUGUCGACGACGCAGAAAAGCCUUCAUCACUGCCGGCAGAGAAGGCUCCAAAAAGAUGGAUCCCAUCUGGGAAGGUCCGUACAAGAUCAGCAGAGUAGGGGGCAAGAGUAAUUACACCCUCACCACCAUGAAGCAGCAAAAAUAUUGAAAAGAAAUGGAUGGCCUACAAUCUGAAGAAGUACCAUGUGUGACCUCCCGCUACAUCAAAACCCGAAGACUCAAUAAGCUCGACGGGCACCACCUCACAAGCUGGGGACUAUCCAGUUGUUAUGCAGUUCCUACCUUACAGCUAAAGUUCUCGUUCGUUUCACUCGUUUUUCAAUGAGGAAUUUAGAAGUAAUCACAACUUGGCUUGGUUGCAUGCUUACAACAACUAAUCACUCCUGCACUUCAAAAGAAGAUUGCGCCCUUCUUAGGGACUCAUCGCAGGAAUUGCGCCCCCCGAGGGACCAACCAUGCUCUCCAGUGCGAGAGGGUAAACCAAUUCUCCGACACCCAUAUGGGUCAGCUCUCCAAGACGGGAGGAUAAACUUUACACUCCGAAUAUCCAGACGUGGAUGAGCCUGGCUGCCCUAGUAUAACUAGAUGCACGAUGGCUUGCGCCGGGAUUCCUAGAAGUAGCCGCAAUGGUCUUUUUCAAGGCUUAGCUAACUGAAGGAUUUUGGGUCUCUUGGCCUAAUCCGUGGGGAACCGGGCCCUAGAGACGGAGAGGGCACAUUACGCAGUACAUCCGAUGGACGGCUGCCCUGGAAUCCUAAAGCUGCUACCGAGUGCACUAAGGUAGCCUACGGAUUCCGGAAGACUGCCUACGGCUUGCCCUUCGAGCAGUGAAGCCGCACUAGACUUAUACAACCGCACAUUCUUGUGAAAGGUUAAACAAGCUAGCGCGCAUAUACGAAGUUUUAUCCACUGCCGACAUGCUAUGUAGUUGAUAAGCUUCACCUCUGCCAAGCGCGGAACAACCUACACCAAGUCCUAAAGUGUUGUGAUACUUGCUACGCAACCUACGGAAUUGAAAAAAGUCAAGGUUAACAGCCGAGUGGUUACGCGGACUUGUCUACUUCUGUAAGUAAGGCAUCCGGCUGCCAACCCUAUGGCUAACAACUUUGCAAAGUUCUACACCAACACCUACGGCUGCAUAGGCUACGCGAGUUUGUCUGCUUAUAAAAAAGUAGCAUGCCUGCCACUGGUCUAUCAAGUCUAAAGGUUAGGGCAUGAACAAAAGAAGUGAAGAUGAAGAAAAACGAAGGAAAACAUGUUUAUAAACAACUAGCAAAGGCCGAAUGAGUUCAAGCAAAACAAGAGCUACAAGGAAAAACAAAGAAAAUCCUAAAGGCUACCUAAAAUACUACACUACAGCAGCUUGGACAUCCCACGACUACUCGAUCGCCACACCUUCAACAGCCGUAACGCUCUUAGCAGCGGCAUCAUCCGGCGCUUCACCCCCCGGCUGCCCUAGUCUGGGCACUAACUUCUCCAACUACUUCACCAAUGGAAGCCUUAAAAGUAAAAGCAAACAAGUCUUCCGGAGAAAUAGAGAAGGUCUUAAAACCUCAAGCCCAUCCUUCUCACCCUUCAGCUGCUCAUUCUUCUUAAGCAGACUAACACGGACGCGCUACAGCUCAUCCACUCUCUUCUUAGCAUAAGUAGCGAAACGAAGCUCAGAAAUUGCAAGCUUAAGAUCUUGAAUCUGAGGCGAAUCAAUCUCAGCAGCAAAGGGAGCAGGCUUUGGCGCCACUUUAGCAGCAGAGUCCACCUUACCACUCUUCAUAAUAGCAAGUCUCUAAAAAGGUGAACCGGACUUGGCUCCCAAAGAACGUCCUGGUACAAACUUCGGCACUGGGGGCAUGAUAAAACCUUUACGCUGAGUAAUCUUAUCCACAAUUGUACUAGCCAUUCUCAACAUGGAAGACGCCACAUGCUCAGAUCUAGCAGCCUUACAUUUCUUCCCAUUGGAAGAAGUCAUGUCAAUCACAUACCUCUCGGUAGCAAGUGGACCAUCAUGAGCAGCAGAAGAAGUCUUCAAUUUUUUCUUAACUGGCAUCUCAUGAGCAGGUGGGGAAGAUCUCUUCUUUCCAUCUUCAUUCAUAGUAAGCUCCACGAUAGCGAUCAGAUGAGCCAAUGCAUCCGCCUUGAUCCUCUUUACCUCCUCUUUCCGGAGCAGCCCACAUUUCUUUCAGCAAAUAGGACUAAGCAGCCAACGACAUUCAUGGUACUCAGCAGGGGAGCUCAACCCAGUAUUCCAGCAGGCAGGAGGCCUGCAUGCCCAACAUUCCAGCAGCCCGUGAGACCCGCAAUCUCCUUAUUUCUCUCAAUCGCAAGCCUGGCCUGAGUCAAGUCCAAUAGCCCAAAGGACAUGAGUCAUGCGAUUCGCCUAACACUGCGCCUCAGCGCCACAAUCCUCGACCCCAGCUGCACAAGCUGCCCUUGGUUCUAGCCAAGUCAAGCAGCUUAAAACAGUGGUCCCUACCACAAUACCUCAUCGGCCCAUGUCGAGCCGACUCCUGGCCUAUGCCAGCCGACGUGCCGCACCACCCCGAUGGCUGCCCUGCAAUAGCACUAUCCAAGAAGAAGGCAAGAAAAAUUAAAUUUUUCUUACAUCGGUGCGGCACGAAAAAGACGAAGAAAUCAACGAAAGACGGUCUUUUGCACAGGCAAGACGUAGAAGAUUGCUAGAGGAGAGGGAACAAAUAUCCUCUAACUUUCUCUCUCUUGUUGGGUAGAAUAAAUCGCUCUCCAAAGUUGAUUUAAUAACCCACUUAAGGUGGACUUAAAUAGGCUUUGAGAGAAAUUUAUUUCCCUUUCCUAGAAGGAUCUAAUUUCCAUUUAAAGAGAGAAUCAACAACAAAAUAGGAAUCAAUUUAGAGUUGCCUAAAGCGAGAAAAUCUCUACACCUGUUGCCCUUUUCUGCAAGCAGCCCAACAGGUGUGGGGGCAUUUGUGGAGCCAAAAAUAUUCGCUAGGCGACACGUGGACUUUUGGACAAAAGAGGACAAAAAUACCCUCGAAGCAUACAAGGAUUCCUACGCGCGAGCAGUGGGCAAUCAUCUUUCAAUCAAGUCAAAAGUGCCCAAAAAAGGUAACAAUUAAAAACCUCUCUCAUCAAAUCCUUUCUAUAAGGUAUUUCCCAAAACCUAGUAUUUUCUAUUUCAUUAUUUAGCUAAUCAAUUAGCUAAAUAAUAUAAACCUACCAUAUCUCCUAAAAUCACCCAAUUAAUAGCCCAAAACCGGCCCCCACUAUUCACAUCCUCAUCUUUCCCAUUUUCCUUAUUAAAAUAAUCAUUCAUUUUUAUAACCACCCAUUUAUUAUUUUCAUAUUUAAUUAGCCAAUAAAUUGGCAAAUUAAACAUGAAAUUAACCCCCACAAAAACCCUAUGGCUGGCUACUAUUAUUCAAAAUAGGGCAAACCCUAACUCUAUAACUAAACACAUAUUCUCACCAAAAAUUCAUUCCAACUCUCUCACAAAAAAUCACAAAUACUCUAAACACUAUUUCUCUCUAAAAUUCUAACUUUGGCAUCGGAGGUUCUUCAGCCAAAGCCCCCCAUUCAUCGUGGACGCGUGAGGCUCUUGGCCUUAACCUAGGUGCUAGUUGUUUUGUAGGUGCAAAAUCGUCCAAGAUCGAAGAGGAGAAAAUUUGCAUCCACAAUGGAUGUGCGAUUAAACCGAAGAACCCACCACCUCCAUCUUCUCCGACCAACUUGAACCCAGCCACUACUACAUGUCAUCCCGACAACCCACUCUCAGCUUCCCAAACCGCCAUUUUUCACCCACUCACUUACCUCUCUCUCUCUCUCUCUCUCUCUCUCUCUCUCUCUCUCUCUCUCUUACCCAAGCCACUGCCAUUAUUCAUUCAAUCAACCCAAAACACGAGAGCCACCCCAUCUCACCACUCGAACAGAUGCAGCCACCCACCCAUUUAAUCCCAGUCCAAAAUCAAACCCUCUCCUAAACCCACCCCAGAAUCCAAUAAUUUCAAAAAAUGGCUGAUUAUAUCAUUUCAAGAACCUCACAAUUCCAAAAACUAAAAACCCACUUCAAAGAUGUAAUAUUUUUCUCUCUUCCUCUUUUUGGGUUUUUUUUUUUUAUCAAUUCUCUUCUGGGUUUUUGUUUACAGUGUAAAAUCAACACUAAUUUACUAAUUUUGCUUUGAUUUUUCAAACACUAUUGAGGCGUGAUAACCUGUUGCAAGCUCAGCCAUGGCGGCUACUGCAAAAUCUAACGGAAAAACCAUCACAGACUCUGCCAUUUCAUCCAAGGUUCCGACAAUAGCAAACCCUUUAACGAAUAGCUGUCGCAGAUUUCUUCCAACAUCAAUCACCACGCGAAAUUAAUUGUCAAUGAAGACGAUCCCAUUCCCCUUCGAAAUCUGCUGGGGGAAAGAGGCCUUCUUUCAUAUCUGCUCUGAGACCUGUUUAUGCGAGAGAGUGGUGAGCCUGACGACAGAGAGAAAGAAGGGCAGGAUUGGAAAAUUGGAAAGUUCAUUUAUUGGUUACUGUUUAUCCGUGUUUCUUCGAAAUAAGCUGCUUUUUCCAGCUUUGGGUUUUCAGUAUUUUUUUAACCCAUAAUUUUGAAAGAAAAAAAACUGAUUUGAAAUGUUAUCAAACACUUAAAAUGUUCCAAUCUUUUUUCAUACCUAUUUUUUUUAUUAAAAGUUAAGCUAAACAAAAACCAGGAUUAAGUUUACUACUUUGAAGUUUCUUGCUUUUCAACAUUUCAUACAUUGAAUUUUUCUCAUCCAGUGUCAUACCUAAGGUGAGAAUUGUGGGACACUUUUAUACAUCCGUUAGAUUUUCUGUGAAUUAUGGGACACUUUUAUACAUCCGUUAGAUUUUUUGUGAUAACCUUCGCUGACCCACGAUGCGGCAUGCAUGUGGACAUUAAAAAAAAUUCAAAAAUUCAAAAAUUCAAAAAUUUUAAAAUUUAAAAUUCAAAAAUACUAAAAACCUAAACUUUUCAUAAUAUUGAGUUGAGAGACUGAAUCUUUUCACACUCGGCCAAAUUUUCUUUGAAUUUUAAUUAAAUGAAACAAUGAAUCUUGAACAAAGCAAAACAAAACGUAAUAUUGAGAGAUUCAGUCAUUGAAGUGGACGUGGAUGUUGGGUACUCAAUAGUCCAAGAAUGAAAAUUCUCAUAUCAGUUUCUAUCCAAAAUUUUGGAAUUAUGUGUGUUGCAACGAUUGUCCAAAGGAUUAUUCUUCUUUUAUUAAAUUUCCAUGAAAAAUGAGCAUGGGGGCAUAAAAAUUGAACGAAUGAAAUUUCAACGAUUUGAAAAGGGUUGUGAGUUUGACACGUCAUUUUUCUUCCUUUAAUGCAAUCAUGUUUAUUAAAAGACAAAAAUAAAUAUGACUUUACAUAAGGAGAGAGAAAGAAUAGUUUUCUUUGAAAAAAUCAACCAUUUAUUGAAGAGGGAUGUUGAUAAGGAGAUGAGACAUUCAUUAGAAGCUAGAAAAAAGAAGUUAAAAGUGAUUUAGAAAAAAGCAAGAAAGCCACAUUUUCAAAGUGGUGGUCAUUGCACAAUACUUAAUUAGAAGAAAACUCAUAGUAUUGUAUUUACAAUUUCAAGUCUUUAUGGGGAACGAGAGUGCAAAUUUUCCAAUUGGAAUAUGAUAUGAAAUUUCUAGAUAACUAUAUAUGACAAAGAAAGAAGUCUAAGUUUCUAAGUGGUAGGGCUUCCAAUUGAUGUGAGUUUGUUGAGAAAUGUAGAUGAAGAUGAAUAUUGUUGUUGAUGUUAGUGAACAACAGAACAAGUUGCUUCUCCUUUGGCCUUCUAACAUGAUAUCACGGAAAACAAGUUGUUGCUAAUAAAUGUAUCUGAUUGGUGGACUUAGACGUGCGCGGUACGAUUUUUGAUAACGAGAAAAGAUGGACAGUGUCAUGACAAAAUUUAUCCAAGUAGACCCAAAGGAAAGACUUAGGAACUUCAUAUGCAGUGGGAUAAAAUCUUAAGCUAAUUUCCUUACCUAUUUUAUAGUCAUUAAGUAAAAUGUAUAUGUAUAUUUCUAGAUGCUGACACACCAAUGUACUUACUAUUAACUCCUUUCAAAUACCCAUUCGCAGAAACGCAAAUCUCUCUUGCAUGCUUGUUGUAAUGCUCAUGUAGUGCGUAUCUAAUAUCUUAUGUGUAUAAUUUUUUGUGAUCCAUUUUUUCAUCACUAUGCCAAAAUCCCUUUAGAAUUUGCAAUUUAUCCAUUUGGUUAUGGUAAAAAAAAAAACUCGGAAUUUCAUUUAAACUCAAAAAUCUAGAAUUGGGAAAGCAAUUUUCCCUUGUUCGGCAACUUGUAGCGAUAGCAAAGGCAAAUUGUACAGGAAAAAAGUGGAAAUUGGGGAUGAAGAUCCAAUUUUAAUUUCGUCAAAAUAAGUGUAAUUUCACAAUUCCAACAACGUUGAGAACAAAUGCAUUGCGGGGAAAUCUUGCGACCACCAAACUUUACGAUUAGAGGGCCAAAUUUCAUGAUAAAACGUAAUAAGGGUUUAGGACUGCAUCGUUCACUUUGUUAACUCUCCAAUCUUCGACGGGAUUUUCAACUCGUGCAUCAUCUUUUGCUUUGUUCUAGGUCAAAGCCUACUCUUUUCUUUCUUGAAUUAUUUUAGCUUUGAGGGUAUACUCUUUAGGCCAAUUGUGAAUUUUGCUAGUUAUUUUUAUUUUCUGAUGGUCAUAUGUUUGUUUUGUUUUUUUUUUCUUCCAAUUGAGAUGUGUAUUGGUUGGAUCAGUAACUUUUUUUUUGGAUUUUUAUUUUUAUUUUUAUGGAUUUUGGUGUUAGUUCCUUGUUAUAGAUGUUGUGGAGCAAAAAAUAAUCUCAAAAAUCGUGGAGGUGACACACGGAUUUUUGGACAAGAAUGACAAAAUUAUCCUCGAAGCACAUCAGGAUUCCCACGUGCAUGCAACGGACAAUAACGGCUCAAUCAUGGAAGAGUCAAAGGUGAUCAAUAUGGUAUUUAUUCAAAUCCCUCUCAUCACUCCUCAUCAAUCCCUUUUUUAUUUUAUUCAAAAGGUAACUCCCAAAACUUCCUAUUUAAUUUAGGGAUCAUUGUCAUGUUAAUUGCAAGAUAUUAUUUCACAAAAUAUCUUGUAAUUAUUCUUCAAUUACCACCAUGUAUGGCCGGCCACUCCUCACAUUAUGGGCCGGUCACUCCUCACCCUAUGGGUCGGCCACUCCCUAUAAAUAGCCCUAUUAUUCCACUAAUAAGGAAGCCAUUUGCUACCCACAAACUCCUAAACACAUUCUUUCAGAAUUCUAACUUUGGCAUUGGAGAUUCUUAGGCCAAAUCCCCCCUCCCAUUCAUCAUGGGCGCAUAAGGCUUUUGGCCUUAGUCUUAGGUAUUAUUAUUUUGCAGGUGCAUUUUUGUCAAAGACGAAGAUGGUGAAAAUUUGCAUCCACAAAUUGGUGUUUUCAUUGAGAGUUUGAUUCAUAAGCUCGAAGAAGACUCACAUUCAAAGUUUCACAUUUCUCAUUCAUAAGUAAAUUUUUCAUACGUUCUUAUUCCUAAAAUUUUUUAAAUCUUUGAAUAGACGUAUGAGAGAAAUACAAUGGCUAGAAAUUUAGAAACCACGACGAACGAAACUUCCUACGUUCAAAGAUCCAGAUAAAAUGAUGGAAAUUGCGAUGUAGCCCCACCACGACGAUCCACGAAGCUCAACGUGGUGGCAAAAUGAGUAACUUGGCCACCACGGAGUACCACCACCACCAUAGCCAAGGCAACCCAUGUUGCAGUGGGGAGUGGGACAGCUUCAUGGCAGCAAAGCCACGAAGCAACAAUAAAUGCCAUCUUGCAGUAAUGAGCCCAGGCCCGUGUCACAAGGCAGUCAACCCAGCGCUAGGUAACCUAGAUCUAGUAGGCCCACGACGUUGCCAUAGCAGCUGAGGCCUAAAGCAAGGCCCAAACAGUUGCGGUUGCGGCAAAUGGAGCAGCACAACACUGGCGGGGCCAAUGCACCCUUGGCCUAAUGCUAAGCAGGCUAAAUCGCACCACACCCACUAUUCAAACUAACCCUAAGUUGAGUAAGUAGCAUUGAAGGUUGUCAACCGCAAGGCGUUGAAGUACGAAUAAAGUUACACACCCCGCACAUGACUUGGCCCACUUCCGCGGCCCAACUUGCUCGCAAGGUCCACCUAGUGAUCCCGACUAGUCGAAGGCCAGUUUAAUCAUCCCAUCUUCAGAUUUCUGGACUGACGAUUGAAUCGGGGGUAUUUUCACCCCGAUUUUCUACAGAUUUGACAUAUCUCAACUCAAAUCUCGCACUUGGAGUCCAUUGCACUUCCAUUACUCAAGGAGACGCAUACCAUUUAAGAUCUUCCAUCCCAAAUGGCGAACAACACUUGUCUCGACAAGUCAUAGAGUUGACAUGCGCUUUUGCGCAGUAGACGACCUUAGUGAAUCAGCUCUUGCAACGCACAUAGAUGCAGUGUGCCCCAGACGAUGUGUCCCGAAGUAAGACAAGUACAGAUGACGAUUCUCUCCAGCAGCGUCCCAACAAGCAGCCGCUCGACUAGCCACGAACCGAGCGUUCUGGCAGUGUACACUCCCGUCUAGGUCCUCAAGAAAGCGUAUACUCUCGUCUUAGCGCGCGAAUGAGCGUGCACUCAUGGUUAGGCCUAUGGACGAGCAUACAUUCACGGUUGGGACCAUACUCUUAUAAUUAACAUGGACAACCUGCUAGACGAAGUGUUCAUUCGCGGCUAGGCCCGCAAAAAGCAUUUUCCACCUCAUAUUGGAGUAAGCAGCACAGAAGACGAAGAUAAGCAGUCAAUUAAUCUGGCUCAAAUUCAAUCGGCCACCUGUAAGUAACCAGUUCGCCUGCCAAGAACGUAUCAUAUGCAAUGUAGCCACGACAUAGACUAGAUGAGCACAACGAUAAGCAACCUAGACUAACAGGUUACGACUGGGGGCAGCCAGAAGCUCUGCUGCCCCAAUAGAGGUAAAUUUAGAAAGAAGUUGAGAGGCUCAUGACCGAACAAUUGUGCGAUUUCCAACGCAACGAAGCUACUGACAAGGCGCUUAAACGAUACACGACCAACAUAAAUGGGUCACCUUUUAUUGACAAGAUUGAGCAGACAGAACCAUCCUACAUACACUGGCGGAUACAAAGAUUACAUCUAUUUUAACAUAUGCAUCAACUCAGCCUAAUGGCGUGUCGAGGGCAAAUGGGUACCAGAAUGGCACACCAGCCCAACCACCAAGAACCAGGGCCAAAUCUUAUUUUCAUCACUCCACACGAUUCAAUACUUGAGCAGCACAUCACCAGUAAUCGAGCACCGCAGACCUAAUGGUCCAAUUCCUCCUGAUGCACACAAGCUCACCCCAGCUCCACGCUCAAAGCCUUGCCUACCUGCUCCACAACACUCAGCCACCCUUGAUUUGUCACCAUGGCUCACAAUUAUGCCAAUUUUGCACCACAGCUCAUAGCCGUGCUAAUCUUGCCAUGCGGCUCUUAACUACGUUAACCAAGCCCACGAUACUUUAUACUUCAAAGCAUCCAACGACGGAGUAGAACACGAGGCUCUACUAGCAGCCCCUGCUAGUGAAAGACUUUGCGGUGAAGAGGCUUCCAAUCCAUUCAAAUUCUCAGUUGACCACCUGUUGGGUUUUACGACUCAAAAUUAGGAUGAUGCAAAAAAAAUUGUGUUACCUAUUUGGUUUUGGUGUCGUAUUUGGGUUUGGAUUUUGACCUCUUAGUUGGUUUCCGUGGUGGAGAGAUUUUGUUAAUUACCUAUUUGAUUAGGAUUUGGAUUUACUUCCUAUUAAGAUUCUUAUUGUAACCUAAGUCUUAUGCACUAUAAAUAGGACCUCAGGGUUAGUGUAUUUUGUGUGGCUCAUUCGUGUGGCAAUUUGGUGAGAGUCAAUUUGUGAGUUUGUGAGUUAGAGAGCAAUUUGGGAGAAUCUUCUCCGUUAGUUUUGGGUUCUCUACUCGUUUGGUUUAGGGUUUGUAAUUUGUGGGAUUUGGAUUGUGAGAGUCUGAACACUAUUUUGUAAUCUCCGUUUGUUUAGUGAAAUUUCUUGUCAUGCUUCGCUCGUGGACUUAGAUUUUACACCGAACCACAUAAAUCUCUUGUGUUAGUUUGAGAUUGUUUGUUUUAGUUUUCACCUACGACGUUGAUAUCGGUACUUUGUUAGAAUUCGCUUUCCUUUGCUCAUAAAAGUACAACAAGUGGUAUCAGAGCCCGGCUUUCGGCUUGGGCUUUGCUUGGCAAUCACUAUGAAGCCUUCUGUGUCGUCGGUGAAAGUUGAUAUUGAAAAGUUCGAUGGCAAUGACUUUGGUAUUUGGCAAUUGAAGAUGCGUACUUUGUUAAUUCAACAAGAGCUUUUAAAAACGCUAAAGGGUGUGAAGGCUUUCCUGAAUUCGUGGACUGAUGAAGAAAAAAAAAGAUGUUAUGGAGCGGGCACUUGGAACAAUCCUGCUAACUUUAUCGAAUGAAGUCUUGCGUCAAGUUGGUAGCAUCAAAUCUGCACCGAAGUUGUGGCUAAAAUUGGAGAGUUUGUAUAUGACCAAAUCCCUUGCUAAAUGGUUGUAUUUGAAGAAAAGUUUGCGUACUCUUCGUAUGGAUGAAGGUACGUCAAUUCAUAAGACCAAAUCCUUAUUGCUGCCAAAAGUCCUCAACAGUUCCAAGGGAGAUGGGUAAGAGUUCGUAAUAGUGAGAGAUUGAAUCUUUUCACACUCGGCCAAAUUUUAAUUUUAAUUAGAUGAAACAAUGAAUCUUGAACAAAGCAAAACAAAAUUUAAUACUGAGAGAUUGAAUCAUUGAAGUGGACGUGGAUGUUGGGUACUCAACAGUCCAAGAAUGAAAACUCUCAUAUAAGUUUUUAUCCAAAAUUUUGGAAUUAUGUGAGUAUUGCAACGAUUGUCCGAAUGAUUAUUCUUCUUUUAUUAAAUUUCCAUGGAAAAUGAGCAUGGGGCACAAAAGUUGAACGAAUGAAAUUUCAAUGAUCUGCAAAGGGAUUGUGAGUUUGACAUGCCAUUUUUCUUCCUUUUAUGCAGUCAUGUUUAUUAAAAGACAAAAAUAAAUAUGACUUUACAUAAGGAGAGAGAAAGAGUAUUUUUCCUUGAAAAAAUCAACUAUUUAUUGAAGAGGAUGUGGAUGUUGAUUGAUGCGCAUUGUGAAUAGGAAAAAAAUAACCUUGAAGGGAGACGAGACAUUCAUUAGAAGCUAAAAAAAAGUUAUAGUGAUUUAGAAAAAAAAAGUUUUAACGAAACAUUUCCGGUACUGUUUACUCUUUACGAAAAACCACAUUUUUACCUUUCCUAACUACUAUUCACUACAUCUUUAUUUAUCAUUUUUCAUUAAAACUAAAGUUUUUGUUUUAACUUUUCGUUAGUUUCCUUUAGAAAAAAGCAAGAAAGCCUCAUUUUCAAAGUGGUAGUCCUUGAAACAAUACUUGAUUAGAAGAAAAGUCAUAGUAUUGUAUUUACAAUCUCAAGUCUUGAGGGGUAACGAGAAUGCAAGUUUCUAAUUGGAAUAUGAUAUGAAAUUUCUACAUAACUAUAUAUGACAAAGAAAGAAGUCUAAGUUUCUAAGUGGAAGGGCUUCCAAUUGAUGUGAGUUUGUUGAGAAAUGAAGAUGAAGAUGAAUAUUGUUGUUGAUGUGAGUUAGUGAACAACAGAACAAGUUGCUUCUCCUUUGGCCUUCUAACAUGAUAUUACCGGAAAACAAGUUGUUACUAGUAAAUGUAACUGACUGGUGAACUAAGACAUGCGGUACGAUUUUUGAUAACUAGAGAAGAUGAACAGUGUCGUGACAAAAUUUAUCCAAGUAGACCCAAGGGAAAGACUUAGGAACUUCAUAUGCAGUGGGAUAAAAUCUUAAGCUAAUUUCCUUUUUAAUCUUAUAGUCAUUAUGUAAAAUGUAUAUGCAUAUUUCUAGAUACAUACACACCAAUGUACAUAAUAUUAACUCCUUUUAAGUAGUCAUUUGCAAAUCCCUCUCGAGUGCUCUUUGGAAUGCUCAUGUGGUGCCGUUCUAAUCUCUUAUAUAUAACUUUUUGUGAUCCAUUUUUUCAUCAAUAUGCCAAAAUCCCUUUAGAAUUUGCAACUUAUCUUUUUGGUUACGGUAAAAAAAAAACUCGGAAUUUCAUUUAAACUCGAAAAUCUAGGGAUGUGAAAGCAAUUUUCUCUUGUUCGGCAACAUGUAGCGAGAGCAAAGGCAAAUUGUACAGGAAAAAGUUAGAAAUUUGGGAUGAAGAUUCCCAAUUUUAAUUUCGUCUAAAUAAGUGUAAUUUCACAAUUCUAACUACGAUGAGAAUCACAAAUAUAUUGCAGGGAAAUCUUGCGACAACCAAACUUUACGAUUAGGGUGCCAAAUUUCGUGAUAAAACCUAAUAAGGGUUUAGGGCUACAUUGUUCACUCUGUUAACUCUCCAAAUCUUCGACGGGAUUUUCGGCUCGUGCAUCAUCUUCUUGCUUUGUUCUAGGUCAACGCCUCUACUCUCUUCUUUCUUGUAUUAUUUUAGCUUUUCAGGUAGACUCUUUAUGGCUGUUGUGAAUUUUGCUAGUUAUUUUUAUUUUCUGAUAGUCAUUUGUUUGUUGUGCGUUUUUCCUUCCAAUUGAAUUGUGUAUUGGUUGGAUUUGUAACAUUUAUUUUUUUUAUUUUAUUUUAUGGAUUUUGGUGUUAGUUCUUUGUCAUGGAUGUUGUCCUUUUGAAGGUUAACAAUAGCCAAGACUAAACAUGAUGAUUUUGGUGUUAAUUACUUUCUCAUGAUACUAAUGCCAUAUUGUUCUCUAUUUUGCACUCACAAGUAAAGAGAAAUAUCCUAGACCCUAACUGGAUAUGUUAUUGUCAUGGUCAUGCAUUGGUAUGGUAACAAUAUGUUUGGAUAAGGAAAAUAAACUUAGAAUUUGACAAAAGAUAAAAUUUAUAAAUUGAUACAAUCAAUUCCUUUGUUUAGAUUCAUAAACAUAGAAAUUUAAACUUUCCGCGUGAGAAAAAACUUGGAAUUUGGGACCUUCAAUUCUCAUGUUUAAAUUUUAUGUAAAUAGGUGUCAUUUCUAAAUUUCAGUAAGUGAGAAUUUAAAAAUAACAAACAUGUAUUCAAAUUUCAUUCAUCUUUUAGGUUAACCAAACAAGAAAUUUUAUAAAUUCUAGAAAAUAAAAUUUCGUUAUUUCAAUUUCUGUUAUUUUAAAAUUAGUAAUCUUAAAUUUUCUCAUCCAAACAAAAAGUUUCCUUGUCAUAGAACUUUCAAUUGGGAUCAAGGAAGACAAUCUUUUCACAACUGAUUAUUCUCACCAAAUUUUAUUAUUAUUUUAAAGCAGAUCAAUACCAAACUUCAAAAGCAAAGUAGGAAGGCUAAAAUUAAGGUGAAGAACCUACUUCCACUAAUUACCAUGGGAGGGAGAGAGAGAGAACCAAGCGAGAGAGAAGAGAGAGAAAACACCAAGUAGUAUUAUAAUAUAGGUGGGGUUAAAUCACCUUUCGUGAAGUUGUAGUAAGAGCAGCUCCAGCGGGAGCUCCAACUUGAUGUACCGGUGAGAUUUCCUACCCAAUAGCCCCAGCUCCUUGCUCCAGUCCAUGCGGGUGAUUGGGCUGAGGGGGGCCGAGUGAGAGGCCUGACUCGAAUCGGUGGCCUGAGAGCCUGAGACCAAAAAUUAUCUUUUUGGAUAAUGACACGUGGUGCAACGAGAACGAUUAAAAAUCUUAUCCGAAAUUACAAAUAGAAUUAUUUUGUAUUAUUUUAUAAAAUAAAAAAUACUAAUAUUUUAUUGCUUAUUGACAUGACUAUUCAAUUACGGGUGGAGAUGCAGAAGACAAUUAUUAUUCAUUAAAGGUAAUUAUUGUUCAUUGGAGGGGAUUGAAUAUGAAGUUGCACUAGAAGGCCUUUGUCACGGCAAUAGGCAAUUACUGUUCUAAGGACUUCUAUCCUAGAAGAGAGACAAAAACACCAAGUAGUAUUAUAAUAUAGGUGGGGUUAAAUCACCUUCCGUGAAGUUGCAGAUAGAGUAAGGACUUCUAUCCUAGAAGAGAGACAAAAACACCAAGUAGUAUUAUAAUAUAGGUGGGGUUAAAUCACCUUCCGUGAAGUUGCAGAUAGAGUAAGGACUUCUAUCCUAGAAGAGAGACAAAAACACCAAGUAGUAUUAUAAUAUAGGUGGGGUUAAAUCACCUUCCGCGAAGCUGCAUUAAGGACUUCUAUCCUAGAAGAGAGACAAGAACACCAAGUAGUAUUAUAAUAUAGGUGGGGUUAAAUCACCUUACGUGAAGUUGCAGUAAGGACUUCUAUCCUAGAAGAGAGACAAAAACACCAAGUAGGAUUAUAAUAUAGGUGGGGUUAAAUCACCUUACGUGAAGUUGCAGAUAGAGUAAGGACUUCUAUCCUAGAAGAGAGACAAAAACACCAAGUAGUAUUAUAAUAUAGGUGGGGUUAAAUCACCUUCCGUGAAGUUGCAGUAAGGACUUCUAUCCUAGAGAAAAGUCGGUCAAUGGUGUUUGACACAGUCAGUCAACGAUAAAGACAGAAUUGUGUAACCAUAAUUCUCUCUCUAUCUCUUUUUCAUUAACGGAGGACAGUGUAUAAUUACUACGUAUACAUCUCUGCUCAAUUAUUGAAAAGAAAAAUCCAUGUGCAUUAUUUUUAUUAUUAUUAUCUCAGAAAUGCAGAAAUUGAUCAUCUCUUCCUUCUGCAUAUUGAUACUGGUUUUCUUCAAACUAGUUGAAGCAAGCCAAUAUGUGUGCGCGAAAUCCAACUGUAGCAAUGAUCAACGCCCGGCUAUCCAUUUCCCAUUGAACAUCAGGCGCACACAUCAUUGUGGAAAUUCUGGGCUUGAAUGCAAUGGGAGAUAUGGGCAGCAAAUACUAAUAAAAUUAUUUGUCAAACACAUUGAUUACAAGCGUCAGGAAAUCCAAGUCUAUUCCCCAAGUAACUGCCUGCUGCUAAAGCAUGUUGAAAUCCCAAACAUGCCACCCUCUCCCUUCAACGUGUCAGUCGAUGACUACAUGAGUACCCUUACCUUAUUCAGUUGUCCUACUUCUGUUGCAAGACGAGAUACGUAUCAAGUCCCCUGCCUCGGCGACCCUGGCAAGAAAACUUAUGCCAUUCGUUCUUACUAUGAUUUUGGAACUCUCUUCCAGAAUCUACAAUCCUGUACAAAAAUGUAUGAUGUUUUAUCAGUUCCAAUAGCCUAUGAAUAUUAUGUUUUUCGUUUCAAAUGGUCUAUACCAAAUUGCAGAAAAUGUGGAGAGGGAAAGAAGUGUGGAUGGCAGAACAAUGAAAUUAAAUGUCUUCCCUGGAGGAAACCAAGUAAGGAUAACAUAUGUAUUCAUUGCUAGUUUUAAACAUCUUUACAUUUAUGUCUUAGUAAUUAUUAUUUGAAGGAUGUUGUCCAAUCCAUUUUUACUAGGAAUAUUACCUGACAGUCUCGUUUAAAUUCGCAAUGAUCUUCUACAGGCAACACAUGGAAAAAAGUGGUUACAGGUGGAAUCCUGUGUGCUUUGCUUCUUGUUCUACUGACGAUUGCAGCAUAUCGGGUAUAUAGCGCUGAUAGAAAGGAGAAAGAGAGUCGAUUAAGAAUUGAAAGAUUCUUGGAGGACUACAAAGCACUCAAACCAAGCAGGUAUUCGUACGCAGAUAUUAAGAGGAUUACAAAUCAAUUCAAGGACAAGUUGGGCCAAGGAGCCUAUGGAACUGUCUUCAAAGGAAUGCUCUCUUCUGAAUUUUUUAUUGCUGUCAAAGUCCUCAACAGUUCCAAGGGAGAUGGGGAAGAGUUCGUAAAUGAAGUGCGAACGAUGGGUCAUAUCCACCAUUUAAACGUGGCUCGCUUGGUUGGAUUUUGUGCUGAUGGAUUUGUACGAGCUCUUGUUUACGAGUUCUUCCCCAAUGGUUCCCUGCAGGAUUUCAUUUCAUCUGCAGAUAGUAAGAAUUCAUUUCUUGGUUGGGAUAAACUGCAAGAUAUUGCCCUAGGCAUAGCCAAAGGAAUUGAAUAUCUUCACCAGGGAUGCGAUCUACGAAUCCUGCAUUUCGACAUCAAACCCCAUAAUGUUUUGCUAGACCAAAACUUCACUCCAAAAAUUUCUGAUUUUGGUAUGGCCAAGUUAUGUUCCAAGGAUCAAAGCUUGGUGUCCAUGACUACAGCUAGGGGGACCAUGGGCUACAUUGCACCUGAAGUGUUCUCCAGGAAUUUCGGAAAUGUGUCUUACAAGGCAGAUGUCUAUAGCUUUGGAAUGCUGCUGCUUGAGAUGGUAGGAGGAAGGAAGAAUAUUGGUUCAAUCACGGAUAACACUACAAAUGAAAUUUACUAUCCACAGUGGAUUUAUAAUCUUCUAGAGGAAGGGGAUGACCUACGAAUCCACAUUGGGGAAGAAGGAGAUGGUAAAAUUCCAAAGAAACUUGCAAUUAUAGGGCUAUGGUGUAUCCAAUGGCACCCGUCGGAUCGUCCUUCCAUGAAAAUAGCGGUUCAGAUGUUAGAAGGAGGAGGAGAAAGCUUGAGUAUGCCGCCUAAUCCCUUUGUGCCUACUGGUUCUACAACUAGGAAUGCAAGACGCCUAGAGCUAGAAGCUAUUGCUGAAUUAGAGUAAAAUGUAUAUGCAGAUAUGUAGACGUAUAGAUAUAGUAAUAUUUAUAUUGAAUAAGAGGCCGUUUGAUAACCAUUUCGUUUUCAGCUUUUAAUUUUUAUUUUUCACUUUUUUGAAAACUAAAAACUAAAAUCUUGUUUGGUAAAUACUUUUAGUUUAAAAAAAUUAUGAAGACUGAGAACUAAAAUGUGAAAGCUCAAAGGAAGUAGAUUAAAAGUAGUUACCAAACAAACUGGAAUCUCAAUAAUAAAAAAAGAUUGAAUUGCACAAUGCAAUCCAAACCAAUCAAAACAUUAAAAUAGCAAAAAAAAAUUAAAAUUCUAGUUGAUUAGAUUCUAAACGUAGUAAAAAUGAACAGAUCCAAUGAAAAAACAAAAAAUUCUCAAAUAAAAAUAGGGAUAAAGUAAAAUAUUUAUAAAUAGCUCUUUGUCUCUUAUGUCAUCAAUUAUUUCUAUAGUAUAUACAGGUUUUUGGAAAAAUUAGGUUCUCAUCCCUUAUUUUCAUAUUACAUUGAUUGAAAUCUUAUUAUUUUUCUAUUUUAGAUCAAGGUCCCUUGACUUAUUCCAUGUCAUCAUUUUAGUAUUUAAAAUAUUACACGUCAUCAUAAACGAAAUCUCAUCCCUUUCUGCAUUUAAGGCAAAAUAAACUAUAUGAGUAAGUUUAAAACAAGGAAAAUCCAUUUGAACUCCUCCAUUCUUCUUCUUCCCUUAUGCACAUCUGGAAUCUACAACACCCCAAACCCAAUUUUCUCCAUUUUUUCUCCAUUCCUGAAUUGAUCCAAUGCAUAUAUGUUGAAUAAACCUAUUGUGAUUAAAAUACAAAUUAGCAUCAAUGGUUUUAUCGGCUUGUGAGAUUUGUGUGGCAUAGGCAAGGCAAUGCAGGCAUUGCUUUCUCAAGGAAUCUGGUUGAUUCAAACAUGCAGAGACUGUAGAGUGAGCGGGCUAUGUGAAAAUUGUACCAUUCUGAAGUCAUUUUCUUUUGUUCUUUAUAUUUUUUUUCUUUUUCUUUUAUUAUUAUAUAUUAGUCUUGGUUAUUCAAUGUCUGGUUGGCUACACUUAUAUCCAUGGGUACAUUUUUAAUCUACAUGUUUCGUUCUAAUAUAUCUAUUGCUAUAAUAUGUUUUGGUUGGUUCAAAUUUGUUUUACAUAAAUAUAUGGGUACAAAGUUUUUGGAGAAUAUUAUGUAAAAUGGUUUUUAAGGUUGCUGCAUUUUACGUUCCCACAUAUGCAUGUCUAUAAAACAAUGUGGUAUGAUGUACAUUCUUUUCUUUGAGUUUUUAAAUGUACCCAUGAGUUUUCUUGUAAAUUCGUAUGUACCCAUAUGCUAUUUAUGUUAUGGGUACAUACAUUAUUUUUGGUCUAAGUUCAGGAUACAUUGCUUUUGUAUGUAUGAAUUCAUGGGGUACAUUAUUUCCCUUAAUACUACUCAAUAAAAUUCACAAAAAUAUGUGUAGUGUGCAUGAUUUUUUAUUGUAGAAAUUGUUUGUUUUUUUUAAGUCUCAUAAUUCAUGAAAUUUGUACAUAUAUGAUCCCAUAAAUUUUUUAAUUUUAUUAAAUUUCUGUUAGACUUGAUCGAUUGAUUGAAUCUCAUAAUACUAGGAUUUUGAAUUACAUAAAUUCUUGGAUUUGAAUCCCUUAAAUGUUGGACUGCAAUCAAUAUUUUAAAUUACAGUUUUUUGUUUAAGAUAUCAAAAAGAUGACAUGGGAAUAUAGUAAUACUAAAAUGCUGAGGUGUACAAAGUCAAGGGACUUUGAUCAAAACAUAAAAAACAAUAAGAUUUCAAUCUAACAAUUGAAUUGACUAGGGACCGGAACCAAAAUGACCCUAGAUUUUUAUUGAGUUUAAUCUUAAUCAAAAAAAGACUUCUUGUAUCACAGAAAAUACAAGAACCAUUAUUUGAAUGAAAUAAAAGCUAUGGGAUGGAGAUAUAAAUGGAUCCUUUUAUUCACAAUCGGAUUAUAUUUAUUUGAUACACUGUUGUCAAUAUGAAUGUUGAGAAAAGACUACAAAAGAAAAAACAAUUUAUAAAUAUAACUAAAAAUUCCAAUUUCAAUCAAUUAGAUAAUUAGAAUUAUAAGAAGAAAAAAAACAGAAAUCUCAGUUUUCAGUUUAAAAAAAAAUGAAAACAAAAACUGAAAACUGAAAACAAAAUGGUUAUCAAAGCCGUCCAAAUAAUAGAAGUUUGUUUCCACUCUUUGUUUAAGCAUAGAUGCCAAUUUUUGUUUAUCAUUUUUUUAACCUCUAUUUUUUGUUACAGUAGAAGCCCUAGAAGGAAAUCGAGCACUGGACUUACCAAACUCUUAACUUAUUUCUACACACCAAGAGCUUGAUUUCGGUUCUUAUUUAUACUAUUUAAGCUAUAAGCCGUGAUAAGAAUUAGAGAACUAUCAUUUGUUGUGAGCUUCAAUUGGUUAGCACUUUGUAUGUUUUCAUUAGAAUUUAUAUUUCACUUAGACUUUCUUAUUAAAAAAGGGAUCAUUUGGUGACUUCACCAUGACAGUCCAAUUUUAUGGGGGCCAUGAGUACUCACAAAGGUAUUUCAGCCUCCCCCUAUAUCUACCGUCGCGUGAUUCACCAUUGCCGGGAAUCGAACUCAAGACGUGUUGUAUAGAAUACAAGCCUAAAAUUCGUUUCUAACCACUGAGUCACCCCGCGUUUGAUUAUAUUUCACUUAGACUUAUCUUGCGGUAUAGCAUGUCAUCCCCGCCCAAGUUUUUCUGUUCGCAUUGAGUUUGGGAUACCAAAACUUGCCAAACAAAGUAGAUUGAUUAGUAAGCGAAGCUAAUUAUUCGACUAAACAUUGUUUAGAAUUUUAAUUAAAAGAAACAAUAUGAAUCUGUUUUUUUUUUUUUUUUUUGACAAACUAUAACGUUAAGGAGUUAAAUUGUUAGUUGUUAAGAGUACAGGGAUAGGUGAGGAUCGAACCUCCACCAGAGUGCAUAGACAUUAUUGGUUCUACAACUGCGGUAAAUCACAUAAAACAAAACGUAAUACUUUGAGGAUGGAAGACACUUCGUGGAUAGCGGGCAAUCAACACUAUCAGUCGCUAUCCAAAACUUGGAAUUAUGUUUAUUGUCCGAAGGAUUUUUCUUCCAUUAAAUUGCUAAGGAAGAUGAGGAUGGGUGGAGUGUCUAAAUGUCAAGGUUGAUAAGAAAGUGUAUGGUGUUCAGCAUGCGAUUGAGAUUUGUUGAGUGGCACAACAAACCACAUAAAAUUUUCUAAAUGAUAAGCAAUGAUAAGCUUGAGUAUAAUUUUUUACCACGUAUUUAUCUUUAAAAUCAUUAUAAUUAGAUUUUCUCUUAAUUAAUAUAGACCGUUAGAUUGACCCAAGUUUUUUUCCUCUUUUCUUUCCCCUCGUUUUUUUCUUCUCUGAUUUUCCAUUCACCGUGUAGCAGUCGUUCUUCCCCAACUAAGUUUCUUAUUUUUCUUCACAAAAAAAUUGUAGAAAAUAUUAAGAAAAGAAAAGUCAUCAAUAUCAGACUCGAUCAGGUAAUCGUUCCAACCUUCCCAGCAACUCUCAGUCUUAACAAGGCACCAAAUUUUCUCCGCCACCUAACUCGUCAUUCAUUCAUGGGUGUUUCAAGCUUGGUGAAAAUUGAUAGAGUUCCAUGUGUGUACAGGGAUGUGAACAUAUUGGCCACUCUCUAAGAAUGAGUCAUUGGAAAAGUUGAAGGAAAGAUGUAACCGAUGAAAUUAAUGGAUUGGAAUUACAAUGAAGUCUGUGUUGGUUUAUCACAAAGAACCCAGAAACAAAAUUUUAAAAGCAAACAAUUACAACUUCUCAAAUAUUAUGUAACAAACUUUCAAUGAAAUGUUGCUCAUAAUUGAAAAAAGGUUGACGAAGGACGGAGUUGGGAUUAUUUUAGAUGGGGAAGAGUUAAAAGAAGGAAGCACCAUUUAAUUACUAAAAGUAAUUGGAGAAAUGGUAAUUCAAUGGUGGGCGUUUUUAAGGUGUGGACCUUGUGUCACACCCCGAUCCCAACAUACAUUGAGGAUCGACACCUGACAUGGGGACCUAGGGGACAUAAAUCUUACGUAAGAUACAGAAUGAAAUACUAUAAAUAAUAUCCCAAAAUGAAUAUGAUAGUGGGUUCACCCCCUAUAAAAUAUAUACAAGUUUGUACAUUCACAAAAAAAAAAAAAAAAAAAACACACACACACACACACAAAACUCUUGCUAGGCCAAGACUUGCCCAUGGUUCUCAAAGGAAAGUCCUAAAAGAAAUAGUACAAUGAAGGAUAAAGGGGUAACCUAAACACUCCAAGUCUCUGAUCUCUGCACUGCUACCCCCACCGGCUCCUCGUAAUCUACCUCAGACCUGUCACUUGUACAAACAGUGCCUACAUUGUGGGAAUGGUGCACCGGGCAAACAAAAACCCAGAUAAGCUGCAAAACUCGUGUGGUAGCCGGCCUGGGACAUGGGAGGGGGCCGAGUCUUUCAGAAACCCUUGGGUCAUUGAUCUUCAAGCUUACAUGGAUGGGAUUGUCUCGACGUUGCUUUAGGAAGUCUCGACAGUCGUGAAAGACGGCUUUCGAUCCUUCCACUCCUUCUGUAAGAAGGUGUCUUCCUCCACUCCUUCUGCUUCGGGUUGAAGCAGCUGGGUUGAGAGAAGUCUCAUGUUGGUCGCGAUUUCGAUGAGUAGCUCGCUCCUCAACAGGAAUACCCAUGUCGAGGGAAAAUGAGCCUCUGUGUUGGAGGCACCCAGUUGAUGGUUGACUUCCACAGGGGUGAUGAGCUCGUGUGUUUUAGUAUAUCUAGCCUCGUGGAGCAUCUCGAAGACCUUUUCAUACUGCUCUUGGAGGAUCUCAUUCUUCAUCGCUAUCUUGUUGUUCUGAGCCUCCAGCUCAUCGACUUUAGCCUGAAGAGCAAACUUCUUUUGUUCCUUCUUUCGUUGUUUCGCACCAGGUGUAAGAGGGGUGUCAUUCUGUGUGCCGUGGCUUCCUUCGCUCCCCAUGUUAGAGAGGGAUGCCUGGUCAAAAGAGAGAGUACGAAUGGUGGAAACCAGCUUGGCAAAGCUAAAGAGAGUGGGAAUAAGUGUCGUUCCCACAGACGGCGCCAAAUGUUGAUGCACAAAAUCAGUGAGGACUUUGGUACAACAGAAAGUGUUAAGUUUGUGUCCUUCGCUAGAUUGGUCCGGUCAUUAGUGUGGAUAAGUAUGUAAAUGGAUAGGGACAGGGAAGCAAACACAAGAUGUAUGUGGUUCACCCAGAUUGGCUAUGUCCAUGGAGUGGAAGAGUUCUCAUUAAUUGUGAAGGGUUUACACAAGUACAUAGGUUCAAGCUCUCCUUUAGUGAGUACAAGUGAAUGAUUUAGUACAAAUGACAUUAGGAAAUAUUGUGGGAGAAUGAUCUCCUUUUAUAGAAUAGUUUCUAGCUUUGUUCUGACAUUGACACGUGUCAUGCUGUGAUUGGCUUUUGAUGUUGACAUGUGUCGCAUUGUGAUUGGCCUCCUGGUUUGAGGGAAACUCUUCUGGGUCCUUGACAGUAUAACGUUGACAGGUGCUCAGUAGUUUCGGGAUUGGUCAAGUAUGGUACAAACAAAGUCACUGAAAACUUCGAAGGAGUCACCCAGACAUCCAACGACUUUUCUAAAUCAAAUCUCAGAGAUUCCCAAAACUAUCGUUCACAAAUACACUAAAAACUAAGGCUAGAGUGACACAGUUUGGCCAAAGCCUACAUAAGUAACCAAAUAAGAAGUGGCCCCCCCAUAGCGGAUUAAUCAAGUAGAGCCACUCCUGAGAAAGUAACCAAGUAGGUAGUGACCCCAUCACGAAUUAACCAAGCAGAGUCACUCCUACGAAACUGUUAGGUAGUGAUCACCCAUCGCGGAUUAACUAAGCAUGAUCACCCCUAAGUACGUAUGGCCAUACCUAAGAAAUAAGGAUCGCCCAUCGCGGAUUAACUAAGCAUGAUCACCCCUAAGUACGUAUGGCCAUACCUAAGAAAUAAGGAUCGCCCAUCGCGGAUUAACCAAGCACAAUCCAAAAAUAUUAUGGGUCCCCUAUCGCGGAUUAACCAAGCAGGACCAUCCAUGUACCACUGCUACAUGGUGCAGAUUCGGUGUCACCUAACCCCGUGACACUAGGGUAACGGUCCUCUACUAGCCCUCACGUUUUUCAAACAUUUCAAAUAUAUAAUUUAAAACACAAUUCAUAAACAUUUCGAAUAGGGAAGUCACAUAGUGUUUAAUAAUGUAGGUCAAUGGAAAACUUUAAAAACAAUUAUUUAGCAUAAAACAUAUUUUAGAAAUCCAUGCUGUAUCCACAAAGUAUACUAGCACGGGAGAUUUUCAGGGUAAUAACUCUAUCACAUAUAUUAAAGUCACUCACCUGGAGUCCGCACUAACGCACCCUAGCACGAAUAUCAAGAUGUCACGUACUAUCAUUUGUAACAUCCCACAUCAACCAACAGAGAGGGGGUGAUGUGUCUUAUAUGUACAUGCCCACCUCUAUAGCACGAGGCUUUUUGGGAGCUCAUUGGCUUCAUAUUCCAUCGGAACUCCAAAGUUAAGCGAGUUUGGGCGAUAGUAGUCCAAGGAUGGGUGACCCACUGGAAAGUUCUCGUGUGAGUUCCUAGAAACAAAACCGUGAAGGCGUGGCCAGGGGGGCCAAAGUGGACAAUAUUGUGUUACGACGGAAUUAAGACUGAGAUGUGACAGAAUGGUAUCAGAGCCGCUCUGCCGCGUGGUGCAAGUGUGCCGAAGAGGACAUCGAGCCCCUAAGGGGGGUGGAUUGUAACAUCCCACAUCGACCAACGAAGAGGGGGUGAUGUGCCUUAUAUGUACAUGCCCACCUUCAUUUAGCACGAGGUCUUUUGGGAGCUCACUGGUUCCGGGUUCCAUCGGAACUCCGAAGUUAAGCGAGUUCGAGCGAGAGCAUUCCCAUGAUGGGUGACCCACUGGGAAGUUCUUGUGUGAGUUCCCAGAAACAAAACUGUGAGAGCAUGGCCGGGGCCCAAAGCGGACAAUAUCGUGUUAUGGCGGAGCCGAGAUUGGGAUGUGACAUCGUCACCUAAGACAAAGUACAAGUCCACAUUUAGAGUUCUUCGAGUAUUCACAUAAUCAAAAAUUUACAUACGCACCCUACAACUAAUGAAGAGAAAUCGAGACACGUUGACAAAAAGUCAACCGUCGAUCAACGGUAGGGUCCACAACCCUACGUAACUUAAUCCGUAAGAUCCAGCCACUGUAUUUGUGAUUCAUAAGUUCCUAAGGUCCUCAAAUCUUACGUACAAUAACAUACUAAACUUUAGUGACGAUCUAAUGGUCGAAUCAUCAUUUACUAUAAUGUUCAAAUGACGCAAAUUCGUCAAUCGGAUGUCAAAUAUGGAAUCGGUCAUCGAAUUUAGCCUAGGAAGAUCAAGUGGUGUCUCAAGCCACGCACCACCAUGCGCAGCAGUUGGCAACCCAGAUUCGUCGAAAAAAUCACCUGAUUCCAAAAUGAAUGUCGUGAGACGUGGAGUAAAUUGUAUACCUGUGAGAAGCCCAAUUUGGCCAGGAAGUGGCCUGAAAUCACUUUAGACCGUCGGAAACCCUAAAAUAGGUGAAUCUCGAUUAGUCAUCUCUGGUAUUCCACCGUCCUCAAACUUGUUUAGGGUUCUCAAAAAAAUGCUAAUGAUGAUGGUGAUUGAAGGAGAACGUUUCAGAAAUAGUGAAUCGCCGGCGAGGGUUUCACGGAAUCGACAUGGGUGUUCCUCGUGGAACCAAGACCAAAUCUCAACGGUUUUGGCUAGAAAUGGAUGCUGGGAUGUCGUGGUGAGGUUUGGUAUUGAUGGGAGGUCGAAGAAAGUCAAAAAAAUCGACGAAAAAACUGUCGUCGGAGUCACAGGAAACGUGUUAGAAAAAUGAGUCGCCGAGUUUGAAACGGGUCGAAGGCUUUUGGGACAGCUACUUAAUCUCUCUUCUCUGAUUAGUCACUCCACUCACUCUCUCAUUUGAUUGGUCCAGCCUUCCCACAUGGUGGGAGUUCCCUCAUAUAGUAACCCAAAAUUUACUAUUUAAAUUUGGUAUCAAACGUCCGUAACUUUUUUGUUAUAGUUCCGAUUCACAAACGGCUUUCGCCUACGCGCUCGUAUGAUCGAAUUAUACUUGAAAACAUUAAUUGUGACCUUAAAAAGGUCUACAAGUUUUAAAAGAUUAAUUACAAAAAUUCACACCUUGUAACUAUACGAUUCAAAUUCUAAAAUUAACGGAAUUAAAAUAAACUAAAAAUAAUGUAAACACGAAAUACAGACUUUAAUAAUGAAAUACGUAAUUAAUAGUGGAAUUCUGGGGAUGGGAUUUCACACCUUGCGUCCGGACCUUGAGUGCGGAUCAGAAUCCAAAGGUCGUGAUCUGACGAGCUCAUGUAUAGAACAGAGUUGUUGUGACCCAAUGCAAUUCAAAACUUUUAUGUUUUUUUAUUUACUGGGUACGUUUUUGUAGGAGGAAAAGGGGAAGUCGAGGGAUUCUUUGCGCAAUAAAGAGGGAAAGAGAGAAAAGGGGAGCUAAGAGGUUCUUCGCGCGUUAAAUUUUUGCUUCUGAUUUUGCAACCUAGAAAUAAAGUAUUUUCUUUAUGGUUUAUGGUUCAAGAAUAUAAUGGAUGCAACCUAAAAAUGUUUAUUUUUUUAUUUUUUACUUUUUUUCUUCUUAUGUUGGCUUUUGGUUUAUUCUUAUAAUGCACUAUAUAUUAACUAAAUUUAUAAACAUUUUGUAUCUUUGUUGCAGUCAAAUUAAUCAUAUGGGUUGGCAUGACGAAGUUCGACUGAGACAUACAGAUGUUUUGCAAUCUUAAGUCUAACCUGACACACCCCGACCUCAAUAUCCAGUGGACACCAAAAUUGAGGUGUGAUGGCCAUCAUCCGGAUGGGUGACGAAACCAUUAUAUGCAUGAAAACAUAAUUACCCAAACACGUCUUAUUAAAAUAUUGAGUAAAUACCAUACAAGAUAGAAUACGUCAGAGCUGUUGCAAAAUACCUCAACGUCCGAUGUAAUCACUGAUAGAAUUACUGAAUCAUGUAUAAAUGGAAAGCUGAUAAAUACAUGUAAUUUGAGUGGAUACUUACCAGCAGCAUGGAUACAAUAUCAUCCACCAGUCGUAACUAGUGAAAGUUGGAUAAUAUAAUCAUGUCAUUGCCGAGUAAUCUCAAGGCAAUGACAAGAUGAGAAUGUAACUGAGUAAUCAUAUCAUUACUAAAUAAUCUCAAAGUAAUGACAAGCUAAGAGUAUAACCGUAUAAUCAUGUCAUUACCUCGUAAUCUCAAAAUAAUGAUAAGCUGAGAGUAUAACUGUAGUACCUCUUAUUAGUGCAAUGCAUGAUAUGAAUUCCAUCUCACAUAUAUAUGCAAGCCAUAAUCAAACCAAUAAACAUCCAACAAAAGCCACAAUCCUUUUAACAUUCGACCACAAGAUCAAUUUUCAUAUUUCCCAAACCUAGGUUCCAAAGCAUUGUUUCGAAUUAUUAAUACAAGAAACCACCACCACCUCAAUCAACUCCUAUUCACAAGUGUAAGCAAUUACUAAAUGCAUCACUUUCGACUCUAGUCUUAAUUAGAUUACUUGGGAUACUCACACCAUCAGAUCCAAGUACUAUUUUGAUAAACUUUAAAUAGCAUGGUUAAAAUAAAUGAAACACUUUUAGAAAAUAAGUGAAGAUGUUGUUUACAAAUAUAGAUGCAUCUGUAUAUAAAAGCUUUGGCGGUUGAUCCGUAUACACACUUCCAGAGAUAUAAGCAAGUUCAUUGGAAUAUACAUACAUAGUUAAUGUAUUACAAUAUAAUUAAUAAGAAAACAAUUGCAUCCCUUUCAGAUUAUAUAUAUAUAUAUAUAUAUAUAUAUAUAUAUAGACACACACAUACAUACACACAGGCCCUUUAUGCAAAGGAAUUUCCAUUUUUUUUCAAAAAUGGGGAUUAGUUGUGGGGCCCACGCUGCAUUGAACUUUAACGAUCCGAACAGUCUAUUUUGUAAGUCUCGAUUCAUAGAUCAUCCUUGUAAAAAUUCAAUUCAAUCCGAACCCAUUUGCCUAUUUAAUUAUCAAGAUAAAAUUUUAUUGUUUCUUAUAUAACAAAGUAUUCGUUAAUUUCUUUGAACUCAAUUAGAUAUCUUAAACAUUUCCGAUUUGGUUAAUAUUGUGUAAGGAUGAUCUAUGUGGUGCAACUUGAAAAAUAGACGAUUACGAUCGUUAAAGUUCGAUGUGGUGAGAACCCUACAAUUAAUCUUCAUUUUUAUAAAAGAAUGGGAACCCCUUCCCUUAAAGGUUUCCUAUGUAUAUAUUUGUUCUCCAGACAUAUGCAAAAGGUAAUGUAAAACCAAUGAGAACUUAAAUAGAUAUUCCAUACAUAGGACAAUUCCAUAUAUGCUUUUUCAACAUUUAUAUCGAAAAGCCAAAUUGUUUUGAGGAAAUUAAUUGUAGCAAUGAUCCCUUAACUUUUAUCUUAUUGGAGCAAUGGUCUCUCAACUAAAAAUUCAUAACCAUUGGUUCCUUAACUCCACACAACGUGUAGUUAUGGUCAUUUUCAUUAACUCCGUCAGAACUUUUGUUAAAACAAGUAAUGUUAGAAGAAUCAUUGCUACAAUUAAGUUAAAGUUGGGGACCAUUGCUCUAAUUAAAUUAAAAUUGAGGGAUCAUUUCUCCAAAUUGCUUAAAGUUCAAGGACCAUUUCUACAAUUUUCUCAUCUAGUUUCCCAUAUUUACCCCAUGAUUCAGCUUCACAUGCAUUGCACAUGACUCAUUUUGAAAUUUUUUUUAACGAAAUUGAUGAAAAUGACCAUAAAUGCACGUUUUGAAGAGUUAAGAGACCAAUGGUCGUGGAUUUUAGUUGAGGGAUCAUUGCUCCAAUUUAGUUAAAGUUAAGGGACCCUUGCUACAAUUUUCUCAAAUGUUUUGUAUGCGAAAAUAGGCAUUUGUAAAGUUUGGCUUGUUCAUGGCAUUAUUACUUUAGUCUAAAGUAAGGCUGGAAAUGGCACUGUAGAAAUGAAUAGUGUUCCAAUCCGAAUUUCAGUUUAAUUACAACAAUGCCAUUGCUCUUUGUGUUGCCUUUAGGUGAGCAGCCCGGCUUGCAGCCAGGCCCAAAUGUAUUGGUUUUAGCUGAGAAGCCCGGCCCUUAGUCAAGCCCAAAAUUUUAAAUUACAGUUUUGCCCAUACAAAAUAACAAUCCGAUUGUAUCGAGAAGGACAAUUUUGUCCUUUCAGUUUUGGGUGAGAUAGGGGGUAACAGGGUAAGUUUCAUUUGCUGUCGUUGAAUGAGGGUUUCGAGGAUGAGGGCUCUGUGUGUGUGGGUGUGUGAGAGAGAGAGAGAGAUAGAGAGAGAUAGAGAGGGAUAUGGCGAUGGAAGGAGAGCGAGGGGGAAGGGAAGGGUUCUCGGCACUGUUGCUGCAUGUGAAUUUCACAAGUGGGAGAGUGGGUAUGGUCAGAGAAGACCAUAUAGGUCGUUGGGAUUUCAGGGAAACGGGGUAGGGGUCAUGAAUGAACCCUGCUGAGAGUGGGUACUGGAUCUUGCGCUGCAUGCCUCAAAUCAAAGAUAAGUUCGUUUUUUUUAUUGUAUUUUUUAUGGUAGCUUAGCUUUUGGAAUUGUUUAGUAUGUUAGGUCCGAUUUUGGGGGAUUUAUCUUUUUAGAGAGAGAGAUGGACAGGGAGAUAGAGAUAGAGAGAGAGAGAGAGAGAGAGAGAGAGAGAGAGAUGAGGAAGCAUGACUGUGUGCAAUUUUUUAUGUUAAUUAAUGGGUUGGUGCGCAGGGUGAGUGACAGAGUGACAGAGUGAAGGAGGGACGUGUGGGAGGGUAUGAGUUUUCAGUUCUUUCUUUUGAUUCAACAGGUUAUACACUGUUUGAAAAACCUUUUUUUUAUUAUUUUGUUCUCGUUUGCUUUGUUAAAACCAUCAUUUGAAUUUUUGGGUUUCAUUGUGCUUAUUUCUCUGCUUCUUCAUAAUUUGCUGGUGUUUGCUUCUCAUCCCUCUGUUGGUAGAUCUUUUUCUCAUUUCUUGGUUCCUUAUGUAUUCUUUGGUACAAAUCUGUUUACUUUUUGGCUGUGUGAUAAUCUUAGCAGGUGAACUAUAUGAACGUUUUUUUGAAACGAGUUAAGAAGAUCCAGCUGAAAAGAGCAUACAAGAUAGAGAACUGGUAUGCUGCUCGCCAGGGAAAGGCUGCUGGAAAGGUUGAGACGGAUGCCUCUUUCAGAAACCAGGUCAGUUUCCUGCUGCUCGGCGUCUUAAUGUAUCCAAAUUGUUUAUCUUUUGAUGAAAUUAGCUGGCUAUAUUUUCUAUUUUAUUUAUCUGCAUAUUAUUUUGGUUUGUUGAAAUUUUGACUAUAGUCAUUGUCACAUGGGCGCCUAGCCCAACCCAAAUUAGUUGAGGAUAUUUAAAUCUUCACCAUGGUAUUAUAGUACUCACUCACAGUUGUGAAUACUAAGGUGCAUGCAUGGCAUGAAGAAGUGGACCGUGCACGCCAAGGUCAGAGGGAUGCAGAAGGCAAGCUUUUUUCUUUGGAGGUAAGUAUCCUUUGUUUAUUGCCCAACAGUGUUGUUAUUAUCAAUUUGUAGCUUUGCGUUCUGAAUUUUUUGCUUUGUCAAACAACCUUCUUGAAAUGCUCGAUUUCAAGCCGAAGUCCAAAAAAUGAAAGUUGAGAUGGCUUCCAUGAAGAGGGAUGUAGAGCAUUACUCGCGCUAGGUGAAAUCUGCUUCCUCUCUUUUCGUAUAUCUUCAUAUGAAGAGUUUUACUAAGUUAUAUUGAGAACUAUGUUAUUUAUAGGUUAUAUUUUCCAUUUUGCAGGAACACAUGGAGCUAAGGAAGAGCUAUCGUGAACUCACUGAUCUACUGGUAAUGUCACUCAAACUGCUUUAUUUGUGCAUGCUGCUACUAUGCGCUUGAAUGCAUUUUAUUACUGGCGGGAUGCGAAGAAAGCUAGAUAUAUGUGCUGGAUCGCUUGAUUAAUGUUAGGGUUUUAACAACUAAUUGUUAGCAGCUAGAAGCCCUGGUUAGAUUAAUGCUAAUUUGAUUUUCCUUACAGUACUUGAGUGCCAGUUUCAUAUUGUUUGUUCCCUGUUGGAUACCUGCUGUACAGUUUCAUUUCUGUUUCUUCAUAACUUUCUUGGCCCUGGGAUAUAUGCAUAUUGAGUACAAUGAAUAUCCAUUGUUCUCUAACUGUUGGGCUUUACUAUCUUUGUAGCAGCCUGCCUAACAUUUUUUAGGCUCUACACUCUACCAUCCAAUUUAUGAAAAAUUCAAAGAUUGGACGAUAUUGAUUGCAGAAAUGAAAAAAAUACUAUGAUAUUAGAAAGGUGAAUGUAAUUGUGUUAGAAUAAGCGUCUAGCAUGAUGGGUAAUAUUUUAAGUUUGUAUUUCUAAAAUUUUUUCGUUCUGGAGUAUGAUUUACCUCAAUUGUUUUGUACUUUAAUCUUUACUAAUUUUCAUUGUGGAGUAUGAUUUGCCUCAACUAACAACUUUUCAUUGUUUAACUUUUUCCUCCCUUAGAUAGUUGCAUAUGUUUGAUUUGUUAAUCUGCUUCUUACACAUGUUGUUUCCUAAUGGUGUAGGUGGGUUGUCGGAUGCAUGUGCAGAUUACUUGAAUAGACGAAGCUAAGAAUGACUUAGUAUUAAGUGAGACAGAAGCUUGGGUCAGUUGGAUUUUGACAUUUGAUUUAUUCAUGUUUUUUGUUGCUUGCAAUGUUCUCGCAUUGUUUGUUCUGAGAUUCUGUGAUCUUAUUUUUCAUAGGAACUGACAUUGGUUUGCCAUAUAAUGUUUCAGGAACUAAUACAACAACUAAUCACCUUGCUUAGCUCUCAAGACACAUACUUAACAGGUUAACAAACACUAACCUAUAAACUGAUCUGCUAAGCUGGACCAUUAACCUCUGUUUAUAUCCCUGCCACUCAUCUUUUGGCACUUAUCAAUAGCAAAAUCUAGAGUUGUUGAAACCCCAAUUUUAAUGAAUAUUAUUUUUAGUUGAUAAUUAAAAUUAAUUGAUGAUUAAUCUAUUCCAUUGUGCAUUAUUUUAUCGCCAAAUACUUUGAAUAUUCAUUAGCAAAAGAUAUAGGGUUCACUAUUUAAUGAAUAGAAUUUUGAUGGUGGAUUGCAUUUCCUGAGUUAUAAAUGUGGUGAAUCCAUUAUUUACUAGCUGAAUAAUCAUAAUGUUUUGGCCACUUACCUUGAAUUUUGUUCAAAUUGAAGAAGUCACAUGUUUCUUUCUGUUGUUGAGGUAAUCUCUCUGUUGAAAGCUUCUAUUUCUUUUUUUUUUUUCUUUUUUUCAUUUGGGUAGAUUUUUUUUUUUAUGGAUUUAUGUAUUUUUUUUCCAGAGAAUUCGAAAUGAAAUAAGAAUAGCGGAUUGAGCAUAAACAAAUUGAUGAAAUUUUUAUUUGAGUGUUUGUGUUAGUCCUUUUUUGAUUUGUUGAGGUUUGGAAUUAUUUGAGUUUUUUUGCUGUUAGUACUAUGAAGGAUGCUUGGCAAUCGCGAAAUGGGGGCUACCUCUUUGGAAAGAGAAGUCUCGCUAUCCAACCUCUCAUGAAUUACAAACAGGGUGAUUUCUUGCUGAAAAACCACUGAACCAGUAGAACUUUCCUCGGUUCUUCAAUUCGAUUCGAAUAAUUUUUUUACCCAGAAAAGCCAGCGUUUCCUGGUGGGUUUUACAGCUUUCUCAAUGUUUUUGUGAUUUUGGAUUUGCAAAUUUGUUUUCUGUUCAAAUUUCCUUUUGUGAUUUUGGAGGUUUUGUUUAUCGAUUCUCUCACUCAUCUCUCAGCUCUCUCUCACUUUUGAGGUACAUGCCGUUGGAUUCCGUUUGCUGCUGCUGAUCUGUAGGUAAAGCUUCAAUUACCAUAUAAAGUUUACAUUUUUCAUGAUUUCUUGAAUUUGGGUUUUAAACAAAGGAAAUAUUGCUAGAUUCUUAUCUUAUGUGCAAAUUACUGGCUAUUUGGAUUGGUGCCUGAGAUUUAGAGAAUGCCUCGCAGCUUUAAUUUCUUUUUCCUUCAUUAUUACUGUUUUCAAAAUUUUUAUUGCUGGGUAUUGAUAAUUUGUAGUAUGUGAGGGCUUCAAUAUGUUGGAAUUUUGAAUGGUUAUUGCUUCAUCGGAAUUUGGGUGGUCCAAAUUUUGAAUUAGAAGAAACCCAUUUGAUUAAUAUUUUUGGUGGAUUGGUUCUCUGUGUUUUCCUUGCUAUUUCUCCCCCAGUUGGAAAUUGGAAGCCCCAACUUUGAGCUCAGAGCUUGAAUUUCUCAAUCGUUCGUUUCUCUGCACUCUCAUCAAUCACUCUUGAUCCUCUAUCUAAAGAACUGGGUAAUUUUCCAGCUCUAUCAAGUAAUACUCCAUUUAAUUGCUUAAUUGAGGUUUUUUGUUUCUCUUUUUCGCUCUUUCAUCAGUUCAUUGACUUUGAUGUUGAGCUUAAGUAAAUGGGAGAUCAUUAAUUGGCAUUGUUCAAGAUAUAAUUCUGUGUUUUUGGAUUUGUGAAACGAUUUGCCUAAUGAUGAUAGUGGUUAAAAUAAAUUUUUCGUUAUGAAGAGAACAUUGUUCUUCAUUUGCCUACGGUUUUAACUACAAAGUUAAACUACUAUGCUUUUGUUCAAUUGACUGCAACUCAUGCCGCAGUUUGCUUCACAAACCUCUACGGUUAGCUUCCAUACAGUAUGUUGCAAGUUUGAGGAUAUCUUUACAUCUUAAUUUUUGCUCUCUCUGGUUGCUUCAAGUUUGUAAUUUUACGUGUUACAUUGCUACUUGAUUUGAUUAUAAAAAUGCAAAACAAAAUCCGUUUUGCUUUUAUUCAACUUAAAUGUAUCCUUUUGUUUGUUCAUAAUUGUGUUGAAUUUAUUCAACUUAAAUGUGUUUUAUUCAUCUAUUUACGCUUAAAACAACUGGUUCCCCUAGCAAUGCGCGGGCCUAAUUUCUAGUACAUAUACUAAAAGCCAGCAGAAAAUUACUGUUCAUCAUGGGAGAUAGAGCACUGUUCAUUAACAGUGAAAGGGCGAAAAUGCCCUCGGUUUCUUCUUUACUUCACGUACUGUUUACGAAUUGCUACAGUAUAAAGUCCGUUUUGUCCUUCCUGUCCACACAUCUUUCAUCGUCCGUUUCUCUUGCUUCGACCGUAUCUUUUUUGCUUUACCUUUCCUCUUCAUUUUUCGCAUUCGUUAGGCUGCGAUUUUCGGAGGUGGAUUGUUUGCCCUCCCAUUUCCAUGCUCUCCCCAUGCCUAUGUGGUCACAGUUAAACCACGUCAAUAUUUUAUAUUAAUUUUUUAUAAAAAUAAUAAAACAAAAAGUAAUAAGAAUAUAAAAUAUUGACGUGGCUUAACGUGGUCCGUGAUCACAGUAGGCAUGGAAAUGGUCCGCGACUUUCUCCCUUUUCGCCAGCCCCUCUUUUGCUCUCAAAUCCUUGCUCUUUCUUUUGCAAAAUAGUCUCAGAAGAGAUCCUGGGUUUAUCGAAUCCUUUGUUGUUCGGCGUUUUGUUCUCAUCUUGUGAUCGUCGGGUCAGCAGCUUUAAGGUAAGUUUGUUUUUAAUGAUUUAUCCUCAUUUUACGAUGUCUGGGCUAACAAAUUUAAGAUCUUUAUUUUUCUUUUUGCUGCGGAUCUGCAGGUUUUGACAAGUUUUUUGUGAAAUUGGUGCUGUCAGUGGGUGUUAACAUCAGGUACCCAUGUUCAGUUUUUCGUUUUGAUUUGAAGGAAUUUCUUGCGCAGAAGUGCUAGGGUUUCUUGGUGAGUUCUUCGGGUUGUGCAUAUGGGUAAUUUUCUUUUCGGUUUAACCCGCUGCUUCUGCUGCUCUCUCUCUUUCUCUCAUCCCUGCCUGCUCCUCUCCAAUUGUUUGCUGUUCUUAAAUAUUGUGUUCAUUGCCUGAUACAAGGAGCUGCAGCAAUCUGUUUUAUCCUACACGGGACAACGAGGCAAUGGCGUGACAACAGGUGAGCUUGGAUAUCCAAAGAAAGAGAACAGUUGGUUCAUCUGCUGGAGUCUGAAGCUCAGAGAAGUGGAGGAAAAUUGCAGGUGUGCGAGAAAUUUUAUUUUGCUGAUAGGACUCCUUAUUUACGGAUGCAUUUUGAAAUAAUUGAAAAGUUGGAUUUGAGUUAACAGCUAUAAAAAUGUAGACAUGAUUGCUGAGAUUAUGCUAUGAAAGUGGAAUAAAAAAAUGGUAGUUUAUAAUAUUGCGUACCAAUUUUUUUCUCUCUUUUUUACCAAAUGAUAAGGGUGGUGGCUCAGGCCGCCCCCCCUACGCGUCCCCACUCUUCGACAAGUUGAAAUCAUGGUGAUAGUUUAUGGGCUGUGGUCUUGGGAUUCUGCAAAUAGAUUAAAAAACAGACACUUAACUAUCUUGUUAUUAAACAUUUCUGCAUCAUUCAGUUGCUCUUGAUUUUCGUCUUUUAAGCGAUCUUAUUUCUGCGAUCUGACUUGAGGAGGGUUUUUAGACCUAUGGUUGUGGGUGUUUUGUCUGACCCCAUUAAAUUGGUUUCCGAGAUUUGUAGACUUGCGAUCGGCAGUCAAACAUUUUGUGAUUCUUGCUUUUUUUCCGACUGGGAUUGACGAAUUUUGGCCGAAUCUGUUUCCUGUUUUCUUCUCUGUUUGAGCGGCCGCUGCCUUUCGGUCGUUGAGCGCCGGCAGUCUUUAGAUCUUUGGCAAAUCAAUUUAAUACAACCGAGGUAUGUUUUAUAACUGCUGUCUUUCAAUUUUUGUUCUGUAUUUUUGUUAAUUUGGAUGAAGCUCUAAUAAUUUUGUUUUGGAUCAGUUGUGGUCCUCUGUUAGGAUUUUCCUGGCUAAGAGGGUAUUUGCGUUUUUGUUGCUUGGUUGGUCGAUCACAGAUUUACGAACAGCUGUGGUGGUCCUGUUAUUUUUUUGGUAUGUUUUUUCUCCUUUUUGGUUUUUUCCCGGUUUGAGCACCCAUUCAUGAAGAAUUAAAAUGUGUUUAUAGUUUUUCAGGAGAGAUUAGAAAAGUGAUUUCAAUUUGGGAAAAUUUAAUGUUGGUUAAAAUUUGUCUAUAAUUUUUGGGAAGGAAUGAGAGGACCCAUUGAAGUAUGUGUUGUGAUUAUUUUUUAUUCAUAUUUUUAACAAAUUGGGCAUGAAUUGGUAGGUUAACUGUGUGUGUUUAUUAUUUGAAUCGGCCAUGUUUGUCUUUCUAUGGUUCUAAAAAAUUUGUAAAGGCUGUUAACUUGGAAGAAAAUGGGAUCGAGGGUGAGGGGAAAACGGCAGAGAAAGCAUGGAAGAGAGAUUUGGGAUUAGGGGUAGGAAAACAGAUGAAAAGAAUAUGAUAGAGGAAUGAGUUCAGUUCAUUUUCACUAUUUUUUUUAACUGAUUUGGAUUUUGUUUGGGUUUGAGGCCAUCAUUGGCGUUAAGACGUUUAUUAUCAGAUCGUGUGUGUUUUUUGCUAACUUUUAUUGGUCAUUUUUAUGUUGUUCUUAUGAUUUUGUGUGGUAGGGUUUCUGAAUUUUAUCGUUAUUCAUUUGGUUUUUUGUGUGUGUUGGUUUGUUUAUUUUGCAGGUUGUGUUUGUGCUGGGACAACAUUUUCCACCUUCUGUUUGCACUGGGAUGAUUGCGUUUUAAAACUGUUGGGGUGAGAUUUACAUAUGGAAUCAUUCCAUUUUUUUUCUUCCAAAUAUGUGCAUUUAGUUCUUUUUAUUUUAAAUUUUAAAAAUUAAAUCGUUAUUUGAGUAAAAUGUUUUAUUAAUUUAUGUUAUGUGUUGUGAUCAGGAAUUCUGUUGGAUUUGCAAAUUUUGGUUUGAUGAGAGAGAUGAGGAGUUUUUUUUGUUUGAAUUUUUUAUUGGACCGAUUUUCAAUUGGAUUGCAUUCUGCCUUUUUGCACCAUUCUUAUGCAAGCAAUUCAUUGUUUUAAAUACAAUUUGAAGAGAGCUGGGUUGCGGGUUGGAUAUAAAAUGUUAAGGUGAGAUAAAAUCGAGAUACCAAGGGUGGAAGAAUGAUUCAGAAUUGGGGGAGGAAAACAGAGGGAAGAUGGAAGAGUAUAAGAGAAGGAUAGGGUUGACCUCAUUUAGAGUUUUUAUUUACUUUUUUUUUUAUUAUUUAUAAAUUGAUUCAGGACUAGCAUAUCAUUUCUAAAUUUCUAACAUUUUUGUUUAAUUUGACUCCAGUUGAUGGAAAACAGAGCUCUUACUCCUAUCAAUCAGUUGGUCCCGUACAUAAAUGCAGAAAAAUCAAGGUUCGAGUUUGCAGAGUAUGCAGACCAAGGUUUCCUGAAACUACUGGUGCUGUCACGCCCCAAUCCCGACCUAUGUCCAGGAUCGACACGUGACGUUAACAAAUACCCAUAUCUCUAACAUACCCCGCCUCCGGAAUAUGGGCAAAGCACAACUGCGUAAUAAUUUUUCGUAUACUUUAUGGCUGCAUCUAACAUCCUCGUUAGAUUAUCAUACCUUAUGGCUACAUCUAACAUCCUUGUUAGACUGCCUACGUACUCUCAAAAGGGAUCAAACCAUUCGUAGUUCACCACACUCCAAUCCACAAAAAUUUGCACAUGCACUGAUUAUAAAAUGGAACUGCACCUAUAGAAACCUAAUCAUAACCCGUGGGCGAUUUGCUCCCACAUAAGAAAGACGUCCACAGUACCAUGAAAUACUUCCACAUCUUUCCUUCCCAUUUACACAAUAUUUUAUUUCACCUCCCUGAUAAAUAUAGCAUUUACAUUACAUGUGGCAGACAAAUUUGCAUAUUCAACUAUAAUAAAAUACAAUCUUAGUAGGAAAAACCUACAAGACCACCACUCGUUUGAGCCAAACUUUAGCUUAGCACUCAACUGGUGCUCACACCAUGUGAGUGCACGAUCCUUUAAGAUGGAUGCGAUGGUUCUCUUUUGAGAUUAAUUUUGUUACAGGUAUAACAUAGUUGGCAACCGUUUAGAAAUAGAUGCCUCAUGUUCAAAACUCUCAUUACCAAAUGUUCUAACAAGUUAGUAGAGAAGGUAAAAGAACCCAAAUGGCGAGAAAUAGUGUCCUGAUGAAACAAAAGAUGUAACCCUCAUUCAAGCACGAACAUCAUUUCCUUGAGAAUCUGCGAUUUCUUCCCUCAUUUGGUCAAUAUAGCUUGUAUUCCAACUGCAACUUACUAAUAGCAUUUGUUCUCUCCUCGAAUGAAACCAUAACCAGCCAUUUUAAAUAAAGCUGAACAGUUUCACGUUGGGAAAAUAAAGAUUAUAACAUACAGGUUUUGGAUUAGAUUCCCAAACCAACAGAAAAUUAAGAUAGGAAUCUAUUUUGGGUUAACUGAGGUAUGAGUGGUAUACAAAUGAGAAAUUCCCUACAAAAGUCAAUAAAACCAGUUACAUAACAUGUUGAAUAUAAUACAACAUGAAAUAAGAAGCACCACUUGUUUAUCUGACUUUUUAUACAUGUAUUUUCCUAAGGGAUAAAAACGUGCGGGUUUUGGGAUCAAUCUGAAGAGGGCUUCACCACGAAUACAUAGCCUUUGACCGUGCAUGAUUUCGUUGCCGUAUGAGAAAGUUAUCAUUUUUUUUUUUUGUGAAGAAGAAUUAAGGGGGAGAAGAACAGCUGCCCCCUCUGUUUCUGCAUCUGCCCAGCGGGGAAAGAAAAAGAAGAGAAGCCCUUGGCUUCUAGAAUACUCCCUCCCCAAAAUUACAAUUUUGCUCUCUAACUUUGAUUGUUUAUAUCUUAUUCGUUAUAACUCUGUUUCACGAACAGCUUUUGCUUACAUGCUCACAUAGUCGUCAUCUAUUUAAAUAUAUCAAGAAAUACAAUAAAAUACAUCCUCGUAUAAGUAUGUUAACCAAUUAGGGCACUUUCGUCAUUUCCACUUAUCGAUAGAUUUUAACACGUUAAUUAUAAUAAUGUCCGGAAACAGCUUUAAAAUUUCCAAAUUCUAUUUCCAUAACCAUAAAUCGAUUUAUUAAUUUUUCAGGGUAUCACAGGUGCAUAUUCAGGCUUGCAUUGUAUAUUACUUUCCUAUUAAAAAUUUGUUUGGAAUUUGCUUUUCCCACAAAGGAGAAGAGCUGACAGUUACGCUGUGGGCAGAUGUUGCUCGAAGUAUUGCUUCUUUAUCCAUUGAAUCAUUGUCUCUGCCGAUCUUUGCGGUUUUCACAAGUUUAAAGGUCAAGCUGUACCUAGGUGUUUGACUUAAUUAAAAACUAAUCUAUUUAUUUCGGAGGCGGAGCAAAAUGCUAUCUGUCUUACCCCUCUUGGUGAUCUUAGUCGGAAAGAUCGGCUAGUUUGGGAUGUGAGUAAGAAUGGGCAGUACUCGGUUCGAUCGGGCUAUCAUUGGCUGCAAUCUAGGUCUGUUGGGUUCAGGGAUCAACGCCAGCUUGGUGCUUGCUUAGUUCCGAGGCAUUUGUGGCGCAUGGUUUGGUAGUUGAGUGGGCCUCAUAAGCUCCGUCAUUUCUUUUGGUUAUCUUUGCAUAAUGCAUUACCGUCAUUUCUUUUGGUCCGUGACCAGGCAUGAGGAGAGCAUGGAAAUGAGAGGGCAGACAAUCCACCUCCGCGACUUUCUCCCUUUUCGCCAGCCCCUCUUUUGCUCUCAAAUCCUUGCUCUUUCUUUUGCAAAAUAGUCUCAGAAGAGAUCCUGGGUUUAUCGAAUCCUUUGUUGUUCGGCGUUUUGUUCUCAUCUUGCGAUCGUCGGGGUAGCAGCUUUAAGGUAAGUUUGUUUUUAAUGAUUUAUCCUCAUUUUACUAAACUAUUUAUGGUAACUUAGUAUGGUAACUUAACUAAGUAAGUUUGCUUUUAGCCCAAGGGUUGGAGAUGGUCUUAGUAUGGUAACUUAACUAUUUAAUUCCAUCUCAUUAAACUAAAAAAAACAAUUACAUAAAAAUAAGGGAAACCUUGUCCAGAGAGACCUGAGAAAGUCCACCCCUAAGGACUUUGCGCCAGCACCCAGCGUAUUUAUCUACUCAAGUGAACAGUAAUAGACUGGAGUGAACAGUAAUAGGCCAAGGCAUCUCCACCCCUAAAAAAAUGCGCUGGCACCCAGUGCAUUUAUUUGGUGUGUUUUUUUUUUAAAGUUUAUUUCAGAUAAGAUUUUUAACCAAUUUCGGAUAAAAUUUCAAAUAAACUUAAAAAAAAACACUCUAAAAUAAAAUUACAUACUCAUCAAAUAAACUUAAAAAAACACACUAAAAUAAAAUUACAUAAACUCAUCAAAUAAAUUAAGGAUGAGCUUUUUGGUAUUUUUUUUUCACACAAAAAGUAUAUGAAAGCUUUGGUAGAAGGUCUAGAAAAUAUUGAAAUGUGGUGUAAGGUGGAAGAUGAGGGUUAGGUAUUUAUAGAAAAAAAAUAAUAACUUUUUUAAAAUUUUACUGUAUUUUAAAAAAAAAUCUGUAUUUUUUUAUAUUUUUAAUUAAUUUUAAUGUAGUUAAUUAAUUUGGACCGUUGGAUUUGAAAAAUAUUCAAAUCCAAUAGCCCAGGAUCGGCCACGUGGCCAACGCCAGCAAAUGGCCCAGCUUCUUGGUCAGCCUGUUUUGUGCUGGCCCAGAGACCAGUUUGGGCUGGGUGCCAGUCUGUUUUGUGGGCUGGAGUGAAUGGACAGGGUCCCAGCCUGUUUUUUGUGCUGAGUGCUGGCCUAAUCCACCACCGGUGGACUUGCUCUGAGAGAAAGUGACGACUUCUCCUCUCAUUCCACUCCAUACUUGAUCUCUAAAGUCCAUUUGGCAUGUAAUUGAUGUUCAAUUUCAAAUUUAGUGGUAGCAAUUAGCAAAGCUAAUGAAAGAAUCAAAUAAAAUGAAAGAAAAAGCAUCAUGAAAUAAAUCAAGAUGAAGAAUGAAAUUUUGGCAACUCGCCAUUCUCUUCUUUUAUAUAAAAGAUACAUCCUAUUUGUAGUGAAAACAGGUCCCGACAAACCCAGUUAUCCUCAAGAAGUAUUUUGUAUGACUUUAAAAACAUAAUCCGUGAAAUUAUCUCUUGGCUGAGAACAACAACAAAUCUUCAUGCAUAGCUUGUACAGAAAGACAUCAGGCAUACAAAAGAACACGCAAGCAUAAAAUAAACGACGCAGGGAAAACCAAAAAUACUAUAGAACACGUCGCUGUCAAAAGAACAUGAAUAAAUGAAAAUUACAAAACAAAGAAGUGAUGAGAAACCAAAGUACCCAUUUCAUAAUCUAGUUGCUUUUUAGUUUGCUUGCCAUUUUUAGUUCUUCAAUUUAGAGAGAAACGAUAAUUCAGCACAUGAAUAAAGUGAAAACGUAAAAGAUAUGUGGGAUAAGCUGACAGCCAUCCCUGAGUAAUGCAUUCACUUAUGAACCCCAAACACAACGAAACAAAAAUUCACACAUGAACUACAGCUCCGCUAUGUAACAAGAAUUAAAAGCAUCUCAAGACAAAAUGGCAAACUAUAAGAGCACUGUAAAAGUAAAAUUGCAAGAAAUCUAAUACUUGGAGGGCAAGUACUACUCAGACGAAAAUGAAAGAUUGAACUACCUCGCGUGGAACUGUGCCUUGGUUUUUUCCCAUGCUUACAGGAAGCUUUGCACUGAGCUCUUAUAGCCCAAAUUUUCUCUGAAAGAAAAAAACACAAUUUUGAAAUAAGAUUUUCAUAUUAUACCUUAAAGAGAAGAAUUAGAAAACAAAAAAGAGAACAAUGAGUACUAUUCAUCAUAUAUUGUUAGAGUGUGUGGUCCUUUGGUCCAAUGGUCCUGCAGCCAUAUUUACUUUAUAACUCUUUCUUUUAGUCUAAAAAACAUCUUGGAUCUCAAAUUAAUAUGAAUACGGAUUCAUACGCAUGCAUUGCAUUACAACCACAAUGCAAUAUCUCAUUAGAAAUCCCCACACAAAAUUUUUUUAUUUCUACUUUGAUUUUAGUUUAUAUUUUUUCUAAAGCACGAGGGAGCUAAUUUUUUUUUAAAUUUUUUUUAUUCCAAUAAUGUUAUAGGGUUGAAAGGAUAUUAUCAAUUUAAUUGAUUGUAUUUGAUUGGUGGAACUUCUAUAUCUAUAUUUCAGUUUUUCAAAUUCAGCACUGGGAGAGUCAUUCAUAAAAUGUUUGACAGUGAGAUUACCUCCAUGGAUUAUGCUCACAAUGGACAGCUCAUUUUCCGCAGUGAUGGGACAAUAUAUUUCAGUCAUUCGCCAUUCAAUCAAUUCAAACCGAGGAACAAGCAACAUCAAGAAGAGGAUCUGCCAUGUCAGGAUCACUGUCGUCCAAUUAAUACAAAAAAUCUAGAUAAAAACGAUCAAUUUACAUAAAAGCCUUUCAUUUUCUCAGCAACCAAGCAAAAGAAAAUACCUAUCCGUUAACACUCGAUUUGGGAGUAAAUGUUGCUGAAACUGGACUUCAAUCCCCUCAACCGCAACAACCGAAUCGAGGUGUGCAAGUCAUUGAAAAACUCACCCAAGAUUUCAAAAUCUGCAUAAAUAAAUAAAUAAGCACAUAAAUUAGCCAACCCUGUUAUGAUCCCACAUCGGGUACACAAGAAAUUGUGUAGUGGUACUUAAGUGCAAGGGGUCCUCCCACCUAUUGGACUAGUUUUUUGGAUUGGGCUCUUCCCUUGGGCUUGAGUACCUAACAUUGGUAUCAGAGCCUAGGUUCCCGACGCUGCGGGACUUGGCGAGUGGUGCAGCCUCGUGGUGCCGCCUUGAGAGUAUGGGCUCCUAAGGGUCUUGGCGACGGGCAAGGUAUGAAAUGCCGAUAUUAUCGCGAUAUUUCGCCGAUAAUAUCGGUUUUUUGAGUUACCGAUAUUUUAAUACUUAUCCACUGAGUUUUCGUCAAAAUAUCGCGAUAAUAUCAACAAUAUCGCGAUAUUACCGAUAAUAUCGCGAUAUUUUGGAGAUGUGCGAAUCGGAGAAGAACGCCGGAGCUUUUACAGCUCCGGCCGACUGUAAAAGAGCACCCUAGACUCCGAUCUAGGUAUCAAAAUGAAAUACAAGAUGAGAGGAAUGUUUUUAUAACUUCCGUUUGCCGUGAAACGGUCGAAGGUGUUCGGAAAGUUCGUCGACACCCACGGCCUCGCCAGAGAUGGGUGUGCCUAUUCCCGAGCCGAUUUCGUCCCAAAAACCUUGCAAAAACACGAGAUAGAACUUAAAUUUCACGUCUAAGCUUCAAUCUAGAAUAGAAUGAGGUAAACCCGAAGCUUACCUAACCGGAGAAAUUCAAGAAACUCGUCGGAGGGUUCCUGCGUCGCCGAGUUGCAGAGACGAGAAGGAGAGGGAGAAAGACGAGGUUGCUGAUGACGAUGGGUGUCUUCCUCAAGCAAGUGCGAUGGUGUGCGUGUGUGUAUGUGGGUCUCGGUGCAGAGAGAAAGGAGAGAGAUGAGAGUUUCGAGAGAGAGACGGCACCGACGAGAGCUAUUUGUUUUUUUUUAUCUUAAAAAGAGAGAGGUCUAAGAGAAAUGGGAAGAGAGGGCCGAGUGAAAUGAAAGGAGGUCCUUGAAUUAUUGAGAGAUAUCUCUGAGAGAGGCCUAGGAUUUCUAAAAGGUAAUCAUAAAUGGGAAAAAUGGGGCACAUCUUAGCCUUUAUUUUGGAAUCCUAAGAAGUUCACCACAUGGAUGCAUGACAUGUGUGCAUGCCAUGUUUGUUGAAUGGGAAAAGUCUGACACGGAAAGACAAAGAGUCGUUUGGGGCUCUGGGCUCGAGGCAAGACAGAAAGUGCUAGGGUUUUUUUCUGAAAUGAACAUAAGCUGCUAAAUUCGCAUAUAUUAUAGUUGUUGCUAAAGAUUGUCACUAGUGUGGACUUGGACGUGUUGGUCAACAUGUCCUCACAAUCCCCAAGUUCUCUGGUUCGAACCCUUGCGCCCAUCAAAUUUUCUUUCUUUUUGAUGCGCUUUUCCCAUGGCUCUAGGUCUUGAUUUCGAAUCCAAGUGAGCCCUUUCCUUUUUCUUUUUUGUUCUUUUUGUUUUAUUAUUUGUUUAUUUUAAUUUAUUUGUUUCUUUUAUGUUUUUCUUUUCUUUUAGUUUCUUUGUCUUAGGCGUUCGUUUUUAUUAAAGUAGGAUGUAAAAUCAAUUAUCUUAAAAUUAUGUGUUUUUAAAUUUUGGACUUGUUUGUUGGAUACUUUUUUUUCAUUUUAUCAUUCUUUUAUUAUGAAAAUAUGCUAAAAUAUGCUAAAAUAUCACUUAUGUUUUUGUGAAAAUAUGCUAAAAUAUUUAUAUAUAUGAUUUUGUUUUGAAUUCUUUUUGUACUAAUUCAUUAUAUAUAAAUGAUUAUGGUGUGUUUAAACUUCUUUAAUUAAUUACUACAUAUUUUCUAUACUCACAAUGUUUGCCAGCUCGCUAUAUAAUCAACUUAAAUCAGUUAAAUCCAUCAUGCAAUGCAUUUCCUUCCAAUUUUUUGUGAUAAACUUGUGAACACGGAAAAUUCCUGAAACGAAAGAGACAAGAACGAACGUGCACAAACAAAUAUUAUGUAUUUGAUGAUUUUGGGUUACAAUCUCUCUCUAUUUGAUCCUCUGAUUCAAUCUCCGUAAGGUGUGUAUUUGUGGAUGUGUGAUUGAUCCAAAGGGCCGUUGGGCUUGAUCUAAUGAUGAACGUUCUUCAAGGGCCGUGGACUUGAUCUUGAAGGUGGAUUUGAGCGGAUCUUCAAAGGGGCUUUUGGGCUUGAUCUUGAAGAACGGUUGGAUGUGUGGAUUUGUCGAAGUUGUUGAUCCAAAGGGCCGUUGGGGCUUGAUCUUGGAUGAACGGAUGAUGAACGAUGGUGCUUUCUUCAAGGGUCGUCGGGGCUUGAUCUUGAAUUGGUGGAUGGUUGAUCCAAGGGCCGUCGGGGCUUGAUCUUGGAAGAACGAUGAACGAAGAACGAAGAACACUUUCUUCAAGGGCCGUCGGGGCUUGAUCUUGAAUUGGUGGAUGAUUGUUGAUCCAAAGGGCCGUUGGGGCUUGAUCUUGGAAGAACGAUGAACGAAGAACAAAGAACGCUUUCUUCAAGGGCCGUCGGGGCUUGAUCUUGAAGGUGGAUGAUUGUUGAUCCAAAGGCUGUCGAGGCUUGAUCUUGGAAGAACGAUGAACGAAGAACACUUUCUUGAUUCUUCGGGAACCUGGACGCUUGAGAGCUUCGGAGUUUCAGAGCUUCAGAGCUUCAAGGUGUAAUAUGAAUUGGUCCCCCCUAAAUGAAUGAAAUGGGCUUGUAUUUAUAGAAUUUUCCAAGGCCUAAUUUUGAAUAUAAUAUCUCAGAUGAAAUAAGUCGUUUCUGCCAGGUGUUAACACGUGUCCUAUUUGAUGACUUUUCCAACUCAUUUCAAUUUUCGUUUAGUCACACGCUACGUGUAAAAUUUAUGUAAUACAUGAGCGUUGACACUUUGAUUUAUCGGUCAACAUUUAUUUACCGAAAUUUCGAUGUCUACAAAUGCCCCCACUUCAAGGCACGUCGUAUACCUGUGCUUGUCACGUGUAGGAGAUGCGUUUUGAAGUCCCUUACCGUAGAUGCCGAUUCAAGGGCCGUUGAAGCUUGAUCUUGAAUUGGGCUUGAGAUUUCUUCAAGGGCCGUUGAGGCUUGAUCUUGAAUUUUUGUUUGAAAUUUCUUCAGGGGCCGUCGAGGCUUGAUCUUGAAGGUUGAAAUUGGGCCACAAGGAGCUUCAUGUGGUAGAUGAUCUUUGGCUUUGGUAGUGGAUGAAUCGGCACGUAUUUUAUUGCGCUUGUUGACUUUCCACAGCUUUGAUCUUGAACUGGGUUGGAGGAUUUUCUGGAUUCCUCCAAUUGUUGAUUUUCCACAGCUUAUUCUUGAACUAGGUUUUGAUUCAAGGGUGGUAGACACUUGAUCUUGAAUCGGACUUGUGAUUUCCUCGAUGGCCGUCGAGGCUUGAUCUUGAAUUUGGUUGGAAACUUCUUCAAGGGCCGUCGAGGCUUGAUUCUUGAAGGUUGACUCGAACAUAUGGCAAGCAGGCACGAGGUGAAGGUGACGACUUGUUGCUUUGUUCAAUCUUUCUAAUUCACACCUGAGCAGUUUGGUCAACGGUAUGAUCCUCAAGAUUGAUGGGCUCUUCUUCCAGUUGGUGACUUGAUCUUUAAGGAUUUGAUUCAAGGGUGGUGAAUCGGCACGUGCAGCCCACAACGCCUAGUAAGCCGACCCAAGAAUUUGAGGGUCAAAACGGAUUCACCGUCAGAGUGAUUGCAACUUUGAUGAUAUGAGAUACUCUUGCUUUUGAAGAAGUAGUGGAUGAAUCAGCACGUGCUUUGUUGCGCUUGUCUCCACAUGCUUCAAGGUAUCAUCUUUAUUUCCUUUAUCUAUUCCUCAGGCAGAUGUGGCAUCUUCUCGAGUUCUUCAUCUCAGACUCUUUCUGCUGAGUUGACUGUUCAUGCUGCAUUCUUCUCUGCUUGUUCAUUCUGCACGUUGUCUCCACAUGCUGCAAGGUAUCAUUUUCACUUGCCUUAUCUGUUCUCCGGGCAAAUGUGGCAGCUUCUUUGAAAGUACAGUAGCAGCGGGAGGCGAGUACUCGAGAGCAGUGCUAGGUAGGCAAUCAGGGAAGGGUUCCAAGCAGUCGGUUCCUUACCCGAGUUUGAGUGGAAGUUCCGGCAUAUUGUUUUUUUUAUCCUUGUCUUUGUAGGUAAGAACAAGGACAAAGGAAAGGACAGGGAGAACGCAUGAUAUGAGAUACUCUUGCUUUCUACCCUGGUGAUAUGAGAUACUUUUGCUUUGGAGUCAUUGGCUUGCAGAGGUACCCCAAGGAAUAAGGAACACUGAAUGACUCGAGAGGCUUCGUUGGGAAAACAUCUUUGGAGAUGAAGAAAGACUUUGUGUGUCUGCCUUGCUAUGGAAGGCGAAGGUAGACAAUUAUAGGAAGUUCUUUGAUACCUGUAGAUGUACUAUUCUUUCACUCGUGUCGGCAACCAAUGCGUGAUUGAUCUAUAUGGCUUCACGUGCUUCCUUCUUUAUCAGAAAUCUUCGACAAACUGUCCGUAAUUUCCGCCAAGCUGAGUGUGCAUGUGAUAGGUGUUGACGCGGCUGAAAAAGACUGGCGCUUAUUCGAUAACUGGGAUCUGCGCUUCGACAAAUUACCCGUGAUUUCCGCAAAGCUGAGUUUGCGUGUGAUGGGUGCUGACGUGUCUGGAAAAGACUGGCGUCUCUUCGAUGUCUGGGAUCGGCACUUCGACAAAUUGCCCGUGAUUUUCGCAAAGCUGAGCUUGCGUGUGACGGGUGCUGACGCGUCUGGAAAAGCAAGAUGCUUCUUCGAUUUCUGAGCUUGCCUCUUCGAUUUUUGAAUGGCCUCUUCGAAUUCUGAGCUCGCCUCUUCGAUCUCUGAAAUCCCGUCGAGUGUUGAUUUUUUAUAGAGGCAUGCUGUUCGUUUCAAAGCACACUUGAAUUUUACUUGUGAAAACUCCCUUCUUGCACUUCUAAGAUCUUGAUUCGUCUGACCUCUUCUUCCUUCAACACUUUGAAAAUGUCUGGACCCUCCGACCGUCGUUUUGAUUUGAACUUUGGUGAAGAUGUAGUCCCGUCUUCUCCAGAUAACAUAUGGCGCCCAUCCUUCAUAUCCCCUACUGGUCCUCUUACUGUUGGGGAUUCGGUGGUGAAGAAUGAUAUGACCGCUGCGGUGGUGGCCCGAAACCUUGUCACUCCCAGAGAUAACAGACUACUUUCCAAACGGUCUGAUGAGUUGGCUGUUAAGGAUUCUCUGGCUCUCAGUGUGCAGUGUGCGGGUUCUGUGUCCAACAUGGCCCAACGCCUAUUUGCUCGAACCCGUCAAGUUGAAUCGUUGGCGGCUGAAGUGAUGAGUCUUAAACAGGAGAUUAGAGGGCUCAAGCAUGAGAAUAAACAGUUGCACAAGCUUGCACACAACUAUGCCACAAACAUGAAGAUGAAGAUUGACCAGAUGCAGGAAUCUGAUGGUCAGAUUUUACUUGAUCAUCAGCGGUUUGUGGGUUCGUUCCAACAGCAUUUGCCUUUGUCUUCUGGGGCUGUACCGCGUAGUGAAGCUCCUCAUGAUCAACCUCCAGCCCCUCUUCUUUCUGGAGUUCCACCGAGUGGUGUGACUUCAAACAGUCAACCUCCGACGUCUCUUUUCCCUAGAGCUCCACCGAGCACUGAGACACCACCUGAGCAAUAAAGACUCCCUCCCGUUUGUUUGCACAUUUGUAAAUUUUUUUUUUUUUUUUUUUUUUUUUUUUUUUUGGUAUGUAGAAUGCAAUUUUAUGUAAAAUUUCCAGAAAAAAUAAAUAAAAUGGAUUUUUAUUUCUCUUAAUGCUUUUUUUUUUUUUUUUUUUUUUGCUGUAUAUAUUAUACACACACAUUUAUACAUACAUAUAUACAUACAUAUAUAUAUAUUUUCACGUGGAGUGAUCCACCAUCCCAAAACCCAUUUUCCCUUUGUUUUUUUUUGCAUGGUGCUAGCCACCAAGAAUUCACCUUUUUUUUUUUUUUAAUUAAUUAAUUAAUUUAUUUAUUUAUUAAUUUAUUAUUAUUAUUUCUUUUUCGUCUGCUUUCACAUGGUGCUUGAUCCACCACUCUCUUUUCUUUUUUCACGUGGUGCCAGAUGCACGCCCCUUUUUUUUUCACGUGGUGACAGCACCACUCUGCUUUGCUCUACCACAUUUUUUUUUUUUUUGUAUAAAUUAGGAUGCUUGGCUGAGGGAUUUUGUAGGGAAGGACGAAGACGGACGGAGAGCCGGAGUUUGAGGAAGAGCUUCUCGGCCGGCUAGUCGUUUGACAGCGGUCUUUGAAGUUGGUGGCAGCUGCGAGGCAAGAGACGGAGGAGGACAGGGCAGCUGUGACGGACAGAGACGCCAUGGCAGGACCUCGAGGAGUUUUAAGAUACUGGUGCAGGUACUGGCGAGGUGAUUUUGACGAGAAAAGCAUGAAGAGGGCGUCGAGCACCAUGGGCCUGCAAUCCUUAAGGUUGAUCUCGUAGUCCUUGAGCUCUUGUUCAGGCAUGACGGGAUCCGCUGCGGUCUUUUUUAUCGGCAAUAAAGUUCUUUGCCUCAUAAAACAGCCCAGAACGCGAUAGAAGAGUUACGAACAAAGCACAAUGUGCAACUGUAGGUGUCUUGAUGCAGUUGAAGUAAAACUUCCCUUCCUCGACCAUGCGUGCUGCAACGCAAGCAUGAAGGACAGCAGCAUAGGUGAUUUCAUCGAUCUGUGUACUCGUUUCCUUCUCCAUUUGGCAGAAUAAAUCUACUCCGAUCUUUCCUUGUCCGUGUAAGCUGUACCCAGUUAUCAUCACUGUCCACGAAACAAGAUCUCUUGUACUUCGACCCUGGCAAAAACUUUUGCAGCUGAUUUGAUAAAUCCCGACUUGACAUACAUGUCCAUAAGAGCAUUCAGAACGGUGAGAUUCAUUCGAAUACCAUGUCGCAGCAAGAAUCCAUGAGUCUCUUUUGCCAUGUUUACCUGCAGACAUUCUUGCGCAUGCUGGGAGAACACUAGAGACCGAGAGCGGAUCAGGUUUCACCCCGUCUCCAACCAUCUGCCUAAACAGCUUAAGACCCUCAUUGAAGCAUCCCCUCUUCACAUUGGCAUGAAUCAUUUCUGUCCAAGAAAUGACAUCUUUCUCCGGUAUUUGGUUGAAAACUGCCCAAGCUUCGUCGACACAGCCACAGUCCAUGUAUAUUUUCAAGAUGGUAUUGCUCACCAACACAUCAUACUCCAAUCCACGUUCCUUGGCAACCCUGUGGACUUUUGUUCCAUCAAUCAACGAUCUCAACAUGCCACAGGCACCAGCCGCCGUCGCCACAGCCACAGAAUCUAUCUGUGCUCCGGACUCCACCAUUCUCUCAAACACAUGAACCGCCUUGCCGGGUUUACCUUCCGCAAUGUACAGCCUGGCCAGCAUUGUCCAUGAAACAGAGUCCGUAACCAGGGACUUGUCAAACAGCCCUUUCGCGGAGUCCGCGCUGUCGAGGCGACCGUACAACUCAAUGAGAGCAGCAACCACGUACCGGUCACCAGAGCAGCCGAGCUUGUGAGCGUGGGCAUGGAGUUGCUUGCCGAGGGAGAGAUCAACCGAAAGGCGAGAGGCAGACAAGACGCGAGGAAGAGUGUGUCUGUCGGGCGACGAACGCGCGGAUGAGCAUUUGGUGGUAAGUGGCGAGGGCGUGGUGGAAGUCGGCAUUGGCGAUAUGGGUCUGGAUAAGUCUGUUCCAUGCAAAGGUAUCUGAGUGGGGCAUUUUGUCGAACACCUUGUGGGUGACGGCCACCUUCGUGGUGGGUUUAGCAUUUCGGGAGUGCUUGUAGUGGGCUGUGUUGAUUGGGUUCUCGGUGACGAUCAAGCGCUGGAUUUGGGCGGAUGGAAGGGCUUCCAUUUCAGUUCAGUCGCACCCAAUUCAGCAUUGCCCGUACGGAUUCGAGCGCAGUUAUCGAGGAGGAGUUUCCUUAAGAAUAGAACCAAUCACCGACUCCUCAAACCCAUCCGGAUAUGCGAUUUUCAUGAGGUGCAAACAAGAACCCUCUGCCAUAAGUGGCAUGAUCACCCAAAGGUUUCUUUCAACGACAAAUGAACAAAACGCCCUCACGACAUUGGGAUGAUCUAUUAAUCUCAUCGUCUGCGCCUCCCUCCGGAUAUCCUCGAAAUUGCUAUUGCACCGAUCGAGAUCCAAGCACUUGACGGCGACGACUUCAUUGAAAGGGAGAUAGAUCGCUCUGUAAACCGUUGCGCUGGCGCCAUAUCCGACCUCUUCCAGAAGCUUGUAGUCGUUCGGAUUCGCCGAGUGAAGCCUCGAAUUGCUACCCAUCCUCCCCAUCUGUUCGAGGACUUGUGCUUCAGAUAUGUCGUUUUGAGGCUACGGGCUCUGCGUUUGGGCUGUGUGCCAGUUUGGGCUUAGUGUUGCUUUGGAGAGAUCUAGGUUUGGUUGAAGAGGUACGGUGAAGCCAUGGGCAAGGGAGAUGACGAAUUGGGCUUGGAGGCUGACACUUGGGCCUGGAUGGCCUCCUUUUGAGAGGCUUGCUGCUGAUGGAUAUACAUAUAUAUAUUUGUAUGUAUAUGUAUGUAAAAGAAAUCUUUUUUUUUUUUUUUAAUUUUUUAAUUUUUUUUUUUAUGUGACUGAACUCGAAAAAAUUGAACAUUCGAGCUGCCUACGUACCCCUCCAAAGAAGAGAUCAAGUCGCAACGUAGUUCAAAUACAUUUUUGGUAUUUUCUUUUUGUGUCGUUUGCAGUUUUAACUCAUGCAGGCAAGGAGUGUUGGUGUCGUUUGCAGUUCCAACUCUUGCAUACAAGGAGCGUUGGUGUUGCCUUUUAUGCUCGUGUAGGCCAGGAGCGUUGGUUCGUGCAGUUUAGGCUCGUGCAGGCGAGGAGCCUUUGGUGUCGUUCGCAGUUUCAACUCGUGCAAACAAGGAGCAUUUGGUGUCGUUCGCAGUUUCAACUCGUGCAGACAAGGAGCAUUUGAUGCCGUGUUGCAGUUUAGGCUCAUGCAGGCGAGGAGCGUUGGUGUCUUGUAGUUUAGGCUCUUACAGACAAGGAGCUUUGGUUCGUGCAGUUUAGGCUCGUGCGAACAAGGAGCAUUGUUGGUUCGUCAAGCGAUCCGAGAGAGUUGUUCCUCACAAUCUUCAUAGCAAGGAGCCUUGACCGCGUGAUUGAAGAAGUCUUCGGGUAAAAAGUCGCGCAUCGUGAUGGCAACAGACAAUCUUUGUGUCGUAGUUUCAUCAUCUUCAACACGUUCACGUUGCUUUGAAGGUUGACAAUAGCUGCUUUGCCCCCUUUUCAAUUGGCGGACUUGUGGAGGAGACGUAUGCUUCUUGUGCAAUUUCUUAGGAGUGACUUGAGUCCAUCCUUCAAUUUUGCUUGUCUUGGACGAUGCCCCCAGCGGUUGAGGUGAAAACUUUGAGUCGGAAGAGCCAGAAGUGAAGGUGGUAUAGUUUGACUUUGCCACUUCGUCAAGAUCUAGCUCGAUGAUUCCUUUCUGAGCCAGCUUCAUGAUGAGAUCUUUCAGCACGAAACAUUUUUCUGUCGGAUGACUGAUGAAGCGGUGGAAUUUACAGUACUUUGGACUGUCGGUGCGAUUCAUCUCUUCUGGCCGUUUGCACUCAGGCAAACCAAUCACCUUCUUUUCCAACAGGUCAUCCAGUAUGGCAACCACAUCAGAGUCGGGGAAUGGAUAAGUCUUCUCCUCAAGCUCCUUUAAAGUGCGUCUACGCAUUUCUUGAUCACGAAAAGCUUCGGUUUGAAUCGCCUUGCCUCGUGUGGAUAUUUUGACGGGAGAUGUGUUGACCGUCAUCGCUUCCUUGGUGGGUUUCCAUGCAGCCUUUUCCACCUUUGUCCCAAGAACUUUGUCGUUCUUGUAGUCGGCGAUUGGUUCUUUCUUCCCAUGAUGGGCGAUGCUCAACUCCAUGUCAUGGGCGCGAGUGGCCAAUUCCUCGAAGGUCCGCGGUUUAAUGCCUUGAAGGAUGUAUUGCAAACCCCAUUGCAUGCCUUGGAUGCACAUCUCGAUUGAAGAGGUUUCCGAGAGCCUGUCUUUACAGUCGAGGCUUAGAGUGCGCCAUCUGUUGAUGUAGUCAAUGACUGGCUCGUCCUUCCACUGCUUUGUGCUUGUUAGCUCUAGCAUGCUCACAGUGCGGCGAGUGCUGUAGAAGCGGUUGAGGAAUUCCCGCUCCAAUUGCUCCCAGUUGUUGAUGGACUCAGGCUCUAGGUCAGUGUACCACUCAAAGGCGUUUCCUUUUAGUGAGCGCACAAACUGCUUGGCGAGGUAGUCCCCUUCGGUCCCUGCGUUGUUGCAAGUUUCAACAAAGUGGGCAAUGUGUUGUUUCGGGUUUCCCUUUCCAUCAAAUUGCAUGAACUUUGGCGGUUGAUAACCCUUCGGCAUCCUUAAGGCGUCGAUUUUCUUUGAAUACGGCUUCGAGUACAACCCGGAGGUAUUUGAGCUCCCUUCGUACUGUGCCUUGAUGGUGUUGGUGAUCAUCUAUUGCAGCUGCUGGAUAGAAAGAGAUCCCAUGAGUGCCGCUGCUUGGUCUGGCUCCGGCUUUGCAUCGUUUUUCUCCACCUGAGGCUCAUCUUCUUCGUCAUCUCUUCUCUUUAGUGGAUCAUUCUCUGGGUCGGGUUUAUCGCCGUCCUGCGCCUUUAGUCGAUUGACGAGUGCUGCAAUUUGCAAGUCUUUUUUCUUCCACCGUUCGGGUCAGCCUUGCGAUUGCUUCAUUCAUCUGAGCCAGUUGUUCUUCAACGGAGGUAACGCCGAUAGUCAUGACUUGUGCGACCAAUAUACGUGACUUUCCUUUAGACAUCCAGGAUGCUGAUGAAGAACGUCGUUGGCUGCUUUGGGAUGUCAUCUUAUGUGCCUCAGCAUCAUGCUUCGGUGCCCCCAGCGAGGUCAGGUUGAUGACAGACUCGCACCUUGGAUGCUCCCCUUGCUCUUUUAGCGGCACCAAUUUUGAAGUAGCAUGUUGGGGAGCGGUUGUGGCGCCAAUGGAUUGUCUGUUUGCGGCAGAAGUGCUUAGGAUCCUUCCCUCAGUGGUUGCGAGAAUGGCUUGUCCUUUGCUUGAUGCCAUUGACUUUGAGGUGUGCUUGGAUUCCUUGAACGAAGAAAGAGAUGAGAGGUAGAGAUUGUCCCACCGGGCGUGCCAAUUUGUGAACACGGAAAAUUCCUGAAACGAAAGAGACAAGAACGAACGUGCACAAACAAAUAUUAUGUAUUUGAUGAUUUUGGGUUACAAUCUCUCUCUAUUUGAUCCUCUGAUUCAAUCUCCGUAAGGUGUGUAUUUGUGGAUGUGUGAUUGAUCCAAAGGGCCGUUGGGCUUGAUCUAAGGAUGAACGUUCUUCAAGGGCCGUGGACUUGAUCUUGAAGGUGGAUUUGAGCGGAUCUUUAAAGGGGCUUUUGGGCUUGAUCUUGAAGAACGGUUGGAUGUGUGGAUUUGUCGAAGUUGUUGAUCCAAAGGGCCGUUGGGGCUUGAUCUUGGAUGAACGGAUGAUGAACGAUGGUGCUUUCUUCAAGGGCCGUCGGGGCUUGAUCUUGAAUUGGUGGAUGGUUGAUCCAAGGGCCGUCGGGGCUUGAUCUUGGAAGAACGAUGAACGAAGAACGAAGAACACUUUCUUCAAGGGCCGUCGGGGCUUGAUCUUGAAUUGGUGGAUGAUUGUUGAUCCAAAGGGCCGUUGGGGCUUGAUCUUGGAAGAACGAUGAACGAAGAACAAAGAACGCUUUCUUCAAGGGCCGUCGGGGCUUGAUCUUGAAGGUGGAUGAUUGUUGAUCCAAGGGCUGUCGAGGCUUGAUCUUGGAAGAACGAUGAACGAAGAACACUUUCUUGAUUCUUCGGGAACCUGGACGCUUGAGAGCUUCGGAGUUUCAGAGCUUCAGAGCUUCAAGGUGUAAUAUGAAUUGGUCCCCCCUAAAUGAAUGAAAUGGGCUUGUAUUUAUAGAAUUUUCCAAGGCCUAAUUUUGAAUAUAAUAUCCCAGAUGAAAUAAGUCGUUUCUGCCAGGUGUUGACACGUGUCCUAUUUGAUGACUUUUCCAACUCAUUUCAAUUUUCGUUUAGUCACACGCUACGUGUAAAAUUUAUGUAAUACAUGAGCGUUGACACUUUGAUUUAUCGGUCAACAUUUAUUUACCGAAAUUUCGAUGUCUACAAAACUAAUAGAUAAUUGACUAAAUAAACAUCCUGCAAAGUUUCAAUAAAAAUUUCCAAGUUUUUCUUACAAUUUCUGUGGUUUCCAUAUUAUUUUUAUCGAUAUCGAUAAUAUCCCGAUAUUUCAAUCGAUAUUUCCGUGUUUUUGGACUACCGAUAUUUCCGAUAUCAUCGAUAUUUUAUACCUUGGCGACGGGGGACUUGCCGACUGGUGCCACCGUGGACGUUGGGUCUUUCGAAAUGUGGUGUAAUGUUAUGAUCCCACAUCGGCUACACAAGAAAUUGUGUAGUGGUACUUAAGUGCAAGGGGUCCUCCCACCUAUUGGACUAGUCUUUUGAGUUGGGCUCUUCCCUUAGGCUUGAGUACCUAACAAACCCAUAAAUCAAAGAAAUCAAAAUCCACCCAGAAUCAAAGAAAUCAAAAUCCAUCCAGAACCAAAGAAAUCAAAAUCACACACAGAUAUACAAGGUGUACAGUACUGACAUGCCUUAAAUGAUAUUAUUCACAAGAUUUAUAAAGCUCAUGUCGUAAUACUUGUGCAGAAUCUAUCAUUCACGGCGUCACUUUUGUGCAAGUUGUAAAUAAAAUUAUUCACAAUUUAAACAUUGUGUGUCGUAUUUGACAAUUUAUACUACGCACUUUCUUUUUCUUUUAAAGCUUUGCGUUAUGUCGUGAAGUUGACUUUCUAUAUAUUUGGGUUGUACCUUUUAUGGCGCAAAUAACACGUCGUAAAUAAUGGCUUUUAGCACAGAAGUUUUGUGGUAAAGAAGCCCGCGCACUAAUUCAUUCUCGCGCCUUCUCUUUUUUAUUUAGCCGCUUCUUUUUUUAUUUUUUAUUUUUUUUGUUAAAUUCCCCUCAAAUGUUAAAAGAAAAAUUAAUGAAAUAUUUGAAAACUUUGAGUUUUAACGAUAAGGAUAAAAUAAAAGGUAAAAUGAAUAGUACCAAAAUUGACUUUUUAGUGUUAAAAUAUGAUUUUUCGUUAAAGUGAACAGUGCCGAAAGUUUUUCGUUAAAGUUCAAUGUUAAAAGGUUUGUAUUUUCUUGGUAAACUUGAAAGACAAACAUUGCAAUUGCAUUUUCAUUUACCCAAUAUUAAUUGUCGAGAGCCCACCCCCUUCCCUUCUCACUGACAUCGUAACUCUCUCCUCUCCAUCGAUCUCGCUCCAUCUGCUCGCCGUCGCUCUAUAUGCUCGUCAUCACCGUCGAUUCGUCUGCUCGUCGUCACCGUCGCCCAUCUGCUUUCCGUCACCGUCGAAGUGCCCCGCCAUUCAAGAUCUGAAAUCCCCAAUACAGGGUGCUUUGCGGCAUUUCGUUCUCCAAAACUUUAGGUAUGCUCUCAAUCUGUAUCAACCCUAUCCUGUCCCCUCUAGAUUUUUGUUUAGUCUCAACUUUAUGGUGCUUUUCUUAGAUUUGUUCUAUCACUGUAAUUUUAAGGGAUUUUAGGUAAUAAAUUUGGUUGAGAAUCUCAGUUAGGUUUGUAAUUGUUUUCUUGGUUGCCUGGGUUUGAGGAUGAUUAAUCCACUUUCUGAAGUUUAAUUACUUUGAACUUUGAUUUGUGGGAAACUGCAAUCAAAAUGUUGCUAUGGCUUUAUAGUUAGAAUCGAUUGUGAGUCUUUGCACCACAUCAAGCAAUACCCCGGUGUUGUAAUUCCGAGGUUUGUAAUUGCCGCUGUUAAUGAUGGUUUGGUCCAUCCUUUUUAGGGAGAUGACUUCAAUGAUUGAAACUAGUUUAUCAUUAUUUCAGAACUCUGUAAUACGAGACAUGAUAUUCCAAAAAAUAUUUGCAUGAAUAUAUGUGCAUUGACUGACUAUUUUUCAGUCUUUGAUAGUGGAGAUAACUCUUUCAGGUCAUAUGUAGUUCUUACAGAAAUUGUAUGGUAUUUUGGUUGGUUUUGUGUUCUGGUUGUAGCAAACUGGUGGAUGCCCUGAGAUGAGUAGUUAUCUACAAAGUGGAUGGAUCCUGAAGAGUACAAAGUCUAAGGCAUUUUAUGUAAAGGUAAAUCCUGUUACUUUUAAUUACUUAUAUGUGAAUGCCUGCCAUUUGAAGUAAAAAUUCUUUUAGCCAUUACAUUCUUCAUAAAGAUCUUUAUAUGCUCAAAAGAAGGAUUUUUUUUAGAUGCCAUGUAACUGGUGGUGGCUAGCCUCUUCUUUUUAAGACUCUAGUGUGUUUCAAUUACACUAGUCAAUCGUUCUUAUGUGUAUUAUGUUUUGUUGAUAAGAUGGCCAAGACAAAGUUGUAGAGCCCUAGUAGCAGGGUGCUGUUGGCAUUUAUAUUUUUCUUUUGAAGGGGUGUUUAUUGCUUUUAUACUUUCAUUGUUUACUCUCAUACAUACAAUACUGAAAAAUAAGCAUGUAUUGACGCGUAAUUUUAGAUCCAUAUUUAUACAUAAUUUUGAUUACAUGUCCAAAUUACCCAAGAUUCUUUUUCCUUUACAAAUUUGUGGAGUGCAUUACAUGGAUAUGAUUCAUGUAUGAAAUACACAUGACUCUCACUAAUUUAAGGGCAGCAUCAUUGACUGUACAGUUUUCAAUUCUUUAUAAUCAUGAGUAUAGACAUUUUUUAAUUCUUUAUAAUCAUGAGUACAACAAUAGUUUCUAUAACAAAAUUCUGUUAAAUAUGUAAUAUCAGUAUUUGUUUUCCAGGUUCAUUAGUUGAGGAUGAUUUUUCCAAGAAAGAAAAGAUCGCGGCUUUCAGGCCGAUCUAAAGAACAUUAUGUUGAUAUUGCACCUGAGAUCUUACAAGAAGAGGACGAAGAAGUACCAGAUGACCUAUUUACAGAGGAGUCGAAUCAAACUAAAAGAAAGAGGGGUCCUACUAGAAUGAAGACAAUUUCCACAAAUGAUGGUCAACGAAUUGAGAUUGAAUGGAAUGAAAACGGCCAGUUUAUUGGUGACGGAUCUAUUGACUUAUCUUCUUACAUGGGUUCUUUGGUCCGAGAGGUUGUCCCUAUAACAUUUGAUACUUGGAAGGAUGUUCCUAAGAAAACAAAGGACAUCCUAAUCAAGGUAAUAUGCAGAUAAGUCAAUUCUGAUCCCUCUACUUCAAGGUGAACAAUUUAUAGUUUAUAAAUUUUACUUGUGUUAAUAUAUAUUUUUUGGUAAAUGUUAUGGAUAUUUUAUCAAAUCAGAGAGUAAAUUCGUAUUAAGUGAAGAUUGGCAAAGAACAUAUUGUUUUGAAAGGAUGAAUAAUGUUUGCAGAUCACAUAUAUCAGUAGUUGUGAAGUCCAUAAGAGAAGCAAGAAAUUGGAAAGCAAGGCUUCGUCUAAAACCAAAUAAUGUCAAAUUAAUUCAAGAUUGGAAGACUUCCCUUGCAAAGUGUAAGCUCAUUUUCCUUUUCUUUUAUUUCUAAGAUUAGUUAUCUUCUUUUGAGUUCAAAAUUGGGUCAGAGAAAUCAAACUGAUAGUAGUUAAAAGUCUAUUUCAACACCAAGCCUUGUCUACACAAGAAUUUGGUGUUAGUUAAACAUGUGUAUGAUUCUAUCUUGAUUGCAUGUUAAUUUAGUUUGAAGAUAGAUUUGGUACAUGCUAGCUAAUUGAUACGUGAUAUGAAUCUUUGGUUUCCUUUUGAUAGGACAAAAGCGAAACAUUCAGAGAGAUGAAGUCUAAGCAACUCCGCACACAUGUAGUCGCAAGGGAUAUGGUAGGUUGGCGGAGGAUUUGGUAAUUACAUUUCAUUCUAGUGCCUUCUUUUCUACAGGACAAGAACAAUUUACUAAUUUUAUUCUGUGUUCUACUGUGUGUUUACUACAUUUAUGUUUCUAUUUUGUAGAAAAGAAAAAGUGUAGACCCUUCUCUAGUUUCUAGAGGUGAUGUUUGGAUUGCAGCACAUACUAAAAAGGGUGGUGGACCAUCCAAUUUGCUUGCUGCAGAGACUAUUGUAAGUAAUUUUUAACCAUUUAUUUCUUCUUGUUUGUUGAUAUGCAAUGAUGAAUGAGGUCUUAACUUUGAUGUGCAACGUUAGGAAAAAAAUUAAGCAAUAUGGAAAUGGAUCAUCAUCUGGUUUUCGAGGUGACGUUCUUUCCAAAGUUUUUGGUGCUGAGCGACAUGGUCGUGCAAGAGGAGUUGGAGGUGGUGUUCCUCCUACAAAGCUUGGAAUAUUUUCACAACAAAAAUUGCGUAAUCACCAAAUGGAUGAAAAGGUGCACAAUUUAACUAAUCAGGUCAGAGCACUGACAGAAUUGGUGUAUCUUUUUAUGAAAAAUCAGGUUAGUGAUUUAAUAACAUUGGUAUCAUAUUGAAUAUUUGUGAAAUCAGUUUUAGUGACACAUCAAAUCACAGGGUAAUGAUCUACCAAGUGAGGCAUCUCCUGACACACAGGUUGCAGCUCCUGAGGCACAUGUUGAUACUGUCGCAAGAACUGAAACUUGUCUUUCCCAUUGCGCAACAAAUGAAUCGUGGUGGCGAGGUUGAUACACUUUUUCAAUGAGCCUUCUAACUAUUAAUGCUCAUUGACUCUGUUAAAAGCUCUGCCAUUUUCAAUCUAACUAGACACUAGAAAUGAUCAUUGACUCUGUUAAAAGUUAUGAUGUUUUGGUCCUUCUCCAUAGUUGCGCAUCUACUGAUGUCUAUUUUUUUUCAAAUACUGCAGGUUAUUUCUGAAAACAUUGAAACAUCGUGGUGUACCAGAUGGUUUGAUUAUAAGACACCUUCCUUUUGGUCCACCAACUUAUUUAUAACUGCUAAAUGGUACGUAGUGUGAUAAUUUUCAAAUAUUUUGAUAUUAAGACAGGUGUAGGACAACAUAGAAAUUCUUAGGGCCUUCAGCAACAAAAUUAUGAAAAAGUGAGUGAGAUACAAUUAAAAAAAUGAAAGAGAAGGAUCAUGAUUCAUGAUCUAAAGGUUUGAAUAGGGUAGAAAGGAUUUAGUUUCGUUGUUAAAAUCGAUUGUGAGUCUAUUGUUAUUGUAUUGUCAAUUUGUUUAUUUACUUGAACUUCCUAGUAUCAAUUUGGUUCGAUAUAUCUAGCACCACCAUAGAUAUAUCUAGUAUCAAUUUGGUUAGAUAUUGUCAAUUUGUUAUUGUAUUGUCAACUAUAGAAUGUGCAUCAGUUGUAAAAGGAACAAAACAAUUCAGAUUUUUUGUUUAUGUCCAAACUUAGAAUUGUAUUGUAAUUGACAAUUUCUACUAAUUAAUUUAAAGUAUUUGGAGUUUAAUAUGUUUAUGAUCAAUAUUGUUAUCCUUCUAUUGUAUCAGUUUAGAUGUUAUGAAGUGAGGUCUGUCUAAAAAUGAUAUGCUAAAUAUAGAUGUAAAUUACGGCAUCUAAAAUCAGCAAUAAUUGUUGAUGGUAGUCUUUUUUUACGAUGCACGAUGUAUGCCGUAAUCACCUUCACAAUAUUACGACACUCAACAAAUGCUGUAUCAAAUAUAAAUUACUGCACACAAGUAUGUCGUAAUUGUUUUUCAGUAUUACGACACCCUAUUAACGCUGUAACUAAUACCAAUUAAGGCGCGUAGGACAUGCCUUAAGAACAUUUAUGGCGUGUUUUACUUAAAUUAUUCACUACUAUUAGAGUACGUCGUAUUUGUCAAAACAUCUUUUACAACAGGGGCUUUUACUGCUUGGAGGCUCACGUCGUGAAUUUCCAUUUACGGCACCCUUUGUGCGCCGUAAAAGGCCAAUUCUAUUGUAGUGAUCCAUGGGUACAUUUUUAAUCUACAUGUUUCGUUUUAAUAUAUCUAUUGCUAUAAUAUGUUUUGGUUGGUUCAAAUUCGUUUUACAUAAAUAUAUGGGUACAAAGUUUUUGGAGAAUAUUAUGUAAAAUGGUUUUUAAGGUUGUUGCAUUUUAUGUACCCACAUAUGCAUGUCUAUAAAACAAUGUGGUAUGAUGUACAUUCUUUUCCUUGAGUUUUUAAAUGUACCCAUGAGUUUUCUUGUAAAUUCAGUAUGUAUCCAUAUGCUAUUUAUGUUAUGGGUACAUAAAUUAUUUUUGGUCUAAGUUGGUGGGUACAUUGCUUUUGUAUGUAUGAAUUCAUUGGGUACAUUAUUUCCCUUAAUACUACUCAAUAAAAUUCACAAAAAUAUGUGCAGUGUGCAUGAAUUUUUAUUGUAGAAAUUGUUUUUUUUUAAUUUUUAAUUUUUAAGUCUCAUAAUUCGUGAAUUUUGUACAUAUUGAUCCCAUAAAUUUUUGAAUUUUAUUAAAUUUCUUUUAGACUUGAUCGAUUGAUUGAAUCUCAUAAUAAUCCCUUAAAUGUUCCAAUCAAUAUUUUAAAUUACAGCUUUUUAUUUAAGAUUUCAAAAAGAUGACAUGAAAAUAUAGUAAUACUAAAAUUUUAUUUUAAAUUACAUUUGUGUAACAAUCAAUGGUAUGUUAAAACUGGGCAAAAAAAAAAGGUAUAUUAAAAAAUUAUAAUUUAUUCUUUUUUUCAUAACUGUCUUCUGCUUAGAUUAAAUUUUUACCAAUUUGGGGGAAUUAGUUCUUACCAAUAUAUAUGCACAGUAUUUGCUUUUUACCUGGGCUUAACACAUGAUUAAUUACUUUCCUACCUGCUAACGCGUUGAUUUGCGCAUCCAAAGUAUUAUCAAAGUCACUGCCACCAAAAAGGUGCCCACUCCACAACCUUUGGUUGAACCAAAGAACAUCACAACAAUAAGGAAAUCGUUAAAUCUAUCUCCGCAACAUUUUUAUUAAUCAUUAGAUAGAUUAAACGAUUCCCCUGUUCAUAUUGUGUUCUUUUGUUGAACCAAACCAUGUCAACAAAAUAUAUCUAUGGUUAAGCAUCUAGAUUCAUGCUUUUGGAUGUGCAUCUUAAACCCCUCAAUGAAUAGCCAAGCAAUUUAUCAUGUGUUUACAGUAGGUCAAAAGAAGAAAGUGUUUGUCUAUAUAUUGGUAGGAACCAAUUCCUCUGAAGAGGAGAGAUGGAAGUGAUGAUAAUACUUUAAAUAAUCAAAGCCCAAACAUUUUAUCAAAUUUCAUCUCUGUACUCCACGGAGACACUAAAUGAGACAUAUCUGGUCCAUCUCUGAACAUCUUUUCUUACCGUUCUUACAAUAGAAAGGGCACAAAAUUGACUUACACAGUCUUGCACAAUACUCACUUUGCUUCAACCCAUAUUUCACUUUGUCAAAUCAUACACGUUCCUGCAAUAGGUGAACUCAUAUGUAUCUACCACUUCUUGCUAAUUUUAAUUUUUCCAUUCCCAUUUUUGCUACAAGUUUCACAUAAAUUUUUUAUUGCACUUGUCAAUUCUUUAUACUUUUUUAUUGUAUUUUUUUUUUGUCUUUUUUUUGUAUUAAACAAUUACAUGUCCUCCAAAAGUUUUGCUUAUUGCCCUAUUUCAUCAAGCUCGGUAUAAAUAGAUCUUAAUUUUUUACUACAGUUAAAUACAUGGACAUGCCUCCACAAAUACAAAUUAGUUCUUGCUUAAAUACUUUGUGUGUUUACAUAGAAAAUGUUCCCAUCGUCUACCAAAAUCCUCCACACAUGAAAACAAAAAUUCUUACUCAAAAAUACAUAUUACAAUACCACCAUAUCUGUUGUUUUUUAUUAAAUUAACACACUGUUUUCAAUUUUAUCUUUAACACAAAAGAAAAUGCUCUUACACAAUAUGCUUGUUUACAUUUUAUAACUUAUCUACCACAUGUUAAUCGCAAUUAUAUAAAUAGGAAAACACGUGUCAAUAGAAGUGUGAUGCAUGCUACUUCGUUAACAAUAGUGGCAACUAAACAAUUAAAUAAUUUGUUUCAAUUAGUUAGUACAUUUUAUAAAUUUCUUAAUUAGAACUGUUUCAGUAUAUUCAAUACAUUUUUAAACAACUUUCCAGUUAGUUGCCCAAACUAAUUAUUCCAGCUUAUUCAUAGUAUAAUACCAACAAUUUAACAACCAAUGAUACUUCGUUUAACAUAAACUUCAUUUGGAAAAAACAAAAAAAUAUCUUUUUCUCUGCUGAAAAAUCCAACAGAGUUAUUGAUGCAGAUCAGUUAUACCAACAAAUUACCAUAGUUUACCCAAUGCUAUACAGGUUUGACUUUUGUUUAUAUUCUUGGAUCUGUUGCUUGGUUGUAUAAUUUGGUUGUGUGUUUUGUUUCAGGACAAUUUGUUCUUCGUUUCUUGAGGCUUUUGUGUGUAGAUUUGAAACCGUUUAGCUUUCAAGCCGUGUAUACUCAAGGUAAAUAAUUUCGUUUUUUUCUUUGUAACCUUUUUUGUAAGAAAUUUUUAUUUAAUGUUGUGAGAGUUGUGUUUUCUAGAGUAUGAAAAUUGAAUCUUUGUGAUCUUAUAUCCUUAGAUAUGUUUCUUGGUUAUAUGAUUUGGCUGUGUGCAUUGUUUCAGGACAAUUUGUUCUUCGUUUUUUGGGGCUUCGGUGUGUAGCUUUGAAGCCUUUUGUAGUCAACAUAAAUAAUUUUAUUUUUCUUUGUUUCUAGUCUUCUUUGAAAGAAUUUCUUAGUUAAUAUUCUGAGAAUUAUGUUUACUAUAGUAUGAAAAUUGAAUCUUUGUGAUCUUGUAAGUGAUGUAACGUCAUUGCAACAUGUAUGACUGCCAUUAUCGAACAUGAAGAGCUUUUUGAUUUUUGUACUCCGUCCUUUCAUACGAUCUGACUCAAAAAUUGUUUCAUCACAGGUUCUAACAUGAUUUUUGCGACGUCUUAUGAAAAUACAAUGUCACUUCUGGUAUUCCAACUUAAACAAAUUACAAGGGAUGUCUAGUUUUAAACCUGCAGUUAGUAUAUACUAAAACGACGGUUUUGGCCCUGCUCUCGACUUCUUCAGAAACCUCGAGAAACUUCAAACUGAGAAAGCUUCUCCCUUCCAUCUCUGCUACGCGAUCUCUGCUUUGCGAUCUCUGCUUCCUCCGUGAUUUCUUCCCUCCUGAUCGACAUCUAUUCGAAUUGAAAACCUUCUGGAGCUCUCUUCCCCAAAUUUCAGCAGCAACUUUGCUCCAGAUCUUUCCAAUUGAAAUUCCUCUCCUUCACAUUUUGCAUAUUGAAUUUCGCAUCAUUAUCAUCUCCCUAGAACCUAGGAGUUUGGUUCGGUUUCGAGUUUUCCGACGGAAAUCCGGCGACAGCGGCCAUCGAGGUUGGUCUGAAACUAUUCCUCAUCACCACAAGUACUUUCUACACCUAUUACACUUUAGAAAAAAUUUCAUGAUUUGGUGGAAUCCAAUUUAAUGAUUAGAAAAAUUUUCAUUAAUUUUCUGGGUUCGUGGGUUGGAGGUGGAUUAGAAAUUUUUUCAUUAUUUUUCUGGGUUUGUGGUUUUUUUCCAAAACGUUUUUCCUUUCUACUAAUCCAAGUUCCUUCACAUCAAUCUCUCUGUUUCGUUCUUGAUCUUCCGCGAGUAGAAUACCUCUCCUUGCUCUCGAGCGCGUGGGCAGUCGCUCCAAGGCAGCCCAUGACGUCAUUUUCCGAUUCGACUCGGAGGAGGUUGGCUGCUCUUCUUGGCUGAGCUUCAUGGCUGGCCGAAUUCCCCUAUUCCCUUCCUCUUAUACUCUUUUGUAUUCGUUCACCAAAACAAUAGGAAAACGUCUCCGUCUGUUUGAUUGACGGCGAAGAAAAAAAGACGGAGAUAAAAGCCUGACGGAAGCUGAAAGCUUGGACUCUGUUUGUAUUUUUAAUGGAUUUUCAGAACACAGGUCAAGAAUACUGCGAUUUGAGAAAGAAAGAAAGAACCACGUUGACAUAAUAUAUUCACAAUAGGCGUACAUAAAGCUUUACUGUGGUUCCAUUUUUUUGCAUAUUUCAAAGGCUCUGAAUUGUUAAGGGAAUUAGCCUUUUGUUUUAGGAAGAACUUGGAACCCCCUCCGUCCAUUCUAUUCCCGAUGGAAUUAACACUUAGAUAGUACUAUGACAAUGUGUCAUUAAUUGAUGCAUACCUGUAUAAAUUUAGGCCAAGUGUUUUAUACACAAAUUGAUACAGAUUAAGCUUCUGGGUCGAAAUCAUAUACCGGUGAGCUAACUACACAAUGAUACAUUCUUAUCUGUUAAUUAUCUUUGGUUACCAGCUAUCCAUGUUGCUGACAUAUUAAACUACACAACAUCUAUUGUAAUUUAUGUCUUAUUAGUAUCAUCACUUUUGUUCUUUAUUUCAAUGUCUAACAUAAUGAUCUGGUUUCAAUUUGCUACAGGCAUUAUUUCCAGACAAUAGCUAUGGUUUUGAUUGUAGCGGUGACUGAAAAAUUAUUCCGAAACUAACAUUUGAGGAAUUCAAGGUUUGUUAGUUAAUUUGUACAUCAGAAUACCAUGACAAACUAUGAAGUUGUAAUUGUUGACCUUACAAUGUAUCUUUUUUGGUUUGGAGCAUUAGACUUAUAUGUGUUGCUUUCACUUCAUGAAGGCUAACUCUUUAUUUUAGGCCUUAGAAUAUAAUUUUUUGGAGAAUCUACAUUGUUGAUAAUUUUUUGAACAAUAUUAUCCCCAAAAUUUCUCCGCAUGUUACCCUCAACGUAGACAUCAUAUAACCAUCAUUGAACUUCUGAACCAAAAAUUUGAGUUUUAUGAUUAUAACUAAACGUCUAUAAACACAUGAUACAGAUUGAGACGAAUGUCAAAUUUAAAAUGGCAUUAAUCAGGACAGCUGCAAACUCUGAUUUGCGGCCUUUGAAAUGGAGCAGUUACUUCUUGCUUCACUUCAACAGCAUAGUCCAGCUUCUAAAUUCAGUUCUCAGGUAUGAGGUUUCUCAGUUACCUCUUUUUUGUAAUAAAACAUUUGAUCAGUACUUGCCAGGAUAUCCAAUUAAUUAGGUCAGUUUUUGUUAGCGGUAAUAAUUUGUUUUUGUAGCUUUAUAUGUGUCUCUGUCUCCAAAUAUGAUGAUCUCUUAAUUUGCUUCUAUAGCUUUUGUAAUAUAAUGAUCUCUUAAUUUGCUUUUGCAUAUCUUCUUUGCUUCCUCUGCUAGCUCUAUAUGAGAUUCCAUCUCCAAAUAAUUAUUCCUUAUUUCCUAUUUUUACAGGAAGCAAAUCAUUGAAUACACAUGGAAAAUUAAAAGGGUUUUAGUUUUUGGAGUAGUUUAAAUUUUUUGUUUGUUAUUGCUUGUAUUGCUGUUAAAUAUUUGAUGGGUAGUUUGAAAUGGGGAACUUGGUUGAUUGAGUAUUAACUUUUAUUAAAUUAAUAUUCUUAUUCAAUAUUGAAUUAAGACUCCUCUUAUUAAAUUAAGACUCUUAGAGUGCGUUUGUUGCGCCAGACUGUCUCGGACUGGACUAGCUGCCGGGACUAAGCUGGACUGGCUUAGACUGGACUAAGCUAGACUAACUUAGUGAAGCGUUUGGUGUAAUGUCGGACUAAGAAGCAGGAUAAGAAAAACAGUACUGUUCACCAGAUUUGUGUUUGCUUAGACUAGGAUUACAAAUUUUUGCCAUUGUGUAAUAGAGUAAUGCUACAAAUCUCAUGAUAUGGGUUAAUUGGAGCAUAUUUUUGCCAUGUAUAUUAUGAAUCUUAAAAAAAAUUGACAAUUGUUUUGUUUCUAUUACCUGCUAAUAGAAUUGGGUUUAAUUUGCAAAUGUAGCUUAGUUUAAACUCUAUCACCCAACAGAAGAAAAAUAAUAGUGCCCAAUACAUGCAACUUCAACAAAUACAAGUACAUAAGAAGAUCUCCAUAAUUUAGAAAAUCCUAGUUAACAUUAGUUAACAUUAGCCAAAAUAGAUCUCCAUAAUUUACAAAAUGGCUAGUUAACAUAAGCCAAAAUACUAGUGCAAAGCUAAGUUAUAAGCCAUAACAUAAGAUUGUAUGAUUAAUAAAAUACAUCCAUGUUAACAUUAAUAAAAUACAUCCAUGUUAACAUUAGCCAAAAUCCUCAUCCGCUUGCGUUGUCGCUUAAAAGCCUUUGGACGAACACUUUCUUGAGUUCCGGUUUGAUUGCCCUGAACACUCCCACAUUUUUUGGUUUAUCCAAAAUAAGAGACAAUGCAUCAAUUUGAUCCAUAGGAGAGAGACCCAUUACUUCAAGUUCAUUAGCUAUGUCAGUAUGAUCUGCAAUACCUUGAACUAAAGCUUCAGUUACCAUUUGCAUCCUCUUCCCACUUUCAACAUAAAAAUCUUUCAGUCCACUGAUAAUUGCCUCGGUUCCAUCACUUGAAUUUCCCACAGCUCUUUUCCUCUUUCUUUGGCUAUUUUCAGAUGGGGUGCUUUGUUGGCUUUGUUGGUUCAUUGAAGAAACAAAAUUUUCACCUCCAAUAUCACUUUCACCAACAUGAUCAUGACUUUGUUCCUCCACCAUUUGAGCAGGGGUUUCGGCUACAUUACCCGUAGCCCGAUCUUUUCCAAAUAUAUAUGCAAAUCUAUCAAACAGUGGAAAAGGUUUGCUUCUCCAUCCAUCGGCUUCUUUAUUUCUCUAAGAUUAUAUCAACAUAGCAAAACUAAAAUUUAGCAUGCGUAACAAAUAUAGCAGCAAGAAUAUAACUAAUGUAUAAAUAAAAUAGGAUAUGAACCUGCACAUAAGUUUGCCAUGAGUCAUCACUGUCAACUUCAACGCACUUUUUGACAUCAUUUCAUGCAAAUCCACUUGUGUUUAUCAUGUCAACGACCAUACUAUAUGUUUUUUUCCAUUUCUUCAACUUGGACUCAAUAUGUGGAUUUGCCUUUAUAUUUGAAUGAGGACAUAAAACAUUGACAACUUUUGCUAUUUCAACCAAAGUACCUUGUUUGAAAGCACCGGUGUCACACCGUUGCUUCCGAGCAACAAAAUCCUCAAGAACUCCUAGUAAUACUUCUUCCUCAAAUGCUUCCCAUUUACGCCUUCUUCCUUUUGGCUCUUGAGUAGCAUUCAAAAUAUUUUCGUUAUCCAUACCUAAACAAAAAAUAUUUUAAUGAAGGAAAAUACCAUACAAAUAAUCAAUUUGCAUAAUAUCCAAUCAACUUGCAUAAUAUCCAAUUAAUUUGCAUACCAUCCAAUCUUUGUGCUAAUAUCUAACAAAUGCAUGAUAAAAAGGAAUACUAAAAUAAAAUGUUAUCAUUAACACAUAUAGCUAGUUCGGUUGCUGGUUCCUAAUUGCUCUCCAUUCAUUAUACAUUUCCUGAGCCAUGUCAUUCCUCUUUGCAGUCCACUGGUCAGAUGUUUGAACACUACCAACAUAUUCACCUUCUUCUGUAUUUUGUCCAUCUUCUAUUAUUGGAAAAUUCUCCAUUGGAUCUACAGACAUCUCUUGCCUAAUAAGAUUGUGUAGUAGGCAACAAGCGGUAAUUAUUCGACCUUGUGUCCUUAUCGGAUAGAAAGAUGGACUCCUUAGUAUCGACCACCUUCCUUUUAGCAAGCCAAAACAGCGUUCAAUUACAUUCCUUGCCUUAGAAUGCUUCAUGUUAAAAUAUUCUUCCUUAUUAGAAGGUGUUCGUCCCUCCCAUUCAGAUAAAUGAUAAGGUAUUCCUCUAUAGGGUGCAAGGAAUCCUUCACCAUUUGUAUAACCACCAUCUACAAGGUAAUAAUAACCUAAUGAAAAAAAAAACAGACCUUAUUAGUGUUUUGUAGUUGACAAACAGAACUAGACCUAACUUACAAAGUUGAGACUAAGUAAUAGUCUUACCCGCUGGUACCUUAAAACCAUUAGGCCUAGUAAUUGCAUCAUGUAGCACUCUAGAGUCUGAUGCAGAACCCUCCCACCCCGUAAACACAUAUAUGAACUGCAUAUCUCCUGAACACACACCUAACACAUUAGUUGCGACUCGACCCUUUCUUGUUCGGUAUCUUGGUUUGUCAAUUUCAGGUACAUGCACAUCAAUGUGUGUUCCAUCCAAUGCUCCCAAGCAAUUCUUAAAAAAAAAAAAAAAAGUUUUUGUUAAUUUAUACAAAGGGAAUGAAGAGUUAAAGCUUAGGGAAAAUGAAAAAAAAUUCUCAUCAUACCUUAAAACAUCGCCACCUAGGAUCUGUAGAAUCAAUAGGCACAGGCUGAGGGACUUUUAGUAGGAUACCUUGUAAUCGCAAAAUUCCUUGCAAUACGAUAUUGAAAUACCUACUUAUAGUCUCUCCCGACCUAUAAAAUCUACCGCCAACACUACGAUUCUUAGUAUGAUGUGCUAAUAUUUGUAAAGUCAUACACACAUGCUCCUCUACAGACACCAAACCAUCAGUUUUUACCCUCCCAUCUUGACGAAGUAAGUCACAUAAUAUGCCAAAAGUCCUUCUAUCCAUUCUCAAUUCGUUGACACAUUCAGUAUCAGUAUUCCCUAUUAUACCAUUCAGAUAACACAAACUAAUCUCUCGUCUAAUAAGUGAACGGUUAGUCAAUGUGGGUCGUUCAACAUGUCUCUGUUUGCCACGUAGCAUCAUCAACACAAGAAUCGUACAAAUGCAAAUUGUCUCCAAAUAAGACAUCUCUAACAAUAAGAUCAAUAAAAGCUUCCUUCGAUCCAUAUCUAUCCAAACAAAAAAAAACAAAAAACAAAUUAAGGACAUUAUAUAUGUAAUAUUUACUGUUAUUAAGGGUUAUGGAAAUGAAGUGAUUAUGAUACGAAAUGAACUAGAUCAAAGUAACUAGCGAAGUCACAAUCCGAGGCAUCAAAUAUACGGGUGGUGUUGGAAAAAAAAAAGUUAUCAUUAACCCGAGGCAACAAAUAUACAGGUCAGAUGCACACACUGCAUACACACUCACACACAUACUCACACGGACAUACACACUAUCACACACGGACAUACACUCACACACACCCUACAUACAUACAUACAUACACACACACACUGCAUACAUACACACACACACACACUGCAUAUAUACACACACACACACACUGCAUACAUACACACACACACACACACUGCAUACAUACACACACACACACACACACACACACUGCAUACAUACACACACACACACGACAUACAUACACACACACACACACACACUGGUCAGAUGCACUGCACUCACACGGACAUACACACUCUCACACACUGACAUACAUACACACACACCCUGCAUACAUACACACACACACACUACAUACACACACACACACACACACACACACACUGCAUACAUACAUACACACGCACACACACUGCAUACACACACACACACACAUUGCUUUAUGAAAACCCCAAAUUCCAAAUUUGAAACCCCAAAUUCCAAAUUUCUAAUCUCAAUUUCAAACCCCAAAUUCCAAAUUUCUACUACAUACUUACAUACACACACACUGCUUUAUGAAAACCCCAAAUUCCAAAUUUCAAACCCCAAAUUCCAAAUUUCUAAUCUCAAUUUCAAACCCCAAAUUCCAAGCUUUAUGAAAACCCCAAUUUCUAAUCUCAAUUUCACCCAAAUAUCAAAACCCUAAAAUUUGUUCAACUGCAGAAUCAAAUAAAGCUCAAACCCAAAACAAAUCCGCCCAAAUCGACGAAAAAAAUCCACCCAAAUCGACGAAAAAAAUCGAACAAUCGAAGCUUACCAGACAACUGGAGGCAGAUGAGGGCGAGCAGAUCUGUUACGUGAAGACGAGGGAGUGGACGACGAGAGGAACAGAUGAGGAGCAUGAUGCAGAUGAGGGCGACCAGGAUGCAGCUGACGGCAAGCAGGAUGCAAAGAUAAGGAUGAGGAGGACGACGUGAGGGAGGAGGACGUCGACGACACUCUCUCCUAGGAUGAUCGAGGUUCUUUCUCGCAAGAGCGCAAUCGGAUGAGGAGGACGACGUGAGGGAGGAGGUUUUAUGAAUCUGGACGUUUUUGGGGUGGUUCGCUAAGAACUCCUAGCGAGGGUUUAAUCCGUGCGAGUCAGAUCUAAUCCCAUUAAACCUAAUCCUUGCCCCUACCAAACAUCAGACUACAAUACCAAUUAGUGGAGUCCAGAACAGUCCCCCCUAAGAAGGUCAAACAAACACGCCCUUAAGGCUCUAAUCUAAUGUUCAUGCUCAACAUCUCCUCUAUCUUUCUACGAUUGGUAAAACUUUUGUAUUAUUAUUCCAAUUUUGGUUACUGGGUUGUGGAAUUUUCCAUUUUUUUUCUCGGUAAUCAAUACUAUAUAUAUGCAUGACAAGUAUAAACAAUAUUUUGGGGCAAAUUUAGUUGUUUAAUUUUUAAUUUUUAUGUGACAGUGAGAUUAUGGUAGGAUUUCGUUUAGAUUCUGCGGCCCAAUGGGAGUCUCUGCUUUGAUAAGAUUGGGGUUGAUGCCAAGAAAGCCAAUAAGCCUACUGUGGACGCCGUAGCCGCCUGGCGCUGUUUUCCAAAAUCCUCUCUCACUUGGUUAAGCAAUUAAGACUUUUUGGUUCAGUUUUUAUUAUGCCCAAUUUUGUAUUUAAACCUUAAAAAAAUUUAAACUGAUUUGGGGAUACUGAAAUAGGCUGCAGAGCUGCCAUCCCUGAAUCAGAAGAUGUUCAGAAGGAAGAAGAAGAAGAAGAAGAAGAAAGUCGUGGAAUAUCAAAAGCUUUUAGCUUUGUGAAAGUAUGCUUUUUCCCAACUCACCUCUUGCUUUUGUUGCACUGAAUUGGUAGAUUGGGUUCAAAAAUAUAUAUAUGUGAUUUUUCGUGUAACUAUUUCUUUACAUAAUUACCAAUUGGAGGUGAUUUUAGAUCAUGUAACAUUUCCUCGCUAGAACCAAAGAUUGUCGUCGCUCAGAGCUGCGUUUCAUGAAACAAGUUCAUCUCCUGCCAAAUUUGUGUACCCACCUUUUAUUCAUGAGGGUUGGUGCUUGCUUGCAACACAAUUUGGUGUUAUUAAGUUUUGCGGUUUUACAAUUUGUUCAUGCUUAAACCUCUUUCAAAUUUUCAUUUCUGUGUAAAUCUUGCAGGUAGGACGACACACCUAUCUUGGCAAUGUCGGGAUGUCUAGGCUUGGUGGAGACGUGGUCUUAUGGAAGAGGUGAAGUAGCUUAGCUCGAUCUCAUUAGCUCUUAUCUGUUCUAUUAUGUUAAGAUCAAUAGUAAAAAGUUCUAUUGAUUUUAUAAUCAAAGAUACAUAUAUUAUAGAAAUAGAGGGUAUAUCAUUAAUUUCUUGAUGUAAACAAUCAUAACUUGAGGAACCAUUUAAAGUAUUUUGGUAAUCAACAUACUUAAACUUAAAUGUGAUAUAUCCAUUUAGUAUUUUUUUUAUACAAUGAUAAUACUUAAGUAUAAUUUACAUCAUAUAUCUUUUGAAGUACAUGAAACUAUGAAGAAAAUGAUAAACCAAAUCCCAUUCCAUCUCUGUUUGCUACUGCACAAUCACAAUCCAAUUCCAACAUGGAAUCCUCAGACGACAUGCCUACUGCAGAACAAGUUUCAUACUGACUUAACUUAUAUUUAGUCCACGUCCUGUUUAGAUUGUAAUCCUAGUUCUACGUGUGUUUGUAUAGUACUCCUAUAAAUAUCAAUGAACAUCGCUCACUCUAAUUAAGAGUUGAGAUUUUGCAAAUCAUAUUUACUAUCUUUCAUGGUAUCACGAGCCAGCGUCUAACGACAACGGUUCCUAUUAUAAUUUUUUUCUCUUUUGCAGAUCCUAAACUAUGGCAUCUUCUUCCUCCUCCGCUGCUCCCUCCAUCACAAAUUUUCUUACGAUCAAGCUCGACCGCAACAACUACCCUCUCUGGCAUGCUCAGUUUCUUCCCUUGCUGCGCAGCCGCAACUUACUCUCUUAUGUUACUGGCGAAACUCAAUGCCCCUCUGCCUUUCUUCUUGAUGACAAUGGUAAAUUCACCGACAAAGUCAUUCCAUUAUAUAAUGAAUGGAUCCAGACUGACCAGAUGAUCCUAUCUUGGAUUACGAGUUCUCUUACUCCCAAGGUUCUUGCUACGAUCGUCAACAAAAUUGAUUCGGCCUCUGCUUGGUCGUCAAACCCGAAUUAAUCUAAUUGUGGGGGUUUUGUUUUAUAUCAAUAUAUUGCAACAGAAGUCACACUUUGAAGAGUUCAUGCUGCACAGAAAGAUGAUGAAAUGUUACCCGUUGAGUCUAUCAUUGCUCCAUUGGAGACAGAGCUGAAGCUUACUGCAGGAGUUAUACAGUUGUUAUGCAAUAUGACCCCUUUAAUUUUAUUUUAAAACUGAUACAAAAUACUACAAAAAUUUAUGUAGUAUUUUUGUAUUAGUUUUGAGUGUCUAUUUUGGCUUCCAUAUAUCGUCUGUACAUGUGAGAGGUAUAGUGUUCAAUAUGUAUUUGGUUUCUAUAUUGUUAAUGGAUCCUUUUUUUUUUAAUUUAAUUUAAUUUUAUUAAGGUAACCAAGUUGCAGGAUGACAUCAGAACACUUGAUCUGCAGGUAAACCUUCAAUUUCCAUAUGAAGUUUGCAUGUUCGUUGUUUCUGGAAUUUGAGUUUUUAUUAUUUCUCAAUUCUAUCACAUAGAUUAUGAUUUCACAUAUGGGAUUAUUAAUGGCAAUUAUAUGAUAGAAGAAUUGGGAUUAGAAGAAGAUAUUGAGUUGUUUUAUUUAUGGGGAUUAGAAAAUGAUUAUCAUACGAGUGAUAUUUAUUUUUGUGUGGAUUGUUAAUAUAUAAAACUAUAAGCUUUUGAGAUUGGGAGAUAAAACCCACAAAUUCAAAUCAGACAAAAUAAAUAAAAAAUUUAACUGACUUAAAGAUCAAACUCCAAAAGGGUAUUAAAAACAAGGCUUAUUUGAUCCAUUGAGUGUGAAAGUUUUGAGCUUUGAAGAAGCAUAGGAGGAGAGUUGUUAACCAAGCUGCAUUAUCCAUGUAUUAGGAUGUUGAGGGUAGGCAGGAAAAAUACUUUUUGACGCCAUAUCCAGAGGAGCAUAACGACAGGCCUGCAUUUUUGCAGCAAGGACCAAAACAAGUAGAAGUGAAGGCUUGACUAUUUGGGUAUUAAUCCUAAACCUAAUUAUUCUUAUUUAGGUUUAGGAUAAAUGAUUGAGUGUGUCUCGAUGAUUGUAUUACCAUGUUUGAUGAAUGACUUGAGGAGUUGGAAAUGCUUUAUUGCUUAUGUUUUUCUUAGGUGUGUACUUUGGUUAUUUCCGAGCUUUUCACGACUCUUGAUACCUAAUAGAGAAUAUGGAAACCCCAACUUUAAUUUUAUGAAUUGGUUUUGGUGCCUAAAAUGAAAUCUAGCAUAGUGAAAUCUUGCAUAAUGAAAUUAUGACAAAUUUCCCUUCAUCUUUAGAUUUUCAUUUAGUUCAAUUUGUAUGCAAUUUAGGGUUAUUCAAUUCAUGAGUGAUCAAAUUAUGUUUUUAAUUCCUUCUUCUUUUGAUUUACAGUUCAGCAUUGUCGUACAAAAUGAAAAAGGUGCCAGUAACAGAGUUAUGGAUUUGGAUGCCUUUAGUGGAAUAAAACUGAAUUUUUUAACUUUGUAUAGUUGUAAACAUAAAAUACUCCAUCAGAUAGACUCAUAGCAUUUGAAAACAAUCCUUGAGGAUGGCAUAACAACAUCUCCAACUUUUGUCAUGUAAUGUAUGAAUGUAAAUAGCACUUUGUAAACAUAUGGAUGUAAUAUAUGUAUAUAAACAGUCUUUAGCAUGUAUAUUUUUCAAAACUUUCUACAUCUUCAACAAUGUUUCAAUGAUUUCUUGAUGUAAACAAUGAUAAUUUGAAGAACCAUUUAAAGUAUUUCGGUAAUCAGCAUACUUAAGCUUAAAUGUGAUAUAUCCGUUUAGUAUUUUUUAUACAGUGAUAAUACUCAAGUAUAAUUUACAUCAUAUAUCUUGUGAAGUACAUGAAACUAUGAAGAAAAAACCCUAAUUAAUCUGAUUAUGGGGGUUUUGUUUUAUAUCAAAAUAUUGCAGCAGAAGUCACACUUUGAAGAGUUCACGCUGCACAGAAAGACGAUGAAAUGCUAUCUGUUGAGUCCAUCAUUGCUCCAUUGGAGACAAAGCUGAAGCACACUCCAGGUGGUAUACUUUUGUUCUGCAAUAUGACCACUUUAAUUUUAUUUUAAGACAGAUAGGGUUGAAAAGAAUUUAUGUAGUAUUUUUGUAUCAGUUUUGAGUGUCUAUUUGGACUUCCAUAUUUGGUCCGUACAUGUGAGGUAUAGAGUGUUCAAUAUGUAUUUGGUUUCUAUAUUGUUAAUGGAUCUUUUUUUUUGUUUUAUAGGUAACCAAGUUGCAAGAUGAAAACAGAACACUUGAUCAGCAGGUAAACCUUCAAUUUCCGUAUGAAGUUUGCAUUUUUGUUGUUUCUGGAAUUUGAGUUUUUUGCAGGAUGAAAACAGAACACUUAAUCUGCAGGUAAACACUUGAUUGGUUAUUUCCAAGCUUUUCACGACUUUCGAUACCCAAUAGAGAAUAUGGAAACCCCAACUUUAAUUUUAUGAAUUUGUUUUGGUGCCUAAAAUGAAAUCUAGCAUAGUGAAAUCUUGCAUAAUGAAAUUAUGACAAAUUUCCCUUCAUCUUUACAUUUUCAUUUAGUUCAAAUCGUAUGGUUUAGGGUUAUUCAAUUCAUGAGUGAUCAAAUUAGGUUUUUAAUUCCUUCUUCUUUUGAUUUUCAGUUCAGCAUUGUCGUAUUUUGGAUGCCUUUAGUGGAAUAAAACUGAUUUUUUUUUAACUUUGUAUAGUUGUAAACAUAAAAUACUCCAUGAGAUAGACUCAUAACUUUUGAAAACAAUCUUUGAGGAUGGCAUAACAACAUCUCCAACUUUUGUCAUGUAAUGUAUGAAUGUAAAUAGCACUUUGUAAACAUAUGUAUGUAAUAUAUGUAUAUAAACACCACUCUUUAGCAUAUAUAUUUUUCAAAACUUUCUACAUCUUCAACAAUGUUUCAAGCCCCGCAGCAACGGGCGGGUACACUUGAUAGUAUACAUCUAAAAUUAUAAGACUAAAUCCUUUAGUUCUUGGAUUCAUCUAAGAACUACUUAUUCCAGCAGAUGCUAUGCUUGCACUACUAGAAUUUAUGGCUUGCCCUGUCAACUAUUGCGCGACAGAAGAUUUCGUCGGUUUCACUUUUUUUAACCGACAUAAUAUAAGUUUAGUAGGGCAAAAUCAGUCAACAAACUGGGUUGACUGAAUAAAUUUACAGGAUGGCUAGAGUUCGUAGGUUAAGACAUCAGUCGUUGGGCAAACAUUUGGAGCGAAGAUGUGAGUGUUUUAACUGACGAAUAAGCUGGUCGUCAUGUAGAUCUUCUUUCCCGACUGACGGUUCAACAUGUAGCUCUUUGGAUAAUAAUUCAUCUUCAAGGGGAACAGGUUGCCCCUCAGAUGAAUGGUUAGAGGCAAUUGUGAGACUAUAAUUUUCUAGGGCCGAAAUAAAAAAUACAUAAACCCUCACUCAUUCUGUCUCUGUAACCAUCCACCAAAUACCCUUUCUUCCCUUUCUAUUUCUCUCCUAGUAAUAUCCCCUGACCGAAUCACACAAUCCAACCAACUCUCUUUAAGCCUCCCUCACUGAUUCCAUGGAUUUCAUGGACUUAUCCCACCCUCUCUCCUUCCCUCUAUAUAUAGCAAGUCCCCUUGCCUCAGUGUCCCUGGCAACAGAAUUUAUGGCAUUUCUUCGUUCUUUCAAUUAUUUGAAAGCUUCCUAGCCCUGCAAUCUUGUACAAAGGCGUAUGGUGUUUCAUCAGUUCCAUUUGGUGGUUGGGUGGGAAAUGAAAUUAAAACACUGCAUUUCAAAUGCAUUUCAAAUGGUCUAAACCAAAUUGAAUCAAAUGUGAAGCAAAGGGCAAGAGGUGUAGAUUGAAGAACAAUGGCACCAAGAGCGAAAUUGAACUUGUUGACAGGAGGAAACCAAGUAAGGAUAACACGUCUAAAUCUUAUUUUGAAUCCAUUCAGCUCAUGAUGUUUUGAAUGAUGAUGAUCGGUAUACUCUGCUACAUGCUGUGAUUUUUCCGCUUUCAUGUAAUUAACGGCUUAUAUGUGGUAACGAUAUUGAUUAAAAAAGGUCGUACCCAGUGCAUAAGGCUCCCGCUUUACGCAGGGUCUGGGAGAGGUGAAUGUCGGCUAGCCUUACCCCCAUUUUAUGGAGAGGAUGCUCCAAAGUCUCAAACCCGAGACCUACCGCUCAUGGGCGAAGGCAUUUGCCAUCGCACCAAAUGCGAUAUUAAUUAAUUUCGAGAAAUGACAGUCUGAUUUUUGCAACUGUCUUUUGCAGGCAAAACAAAGACGUUUGCAAGGGUGAGUUGUGUAGGAGCUUUGUUUCAUGUCCAAAUGACACUUGAGAAUAAAUGUUUACACUCAUGGAUAAUAUCUAUCUAUUUGCAGGAGCAACCCUGGGUUCAUUUGUUCUGUAACUGCUGGUCAUUGCGGCAUAUCACGCCUAUAGCACUGACAAAAGUAAAAAGAGAAUCGAAUGAAAUUUGAUAAGUUUUCAGCGGACUACAAAGAUCUUAAGCCAAGCAUAUAUUCCCAUGCAGAUAUUAAGAGGUUUACAAAUCAAUUCAAGUACAAGUUGGGCCAAGGAGCAUACGGAACUGUUUUUAAACGAAAGUUUUUUUCUGAAUGCUUUGUUGCCAUGAAAGUACUUAACAUUUCCAAGGGUGACGGGGAAGAGCUUGUAAAUGAAGUGGGAACAAUGGGCCAUAUUCACCAUGUCAAUGUGGUUCACUUGGUUGGUUUUUGUGCUGAUGGAUUUAGAUGAGCUCUGGUUUAUGAGUUCUUUCCCUUUGGUUCACUCCAGGAUUAUAUUUCAUCAGCAGAUAGAUUUCUUUCCUUGGUUGGCAUAAGUUGCAAGAUCUUGCUAUCAGCAUAGCCAAAGGAACUAGGAAUGUGAUCUACAAAUCCUCCAUUUCGAUAUCAAACCCCAUAAUGUUUUGCUCGACCAAAAAAUCACGCCAAAAAUCUCUGAUUUUGGUCUGGCCAAGUUAUGCCAAACAAUUACAGACAACAGUUAUUCACUAAAUCACUUUAAGGCAAGAAUUUAAUUAAUAAUACAUUACUGCACUUUCUUAACCAUUUGACUAUCACCUAGCUGACAAUGAACACGUUAGCUCCGCGUUAGAACAUCUUGGGUUCAAUUCAUUGUCUUGAAUAUCACCCAUUGUCACAGGCGUCUGUUGGGGGCAUAGAGAAGGCCUGAGAGGCAUUUGCAGACAUUCAACAUCUCCUCCAAGCAUUUUGACAACUUUGGACAUCGAAGGGCGAUCAUUUGGUUUCAUUUGAAUACACCACAAGGCGGUUAUAACCAUCUUUCUUAUUACUUUCUUUUCCUCCUCUGUAACAUUGUCCAUUUCCAGGUCAUUUCCCACAAUAUAUUGAUCGUAUACCCACAUUGGGAAGUAGAUUUGGCUUGAAUGCUCUACCGUUGGAUUCAAAUUCUUCCUUCUGCUUGCCAUUUCCAUCAACAACAUUCCAAAACUAUAGACAUCUGACUUGUAUGAGACGCAUCCAAUAUUUUUGUAGAACAACUCAGGAGCAAUAUAUCCCAGUGUACCCCGUGCUGCCGUCAAAGAGACAAUGCUAUUAUCUACAGGAUACAAUUUUGCAAGCCCAAAGUCAGAAACCUUUGCUUUAAAGUUCUCAUCAAGAAGGAUGUUAUGAGGCUUGAUGUCGAAAUGUAGAAUUUGCAUUUCACAACCUUGGUGUAGAUAUUCGAUCCCUUGAGCCACUCCAAGAGAAAUCUCGUACAUGUUCUUGAUAGUUAAGGGGACACUUCCUUCUUUGGAAUAAAUGUAUUUAUCAAGAGAACCAUUAGGCAUGAAGUCAUAUACUAGAGCGCGUUUUGAUCCCUCAACACAGUAUCCAACAAGUUGUACCACAUUGGCAUGGUGAAUCCUUCCGAUUGUAGCUAUUUCGCUAAUGAAAUCUUGGCCAUCAGCUUUGGGCUUGCCCAAAACUUUAACUGCUACAAAUCGACCACUGCGUAGCUUUCCCUUAAAUACAGAGCCAAAGCCACCUUCGCCCAACUUGUCCUUAAACCUGCGAGUCAUUUUCUUGACGUCCGAGUAAGAGUACCUUAUAAGCAUGAUGUUGUUAUUGCAUUGCAGAAAAUCUUCUAUUGUGCUAUACAUUGAUAAAUGUCUUCUGCGCCAUGUGUAGAUUAGAAAUGCAGUCACAACUGGAACUCCAAAAACAAAUCUGGCUAGGAAAAAUAACCCUGCAUGCAUGGACAAUAAUAUGUUAGAUCCACUGUGUACUACUUUUUCUUCCCUUUCUUUCCAAAUUACUUUAUCUUUGAUGUAAUUAAAGAGAGAGAAUGGGAAAUCUACAUAUGUUGAUAAUAUAAUCUCGUCUUAGUCCUUACCGAUCCAUAUGAGUAUAAACCAUCCAAGUGCUGCAAAAAAAUCAAUCGACUAUGAGUUUGAAAAGUGCAUAAAGUGAAAAAAAAAAAAAAAAAAAAAAAAAUCAAAGGGUGCCUUUAUUGACACCCAAAUUUUAGUUAGUUUUACUCAACUAAAAAAUUUUUGUCAUCAAACUUUUUAAUUUGCCGUCGAAAUUGAGUUCACCCAACCACAAAGCAGCAACUACCACUCACAAAAAAACCAACAACACACAGCCACCAGUACCAUUCACCAAUAGAAAGAGAAGGAACACACAGACCCACCAAGGAGCCGGCAUCGACGCAUCUACGAGGGAGGGACCGGAGGGUGGUGUAGUUUUGUUGGGCGCGCGGUGGUUGUUUUGUUUGUUCAUUUUCUCUUUCUUUUGGUAGGUGGAGGCUGGUGUGGAUUUGGGCGAACUUAAAAAUGAGGGGAAACUAUGAAGUUUGACAAAAUGUUUUAGUUAGGGGAACUUAACUAAAAUUUGGGUGCCGAUAAAGAUACCCAAUUUCAAAAAUACUUGAGCUUAUAGACUAAUUAAAUGAAGUUGAUCUUACAGAUCUCGUGGCUGUAUGAUGAAUGCCACUUGCCAGCUGCAAUAGAUACCACGGAAAAGUGAAUAAAGACAUACAGUUACUAGGUUUAAGAAGUACAGAUAGAGCACACAAAAAAUAAAAGAAGCUUUUGGGAAGAAACUUCUUACGCCAAUAGUUGUGUUCUUGACCUACAGUAAAAAAUGUGAAGAAGAAUACACAACAUUAGCAAUAGCUCACCCAGUCUUCGGAAUUUAAAAAAUCAAGUUUGUCUCGAUCGAAAACUUGUAAAUAAAACAAAAAGAGGACCCCUUACGGAUUUGGUGCCAUAGAUAUUGAAAGAAACCUACAAAAACAAAGAAAGAACAAGACCACAUGCAUUAGCAUAACAAGUGUGAGGUGUAUAAGCCGUUAGAAAAUAAAUUUAAAAUUCUAGUGCUGUCAAUACAUUGAUAAUAUAUAUAUAUAUAUAUAUAUAUAUAUAUAUAUAUAUAUGUAUUAUUUUUCUGAAAAUUUAACUUUCUCCCUCCAAACUCAUUUUUCUAGUCUCUAGCCCAUCAUAUAAUAUUUAUCAGAAUAAAACCAAAUGAUUAGGAUCCAACUAAGAAACUUACCAAAUUAAGUUUGUGUGUCCAUUUUUAUAUUUUUUGGAUCCCUAAUAUACCCCAUCUAAGCCAGUAUGGAAAGUUCUUGUAAUUUUGCUUUAAGUGAUCACGUGCAUUGAAUUUGGCAAGGUCUUGUAGCCAUGAAAUAUGGUUCCAGAUGGAGGAAUGAAUUUGGAUUUUUUUUUAAUUUCGGCAACAAAUUUCAAUUUGAAUAUACCUAAUUUAGUGUUUAUUUUCAACAAUAUCUAUUGUUUAAUUUUAUGAAAAUAAUUAACCUAAUAUGAAAAUUAAUUUUAUGAAAACAAUAUCUAUUGUUUAAUUUUAUACCUACAGGAUAAUUACAUGAAAAUAGUUUACCUACUAUGAAAAUUAAUUUUUUGAAAGCAAUAUCUAUUGUUUAAUUUUAUGAAGAUAAUUUACCUACUAUAAUUACAUGAAAAAAUUUACCUACUAUGAAAAUUAAUUUUUUGAAAACAAUAUUAUUGUUUAAUUUUAUGAAAAUAAUUUACCUACUGUAUAAUUACAUAAAAAUUAGGGAAAAUUAGAAUCCCCUACAGUUUUUAUAUAUCAUUUAGAUUAAACAUUUGUACUUUUUUAAAAUUUGAUUAAAGUGCUUUGACCAAUAGUUACCUCUAUUUUUUUAAAUUAAAAUAAUUUUUGAAUUUAUCCUUUUAUCUGCACAAUGCACUUUUCCUUAUUUAGUGGAGAUAUUAGUAAUGAAACUAUAUUUUCCCUUCUUCCAAAUAUGUUUUUUCGAUCACAGUUUUUUUUUUUUUGGGUAUGCAAACAUUUGAUAUUAUUUUUUUUCCAAAUGGUUUUUUCUUUUUCAAAUAGUUGGUGAUCAACAUAUAAGCUCUGUGUAUUUUUUUCAAUGUUUUUGUGAAAUUAUAUUUUUUUUGCUGUUUUUUAAGUAUAGUUGUUGACGAAUUAUUAUUAGGUACAAUACAUUACGUAUAUAUUAUCUGCGGGUACGUUUGAAUUUACUAAAAUCAUUAAUUGGUACGUUUGAUUUGAUACAUAUUGUUAAUAUUGGUACAUUAUUUUUAUUUUGGUACGUUUUAUUUUGAACACAUUUUGUAUUGGUACGUUUAUAGUAUUCUCAAUCCUAUUUUCUCUUAACGUACUAAAAGAAAAACUCAUUUUGGUACGUUUGAUUUUGGGGGAUUUAAAAAUAUUUUAAACUAUUUUGGAAAAAAAAAAAUCUUAAAUCGUAGAUAAUUAUUGCUAAAUUGUAGCAUUAUUGUGAAAAUAAAUUGAAUCUAACCAACUUUUUUUUUUACAAUUAUCUCUAAUGGAGGAGAGUGUAAUCAAAAGGCUAGAUUAUAGGAAAUUUGUUACAAUAUAAUGGGCAUAUAGCACCAAAAUUAUGAUAAAAAAAAGUUUAAUCAAAUCAUUAAAAGGCAUGGAUGUUUGAUCUAGAAAAUUCAAAACUGAGGCGUCUAUAUCAAAAGAUCCCUAAAAAUUAAUGUGCCUACUUUUUAAAUUUGUAACAAAAUUAAUUUACCUACUUUUUAUGGUAUUAGUAUACAUAAAUGUAGAAUAUAUGUCCGUAUAUAUUUGAUCUAAUUAGGUUUUGGAUUGGAGGAGUUGACACAAAAUUAUAAAUAUAUUAAACAAAUUUAUCUAUUCUAAAGUUGGAGGGGAAUUGGUCUGUACAUUGCUACAGUAAACAAAUGCUACUCAAUUUCACGUUAUUUACAACAAAGCUAUCAGAUUUGGGUUGGGUUGGAGGGUAAUUUGUUAAAAGUUAGGAGGGUAAUUUUGUGCAUAGGGUUUAGGUGCCCUCCUAUACAUGACCCUUGAGUUUACUUUAUUUACACCACUGCCAUCAAAUAUGUGGCUGAAUUGGAGGGUAUUAUUAAAAGUUAAGAGGGUAGUUUUGUUCAAGGGGUGGGGGCGACAUUCGCAGACGGAGGCCGAUGGGAGCCAUGCCCAUUGCACAGAGAGAAAGGGAGUGAUGGGGGAAAUUACAGACAGAAAAGGAAGGGAUGGGAGGAUUUGAUGGAUGGUCACAGAGAGAGAUUCGGUGAGGGAUGUGAGGGGAGAUUACAGAGAGAUAAAUAAAAGGGAGGGAUCGGGGGAUUUGAGGGAUGGUCAGAGAGAGAAAUAGUGAGGGAGGGAGGGAUGGGGGGGCUGAUUUUCGGUUCCUCCUUCAGAUUUGUUCCGUAAAACCUGUUGGGUACAAUUCAAUUUCCUCCCCCUUUCCCCUGAACGAAAAAUUCGAAACCUACAAUUCAAUUUCCUCCCUCCUUGGCUUUCCGCUUUACUCAUCUCCCGGUGGUUCUUUCUCUCCAUACGAUUCGAUUUCGGUGAGUUCUUCGUUGCCCUCAUGAUUUCCCAGUUUGAUUUUUUGAGCGUCCUUAGUCGUUGUUUUUAUCUGGGUUUACUGCAUUGUUGCUUUUAGUUUCUGGAUUUUUAUUUGUUCCGCGGUUCGAUGAAUCGGUUAAUAAUUUCACACCAUGGGAUUUUCGCAUGGAAUUGAGCGCGGGGAUUCGGGGUGGGGUUUUACUGAUAAUUUGUCUUCAUUCAAAUGAAUGGUUAAAAUUUCUGAAGUGAGUGUGCAGGUGGGCCCGUUCACUAACUAAGCUUUCAAGGGAACCCAUCAGCGGUUUGCUUGCUGGGGGAAUUCGGAGACUACCAGUGUAUGAUUUAGUUAUCAUUUAUUUUUUUACUUAAAUUUAUCCAUAUAUAAUAUGUGGGUAAAUUUACACUAAACAAUUGUGAUAAGCCAAUAUGCCAUACGACUUUGAAAGCAUUGAUUUUGUGUUUAGUUUGCAUUUUUGCAUUGUGAAUGUUGAAUUUUGUGUUUGAAUUUGUAGCAUGAUCUUCCGCUGCAGCAUCCAAAUUUUGCAUUUGUAAAUUGUCAAAGAAAAACGAAGUAUGAGGAAAUUAUAGGAGAUUGUGUCGGCUUUGGCCAUGAAGGGUAUCAGCAGCUUGUUCCCCCAUACAGGUGAUUAAUCGUUUUUCAGUCUGUGUUCUAUUUGGAUGAGAAAGUGAUUGAAAAUAUGAUUUUUUUAUUUGUUGGUUGAUUUUGUAUGGACGAUGUAUUAAUUUUAUUUUUUUUGGGAUUUUGUGUAUUGGGCAUUGUGUAGAACCAGCAAUGCAAGAGCAGGAUCUGAUCAGUCAUGCCUGAAAAGGGGUUUGUUUCUCAAAUCACAUUAAUUAAUUAGAUUAUUAACGUGCGUUGGAAGGCUCUUCAAUAUGAUUUCUAAUUUCUCCUUUCCAGCAUUCUCUUUUUGGUUUUUGGAGUAUGUAUGUGAUUUGUAUUUUUUUAUAGAAUAAAAAUUAAUAAAACACGAGAUGCAGCAAUUAAUUUGCAUCCUUAUGACAACACAUAUGAAAGUGCAUUCAAUUUCAAUGUGCGAAUGUGUGACAGGAUGUGCCUGCCCGCUGCUGCUGGUAUGCUUGCUGUUGUUUCUCGCGUUGUUAAUUUUUUGUGUGUGUUGAUUUGAUUAACAACUCAAGCGUAUCUUUUUUUUUUGUGUUGGUUAGCAGCCAGUUUUAUGGCCCCGAUCUAGUGAUGCUUCUCAGUGACUGUGGUAAUUGCAGUUCAUUGCCACCAGUUGGUCAGCUACCUGCUCUGAAAGAGCUAUACGUAGAAGGGAUGAAAGUUGUUAAGAGUGUUGGUGUUGAGUUGUACGGGGGAAAUCAACCAUUUCAAUGUUUAGAGAAGCUAAAGUUUCGGGAGCUAUAGCAGCCUAGUCCAAGUGGAUGUGAAAGUCCAGACUUUCCUCAUCUUAAGGAGCUGGGGUUAUACGAAUGUCCGAAGCUGAGAGGAAACUUGCCCACUCAUCUUCCCUCCUUGAAAACACUUCAUGUGAACAAGUGUGAGGUUCUACAUAAAAACAGGGCCAGUAAUACCCUGAACGUGGAAUCCUUACGAGGAUCUCUUGAAAAACUGACAAUAAAUGGAUGCCCGGGUCUCUCAUUGUUACUAGAGUCGACGGAGACGCUGCCGUCGCUUCAGAAGCUUGAUAUUGAUAAUGUGGUGGGAAAGAGUUGUUGGCGCAAAUGGUGCACAACAGCAAUCGUCUUCAAAGUUUGACUUUAUAUAAAUGUUCCUCACCCUUGUCGUUCCUUACAAAUGGUCUGCCCACCACGCUGACAUCACUGAGCAUAACAGAUUGCAAGAAAUUAGAAUUCCCAUCACGUGAGAUGAUGGCCAAAUUGACUUCCCUUCAGUCUUUGCGUCUAUCCAACAGCUGUGAACGCAAAGGCUUGAGUAUUUGCAGUUUAGUUUUUUUUUUCUUCAUUUUAGAGAUUUUUCUACUGUUUGGUUUUUGGGUUUUGUCUAAUUUUUGUGGUCUGCUUUAUAGAUUGUUCUCUUUGGAAGCUUCUUUCCAGCCUUGACCUUCUUCUUGCCUGGUGCCUUCUCAUUGAGUAUUGGAGGAGCAUUAAAACACAGGUGUGUGUGUUUUGUCGACAUAAGAGAUGAAUGACAUAAAAACAUCCGUCUCUGUAUUUUUUUGUGCUUUUUCUAACCCAUCAAUUUCUUUUGAGUCAACCAAAUAGUCCCAAAUUGCAACUUAUGUUGUGAGGUAUUAUUGUCUAAAAUUAAGUAUGCAUGUAUAUUUUAUGUUUGUGCCCGCGCACACAUCCGCAUGGUGUUAAUCUCUGUGGGUCAUCUAUGUAUAUGUAGAUAUAUCUAUAUGUGUGUGUGGAAUGCAACAUAUCGGAUUUAGGUUAUACUGUGCAUAGUUUUAUUGCCUGUUAUUAUCUACGAUAUCACUAUGCCAUUUCUAUGCAGGCUCUGAAAGUUAUUCAUGAGCUUUAUAAGCACUUACCAUAAUUUAAGCAGUCUGUUUUGGGUUCUUUUUCAUUAGGUCAUUAGCUACAGAUUAAUGGAGAAACGAGGACCAUGCCACUGAUUUGGGUUCUUUUUCUAAUUUUCUGAUUUUGGGGUUUUGCAGGGAGAACUCCGCCUAUGUACUUACAUUGCCGAUCCCAAGCUCGGAUAAAGGAGGAGGGGGAGGGCGUCAGGUAGUCGACAGUCGGCACUCCAUGAUCACGUCGAAUCCUUAUGAAAAUGAAUUCAGAAUAAAAUUGCGCUAAAGCUAGGGCGUCACCCGUAAGUGGCGCGCUGUGUGGCCCGAGCACAGUGAUAAGUGAGCAAGGGUCGCUGUAUCUCCAUCGGCACCCGGAUGCAGUGUUAAAUGAGCAAGGGGGGCAUAGGAACUUCUUUUCGAACGACUCCACUCAAAGUUGUUUGGGAGCAUAUGCUCCUAUCAACUUUACACGGGACACACAAAAGAAGUACUUUGAUCCUAUUAGACGGGGGAGGGUGAAGAAGCUAGGACAGAAGGGUAGAGUUCAAGAAAGCAAAAUGCGUUUAGGAACGUGGAAUAUAGGAACCUUAACGGGAAAAUCUAUGGAAGUAGUGGAAGUUAUGGUGAGGAGAAGGAUAAAUAUUAUGUGCCUACAAGAAACUAAGUGGGUUGGUAGUAAGGCAAUUGAUCUAGAAAACUCAGGGUUUAAACUUUGGUAUUCGGGCACAAAUAGAACGAGAAACGGUGUUGGCAUCAUCGUGGACAAGACCUUGACACAAGAUGUUGUAGAUGUCAAGAGGGUAGGAGAUAGAAUCAUGGCAAUCAAGAUUGUAAUAGGACAAGAACUUAUCAAUGUGGUUAGUGCGUACGCACCUCAAGUAGGGUUGGAUACGAGUUCGAAGGAGAAAUUUUGGGAAGACCUUGGAGACUUGGUGUAAGGAAUUGCUCAGACGGAGAAGUUAUUUAUAGGAGGAGAUUUAAAUGGACACGUGGGCAGAGAGACAGGCAACUAUGGAGGUUUUCAUGGUGGCCAUGGUUUUGGGGAGAGAAAUGAGGAUGGGGAAGCUAUCUUGGAUUUUGCAAUGGCAUAUGAUCUCUUUUUAGCCAACACCUUCUUUAAGAAGAAAGAAGAACAUGUGAUCACCUACAAGAGUGGGUUGUCAAAAACACAAAUAGAUUUUCUUCUAAUGAGAAACGAGGAUGGGGAAGCUAUCUUGGAUUUUGCAAUGGCAUAUGAUCUCUUCUUAGCCAACACAUUCUUUAAGAAGAGAGAAGAACAUGUGAUCACCUACAAGAGUGGGUCGUCAAAAACACAAAUAGAUUUUCUUCUAAUGAGGAAAGGGGAUCGUAUAACUUGUAAGGAUUGCAAAGUUAUACCAGGAGAGAGCGUGGCUAAUCAACAUCGCUUGUUGGUGAUUGAUGUACAUAUCAAAAGAGUGAGACAAAAGAACAAGACUUGGAAGUGCCCAAGGACUAGAUGGUGGAAUCUAAAAGAAGAAAAACAAGCCAUUUUCAAAGAGAAAGUAAUCAUCCAGUGUGUGGGAUAGAGAUGGGGAAGCUAGCCAAAUGUGGGAUUCAAUGGCUAGUUGUAUCCGAAAAGUAGCAAAAGAGGUAUUAGGAGAGUCAAAAGGCUUUGCCCCACACCAAAAAGAAUCUUAGUGGUGGAAUGAGGAGGUACAAACAAAGGUGAAGGCUAAGAAGGAAUGUUGUAAAGCCUUAUACAAGGAUAGAACUGAUGAAAAUGGUGAAAGGUAUAGAAAAGCGAAGCAAGCUGUGAGAGAAGCUAAGUUAGCGGCUUACGACGAUAUGUAUAAACGACUAGAUACCAAAGAAGGAGAGUUGGAUAUCUAUAAACUAGCUAGAGCAAGGGAAAAGAAGACAAGGGACCUAAACCAAGUGAGGUGCAUCAAGGAUGAGGAUGGAAAUGUUCUUGCUACAGAGAACGCGGUUAAAGACAGAUGGAGAGGUUAUUUUCAUAAUCUUUUCAAUGAAGGACAUGGAAGGAGUGCUUCUUUAGGGGAGUUGAGUAACUCAGAAGAGUGUAGAAACUACUCUUUUUAUCGUCGAAUCCGGAAGGAAGAAGUGAUUGUAGCUUUGAAGAAGAUGAAACAUAGAAAAGCAAUAGGCCCAGACGAUGUACCAAUCGAAGUGUGGAAAGUUUUGGGAGAGACAUGUAUAACAUGGCUCACUGACCUUUUCAAUAGGAUUUUGAAAACGAAGAAGAUGCCAAAUGAGUGGCGAACGAGCACUUUGGUGCCUAUCUACAAGAAUAAGGGCGACGUACAAAAUUGCAUGAACUAUAGGGGUAUUAAGCUAAUGAGUCAUACAAUGAAGCUCUGGGAGAGAGUCAUUGAGCAUAGAUUGAGGCAAGAGACACGGGUUUCGGACAACCAAUUUGGGUUCAUGCCAAGGCGCUUAACCAUGGAGGCAAUCUAUCUCUUACGAAGAUUGGUGGAAAGAUAUAGAGAUGGGAAAAAGGAUUUACACAUGGUUUUUAUAGAUUUGGAGAAAUUCGUAUGAUAGGGUCCCAAUAGACAUUCUUUGGAGGAUUUUAGAGAAGAAAGGAGUACGAGUAGCAUAUAUCCAAGCUAUAAAUGAUAUGUAUGAAUGAGCAAAGACUGCUGUAAGAACUCAUGAAGGACAAACUGAAAGUUUUCCCAUAACUGUAGGAUUACACCAAGGCUCAUCCUUAAGUCCCUACCUUUUUGCGUUGGUAAUGGAUGAGUUAACAAGACAUAUUCAAGAUGAUAUUCCUUGGUGUAUGCUUUUCGCAGACGAUAUAGUGUUGAUAGAUGAAACACAGGAAUGGGUAAAUGCAAAGCUUAACCUUUGGAGAGAAGUGUUGGAAUCUAAAGGUCUUCGCCUAAGCCGAUCAAAGACAAAAUAUAUGGAGUGCAAGUUCAGUGCAAAUGGAGGCCAAAACGAGUUAGGGGUGAGGAUCGGAGAUCAAGAAAUACCAAAGAGCGACCGUUUUCGUUACCUAGGAUCUAUCUUGCAAAAGAACGGAGAAUUAGAUGGAGAUCUCAACCAUAGAAUACAAGCUGGAUGGAUGAAGUGGAAGAGUGCAUCCGGCGUGUUGUGUGACCGCCGUAUGCCACUGAAGCUCAAGGGAAAAUUUUAUAGGACGGCAAUAAGGCCGGCGAUGCUGUAUGGCACAUAAUGUUGGGCGGUGAAGCAUCAACACGUACACAAAAUGGGUGUAGCGGAGAUGAAGAUGCUUCGUUGGAUGUGUGGGCACACGAGAAAGGAUAAGAUUAGGAAUGAGGAUAUCCGGGGUAAAGUAGGAGUAGCCGAAAUUGUAGGAAAGAUGAGAGAAAAUCGGUGACGGUGGUUUGGACAUGUGCCAAGAAGGCCUACUGACGCUCCGAUUAGAAGAUGUGACUACUGGACAGAGGUUCAGGGCCGAAGGGGUAGAGGAAGACCUAGAAAAACUUUGGAAGAGACUCUAAGAAAGACUUAGAGUACCUGGAUCUAACGAAGGACAUGACACAGGACCGAGCAUAAUGGCGUUCUAAGAUUCAUAUAGCCGAUCCCACUCAGUGACUUGGAUUUUCCAAGUCUCCAGCCGAGAAGUUUUCCUCACUCAGGAAAUUAAGGGAACACUACCCCAACCUACAUGCUCCACUCACAAAGCUUCAACAAAAGAAAAUUCAAAGAACUUAGCGAAGAAGGCUUUGAUGUAUUUAACACAAUACGUUGAAAUGAAGGAAAGCUUAUUUAUUGAUAUCAUCGAUAAGCUACAAAUAUGUACAUAUACAUAAGUCAAAAUAAACAAACAAGAGGGAGCCUUCACAAAGGUUGCUUAGGAGAAGUCUCAGCAGUCGGUAGAGCCCCAGAAAGAGAAGGCACCGGAGGGGGAUCAUUCGGAGCCUCAGUACUGGACAGAACCCUAGAAGGAGGAGGCAUAAGAGGUUGAUCAUUUGGUGCUUCAUUACGCGGUACAGCCCCAGAAGACGAAGGCAAUAAAUGCCUUUGGAACAAACCCACAAAUCUCUGAUGAUCAAGUAAAACCUGACCAUCAGAUUCCUUCAUCUGGUCAAGCUUCCUCUUCAUGUUUGUAGCAUAGUCAUGUGCGAGCCGGUGCAACUGUUUAUUCUCAUGCUUGAGCCCUCUAAUCUCCUGUUUGAGACUCAUCACUUCAGCCGCCAAUGAUUCAACUUGGCGGGUUCGAGCAAAUAGGUGUUGGGCCAUAUUAGACACAGAACCUGCACACUGAACACUGAGAGCCAGAGAAUCCUUAACAGCUAACUCAUCAGACCGUUUGGAAAGUAGUCUGUUAUCUUUGGGAGUGAGAAGGUUCCUGGCCACCACCGCAGCGGUCAUAUCAUUCUUCAUCACGGAAUCCCCAACGGUAAGAGGACCAGUAGGGGAGACGAAGGAUGGGCGCCAUAUGUUGUCUGGAGAAGGCGGGGCUUCCUCUUCAACAAGGUUCAAGUCAAAACGACGGUCGGAGGGGCCAGACAUUUUCAAAUGUGUUGAAGAGAGAAGAGGUCGGACAAAUCAAGAUCUUAGAAGUGUAAGAAUGGAGCUUCUACUGGUGGAGAUUCAAGUGUGCUUUGGAACUUAAUGUCAGCCCCUAUAAAAAUCUGCACUCAACGGAGCUUCAGAAAUCGAAGAGGCGCCUGCUCAGAAAUCGAAGAGGCGUUUGCUUUCUCAAAAGCAAGGCUGCUCAGAUACCACGAGGGUCGAUCUCAGAAAUCGAAGAGGCGUUUGCUUUCUCAAAAGCUGGGCAGCGCAAAGACCACGAAGGCCGAUCUCAGAAAUCGAAGAGGCGCUCAAAAGUUGGGCUGCUCAGAGACCACGAGGGCCGAUCUCAGAAAUCGAAGAGGCACCUACUUUUCCAGCCUUGUCAGUACCUGUCACACACACACUCAGCUUUGCGAAAAUUAUGGGGAUUCGGUCGAAGACUUCUGGUGAAGUAGAAAGCACAUGAGUCUUACUGUUCAAUCACCCACUUCCCACACGCAACAGUAGCUCAUGGGUACCACAUAUAACUUUUCCAAAGUUCUCUGCCAAAGUUGAACACGUGAAGUUUGCAGCUCCCACUACAUCGCUCUGAUCAAGAAGGGUAAAAGAAUAGCAAAGAAACAACACUAACAAAGUUUAGACACAUAAAUUUUGAUGGUCGAGCUACCAUAUUAUUACCCACAAGGGUAAAGGAACAGUACCACUGCUGGAUAAUUGGAAAGUCCCUGUGUGUCAACCUCUGUGCUUCGUGGCAAGGUAGACUAUCAAACAUGCCCAACCUUUACUCACAUUCGAGAAAACACUCCCAACAAGAUUGCUUGCUCCAAAAUCGAAGAGGCACCGUCCUUCGAAUCUCGAGAGCCAGACUCCCAACAUGACUACUUUCUCAAAAAUCGAAGAGGGUAAAGGAACAGUACCAUUGCUGGAUAAUUUGAAAGUCCCUGUGUGUCAACCUCUGUGCUUCGUGGCAAGGUAGACUAGCAAACAUGCCCAACCUUUACUCACAUUCGAGAAAACACUCCCAACAAGAUUGCUUGCUCCAAAAUCGAAGAAGCAUCGCCCUCCGAAUCUCGAGAGCCACUCCCAACAUGACUACUUUCUCAAAAAUCGAAGAGACAUCGCUCUCCGAAUCUCGAGAGCCAGACCCCCAGCAUGAUUGCUUUCUCAAAAAUCGAAGAGGCACCGUUCUCCGAAUCUCGAGAGCCAGAUCCCCGAUAGGAUUGCUUGUUCGAAAACCGAAGAGGCAACACUUUCCCAAUUUCAAGAGCCGGAUCUCCUUGGAUAAAGCUAUCUGUAAUCUUCACUCGCAACAUUAGCUUUCCAGCUACCACAGACCACUUUUUCAAAGUGAUCUGACAACGUUAAAACAUGUGAAGCUGGCAGCUUCCACUACCGUGCUAUGACCAAGUAGGGUAAAGGAAUAGCAUUACUACUUGUUGUUAAGGAGACUCCUAUAUAUGUCGACCUCCAUCCCCAACGGAUAGGCAGACCUGCAAAAAUGCUCAACUCUUCCUCAUAUCUGAGAGGGCACUCCCAACGAAGCCUUUCGAAAUAUUCAGCUUUCUUUCCCCCCGAUAAUACCUCUGCAAACAAGCUAUACUAGAGCAAGAAUAUCUCAUAUCAUCAGGGUUAAAAGCAAGAGUAUCCCAUAUCAUGCUUUUUCCUUGUCUUUUUCUUUGGCCUUGUUCUUACCUGCAAGACAAGAAGAAAGAGAGCAAUCAGUCAGUACUUGGAAUCAAGCUUCCAGCCAGGAACUGACUGCCUGGAACCCCUUACCUGAUUACUUACCUGACAUUGUUCUCGAGUACUCAUCUUCAACAUCUUAUGCUUCCAGGGAAGAUACCGCAUCUGCCUGAGGAACAGAUAGGGCAAGGGAGAAGGAUAUAAGGAAGCAUGUGGAGACAAGCGUAACAGCACACGUGCCGAUACAUCCAUUACUCUGUCAAAGCAAAAGUAUCCCAUAUCAGUAGGGUCGAACGUACUCUAGAUUUGAUGGACUUGUUUUGACCCUCAAAUUCUUCAGUCGGCCUUAUACUCUGGAGGAAACCAGAAAUUUCUCCAGCUCAGUGCAAGAAUAAGCUUGUGGAAAGUUACUUCUUCAAAAGCAAAAGUAUCACAUAUCAUCUCUUCUCAUUUUCUUCUCUUUAUCCUUCAUGCUGCCUGCAAGAUAGGGAGAUUGUGAACAAUCAGCUGGAGCUAUGAUUGCUUACCUUGUCUGUCACCUCUUUCAGCAGAUCCCCUAGCUCGGCGAUUUGGGGGACUCCUACUACAUGGUUUGUAUCGCGCUUGACCAAGCCUGAAACUACAAGUAAGCUUCAAGUGAAAUUGAUACAUUACCUUGUGCAUCUCCACCAGUUAAAGAUACUACCCCUGGAUGGAGGAAGAGUACUUCCAGAGAAGAUGCCCCAUCUACCUAUGAGACAGAUAAGGCACGUCAAGACGAUACCACACUCUGAUACUUAGAAGUUUCGUGAUUACGAGAUCAUUCUCCCACAAUAUUUCCUAAUGUCAUUUGUACUAAAUCAUUCACUUGUACUCACUAAAGGAGAGCUUGAACCUAUGUACUUGUGUAAACCCUUCACAAUUAAUGAGAACUCCUCUAUUCCGUGGACGUAGCCAAUCUGGGUGAACCACGUACAUCUUGUGUUUGCUUUCCUAUCUCUAUCCAUUUAUAUACUUAUCCAUACUAAUGACCGGAGCAAUCUAGCGAAGAUCACAAAAAGCGACCGUUUUCGCUACCUAAGAUCUAUCGUGCAAGAGAACGGAGAAUUAGAUGGAGAUCUCAACCAUAGAAUACAAGCUGGAUAGAUGAAGUGUAAGAGUGCAUCCGACGUGUUGUGUGACCGUCAUAGGUCACUGAAGCUCAAGGGAAAAUUUUAUAGGACGACAAUAAGGCCAGCGAUGUUGUAUGGCACAGAAUGUUGGGCGGUGAAGCAUCAAUACGUACACAAAAAUGGGUGUGGCGGAGAUGAGGAUGCUUCGUGGGAUGUGUGGGCACACGAGAAAGGAUAAGAUUGGGAAUGAGUAUAUCCGAGGUAAAGUAGGAGUAGCCGAAAUUGAAGGAAAGAUGAGAGAAAAUCGGUUCCGGUGAUUUGGACAUGUGCAAAGAAGGCCUACUGACGCUCCGGUUCGAAGAUGUGACUACUGGACAGAGGUUCAGGGCCGAAGGGGUAGAGGAAGACUUAGAAAACCUUUGGAAGAGACUCUAAGAAAAGACUUAGAGUACUUGGAUCUAAUGGAGGACAUGACACAAAACCGAGCGCAAUGACGUUCUAGGAUUCAUAUAGCCGACCCCACUUAGUGGGAAAAGGCUUUGUUGUUGUUGUUGUUGUUGUUGGGGUUUUGCAGGGAGUACUAAUGUACUGAUUUUCUGGGAUUUUUUUUGUCCUUGCAGGAUUUUUGGUCUUUGAAAUGGGUAUGUGUUGUUUUUAAUGUUUCAGUUCUAGCGUUUUCCGUUCUUCGUUGCUUCGUGAUUCUCAUUUUUCAGUGUUGGGUGAUGGAAAUUUGUUAAAGUAGUUGGUAGUUUUUUGAGAAAGUUGGCAUUUUUAGUUAUAUUUUCUGUUUAAUCCUAAAUGUUUUGAAAACUCAUAAUUUUUUUGUUCUGGGAUUUAAAAGCAUCUUUUCCAGAUUGGUUACAAGGGUUAUGUUCUCUUCAAUUGGUUCACCUAAUUUUGAUUAGUUUUAAGUUUUGUCCUUUAAGUUUGUCUUUUAAGUUUUGUUCUUUAAGUUUUGUCUUUUAAGUUUUGUUCUCUAAGUUUUGUCUUUUAAGUUUUGUCUUCUGUGCUGUAAUGAGAGAUUUCCGUUGGCCUUUCGGAUUUUGGCAUGGGAAAGUUCACUUAUUUGCAAGGUUCUAAAAAACGCUAGGCGUUAGUUGGGCGGUGGGCUAGCGCCUAGCGGCUAGGCGGCUAGGCGGGAUCUAGGCGGGAUCUAGGCGGGCGCCUAGGCGGCCUAGGCGGAUUUAGGUAAAUUUCUUAUAUAUUUUAUGAAUUAAUUAAAUUUACUAUAUCAAAUGUAAAUAAUUAUUAACUAAUAUGUUAUUUCUUAUAGAAGAACAUACAUAGUGAAUGUUUUAUGUACAUAUAUAAUAUAUUUGUCUAGGAAAAAAAAAUAUUAUCUAAAUAAUUUUUAUAACAUAUAUAUAUAUAUAUAUAUAUAUAUAUAUAUAUCCCAAACUUUUAAAAAUAUAAAUAGCAUUGGGAGAGGGGCGUAGGGUUUCUAAAAGCACACUCAGAAAUAGAGCAUAUUUUAGUCUUUAUUUUAGAAUCCUAAGGAGCACCCUACUCGGAUGCACGACAUGUGUGCAAAUCUGGAGAUUCUUGCUGUAUCGGAUACACCAAUGCUUAGUCAAAAUUUCCUGCUAGGGUUUAUGGUGGACAUGUGUGUGUGGUCUUCAUUAUUAAACCCAUUAGCACCUCACCUUUUCACAUCACCCGUCCAUCACCUUGGGUGGUUUUGAUAAUUAAAACCAUCAACAUCCAUGGUUUUGAUAAUUAGAACUACCAACUUUUCCUUGGAUUUGAGAAUCUGAGAUCCCAUUCAUCGCCAUCAAAUAUUGAAAUGUUUCAUUGUUCAUCUCUUUCUCCCUCUUCUCACUCUCUAUUCCCUCAUCUUCACAGAGAUGAGUUACAGAAAUUCUCCGGUAAUCUCUCUCUCUCUCUCUUCGUAAUCGACGAGCUCCUCGACUUGAAGUCGCAGCCAAGUUAUGAAGAAUCGAGAUGCGAGAGCAAGUGGAGAGUGGAGACUCUGGAAAUUGGGAGUGACGAUCGACGACGAUGAGUCGAUGACCCAGGAAACCUCUUGAAGUUGCAGCAGGUGAGUGCACUGCAGUUGAGGAAGAAGAGACGAAGAGACUUAGUUUCUGAAAUUAGGGUAGCUGCAAGGCACGGGAACUUAAAAACAAAAAAACAAAAAGAAAACCGCCUAGCUCCGCCAGCCGCCUAGCCUGCCUAGGCGCCUCCUAGCCCGCCUAGGUGCCGCUUAGCCACCGCCUAGAGCCCAGCCGUUUUUUCCCACCGUUUUGCACAAAAACGCCUUGGCCACCCUCCGCCUAGCGCCUAGGCGGCCGCCUAGGCCGUUUUUUAGAACACUGCUUAUUUGUCUAAUUAGAUUGUGGAUGCCUUCGAUUCUUUAUUUAAUUGUUCUGUUUGCGUUCGGGUGUGAUGAUCUAAAUUUCAUAUGUUUGGAAUUAUUUACUUAACACCAAUUUGUUACAUUCAGAUCUCCACCCCACAUUUCACUAGUUCAAAUUCCAUAGAAGUUGGUUAUUGCAGAUUGCGUCUACAAUUAGAUCAGAGAUCAACUACUCUUUUGUUAUCCUGCAGAAGAUUGCUUUUGGGAAGGAUCUGAAGUAGUUUCUCUCUGUAUGUUUAUUCCCAUGUAGCUCUGUCUUUUCUAAUUGAUGGUGUUGAUAUUACACUGUAAUUCAUGAUGAUGAUUUAAUUGUUUAUUGAUUUGUAAUUGUUUGUGAAUAAUGUGGCAUAUAUGAAUUGCAAUCUGUGUUUGUAUGAAAGGGAUGGCAUAUUAUGUUGCUGACUUAAUUGUUUAUGUUUUUCAUAUUUGCGAAUGGUGUUAUGAUCAAUUAGGUGAUUGCUGACCUGUGACUUUGUUUGGAGCUCAAAUUUUGUGAGCAUUACAUUGGAUUGUUUUGAUGUUGUUUUGGUUGACAAUGCAGGGAUAGGAGAAACAAAGAGGAUGACACUUAUAACUGCCAUUCCCCAUCGGCCGUCUUCAAAUUUGGAUCACAAGAAGGGAGCAACAUAGGUGUUUUCCUUCUUUAUUUAGAUAUGGUUAGUGUAAAUAAUUGGACAAAAGAGCCAAACAAACCCUGUUCUCUCAAAUGGAGUUGAUGAUGUGGUCGACGGCCACCAGCCCCAACUCAAGAGUUUGGCCUUCAUAUAAUUGGAUUGUAGUAUAAUUUUAUUUUUGUUCAUUUCUUUUUUCCUUUAUAUAAGUGCAGGUGUUGUGAUGUUUUGAAUAAAGGGUGAUGAAAGGUGGUUCACACUUCCUCCUUACUUAAAGCAAGUGGAGAUGACGGUUUGUAUAAAAAGAAAAACUUGCCACGUACUUCAAUUUUCUAUUUUAUUAAUUAUUGUUUGGUUUUCCAAAUGUUGUAUUCACAAAGAGAGACCAAUUAUGUCUUUGAGAAACAAGUUUCUUUGUCUACAUUGCGAGAAUUUGCAGUUUGCAACUUUCAUUGGUUAUUAUAUUUGAUUGAGUUAAACUUGGAUUUCUGGAUUCUGACUUUUUCGUUUGUUUCUUUGUUGCAGAGUUGGCUUCAUUUCAUUCCAGGAACUCUCUAAAUAGGGCCAAGAACUCACUAAAUAGGUAGUCAAGAGGAAUUCAGUUUUGCCUUCAAUUUUUGCCUUCUGUUUACAUUCUUCCUGGAUGCACUCUCACCGCUUCUCUCGCUUACCACUUUUUUCUCACUCACCGCUUCAUCUCUUCUGUUGCUUACAAGGUCGUGUCAUAUAUUUUUUAAUUUUGUGGUUUAAUUUAUUGAAUAUUUGAAAAAAGAGAUAAAAUUAUAAGAUACUAUAUAAGAUACUAUAUAGUAUCUUAUAAAUAAAUGAAUCACAAAUGAUACUAUAGUUGUUAAAAAAUCCCAUUACUCAAAACUCCAAUUCCCUCCCAUUACUGAAAGCUCCAAUUCCAUCAAAACCGAGAUGGUAAAAGUACAAACUGGCUAGUUUCCACCAAAAAAAAAAGUACAAACUGGUUACAAAAAUAUGUUUUGUCCCAUCCAAUUGACGAAAAGAGAUAAAAUUUUCAAUUUACAAUUACUGAUAUGAUGUUUGUUUUGAAAAUCAUUAAGGUGAAUGGAGAGAUUUACAACCAUGAAGAGCUGAGGAGCCGUUUGCCAAAUCAGAUUUAUAAGGUCUCAUCAAUUAUGAAUAAACGACUUUUCAUUCCCAAUGACCUUUAUCGUUUUUCUUAAUGGGUUAGCUGAACAUGAGGUAGAUGCUGACUUUAUCAAAUAUGAGAAUGUUUUAGGAUUUCAUUCUAAUUUUUUGGCUGUUUGAUUACUUUGCUUUUCGUAAUUUGUUUUGCUUAUCGUCAAUUGGAUGGGACAAAACAUAUUUUUGUAACCAGUUUGUACUUUUUUUUUUGGUGGAAACUAGCCAGUUUGUACUUUUACCAUCUCGGUUUUGAUGGAAUUGGAGCUUUCAGUAAUGGGAGGGAAUUGGAGUUUUGAGUAAUGGGAUUUUUUAACAACUAUAGUAUCAUUUGUGAUUCAUUUAUUUAUAAGAUACUAUAUAAGAAACUGUUAUUAGCACUCUAAAAAACUCAUUCUACACUCGCGACAAGUGUAUUUUUCUUUUUAAUUAUGGAAAGUUUGAAGGGCAAAAUGAGAAUUUUGGAGUGCCAAUAACAAUUCCCUAUUAUAUAUAGCUCUACUGGGAAGGCUACUGUAUAUGUCUUCAUCCUGUUAAAUUGUAUAUGGCUCUUGAUGUCGGCUGAAUUAAAUCAAAAUGAAAACCAAGCUGAUCUUACCAGCCGAUAUCACUUAUCACUUGCUUAUUUAAAUUAUUUGAAGAUGCGUAUGUGGAUUGGUGAUUUUGUUGGAUUCACUUAGCUCAAAUAUAUGUUAUCUGAGUCGCUACAUUUGAGAAUGUGAUUCUGUUCCUACCACCAUUUUGCCCACUUUUUGUGGAAAUUAUUCAUUCCUGUUGUGAAUAAUACAUUCAUCCCCGGCAACGAAGUGCGGGCACAUUUUAUAGUUUAAAUUAAAUCACACAAUGGGUCAUCAAUAAUGACAAACUCGUCAUUUAUGCGAGUCAAACAUGAGGCCACCUACCUACUAGUUUAGUGGAAUACCACAAAGUGACAUGUUGAUACCUUUAAGUCUCAUAUAAUGGAUUGCAGAAUUAGGAUAUACCUAGACUAAUUUAGUCAGUGCGUGAACCCGAACAAUUAACAAGGGUUUUAUUCUUGCUUGAAUGUUUGUUAUAUGUUCCUAGUUUGACAAGGCAAUUAUAUUUCCGAUUACAAAAGUUAUUAAUUUAGUCGAGAAUUGACGCACCUGAAAUGGUGUGAGGAAAACAUGUAGACACAUCAACCGCAGUCCACUGUCCUGGGCAUCUAUCUUCCCCGAAACGAAGCUCAAAGCCAUACAUGAGGGCAUUGUGUAUGUCUUUAUAAGAGAAGUUGCUGUAGUCUUCAACGUAGCCGGCAGCCAAACUCAUCCACUCUACACUGCAACCCUCAUCCAAAUCCCAUGCUUCCAACCUGCCCCCGACAUAGUCAGCGACCAUGACAUAGCUAUACGUUUUUGGUUGACUCGAAGAAGAAGAAGAAGUAUUAUUCAAGCAUGGAGCAGUGUCCACGUACAGAGAAGAAUUCGAUGGAUUCGAACACUUCAAGUAAUAUAUAGAUAGAGAAUUGAUGUCAUAGGUGGGCCAAUAUGGAGAAUUGAUGUCCUCGGUGGUGGGCGGAAUAUUUUGAGACAUGGAAGAGCAAUUGUUGUUGUCAAGCCCAGGAUCUAGAACUCGGAUUGUAUUGUUAAUGUAGUUGAUUGCCUGGACAUAGUAUUUUCCGGAAGAAGGUACGUCUAGUACAGUAAUGUUGCUCUCACAGUACAGAGUAUACAUUAUGUUGCCACAGUACUUUGGAUCAUCGUUCAGUCGAAAAGGAUGGCUUAUGUAGUGGAUAUGGCCGCAGGAUGAAGUGCAGGACUUGGCACUACUGUUGUCAGCGUUACAAGUUUCACUGCAAAAGCAAAGAAGAAGAAAGGCUAAACUUAAGGUGAAGGACCUGCUUCCACUAAUUUCCAUUGAUCUGAGAGAGAGAGAGAGAGAGAGAGAGAGAGAGAGAGAGGGUACUAUAGCUUGAACACCAAGGAGUUAUAUAAUAUGGGAGGGGUUAAAGCGCUUCGCUUAAAGUUGCAGUAAGCCCGGCAAAUAUCCUAGGGAAAAGUCGGUCAAUGGUGUCCUAUAGAGAAAAGUCGGCCUUGGUGUUUGACACGGUCACUCACUCUCUCUCUCUCUCUCUCUCUCUCUCUCACAUUGACGAGGGACACUGUAAUUAACAAAAAAAUUGUUCUUCAGAGAUAGAUUUUGAAAUUCUUAUUUUAUAUAAAAAAACACCUAAUAUUAAUCAUUCAAAUGAAAUUCCUAAAAUUAAGUAUAAAUAAUACAUAAUAAAAACUGAACACAUACAAUCAACGGUCACGAUCAUGAAAUCCUUCGGAUCCUCAGAAAAAAAUCCGACGAUGAUCUUUUUCUGUGUAAAAUAAUUUGAGGGUAUAAUACUGGAUGUGCGAUUAAACCGAAGAACCCACCCACCUCCAUCUUCUCCGACCAACUUGAACCCAGCCACUACUACAUGUCAUCCCGACAACCCACUCUCAGCUUCCCAAACCGCCAUUUUUCACCCAUUCACCUACCACUGCCAUUAUUCAUUCAAUCAACCCAAAACACGAGAGCCACCCCCAUCUCACCAGUCGAACAGAUGCAGCCACCCACCCAUUUAAUCCCAGUCCAAAAUCAAACCCUCUCCUAAACCCACCCCAGAAUCCAAUAAUUUCAAAAAAUGGCUGAUUAUAUCAUUUCAAGAACCUCACAAUUCCAAAAACUAAAAACCCACUUCAAAGAUGUAAUAUUUUUCUCUCUUCCUCUUUUUGGGUUUUUUUUUCUUUUUUUUUAUCAAUUCUCUUCUGGGUUUUUGUUUACAGUGUAAAAUCAACACUAAUUUACUAAUUUUGCUUUGAUUUCAAACACUAUUGAGGCGUGAUAACCUGUUGCAAGCUCAGCCAUGGCGGCUACUGCGAAAUCUAACGGAAAAACCAUCACAGACUCUGCCAUUUCAUCCAAGGUUCCGACAAUAGCAAAACGAAUAGCUGUCGCAGAUUUCUUCCAACAUCAAUCACUACGCGAAAUUAAUUGUCAAUGAAGACGAUCCCAUUCCCCUUCGAAAUCUGCUGGGGAAAGAGACCUUCUUUCAGAUCUGCUCUGAGACCGGUUUAUGCGAGAGAGUGGUGAGCCUGACGACAGAGAGAAAUAAGGGCAGGAUUGGAAAAUUGGAAAGUUCAUUUAUUGGUUACUGUUUAUCCGUGUUUCUUCGAAAUAAGCUGCUUUUUCCAGCUUUGGGUUUCAGUGUUUUUUAACCCAUAAUUUUGAAAGAAAAAAAACUGAUUUUAAAUGUUUAUCAAACACUUAAAAUGUUCCAAUCUUUUUUCAUACCUACUUUUUAUUAAAAGUUAAGCUAAACAAAAAUCAAGAUUAAGUUUACUACUCUGAAGUUUCUUGCUUUUCAACAUUUCAUACAUUGAAUUUUUCUCAUCCAGUGUCAUAUCUAAGGUGGGAAUUGUGGGACACUUUUAUACAUCCGUUAGAUUUUAUGUGAAUUGCGUGGCACUUUUAUACAUCCGUUAAAUUUUUUGUGAGAACCUUCGCUGACCCACGAUGCGGCAUGCAUGUGGACAUUAAAAAAAUUCAAAAAAUUCAAAAAAUUUUAAAAUUUUAAAAUUUAAAAUUCAAAAAUACUAAAAACCUAAACUUUUCAUAAUAUUGAAAGACUGAAUCUUUUCACAGUCAGCCAAAUUUUCUUCAAAUUUUAAUUAGAUGAAAUAAUGAAUCUUGAACAAAGCAAAACAAAACGUAAUAUUGAGAGAUUCAGUCAUUGAAGUGGACGUGGAUGUUGGGUACUCAAUAGUCCAAGAAUGAAAACUCUCAUAUCAGUUUCUAUCCAAAAUUUUGGAAUUAUGUGUGUUGCAACGAUUGUCCAAAGGAUUAUUCUUCUUUUAUUAAAUUUCCAUGAAAAAUGAGCAUGGAGCACAAAAGUUGAACGAAUGAUUAUUCUUCUUUUAUUAAAUUUCCAUGGAAAAUGAGCAUGGGGCACAAAAGUUGAACGAAUGAAAUUUCAACGAUUUGAAAAGGGAUUGUGAGUUUGACAUGUCAUUUUUCUUCCUCUAAUGCAAUCAUGUUUAUUAAAAGACAAAAAUAAAUAUGACUUUACAUAAGGAGAGAGAAGGAGUAGUUUUCUUUGAAAAAAUCAACCAUUUAUUGAAGAGGAUGUGGAUGUUGAUUGAUGCGUCGUGAAUACGAAAAAAAGGACCUUGAAAGGAGUUGAGACAUUCAUUAAAAGCUAGAAGAAAAAAAAGUUAAAAGUGUUUUAGAAAAAAAGCAAGAAAGCCUCAUUUUCAAAGUUGUGGUCAUUGCACAAUACUUGAUUAGAAGAAAACUCAUAGUAUUGUAUUUACAAUUUCAAGUCUUUAUGGGGAACGAGAGAGCAAGUUUUCCAAUUGGAAUAUGAUAUGAAAUUUCUACAUAACUAUAUAUGACAAUGAAAGAAGUCUAAGUUUCUAAAUGGAAGGGCUUCCAAUUGAUGUGAGUUUGUUGAGAAAUUAGUGAACAACAGAACAAGUUGCUUCUCCUUUGGCCUUCUAACAUGAUAUCACAGAAAACAAGUUGUUACUAAUAAAUGUAUCUGAUUGGUGGACUUAGACGUGCGCGGUACGAUUUUUGAUAACUAGAGAAGAUGGGCAGUGUCAUGACAAAAUUUAUCCAAGUAGACCCAAAGGAAUGACUUAGGAACUUCAUAUGCAGUGGGAUAAAAUCUUAAGCUAAUUUCCUUACCUAUCUUAUAGGCAUUAAGUAAAAUGUAUAUGCAUAUUUCUAGACACACCAAUUUACUUAAUAUUAACUUCUUUCAAAUACCCAUUUGCAGAAACGCAAAGCUCUCUUGCAUGCUUGUUGUAAUGCUUAUGUAGUGCGUAUCCUAUAUCUUAUAUAUAUAUCUUACUUUUUGUGAUCCAUUUUUUCAUCACUAUGCCAAACGAAUAGCAAAACGAAUAGCUGUCGCAGAUUUCUUCCAACAUCAAUCACCACGCGAAAUUAAUUGUCAAUGAAGACGAUCCCAUUCCCCUUCGAAAUCUGCUGGGGGAAAGAGGCCUUCUUUCCGAUCUGCUCUGAGACCGGUUUAUGCGAGAGUGGUGAGCCUGACGACAAAGAGAAAGAAGGGCAGGAUUGGAAAAUUGGAAAGUUUAUUGGUUACUGUUUAUCCGUGUUUCUUCGAAAUAAGCUGCUUUUUCCAGCUUUGGGUUUUCAGUUUUUUUUACCCAUAAUUUUGAAAGAAAAAAAACUGAUUUGAAAUGUUUAUCAAACACUUAAAAUGUUCCAAUCUUUUUUCAUACCUACUUUUUAUUAAAAGUUAAGCUAAACAAAAACCAGGAUUAAGUUUACUACUCUGAAGUUUUUUGCUUUUCAACAUUUCAUACAUUGAAUUUUUCUCAUCCAGUGUCAUAUCUAAGGUGGGAAUUGUGAGACACUUUUAUACAUCUGUUAGAUUUUAUGUGAAUUGUGGGGCACUUUUAUACAUCCGUUAGAUUUUUUGUGAGAACCUUCGCUGACCCACGAUGCGGCAUGCAUGUGGACAUUGAAAAAAUUCAAAAAAAAUCGAAAAUUUUAAAAUUUUAAAAUUUAAAAUUCAAAAAUACUAAAAACCUAAACUUUUCAUAAUAUUGAGAGACUGAAUCUUUUCACAGUCGGCCAAAUUUUCUUCGAAUUUUAAUUAGAUGAAAAUAAUGAAUCUUGAACAAAGCAAAACAAAACGUAAUAUUGAGAGAUUCAGUCAUUGAAGUGGACGUGGAUGUUGGGUACUCAAUAGUCCAAGAAUGAAAACUCUCAUAUCAGUUUCUAUCCAAAAUUUUGGAAUUAUGUGUGUUGUAACGAUUGUCCAAAGGAUUAUUCUUCUUUUAUUAAAUUUCCAUGAAAAAUGAGCAUGGAACACAAAAGUUGAACGAAUGAUUAUUCUUCUUUUAUUAAAUUUCCAUGGAAAAUGAGCAUGGGGCACAAAAGUUGAACGAAUGAAAUUUCAACGAUUUGAAAAGGGAUUGUGAGUUUGACACGUCAUUUUUCUUCCUCUAAUGCAAUCAUGUUUAUUAAAAGACAAAAAUAAAUAUGACUUUACAUAAGGAGAGAGAAAUAGUAGUUUUCUUUGAAAAAAUCAACCAUUUAUUGAAGAGGAUGUGGAUGUUGAUUGAUGCGUCGUGAAUACGAAAAAAAAAGACCUUGAAAAGAGAUGAGACAUUCAUUAAAAGCUAGAAAAAAAAAAGUUAAAAGUGUUUUAGAAAAAAGCAAGAAAGCCUCAUUUUCAAAGUAGUGGUCAUUGCACAAUACUUGAUUAGAAGAAAACUCAUAGUAUUGUAUUUACAAUUUCAAGUCUUUAUGGGGAACGAGAGUGCAAGUUUUCCAAUUGGAAUAUGAUAUGAAAUUUCUACAUAACUAUAUAUGACAAUGAAAGAAGUCUAAGUUUCUAAGUGGUAGGGCUUCCAAUUGAUGUGAGUUUGUUGAGAAAUGAAGAUGAAGAUGAAUAUUGAUGUUGAUGUUAGUGAACAACAGAACAAGUUGCUUCUCCUUUGGCCUUCUAACAUGAUAUCACGGAAAACAAGUUGUUGCUAAUAAAUGUAUCUGAUUGGUGGACUUAGACGUGCACGGUACGAUUUUUGAUAACUAGAAAAGAUGGACAGUGUCAUGACAAAAUUUAUCCAAGUAGACCCAAAGGAAAGACUUAGGAACUUCAUAUGCAGUGGGAUAAAAUCUUAAGCUAAUUUCCUUACCUAUUUUAUAGUAUUAAGUAAAAUGUAUAUGUAUAUUUCUAGAUGCUGACACACCAAUGUACUUACUAUUAACUCCUUUCAAAUACCCAUUCGCAGAAACGCAAAUCUCUCUUGCAUGCUUGUUGUAAUGCUCAUGUAGUGCGUAUCUAAUAUCUUAUGUGUAUAAUUUUUUGUGAUCCAUUUUUUCAUCACUAUGCCAAAAUCCCUUUAGAAUUUGCAAUUUAUCCAUUUGGUUAUGGUAAAAAAAAAAACUCGGAAUUUCAUUUAAACUCGAAAAUCUAGAAUUGGGAAAGCAAUUUUCCCUUGUUCGGCAACUUGUAGCGAUAGCAAAGGCAAAUUGUACCGGAAAAAAGUGGAAAUUGGGGAUGAAGAUCCAAUUUUAAUUUCGUCAAAAUAAGUGUAAUUUCACAAUUCCAACAACGUUGAGAAUCACAAAUGCAUUGUGGGGAAAUCUUGCGACCACCAAACUUUACGAUUAGAGCGCCAAAUUUCAUGAUAAAACGUAAUAAGGGUUUAGGACUGCAUCGUUCGCUCUGUUAACUCUCCAAUCUUCGACGGGAUUUUCAACUCGUGCAUCAUUUUUUGCUUUGUUCUAGGUCAAAGCCUACUCUUUUCUUUCUUGAAUUAUUUUAGCUUUGCGGGUAUACUCUUUAGGCCAAUUGUGAAUUUUGCUAGUUAUUUUUAUUUUCUGAUGGUCAUAUGUUUGUUUUUUUUUUCUUCCAAUUGAGCUGUGUAUUGGUUGGAUCAGUAACUUUUUUUUUGGAUUUUUAUUUUUAUUUUUAUGGAUUUUGGUGUUAGUUCCUUGUUAUAGAUGUAUAGAUGUUGUGGAGCAAAAAAUAAUCUCAAAAAUCGUGGAGGUGACACACGGAUUUUUGGACAAGAAUGACAAAAUUAUCCUCGAAGCACAUCAUGAUUCCCACGUGCAUGCAACGGACAAUAACGGCUCAAUCAUGGAAGAGUCAAAGGUGAUCAAUAUGGUAUUUAUUCAAAUCCCUCUCAUCACUCCUCAUCAAUCCCUUUUUGAUUUUAUUCAAAAGGUAACUCCCAAAACUUCCUAUUUAAUUUAGGGAUCAUUGUCAUGUUAAUUGCAAGAUAUUAUUUCACAAAAUAUCUUGUAAUUAUUCUUCAAUUACCACCAUGUAUGGCCGGCCACUCCUCACCCUAUGGGCCGGUCACUCCUCACCCUAUGGGUCGGCCACUCCCUAUAAAUAGCCCUAUUAUUCCACUAAUAAGGAAGCCAUUUGCUACCCACAAACUCCUAAACACAUUCUUUCAGAAUUCUAACUUUGGCAUUGGAGAUUCUUAGGCCAAAUCCCCCCUCCCAUUCAUCGUGGGCGCAUAAGGCUUUUGGCCUUAGUCUUAGGUAUUAUUAUUUUGCAGGUGCAUUUUCGUCAAAGACGAAGAUGGUGGAAAUUUGGAUCCACAAAUUGGUGUUUUCAUUGAGAGUUUGAUUCACAAGCUCGAAGAAGACUCUCGCAUUCAAAGUUUCACAUUUCUCAUUCAUAAGUAAAUUUUUCAUACGUUCUUAUUCCUAGAAUUUUUUUAAAUCUUUGAAUAGACGUAGGAGAGAAAUACAAUGGCUAGAAAUUUAGAAACCACGACGAACGAAACUUCCUACGUUCAAAGAUCCAGAUCAAAUGAUGGAAAUUGCGAUGUAGCCCCACCACGACGAUCCACGAAGCUCAACGUAGUGGCAAAAUGAGUAACUUGGCCACCACGGAGUACCACCACCACCAUAGCCAAGGCAACCCAUGUUGCAGUGGGGAGUGGGACAACUCCAUGGCAGCAAGGCCACGAAGCAACAACAGAUGCCAUCUUGCAGUAAUGAGCCCAAGCCUGUGUCACAAGGUAGUCAACCCAGCGCUAGGUAACCUAGAUCUAGUAGGCCCACGACGUUGCCAUAGUAGCUGAGGCCUAAAGCAAGGCCCAAGCAGCUGCGACUGCGGCAAAUGGAGCAACACAACACUGGCGGGGCCAAUGCACCCUUGGCCUAAUGCCAAGCAGGCUAAAUCGCACCACACCCACUAUUCAAACUAACCCUAAGUUGAGUAAGUAGCAUUGAAGGUUGUCAACCGCAAGGCGUUGAAGUACGAAUAAAGUUACACACCCCGCACAUGACUUGGCCCACUUCCGCGGCCCAACUUGCUCGCAAGGUCCACCUAGUGAUCCCGACCAGUCGAAGGCCAGUUCAAUCAUCCCAUCUUCAGAUUUCUGGACUGACGAUUGAAUCGGGGGUAUUUUCACCCCGAUUUUCUACAGAUUUGACAUAUCUCAACACAAAUCUCGCACUUGGAGUCCAUUGCACUUCCAUUACUCAAGGAGACGCAUACCAUUUAAGAUCUUCCAUCCCAAAUGGCGAACAACACUUGUCUUGACAAGUCAUAGAGUUGACAUGCACUUUUGCGCAGUAGACGACCUUAGUGAAUCAGCUUUUGCAACGCACAAAGAUGCAGUAUGCCCCAGACGAUGUGUCCCGAAGCAGGACAAGUAUAGACGACGAUUCUCUCCAGCAGCGUCCCAACAAGCAGCCGCUCGACUAGCCACGAACCGAGCAUUCUGGCAGUGUACACUCCCGUCUAGGUCCUCAAGAAAGCAUAUACUCUCAUCUUAGCGCGCGGAUGAGCGUGCACUCCUGGUUAGGCCUACGGACGAGCAUACAUUCACGGUUGGGACCAUACUCUUAUAAUUAACAUGGACAACCUGCUAGACGAAGUGUUCAUUCGCGGCUAGGCUCGCAAAGAGCAUUUUCCACCUCAUAUUGGAGUAAGCAGCACAGAAGACGAAGAUAAGCAGUCAAUUAAUCUGGCUCAAAUUCAAUCGGCCACCUGUAAGUAACUAGCUCGCCUGCCAAGAACGUACCAUAUGCAAUGUAGCCACGACAUAGACUAGCUGAGCACAACGAUGAGCAACCUAGACUAACAGGUUACGACUGGGGGUAGCCAGAAGCUUCACUGCCCCAAUAUAGGUAAAUUUAGAAAGAAGUUGAGAGGCUUCUGACAGAACGAUUGUGCGAUUUCCAACGCAAUGAAGCUACUGACAAGGCGCUUAAACGAUACACGACCAACAUAAACGGGUCACCUUUUAUUGACAAGAUUGAGCAGACAGAACCAUCCUACAUACACUGGCGGAUACAAAUAUUACUUCUAUUUUAACAUACGCAUCAACUCAGCCUAAUGGCGUGUCGAGGGCAAAUGGGUUCCAGAAUGGCACACUAACCCAACCACCAAGAACCAGGGCCAAAUCUUAUUUUCAUCACUCCACACGAUUCAAUGCUUGAGCAUCACAUCACCAGUAAUAGAGCACCGCAGACCUAAUGGUCCAAUUCCUCCUGAUGCACACAAGCUCACCCCAGCUCCACGCUCAAAGCCGUGCCUACCUGCUCCACAACACUCAGCCACCCUUGAUUUGUCACCAUGGCUCACAGUUAUGCCAAUUUUGCACCACAGCUCCCAGCCGUGCUAAUCUUGCCAUGCGGCUUUUAACUACGUUAACCAAGCCCACGAUACUUCAUACUUCAAAACAUCCAAUGACGAAGUAGAACAUGAGGCUCUACUAGCAGCCCCUGCUAGUGAAAGGCUUUGCGGUGAAGAGGCUUCCAAUCCAUUCAAAUUCUCAGUUGACCACCUGUUGGGUUUUACGGCUCAAAAUUAGGAUGAUGCAAAAAAAAUUGUGUUACCUAUUUGGUUUUGGUGUCGUAUUUGGGUUUGGAUUUUGACCUCUUAGUUGGUUUCCUUGGUGGAGAGAUUUUGUUAAUUACCUAUUUGAUUAGGAUUUGGAUUUACUUCCUAUUAAGAUUCUUAUUGUAACCUAAGUCUUAUGCACUAUAAAUAGGACCUCAGGGUUAGUGUAUUUUGUGUGGCUCAUUCGUGUGGCAAUUUGGUGAGAGUCAAUUUGUGAGUUUGUGAGUUAGAGAGCAAUUUGGGAGAAUCUUCUCCGUUAGUUUUGGGUUCUCUACUCGUUUGGUUUAGGGUUUGUAAUUUGUGGGAUUUGGAUUGUGAGAGUUUAAACACUAUUUUGUAAUCUCCGUUUGUUUAGUGAAAUUUCUUGUCAUGCUUCGCUCGUGGACUUAGAUUUUACACCGAACCACAUAAAUCUCUUGUGUUAGUUUGAGAUUGUUUGUUUUAGUUUUCACCUACAACGUUGAUAUCGGUACUUUGCUAUAAUUUGCUUUCCUUUGCUCAUAAAAGUACGACAAGUGGUAUCAGAGCCCAGCUUUCGGCUUGGGCUUUUCUUGGCAAUCAAUAUGAAGCCUUCUGUGUCGUCGGUGAAAGUUGAUAUUGAAAAGUUCGAUGGCAAUGACUUUGGUAUUUGGCAAUUGAAGAUGCGUGCUUUGUUAAUUCAACAAGAGCUUUUAAAAACGCUAAAGGGUGUGAAGGCUUUCCUGAAUUCGUGGACUGAUGAAGAAAAACAAAGAAGUUAUGGAGCGGGCACUUGGAACAAUCCUGCUGACUUUAUCGAAUGAAGUCUUGCGUCAAGUUGGUAGCAUCAAAUCUGCACCGAAGUUGUGGCUAAAAUUGGAGAGUUUGUAUAUGACCAAAUCCCUUGCUAAAUGGUUGUAUUUGAAGAAAAGUUUGCGUACUCUUCGUAUGGAUGAAGGUACGUCAAUUCAUAAGACCAAAUCCUUAUUGCUGCCAAAAGUCCUCAACAGUUCCAAGGGAGAUGGGUAAGAGUUCGUAAUAGUGAGAGAUUGAAUCUUUUCACACUUGGCCAAAUUUUAAUUUUAAUUAGAUGAAACAAUGAAUCUUGAACAAAGCAAAACAAAAUUUAAUACUGAAAGAUUGAGUCAUUGAAGUGGACGUGGAUGUUGGGUACUUAACAGUCCAAGAAUGAAAACUCUCAUAUCAGUUUUUAUCCAAAAUUUUGGAAUUAUGUGAGUAUUGCAACGAUUGUCCGAAUGAUUAUUCUUCUUUUAUUAAAUUUCCAUGGAAAAUGAGCAUGGGGCACAAAAGUUGAACGAAUGAAAUUUCAAUGAUCUGCAAAGGGAUUGUGAGUUUGACAUGCCAUUUUUCUUCCUUUUAUGCAAUCAUGUUUAUUAAAAGACAAAAAUAAAUAUGACUUUACAUAAGCAGAGAGAAAGAGUAUUUUUCUUUGAAAAAAUCAACUAUUUAUUGAAGAGGAUGUGGAUGUUGAUUGAUGCGCCGUGUGAAUAGGAAAAAAAUGACCUUGAAGGGAGACAAGACAUUCAUUAGAAGCUAAAAAAAAGUUAUAGUGAUUUAGAAAAAAGAAAUUUUAACGAAAUAUUUCCGGUAUUGUUCACUCUUUACGAAAAACCACAUUUUUACAUUUCCUGGCUACUAUUCACUACACCUUUAUUUAUCAUUUUUCAUUAAAACUAAAUUUGUUUUUGAACUUUUCGUUAGUUUCCUUUAGAAAAAAGCAAGAAAGCCUCAUUUUCAAAGUGGUAGUCAUUGAAACAAUACUUGAUUAGAAGAAAAGUCAUAGUAUUGUAUUUACAAUCUCAAGUCUUGAGGGGUAACGAGAGUGCAAGUUUCUAAUUGGAAUAUAAUAUGAAAUUUCUACAUAACAAUAUAUGACAAAGAAAGAAGUCUAAGUUUCUAAGUGGAAGGGCUUCCAAUUGAUGUGAGUUUGUUGAGAAAUGAAGAUGAAGAUGAAUAUUGUUGUUGAUGUGAGUUAGUGAACAACAGAACAAGUUGCUUCUCCUUUGGCCUCUAACAUGAUAUUACCGGAAAACAAGUUGUUACUAGUAAAUGUAACUGACUGGUGAACUAAGACAUGCGGUACGAUUUUUGAUAACUAGAGAAGAUGAAUAGUGUCGUGACAAAAUUUAUCCAAGUAGACCCAAGGGAAAGACUUAGGAACUUCAUAUGCAGUGGGAUAAAAUCUUAAGCUAAUUUCCUUUUUAAUCUUAUAGUCAUUAUGUAAAAUGUAUAUGCAUAUUUCUAGAUACAUACACACCAAUGUACAUAAUAUUAACUCCUUUUAAGUAGUCAUUUGCAAAUCCCUCUUGAGUGCUCUUUGGAAUGCUCAUGCGGUGCCGUUCUAAUCUCUUAUAUAUAACUUUUUGUGAUCUGUUUUUUCAUCAAUAUGCCAAAAUCCCUUUAGAAUUUGCAACUUAUCUUUUUGGUUACGGUAAAAAAAAACUCGGAAUUUCAUUUAAACUCGAAAAUCUAGGGAUGUGAAAGCAAUUUUCUCUUGUUCGACAACAUUUAGCGAGAGCAAAGGCAAAUUGUACAGGAAAAAGUUAGAAAUUGGGGAUGAAGAUUCCCAAUUUUAAUUUCGUCUAAAUAAGUGUAAUUUCACAAUUCUAACUACGAUGAGAAUCACAAAUAUAUUGCAGGGAAAUCUUGCAACAGCCAAACUUUACGAUUAGGGUGCCAAAUUUCGUGAUAAAACCUAAUAAGGGUUUAGGGCUGCAUUGUUCACUCUGUUAACUCUCCAAAUCUUCGACGGAUUUUCGGCUCGUGCAUCAUCUUCUUGCUUUGUUCUAGGUCAACGCCUCUACUCUCUUCUUUCUUGAAUUAUUUUAGCUUUUUAGGUAGGCUCUUUAUGGCUGUUGUGAAUUUUGCUAGUUAUUUUUAUUUUCUGAUAGUCAUUUGUUUGUUGUGCGUUUUUCCUUCCAAUUGAAUUGUGUAUUGGUUGGAUCUGUAACAUUUAUUUUUUAUUUUAUUUUAUGGAUUUUGGUGUUAGUUCUUUGUCAUGGAUGUUGUCCCUUUGAAGGUUAACAAUAGCCAAGACUAAACAUGAUGAUAUUGUUAAUUACUUUCUCAUGAUACUAAUGCCAUAUUGUUCUCUCUUUUGCACUUACAAGUGAAGAGAAAUAUCCUAGACCCUAACUGGAUAUGUUAUUGUCAUGGUCAUGCAUUGGUAUGGUAACAAUAUGUUUGGAUAAGGAAAAUAAACUUAGAAUUUGACAAAAGAUAGAAUUUAUAAAUUGAUACAAUCAAUUCCUUUGUUUAGAUUCAUAAACAUAGAAAUUUAAACUUUCCGUGUGAGAAAAAACUUGGAAUUUGGGACCUUCAAUUCUCAUGUUUAAAUUUUAUGUAAAUAGGUGUCAUUUCUAAAUUUCAGCAAGUGAGAAUUUAAAAAUAACAAACAUGUAUUCAAAUUUCAUUCCUCUUUUAGGUUAACCAAACAAGAAAUUUUAUAAAUUCUAGAAAAUAAAAUUUCGUUAUUUCAAUUUCUGUUAUUUUAAAAUUAGUAAUCUUAAAUUUUCCCAUCCAAACAAAGAGUUUCCUUGUCAUAGAACUUUCAAUUGGGAUCAAGGAAGACAAUCUUUUCACAACUGAUUAUUCUCACCAAAUUUUAUUAUUAUUUUAAAGCAGAUCAAUACCAAACUUCAAAAGCAAAGUAGGAAGGCUAAAAUUAAGGUGAAGAACCUACUUCCACUAAUUACCAUGGGAGGGGGAGAGAGAGAGAGAGAGAGAGAGAGAGAGAGAGAGAGAGAGAACCAAGCGAGAGAGAAGAGAGAGAAAACACCAAGUAGUAUUAUAAUAUAGGUGGGGUUAAAUCACCUUUCGUGAAGUUGCGGUAAGAGCAGCUCCAGCGGGAGGUCCAGCUUGAUGGACCGGUGAGAUUUCCUACCCAAUAGCCCCAGCUCCUUGCUCCAGCCCAUGCGGGCGAUUGGGCUGAGGGGGUGCCCGAGUGAGAGGCCUGACUCGAAUCGGUAGCCUGAGAGCUUGAGGCCAAAUGAUGCAUGGACGUCAGCCACGUUAUAAGAAGGAAGCAUAAACUAUGAAUAAUGAUAGAGAUUUAGAUUUUGGUGUGUGAUUUCAUCGGAUGGAUGGUGGGUUAUAUGGAGGAAAAAAAAAAGAUUAGGUUGUAGAUAAUGCCACGUGGCAUGCCGUCAUUCGUUAAAAAUCUGAUCGAAAUCUAUCAUCAAAGAUUUUAAACAGAUUAUGACACGUGACGCAACGUGAUUGGUUAAAAAUCUUAUCAGAAAUCUAUCCUUAACGAUUCUGAAAAGGUAACGAGAUGGGGCACGACGGCAUUGGAUAAAAAUCUUAUCGAAAUCUAUCACCAAAAAUUAUCUUUUUGGAUAAUGACACGUGGUGCAACGAGAACGAUUAAAAAUCUUAUCCGAAAUUACAAAUAGAAUUAUUUUGUAUUAUUUUAUAAAAUAAAAAUACUAAUAUUUUAUUGCCUAUUGACAUGACUAUUCAAUUAUGGGUGUGGAGAUGCAGAAGAUAAUUAUUAUUAAUUAAAGGUAAUUAUUGUUCAUUGGAGGGGAUUGAAUAUGAAGUUGCAGUAGAAGGCCUUUGUCACAGCAAUAGGCAGUUACUGUUCUAAGGACUUCUAUCCUAGAACAGAGACAAAAACACCAAGUAGUAUUAUAAUAUAGGUGGGGUUAAAUCACCUUCCGUGAAGUUGCUGUAUGGACUUCUAUCCUAGAGAAAAGUCGGUCAAUGGUGUUUGACACAGUCAGUCAACGACAAAGACAGAAUUGUGUAACCAUAAUUCUCUCUCUAUCUCUUUUUCAUUAACGGAGGACAGUGUAUAAUUACUACGUAUAUAUCUCUGCUCAAUUAUUGAAAAGAAAAAUCCAUGUGCAUUAUUUUUAUUAUUAUUAUCUCAGAAAUGCAGAAAUUGAUUAUCUCUUCCUUCUGCAUAUUGAUACUGGUUUUCUUCAAACUAGUUGAAGCAAGCCAAUAUGUGUGCGCGAAAUCCAACUGUAGCAAUGAUCAAGGCCCGGCUAAUUUCCUUAGGAGGGAGAGAGAGAGAGGGGAGAGAGAACCAAGUGAGCGAGCAGAGAGAGAAAACACCAAGUAGUAUUCUAAUGUUGGUGGGGUUAAGUCACCUUCCAUGAAGUUGCAGUAAGGACUUCUAUCCCAGAGAAAAGUCAGUAAAUGAUGUUGACACAGUCCGUCAACGACAAAGACAGAAUUGUGUAACCAUAAUUCUCUCUCUAUCUCUUUUUCAUUAACGGAGGACAGUGUAUAAUUACUACGUAUAUAUCUCUGCUCAAUUAUUGAAAAGAAAAAUCCAUGUGCAUUAUUUUUAUUAUUAUUAUCUCAGAAAUGCAGAAAUUGAUCAUCUCUUCCUUCUGCAUAUUGAUACUGGUUUUCUUCAAACUAGUUGAAGCAAGCCAAUAUGUGUGCGCGAAAUCCAACUGUAGCAAUGAUCAAGGCCCGGCUAUCCAUUUCCCAUUGAACAUCAGGCGCACACAUCAUUGUGGAAAUUCUGGGCUUGAAUGCAAUGGGAGAUAUGAGCAGCAAAUACUAAUAAAAUUAUUUGUCAAAGACACAGAUUACAAGCGUCAGGAAAUCCAAGUCUAUUCCCCAAGUAACUGCCUGCUGCUAAAGCUUGUUGAAAUCCCAAACAUGCCACCCUCUCCCUUCGUGCCAGUAGUCGAUUACAUGAUUAAUUUCAUAAACGUUACCUUAUUCAGUUGUCCUACUUCUGUUGCAAUACGAGAUACGUAUGGUUGUCAAGUCCCCUGCCUUGGCGACCGUGGCAAGAGAACUUAUGCCAUUGAUUCUGGGGUUUAUUUUGAAACUCUCUUCCAGAAUCUAGAAUCCUGUACAAAAAUGUAUGAUGUUUUAUCAGUUCCAAUAGCCGAUGAAUAUUAUGUUUUUCGUUUCAAAUGGUCUAUACCAAAUUGCAGAAAAUGUGGAGAGGGAAAGAAGUGUGAAUGGCAGAACAAUGAAAUUAAAUGUCUUCCCUGGAGGAAACCAAGUAAGGAUAACAUAUGUAUUCAUUGCUAGUUUUAAACAUCUUUACAUUUAUGUCUUAGUAAUUAUUAUUUGAAGGAUGUUGUCCAAUCCAUUUUUACUAGGAAUAUUACCUGACAGUCUCGUUUAAAUUCGCAAUGAUCUUCUACAGGCAACACAUGGAAAAAAGUGGUUACAGGUGGAAUCCUGUGUGCUUUGCUUCUUGUUCUACUGACGAUUGCAGCAUAUCGGGUAUAUAGCGCUGAUAGAAAGGAGAAAGAGAGUCGAUUAAGAAUUGAAAGAUUCUUGGAGGACUACAAAGCACUCAAACCAAGCAGGUAUUCGUACGCAGAUAUUAAGAGGAUUACAAAUCAAUUCAAGGACAAGUUGGGCGAAGGAGCCUAUGGAACUGUCUUCAAAGGAAUGCUCUCUUCUGAAUUCUUCAUUGCUGUCAAAGUCCUCAACAGUUCCAAGGGAGAUGGGGAAGAGUUCGUAAAUGAAGUGCGAACGAUGGGUCAUAUCCACCACGUAAACGUGGCUCGCUUGGUUGGAUUUUGUGCUGAUGGAUUUGUACGAGCUCUUGUUUACGAGUUCUUCCCCAAUGGUUCCCUGCAGGAUUUCAUUUCAUCUGCAGAUAGUAAGAAUUCAUUUCUUGGUUGGGAUAAGCUACAAGAUAUUGCCCUAGGCAUAGCCAAAGGAAUUGAAUAUCUUCACCAGGGAUGCGAUCUACGAAUCCUGCAUUUCGACAUCAAACCCCAUAAUGUUUUGCUAGACCAAAACUUCACUCCAAAAAUUUCUGAUUUUGGUUUGGCCAAGUUAUGUUCCAAGGAUCAAAGCUUGGUGUCCAUGACUACAGCAAGGGGGACCAUGGGCUACAUUGCACCUGAAGUGUUCUCCAGGAAUUUCGGAAAUGUGUCGUACAAGGCAGAUGUUUAUAGCUUUGGAAUGCUACUGCUUGAGAUGGUAGGAGGAAGGAAGAAUAUUGGUUCAAUUACGGAUAACACUACAAAUGAAAUUUACUAUCCACAGUGGAUUUAUAAUCUUCUAGAGGAAGGGGAUGACCUACGAAUCCACAUUGGGGAAGAAGGAGAUGGUAAAAUUCCAAAGAAACUUGCAAUUAUAGGGCUAUGGUGUAUCCAGUGGCACCCGUCGGAUCGUCCUUCCAUGAAAAUAGUGGUUCAGAUGUUAGAAGGAGGAGGAGAAAGCUUGAGUAUGCCGCCUAAUCCCUUUGUGCCUACUGGUUCUACAACUAGGAAUGCAAGACACCUAGAGCUAGAAGCUAUUGCUGAAUUAGAGUAAAAUGUAUAUGCAGAUAUGUAGACGUAUAGAUAUAGUAAUAUUUAUAUUGAAUAAGAGGCCGUUUGAUAACCAUUUCGUUUUCAGCUUUUAAUUUUUAUUUUUCACUUUUUUGAAAACUAAAAACUAAAAUCUUGUUUGGUAAAUACUUUUAGUUAAAAAAAAAUGAAGACUGAGAACUAAAAUGUGAAAGCUCAAAGGAAGUAGAUUAAAAGUAGUUACCAAACAAACCGGAAUCUCAAUAAAUAAAAAAGAUUGAAUUGCACAAUGCAAUCCAAACCAAUCAAAACAUUUAAAAUAGCAAAAAAAAAUUAAAAUUCUAGUUGAUUAGAUUCUAAACAUAGUAAAAAUGAACAGAUCCGAUGAAAAAAACAAAAAAUUCUCAGAUAAAAAUAGGGAUAAAGUAAAAUAUUUAUAAAUAGCUCUUUGUCUCUUAUGCCAUCAAUUAUUUCUAUAGUAUAUACACGUUUUUGGAAAAAUUAGGUUCCCAUCCCUUAUUUUCAUAUUACAUUGAUUGAAAUCUUAUUAUUUUUCUAUUUUAGAUCAAGGUCCCUUGACUUAUUCUAUGUCAUCAUUUUAGUAUUUAAAAUAUUACACGUUAUCAUAAACGAAAUCUCAUCCCUUUCUGCAUUUAAGGCAAAAUAAACUAUAUGAGUAAGUUUAAAACAAGGAAAAUCCAUUUGAACUCCUCCAUUCUUCUUCUUCUCUUAUAAACAUCUGGAAUCUACAACACCCCAAACCCAAUUUUCUCCAUUUUUUCUCCUUUCCUGAAUUGAUCCAAUGCAUAUAUGUUGAAUAAACCUAUUGUGAUUAAAAUACAAAUUAGCAUCAAUGGUUUUAUUGGCUUGUGAGAUUUGUGUGGCAUAGGCAAGGCAAUGCAGGCAUCGUUUUCUCAAGGAAUCUGGUUGAUUCAAACAUGCAGAGACUGUAGAGUGAGUGGGCUAUGUGAAAACUGUACCAUUCUGAAGUCAUUUUCUUUUGUUCUUUAUAUUUUUUUUUCUUUUUCUUUUAUUAUUAUAUAUUAGUCUUGGUUAUUCAAUGCCUGGUUGGCUACACUUAUAUCCAUGGGUACAUUUUUAAUCUACAUGUUUCGUUCUAAUAUAUCUAUUGCUAUAAUAUGUUUUGGUUGGUUCAAAUUUGUUUUACAUAAAUAUAUGGGUACAAAGUUUUUGGAGAAUAUUAUGUAAAUGGUUUUUAAGGUUGCUGCAUUUUACGUACCCACAUAUGCAUGUCUAUAAAACAAUGUGGUAUGAUGUACAUUCUUUUCUUUGAGUUUUUAAAUGUACCCAUGAGUUUUUUUGUAAAUUCGGUAUGUACCCAUAUGCUAUUUAUGUUAUGGGUACAUACAUUAUUUUUGGUCUAAGUUCAGGGUACAUUGCUUUUGUAUGUAUGAAUUCAAGGGGUACAUUAUUUCCCUUAAUACUACUCAAUAAAAUUCACAAAAUAUGUGUAGUGUGCAUGAUUUUUUAUUGUAGAAAUUGUUUUUUUUUAAGUCUCAUAAUUCAUGAAAUUUGUACAUAUAUGAUCCCAUAAAUUUUUUAAUUUUAUUAAAUUUCUUUUAGACUUGAUCGAUUGAUUGAAUCUCAUCAUACUAGGAUUUUGAAUUACAUAAAUUCUUGGAUUUAAAUCCCUUAAAUGUUGGACUGCAAUCAAUAUUUUAAAUUAUAGUUUUUUAUUUAAGAUAUCAAAAAGAUGACAUGGAAAUAUAGUAAUACUAAAAUGCUGAGGUGUACAAAGUCAAAGGACUUUGAUCAAAAAAUAAAAAACAAUAAGAUUUCAAUCUAACAAUUAAAUUGACUAGGGACCGGAACCAAAAUGACCCUAGAUUUUUAUUGAGUUUAAUCUUAAUCAAAAAAAGACUUCUUGUAUCACAGAAAAUACAAGAACCAUUAUUUGAAUGAAAUAAAAGCUAUGGGAUGGAGAUAUAAAUGGAUCAUUUUAUUCACAAUCGGAUUAUAUUUAUUUGAUACACUAUUGUCAAUAUGAAUGUUGAGAAAAAGACUACAAAAGAAAAAACAAUUUAUAAAUAUAACUAACAAUUCCAAUUUCAAUCAAUUAGACAAUUAGAUAAUACAUCAGUAAACGCGGGGUGACUCAGUGGUUAGAAACGAAUUUUAGGCUCGUAUUCUAUACAAUACGUCUUGGGUUCGAUUCCUGACAAUGGUGAAUCACGCGACGGUAGAUAUAGGGGUGUUGUUGGAAGUUUUGAGACUCAAGUCCUUUAUAUAGAUUUAGUGCUUUAGUUUAGUAAUUAGAAUAUGGGUCAUUUGGAAAUGGAUUGAAGGUUUGGGCCUUAUGGUUGUGUGGAUUAGGCUUGUAUAAUAUAGCCUAAAUACAAUUAAUAUUAAUUAAUCAAGACAAGGGCCUUGGGCCUUACUUGGGGCCUUGGAAUUUAAAAUUAAUCUGAUUCAUUAAUUUUAAUUUUCGGAUUAAGUUUUUAAUUAAUUUAUUAUUAAUUAAAAACGUUUUGAUUAAAAGACACAGCUCUUAGAAAAGAGUUAUGAACCUUCAAAUACACUGAACUGGUAUUUGAAAGGGUGUGAAACAACCUAUAUAUCUGCAAUCCAUGGUAUCCAAAUAAAUCAUCUUUUCUUCUUCCUUUUCUUCCGUACAAACUUUCCAGAGAGAGUAAACACACAAAGCAAUUCGCUAGAAUUCUAUAAUUUAGUGCGGGUUAUAGGAUUAGGUAGUUGUAUCCUGGUCGAGCAGACGUUAUAGAACCACAAGCACAAGAGUGGGACGGAAUUACUGUUCGAAUGACAUAGCUUUUACGUUAGCCUCUACCUUCUGUAAUCAAGUUAGUACCGUUGACAUUCUUAUAUUAAUUUCUGUAUUUAUUGUAUACUUUUCAUUUUGUAUAGCAAGUACCUUUUGUUAAAUAAAAAUUGUGAAUUUCAAGUUCUGUUUAUUUCUGUUAUUCUGUUUAUUUCUGAAUUGUUCUCCAACACCCCUAUAUCUACCGUCGCGUGAUUCACCAUUGUCAGGAAUCGAACCCAAGACGUGUUGUAUAGAAUACGAGCCUAAAAUUUAUUUCUAACCACUGAGUCACCCCGCGUUUGAUUAUAUUUCACUUAGACUUAUCUUGCGGUAUAGCAUGUCAUCCCCGCCCAAGUUUUUCUGUUGGCAUUGAGUUUGGGAUACCAAAACUUGCCAAACAAAGUAGAUUGAUUAGUAAGCGAAGCUAAUUAUUCGACUAAACAUUGUUUAGAAUUUUAAUUAAAAGAAACAAUAUGAAUCUGUUUAUUUUUUUUUUUGACAAACUAUAACGUUAAGGAGUUAAAUUGUUAGUUAUUAAGAGUACAAUGAUAGGUGAGGAUCGAACCUCCACCAGAGUGCAUAGACAUUAUUGGUUCUACAACUGCGGUAAAUCACAUAAAACAAAACGUAAUACUUUGAGGAUGGAAGACACUUCGUGGAUAGCGGGCAAUCAACACUAUCAGUUGCUAUCCAAAACUUGGAAUUAUGUUUAUUGUCCGAAGGAUUUUUCUUCCAUUAAAUUGCUAAGGAAGAUGAGGAUGGGUGGAGUGUCUAAAUGUCAAGGUUGACAAGAACGUGUAUGGUGUUCAGCUUGCGAUUGAGAUUUGUUAGAGUGGCACAACAAACCACAUAAAAUUUUCUAAAUGAUAAGCUUGAGUAUAAUUUUUUAUCACGUAUUUAUCUUUAAAAUCAUUAUAAUUAGAUUUUCUCUUAAUUAAUAUAGACCGUUAGAUUCAUCUAAUGACCCAAGUUUUUUUCCUCUUUUCUUUCCACUCUUUUCCAUUCACCGUGUAGCAGUCGUUCUUCCCCAACUACGUUUCUUAUUUUUCUUCACAAAAAAUUUGUAGAAAAUAUUAAGAAAAGAAAAGUCAUCAAUAUCAGACUCGACCAGGUAAUCGUUCCAACCUUCCCAGCAACUCUCAGUCUUAACUAGGCACCAAAUUUUCUCCGCCACCUAACUCGUCAUUCAUUCAUGGGUGUUUCAAGCUUGGUGAAAAUUGAUAGAGUUCCAUGUGUGUACACGGAUGUGAACAUAUUGGCCACUCUCUAAGAAUGAGUCAUUGGAAAAGUUGAAGGAAAGAUGUAACCGAUGAAAUUAAUGGAUUGGAAUUACAAUGAAGUCUGUGUUGGUUUAUCACAAAGAACCCAGAUACAAAAUUUUAAAAGCAAACAAUUUCAACUUCUCAAAUAUUAUCUAACAAACUUUCAAUGAAAUGUUGCUCAUAAUUGAAAAAAGGUUGACGAAGGACGGAGUUGGGGUUAUUUUAGAUGAGGAAGAGUUAAAAGAAGGAAGCACCAUUUAAUUAAUAAAAGUGAUUGGAGAAAUGGUAAUUCAAUGGUGGGCGUUUUUAAGGUGUGGACCUUGUAUCACACCCUGAUCCCAACAUACAUUGAGGAUCGACACGUGACAUGGGGACAUAGGGGACAAAAAUCUUACAUAAGAUACAGAAUGAAAUACUAUAUAAUAUCCCAAAAUGAAUAUGAUAGUGGGUUCACCCCUAUAAAAUACAUACGAGUUUGUACAUUCACAAAAAAAUAAAAAAAAUAAAAAUAAAUAAAAAUAAAAAACACACACACAACUCUCGCUAGGCCAAGACUUGCCCAUGGUGCUCAAAGGAAAGUCCCAAAAGAAAUAGUACAAUGAAGGAUAAAGGGGUAACCUAAACACUCCAAGUCUCUGAUCUCUGCACUGCUACCCCCACCGGCUCCUCGUAAUCUACUCAGACCUGUCACAUGUACAAACAGUGCCUACAUUGUGGGAAUGGUGCACCAGGCAAACAAAAACCCGGAUAAGCUGCAAAACUCGUGUGAGUGACAAUAAUGCAACGUAUGUGAUAAUCAAGAAAAACAGACCAUCGAUCACAGUUUAUAAAUCUCAAAUAUAACUUCAUACUUAUGAAAUCAUAAUCAAGUCACUGAAAACUUCGAAUGAGUCACCCAGACAUCUAACGACUUUUCUAAAUCAAAUCUCAGAGAUUCCCAAAACUAUCGUUCACAAAUACACUAAAAACUAGGGCUAGAGUGACACAGUUCAGCCAAAGCCUACAUAAGUAACCAAAUAAGAAGUGGCCCCCCAUAGCGGAUUAACCAAGCAGAGCCACUCCUGAGAAAGUAACCAAGUAGGUAGUGACCCCCAUCACGGAUUAACCAAGCAGAGUCACUCCUACGAAACUGUUAGGUAGUGAUCACCCAUUACGGAUUAACCAAGCAUGAUCACCCCUAAGCACGUAUGGCCAUACCUAAGAAAUAAGGAUCGCCCAUCGCGGAUUAACCAAGCACGAUCCAAAAAUAUUAUGGGUCCCCUAUCGCCGAUUAACCAAGCAUGACCAUCCAUGUACCACUGCUACAUGGUGUAAAUUCGGUGUCACCUAACCUCGUGACACUAGGGUAACGGUCCUCUAGUAGCCCUCACGUUUUUCAAACAUUUCAAAUAUAUAAUUUAAAACACAAUUCAUAAACAUUUCGAAUAGGGAAGUCACAUAGUGUUUAAUAAUGUAGGUCAAUGGCAAACUUUAAAAACAAUUAUUUAGCAUAAAACAUAUUUUAGAAAUCCAUGCUGUAUCCACAAAGUAUACUAGCACGGGAGAUUUUCAGGGUAAUAACUCUAUCACAUAUAUUAAAGUCACUCACCUGGAGUCCGCACUAACGCACCCUGGCACGAAUAUCAAGACGUCGCGUACUAUCAUCUGCAACAUCCCACAUCGACCAACGAAGAGGGGGUGAUGUGCCUUCUAUGUACAUGCCCACCUCCAUAGCAUGAGGCAUUUUGGGAGCUCACUGGCUUCAUAUUCCAUCGGAACUCCAAAGUUAAGCAAGUUUGGGCGAGAGUAGUCCCAGGAUAGGUGACCCAUUGGAAAGUUAUUGUGUGAGUCCUAGAAACAAAACCGUGAAGGCGUGGCCCGAGGGGGCCCAAAACGGACAAUAUUGUGCUACGACGGAAUCGAGACUGAGAUGUGACAGAAUGGUAUCAGAGCCACUCUGCCGUGUGGUGCGAGUGUGCCGACGAGGACGUCGGGCCCCUAAGGGGGGUGGAUUGUAACAUCCCACAUCGACCAACGAAGAAGAGGUGAUGUGCCUUAUAUGUACAUGCCCACCUCCAUUUAGCACGAGGUCUUUUGGGAGCUUAUUGGCUUCGGGUUCCAUCGGAAAUCUGAAGUUAAGCGAGUUCAAGCAAGAGCAUUCCCAGGAUGGGUAACCUACUGGGAAGUUCUCGUGUGAGUUCCCAGAAACAAAACUGUGAGAGCGUGGCCAGGGCCCAAAGUGGACAAUAUCGUGUUAUGGCGGAGCCGAGAUUGGGAUGUGACAUUGUCACCUAAGACAAAGUACAGAUCCACAUUUAGAGUUCUUCAAGUAUUCACAUAAUAAAAAAUUUCCAUACGCCCCCUACAACUAAUGAACAGAAAUCGAGACACGUUGACAAAAAGUCAACCGUCGAUCAACGGUAGGGUCCACAACCCUACAUAACUCGAUCCGCAAUAUCCAACCACUGUAUUUGUGAUUCAUAAGUUCAUAAGGUCUUCAAAUCCUACCUACAAUAACAUACUAAACUUUGGUGAUGAUCUAAUGGUCGAAUCAUCAUUUGCUAUAAUGUUCAAAUGACGCAAAUUCAUCAAUCAGAUGUCAAAUAUGGAAUCAGACAUCGAAUUUAGCUUAGGAAUGUCAAGUGGUGUCUCGAGCACGCACCGCCGUGCGCAACAGCUGGCAACCUAGAUUCGUCGGAAAAAUCACCUAAUUCCAAAAUGAAUGUUGUGAGACGUGGAGUAAAUUGUAUACCUGUGAAGAAGCCCAAUUUGGCCGGGAAGUGGCCUGAAAUCACUUUAGACCGUCGGAAACCCUAAAAUAGGUGAAUCUCGAUUCGUCAUCCCCGGUAUUCCACCGUUCUCAAACUUGUUUAGGGUUUGCUCAUGGUCUCAAAAGAAUGCUAAUGAUGGUGGUGAUUGAAAGAGAACGUUUCAGAAAUAGUGAAUCACCAAUGAGGGUUUCACGAAACCGACAUGGGUGUUCCUCGUGGAACCAAGACCAAAUCUCAACGGUUUUGGCUAGAAAUGGAUGCUGGGAUGUCAUGGUGAAGUUUGGUAGUGAUGGGAGGUUGAAGAAAGACAAAAAAAAUCGACAAAAAAAUCGUCGUCGGAGUCGCAAGAAACGAGUUAGAAAAAUGAGUCGUCGGGUCUGAAACGUCGAAGGCUUUUGAGACAACUACUUACUCUCUCUUCUCUGAUUAGUCACUCCACUCACUCUCUCAUUUGAUUGGUCCAGCCUUCCCACAUGGUGGGAGUUCCCUCAUAUAGUAACCCAAAAUUUACUAUUUAAAUCUGGUAUUGAACGUCCGUAACUUUUUCGUUAUGGUUUCGAUUCGCAAACGGUUUUCACCUAUGCGCUCGUAUGAUCGAAUUAUACUCAAAAACAUUAAUUAUGACCUCGAAAAGGUCUACGAGUUUUAAAAGAUUAAUUACAAAAAUUCACACCUUGUAACUAUACGAUUCAAAUCCUAAAAUUAACGGAAUUAAAAUAAACUAAAAAUAAUGUAAACACGAAAUACAGACUUUAAUAAUGAAAUACGUAAUUAAUAGUGGAAUUCCGGGGAUGGGAUUUCACAACUUGCGUCCGGACCUUCAAUGCGGAUCAAAAUCCAAAGGUCGUGAUCUGACGAGCUCAUGCAUAGAACAGAGUUGUUGUGACCCAAUGCAAUUCAAAACUUUUAUGUUUUUUUAUUUACUGGGUACGUUUUUUAUUUACUGGGUACAUUUUUGCAAGACGUUAAAGAAAGCGCUUCUUGGGAGGCAACCCAUGUAUUCAAAAAAGGAAGAUCUAUGAAUCGCUCUACAAUUAGUUUUGCGUUUCUAAAAACCUUCCCUUUUCUGCAUUUCUAUUUUGCCAUGAUUGUCAUUUUUUAUUUUUGUUGUUUAUUUAAUUAUUUUUGGGUGUGGGUUUAUUUUUGAAACAUUGACAGAUAUGCAAGAUAUUCUUACAUUCAUUUUCAUGAAAAAAAGAAAAGGGAACAUUAAGCAGGAAAUUACAAGAGGGAGCCUUCACAAAGGCUGCUUAGGAGAAGUCUCAGUAGUCGGCGGAGCCCCAGAAGAAGGAGGCAGCGGAGGUUGAUCAUUUGGAGCUUCAGUACGCGGUGCAGCCCCAGAAGACGAAUGCAAAUGUUGUUGGAACAAACCCACAAACCGCUGAUGAUCAAGUAAAAUCUGACAAUCAGAUUCCUGCAUCUGGUCAAUCUUCCUCUUCAUGUUUGUAGCAUAAUUAUGUGCGAGCCUGUGCAACUGUUUAUUCUCAUGCUUAAGCCCUCUAAUCUCCUGCUUAAGACUCAUCACUUCAGCCGCCAAUGAUUCAACUUGACGGGUUCGGGCAAAUAGGCGUUGGGCCAUAUUAGACACGGAACGUGCGCACUGCACACUGAGAGCUAGAGAAUCCUUUACAUCCAACUCAUCAGACCGUUUGGCAAGUAGUCUAUUAUCUUUGGGAGUGACAGGGUUCCUGACCACCACCGCAGCUGUCAUAUCAUUCUUCAUCACCGAAUCCCCAACGAUAAGGGGACCAGUAGGGGAUAUGAAGGAUGGGCGCCAUAUGUUGUCUGGAGAAGGCGGGACUGCCUCUUCACCAAGGUUCAAGUCAAAACGACGAUCGGAUGGGCCAAACAUUUUCACAGGUGUUAAAGAAAGAAGAGGUCGGACAAGUCAAGAUCGUAGAAGUGCAAGAUGAGAGUUUUUACAGGCAGAAAUUCAAGUGUGCUUUGAACGUCCUACGUACUUCUAUAAAAAUCAGCACUCGAUGGGAUUUCAGAGAUCGAAGAGGCAAGCUCAGAAAUCGAAGAGGCCAACUAAAAAAAUUAAAGAGGCGCUAGCUUUCUCAAAAGCUGAGCUUGCUCAGAAACCACGGCCAAUCUUCUUUUCCAGAUUUGUCCGCACUUGUCACAUGCAACUCGACGGGAUUUCAGAGAUCGAAGAGGCAAUUCCAGAUAUCGGAUAGGCAUCUGCUUUUGCAGACGUGUCAACAUCUGUCACAUGCAGAGUAAGCUUUGCGAAAAUCACGGGCAGUUUGUGAAGCGCCGAUUCCAACCAUCUGCUUUUGCAGACGUGUCAACAUCUGUCACAUGCAUAGUAAGCUUUGCGGAAAUCACGGGCAGUUUGUCGAAGCACCGAUUCCAACCAUCUGCUUUUCCCGACGUGUCAACAUCUGUCACUUGCAGAGUCAGCUUUACGAAAAUUACGGGCAAUCUGUCGAAGAUCUCUUGUGAAGUUUACUAUUAAAUCAUCCAACGGUUGCUGACAAGAGUGAAAGAAUAGUACCGACUAUUAAUUCCUAUAAAUGUCAUCCUUCACCCUCAAUUGCAAGGCAGACAUACAUAACCCCCUUCUUCUCAGAAAAUGCCUUUCCAACACACCCUCUCGAGUCACUCAGUGUUCCUAAUUCCUUGGGGUACCUCUGCAAACAACUCAUCCAAAGCAAAAGUAUUUCAUAUCAUGAAGGUUGAAAGCAAGAGUAUCUCAUAUCAUGCUUUCUCCCUGUCCUUCUCCUUGUCUUUGUUUUAGGACAAGGAGAAAGAGAGCAAUCAGCCAGCACUUGGUAUCAAUCUUCCGAUCUGGAACCGACUGCCUGGAACCCCUUCCUGAUUGCUUACCUAGCCUUGCUCUCGAGAACUCAUCUUCAUCAUCUUAUGCUUCCUCUUCGUCUACCACAUCUGCCUGGGGAACAGAUAAGGGAAGUGAAAAUGAUACCUCGAAGCAUGUGGAAACAAUUUACCAAUUCAUCCUUAGCUAGGGACAAGGAGAAAAAAAGCAAGAGGUGGGCACUUGGAAAGAUUGAAGAAAGAAACAGACCAACACCUCUACCUCAUGCCUGCCCGCCGUGCAGAAGAAUCAAGCAGAGAAGAAUACAGACUGCACAAUCAAAUCAGGGAACUCUCAUAUUUCUCGCUCAGAAUUCCAAACCAGUUCAAGAUCAACGCUGUGGAAAGUCAACAAGAUCAUCUAUCUCCAAAACCAGAUUUGCGUUCUUAAACUCUACUCUGUCUGGUUUUUACUUUGCUAUACUUGUCAUGUUUAUUCGUUGUUUGUUUGUUUGCUUGUUGUUGUGUGAGUUUAUGUUUAAAACAUUGAGGACAAUGUUUGAUUUAAGUGUGGAGGGAUAACCAUUGUUUUGCAUGAAAUUCGUAGGAGUUUAUCACCCAUUACUUCUAGUGUUGUUCCUUGCUGUUUUAAGUGUUUUAAGCUGUUUUGGAGUGUUUCAGUGUGUUUUGACAUAAAAAUCCGAAAAUCUCAUAAAAAUUUGAAAAAUUGUUUUGAAAAACCAAAAAAGAGUUGUUUUUGUAUGUUUAUUUGUGUUUUAGGGUACCUUCCAACACAAUGAUGAGGAUUUGGUUUUUAAUUACAUGACUGUUAAAGAGAAUUAUAAACAUGGAUGAAAAUUUGAUUUACUCUUUGGUGUAUGCUUGGUUGUGGUUAUAAUUUAUGAAUUCACAUGCAAUCAUAAAGGAAAAAUCAAUUUUGUAACAUGCUUGAAAGAAGGAACUCAAAUGUACGCUACAACCUUGUGAGACUUGAGCCUAGACGUUUAUUUGGAGAGUUAAUAAUGUGCAUUUUUGUUUUCUAAAGUCGUUGUAUGAUCUCAUUAUUCUUUGCUUGGUUGCUACCUAGAAUGCGUUCAUCAUUAUAGAUCCACAUACUAGAACUCAUGCCCGUUCCAUUCAAAGCAUGACAUUAAUUUGCAUAACACAUAUCCAAGAUGAAGUUGUUUAGUGAACCAAAGCCAAAAUAGCCGAACCCACCUUUGUCAUUUGUUUUGUAGGUUUAAACCCCGUUGAGCCUUGUUUAGCCUAUUUUCUUUGUUAAACCACAUCAUCUCUACCUAACCUAGAAUAGGACUAUCCAUACCCUUGUUCUUGAAGUAUAGUGGAGCAUAACUUAGAAAGAAUUCAUUUUGAAACUUAUUGGGGGAAUUUAGAUUUCAAAUUUUUUGUGUGCCAAAGAAAACGGCAAGAGAAAAAAUUCGUGAAAAAAAAGAAAAAAGAAAAGAAAAAUUUGCAAAUUUUCCUGUGUUUAAAAGUAGAUGCCUAAAUUAACCCUUACAUUAAUUUUCCUUGAAUAAUUUCUCAUUCCAUCUAAUUUAGAUCCAUCUUGCUCACUAUUCUUUUUAAAUUUGUGGAUUUUGAAAUUUCAAAUGAGAAUGAAAUUGGAUGAGUUCAAUUUUCGUUUAAUUCUUACAAUUAAUAAGAAAUUCCGUCGAAAACAUUUUGAGUAUUGUUUAAUUUUUCAAUAUUACCGUAUUGUGUCAUUGAAAUAAUUAUCAGAGGAAUUAGGGAAUUCUCUUAAGGAACAACUCAAAAUGUAGUACAUGAUUAAAUAAUUCCUUUGAAUGGUCAACUAUGAUCAACAUAUCUUGUAUCAGAUCUUAGUCAAAUACCUGUUAAGAGUGUAAAUUUCUUGUGUGAAAAUGAGUGUAUCUAGUAAUUUUGGCAUUAGGAUGUUACUACAUUCUCAAAAUGCUGUUUUUUGAUUAAAUGAGCUGUGAGGUACUAAUCAAAUAUGCUCGAGGGUAAGAAUGGCUUAAAUUAUGUGAGUGGUGAUCUGGUUCAUGUUUCAUUAAAAAUCCCUGAGGCAAAUGUUGGAAGAUUUAGGUUAUGUUUUGUUUGUUUCGUUUGUUUUGUUUUGCUCGAGGACUAGCAAAAGCUAAGUGUGGGGAAUUUGAAUUUGAUAGGAGCAUUAUUAUGCGACUGAGUUAGCUUGUUCUCAUGCAUUUAUGUUGUUAUUUCUUAGUUAAUUAUGUAUUUUAAGCUAUUUUCGUGUGUUUGUAGGUCCAUAGGCCUUAUAAAGCAAUAAGGUGCAUUUUGGAGCAGUUUUGGGCUUGGAAUGGAUAGCACAUGCAUGGAGUAAGGUGAUGGACGAAAUUGAAGACUAAAGAGGCUUGGAAUGUGUUAAAAAGAAAGAAUAAUUAAUGACAAAGAGCUCAGCAACCAAACAGGGAACAUGAGUCAAGAUUACCUUAUUUUGAUUUAAUCUUUCCUAAUCUUCAAUGUCCCUAAGUUCCAACAACAUUCCUUGUCUAUUUCAUUCACUCAUUGCCUAGCACCACCCUUGUUCCCUCCAUCAUUCCAAAUUUCUUGCAUCAAUCAUCACUCCACCUUAACCCUUGACUCAUUUCUACACCAUUCCACCUCCCUUUCCUUUCUCUACCAUGUGCACAAUCAUUCAUGUUCCCUACUUGCAUUCAUUGUUGCAACACCACUCCAUUUUACCCCUCAUGCUUUGCAUCAUUACUUCACUUUCACCUUUGAAUCAUUUCAACACCACUUCAUUUUACCCAUGGUUUGCAUCAUUACUUCACUUUCACUUUCACCUUUGCAUCAUUACUUCACUUUCACCUUUGAAUCAUUUCAACACCACUCCAUGUCCCCCUCCAUUGCCUUGCCCUUCCUCUAUAAAAGGAAGUGUGUGUAACAUAAAUUUAGUUCAUAUAUUUUUUUAGAUCAUUCACUCCCAUUUCAAUACAACCUUCAUCCAAACACAUUCAUUCAUCUUCACAUCCAUUCCUCCAUACAAACAAACCUUCAAACACUCACCAACACCUUGUGCCAUAGCAAAGGAAGGAAAGGAAAAUGCUUGGACGUGCGUGCUGUCAACUUGGAUCGUUGGAGCGUUUAGGUGUUUUCUUUCUUUUGUUUCCAAUGUUAAAUUCAUUUUCUGAUUUUGUUGCAAUUAUGAGUGGCUAAAACCCUAUUUAGUUAGGGGGAAGUUUGAAGCCAUGAACAUGCUUGAGAUAUGAAUUGAUUUCUUCCAAUUGUGAUUUGAUAAGUUGUGAUUGCAAUUCAAUUAUCUAUUUUAUUCAUAACUGAUUCUUGUAUGUUUAUUAAGGAUGCAUACUUAAUUUUCAUGCAUGAAUUAGAUGCUAGAAUAUAAAUGAGUUUCACCUAAUCGUUACAAGUUUAUAUUCAUGAGUAGUGAAGGUUGUUUAUCACAAUCUGACACACCCCGUCCCGAAGGAGGGCGUGCUGGCCGUCACGUGAGAGUGACGUAACCAUUUACACAGUUCGGAAGCUUUAAAAAAAAAUUCCAAUUACUAAUAUAACACACCCGAGGGUGAGUCCUACUUUUGUGAAUUCUGUCAGAACACCGUUGGAUUCCUCGUGGCCACCAAAGCUCUGCUAACUUGAACCUGGGGCGCAAAACAAAAGCUUGAACUUGAACCUUUCAGGCGCAAAACAAAAGUUUUUUCGAAAACUUUUCAUUUAAAACAUUUCUAACCCCUCACUGUAAAACCUGUAUACUUUCCCAGAAAAUAGUGUAUAUAUAAACAUAUAUAUAAGCAAAAAUCUCGAAUCUCAAACCUUUAACACUUUUCAGAAAUAUAUAUAUAUAUAUAUAUAUAUAUAUAUAACCAUUUGAAAUCUCAAGACUUGAAUCCCAAAUCUUUAACAUUUUUCAAGAAAAGCAUGCCAUGCCAUAAAUCAAAAAUAUAAAUCAGGUGAAAUAAGGAAUCAAUCGGAGACCCUGCAGUUGGUCCUAUACGAUUAAUUCAAUAGCUCAUUAUCUCACUAAGCCGGAGUCACCACAGUAACCUAUACGGCCCUACUCUGCACAUCACUCAGAACUACGUAAGGUAGUCUAUACGAUGAAAGGUGUAAAAAUACGCUCUAGUGCUUCUCUCAUCAUAUCAUCAGCGCGCAUAACUAAGAUCACCCACUAGUCGGAAUCACGCCUAGUGAUCUAUACGACUAGCAUGUCGGAACCCUCACAUGGUCUGUACGACAUCCACCUACUUGGAUCCAAGGCGAGCGUGCGGUGUGGUGAAUAAAAUAAGCACUAACACCUAGGGUGCAGGUUAUGAGCUUAAAACAUCUUAUCAACAAUCAAUUAAAUGAAUAAAUGAACUCACCUGACUUACCUGUGCCUCCACCGCACCAUGCAACAUGUAUGCAUCAAAUAUCAAUUCGUAUAACUCAUACGCAAUUCACAUUUUUCAAUUAAUUCUAUGCAUGGCAUUUUUAAAACAUAUUUUCAUAUAAAUUCAUUUUAUGGGAAAAAUCAAUAGUAUAAAGGUAAUACAAAAACAAAACUGCCCACUCACCUGGAGUUCGCCCAACAACUCCCUAGCACCACACAUCAAGGCGUCAUGAAGAUUAGUGCCUAGAACAAUAAUCAAACCCAACCUCAGAAAUCAUGCCGAUAGAAUACAUAACUUAUAUAAGACGCGUCCCUACGUAGUUCGAUCCGGAUGAUCUGCAACUCGGAUUUCAAAUCCGUAACUUCCAGAGGUCCACAAUAUACCUCUAGGACAACAUCCUAAAAUUUCAUUACCAUCCAACGGUCGGAUCUCCGUCAAUUUCCAAAACUAAGUGCCGGUUAACAUUCUAUUUUAUGAACUUACAACUCCAAUUCCGGAAGAUCCGUAAAUCGGAUUCCCAAUCCGUAAGUUCCUAUAAUCCUCAAAUAUUACGUAUUACAACGUAUCAACGUUUGGUGACGAUCCAACGGUCGGAUCGUCAAUUCACAUUUUCACCUAACUACGAAUCGUAACCAACUUAGGUUCAAUUACUCAAUUUACGUCCAUCAAUUAUCAAAACUGAACCUAGAGCCUUAAUCACAUGCUAAUAAUGACAUUGGCGGGCCAUUGGCCAUGCGCCGCCGCGCGGGCCGCCGCGGGUGGCGGUUGGCCGCCCCCGGCUCGCCGGAAAAUUCAACUAUUUCCAAAAAUUACCAAAAUUUGCAGAUUUGAAGAUAUCAAUGAGUAGAACAACUUUCAUACCUGUGGCCAAGGCCAAUUUGGCCUGGAAGUGCUUCAAUUUCACCAAAACCGUGAAGAACCCUAGAAUUAGGUGUUUCCAAUUCGACCUUCAAACUUGUUCCAACGCCUCAAUUACCUCUUAGUAUUUGUUCUAGGUCCUAAAGGAAUGCUAAUGGUGUUAGUAAUUGAAAGAAAACAUUUCAAAAUUUCAAGAAUUUAAACAAAAGGGUCGCGGCACCCGUGUGGGUGUUCUUCGCGAAAUCACCAUGAAAUUUAAUGAUUCUUGGGGUGAAACGUGAAGAGGGAAGGCCUAGAUGUUGAUUAGGAGUGGUACCUUGACUCAAUUCGUCGGAAAUUUGGACGAAAAUGGUGAGAACCCGCCGAUUGGAAGUCGCGGGUCGCACGGGUAUACGGGUUGGGAAAACCCAUUUCUUCCUUCUCUCCUCCGCUUCUCGCCCUCUCUCCUUUCCUCCUUUCCUUCCUCUGGUUGGUCAGCUUCUCCCUCUCUCUUCUUCUGAUUCGCCUCUCCUCCUUCUUCUCCGAUUGGGCAGUUUUUGCCCAAUCUCUCUUCUUCUUUCUGUUUUCUGGUUCUUCUCACGCGCACACACACACACAACUUCCUUUUUCUCAUCCCAGCCAUCUAUUUCAUUCAUCAUUAAAUCUGGGUCGUCCAUUUUCAUAAAAGAAUUUCUAUUUUACUAAAAUUAUAAUUCCUUAAAAUCCCAAAUUUCAAACGUUAAUAACUUCUUCGAUAUAACUCCAAAUCACGAACCGUCUACGCCCACGCGUCCGUAACGACGAGUACUACGAGGAUAUGUCAAGAAAACAAAUCUUAGAUGGCACGACACAACGAUUAACCUCGAAUGAUGUGCGUGCCUCAAAGGGCAUUUUUGUAAAAUCCUUUAUGAAAACUUUAAAAAUUCUUAAAAUUAGGGACGGGCUGUCACACAAUCGCGUUAAUUGAAUUCUUGGCAAUUGUAUCAUGCAUUCAUAGUUAUAAUUGUCUCGUCAACACUUAUGAUUUUCAUUGAACGUAAUGAUCUCUGAUUGUAUCUCUAUUAUGCAUUAAUAUAGGGGACUUUUAGAGGAUGAUUUGGGUUGUCGCAUGCAUUCAUCCAAUUCAAUGAGUAAAGGAAAAUCUGAGGGUUAAUUUGUGCAUCACGGUUAAUCUGGGUGUUGAGCAUAAUAGUUUAUUGAAAAGCAAUUGGAAAUCGAUUCAUGUACAAGUGUGUCAUGUGUGAAGAACGGACCUCUAACUAAUCCAUCCAUCAUUUUAUUUCUCAAAUUCAUUUUAUAAUCUGCCUAGUUUUAUAACUUGCUUGUUUAUUUCAAAUUCAUCCAAACCAAAAUCCCCUUUUUACUUUCUUGUUUCAAAGUGUUAAAUUUCUGUUUUGUUUGUGUUUUUGAGUGUUUUGAUUCAAGCCAAAACACUAAAUUCAUCCAAAGUUGAUUUAAAGUCCAAAUCUGACUAGUUUGUGUUUUUAGGCAGUUUUGAGUGUUUUUAAGUUGUUUUGAAUCUUUAGAAUCUGUUUUGAGUCCCUUGAGUCUAUUCAAACAUUUUUAAUUUUGUUUUUAUGUUUUUGAGUCAGUUUAAAGGUUUUAGCAAGCCCUCCUAAUCCCCGGUUUAGAACGAUCCCUACUUGCAUUUAUACUACAAUUUGACAACAAGAGGGUUUAAUUUGAGUGCUUAACUUUCAUCGCAUCAUGUGAGUUCCCAGAAACAAAACUGUGAGGGCGUGGCCAGGGCCCAAAGCGGACAAUAUCGUGUUAUGGCGGAGCCGAGAUUGGGAUGUGACAUUGUCACCUAAGACAAAGUACAUGUCCACAUUUAGAGUUCUUCAAGUAUUCACAUAAUAAAAAAUUUCCAUACGCCCCCUACAACGAAUGAAGAGAAAUCGAGACACGUUGACAAAAAAUCAACCGUCGAUCAACGGUAGGGUCCACAACCCUACAUAACUCGAUCCGCAAGAUCCAACCACUGUAUUUGUGAUUCAUAAGUUCCUAAGGUCCUCAAAUCUUACAUACAAUAACAUACUAAACUUUGGUGACGAUCUAAUGGUCGAAUCAUCAUUUGCUAUAAUGUUCAAAUUACGCAAAUUCGUCAAUCAGAUGUCAAAUAUGGAAUCAGACAUCAAAUUUAGCUUAGAAAGGUCAAGUGGUGUCUCGAGCACGCGCCGCCGUGCGCAACAGCUGGCAACCUAGAUUCGUCGGAAAAAUCACCUAAUUCCAAAUGAAUGUCGUGAGACGUGGAGUAAAUUGUAUACCUGUGAAGAAGCCCAAUUUGGCCGGGAAGUGGCCUGAAAUCACUUUAGACCGUCGGAAACCCUAAAAUAGGUGAAUCUCGAUUCGUCAUCUCCGGUAUUCCACCGUCCUCAAACUUGUUUAGGGUUUGCUCAUGGUCUCAAAAGAAUGCUAAUGAUGGUGGUGAUUGAAAGAGAACGUUUCAGAAAUAGUGAAUCGCCAAUGAGGGUUUCACGAAACCGACAUGGGUGUUCCUCGUGGAACCAAGACCAAAUCUCAAUGGUUUUGGCUAGAAAUGGAUGCUGGGAUGUCGUGGUGAAGUUUGGUAGUGAUGGGAGGUUGAAGAAAGACAAAAAAAUCGACAAAACAACCGUCGUCGGAGUCGCAGGAAACGGGUUAGAAAAAUGAGUCGCCAGGUCUGAAACGUCGAAGGCUUUUGGGACAGCUACUUACUCUCUCUUCUCUGAUUAGUCACUCCACUCACUCUCUCAUUUGAUUGGUCCAGCCUUCCCACAUGGUGGGAGUUCCCUCAUAUAGUAACCCAAAAUUUACUAUUUAAAUCUGGUAUUGAACGUCCGUAACUUUUUCGUUAUGGUUUCGAUUCGCAAACGGUUUUCACCUACGCGCUCAUAUGAUCGAAUUAUACUCGAAAACAUUAAUUAUGACCUCGAAAAGGUCUACGAGUUUUAAAAGAUUAAUUACAAAAAUUCACACCUUGUAACUAUACGAUUCAAAUUCUAAAAUUAACGGAAUUAAAAUAAACUAAAAAUAAUGUAAACACGAAAUACAGACUUUAAUAAUGAAAUACGUAAUUAAUAGUGGAAUUCCGGGGACGGGAUUUCACACCUUGCAUCCGGACCUUCAAUGCGGAUCAAAAUCCAAAGGUCGCGAUCUGACGAGCUCAUGCAUAGAACAGAGUUGUUGUGACCCAAUGCAAUUCAAAACUUUUAUGUUUUUUUAUUUACUGGGUACGUUUUUGUAGGAGGAAAAGGGGAAGUCGAGAGAUUCUUUGCGCAUUAAAGAGGGAAAGAGAGAAAGGGGGAGCUAAGAGGUUCUUCGCGCGUUAAAUUUUUGCUUCUGAUUUUGCAACCUAGAAAUAAAGUAUUUUCUUUAUGGUUUAUGGUUCAAGAAUAUAAUGGAUACAGCCUAAAAAUGUUUCUUUUUUUAUUUUUUACUUUUUUUUUCUUAUGUUGGCUUUUGGUUUAUUUUUAUAAUGCACUAUAUAUUAACUAAAUUUAUAAACAUUUUGUAUCUUUGUUGCAGUCAAAUUAAUCAUAUGGGUCGGCAUGACGAAGUUCGACUGAGACAUACAGAUGUUUUGCAAUCUUAAGUCUAACCUGACACACCCCGACCUCAAUAUCUAGUGGACACCAAAAUUGAGGUGUGAUGGCCAUCAUCCGGAUGGGUGAUGAAACCAUAAUAUGCAUGAAACAUAACUAAAUUAUCAACCAAUAAAAUCUAUUGAAAAAUUUGGCAGAACAUCCCUUAAAAUAGGGAUAUGCCCAAAUUAAAAACACUUGCACAUGAUCAAAAUUAUUCAACACUUCCCCGAAGGGCCACACUUAAUGGGACUUCGACCAUCUAUUACAUGCAUGAGAAUAUGUUCAGAGCAUAAUUACCCAAACACGUCUUAUUAAAAUAUUGAGUAAAUACCAUACAAGAUAGAAUACGUCAGAGCUGUUGCAAAAUACCUCAAUGUCCGAUGUAAUCACUGAUAGAAUUACUGAAUCAUGUAUAGAUGGAAAGCUGAUAAAUACAUGUAAUUUGAGUGGAUACUUACCAGCAGCAUGGAUACAAUAUCAUCCACCGGUCGUAACUAAUGACAAGCUGAGAGUAUAACUGUAGUACCUCUUAUUAGUGCAAUGCAUGAUAUGAAUUCCAUCUCACAUAUAUAUGCAAGCCAUAAUCAAACCAAUAAACAUCCAACAAAAGCCACAAUCCUUUUAACAUUCGACCACAAGAUCAAUUUUCAUAUUUCCCAAACCUAGGUUCCAAAGCAUUGUUUCGAAUUAUUAAUACAAGAAACCACCACCACCUCAAUCAACUCCUAUUCCCAAGUGUAAGCAAUUACUAAAUGCAUCACUUUCGACUCUAGUCUUAAUUAGAUUACUUGGGAUACUCAUUCACACCAUCAGAUCCAAGUACUAUUUUGAUAAACUUUAAAUAGCAUGGUUAAAAUAAAUGAAACACUUUUAGAAAAUAAGUGAAGAUGUUGUUUACAAAUAUAGAUGCAUCUGUAUAUAAAAGCUUUGGCGGUUGAUCCGUAUACACUUCCAAAGAUAUAAGCAAGUUCAUUGGAAUAUACAUGCAUAGUUAAUGUAUUACAGUAUAAUUAAUAAGAAAACAAUUGCAUCCCUUUAAGAAUAUAUAUAUAUAUAUAUAGACACACACACAUACAUACACACAGGCCCUUUAUGCAAAGGAAUUUCCAUUUUUUUUCAAAAAAUGGGGAUUAGUUGUGGGGCCCACGUUGCAUUGAACUUUAACGAUCCGAACAGUCUAUUUUGUAAGUCUCGAUUCAUAUAUCAUCCUUGUAAAAAUUCAAUUCAAUCCGAACCCAUUUGCCUAUUUAAUUAUCAAGAUAAAAUUUUAUUGUUUCUUAUAUAACAAAGUAUUCGUUAAUUUCUUUGAACUCAAUUAGAUAUCUUAAACAUUUCCGAUUUGGUUAAUAUUUUGUAAGGAUGAUCUAUGUGGUGCAACUUGAAAAAUAGACGAUUACGAUCGUUAAAGUUCGAUGUGGUGUAAACCCUACAAUUAAUCUUCAUUUUUAUAAAAGAAUGGGAACCCCUUCCCUUAAAGGUUUCCUAUGUAUAUAUUUGUUCUCCAGACAUAUGCAGAAGGUAAUGUAAAACUAAUGAGAACUUAAAUGGAUAUUCCAUACAUAGGACAAUUCCAUAUAUGCUUUUUCAACAUUUAUAUCGAAAAGCCAAAUUGUUUUGAGGAAAUUAAUUGUAGCAAUGAUCCCUUAACUUUUAUCUUAUUGGAACAAUGGUCUCUCAACUAAAAAUUCAUGACCAUUGGUUCCUUAACACCACACAACGUGUAGUUAUGGUCAUUUUCAUUAACUCCGUCAGAACUUUUGUUAAAACAAGUAAUGUUAGAAGAAUCAUUGCUACAAUUAGGUUAAAGUUGGGGACCAUUGCUCUAAUUAAAUUAAAAUUGAGGGAUCAUUUCUCCAAAUUGCUUAAAGUUCAAGGACCAUUUCUACAAUUUUCUCAUCUAGUUUCCCAUAUUUACCCCAUGAUUCAGCUUCACAUGCAUUGCACAUGACUCAUUUUGACAAAAAAUUUAACAAAAUUGACGAAAAUGACCAUAAAUGCACGUUUUGAAGAGUUAAGAGACCAAUGGUCGUGGAUUUUAGUUGAGGGAUCAUUGCUCCAAUUUGGUUAAAGUUGAGGGAUCAUUGCUACAGUUUUCUCAAAUGUUUCGUAUGCGAAAAUAGGCAUUUGUAAAGUUUGGCUUGUUUAUGGCAUUAUUACUUUAGUCUAAAGUAAGGCUGGGAAUGGCACUGUAGAAAUGAAUAGUGUUCCAAUCCGAAUUUCAGUUUAAUUACAACAAUGCCAUUGCUCUUUGUGUUGCCUUUAGGUGAGCAGCCCGGCUUGCAGUCAGGCCCAAAUGUAUUGGUUUUAGCUGAGAAGCCCGGCCCUUGGUCAGGCCCAAAAUUUUAAAUUACAGUUUUGCCCAUACAAAAUAACAAUCCGAUUGUAUCGGGAAGGACAAUUUUGUCCUUUCAGUUUUGGGUGAGAUAAGGGGUAACAGGGUAAGUUUCAUUUGCUGUCGUUUAAUGAGGGUUUCGGGGAUGAGGGCUCUGUGUGUGUGUGGAUGAGAGAGAGAGAGAGAGAGAGAGAGAGGGAGAUGGCGAUGGAAGGAGAGCGAGGGGGAAGGGAAGGGUUCUCGGCACUGUUGCUGCAUGUGGAUUUCACAUGUGGGAGAGUGGGUAUGGUCAGAGAAAACCAUAUAGGUCAUUGGGAUUUCAGGGAAACGGGGUAGGGGUCAUGAAUGAACUCUGCUGAGAGUGUGGGUACCGGAUCUUGCGCUGCAUGCCUCAAAUCAAAGAUAAGUUCGUUUUUUUAUUGUAUUUUUUGUGGUAGCUUAGCUUUUGGAAUUGUUUAGUAUGUUAGGUCCGAUUUUGGGGGAUUUAUCUUUUUAGAGAGAGAGAUGGACAGGGAGAUAGAGAGAGAGAGAGAGAGAGAGAGGAGGAGGAAGCAUGACUGUGUGCAAUUUUUGGUGUUAAUUAAUGGGUUGGUGCGUAGGGUGAGUGACAGAGUGACAGAGUGAAGGAGGGACGUGUGGGAGGGUAUGAGUUUUCAGUUCUUUCUUUUGAUUCAACAGGUUAUACAUUGUUUGAAAAACCUUUUUUUAUUAUUUUUUUCUCGUUUGCUUUGUUAAAACCAUCAUUUGAAUUUUUGGGUUUCACUGUGUUCAUUUCUCUGCUUCUUCAUAAUUUGCUGGUGUUUGCUUUUCAUCCCUCUAUUGGUAGAUCUUUUUCUCAUUUCUUGGUUCCUUAUGUAUUCUUUGGUACAAAUCUAUUUACUUUUUGGCUGUGUGAUAAUCUUAGCAGGUGAACUAUAUGAACGUUUUUUUUGAAACGAGUUAAGAAGAUCCAGCUGAAAAGAGCAUGCAAGAUAGAGAACUGGUAUGCUGCUCGCCAGGGAAAGGCUGCUGGAGAGGCUGAGACGGAUGCCUCCUUCAAAAACCAGGUCAGUUUCCUGCUACUCGGCGUCUUAAUGUAUCCAAAUUGUUUAUCUUUUGAUGAAAUUAGCUGGCUUUAUUUUCUAUUUUAUUUAUCUGCAUAUUAUUUUGGUUUGUUGAAAUUUUGACUAUAGUCAUUGUGUCACAUGGGCGCCCAGCCCAACCCAAAUUAGUUGAGGAUAUUUAAAUCUUCACCAUGGUAUUAUAGUACUCACUCACAGUUGUGAAUACUAAGGUGCAGGCAUGGCAUGAAGAAGUGGACCGUGCACGCCAAGGUCAGAGGGAUGCAGAGGGCAAACUUUUUUCUUUGGAGGUAAGUAUCCUUUGUUUAUUGCCCAACAGUGUUGUUAUUAUCAAUUUGUAGCUUUGCGUUCUGAAUUUUUUGCUUUGUCAAACAACCUUUUUGAAAUGCUCGAUUUCAAGCCGAAGUCCAAAAAAUGAGAGUUGAGAUGGCUUCCAUGAAGAGGGAUGUAGAGCAUUACUCGCGCCAGGUGAAAUCUGCUUCCUCUCUUUUCGUAUAUCUUCAUAUGAAGAGUUUUACUAAGUUAUAUUGAGAACUAUGUUAUUUAUAGGUUAUAUUUUCCAUUUUGCAAGAACACAUGGAGCUAAGGAAGAGCUAUCGUGAACUCACUGAUCUACUGGUAAUGUCACUCAAACUGCUUUAUUUGUGCAUGCUGCUACUAUGCGCUUGAAUGCAUUUUAUUACUGGCGGGAUGCGAAGAAUGCUAGAUAUAUGUGCUGGAUCGCUUGAUUAGUGUUAGGGUUUUAACAACUAAUUGUUAGCAGCUAGAAGCUCUGGUUAGAUGAAUGCUAAUUUGAUUUUCCUUACAGUACUUGAGUGCCAGUUUCAUAUUGUUUGUUCCCUGCUGGAUACAUGCUGUACAGUUUCAUUUCUGUUUCUUCAUAACUUUCUUGGCCCUGCGAUAUAUGCAUAUUGAGUACAAUGAAUAUCCAUUGUUCUCUAACUGUUGGGCUUUACUAUCUUUGUAGCAGCCUGCCUAACAUUUUUUAGGCUCUACACUCUACCAUCCAAUUUAUGAAAAAUUCAAAGAUUGGACGGUAUUGAUUGCAUAAAUGAAAAAAAUACUAUGAUAUUAGAAAGGUGAAUGUAAUUGUGUUAGAAGAAGCGUCUAGCAUGAUGGGUAAUAUUUUAAGUUUGUAUUUCUAAAAUUUUUUCGUUCUGGAGUAUGAUUUACCUCAAUUGUUUUGUACUUUAAUCUUUACUAAUUUUCAUUGUGGAGUAUGAUUUGCCUCAACUAACAACUUUUCAUUGUUUAACUUUUUCCUCCCUUAGAUAGUUGCAUAUGUUUGAUUUGUUAAUCUGCUUCUUACACAUGUUGUUUCCUAAUGGUGUAGGUGGAUUGCCGGAUGCAUGUGCAGAUUACUUGAAUAGACGAAGCUAAGAAUGACUUAGUAUUAAGUGAGAAAGAAGCUUGGGUCAGUUGGAUUUUGACAUUUGAUUUAUUCAUGUUUUUUUGUUGCUUGCAAUGUUCUCUCAUUGUUUGUUCUGAGAUUCUGUGAUCUUAUUUUUCAUAGGAACUGACAUUGGUUUGCCAUAUAAUGUUUCAGGAACUAAUACAACAACUAAUCACCUUGCUUAGGUCUCAAGACACAUACUUAACAGGUUAACAAACGCUAACCUAUAAACUUAUCUACUAAGCUGGACCAUUAACCUCUGUUUAUAUCCCUGCCACUCAUCUUUUGGCACUUAUCAAUAGCAAAAUCUAGAGUUGUUGAAACCCCAAUUUUAAUGAAUAUUAUUUUUAGUUGAUAAUUAAAAUUAAUUGAUGAUUAAUCUAUUCCAUUGUGCAUUAUUUUAUCGCCAAAUACUUUGAAUAUUCAUUAGCAAAAGAUAUAGGGUUCACUAUUUAAUGAAUAGAAUUUUGAUGGUGGAUUGCAUUUCCUGAGUUAUAAAUGUGGUGAAUCCAUUAUUUACUAGCUGAAUAAUCAUAAUGUUUUGGCCACUUACCUUGAAUUUUGUUCAAAUUGAAGAAGUCACAUGUUUCUUUCUGUUGUUGAGGUAAUCUCUCUGUUGAAAGCUUCUAUUUCUUUUUUCUUUUUCUUUUUUUCAUUUGGGUAGAUUUUUUUUUUAUGGAUUUAUGUAUUUUUUUUCUUCAGAGAAUUCGAAAUGAAAUAAGAAUAGCGGAUUGAGCAUAAACAAAUUGAUGAAAUUUUUAUUUGAGUGUUUGUGUUGGUCCUUUUUUGAUUUGUUGAGGUUUGGAAUUAUUUGAGUUUUUUUGCUGUUAGUACUGUGAAGGAUGCUUGGCAAUCGCGAAAUGGGGGCUACCUCUUUGGAAAGAGAAGUCUCGCUAUCCAACCUCUCAUGAAUUACAAACAGGGUGCUUUCUUGCUGAAAAACCACUGAAUCAGUAGAACUUUCCUCGGUUCUUCAAUUCGAUUCGAAUAAUUUUUUUACCCAGAAAAGCCAGCGUUUCCUGGUGAGUUUUACAGCUUUCUCAAUGUUUUUUUUAUUUUGGAUUUGCAAAUUUGUUUUCUGUUCAAAUUUCCUUUUGUGAUUUUGGAGGUUUUGUUUAUCGAUUCUCUCACUCAUCUCUCAGCUCUCUCCCACUUUUGAGGUACAUGUCGUUGGAUUCCGUUUGCUGCUGUUGAUCUGCAGGUAAAGCUUCAAUUACCAUACAAAGUUUACAUUUUUCAUGAUUUCUUGAAUUUGGGUUUUAAACAAAGGAAAUAUUGCUAGAUUCUUAUCUUAUGUGCAAAUUACUGGCUAUUUGGAUUGGUGCUUGAGAUUUAGAGAAUGUCUCGCAGCUUUAAUUUCUUUUUCCUUCAUUAUUACUGUUUUCAAAAUUUUUAUUGCUGGGUAUUGAUAAUUUGUAGUAUGUGAGGGCUUCAAUAUGUUGGAAUUUUGAAUGGUUAUUGCUUCAUCGGAAUUUGGGUGGUCCAAAUUUUGAAUUAGAAGAAACCCAUUUGAUUAAUAUUUUUGGUGGAUUGGUUCUCUGUGUUUUCUUUGCUAUUUCUCCCCCAGUUGGAAAUUGGAAGCCCCAACUUUGAGCUCAGAGCUUGAAUUUCUCAAUCGUUCGUUUCUCUACACUCUCAUCAGUCACUCUUGAUCCUCUAUCUAAAGAACUGGGUAAUUUUCCAGCUCUAUCAAGUAAUACUCAAUUUAAUUGCUUAAUUGAGGUUUUUUGUUUCUCUUUUUCGCUCUUUCAUCAGUUCAUUGGCUUUGAUGUUGAGCUUAAGUAAAUGGGAGAUCAUUAAUUGGCAUUGUUCAAAAUAUAAUUAUGUGUUUUUGGAUUUGUGAAACGAUUUGCCUAAUGAUGAUAGUGGUUAAAAUAAAUUUUUCGUUAUGAAAGAGAACAUUGUUCUUCAUUUGCCUACGGUUUUAACUACAAAGUUAAACUACUAUGCUUUUGUUCAAUUGAUUGCAACUCAUGCCGCAGUUUGCUUCACAAACCUCUAUGGUUAGCUUCCAUACAGUAUGUUGCAAGUUUGAGGAUAUCUUUACAUCUUAAUUUUUGCUCUCUCUGGUUGCUUCAAGUUUGUAAUUUUACGUGUUACAUUGCUACUUGAUUUGAUUAUAAAAAUGCAAAAGAAAAUCCAUUUUGCUUUUAUUCAACUUAAAUGUAUCCUUUUGUUUGUUCAUAAUUGUGUUGAAUUUAUUCAACUUAAAUGUGUUUUAUUCAUCUGUUUACGCUUAAAACAACUGGUUCCCCUAGCAAUGCGCGGACCUAAUUUCUAGUACAUAUACUAAAAGCCAGCAGAAAAUUACUGUUCAUCAUGGGAGAUAGAGCACUGUUCAUUAACAGUGAAAGGGAAAAAAUGCCCUCGGUUUCUUCUUUACUUCACGUACUGUUUACGAAUUGCUACAGUAUAAAGUCCGUUUUGUCAUUCCUGUCCACGCAUCUUUCAUCGUCCGUUUCUCUUGCUUCGACCGCAUCUUUUUCGCUUUACCUUUCCUCUUCGUUUUUCGCCUUCGCUAGGCUGCAAUUUUCGGAGGUGGAUUGUUUGCCCUUCUAUUUCCAUGCUCUCCCCAUGCCCUCCAUUGAUGUGUGGUCACGGUUAAACUAUGUCAACAUUUUAUAUUAAUUUUUUUAUAGAAAUAAUAAAAUAAAAAGUAAUAGGUAUCCAGGAAAUUUUCGUCAAAAUAUCCAGGAAAUAGGUAUCCAGGAAAUUUGCUUUACCGAUAUUUUAAUAGGUAUCCAGGAAAUUUGCUUUACCGAUAUUUCGCCGAUAUUAUCGGUUUUUUGCUUUACCGAUAUUUUAAUAGGUAUCCAGGAAAUUUUCGUCAAAAUAUCGCGAUAUUAUCGAUAUUAUCGAUAAUAUCGCGAUAUUUUAGAUAAUAUCGAGACAUUUUGGUUUCUCGACAGUCAGUCACAAUCUCGCCGGAGAAUCAGAAUAACUCCGAGCAAGAACAAAACCUGCAACCAAACGGAACAAAAUCAUCACUAUCUUUCAACAAAAAUCACCACUUUAUACCAAAAUCAGUGACAAAAUUACACUAAUCCGAGAAGCAAGGGCUUGAAUUCGAGCAAGAUCUGGAAGAAAACAGUAGAAGCUGAGAAAUCGAGUACCUCACCGGCAGUUACAGUGCUAAAGAUCAUCAUCUUUGGAAGGCCGCGGAUCAGACGGAGCUGAGAGAUCAAUGAGUAAGCAUUUCAUAGAUCGUAUUCGAUGAGCAGCUGAAAGAGAGGAGAGAGAAAGCAGAGAGAGACGCGGACGAGGAGGAUCUCGCUGAUGGGGACGACGAAGGAGAGGUAGAGGUCGCGGCCCGCGGGACAUGGUGACGGGCUCGACGAGGAGGAAGGCGAAGGAGGAGCAGAGGAGAUGGGUGCGUGCGUGCUGCGGUGCAGAGAAGAGAGAUGAGGGAGAUAUGAGAGAGAGAGAGCCGAGAGGGAGACAGAAGAAAAAGAAAAGAAAACAGAAAGAAGAAGAAAAGAAGAAGGGAGUCGCGGGGGAACAAAGAGAGAAAAGAGAAAAGUGGAGGGGCUGCCACGUGGCCACUUCAGAAAGAAAGGGAUCCAAUGUUUUGGAUCCUGAUUGGGUAGUCAAAGAGGACCAAUUUGAUAUAUUAAAAUGUUUAGGGGAUAAUUACACAAAUAUAUCUUUAUAAAUGGGGGUGGGUGUUACAUAUUGCCCUAAAAAACUCCAAGUAAUUACAACAUCGUAUUAGAAUUGUAAUUGAUCCUUGUUAGAUUUGGUUUAGAAAUUCUAUGUAAUUUAGUGAUUGUUUCAUAUUAGAUUUAGAUUUGAAUUUUUUACUCCAUUCAGAUUUUAAAUGAUUAUAAUAGAUUUAAAAAUUUACGAACUUUGAUGAAGUUUAAUAAUUUUUAAAACUUUUAUGUAAAAUUUUAAGUGAAUUCCCUCAAAUUUUCAGGUAGCGAUUUGAGAAUGUUUAAAAUAUUAUGUGAAAUAUUUCUAAUUUUUUCGAGUUUCCCAGCUUUUUAAAAAUCUCUUUGAAUCAAUUUCUAAAUUAAUACAUUUGGAAUGUAUGAAUUUCUUAAAAAUCAUGAUCGAAUACCCCUUAAACUUUAAAGAAUCACUUAAAAUCCUAAUUAAAUGCCCUUAGAUUUUUAAGGAGAAUUAAAAUGUUUAUAAGCCCCAAUUGGAUGUACCGCUUAAUUUAACUAAUUGACACAACACAACAUAACCAGUUAAGAUUACAAAUUAACACAAAAGACGACUUGAUGCGAGGUCAUAUCUACAAAACUUGCCGCAAUAAGCCCCAAUUGGUGUGUUUAAACUUCUUUCAUUAAUUACUACAUAUUUUCUACACUCAUAAUGUUUGUCAGCUCGCUAUAUAAUCAACUUGAUAAUGUUAAAUCCAUCAUGCAAUGCAUUUCCUUCCAAUUUUUUGUGAUAAACUAAUAGAUAAUUGACUAAAUAAACAUCCUGCAAAGUUUCAAUAAAAAUUUUCAAGUUUUUUUUACAAUUUCCGUGAUUUUCAUGUAAUUUUUAUCGGUAUCGAUAUUAUGCCGAUAUUUUUAUCAAUAUUUCCGUGUUUUCGAGUACAUAUUUCCGAUAUUACCGAUUCAUCCGCGAUUUUCUCCCUUUUCGCCAGCCCCUCUUUUGCUCUCAAAUCCUUGCUCUUUCUUUUUCAAACUAGUCUCAGAAGAGAUCCUGGGUUUAUCUAAUCCUUUGUUGUUCGGCGUUUUGUUCUCAUCUUGCGAUCGUCGGGGCAGCAGCUUUAAGGUAAGUUUGUUUUUAAUGAUUUAUCCUCAAUUUACGAUGUCUGGGCUAACAAAUUUAAGAUCUUUAUUUUUCUUUUUGCUGUGGAUCUGCAGGUUUUGACAAGUUUUUUGUGAAAUUGGUGCUGUCAGUGGGUGUUAAUAUCAGGUACCCAUGUUCAGUUUUUCGUUUUGAUUUGAAGGAAUUUCUUGCGCAGAAGAGCUAGGUUUCUUGGUGAGUUCUUCGGGUUGUGCAUAUGGGUAAUUUUCUUUUAGGUAUAACCCUCUGCUUCUGCUGCUCUCUCUCUCUCUCAUCCCUGCCUGCUCCUCUCCAAUUGUUUGCUGUUCUUAAAUAUUGUGUUCAUUGCCUGAUACAAGGAGCUGCAGCAAUCUGUUUUAUCCUACACGGGACAACGAGGCAAUGGCGUGACAACAAGUGAGCUUGGAUAUCCAAAGAAAAAGAACAGUUGGUUCAUCUGCUGGAGUCUGAAGCUCAGAGAAGUGGAGGAAAAUUGCAGGUGUGCGAGAAAUUUUAUUUUGCUGAUAGGACUCCUUAUUUACCGAUGCAUUUUGAAUUAAUUGAAAAGUUGGAUUUGAGUUAACAGCUAUAAAAAUGUAGACAUGAUUGCUGAGAUUAUGCUAUGAAAGUGGAAUAAAAAAAUGGUAGUUUAUAAUAUUGCGUACCAAUUUUUUUCUCUCUUUUUUACCAAAUGAUAAGGGUGGUGGCUCAGGCCGCCCCCCUACGCGUCCCCACUCUUCGACAAGUUGAAAUCAUGGUGAUAGUUUAUGGGUUGCGGUCUUGGGAUUCUGCAAAUAGAAUAAAAAACAGACACUUAACUAUCUUGUUAUUAAGCAUUUCUGCAUCAUUCAGUUGCUCUUGAUUUUCGUCUUUUAAGCGCUCUUAUUUCUGCGAUCUGACUUGAGGAGGGGUUUUAGACCUAUGGUUGUGGGUGUUUUGUCUGACCCCAUUAAAUUGGUUUCCGAGAUUUGUAGACUUGCGAUCGGCGGUCAAACAUUUCGUGAUUCUUGCUUUUUUUCCGACUGGGAUUGACGAAUUUUGGCCGAAUCUGUUUCCUGUUUUCUUCUCUGUUUGAGCGGCCGCUGCCUUUCGGUCGUUGAGCGCCGGCAGUCUUUAGAUCUUUGGCAAAUCAAUUUAAUACAACCGAGGUAUGUUUUAUAACUGCUGUCUUUCAAUUUUUGUUCUGUAUUUUUGUUAAUUUGGAUGAAGCUCUAAUAAUUUUGUUUUGGAUCAGUUGUGGUCCUCUGUUAGGAUUUUCCUGGCUAAGAGGGUAUUUGCAUUUUUGUUGCUUGGUUGGUCGAUCCAGUGUAUUAAAAGCGUGAGGCGUGGGCGAGGCGUCCGAGGGAAGCUCGGCCUAGGCGUGAGGCGUGAGGCGAAGCCUCAUGGGACCUAAAUUUUUUAAUAUAUAUACAUUGAGCGUACACAUAUAUUAUAUUAAAAAUAAGAAGAUUAUUAAUCAAUAAUCACCUUGAGCACACACAUAUAUUAUAAAUAUAUACACACACACAUAUAUAUACAUAUAUUAUAUUAUAUAUGCAUAAAAUAGAGGAUGAAAAACACAAUGAGCACACAUAUAACAAUGCACGCAAACAACACACACAUCCAUUAUAUAAAAAUAAAAAUCAGAAAAAAGGCAUAGAGACAAAAGUGCAAGGAAGAUGUAUGAGACAGUUAAAAUCCUACCCAAAAUUUGGGUUUGGGAGUAAAGAAAAAAAAAAAAAAAAAAAAACUCACUGAGGCGCGCCUAGGCGGCUCCGGCGACGCCUAGGCGGCCUUUCGCCCACUCCAGCAAAACUGAGGCGUUAGCCAUGGAGCCAAGCCUCAAGGGCGCCCUAGGCGCGCCUCGAGGCGAGUUUUUUAAAACAUUGGGUCGAUCACAAAUUUACGAACAGCUGUGGUGGUCCUGUUAGAGCCAAGCCUCAAGGGCGCCCUAGGCGCGCCUCGAGGCGAGUUUUUUAAAACAUUGGGUCGAUCACAGAUUUACGAACAGCUGUGGUGGUCCUGUUAUUUUUUUGGUAUGUUUUUUCUCCUUUUUGGUUUUUUCCCGGUUUGAGCACCCAUUCAUGAAGAAUUAAAAUGUGUUUAUAGUUUUUCAGGAGAGAUUAGAAAAGUGAUUUCAAUUUGGGAAAAUUUAAUGUUGGUUAAAAUUUGUUUAUAAUUUUUGGGAAGGAAUGAGAGGACCCAUUGAAGUAUGUGUUGUGAUUAUUUUUUAUUCAUAUUUUUAACAAAUUGGGCAUGAAUUGGUAGGUUAACUGUGUGUGUUUAUUAUUUGAAUCGGCCAUGUUUGUCUUUCUAUGGUUCUAAAAAAUUUGUAAAGGCUGUUAACUUGGAAGAAAAUGGGAUCGAGGGUGAGGGGAAAACAGCAGAGAAAGCAUGGAAGAGAGAUUUGGGAUUAGGGGUAGGAAAACAGAUGAAAAGAAUAUGAUAGAGGAAUGGGUUCAGUUCAUUUUCACUAUUUUUUUUAACUGAUUUGGAUUUUGUUUGGGUUUGAGGCCAUCAUUGGCGUUAAGACGUUUAUUAUCAGAUCGUGUGUGUUUUUUGCUAACUUUUAUUGGUAAUUUUUAUGUUGUUCUUAUGAUUUUGUGUGGUAGGGUUUCUGAAUUUUAUCGUUGUUCAUUUGGUUUUUUCUGAAUUUUAUCUGAUUUUGUGUGGUGAGUUUACAAAAUAAUACUAAAUAAAUUUAUUUGUAAUUUCGGAUGAUUGUGAUUCAAUCCUACUACAAUUGAAAUUCACAGAAAGAAUGAAAAACCAGAACAAAACUGCAGCACCUAAAAAGUUGUCAUACAAAAAAACAUGGAAUGUAAAAAUAUGUUAAGAAAUCUAGUUCGUUAAUUUCCAGCUGGUAAGCGGCAUUAUGUAACUUUAGUAGUAUAACUAAUUAACUACUUAUCUAGUGGGUUGCACUUCUAUCCUUGAUCUCAGUUGUGGCUGCAAAGUGCAGGCCACCACCAAGUCUCAGUGUUUGUGUAUUAGCAAAACACUUAAAUAAAUUAAAUUCUGAAAUGUAAAUUAUAUUCCUAUAACUUUAAGAUGCACAUAUAGUAUUGUUGAAGUCGAACUGAAAGCACUGACAAUUCCAAGCAACAGAGCAGCAAUUAUUAAGAGCCAAAACUCAUUCCUAGUCUCCUCAUCCUGGUACUCUACUCCGUAAUCUUCGUUCAGCAUCAUUGACUGAAAUUAGGAGAGAAAAAGAAAAGGAAUUUCAGAAAUUGUCUAUGAAGCAAAGGAUACUGCAGUUACUUCAAGACAUGUAAAUUGCAUAUGUAUAAAGUAAUUUUCUACAUAAAGUAACGAGGCAUAACUCUCUCUCUCCUCUUCAAACCCUAAACAGAGCAAAGCCACAAACUUUACAGAGAUUAGAAUGAGAACUGGAAUUAAUAGAACAAUGACUGAAAAGUAACAUACUUGAGGAGUGAAUGAUUUAGUGUUUCCAUCAUCGGAAAGCCGGAGUAAGUCGCUAAGAGAGGUCGCAAACAGCCCAAAGGGACAAACCCAGACCCCCGGCCCCGAUCCAUACCCUUCCCCCUCAAAUCCCGACGGCCCCCAUACUUUUCUCUGACUGUACCCCCUCUCCCACUCAUGAAAUCGAGGAUCUGUAGCAAUGGUACUGAGAUCCCCACUCCUCCCCCUCCCUUUCUCUCUGUCACUCUGUCUCCCUCUCCCUCUGUCUGUCUAUCUUUAUCCCAGAGCGGCAUGGCCUCGCAUCCCUGAAACCCUCACCGAAAGGUGGCAAUUUUGUAAAUAACUUGAAAUCCACCAACAGCAGGGGCAGAGAAUUGAAACAGACAUUUAGGCUCGUUCGAUAACCAUUUAGGCCAAAACUGAGCACACCUAAACCAUUCCUACUCGUGCCAAAUGUUAGCGGGGAAGCAAGAUGAUGACUUUAUUGUUCAAAACCAAAAGAAAAAAAGAGAGAAAACAAAAUAACAAAUCUAAUGGUUGUAGUGUAAAAGCUGAGAACGUAAAUAAACAUGCAGGGAAAAAAAUUGAAGAUACAAAGUAGCUGCAUCAUGAAACACUUGCUCCAAUUAGACGCAAAAAGUGAUGGUGAUGAGAAGAGAGAGAAAAUGCAGUCGUUUUGAUUUUUCUGGCUUUUAAAGGGAGCAGCUUUCUUCGACCACCAAAAAAAGGAAGCUGCUUUUCGUGUGGUUGUGAUUUCCUGAGUGUAUGUGAGCGGGUCUAUGGCACUUGCACUUUUUGUGUCGGUUACGGUAACCGGGCGAGGUGGACACGGCGGCGUGGGACUGAAUUCGGAGAGGUGAGAAAAAUUAAAAACACAAAAAGAAGGUGUUCAUUUUGUCACAUUUUUAUUACUAAAAAUUCAAUAAAGUACAUUCAUUAGUAUGGUAACUUAACUAUUUAAUUCCAUCUCAUUAAACUAAAAAAAACAAUUACAUAAAAAUAAGGGAAACCUUGUCCAGAGAGACCUGAGAGAAAGUGACGACUUCUCCUCUCAUUCCACUCCAUACUUGAUCUCUAAAGUCCAUUUGGCAUGUAAUUGAUGUUCAAUUUCAAAUUUAGUGGUAGCAAUUAGCAAAGCUAAUGAAAGAAUAAAAUAAAAUGAAAGAAAAAGCAUCAUGAAAUAAAUCAAGAUGAAGAAUGAAAUUUUGGCAACUCGCCAUUCUCUUCUUUUAUACAAAAGAUACAUCCUAUUUGUAGUGAAAACAGGUCCCGACAAACCCAGUUAUCGUCAAGAAGUAUUUUGUAUGACUUUAAAAACAUAUUCCGAGAAAUUAUCUCUUGGCUGAGAACAACAACAAAUCUUCAUGCAUAGCUUGUAGAGAAAGACAUCAGGCAUACAAAAGAACACGCAAGCAUAAAAUAAACGACGCAGGGAAAACCAAAAAUACAAUUGGAUACGCUGUCAAAAGAACAUAAAUAAAUGAAAAUUACAAAACAAAGAAGUGAUGAGAAACCAAAGUACCCAUUUCAUAAUCUAAUUGCUUUUUAGUUUGCUUGCCAUUUUUAGUUCUUCAAUUUAGAGAGAAACCAUAAUUCAGCACAUGAAUAAAGUGAAAACAUAAAAGAUAUGUGGGAUAAGCUAACAGCCAUCCCUGAGUAAUGCAUUCACUUCUGAACCCCAAACACACCAAAACAAAAAUUCACACACAUGAACUACAGCUCUGCUAUGUAACAAGAAUUAAAAGCAUCUCAAAACAAAAUGGCAAACUAUAAGAGCAAUGUAAAAGUAAAAUUGCAAGAAAUCUAAUACUUGGAGGGCAAGUACUAAUCAGACGAAAAUGAAAGAUUGAACUACCUCGCGUGGAACUGUGCCUUGGUUUUUUCCCAUGCUUACAGGAAGCUUUGCACUGAGCUCUUAUAGCCCAAAUUUUCUCUGAAGGGAAAAAAACACAAUUUUGAAAUAAGAUUUUCAUAUUAUACCUUAAAGAGAAGAAUUAGACAACAAAAAAGAGAACAAUGAGUACUUUUCAUCAUAUAUUGUUAGAGUAUGUGGUCCUCUAGUCCAAUGGUCCUGCAGCCAUAUUUACUUUAUAACUCUUUCUUUAGUCUAAAAACAUCUUGGAUCUCAAAUUAAUAUGAAUACGGAUUCAUACGCAUGCAUUGCAUUACAAUCACAAUGCAACAUCUCAUUAGAAAUCCCCACACAAAAUUCUUUUAUUGCUACUUUGAUUUUAGUUUAUAUUUUUUCUGAAGCACGAGGGAGCUAAUUUUUUUUUAAAAAUUUUUUAUUCCAAUAAUGUUAUAGGGUUGAAAGGAUAUUAUCAAUUUAAUUGAUUGUAUUUGAUUGGUGGAACUUCUAUAUCUAUAUUUCAGGUUUUCAAAUUCAGCACUGGGAGAGUCAUUCAUAAAAUGUUUGACAGUGAGAUUACCUCCAUGGAUUAUGCUCACAAUGGACAGCUCAUUUUCCGCGGUGAUGGGACAAUAUAUUUCAGUCAUUCGCCAUUCAAUCAAUUCAAACCGAGGAACAAGCAACAUCAAGAAGAGGAUCUGCCAUGUCAGGAUCACUGUCGUCCAAUUAAUACAAAAAAUCUAGAUAAAAACGAUCAAUUUACAUAAAAGCCUUUCAUUUUCUCAGCAACCAAGCAAAAGAAAAUACCUAUCCGUUAAACACUCGAUUUGGGAGUAAACGUUGCUGAAACUGGACUUCAAUCCCCUCAACCGCAACAAUCGAAUCGAGGUGUGCAAGUCAUUGAAAAACUCACCCAAGAUUUCAAAAUCUGCAUAAAGAAAUAAAUAAGCACAUAAAUUAGCCAACCCUGUUAUGAUCCCACAUCGGGUACACAAGAAAUUGUGUAGUGGUACUUAAGUGCAAGGGGUCAUCCCACCUAUUGGACUAGUUUUUUGGAUUGGGCUCUUCCCUUGGGCUUGAGUACCUAACAUUGGUAUCAGAGCCUAGGUUCCCGACGCUGCGAGACUUGGCGAGUGGUGCCGCCUCAUGGUGCCGCCUUGGGAGUAUGGGCUCCCAAGGGUCUUGGAGACGGGCAAGGUAUGAAAUGUCGAUAUUAUCGCGAUAUUUCGCCGAUAAUAUCGGUUUUUUGAGUUACCGAUAUUUUAAUACUUAUCCACUGAGUUUUCGUCAAAAUAUCGCAAUAUUAUCGAUAAUAUCAACAAUAUCGCGAUAUUACCGAUAAUAUCGCGAUAUUUUGGAGAUGUGCGAAUCGGAGAAGAAGGCCGGAGCUUCUACAGCUCCUGCCGACUGUAAAAGAGCACCCUAGACUCCGAUCUAGGUAUCAAAAUGAAAUACAAGACGAGAGGAAUGUUUUUAUAACUUCCGUUUGCCGUGAAACGGUCGAAGGUGUUCGGAAAGUUCGUCGACACCCACGGCCUCGCCAGAGAUGGGUGUGCCUAUUCUCGAGCCGAUUUCGUCCCAAAAACCUUGCAAAAACACGAGAUAGAACUUAAAUUUCACAUCUAAGCUUCAAUCUAGAAUAGAAUGAGGUAAACCCGAAGCUUACCUAACCGGAGAAAUUCAAGAAACUCGCCAGAGGGUUCCUGCGUCGCCGAGUUGCAGAGACGAGAAAGAGAUGGAGAAAGACGAGGUUGCUGAUAACGAUGGGUGUCUUCCUCAAGCAGGUGCGAUGGUGUGCGUGUGUGUAUGUGGGUCUCGGUGCAGAGAGAAAGGAGAGAGAUGAGAGUUUCAAGAAAGAGACGGCGCCAACGAGAGCUAUUUGUUUUUUUUUAUCUUAAAAAGAGAGAGGUCUAAGAGAAAUGGGAAGAGAGGGCCGAGUGAAAUGAAAGGAGGUCCUUGAAUUAUUGAGAGAUAUCUCUGAGAGAGGCCUAGGAUUUCUAAAAGGUAAUUAGAAAUGGGAAAAAUGGGGCACAUCUUAGCCUUUAUUUUGGAAUCCUAAGAAGUUCACCACAUGGAUGCAUGACAUGUGUGCAUGCCAUGUCUGUUGAAUGGGAAAAGUCUGACAUGGAAAGACAAAGAGUCGUUUGGUCCUCUGGGCUCGAGGCAAGAUAGAAAGUGCUAGGGUUUUUUUUUCUGAAAUGAACAUAAGCUGCUAAAUUCGCAUAUAUUAUAGUUGUUGCUAAAGAUUGACACUAGUGCGGACUUGGACGUGUUGGUCAACAUGUCCUCACAAUCCCCAAGUUCUCCGGUUCGAACCCUUACGCCCAUCAAAUUUUUCUUUCUUUUCGAUGCGCUUUUUCCAUGGCUCUAGGUCUUGAUUUCGAAUCCAGGUGAGCCCUUUCCUUUUUCUUUUUUUUUUCUUUUUGUUUUAUUAUUUGUUUAUUUUAAUUUAUUUGUUUCUUUUAUGUUUUUCCUUUCUUUUAGUUUCUUUGUCUUAGGCGUUCGUGUUUAUUAAAGUAGGAUGUAAAAUCAAUUAUCUUAAAAUUAUGUGUUUUUAAAUUUUGGACUUGUUUGUUGGAUACUUUUUUUGCAUUUUAUCAUUAUUUUAUUAUGAAAAUAUGCUAAAAUAUGCUAAAAUAUCACUUAUGUUUUUGUGAAAAUAUGCUAAAAUAUUUAUAUAUAUGGUUUUGUUUUGAAUUCUUUUUGUACUAAUUCAUUAUAUAUAAAUGAUUAUGGUGUGUUUAAACUUCUUUAAUUAAUUACUACAUAUUUUCUAUACUCACAAUGUUUGCUAGCUCGCUAUAUAAUCAACUUAAAUCAGUAAAAUCCAUCAUGCAAUGCAUUUGCUUCCAAUUUUUUGUGAUAAACUAAUAGAUAAUUGAUUAAAUAAACAUCCUGCAAAGUUUCAAUAAAAAUUUCCAAGUUUUUCUUACAAUUUCUGUGGUUUCCAUAUUAUUUUUAUCAAUAUCGAUAAUAUCCCGAUAUUUCCAUCGAUAUUUCCGUGUUUUUGGACUACCGAUAUUUCCGAUAUCAUCGAUAUUUAUACCUUGGCGACGGGGGACUUGCCGACUGGUGCCGCCAUGGACGUUGGGUCUUUCGAAAGGUGGUGUAAUGUUAUGAUCCCACAUCGGCUACACAAGAAAUUGUGUAGUGGUACUUAAGUGCGAGGGGUCCUCCCACCUAUUGGACUAGUCUUUUGAGUUGGGCUCUUCCCUUAGGCUUGAGUACCUAACAAACCCAUAAAUCAAAGAAAUCAAAAUCCACCCAGAAUCAAAGAAAUCAAAAUCCAUCCAAAACCAAAGAAAUCAAAAUCACACACAGAUAUACAAGGUGUACAGUAUUGACAUGCCUUAAAUGAUAUUAUUCACAAGAUUUAUAAAGCUCAUGUUGUAAUACUUGUGCAGAAUCUAUCAUUCACGGCGUCACUUUUGUGCAAGUCGUAAAUAAAAUUAUUCACGAUUUAAACAUUGUGUGUCGUAUUUGACAAUUUAUACUACGCACUUUCUUUUUCUUUUAAAGCUUUGCGUUAUGUCGUAAAGUUGACUUUCUAUAUAUUUGGGUUGUACCUUUUAUGGCGCAAAUAACACGUCGUAAAUAAUGGCUUUUAGCACAGAAGUUUUGUGGUAAAGAAGCCCGCGCACUAAUUCAUUCUCGCGCCUUCUCUUUUUUAUUUAGCCGCUUCUUUUUUUGGUUUUUUUUUUUUUUAAAAUUCCCCUCAAAUCUUAAAAGGGUUUGUAUUUUCUUUGGUAAACUUGAAAGAGAAACAUUGCAAUUGCAUUUUCAUUUACCCAAUAUUAAUUGUCGAGAGCCCACCCCCUUCCCUUCUCUCUGACAUCGUAACUCUCUCCUCUCCAUCGAUCUCGCUCCAUCUGCUCGCCGUCGCUCUAUAUGCUCGUCAUCGCCGUCGAUUCGUCUGCUCGUCGUCACCGUCGCCCAUCUGCUUUCCGUCACCGUCGAAGUGCCCCGCCAUUCAAAAUCUGAAAUCCCCAAUACAGGGUGCUUUGCGGCAUUUCGUUCUCCAAAACUUUAGGUAUGCUCUCAAUCUGUAUCAACCCUAUCCUGUCACCUCUACUUCAAGGUGAACAAUUUAUAGUUUAUAAAUUUUACUUGUGUUAAUAUAUAUUUUUUGGUAAAUGUUAUGGAUAUUUUAUCAAAUCAGAGAGUAAAUUCGUAUUAAGUGAAGAUUGGCAAAGAACAUAUUGUUUUGAAAGGUUGAAUAAUGUUUGCAGAUCACAUAAAUCAGUAGUUGUCAAGUCCAUAAGAGAAGCAAGAAAUCGGAAAGCAAGGCUUCGACUAAAACCAAAUAAUGUCAAAUUAAUUCAAGAUUGGAAGACUUUCCUUGCAAAGUGUAAGCUCAUUUUCAUUUUCUUUCAUUUCUAAGAUUAGUUAUCUUCUUUUGAGUUCAAAAUUGGGUCAGAGAAAUCAAACUGAUAGUAGUUAAAAGUCUAUUUCAACACCAAGCCUUGUCUACACAAGAAUUUGGUGUUAGUUAAACAUGUGUAUGAUUCUAUCUUGAUUGCAUGUUAAUUUAGUUUGAAGAUAGAUUUGGUACAUGCUAGCUAAUUGAUACGUGAUAUGAAUCUUUGGUUUCCUUUUGAUAGGACAAAAGUGAAACAUUCAGAGAGAUGAAGUCUAAGCAACUCCGCACACAUGUAGUCGCAAGGGAUAUGGUAGGUUGGCCGAGGAUUUGGUAAUUACAUUUCAUUCUAGUGCCUUCUUUUCUACAGGACAAGAACAAUUUACUAAUUUUAUUCUGUGUUCUACUGUGUGUUUACUACAUAUAUGUUUCUAUUUUGUAGAAAAGAAAAAGUGUAGACCCUUCUCUAGUUUCUAGAGGUGAUGUUUGGAUUGCAGCACAUACUAAAAAGGGUGGUGGACCAUCCAAUUUGCUUGCUGCAGAGACUAUUGUAAGUAAUUUUUAACCAUUUAUUUCUUCUUGUUUGUUGAUAUGCAAUGACGGAUGAGGUCUUAACUUUGAUGUGCAACGUUAGGAAAAAAAUUAAGCAAUAUGGAAAUGGAUCAUCAUCUGGUUUUCGAGGUGACGUUCUUUCCAAAGUUUUUGGUGCUGAGCGACAUGGUCGUGCAAGAGGAGUUGGAGGUGGUGUUCCUCCUACAAAGCUUGGAAUAUUUUCACAACAAAAAUUGCGUAAUCACCAAAUGGAUGAAAAGGUGCACAAUUUAACUAAUCAGGUCAGAGCACUGACAGAAUUGGUGCAUCUUUUUAUGAAAAAUCAGGUUAGUGAUUUAAUAACAUUGGUAUCAUAUUGAAUAUUUGUGAAAUCAGUUGUAGUGACACAUCAAAUCACAGGGUAAUGAUCUACCAAGUGAGGCAUCUCCUGACACACAGGUUGCAGCUCCUGAGGCACAUGUUGAUACUGUCGCAAGAACUGAAACUCGUCUUUCCCAAUGCGCAACAAAUGAAUCGUGGUGGCGAGGUUGAUACACUUUUUCAAUGAGCCUUCUAACUAUUAAUGCUCAUUGACUCUGUUAAAAGCUCUGCCAUUUUCAAUCUAACUAGACACUAGAAAUGAUCAUUGACUCAGUUAAAAGUUUUGAUGCUUUGGUCCUUUUGCAUAGUUGCGCAUCUACUGAUUUCUAUUUUUUUUCAAAUCCUGCAGGUUAUUUCUGAAAACAUUGAAACAUCGUGGUGUGCCAGAUGGUUUGAUUAUAAGACACCUUCCUUUUGGUCCACCAACUUAUUUAUAACUGCUAAAUGGUACGUAGUGUGAUAAUUUUCAAAUAUUUUGAUAUUAAGACAGGUGUAGGACAACAUAGAAAUUCUUAGGGCCUUCAGCAACAAAAUUAUGAAAAAGUGAGUGAGAUACAAUUAAAAAAAUGAAAGAGAAGGAUCAUGAUUCAUGAUCUAAAGGUUUGAAUAGGGUAGAAAGGAUUUAGUUUCGUUGUUAAAAUCGAUUUGUGAGUCUAUUGUUAUUGUAUUGUCAAUUUGUUUAUUUACUUGAACUUCCUAGUAUCAAUUUGGUUCGAUAUAUCUAGCACCACCAUAGAUAUAUCUAGUAUCAAUUUGGUUAGAUAUUGUCAAUUUGUUAUUUUAUUGUCAACUAUAGAAUGUGCAUCAGUUGUAAAAGGAACAAAACAAUUCAGAUUUUUUGUUUAUGUCCAAACUUAGAAUUGUAUUGUAAUUGACAAUUUCUACUAAUUAAUCCAAGUAUUUGGAGUUUAAUAUGUUUAUGAUCAAUAUUGUUAUCCUUGUAUUGUAUCAGUUUAGAUGUUAUGAAGUGAGGUCUGUCUAAAAAUGAUAUGCUAAAUAUAGAUGUAAAUUACGGCAUCUAAAAUCAGCAAUAAUUGUUGAUGGUAGUCUUUUUUUUACGAUGUAUGCCGUAAUCACCUUCACAAUAUUACGACACUCAACAAAUGCUGUAUCAAAUAUAAAUUACUGCACACUAGUAUGUCGUAAUUGUUUUUCAGUAUUACGACACCCUAUUAACGCUGUAACUAAUACCAAUUAAGGCACGUAGGACAUGCCUUAAGAACAUUUAUGGCGUGUUUUACUUAAAUUAUUCACGACUAUUAGAGUACGUUGUAUUUGUCAAAACAUCUUUUACAACAGGGGCUUUUACUGCUUGGAGGCUCAAGCCGUGAAUUUCCAUUUAUGGCACCCUUUGUGCGCCGUAAAAGGCCAAUUCUAUUGUAGUGAUCCAUGGGUACAUUUUUAAUCUACAUGUUUCGUUUUAAUAUAUCUAUUGCUAUAAUAUGUUUUGGUUGGUUCAAAUUCGUUUUACAUAAAUAUAUGGGUACAAAGUUUUUGGAGAAUAUUAUGUAAAAUGGUUUUUAAGGUUGUUGCAUUUUAUGUACCCACAUAUGCAUGUCUAUAAAACAAUGUGGUAUGAUGUACAUUCUUUUCCUUGAGUUUUUAAAUGUACCCAUGAGUUUUCUUGUAAAUUCGGUAUGUAUCCAUAUGCUAUUUAUGUUAUGGGUACAUACAUUAUUUUUGGUCUAAGUUGGUGGGUACAUUGCUUUUGUAUGUAUGAAUUCAUUGGGUACAUUAUUUCCCUUAAUACUACUCAAUAAAAUUCACAAAAAUGUGCAGUGUGCAUGAAUUUUUAUUGUAGAAAUUGUUUUUUUUUAUUUUUAAUUUUUAAGUCUCAUAAUUCGUGAAUUUUGUACAUAUUGAUCCCAUAAAUUUUUGAAUUUUAUUAAAUUUUUUUUAGACUUGAUCGAUUGAUUGAAUCUCAUAAUAAUCCCUUAAAUGUUCCAAUCAAUAUUUUAAAAUACAGCUUUUUAUUUAAGAUUUCAAAAAGAUGACAUGAAAACAUAGUAAUACUAAAAUUUUGUUUUAAAUUACAUUUGUGUAACAAUCAAUGGUAUGUUAAAACUGGGCAAAAAAAAAAAUGGUAUAUUAAAAAAUUAUAAUUUAUUCUUUUUUUCAUAACUGUCUUCUGCUUAGAUUAAUUUUUUCCAACGUUUCUCUUCGGGAGAAUUAGUUCUUACCAAUAUAUAUGCACAUUAUCUGCUUUUUACCUGGUCUUAACACAUGAUUAAUUACUUUCCUACCUGCUAACGCGUUGACUUGCGCAUCCAAAGUAUUAUCAAAGUCACUGCCACCAAAAAGGUGCCCACUCCACAACCUUUGGUUGAACCAAAGAACAUCACAACAAUAAGGAAAUCGUUAAAUCUAUCUCCGCAACAUUUUUAUUAAUCAUUAGAUAGAUUAAACGAUCCCCCUAUUCAUAUUGUGUUCUUUUGUUGAACCAAACCAUGUCAACAAAAUAUAUCUAUGGUUAAAGCAUCUAGAUUCAAGCUUUUGGAUGUGCAACUUAAACCCCUCAAUGAAUAGCCAAGCAAUUUAUCAUGUGUUUACAGUAGGUCAAAAGAAGAAAGUGUUUGUCUAUAUAUUAAUAGGAACUAAUUCCUCUGAAGAGGAGAGAUGGAAGUGAUGAUAAUAAAAAAAAAAAAAGUCGUAUUCAGUGCACAAGGCUCCCGCUUUACGCAGGGUCUGAGAGAGGUGAAUGUCGGCUAGCCUUACCCCCAUUUUAUGGAGAGGCUGCUCCCAAGUCUCGAACCCGAGACCUACCGCUCAUGGGCGAAGACACUUGCCAUCGCACCAAGUGCGACCUCUAAGGGAUAAGAGAGUAAUCAUGAAAAUUUUGAAAGUGAAAGCAUUGCCUUGGAAUAUAUAUUCUCUUUAGGAAUUCUGUGCCCAACUAAAUUCUAGAUUCUCAAAAUAUGAAAUUAGCAACUUCACCAAACACUUGGACAUGUAACAGGUCACACGUAUGGUACCAACCUUACCAACCUUACCAACCAUCUAUAUACCUAUGUUUUCGAACAUCGUUAGAUAAUUAAAGUACAGUUCACACAGCAUUUCACAUAAAAAUGGCAUCAUACAACACAUGAGAAGUACUUCUUACAGUAGCAGUCUCGUAACAUGACUAUAGUUUUUGUUACUUCUUAAGAAAAAAGAGUUUAAAAUCCUAUUGAAAGAUAAUUGUAGAGACAGAAACCCAAACUAGUUAAUUAGGUUUCUUUACAUCUCAAUAAAAUUGAAGGGAAUGUAUCUAAUAUUAUCUACUAGAGCCUCUACAAUCAUCAUAGAAUCCACAACCCACAUUUUAAUUAAUCGAAAUUCCAUGAACACAAAUAAGCAAAAGUUGAGUGAAGCCUAAGCAAUAUGUGAUCAUUUAGAGAGUCAAACUCCAUCUUUUUAGAAUUAGGGACUUUUCAAUAUGAAAAGGUAACCUCCACAAUCCAAUAUCAUAUGAAAAGGAAAACCCAAGAAAAAUACAGUAUAAUUGUGUGCAAGAGCAACACAAAAAAAGUUGAAGAAUUAGAAAUCAUAAAGAGACUUGAGACGAUUGUUGCUCACUUAGCUAAAGAGCAUUUGCACUUGAGGUCUCGAGUUCGAUUGCCCCCUUUCUUUAGAUCGCUUGAGAGGAAAAACCUACCAUUCUCUAGUCUAAAGAUAUAUGCAUCUUUGACAUGAAUGACUAGAGGGGAAGAAAGUGCAGACAAAUCACACAUACCUUCAAAAAAUUUUAUGGGGUUGGUGAAUGGUGAUUAGGGAUACUGACUUUUAAUAGCCGUUGAUCAGUGUAUAUUGCACACGCCUUCAUCAAUGGCUAGCGUCGGUACAACUGUGAUUGGGAGGGCCUUUUUACGAUAAUAGAUGGGUAAAGGUUUCAUUAGAAGGGGAAUUUUGUUCUGGUUUGCCAUAAUAACUUGAAAUUAAUGGUUUUUUGUAAUCCUUAAGUUAUUGUCAUUUUAGGUUAACUUUGUACCUGGACUCUUUACUGGAGCUAUCAAUUGAAACCCCCAUUUUCUUACCAAAAUAUGAAAAACAAAGAGUCCCAUUUUUACAGCACAGUCCUACUCUAGUUGAAAUCCGAUCGACGGUCAAGAUUUUCUAGUCAUGUGAAAGUAUCACAUAUAUAAAAUUGACUGGAGAAGGCAUGCCACAUUGCCAUGCCCUUGACAGCUUUACUUUGUUUACAAACUUUCUAAAAGAAAGAAAGAAAAAAAUCUAAAAUGGAAGGUGAUAGCGAUUUUACCACUUGUAAAACAAAGGGUUAAACCAUAGAAAAUUCUUGCAAGAGAACAAGUGUUUGUAGUAUAGAAUGGCUCAAGCAAGGUCGAUCUCCUCAGGGACUGAUAUAAACAAUUUACGAGUUUUUAUGUAUUUAACUUAUUUAACUCUAAGAAUUACACUAAUUUAACGAAACUAAAUAUUAUUGGAUGUGACUUAAACAAAUAUCUAAAAUGGGAAUUGGUUUUAGGGAAUAAUGAUUCAACUUAAACAAAACAAGUAAAUGAGGAAAUUCAAGAUAAAAUAAAUGAUUAAGAAAAAUAGAUUGACAAUAUGCUAGAGUUCAACAUUUACCAACAACACUCUUACGUAGCUAUUCCAAUUGCUUAAAUAAUUGAAAACACAUAUGCUUUGAAUGUUGGAUUUUCCUUGUGUAUGUUUUACUUGUGACAUUCAAGCUAAAACGCAUACCACUACAUGCAACUUAUCCAUGACAUUUGAAUUAAAUAUAAACAUGAGUGAUUCAUUAAUCUUGGUGAAAAUCCUUUUGUUAAACCAUAUAAUCCCUAAGAGCAUGAUAUUUACCUUAGGAGAUUACAAUUCUCAAUCACAAGAAGCACAACCAAUUUUAACGUGACAUUCGUUCAAAAUUGCAUCCGAUAACUUUUCUAAGCAUCCUAAUGGUGAUCAAGCAUCAAGGUACAUAGAUAGUUUAAUUCAGUGAUUGAAAAUAUCAAAACAAGCAUGUAACAACACUUAAGCAAUUGAAAAAUAAAACUACGUAUUCAUGUUGCGGCUCAUGGCCUCACUCUAGCAUAAUACUUUAAAUAAUUAAAGCCCAAACAAUUUACCAAAUUUCAUCUCUGUACUCCGCAGAGACGCUAAACGAGACAUAUUUGGUCCAUCUCUGAACAUCUUUUCUUACUGUUCUUACAAUAGAAAGGGCACAAAAUUGACUUACACAGUCUUGCACAAUACUCACUUUGCUUCAACCCAUAUUUCACUUUGUCAAAUCAUACACGUUCCUGCAACAGGUGAACUCAUAUUUAUCUACCACUUCUUGCUAAUUUUAAUUUUUCCAUUCCCAUUUUUACUACAAGUUUUCACAUAAUUUUUUUAUUGCAUUUGUCAAUUCUUUAUACUUUUUAAUUGUAUUUUUUUUUUUGUCUUUUAUGUGUUUUCUAUGUUGGCACAAGGUUACAACAGUAUUAAACAAUUACAGGUCCUCCAGAGGUUUGCUUAUUGCCCUAUUUCAUCAAGCUCGGUAUAAAUAGAUCUUAAUUUUUUACUACAGUUAAAUACAUGGACAUGCCUCCACAAAUACAAAUUAGUUCUUGCUUAAAUACUUUGUGUGUUUACAUAGAAAAUGUUCCCAUCGUCUACCAAAAUCCUCCACACAUGAAAACAAAAAUUCUUACUCAAAAUACUUAUUACAAUACCACCAUAUCUGUUGUUUUUUAUUAAAUUAACACACUGUUUUCAAUUUUAUCUUCAACACAAAAGAAAAUGCUCUUACACAAUGUGUUUGCUUACAUUUUAUAACUUAUCUACCACAUGUUAAUCGCAGUUAUAUAAAUAGGAAAAUACGUGUUCAAUAGAAGUGUGAUGCAUGUCACUUCGUUAACAAUAGUGGAAACUAAACAAUUAAAUAAUUUGUUUCAAUUAGUUAGUACAUUUUAUAAAUUUCUCAAUUAGAACUGUUUCAGUAUAUUUAAUACAUUUUUAAACAACUUUCCAGUUAGUUGCCCAAACUAAUUAUUCCAGCUUAUUCACAGUAUAAUACCAACAAUUUAACAACCAAUGAUACUUCGUUUAACAUAAACUUCAUUUGGAAAAAACAAAAAAAAUCUUUUUCUCUGCUGAAAAAAUCAACAGAUUUAAUGAUGUAGAUCAGUUAUACCAACAAAUUACCAUAGUUUACCCAAUGCUAUACAGGUUUGACUUUUGUUUAUAUUCUUGGAUCUGUUGCUUGGUUGUAUAAUUUGGCUGUGUGUUUUGUUUCAGGACAAUUUGUUCUUCGUUUCUUGAGGCUUCUAUGUGUAGAUUUGAACCGUUUAGCUUUCAAACCGUUUAUACUCAAGGUAAAUAAUUUCGUUUGUUUCUUUUUAACCUUUUUUGUAAGAAUUUUUUAUUUAAUGUUGUGAGAGUUGUGUUUUCUAUAGUAUGGAAAUUGAAUCUUUGUGAUCUUAUAUCGUUAGAUACGUUGCUUGGUUAAUGUGAACACGGAAAAUUCCCGAAACGAAAAAGACAAGAACAACGUGCACAAACAAAUAUUUUGUAUUUGAUGAUUAUUUUGGGUUACAAUCUCUCUCUAAUUUGAUCCUCUGAUUCGAUCUCCGUAAGAUAUUGGUUUGUGGAUGUGCGAUUGAUCCAAGGGCCGUCGAGGCUUGAUCUUGGAUGAACGGUGAUGAACGGAUCUUCAAGGGCUUUUGGGCUUGAUCUUGAAGAAUAGUGAUGAACGGGUCUUCAAGGGCUUUUGGGCUUGAUCUUGAAGGAUGGUUGGAUGUGUGGAUUUGUCGACGUUGUUAAUCCAAAGGGCUGUUGGGGCUUGAUCUUAGGAUGAACGGAUGAUGAACGAAUAACACUUUCUUCAAGGGCCGUCGGGGCUUGAUUUUGAAUUGGUGAAAGUUCUUCAAGGGCCGUCGGGGCUUGAUCUUGAAGGUAGAUGAUUGUUGAUCCAAGGGCUGUCGGGGCUUGAUCUUGGAAGAACGAUGAACGAAGAACGAAGAAGGCUUUCUUGAUUCUUCGGGAACCUGGAUGCUUGAGAGCUUCGGAGUUUCAGAGCUUCAGAGCUUCAAGGUGUAAUAUGAAUUUGGUUCCCUUAAAUGAAUGAAAUUGGCUUCUAUUUAUAGAAUUUUCCAAGGCCUAAUUUUGAAUAUAAUAUUCCAGAUGAAAUAAGUCGUUUCUGCCAAGUGUUGACACGUGUCCUAUUUGAUGACUUUUCCGACUCAUUUCAAUUUUUCGUCGAGUCACACACUACGUGUAAAAUUUAUGUAAUACAUGAGCGUUGAAACUUUGAUUUAUCAGUCAACAUUUAUUUACCAAAAUUUCGAUGUCUACAAAUGCCCCCACUUCAAGGCGCGUCGUAUACAUGUGCUUGUCACGUGUAGGAGAUGCGUUUUGAAGUCCCCUUACUGUAGAUGUCGAUCCAAGGGCCGUCGAGGCUUGAUCUUGAACCGGGCUGGAGAUUUCUUCAAGGGCCGUUGAGGCUUGUUCUCGAACUUUGUUCGAAAUUUCUUCAAGGGCCGUUGAGGCUUGAUUUUGAAUUGGGCUGAAAGUUUCUUCAAGGGCCGUUGAGGCUUGAUCUUGAAUUGGGUUGAAAGUUUCUUCAAAGGCCGUUGAGGCUUGUUCUUGAACCUUGUUUGAAAUUUCUUCAAGGGCCGUCGAGGCUUGAUCUUGAAUUGGGCUGGAAGUUUCUUCAAGGGCCGUCGGGGCUUGAUUCUUGAAGGUGGAUGAUUGUUUAUUCAAGGGCCGUUGAGGCUUGUUCUUGAACCUUGUUUGAAAUUUCUUCAAGGGCCGUCGAGGCUUGAUCUUGAAUUGGGCUGGAAGUUUCUUUAAGGGCCGUCGGGGCUUGAUUCUUGAAGGUGGAUGAUUUUUUCUUCAAGGGCCGUUGAGGCUUGUUCUUGAACCUUGUUUGAAAUUUCUUCAAGGGUCGUCGAGGCUUGAUCUUGAAUUGGGCUGGAAGUUUCUUCAAGGGCCGUCGGGGCUUGAUUCUUGAAGGUGGACUCGAACACAUGGCAAGCAGGCACGAGGUGAAGGUGACGGUCUGUUUCUUUGCUCAAUCUUUCCAAGUGCCGACCGAUUGCUUUUCUUUCUCCUUGUCCCGCAGGCAAGAGCAAGGGUAAAAGAAAAGCAUGCCAUGAGAUAUCUUUGUUUUUGACUCUGAUGAUAUGAGGUACUUCUGCUUUUGAAGAAGUUGCGGAUGAAUCGACACGUGCUUUGUUGUGCUUGUCUCCACAUGCUCAGACUCUUGGCAGAAUGUGAAAGGUGGCAUUUUCUCGAGUUACUCAACUCAGACUCAUUCUGCUGAGUUGACUGUGCGGGCCGCAUUCUUCUCUGCUUGUUUCUUCUGGCAGCCUUGCUCUCGAGUACUCAUCUUUAACAUCUUAUGUUUCUUCUUUGUCUACCACACUGUGGAAGACGAGUACUCGAGAGUAAUACCAUGUAAGCAAUCAGAAAAGGGUUCCAAGCAGUCGGUUCCAGAUCGGAAGAUUGAUACCAAGUGUUGGCUGAUUGCUUUCCUUCUCAUUGUCCUACAGGUUAGAACAAAGACAAGGAAAAGGACACGGAGAAUGCAUGAUAUGAGAUACUCUUGCUUUCUCCCUUCAUGAUAUGAAAUACUUUUGCUUUUCAAGAUUUGUUUGCAGAGGUAUCCUAUGGGAUGAAGAACACUGAGUGAGUUGAGAGGGUUUGUUGGAAAGCCAUUUGUCGGAGAUGACGGAAUGUUAUGUAUGUCUGCCUUGCCAUGGAGCGUGAAGGUCGACAUUUGUAGGAAAUAAUAACUGGUACUGUUCUUUCACUCCUGUCGGCAACCGUUGGAUGAUUGAACAGUAAACUUCACGUGAUUUCCUCAAAGCUUUUUCUGCAUGCGACAAGUGCUGACGAGGCUGAGAGAGACAUGCGAUUGGAAUCGGCGCUUCGACAAACUUUUCCAUGAUUUUCGCAAAGCUGACGAGGCUGAGAAAGACAGAUGGUUUGGAAUCGGCGUUUCGAUAAACUGCCCGUGAUUUCCGCAACGCUGACGAGGCUGAGAAGGACAGAUGGUUUGGAAUCGGCGUUUCGACAAAUUGCCCGUGAUUUCUGCAACGCUGAGUUUGCGUGUGACAGGUGCUGACGAGGCUGAGAAAGCUGACACUUCUUCGAUUUUUGAGAUCAGUCCGUGAUCCUUGAGUAGGCCUAGCUUUGGAGAAAGCAGGCGCUUCAUCGAUCUCUGAACUCGCCUCUUCGAUCUCUGAAAGCCCAUCGCAUGCUGUUUUUUUAUAGAGGUACGCAAGACAUUCAAAGCACACUUGAAUUUCUACCUGUGAAAAAAAACUCCCCUUUUGCAUAUCUGAGAUCUUUAAUUUGCCCGACCUCUUCAUUUUGUUGAACACCUUCGGAAAUGUCUUUCCCAUCUGACCGUCGUCUUGACUUGAAUAUCGAAGAAGAUAUUGACAUGUCUUCUCCAGGCAACAUUUGGCAGCUGUCCUUCGUAUCCUCCAACGAACCUCUUACGGUUGGGGACACUGUGAUGAGGAAUGACGCAACGGCUGCAGUGGUUGCUAGAAAUCUUCUCACUCCUAGGGAUAGUAAGAUGCUUUCCAAGCGGUCCGACGAGAUGGCUGUUCAAGACUCUCUGGCCUUCAGCGUCCAAUGUGCGGGCUCAGUAUCAAACAUGGGCCAACGCCUUCUUGCUCGAUCUCGUCAGGUUGAGUCUUUGAUGGCCGAGGUGGCUAGUCUUCGGCAGGAGAUCAGAGGGCUUAGGCACGAGAAUAAAGAGUUGCAUAUGCUAGCAACUAGUUACUCAACGAGCAUGAAGAAGAAGCUAGACCAACUGCAGGAGUGUGAAGUUCGGGCUCGAAAUGAUCAUCAAAGGUUUAUGGCGUUACUCCCGAGGCAUCUUCUGCCUUCGUCAUCUGGCGCUUCACCAAAUGUUGAGGCUCCGGAAAAUCAAACUCUGGCGCUUCGUCUUUCUGGAGCUUUACCAAGUGUGGAGGCUUCAGUUGAUCCACCUCCGGUGCUUCGUCUUUCUGGAGCUCCGUCGAGUACUGAGGCACCACAUGAUCAUCCUUGAAGAUCCUUUCCUGUAAAUUUGAUUUGACUUUUUUUUUAAGGUAUGUAUAAUGUAAAAUUUCUAGAAAAAUAAAAUGGACUUUAUUUCUCUGAACAUGUUUUUUUUGUUUUUUUUUUUGGCUGUAUAUUUUCUCUUUAAUCAUGGUGCACCCAUUUUCCACAUGGUGCCAGACGGACCAAAGAUCAAACAUUUCCUUUUUUUAUUUUUUUAUUUUUUCUUUAAUCAUGGUGGCAGACGCAUAAACAAUUUCAUUUAUAUUUUUUUUUCUUUUUGCUGGCACAUGGUGCCAGAUGCACCAUUCAUUUAUAUAUAUUAUUAUAUAUGUUUUUUUUAUUUUUUUUUAUUUGCACAUGGUGCCUGAUGCACCACCUCUUUUUUUUUCACGUGGUGCCAGCAUCACUUUGCUCCACCAUCCAUUUUUUUUAUUUUUAUUUUCUGUAUAAAUUUGGGUGAUGGGUAGAGGAUUUUGCAGGCAGGGAGCAAGGAGGCCGAGAAGAUGGUGCUUCGAACUUCAUGACCGGCUAGUCGUUUGACGGCGGUCGUUGAAGUCGUUGGCAGUUGCGAGGCAAAAGACGGAGGAGAAGGUGGAGUAGGUGACCUUGAUGUCGGAUCCAGCUAGAACCCAGAGCACAGCGACUGAGCCCAAUCACCGAGCACAACCGCUGCACACCCGUUGUACUGCCACCGAGCACUGCCACUGCGCAUCUGUUGCACUGCCAAUUGCUGCAAAGGAUUAUGUUUAACGGCGGAGACGCUGCCCUAUUUGCCAUGCUAUGCCGACGUGCUUCACAUAAUUAACCAUCCAGAAUUGUUAAACAUUCCAUCUGGGUUUAUCGCAAAAACAGAAGAAGAAAAAAACCAAGAUCCAUCCAUGCCAAACACCAAUCUGCCAUCUUUUUGGGAUUUGUACGACAUCAUCAGCCAAAACCUGCUUGGUCCGCUCGCAAAUUGUGGGAGAGGAAGAGUUGGCGGAGCAGCUGUAACACUGGAAAAUGGAGGACGUUGACGAGUCCUCCAAGUUGUUCUUGACGUUGGUGCUGGAGAAACCUGCCUCUCUCAUGACUCUGCUGACACUUGGGUCGUCAAGGAUGGGGAUGAUGAGCUGCUCGAGCUCGACUUUGAUGGUUAAGAGCGGCUGCUGCUGCUGCUCGAUGCAGUCUCUUCUCUGAUGGGCUUGGGCUCUCUUGAGGGCGUUGGAGAGAGAGGGCUGCCCGUGGAGGAGAGGGCAUGGAGUUGUUGGGAGAAAUCAGGGCCGGAAUGGAAAAUAUUCCCGAGCUGCAUCAACGAGGAGAUAACACCGCUAAGUUAUUCAUCUGGUUUGCUUUAGUCAAAUGGAUCAAUCCGCGGGUCAUGCUCGCUUGCCAUCAUCAUCCCAGUGCACAGGCAUGUCGGGCACAUGACCUUUCCAGCACCAGAGCAAUUUGGGCACCUCUCAGUUGUGGGCACUCGCAAAGGUUGGUCUGAUGCACUAGAUGCUGAUAUAGGAUUGAUGUUCAAGCACACUCCACUUGCAGAACAUCUAGCACAGGCCAAGUACCCAGUUCCAUGGCAAUAUUUGCACCUUUUCUUCUCUUGCUGCUCAACAUUAUUAGCUUCAAUCAACAUCAAUGCUGAAAUGACACCCACUGCCCCACCGGAGAAGGAUGCCACAAUAGGAUCAACCUGACUUAAUUGUAAAGGCAGAUGCAUGCUACGAAUGAAAUCUUCAUACGAGGUACCUCCUAUACCUAAUUUUAGUUCCAACGAUGGCGCAAUGAGACCCCCAAAUACAAUUACACUAGAUAUCAUAGAUAAGCUUGUGAGGUAGAGCUGCUUCAACGUCUUUGGUGUCAUAUGAGGGAGAAAAGGGAUAGUGGAUGGAAUGUCAGGCAUCUCAUUUGACUCUUCCUCACAAGCCUCAUCCAUAUCUCUCGCCAUCUUUAUCCGUUGCUGCACCCGCAAUCUCCUUAGCUCUUCCAUGAGAAGAAAAAUCUUGUUGUGCCGGCUUCUUAUGUUGUCCUAAAUUUCCUGUAGUUGCAUCUGCACAAAGUCCUGCACCGUCUCCGGCUCUUCUAUGAUACAAAAAGUGCUUGGCGUGUUAUCGCCGGGGAAUGAUUCCUUGGAAGCAGAACAGGAAAUUUGGGGAUGCGGGGAGGUGAAUUUGGACAGAGAGAGACGUCUAGGGAUUCCAUGGGAGGGGGGUUGAGAGUGGUUUUUUGCCGGCGCCUCUAGGGUAGUCGUCGUUGGCUAUUGCUAUAGAGAGGUCAAUGACUUCACCGGAGAUGGCGUUGUUCUGGAGCCCGAGCGUGAGAAGCCGGGUGAGAUUGUCUGGAAAGGGUCCCCAGAGGUUGUUGUCGGCGAGGUCGAGAAGCUUGAGCUUGGUGCAAUUGACGAGAGGAGAAACGGUGUCGUUGAGGCGGUUGUUGUGGAGGUCGAAGAGUGAGCUGGGCGAGAUCAGAGAACCUUGACGAAUUCGGAGCGUUGAGGGUUAUCAACACGAUCCCAUCGACGAAGAAGAAGCAGAAUGGGCCUCUUGCGGGGCCUAUGGCAUCAACCGGUCUUUGGGCUUCUGGGCCAGUAAAUUGGAGAGAAGCCUGGGCUUUUGACUUGCAGAGAGAUUAGGCUCUGGGAGCCGCUUGUAGUAUUGUGGCUAAAGGGGUUGCUUCCUGUGGCCACUUAUAUAUAUAUAUUUUGUAAAUACAUAAAACAUUUAUCUCUUUUUUUUUCUUUUUUUUUUGUACAAAGAAAUUGUAAUAGCAUCAAAACUUUUAAUAAAAUCUUUAUUCCUUAUUUUGGUGUGACUGAACUCAAAUUUUGAAUAUUCGAGUUGCCUACGUACCUCUCCAAAGAAGAGAUCAAGUCGUAACGUAGUUCAAAUGAGUGAUGAAUUUAACAGUGAUUUUGAUGAUGAUUUUGUCGUACACAGUUUAUGCUCUUGCGGGCCAGGAGCUUUGGUUCGUGCAGUUUAGGCUCGUGCGAACAAGGAGUGUUGGUGUUGCCUUUUAUGCUCGUGCAGACCAGGAGCGUUGGUGUUGCCUUUUAUGCUCGUGUAGACCAGGAGCUUUGUGCCAUGCAGUUUAGACUCGUGCAGGCAAGGAGCGUUGGUGUUGCCUUUUAUGCUCGUGCAGACCAGGAGCGUUGGUGUUGCCUUUUAUGCUCGUGCAGACCAGGAGCUUUGUGCCAUGCAGUUUAGACUCGUGCAGGCAAGAAGUGUUGGUGUUGCCUUUUAUGCUCGUGCAGACUAGGAGCUUUGUUGUGCCAUGCAGUUUAGGCUCGUGCAGGCGAUGAGCUUUGGUUCAUGCAGUUUAGGCUCGUGCGAACAAUGAGCAUUGUGCCAUGCAGUUAGGCUCAUGCAGGCGAGGAGCGUUUAUUGGUUCGUCAAGCGAUCCAGGAGAGUCGUUCCUCGCAAUCUUCAUAGCAAGGAGCCUUGACUGAGUGAUUGAAGAAGUCUUUGGGGAAGAAAUCGCGCAUCGUGAUGGGGAUGGACGAUAUUUGUGUCGUCAUUUCAUCAUCUUCAACACUUUCACUUUUCUUUGAAGGUUGACAAGAGCUGCUUUGCCCCAUUUCCGAUUGGCGGACUUGUGGAUGAGACGUAUGCUUCUUCUGCAGUUUCUCUAGAGUGACAUGAGUCAUUCCUUCAACUUCGCUUGGCUCAACUGGCAUGGUUUUGGAGCAUGCCCCCAGCGAUUGAGGUGAAGAUUUUGAGUUGACAAAGCCGGAAGUGACGUCUUCUUCCAUGAUUUCAUCUUCUUUGUCUUCUUGGGCUUGUUGGCGUGAAGAUUGGCCGGCGUAGAUGAUGGUGCGCCUCUUUACCUUCAGUGGUCCUUUUGUGUCGACCUCCCAAGCUGUUUGGCGCUUUAUCCUUGAAUGAAUCAAGCUUCGAACGUCGUCUUUUCCUGCUAGACCGUCGAGCUUUUCUUCCUUUGGCGUUGUCUUCCUAUUUCUAGAAUGCUUCUUGGUUUCUUCAAGUUUUUCCAAAGCCGAUCGUUGGGGAGGAGAGCCAGCCUUGCUGCUUUGUUUCUUAGGUUUUGACAACCUUUCAAAAACAGAGCUUUGGGGUGUUGGCGUGUUAAGCCGUUUGAAGAUGGAAGUUCGGUCUUGCCCACCAAUGCGAUCAAGUGCCGACCUUCUGGGUUUUGAACGAUUCAGCCUAUCGAAGACUGACACUCGAAUAGGAGGUUGAGGCUCCUCUUGAUCUUGUUCAAUCCUCAAGCUGAUGUGUCGAGUGCUAGCAUUUUUUGCUUUACUUGAAAUCUUCACGGGUGCAUUUGGUGUGAAGCCAAGUCUAGCUCUGUUGUUGUCAACUCCGUAAUCAUGCUUUUCCAACUUCUUCUGAGUCUCGGUGAAGUCAUGAUCUUUGUCGUUGAUGGUGUUUGAAACCUUCUUCUCAAGAUUUGAAGAGGAAGCAAAGUCGUACCCAGCCUUUAACAUGAGUUCGUAGGCGUUUGGGUUGAGACCUUCUUCGGUCCUCUUAGUUGGAAUGAAGCUUGGGUUCGCUUUGACGCCAUGAUGCGCCUCCAGACGGUUGAUAAGUCCAACGGUUUGCAAGUUUUUCUCCUCCGCAGUCUUUAUCAGCCUUGCAAUUGUUUCCUUCAUCUGAACUAGUUGUUCUUCAAUAGAGGUAGCGCCGAUGGUCAUGACUUGUUCUUUGUUUGAAGCCAUGAAGUGUGCUUGAAUUUCUUGAACAGAGAAAGAGAUGAGAGGUAGAGAUUGUCCCACUGGGCGUGCCAAUUUGUGAACACGGAAAAUUCCCGAAACGAAAGAGACAAGAACAACGUGCACAAACAAAUAUUUUGUAUUUGAUGAUUAUUUUGGGUUACAAUCUCUCUCUAAUUUGAUCCUCUGAUUCGAUCUCCGUAAGGUAUUGGUUUGUGGAUGUGCGAUUGAUCCAAGGGCCGUCGAGGCUUGAUCUUGGAUGAACGGAUCUUCAAGGGCUUUUGGGCUUAAUCUUGAAGAAUAGUGAUGAACGGGUCUUCAAGGGCUUUUGGGCUUGAUCUUGAAGGAUGGUUGGAUGUGUGGAUUUGUCGACGUUGUUGAUCCAAAGGGCCGUUGGGGCUUGAUCUUAGGAUGAACGGAUGAUGAACGAAUAACACUUUCUUCAAGGGCCGUCGGGGCUUGAUCUUGAAUUGGUGAAAGUUCUUCAAGGGCCGUCGGGACUUGAUCUUGAAGGUAGAUGAUUGUUGAUCCAAGGGCCGUCGGGGCUUGAUCUUGGAAGAACGAUGAACGAAGAACGAAGAAGGCUUUCUUGGUUCUUCGGGAACCUGGAUGCUUGAGAGCUUCGGAGUUUCAGAGCUUCAGAGCUUCAAGGUGUAAUAUGAAUUUGGUUCCCCUAAAUGAAUGAAAUUGGCUUCUAUUUAUAGAAUUUUUCAAGGCCUAAUUUUGAAUAUAAUAUUCCAGAUGAAAUAAGUCGUUUCUGCCAAGUGUUGACACGUGUCUUAUUUGAUGACUUUUCCGACUCAUUUCAAUUUUUCGUCGAGUCACACACUACGUGUAAAAUUUAUGUAAUACAUGAGCGUUGAAACUUUGAUUUAUCAGUCAACAUUUAUUUACCAAAAUUUCGAUGUCUACAGUUAAAUGAUUUGGCUGUGUGCAUUGUUUCAGGACAAUUUGUUCUUCGUUUUUUGGGGCUUCUGUGCGUAGCUUUGAAGUCCUUUGUAGUCAACAUAAAUAAUUUUAUUUUUCUUUGUUUUUAGUCUUCUAUGUAAGAAUUUCUUAGUUAAUAUUCUGAGAAUUAUGUUUACUAUAGUAUGAAAAUUGAAUCUUUGUGAUCUUCGAAGUGUAACGUCAUUGCAACAUGGACGACUGCCAUUAUCGAACAUGAAAAACAUUUUGAUUUCUGUACUCCGUCUAGUAGAAAACUCUCGACUUCUUCAGAAACCACGAGAAACUUAAAACUGAGAAAGCUUCGCGGUCUCCCUUCCAUCUCUGCUACGCGGUCUCUGCUUUGCGAUCUCUGCUUCCUUCGUGAUUUCUUCCUUCCUGAACGACAUCUAUUCGAAUUGAAAACCUUCUGGAGCUCUCUUCCCCAAAUUUCAGCAGCAACUUUGCUCCAGAUCUUUCCAAUUGAAAUUCCUCUCCUUCACAUUUUGCAUAUUGAAUUUCGCAUCAUCAUCAUCUCCCUAGAACCUAGGAGUUCGGUUCGGUUUCGAGUUUUCCGACGGAAAUCCGGCGACAGCGGCCAUCGAGGUUGGUCUGAAACUAUUCCUCAUCACCACAGGUACUUUCUACACCUAUUACAUUUUAGAAAAAGUUUCAUGACUUUGUGGAAUCCAAUUUAACGAUUAGAAAAAUUUUCAUUAAUUUUCUGGGUUCGUGAGUUGGAGGGGGAUUAGAAAUUUUUUCAUUAUUUUUCUGGGUUUGUGGUUUUUUUUUUCCAAAACGUUUUUCCUUUCUACUAAUCCAAGUUCCUUCACAUCAAUCUCUCUGUUUUGUUCUUGAUCUUCCUCGAGUAGAAUACCUCUUCUUGCUCUGGAGCGCGUGGGCAGUCUCUCUAAGGCAGCCCAUGACGUCAUUUUCCGAUUCGACUCGGAGGAGGUUGGCUGCUCUUCUUGGCUGAGCUUCAUGGCUGGCCGAAUUCCCCUAUUCCCUUCCUCUUAUACUUUUUUAUAUUCGUUCACCAAAACAAUAGGAAAACGUCUCCGUCUGUUUGAUUGACGGCGAAAAAAAAAAAGACGGAGAAUAAAAGCCUGACGGAAGCUGAAAGCUUGGACUCUGUUUGUAUUUUUAAUGGAUUUUCAGAACACAGGUCAAGAAUAUUGCGAUUUGAGAAAAAAAGAAAGAACCACGUUGACAUAAUAUAUUCACAAUAGGUGUACAAGGUUCAUAAAGCUUUACUGUGGUUCCAUUUUUUGUUAAUGGAAUUAGCCUUUUGUUUUAGGAAGAACUUGGAACCCCCUCCGUCCAUUCUAUCCCCAAUGGAAUUAACACUUAGAUAGUACUAUGACAAUGUGUCAUUAUUUGAUGCAUACCUGUAUAAAUUUAGGCUAAGUGUUUUAUACACAAAUUGAUACAGAUUAACUAUACAAUGAUAACUAUAUACCGGAGAGCUAACUAUACAAUGAUACAUUCUUAUCUGUUAAUUAUCUUUGGUUACCAGCUAUCCAUGUUGCUGUCAUAUUAAACUACACAACAUCAGUUGUAAUUUAUGUCUUAUUAGUAUCAUCAUUUUUGUUCAUUAUUUCAAUGUCUAACAUAACUCCGCCUAUGUCUUACAUGGCCGGUCCCAAGCCCGGAUAAAGGAGGAGGGGGAGGGCGUCAGGUAGUCGACAGCCGGCACUCCAUGAUCACGUCGAAUCCUUAUGAAAAUGAAUCCAGAACAAAACCCCACUUAGUGGGAAAAGGCUUUGUUGUUGUUGUAUUUCAAUGUCUAACAUGAUGAUCUGGUUUCAAUUUGCUACAGGCAUUAUUUCCAGACAAUAGCUAUGGUUUUGAUUGUAGCGGUGACUGAAAAAUUAUUCCGAAACUAACAUUUGAGGAAUUCAAGGUUUGUUAGUUAAUUUGUACAUCAGAAUACCAUGACAAACUAUGAAGUUGUAAUUGUUGACCUUACAAUGUAUCUUUUUUGGUUUGGAGCAUUAGACUUAUAUGUGUUGCUUUCACCUCAUGAAGGCUAACUCUUUAUUUUAGGCCGUAAGAGUAUAAUUUCUUGGAGAAUCUACAUUGUUGAUAAUUUUUUGAACAAUAUUAUCCCCAAAAUUUCUCCGCAUGUUACCCUCAACGUAGACAUCAUAUAACCAUCAUUGAACUUCUGAACCAAAAAUUUGAGUUUUAUGAUUAUAACUAAACGUCUAUAAACACAUGAUACAGAUUGAGACGAAUGUCAAAUUUAAAAUGGCAUUAAUACAGCUGCAAACUCUGAUUUGCGGGAUUUGAAAUGGAGCAGUUACUUCUUGCUUCACUUCAGCAGCAUAGUCCAGCUUCUAAAUUCAGUUCUCAGGUAUGAGGUUUCUCAGUUACCUCUUUUUUGUAAUAAAACAUUUGAUCAGUACUUGCCAGGAUAUCCAAUUAAUUAGGUCAGUUUUUGUUAGCAGUAAUAAUUUGUUUUUGCAGCUUUAUAUGUGUCUCUGUCUCCAAAUAUGAUGAUCUCUUAAUUUGCUUCUAUAGCUUUUGUAAUAUAAUGAUCUCUUAAUUUUCUUUUGCAUAUCUUCUUUGCUUCCUCUGCUAGCUCUAUAUGAGAUUCCAUCUCCAAAUAAUUAUUCCUUAUUUCCUAUUUUUACCAGAAGCAAAUCAUUGAAUACACAUGGUAAAUUAAAAGGGUUUUAGUUUUUGGAGUAGUUUAAAUUUUUUGUUUGUUAUUGCUUGUAUUGCUGUUAAAUAUUUGAUGGGUAGUUUGAAAUGGGGAACUUGGUUGAUUGAGUAUUAACUUUUAUUAAAUUAAUAUUCUUAUUCAAUAUUGAAUUAAGACUCCUCUUAUUAAAUUAAGACUCUUAAGGCUCUAAUCUAAUGUUCAUGCUCAAUAUCUCCUCUAUCUUUCUACAAUUGGUAAAACUUUUGUAUUAUUAUUCCAAUUUUGGUUACUGGGUUGUGGAAUUUUCCAUUUUUUUUCUGGGUAAUCAAUACUAUAUAUAUGCAUGACAAGUAUAAACAAUAUUUUGGGGCAAAUUUAGUUGUUUAAUUUUUAAUUUUUAUGUGACAGUGAGAUUAUGGUAGGAUUUCGUUUAGAUUCUGCGGCCCAAUGGGAGUCUCUGCUUUGAUAAGAUUGGGGUUGAUGCCAAGAAAGCCAAUAAGCCUACUGUGGACGCCGUAGCCGCCUGGCGCUGUUUUCCAAAAUCCUCUCUCACUUGGUUAAGCAAUUAAGACUUUUUGGUUCAGUUUUUAUUAUGCCCAAUUUUGUAUUUAAACCUUAAAAAAAUUUAAACUGAUAUGGGGAUACUGAAAUAGGCUGCAGAGCUGCCAUCCCUGAAUCAGAAGAUGUUCAGAAGGAAGAAGAAGAACAAGAAGAAAGUCGUGGAAUAUCAAAAGCUUUUAGCUUUGUGAAGGUAUGCUUUUUCCCAACUCACCUCUUGCUUUUGUUGCACUGAAUUGGUAGAUUGGGUUCAAAAAUAUAUAUAUGUGAUUUUUCGUGUAACUAUUUCUUUACAUAAUUACCAAUUGGAGGUGAUUUGAGAUCAUGUAACAUUUCCUCGCUAGAACCGAAGAUUGCCGUCGCUCAGAGCUGCGUUUCAUGAAACAAGUUCAUCUCCUGCCAAUUUUGUGUACCCACCUUUUAUUCAUGAGGGUUGGUGCUUGCUUGCAACACAAUUUGGUGCUAUUAAGUUUUGCGGUUUUACAAUUUGUUCAUGCUUAAACCUCUUUCAAAUUUUCAUUUCUAUGUAAAUCUUGCAGGUAGGACGACACACCUAUCUUGGCAAUGUCGGGAUGUCUAGGCUUGGGUGGAGACGUGGUCUUAUGGAAGAGGUGAAGUAGCUUAGCUCGAUCUCAUUAGCUCUUAUCUGUUCUAUUAUGCUAAGAUCAAUAGUAAAAAGUUCUAUUGAUUUUAUAAUCAAAGAUACAUAUAUUAUAGAAACAGAGGGUAUAUAAUUAAUUUCUUGAUGUAAACAAUUAUAACUUGAGGAACCAUUUAAAGUAUUUUGGUAAUCAGCAUACUUAAACUUAAAUGUGAUAUAUCCGUUUAGUAUUUUUUUUAUACAGUGAUAAUACUUAAGUAUAAUUUACAUCAUAUAUCUUUUGAAGUACAUGAAACUAUGAAGAAAAUGAUAAACCAAAUCCCAUUCCAUCUCUGUUUGCUACUGCACAAUCACAAUCCAAUUCCAACAUGGAAUCCUCAGACGACAUGCCUACUGCAGAACAAGUUUCAUCCUGACUUAACUUAUAUUUAGUCCACGUCCUGUUUAGAUUGUAAUCCUAGUUCUACGUGUGUUUGUAUAGUACUCCUAUAAAUAUCAAUGAACAUCGCUCACUCUAAUUAAGAGUUGAGAUUCUGCAAAUCAUAUUUACUAUCUUUCAUGGUAUCACGAGCCAGCGUCUAACGACAACGGUUCCUAUUAUAAUUUUUUUCUCUUUUGCAGAUCCUAAACUAUGGCAUCUUCUUCCUCCUCCGCUGCUCCCUCCAUCACAAAUUUUCUUACGAUCAAGCUCGACCGCAACAACUACCCUCUUUGGCAUGCUCAGUUUCUUCCCUUGCUGCGCAGCCGCAACUUACUCUCUUAUGUUACUGGCGAAACUCAAUGCCCCUCUUUCUUCUUGAUGACAAUGGUAAAUUCACCGAUAAAGUCAAUCCAUUAUAUAAUGAAUGGAUCCAGACUGACCAGAUGAUCCUAUCUUGGAUUACGAGUUCUCUUACUCCCAAGGUUCUUGCUACGAUCGUCAACAAAAUUGAUUCGGCCUCUGCUUGGUCGUCAAACUCGAAUUAAUCUGAUUGUGAGGGUUUUGUUUUAUAUCAAUAUAUUGCAACAGAAGUCACACUUUGAAGAGUUCAUGCUGCACAGAAAGAUGAUGAAAUGCUACCCGUUGAGUCUAUCAUUGCUCCAUUGGAGACAGAGCUGAAGCUUACUGCAGGAGUUAUACAUUUGUUAUGCAAUAUGACCCCUUUAAUUUUAUUUUAAAACUGAUACAAAAAUACUACAAAAAUUUAUGUAGUAUUUUUGUAUCAGUUUUGAGUGUCUAUUUUGGCUUCCAUAUAUCGUCUGUACAUGUGAGAGGUAUAGUGUUCAAUAUGUAUUUGGUUUCUAUAUUGUUAAUGGAUCCUUUUUUUUUUUUUAAUUUUAAUAUAAUUUUAUUAAGGUAACCAAGUUGCAGGAUGACAUCAGAACACUUGAUCUGCAGGUAAACCUUCAAUUUCCAUAUGAAGUUUGCAUGUUCGUUGUUUCUGGAAUUUGAGUUUUUAUUAUUUCUCAAUUCUAUCACAUAGAUUACGAUUUCACAUAUGUGAUUAUUAAUGGCAAUUAUAUGAUAGAAGAAUUGGGAUUGGAAGAAGAUAUUGAGUUGUUUAUUUAUGGGGAUUAGAAAAUGAUUAUCAUACAAGUGAUAUUUAUUUUUGUGUGGAUUGUUAAUAUAUAAAACUAUAAGCUUUUGAGAUUGGGAGAUAAAACCCACAAAUUCAAAUCAGACAAAAUAAAUAAAAAAUUUAACUGACUUAAAGAUCAAACUCCAAAAGGGUAUUAAAAACAAGGCUUAUUUGAUCCAUUGAGUGUGAAAGUUUUGAGCUUUGAAGAAGCAUAGGAGGAGAGUUGUUAACCAAGCUGCAUUAUCCAUGUAUUAGGAUGUUGAGGGUAGGCAGGAAAAAUACUUUUUGACGCCAUAUCCAGAGGAGCAUAACGACAGGCCUGCAUUUUUGCAGCAAGGACCAAAACAAGUAGAAGUGAAGGCUUGACUGUUUGGGUAUUAAUCCUAAACCUAAUUAUUCUUAUUUAGGUUUAGGAUAAAUGAUUGAGUGUGUCUCGAUGAUUGUAUUACCAUGUUUGAUGAAUGACUUGAGGAGUUGGAAAUGGUUUAUUGCUUAUGUUUUUCUUAGGUGUGUACUUUGGUUAUUUCCGAGCUUUUCACGACUCUUGAUACCUAAUAGAGAAAAUGGAAACCCCAACUUUAAUUUUAUGAAUUGGUUUUGGUGCCUAAAAUGAAAUCUAGCAUAGUGAAAUCUUGCAUAAUGAAAUUAUGACAAAUUUCCCUUCAUCUUUAGAUUUUCAUUUAGUUCAAUUUGUAUGCAAUUUAGGGUUAUUCAAUUCAUGAGUGAUCAAAUUAUGUUUUUAAUUCCUUCUUCUUUUGAUUUACAGUUCAACAUUGUCGUACAAAAUGAAAAAGGUGCCAGUAACAUAGUUAUGGAUUUGGAUGCCUUUAGCGGAAUAAAACUGAAUUUUUUAACUUUGUAUAGUUGUAAACAUAAAAUACUCCAUCAGAUAGACUCAUAGCAUUUGAAAACAAUCCUUGAGGAUGGCAUAACAACAUCUCCAACUUUUGUCAUGUAAUGUAUGAAUGUAAAUAGCACUUUGUAAACAUAUGGAUGUAAUAUAUGUAUAUAAACAGUCUUUAGCAUGUAUAUUUUUCAAAACUUUCUACAUCUUCAACAAUGUUUCAAUGAUUUCUUGAUGUAAACAAUGAUAAUUUGAAGAACCAUUUAAAGUUUUCGGUAAUCAGCAUACUUAAGCUUAAAUGUGAUAUAUCCGUUUAGUAUUUUUUAUACAGUGAUAAUACUCAAGUAUAAUUUACAUCAUAUAUCUUUUGAAGUACAUGAAACUAUGAAGAAAAAACCCUAAUUAAUCUGAUUAUGGGGGUUUUGUUUUAUAUCAAAAUAUUGCAGCAGAAGUCACACUUUGAAGAGUUCACGCUGCACAGAAAGACGAUGAAAUGCUAUCUGUUGAGUCCAUCAUUGCUCCAUUGGAGACAGAGCUGAAGCUUGCUGCAGGUGGUAUACUUUUGUUCUGCAAUAUGACCCCUUUAAUUUUAUUUUAAGACAGAUAGGGUUGAAAAGAAUUUAUGUAGUAUUUUUGUAUCAGUUUUGAAUGUCUAUUUUGACUUCCAUAUUUGGUCUGUACAUGUGAGGUAUAGAGUGUUCAAUAUGUAUUUGGUUUCUAUAUUGUUAAUGGAUCUUUUUUUUUUGUUUUUUAGGUAACCAAGUUGCAGGAUGAAAACAAAACACUUGAUCAGCAGGUAAACCUUCAAUUUCCAUAUGAAGUUUGCAUUUUUGUUGUUUCUGGAAUUUGAGUUUUUUGCAGGAUGAAAACAGAACACUUAAUCUGCAGGUAAACACUUGAUUUGUUAUUUCCAAGCUUUUCACGACUUUCGAUACCCAAUAGAGAAUAUGGAAACCCCAACUUUAAUUUUAUGAAUUUGUUUUGGUGCCUAAAAUGAAAUCUAGCAUAGUGAAAUCUUGCAUAAUGAAAUUAUGACAAAUUUCCCUUCAUCUUUACAUUUUCAUUUAGUUCAAAUCGUAUGGUUUAGGGUUAUUCAAUUCAUGAGUGAUCAAAUUAGGUUUUUAAUUCCUUCUUCUUUUGAUUUUCAGUUCAGCAUUGUCGUAUUUUGGAUGCCUUUAGUGGAAUAAAACUGAAUUUUUUUAACUUUGUAUAGUUGUAAACAUAAAAUACUCCAUGAGAUAGACUCAUAACUUUUGAAAACAAUCUUUGAGGAGGGCAUAACAACAUCUCCAACUUUUGUCAUGUAAUGUAUGAAUGUAAAUAGCACUUUGUAAACAUAUGUAUGUAAUAUAUGUAUAUAAACACCACUCUUUAGCAUAUAUAUUUUUCAAAACUUUCUACAUCUUCAACAAUGUUUCAAGCCCCGCGGCAACGGGCGGGUACACUUGCUAGUAUACAUCUAAAAUUAUAAGACUAAAUCCUUUAGUUCUUGGAUUCAUCUAAGAACUACUUAUUCCAGCAGAUGCUAUGCUUGCACUACUAGAAUUUAUGGCUUGCCCUGUCAACUAUUGCGCGACAGAAGAUUUCGUCGGUUUCACCUUUUUUAACCGACAGAAUAUAAGUUUAGUAGGGCAAAAUCAGUCAACAAACUGGGUUGAUUGAAUAAAUUUACAGGAUGGCUAGAGUUCGUAGGUUAAGACAUCGGUCGUUGGGCAAACAUUUGGAGCGAAGAUGUGAGUGUUUUAACUGACGAAUAAGCUGGUCGUCAUGUAGAUCUUCUUUCCCGACGGACGGUUCAACAGGUAGCUCUUUGGAUAAUAAUUCAUCUUCAAGGGGAACAGGUUGCCCCUCAGAUGAAUGGUUAGAGGCAAUUGUGAGACUAUAAUUUUCUAGGGCCGGAAUAAAAAAUACAUAAACCCUCACCUAUUCUGUCUCUGUAACCAUCCACCAAAUACCCAUUUUUCCCUUUCUAUUUCUCUCCUAGUAAUUUCCCCUGACCGAAUCACACAAUCCAACCAACUCUCUUUAAGCCUCCCUCACUGAUUCCAUGGAUUUCAUGGACUUAUCCCACCCUCUCUCCUUCCUUCUAUAUAUAGCAAGUCCCCUUGCCUCAGUGUCCCUGGCAACAGAAUUUAUGGCGUUUCUUCGUUCUUUCAAUUAUUUGAAAGCUUCCCUGCCCUGCAAUCUUGUAUAAAGGCGUAUGGUGUUUCAUCAGUUCCAUUUGGUGGUCGGGUGGGAAAUGAAAUUAAAACACUGCAUUUCAAAUGCAUUUCAAAUGGUCUAAACCAAAUUGAAUCAAAUGUGAAGCAAAGGGCAAGAGGUGUAGAUUGAAGAACAAUGGCACCAAGAGCGAAAUUGAACUUGUUGACAGGAGGAAACCAAGUAAGGAUAACACGUCUAAAUCUUAUUUUGAAUCCAUUCAGCUCAUGAUGUUUUGAAUGAUGAUGAUCGGUAUACUCUGCUACAUGCUGUGAUUUUUCCGCUUUCAUGUAAUUAACGGCUUAUAUUUGUGGUAACCAUAUUGAUUAAAAAAGGUCGUACCCAGUGCACAAGGCUCCCGCUUUACGCAGGGUCUGAAAGGUGAAUGUCGGCUAGCCUUACCCCCAUUUUAUGGAGAGGCUGCUCCAAAGUCUCAAACCCAAGACCUACCGCUCAUGGGCGAAGACACUUGCCAUCGCACCAAGUGCGAUAUUGAUUAAUUUCGAGAAAUGACAGUCUAAUUUUUGCAACUGUCUUUUGCAGGCAAAACAAAGACGUUUGCAAGGGUGAGUUGUGUAGGAGCUUUGUUUCAUGUCCAAAGGACACUUGAGAAUAAAUGUUUACACUCAUGGAUAAUAUCUAUCUAUUUGCAGGAGUAACCCUGGGUUCAUUUGUUCUGUAACUGCUGGUCAUUGCGGCAUAUCACGCCUAUAGCACUGACAAAAGUAAAAAGAGAAUCGAAUGAAAUUUGAUAAGUUUUCAGCGGACUACAAAGAUCUUAAGCCAAGCAUAUAUUCCCAUGCAGAUAUUAAGAGGUUUACAAAUCAAUUCAAGUACAAGUUGGGCCAAGGAGCAUACGGAACUAUUUUUAAAGGAAUGCUUUUUUCUGAAUGCUUUGUUGCCAUGAAGUACUUAACAAUGGGCCAUAUUCACCAUGUCAAUGUGGUUCACUUGGUUGGUUUUUGUGCUGAUGGAUUUAGAUGAGCUCUGGUUUAUGAGUUCUUUUCCUUUGGUUCACUCCAGGAUUAUAUUUCAUCAGUAGAUAGAUUUCUUUCCUUGGUUGGCAUAAGUUACAAGAUAUUGCUAUCAGCAUAGCCAAAGGAACCAAGGAUGUGAUCUACAAAUCCUCCAUUUCGAUAUCAAACCCCAUAAUGUUUUGCUCAACCAAAAAAUCACGCCAAAAAUCUCUGAUUUUGGUCUGGCCAAGUUAUGUUCCAAGGAUCAAUCGGCGUGACUAAAGCAAGGGGGACUAUGUGACUAAAGCACCCGAAGUGUUUUCCAGGAAUUUCGGAAAUGUGUCUUACAAGGCAGAUGUCUUGAAUGCUGCUGCUUGAGAUGGUAGGAGAAAAGAAGAAUAUUGGUUCAACCAGAGGACACGACAAAUGAAAUCUACUAUCCAAAAUGGAUUUAUAAUCUUCUAGAGGAAGGAAAUGACCAACAGAUCCCUAUUGAGGAAGAAUGUUAUGGUAAGAUUCCAAAGCAACUUGCAAGUUUAGGGCUCUGGUGCAGCCAGUGACACUCAGUGGAUCGGCGGUCCAUGAAAACGGUGGUUCGGAUGUUAGGAGGAGGAGAAAACUUGAUGAUGCAAGCAACCCUAAAAGCCUCAUACAGUUAGAAGCAAUUGCUGAAUUAGAGUAACAUACGUAUAUGUAUACGCACCAACACAAGUCGUUCUUAGAUGAAUCCAAGCCAAACAAUUACAGACAAUAGUUAUUCACUAAAUCACUUUAAGGCAAGAAUUUAAUUAAUAAUACAUUACUGCACUUUCUUAACCAUUUGACUAUCACCUAGCUGACAAUGAACACGUUAGCUCCGCGUUAGAACAUCUUGGGUUCAAUUCAUUGUCUUGAAUAUCACCCACUGUCACAGGCGUCUUUUGGGGGCAUAGAGAAGGCCUGAGAGGCAUUUGCAGACAUUCAACAUCUCCUCCAAGCAUUUUGACAACUUUGGACAUCGAAGGGCGAUCACUUGGUUUCAUUUGAAUACACCACAAGGCGGUUAUAACCAUCUUUCUUAUUACUUUCUUUUCCUCCUCUGUAACAUUGUCCAUUUCCAAGUCAUUUCCUACAAUAUACUGAUCGUAUACCCACAUUGGGAAGUAGAUUUGGCUUGAAUGCUCUACCGUUGGAUUCAAAUUCCUCCUUCUGCUUGCCAUUUCCAUCAACAACAUUCCAAAACUAUAGACAUCUGACUUAUAUGAGACGCCUCCAAUAUUUUUGUAGAACAACUCAGGAGCAAUAUAUCCCAGUGUACCCCGUGCUGCUGUCAAAGAGACAAUGCUAUUAUCUACAUGAUACAAUUUUGCAAGCCCAAAGUCAGAAACCUUUGCUUUAAAGUUCUCAUCAAGAAGGAUGUUAUGAGGCUUGAUGUCGAAAUGUAGAAUUUGCAUUUCGCAACCUUGGUGUAGAUAUUCGAUCCCUUGAGCCACUCCAAGAGAAAUCUCGUACAUGUUCUUGAUAGUUAAGGGGACACUUCCUUCUUUGGAAUAAAUGUAUUUAUCAAGAGAACCAUUAGGCAUGAAGUCAUAGACUAGAGCGCGUUUUGAUCCCUCAACAUAGUAUCCAACAAGUUGCACCACAUUGGCAUGGUGAAUCCUUCCGAUUGUAGCUAAUUCGCUAAUGAAAUCUUGGCCAUCAGCUUUGGGCUUGGCCAAAACUUUAACUGCUACAAAUCGACCACUGCGUAGCUUUCCCUUAAAUACAGAGCCAAAGCCACCUUUGCCCAACUUGUCCUUAAACUUGCGAGUCAUUUUCUUGACGUCCGAGUAAGAGUACCUUAUAGGCAUGAAGUUGUUAUUGCAUUGCAGAAAAUCUUCUAUUGUGCUAUACAUUGAUAAAUGUCUUCUGCGCCAUGUGUAGAUUAGAAAUGCAGUCACAAUUGGAACUCCAAAAACAAAUCUGGCUAGGAAAAAUAACCCUACAUGCAUUGACAUUAAUAUGUUAGAUCCACUGCGUACUACUUUUUCUUCCCUUUCUUUCCAAAUUACUUUGUCUUUGAUGUAAUUAAAGAGAGAAUGGGAAAUGUACAUAUGUUGAUAAUACAAUCUCGUCUUAGUCCUUACCGAUGCAUAUGAGUAUAAACCAUACACGUACUGCAACAAAAUCAAUCGACUAUGAGUUUGAAAAGUGCAUAAAGUGAAAAAAAAAUAAAAAAAAUCAAAGGGUGCCUUUAUUGACAUCCAAAUUUUAGUUAGUUUUACUCAACUAAAAAAUUUUUGUCAUCAAACUUUUUAAUUUGCCGUCGAAAUUGAGUUCACCCAACCCACAAAGCAGCAACUACCACUCACCAAAAAAACCAACAACACACAGCCACCAGUACCAUUCACCAAUAGAAAGAGAAGGAACACACAGACCCACCAAGGAGCCGGCAUCGACGCGUCUACGAGGGAGGGACCGGAGGGUGGUGUAGUUUUGUUGGGCGCGCGGUAGUGGUUUUGUCUGUUCAUUUUCUCUUUGUUUUGGUAGGUGGAGGCUGGUGUGGAUUUGGGCGAACUUAAAAAUGAGGGGAAACUAUGAAGUUUGACAAAAUGUUUUAGUUAGGUGAACUUCACUAAAAUUUGGGUGCCGAUAAAGAUACCCAAAAUCAAAAGACUAGAUGGACUAAUUAAAUGAAGCUCUUACCCAUAUAUAACGAUGGACGCAACUUGCCAGCUGCUGCAGUACAUACCACGGAAAAGUGAGCAAAGACAUACAGUUACUAGGUUUAAGAAGUACAGAUAGAGCACACAAAAAAUAAAAGAAGCUUUUGGGAAGAAACUUCUUACGCAAAUAGAUUUUUUUCAUGACCUACAGUAAAAAAAUGUCAAGAAGAAUACACAACAUUAGCAAUAGCUCACCCAGUCUUCAAAAUUUAAAAAAUCAAGUUUGUCGAUCGAAAACUUGUAAAUAAAACAAAAAGAGGACCCCUUACCGAUUUGUUGCCAUAGAUAUUGAAAGAAACCUACAAGAACAAAGAAAGAACAAGACCACAUGCAUUAGAAUAACAAGUGUGAGGUGUAUAAGCCGUUAGAAAAUAAAUUUAAAAUUCUAGUGCUGUCAAUACAUUGAUAAUAUAUAUAUAUAUAUAUAUAUAUAUAUAUAUAUGUAUGUAUGUAUUAUUUUUUCUGAAAAUUUAACUUUUCCCGUCCAAACUCAUUUUUCUAGUCUCUAGCCCAACAUAUAAUAUUUAUCUGAAUAAAACCAAAUGAUUAGGAUCCAACUAAGAAACUUACCAAAUUAAGUUUGUGUGUCCAUUUUUAUAUUUUUUGGAUCCCUAAUAUACCCCAUCUAAGCCAGUAUGGAAAGGUCUUGUAAUUUUGCUUUAAGUGAUUACGUGCAUUGAAUUUGGCAAGGUCUUAUAGCCAUGAAAUAUGGUUCUAGAUGGAGGAAUUAAUUUGGAAUUUUUUUUAAUUUCGACAACAAAUUUCAAUUUGAAUAUACCUAAUUUAGUGUUUAUUUUCAACAAUAAAUGUGCCUACUUUUUAAAUUUGUAACAAAAUUAAUUUACCUACUUUUUAUGGUAUUAGUGACACACCCUGUCCCGAAGGAGGGCAUGCUGGCCGUCACGAGAGAGUGACGUAACCAUUUGCACAGUACGGAAGCUUUAAGAUACAAUUUAUAAGUUGAUACACCCGAAGGUGAGUCCUAAUUUUUGUCCAAUCUGUCAGAACACCGUCAAAUUCCUCGUAGUCACCACACCUUUGUGAUUCCUGAACCUGGAGGGGCGCAAAACCAAAAUUGAGUGGGUCAGUAAAACAAUUCUUUUCCAAAUCCAAACAUUUCUCAAAACGUUGUAACCCUCUCCGUAAAACUUGUAUACUUUCCCAGAAAUGUAAAAUAUAAAUAUACAUAUAUAUUCUCAAACUUCAUUUUUACUAUCUCAACAUUUUUCUUUAUCAAACAUGCCAUGCCAUGUCUAAUUCAACAGUUAAGUAUGGAUGCAUCAACAAUAAUCAUAUCAGGUGCAAGAAAGUAAUCAACCGGAGGCCCUCUAAUAGCCCUGUACGGUUGAACCUAGAGCUCAAAAUCUAUCACUCUCACUCUGCCGGGAGUCACCUCUGUGACCUGUCCGGCCUUCUGCACACAAGUUACGCUCUAGUGCUUUCUCAUCAAUCAUCUGUGCACAUAAUCUAAGGUCACCCACCAGUCGAAAUCUCACUAACACUCUUCGACUGGCCCGUCGCACCCACUCCGCGUGGACUGUGCGACCAGCAUCUACUUGGAUCCAAGGCGAGCGUGCGAUGCGGUGAAUACUAUAAGCACUAAACCAUGGUGCAGGAUUUGAGCUCAAUAUAUAUCAACAUCAUCAUAACAGUACUUAAAUACUCACCUGAUACUCACCUGUGCGUCCGCCGCACCAAUUCAUACAUAUGCAUCAUAUUUCAAUUCAUAUCAUUUCAUGCAUGGCAAUUCGAUUCACAUUUCUAUAUACAUUUCAUAUACUUCUAUGCAUGACCUUUCAAUUCACGUUUUCAUAUAAUUCUAUAUACCUUUCAUUUAAAACAUAAUUUCAUUCUAAUUCAAUUUCUGGGAAAACGUCAAGUAUAUAUAUACGGAAAACAAAACUGCCCACUCACCUGGAGUUCGUCCAACAACUCCCUAGCACCACACAUCAAGGCGUCAUGACGAUCGCCGUCUAGAACAGUAAUCAAAUCCAGCCUCAGAAUUCAUAUCGAUAGAACAUAUAACUUAUAUAAAAUAUGUCACUACGUAGAUCGAUCCGGAAGAUCUGCCACUCAGAUUUUAAAUCCAUAACUUCCAGAGGUCCACAAUAUAUCUCUAGGAUAACAUCCUAAAAUUUCAUUACCAUCCAACGGUCGGAUCUCCGUCAAUUUCCAAAACUAAGUGACGGUUAACAUUUUAUUUUAUGAACUUACAAUUCUAAUUCCGGAAGAUCCGUAACUCGGAUUCCCAAUCCGUAAGUUCCAAUAAUCCUCAAAUAUUACGUAUUACAACGUAUCAAAGUUUGGUAACGAUCCAACGGUCGGAUCAUCAAUUCACAUUUUCACCUAAUGCGAAAACUAUAAAACGUUAUUCGAACACCUAACCAACAAUCCUUAAUAACUUUCUCAUACGGUGUUCAAUUUGGGUAUAUGAAUAUACCACAGUGAUCUACUCAUUAAAAUAAUUUUUUACUGUAGCACGCGCCCCCACGCGCCAAGGAAGGCACGGACCUACGCGCCCCCACGCGCACCUUCUUCUUCCUUGGGUCGCCGGACUGGUUUUUCCGGCGGCCGUUUUUCAAAUUGCCAUAACUUUGUCAUUUCUCAACGAAAUCAAGUGAUUCAAAAACGAAAGUUGUAGCCCUUGAAGAGACAAAGAGAAUGGUACCUUGCACAACACCUAGUUCGCCGUGGUUUGGCCGGAAACUGCUUCGAAAGCCUCGGAGGUCGCCAGAAACUGGGUAUUUUUCAAAUCAGUAUAACUUCUUCAAUACUCAACGAAAUUGAGUGAAACAAAAAGGAAAGUUGUAGUACUUGACGAGACGAAGAGAUUGAUACCUACCUCGACUCCUAACUCACCGGAUAUUCGCCGGAAAAUGCCUCGAAAGCUCCGGCCAAACUUUGAACUUGUCGAUCUCCGUGUUCUUACAUCCAAAAACUUCCAACGAAGCACUCCGAGCUUCCUUGGGACCUCACUAAGCUCGCUAUGAUCUUGUUUUAGCCUAAAACGUAGUCAUUUAGAAGAUCAUGAACAAUACCAUUUCACGGGAACUUUGAAACUAGGGUUUUCCGAAGCAAAACUUACCUGAAAUGGAUACCAUCGUGAUCGUGGAGGUUCCAGGAGUUUGAUGGUGGUCUUAACUCUGUCGUUGGUGGAAGUUUAAGGUUGUUUUGUGGUUGGUUUGUUCGAACGGAGAAGAAGAGUGACAGAGAGAGUGAGAGAGUCGUGAGGGAAGAGAGAGAGAGACAGCAUGCAGAAAAUAGGGAGAGGAUUGAGGGGUGUGGGGAUCCCACGUGGUCCUUUUCCAAUCCCCAACUCCAAACCAUAAAAUUUUAACCUAAAAAUCUAAGUUCAAUCCUUAAUAAAUUCCAUUUUAUUUUCAAAACUUAGGAACCUAGAUAAUUAUCAACUUGAGCUUCACAUACUUAGUAUUUCUUAAGGGCAAUUUCGUUCAUUCACAGCCACGAAUGUAAUAUUUUGGAACGGGCUGUGACAAUUAGUAUACAUAAAUGUAGAAUAUAUGUCCGUAUAUAUUUGAUCCAAUUAGUAUUAGGGAGAAUGACAAGUCAUCCAAGUCUGCUACUGUUAAUAAUUCUGUUACUGUAAAUUAACUGAUUGUAUUAGUUGUGAUUAGUUAAGAUAGUUAUAAAGUAGUUAGGGGUAUCUAUGUAAAUAGCCAAAGGCUAUAUAUAUUCCUACACAAUGUGUAAAGUUCUCAGUCAAGUAAAUACAAUCAAGAAAACUUACUGUUGAAGUUUUCUGUUUCUACAUGGUAUCACGCCAUUCCGCUUCACAGCUUCGAUCUUUCUCUUCGCUUGCUGCAUCGAUCGACUCUUGAUCGAUUUUUCUUCUCUGAUCUUCUCUUCGCUUGCUGCAUCGAUCGACUCAUGAUCGAUUUUUCUUCUCUGAUCGUCACUUCUUCCCUUCCGAUCUUGUAGUAUUUUCUUGAUUUCUGUCAGUAAUGGCGGCUCAAUCGACUGGUUCAUCUUCUCCGGUCAUCUCCCCCUCGAGCCCAAACCCUAAUUUUCUCUGGAAACCCUAAUUCCUCUGGAAAUCCGAGUCCUCUGACUUCCUACACUUCUCUCUCACAAUUCAUAACAUCGGCAGCAUGGUGCCGAUCAAGCUCAAAAGAUCCAAUUACCUACCAUGGCGCGCCCUGUUUGGCCCGAUUUUCCGGCGAUACAAGCUUCUUGGAGUAAUCGAUGGUACUGACGUCUGUCCAUCGCCAUUUCUGCCUGAUCGUAGCAUCAAUCCUGCUUUUGAGGACUGGUAUGAGAAAGAUCAAAAUCUUUUUGAUCUGGUUGAAUUCCACACUUUCUGAGGAAAUCAUCCCGUUCACGGUUGGGGUUUCAUCCUCUCGAGAACUUUGGGUAAAGCUUGAACAGCGCUUUGGUGGAAUUUCAGAGGCUCAUAUCCAUCAGUUGCGAUCGCGCCUUCAAUCUGUUCAGAAAGGAUCGCGUUCUAUCUCUGACUAUCUUCAAGAACUCAAGGAAAUUUCAGAUUCUCUGCAAGCUGCUGGUGCUUCUGUCUCUGAUCGAGAUCUUAUCGCCGCCACACUACAUGGCUUGCCUGAUGAAUUUGAGUCUUUCAUCGACUGUAUCAUGCUCCGAUUGUCCUCUACCUCUCUGAUGAACUUCAUGGCCUCCUUCUCACAAAGGAAUUGUCUAUGGCCAGACGCAAAACUGUCAGUUCAUCUCCUGUCCCUGAAUCUUUUCAGGCUUUCUCGGUGCAGUCUCAGCCUCAUCUCCUUCCUACUCCAUCUGCUUUUGCUGCUCAGAAUCUCCCUCUUCAAUCUGCAUCUCGGUUCAACUCUAAUCGUGGCAGGAACACUAAGGGCCAGUUCUUUUCCAAUCGAGGUCAUCGAGGUAAUCGUGGUAAUUUUCCUAAUAAACCGUGGCAAUCGAGGUUAUCAAGGAUUUCGCAGCAAUCAAGGCUCUUCUCACUUCAAAGUGCUUUGUCAAAUCUGUGGUUCUACCAGUCAUGAGGCUAUUGACUGCUUUGAUCGUAUGAAUCCUGACAUCUUGUGGUCGUAUUCCUCCAGCUAAGCUUGCUGCCAUGUGUGCCACAACAUUCUGCUAAACCAUCUCAGCCUUGGUUAAUUGAUUCAGGGGCAACCUCUCAUAUCACUAAUGAUGUUGCUAACCUCACCUCUCCUACUCCCUACACUGGCGAGGAUUAAAGUGUAUAUUGGAGAUGGUAAAGGUUUAUCCAUCCUCAAUGUUGGUUCAUCUACUCUGCACACCUCUCAUAAUUCUUUUCAAUUGCGAAAUGUUUUACAUGUUCCCCACAUAACCCAUAAUCUUAUCUGCUUAUCAGUUUUGUUAAUGAUAAUAAUUGUUCAUUGACACUUGACCCUUAUGGAUCCUAUGUCAAGGAUCGUAUUUCGGGGAAGAUGCUUUUACGGGGACCGGUUAGAGAUGGCUUCUAUCCUCUUCAAAGUUCCAGCAAUCUUCAUCCUCUUUCACAUACCGCUUUACUUAGUAUUAAAGCUCCAGUUACAAUUUGGCACAAGCGUUUGGGUCACCCUUCCUCCUCCAUUUUUAGAAGGCUCCUUUCAUCCAAUAAUCUUGCUUUACAAGGCAAGUCUACUGUGGACUUUUUCUGUUCGGAUUGUGCUCUUGCCAAGAAUCAUAAGCUUCCAUUUAAAGCUGCUACUUCAUCAUCAACUCACAGCCUUCAACUACUGCACUGUGAUCUGUGGGGACCUGCCUCAAUCACAUCAAGUAGUGGUUUUCAAUAUUAUUUGCUCAUUGUUGAUGACUAUAGCAAAUAUAGUUGGUUCUUUCCUUUGAAAUCUAAGUCAGAUGUAUUUUCUACAUUUGUUGUCUUCAAAUCAUAUGUAGAAAAUUCACUUGGAAAUAAAAUAAAGGUUCUGCGUUCAGAUUCAGGGGGUGAAUUUACUAGUCACUCUUUUGCAUCAUAUCUCAGCAAACAUGGCAUUCUUCAUCAGUUCAGUUGUCCCCACACCCCUGAGCAAAAUGGUUGUGCAGAAAGAAAGCACAGGCACCUUGUUGAAAACAGCUCGCACUUUGCUUCUUGCAUUCUCAUGUCCCUCAUAUUUUCUGGGUUGAAGCAUUCUCCACUGCUAUCUAUCUUAUUAAUCGCCUUCCUAUUUCUGGCAUUUCACAGUCCCCUUGGCAGUUGCUAUUUCACAACCAUCCAGACUACUCUAAGCUCAAAGUAUUUGGUUGCCAAUGCUUUCCUUGGCUCAAACCUUACUUUCAUAGCAAAUUGGAUCCCAAGAGCAAAAAGUGUGUUUUCUUGGGGUAUAGUCUUCAACACAAAGGCUAUAGGUGCCUUGAUCCUAUCACCAAUCGCAUCUACAUCUCUCGUCAUGUCUGUAUUCGAUGAAAGUACUUAUCCAUUUCAGUUGUCCCACAUUCAACACUCUUUUCCUGUUCCAAGUCCUCCAUCUUCCUCACCAACAAUUUCUUCCUCUCUGGAUCUUCAUUUUUUAGCAAACACAUUCCUCCUGUUUUCAGUCAGCCAUCUACAUCACCAUUAUGUGCUUCUGUGCCUGUUCCUAUUUCUUCAUCUUCAUCUUCCCCUGCACCUGUCUCAGUUGGCUCUUCUUUCCAGUUUUGUUCCUCCUUCAGCACAUUCAUCUUUCUCCCAAAAUCAACAGAGUCAUCCUCCUGCCCCUGUUAAUUCUCAUCCAAUGAUUACUAGAUCCAAGGCUGGUAUACUCACGUCGAGAGCCUGUGCAGCAACUAAGCACCCACUUCCGGUUGAUAUGGAUUAUGUUCCUACAACAUACUUGCAAGCUUCUAAGCAUGCUCAUUGGAGGCAAGCUAUGCAAGAUGAAUUUAAUGCCUUGCUAACCACUGGUUACUUUGGUCUCUUGUUCCUUCUCACCAUUCUCAAAACUUAGUGGGCUGCAAGUGGGUUUUCCGGAUUAAGAAGAAGCCCGAUGGCACUGUUGACAGAUAUAAAGCCCGGCUUGUGGCCAAGGGUUUUCAUCAACAAGAAGGUAUUGACUUUUCAAGAAAACCUUCAGUCCAGUUGCCAAACCGGUUACAAUUCGGAUCCUUCUUACCCUUUGCUGUGCAAUAUAAUUGGUUUCUCAAUCAAUUGGACAUUAGUAAUGCCUUUCUUCAUGGAGACUUAAAGAGAGGAUGUCUACAUGCAACAACCCCCUGGUUUUGUUGAUCCCUUUACCCUACAUUUUGUAAGUUGAGGAAAUCGUUGUAUGGUCUCAAACAAGCUCCUCGAGCUUGGUUUGAUAAACUGUUCCAAGCUCUUCCUCUCUUGGAUUCACCCAAUCAUCCUCAGAUGCUUCUUUAUUUGUUCUCAAUGGUCCUCAGUUUAGUCAUUGUCCUUGUCUAUGUUGAUGACAUUCUUGUCACCGGACCCUAUCCUUACCUCUGUCAACACUUCAUUCAGCAACUUGGGGCUCAAUUUCCAGUAAAAGACCUUGGUCCUCUUCAUUAUUUCUUGGGAUUAGAAGUACAUCGAUCUUCCCAGGGUAUAUUUCUCCAUCAAACAAAGUACUUAUUGGAUCUUCUCAAGAAAACAAAUAUGGAGGGUGCAAAACCUUGUUGUACUCCCCUUGGCUCUAAGAAAUUAGAUCACAGUGGCCCUCUUCUGUCCAAUCCUACUGAAUAUCGCUCCAUUGUUGGUGGUUUACAAUAUCUUACUUGGACUAGACCCGACCUUGCUUUUGCUGUGAACCAAAUCUGCCAAUUCAUGCAUGCUCCCAGGGAACAACAUCUCCAGGCAGCAAAAAGGGUUCUCAGAUUUCUCAAAGGCUCUAUCUCACAUGGUGUGUGGUUCACUAAAGGCCCUGUCCAUCUUUCUGCCUACUCGGAUGCCGACUGGGCUGGUUGCACAAUUGACAGGAGAUCAACCACUGGUUAUUGUGUAUUUUUGGGUUCCAAUCUUAUCAGCUGGAGUGCCAAGAAGCAAAGUACUGUUGCCAAGGUCCUCUACAGAGGCUGAAUAUCGCUCCUUAGCUCACACAGCUGCUGAGAUAACUUGGGUUUGCAGAUUCUCAAAGAUCUGCACUAUCCUCUCUCUUACAUUCCCUACUUUUGGUGUGACAACAUAUCAGCAAUAUCUUUAGCAUCUAAUCCUGUCUUUCAUGCUCGAACAAAGCAUGUUGAGAUCGAUUAUCNGAAGUUUUCUGUUUUCUACAUGGUAUCACGCCAUUCCGCUUCACAGCUUCGAUCUUUCUCUUCGCUUGCUGCAUCGAUCGACUCUUGAUCGAUUUUUCUUCUCUGAUCUUCUCUUCGCUUGCUGCAUCGAUCGACUCAUGAUCGAUUUUUCUUCUCUGAUCGUCACUUCUUCCCUUCCGAUCUUGUAGUAUUUCUUGAUUUCUGUCAGUAAUGGCGGCUCAAUCGACUGGUUCAUCUUCUCCGGUCAUCUCCCCCUCGAGCCCAAACCCUAAUUUCUCUGGAAACCCUAAUUCCUCUGGAAAUCCGAGUCCUCUGGACUUCCUACACUUCUCUCACAAUUCAUAACAUCGGCAGCAUGGUGCCGAUCAAGCUCAAAAGAUCCAAUUACCUACCAUGGCGCGGCCCUGUUUGGCCCGAUUUUCCGGCGAUACAAGCUUCUUGGAGUAAUCGAUGGUACUGACGUCUGUCCAUCGCCAUUUCUGCCUGAUCGUAGCAUCAAUCCUGCUUUUGAGGACUGGUAUGAGAAAGAUCAAAAUCUUUUGAUCUGGUUGAAUUCCACACUUUCUGAGGAAAUCAUCCCGUUCACGGUUGGGGUUUCAUCCUCUCGAGAACUUUGGGUAAAGCUUGAACACAGCGCUUUGGUGGAAUUUCAGAGGCUCAUAUCCAUCAGUUGCGAUCGCGCCUUCAAUCUGUUCAGAAAGGAUCGCGUUCUAUCUCUGACUAUCUUCAAGAACUCAAGGAAAUUUCAGAUUCUCUGCAAGCUGCUGGUGCUUCUGUCUCUGAUCGAGAUCUUAUCGCCGCCACACUACAUGGCUUGCCUGAUGAAUUUGAGUCUUUCAUCGACUGUAUCAUGCUCCGAUUGUCCUCUACCUCUCUUGAUGAACUUCAUGGCCUCCUUCUCACAAAGGAAUUGUCUAUGGCCAGACGCAAAAACUGUCAGUUCAUCUUCCUGUCCCUGAAUCUUUUCAGGCUUUCUCGGUGCAGUCUCAGCCUCAUCUCCUUCCUACUCCAUCUGCUUUUGCUGCUCAGAAUCUCCCUCUUCAAUCUGCAUCUCGGUUCAACUCUAAUCGUGGCAGGAACACUAAGGGCCAGUUCUUUUCCAAUCGAGGUCAUCGAGGUAAUCGUGGUAAUUUUCCUAAUAACCGUGGCAAUCGAGGUUAUCAAGGAUUUCGCAGCAAUCAAGGCUCUUCUCACUUCAAAGUGCUUUGUCAAAUCUGUGGUUCUACCAGUCAUGAGGCUAUUGACUGCUUUGAUCGUAUGAAUCCUGACAUCUGUGGUCGUAUUCCUCCAGCUAAGCUUGCUGCCAUGUGUGCACAACAUUCUGCUAAACCAUCUCAGCCUUGGUUAAUUGAUUCAGGGGCAACCUCUCAUAUCACUAAUGAUGUUGCUAACCUCACCUCUCCUACUCCCUACACUGGCGAGGAUAAAGUGUAUAUUGGAGAUGGUAAAGGUUUAUCCAUCCUCAAUGUUGGUUCAUCUACUCUGCACACCUCUCAUAAUUCUUUUCAAUUGCGAAAUGUUUUACAUGUUCCCCACAUAACCCAUAAUCUCUUAUCUGCUUAUCAGUUUGUUAAUGAUAAUAAUUGUUCAUUGACACUUGACCCUUAUGGAUCCUAUGUCAAGGAUCGUAUUUCGGGGAAGAUGCUUUUACGGGGACCGGUUAGAGAUGGCUUCUAUCCUCUUCAAAGUUCCAGCAAUCUUCAUCCUCUUUCACAUACCGCUUUACUUAGUAUUAAAGCUCCAGUUACAAUUUGGCACAAGCGUUUGGGUCACCCUUCCUCCUCCAUUUUUAGAAGGCUCCUUUCAUCCAAUAAUCUUGCUUUACAAGGCAAGUCUACUGUGGACUUUUUCUGUUCGGAUUGUGCUCUUGCCAAGAAUCAUAAGCUUCCAUUUAAAGCUGCUACUUCAUCAUCAACUCACAGCCUUCAACUACUGCACUGUGAUCUGUGGGGACCUGCCUCAAUCACAUCAAGUAGUGGUUUUCAAUAUUUAUUUGCUCAUUGUUGAUGACUAUAGCAAAUAUAGUUGGUUCUUUCCUUUGAAAUCUAAGUCAGAUGUAUUUUCUACAUUUGUUGUCUUCAAAUCAUAUGUAGAAAAUUCACUUGGAAAUAAAAUAAAGGUUCUGCGUUCAGAUUCAGGGGGUGAAUUUACUAGUCACUCUUUUGCAUCAUAUCUCAGCAAACAUGGCAUUCUUCAUCAGUUCAGUUGUCCCCACACCCCUGAGCAAAAUGGUUGUGCAGAAAGAAAGCACAGGCACCUUGUUGAAACAGCUCGCACUUUGCUUCUUGCAUCUCAUGUCCCUCAUAUUUUCUGGGUUGAAGCAUUCUCCACUGCUAUCUAUCUUAUUAAUCGCCUUCCUAUUUCUGGCAUUUCACAGUCCCCUUGGCAGUUGCUAUUUCACAACCAUCCAGACUACUCUAAGCUCAAAGUAUUUGGUUGCCAAUGCUUUCCUUGGCUCAAACCUUACUUUCAUAGCAAAUUGGAUCCCAAGAGCAAAAAGUGUGUUUUCUUGGGGUAUAGUCUUCAACACAAAGGCUAUAGGUGCCUUGAUCCUAUCACCAAUCGCAUCUACAUCUCUCGUCAUGUUGUAUUCGAUGAAAGUACUUAUCCAUUUCAGUUGUCCCACAUUCAACACUCUUUUCCUGUUCCAAGUCCUCCAUCUUCCUCACCAACAAUUUCUUCCUCUCUGGAUCUUCAUUUUAGCAAACACAUUCCUCCUGUUUUCAGUCAGCCAUCUACAUCACCAUUAUGUGCUUCUGUGCCUGUUCCUAUUUCUUCAUCUUCAUCUUCCCCUGCACCUGUCUCAGUUGGCUCUUCUUCCAGUUUUGUUCCUCCUUCAGCACAUUCAUCUUUCUCCCAAAAUCAACAGAGUCAUCCUCCUGCCCCUGUUAAUUCUCAUCCAAUGAUUACUAGAUCCAAGGCUGGUAUACUCACGUCGAGAGCCUGUGCAGCAACUAAGCACCCACUUCCGGUUGAUAUGGAUUAUGUUCCUACAACAUACUUUGCAAGCUUCUAAAGCAUGCUCAUUGGAGGCAAGCUAUGCAAGAUGAAUUUAAUGCCUUGCUAACCACUGGUUACUUGGUCUCUUGUUCCUUCUCACCAUUCUCAAAACUUAGUGGGCUGCAAGUGGGUUUUCCGGAUUAAGAAGAAGCCCGAUGGCACUGUUGACAGAUAUAAAGCCCGGCUUGUGGCCAAGGGUUUUCAUCAACAAGAAGGUAUUGACUUUCAAGAAAACCUUCAGUCCAGUUGCCAAACCGGUUACAAUUCGGAUCCUUCUUACCCUUGCUGUGCAAUAUAAUUGGUUUCUCAAUCAAUUGGACAUUAGUAAUGCCUUUCUUCAUGGAGACUUAAAGGAGGAUGUCUACAUGCAACAACCCCCUGGUUUUGUUGAUCCCUUACACCCUACAUCUGUUUGUAAGUUGAGGAAAUCGUUGUAUGGUCUCAAACAAGCUCCUCGAGCUUGGUUUGAUAAACUGUUCCAAGCUCUUCACUCUCUUGGAUUCACCCAAUCAUCCUCAGAUGCUUCUUUAUUUGUUCUCAAUGGUCCUCAGUUUAGUCAUUGUCCUUGUCUAUGUUGAUGACAUUCUUGUCACCGGACCCUAUCCUUACCUCUGUCAACACUUCAUUCAGCAACUUGGGGCUCAAUUUCCAGUAAAAGACCUUGGUCCUCUUCAUUAUUUCUUGGGAUUAGAAGUACAUCGAUCUUCCCAGGGUAUAUUUCUCCAUCAAACAAAGUACUUAUUGGAUCUUCUCAAGAAAACAAAUAUGGAGGGUGCAAAACCUUGUUGUACUCCCCUUGGCUCUAAGAAAUUAGAUCACAGUGGCCCUCUUCUGUCCAAUCCUACUGAAUAUCGCUCCAUUGUUGGUGGUUUACAAUAUCUUACUUGGACUAGACCCGACCUUUGCUUUUGCUGUGAACCAAAUCUGCCAAUUCAUGCAUGCUCCCAGGGAACAACAUCUCCAGGCAGCAAAAAGGGUUCUCAGAUUUCUCAAAGGCUCUAUCUCACAUGGUGUGUGGUUCACUAAAGGCCCUGUCCAUCUUUCUGCCUACUCGGAUGCCGACUGGGCUGGUUGCACAAUUGACAGGAGAUCAACCACUGGUUAUUGUGUAUUUUUGGGUUCCAAUCUUAUCAGCUGGAGUGCCAAGAAGCAAAGUACUGUUGCAAGGUCCUCUACAGAGGCUGAAUAUCGCUCCUUAGCUCACACAGCUGCUGAGAUAACUUGGGUUUGCAAGAUUCUCAAAGAUCUGCACUAUCCUCUCUCUACAUUCCCUACUCUUUGGUGUGACAACAUAUCAGCAAUAUCUUUAGCAUCUAAUCCUGUCUUUCAUGCUCGAACAAAGCAUGUUGAGAUCGAUUAUCACUAUAUUAGAGAAUUGGUUUUGGCUCAACUUCUCAAAGUCAAGUUCAUCUGCAGUGAAGACCAAUUAGCUGAUCUUCACACCAAGUCUCUGUCUAAAACCAGAUUUAAUUAUCUGUGUUCCAAGCUUCCCAUUGGUCUCAUUUCUGAUCCCCCUUCUCGCUUGAGGGGGUGUAUUAGGGAGAAUGACAAGUCAUCCAAGUCUGCUACUGUUAAUAAUUCUGUUACUGUAAAUUAACUGAUUGUAUUAGUUGUGAUUAGUUAAGAUAGUUAUAAAGUAGUUAGGGGUAUCUAUGUAAAUAGCCAAAGGCUAUAUAUAUUCCUACACAAUGUGUAAAGUUCUCAGUCAAGUAAAUACAAUCAAGAAAACUUACUGUUGAAGUUUUCUGUUUCUACAGGUUUUGGAUUGGAGGAGUUGACACAAAAUUAUAAAUAUAUUAAACAAAUUUAUCUAUUCUAAAGUUGGAGGGAAAUUGGCCUGUACAUUGCUACAGUAAUUUUUUUUUACCCAAUUUCACGUUAUUUACAACAAAGCUAUCAGAUUUGGGUUGGGUUGGAGGGUAAUUUGUUAAAAGUUAGGAGGGUAAUUUUGUGCAUAGGGUUUAGGUGCCCUCCUAUACAUGACCCUUGAUUUUACUUUAUUUACACCACUGCCAUCAAAUAUGUGGCUGAAUUGGAGGGUAUUAUUAAAAGUUAGGAGGGUAGUUUGUUCAAGGGGUGAGGGCGACAUUCGCAGACAGAGAGCGAUGGGAGCCAUGGCCAUUGCACAGAGAGAAAGGGAGUGAUGGGGGAAAUUACAGACAGAAAAGGAAGGGAUGGGGGGGAUUUGAUGGAUGGUCACAGAGAGAGAUUGGGUGAGGGAUGUGAGAGGAGAUUACAGAGAGAUAAAUAAAAGGGAGGGAUCGGGGGAUGUGAGGGAUGGUCAGGGAGAGAAAUAGUGAGGGAGGGAGGGAUGGGGGGGCUGAUUUUCGGUUCCUCCUUCCAGAUUUGUUCCGUAAAAACCUGUUGGGUAGAAUUCAAUUUCCUCCCCCUUUCCCCUGAACGAAAAAUUCGAAACCUACAACUCAAAACUCACUCAUUUGUCGUCCCUCCUUGGCUUUCCGCUUUACUCAUCUCCCGGUGGUUCUCUCUCCAUACGAUUCCAUUUCGGUGAGUUCUUCGUUGCCCUCAUGAUUUCCCACUUUUAUUUUUGGGGCGUCCUUAGUCGUCGUUUUUAUCUGGGUUUACUGCAUUGUUGCUUUUAGUUUCUGGAUUUUUAUUUUUUUGGCACUUGGAUGAAUCGUGGUUAAUAAUUUCACAUCAUGGGAUUUUCGCACUUCUGAUGGAAUUGAGCGCGGGGAUUCGGGGUGGGGUUUUACUGAUAAUUUGUCUUCAUUCAAACGAAGGGUUAAAAUUUAUGAGUAUUAACAAAUUUUGUAAAUUAUUCUUAUACAUUUUAUUGAGGGAUCUAAUCGAUUUCUUUCUGUAGUGGGAUUGAAAUUGGGGCUUUGUGGUACUCUCUCUCGCUCACUCUCUCUCCUAUGUGUAUGAAUUGAGUUCUGCAGUGAGUUUGCAGGUGGGCGCGUUCACUAACUAAGCUUUCAAGGGAACCGAUCAACGGUUUGCUUGCUGGGGGAAUUCGGAGACUACCAGUGUAUGAUUUAGUUAUCAUUAAUUUUUUUACUUAAUUUUAUCCAUAUAUAAUAUGUGGGUAAAUUUAGAGGUCGCACUUGGUGCGAUGGCAAGUUCCUUCGCCCAUGAGCGGUAGGUCUCGGGUUCGAGACUUGGGAGCAGCCUCUCCAUAAAUGGGGGUAAGGCUAGCCGACAUUUACCUCUCCCAGACCCUGCGUAAAGCGGGAGCCUUGUGCACUGGGUACGAUCUUUUAUAAUAUGUGGGUAAAUUUAUACUAAACAAUUGUGAUAAGCCAAUAUGCUAUACGACUUUGAAAGCAUUGAUUUUGUGUUUAGUUUGCAUUUUUGCAUUGUGAAUGUUGAAUUUUGUGUUUAAUUUGGAUUUUUGUGUUUGAAUUUGUAGCAUGAUCUUCCGCUGCAGCAUCCAAAUUUUGCAUUUGUAAAUUGUCAAAGAAAAACGAAGUAUGAGGAAAUUAUAGGAGAUUGUGUCGGCUUUGGCCAUGAAGGGUAUCAGCAGCUUGUUCCCCCAUACAGGUGAUUAAUCGCAGUCUGUUCUAUUUGGAUGAGAAAGUGAUUGAAAAAUAUGAUUUUUUAUUUGUUGGUUGAUUUUGUAUAACUCCGCCGUGUAAGUUUAUCUUACAUUGCCGGUCCCAAGCCCGGAUAAAGGAGGAGGGGGAGGGCGUCAGGUAGUCGACAGCUGGCACUCCAUGAUCACGUCGAAUCCUUAUGAAAAUGAAUCCAGAACGAAAUCGCGCUAAAGCUAGGGCGUCACCCAUAAGUGGCGCGCUGUGUGGCCCGAGCACAGUGAUAAGUGAGCAAGGGUCGUUGUAUCUCCAUCGGCACCCGGAUGCAGUGUUAAAUGAGCAAGGGGCUAUAGAAACUUCUUUUCGAACGACUCCACUCAAAGUUGUUUGGGAGCAUAUGCUCCUAUCAACUUUACACGGGACACACAAAAGAAGUACUUUGAUCCUAUUAGACGGGGAAGGGUGAAGAAGCUAGGACAGAAGGGUAGAGUUCAAGAGAGCAAAAUGCGUUUAGGAACGUGGAAUAUAGGAACCUUGAACGGGAAAAUCUAUGGAAGUAGUAGAAGUUAUGGUGAGGAGAAGGAUAAAUAUUAUGUGCCUACAAGAAACUAAGUGGGUUGGUCGUAAGGCAAAGGAUCUAGAAAACUCAGGGUUUAAACUAUGGUAUUCGGGCACAAAUAGAACGAGAAACGGUGUUGGCAUCAUCGUGGACAAGACCUUGACACAAGAUGUUGUAGAUGUCAAGAGGGUAGGAGAUAGAAUCAUGGCAAUCAAGAUUGUAAUAGGACAAGAACUUAUCAAUGUGAUUAGUGCGUACGCACCUCAAGUAGGGUUGGAUACGAGUUCGAAGGAGAAAUUUUGGGAAGACCUUGGAGACUUGGUGCAAGGAAUUGCUCAGACGGAGAAGUUAUUUAUAGGAGGAGAUUUAAAUGGACACGUGGGCAGGGAGACAGGCAACUAUGGAGGUUUUCAUGGUGGCCAUGGUUUUGGGGAGAGAAACGAGGAUGGGGAAGCUAUCUUGGAUUUUGCAAUGGCAUAUGAUCUCUUCUUAGCCAACACCUUCUUUAAGAAGAGAGAAGAACAUGUGAUCACCUACAAGAGUGGGUCGUCAAAAACACAAAUAGAUUUUCUUCUAAUGAGGAAAGGGGAUCGUAUAACUUGUAAGGAUUGCAAAGUUAUACCAGGAGAGAGCGUGGCUAAUCAACAUCGCUUGUUGGUGAUGGAUGUACAUAUCAAAAGAGUGAGAAAAAAGAACAAGACUUGGAAGUGCCCAAGGACUAGAUGGUGGAAUCUAAAAGAAGAAAAACAAGCCAUUUUCAAAGAGAAAGUAAUCACCCAGUGUGUGUGGGAUAGAGAGGGGGAAGCUAACCAAAUGUGGGAUUCCAUGGCUAGUUGUAUCCGAAAAGUAGCAAAAGAGGUAUUAGGAGAGUCCAAGGGCUUUGCCCCACACCAAAAGGAAUCUUGGUGGUGGAAUGAGGAGGUACAAACAAAGGUGAAGGCUAAGAAGGAAUGUUGUAAAGCCUUAUACAAGGAUAGGACCGAUGAAAAUGGUGAAAGGUAUAGAAAAGCGAAGCAAGAGGCGAAGAAAGCUGUGAGAGAAGCUAAGUUAGCGGCUUAUGACGAUAUGUAUAAGCGACUAGAUACCAAAGAAGGAGAGUUGGAUAUCUAUAAACUAGCUAGAGCAAGGGAAAAGAAGACAAGGGACCUAAACCAAGUGAGGUGCAUCAAGGAUGAGGAUGGAAAGGUUCUUGCUACAGAGAACGCGGUUAAAGACAGAUGGAAAGGUUAUUUUCAUAAUCUUUUCAAUGAAGGACAUGAAAGGAGUGCUUCUUUAGGGGAGUUGAGUAACUCAGAAGAGUGUAGAAACUACUCUUUUUAUCGUAGAAUCCGGAAGGAAGAAGUGGUUGUAGCUUUGAAGAAGAUGAAGCAUAGAAAAGCAGUAGGCCCAGACGAUAUACCAAUCGAAGUGUGGAAAGUUUUGGGAGAGACAGGUAUAACAUGGCUCACUGACCUUUUCAAUAGGAUUUUGAAAACGAAGAAGAUGCCAAAUGAGUGGCGAACGAGCACUUUGGUGCCUAUCUACAAGAAUAAGGGCGAUGUACAAAAUUGCAUGAACUAUAGGGGUAUUAAGCUAAUGAGUCAUACAAUGAAGCUCUGGGAGAGAGUCAUUGAGCAUAGAUUGAGGCAAGAGACACGGGUUUCGGACAACCAAUUCGGGUUCAUGCCAGGGCGCUCAACCAUGGAGGCAAUCUAUCUCUUACGAAGAUUGAUGGAAAGAUAUAGAGAUGGGAAAAAGGAUUUACACAUGGUCUUUAUAGAUUUGGAAAAAGCGUAUGAUAGGGUCCCAAGAGACAUUCUUUGGAGGAUUUUAGAGAAGAAAGGAGUACGAGUAGCAUAUAUCCAAGCUAUACAGGAUAUGUAUGAAGGAGCAAAGACUGCCGUAAGAACUCAUGAAGGACAAACCGAAAGCUUUCCCAUAACUGUAGGAUUACAUCAAGGCUCAUCCUUAAGUCCUUACCUUUUUGCGUUGGUAAUGGAUGAGUUAACAGGACAUAUUCAAGAUGAUAUUCCUUGGUGUAUGCUUUUCGCAGACGAUAUAGUGUUGAUAGAUGAAACUCAGGAAGGGGUAAAUGCAAAGCUUAACCUUUGGAGAGAAGUGUUGGAAUCUAAAGGUCUUCGCCUAAGCCGAUCAAAGACAGAAUAUAUGGAGUGCAAGUUCAGUGCAAAUGGAGGCCAAAACGAGUUAGGGGUGAGGAUCGGAGAUCAAGAAAAUACCAAAGAGCGACCGUUUUCGUUACCUAGGAUCUAUCUUGCAAAAGAACGGAGAAUUAGAUGGAGAUCUCAACCAUAGAAUACAAGCUGGAUGGAUGAAGUGGAAGAGUGCAUCCGGCGUGUUGUGUGACCGCCGUAUGCCACUGAAGCUCAAGGGAAAAUUUUAUAGGACGGCAAUAAGGCCGGCGAUGCUGUAUGGCACAGAAUGUUGGGCGGUGAAGCAUCAACACGUACACAAAAUGGGUGUAGCGGAGAUGAGGAUGCUUCGUUGGAUGUGUGGGCACACGAGAAAGGAUAAGAUUAGGAAUGAGGAUAUCCGGGGUAAAGUAGGAGUAGCCGAAAUUGAAGGAAAGAUGAGAGAAAAUCGGUUACGGUGGUUUGGACAUGUGCAAAGAAGGCCUACUGACGCUCCGAUUAGAAGAUGCGACUAUGGGACAGAGGUUCAGGGCCGAAGGGGUAGAGGAAGACCUAGGAAAACUUUGGAAGAGACCCUAAGAAAAGACUUAGAGUACUUGGAUCUAACGGAGGACAUGACACAGGACAGAACACAAUGGCGUUCUAAGAUUCAUAUAGCCGAUCCCACUCAGUGACUUGGAUUUUCCAAGUCUCCAACCGAGAAGUUUUCCUCACUCGGGAAAUUAAGGGAACACUACCUCAACCUACAUGCUCCACUCACAAAGCUUCAACAUACAAGCUUCAACAAAAGAAAAUUCAAAGAACUUAGCGAAGAAGGCUUUGGUGUAUUUAACACAAUACGUUGAAAUGAAGGAAAGCUUAUUUAUUGAUAUCCCCGAUAAGUUACAAAUAUGUACAUAUACUUGAGUCAAAAUAAACAAACAAGAGGGAGCCUUCACAAAGGUUGCUUAGGAGAAGUCUCAGCAGUCGGUAGAGCCCCAGAAAGAGAAGGCACCGGAGGGGGAUCAUUCGGAGCCUCAGUACUGGACAGAACCCUAGAAGGAGGAGGCAUCAGAGGUUGAUCAUUUGGAGCUUCAUUACGCGGUACAGCCCCAGAAGACGAAGGCAAUAAAUGCCUUUGGAACAAACCCACAAAUCUCUGAUGAUCAAGUAAAACCUGACCAUCAGAUUCCUUCAUCUGGUCAAGCUUCCUCUUCAUGUUUGUAGCAUAGUCAUGUGCGAGCCGGUGCAACUGUUUAUUCUCAUGCUUGAGCCCUCUAAUCUCCUGUUUGAGACUCAUCACUUCAGCCGCCAAUGAUUCAACUUGGCGGGUUCGAGCAAAUAGGCGUUGGGCCAUAUUAGACACAGAACCUGCACACUGAACACUGAGAGCCAGAGAAUCCUUAACAGCCAACUCAUCAGACCGUUUGGAAAGUAGUCUGUUAUCUUUGGGAGUGAGAAGGUUCCUGGCCACUACCGCAGCGGUCAUAUCAUUCUUCAUCACGGAAUCCCCAACGGUAAGAGGACCAGUAGGGGAGACGAAGGAUGGGCGCCAUAUGUUGUCUGGAGAAGGCGGGGCUGCCUCUUCAACAAGGUUCAAGUCAAAACGACGGUCGGAGGGGCCAGACAUUUUCAAAGGUGUUGAAGAGAGAAGAGGUCGGACAAAUCAAGAUCUUAGAAGUGCAAGAAUGGAGCUUCUACUGGUGGAUAUUCAAGUGUGCUUUGGAACUUAAUGUCAGCCCCUAUAAAAAUCUGCACUCGACGAAGCUUCAGAAAUCGAAGAGGCGCCUGCUCAGAAAUCGAAGAGGCGUUUGCUUUCUCAAAAGCUGGGCUGCUCAGAGACCACGAGGGUCGAUCUCAGAAAUCGAAGAGGCGUUUGCUUUCUCAAAAGCUGGGCUGCUCAAAGACCACGAAGGCCGAUCUCAGAAAUCGAAGAGGCUUGCUUUCUCAAAAGCUGGGCUGCUCAGAGACCACGAGGGCCGAUCUCAGAAAUCGAAGAGGCACCUACUUUUCCAGCCUUGUCAGCACCUGUCACACGCACACUCAGCUUUGCGGAAAUUAUGGGCAUUCUGUCGAAGAUUUCUGGCGAAGUAGAAAGCACAUGAAUCGUACUGUUCAAUCACCCACUUCCCACACGCAACAGUAGCUCAUGGGUACCACAGAUAACUUUGCCAAAGUUCUCUGACAAAGUUGAGACACGUGAAGCUUGCAGCUCCCACUACAUCGCUCUGACCAAGAAGGGUAAAAGAAUUAGCAAAGAAACAACACUAACAAAGUUUAGACACAUAAAUUUUGAAGGUCUAGCUACCAUAUUAUUACCCACAAGGGUAAAGGAACAGUACCACUGCUGGAUAAUUGGAAAGUCCCGGUGUGUCAACCUCUGUGCUUCGUGGCAAGGUAGACUAGCAAACAUGCCCAACCUUUACUCACAUUCGAGAAAACACUCCCAACAAGAUUGCUUGCUCCAAAAUCGAAGAGGCACCGCCCUCCGAAUCUCGAGAGCCAGACUCCCAACAUGAUUACUUUCUCAAAAAUCGAAGAGAGGGUAAAGGAACAGUACCACUGCUGGAUAAUUGGAAAGUCCCUGUGUGUCAACCUCUGUGCUUCGUGGCAAGGUAGACUAGCAAACAUGCCCAACCUUUACUCACAUUCGAGAAAACACUCCCAACAAGAUUGCUUGCUCCAAAAUCGAAGAGGCACCGCCCCUCCGAAUCUCGAGAGCCAGACUCCCAACAUGAUUACUUUCUCAAAAAUCGAAGAGAGGGUAAAGGAACAGUACCACUGCUGGAUAAUUGGAAAGUCCCUGUGUGUCAACCUCUGUGCUUCGUGGCAAGGUAGACUAGCAAACAUGCCCAACCUUUACUCACAUUCGAGAAAACACUCCCAACAAGAUUGCUUGCUCCAAAAUCGAAGAGGCACCGCCCUCCGAAUCUCGAGAGCCAGACUCCCAACAUGAUUACUUUCUCAAAAAAUCGAAGAGACACCGCUCUCCGAAUCUCGAGAGCCAGACCCCCAGCAGGAUUGCUUUCUCAAAAAUCGAAGAGGCAUCGUUCUCCGAAUCUCGAGAGCCAGAUCCCCGACAGGAUUGCUUGUUCGAAAACCGAAGAGGCACCACUUUCCCAACUUCAAGAGCUGGAUCUCCUUGGAUAAAGCUUGUCUGUAAUCUUCACACGCAACAUCAGCUUUCCAGAUACCACAGACCACUUUUUCAAAGUGCUCUGACAGAGUUAAAACAUGUGAAGCUGGCAGCUCCCACUACCGUGCUAUGACCAAGCAGGGUAAAGGAAUAGCAUUAUUACUUGAUGUUAGGGAGACUCCUAUAUAUGUCGACCUCCAUCCCCAACGGACAGGCAGACCUGCAAAAAUGCUCAACCCUUCCUCUUAUCUGAGAGGGCACUCCCAACGAAGCCUUUCGAAAUAUUCAGCUUUCUUUCCCCCCGAUAAUACCUCUGUAAACAAGCUAUACUAGAGCAAGAAUAUCUCAUAUCAUCAGGGUUAAAAGCAAGAGUAUCCCAUAUCAUGCUUUUUCCCUGUCUUUUCCUUUGGCCUUGUUCUUACCUGCAAGACAAGGAGAAAGAGAGCAAUCAGUCAGCACUUGGAAUCAAGCUUCCAGCCAGGAACUGACUGCCUGGAACCCCUUACCUGAUUACUUACCUGGCAUUGCUCUCGAGUACUCAUCUUCAACAUCUUAUGCUUCCAGGGAAGAUACCGCAUCUGCCUGAGGAACAGAUAGGGCAAGUGAGAAGGAUACAAGGAAGCAUGUGGAGACAAGCGUAACAGCACACGUGCCGAUACAUCCAUUACUCUGUCAAAAGCAAAAGUAUCCCAUAUCAGCAGGGUCGAACGUACUCUAGAUUUGAUGGACUUGUUUUGACCCUCAAAUUCUUCAGUCGGCCUUAUACUCUGGAGGAAACCAGAAAACCCUCCAGCCCAGUUCAAGAAUAAGCCUGUGGAAAGUUACUUCUUCAAAAGCAAAAGUAUCCCAUAUCAUCUCUUCUCAUUUUUCUUCUCUUUAUCCUUCAUGCUGCCUGCAAGAUAGGGAGAAUGUGAACAAUCAGCCGGAGCUCUGAUUGCUUACCUUGUCUGUCACCUCUUUCAGCAGAUCCCCUAGCUCGGCGACUUGGGGGACUCCUACUACAUGGUUUGUAUCGCGCUUGACCAAGCCUGAAACUACAAGUAAGCUUCAAGUGACAAUUGAUACAUUACCUUGUGCAUCUCCACCAGUUACAGAUACCACCCCUGGAUGGAGGAAGAGUACUUCCAGAGAAGAUGCCACAUCUACCUAUGAGACAGAUAAGGAAAGUCAAGACGAUACCACACUCCGGUACUUAGAAGUUUCGUGGUUACGAGAUCAUUCUCCCACAAUAUUUCCUAAUGUCAUUUGUACUAAAUCAUUCACUUGUACUCACUAAAGGAGAGCUUGAACCUAUGUACUUGUGUAAACCCUUCACAAUUAAUGAGAACUCCUCUAUUCCGUGGACGUAGCCAAUCUGGGUGAACCACGUACAUCUUGUGUUUGCUUUCCUAUCUCUAUCCAUUUAUAUACUUAUCCACACACUAAUGACCGGAGCAAUCUAGCGAAGAUCACAAAAAAGUGACCGUUUUCGCUACCUAGGAUCUAUCUUGCAAGAGAACGGAGAAUUAGAUGGAGAUCUCAACCAUAGAAUACAAGCUGGAUGGAUGAAGUGUAAGAGUGCAUCCGGCGUGUUGUGUGACCGUCGUAGGCCACUGAAGCUCAAGGGAAAAUUUUAUAGGACGGCAAUAAGGCCAGCGAUGUUGUAUGGCACAGAAUGUUGGGCGGUGAAGCAUCAACACGUACACAAAAUGGGUGUAGCGGAGAUGAGGAUGCUUCGUGGGAUGUAUGGGCACACGAGAAAUGAUAAGAUUGGGAAUGAGGAUAUCCGAGGUAAAGUAGGAGUAGCCAAAAUUGAAGGAAAUAUGAGAGAAAAUCGGUUCUGGUGGUUUGGACAUAUGCAAAGAAGGCCUACUGACGCUCCGGUUCGAAAAUGUGACUACUGGACAGAGGUUCAGGACCGAAGGGGUAGAGGAAGACCUAGAAAAACUUUGGAAGAGACCCUAAGAAAAGACUUGAGUACUUGGAUCUAACGGAGGACAUGACACAAAACCGAGCGCAAUGGCGUUCUAGGAUUCAUAUAGCCGACCCCACUUAGUGGGAAAAGGCUUUGUUGUUGUUGUUGUUGGUUGAUUUUGUAUGGACGAUGUAUUAAUUUUUUUUUUUUUUUGGGAUUUUGUGUAUUGGGUAUUGUGUAGAACCAGCAAUGCAGGAUCUGAUCAGUCACGCCCGAAAAGGGGUUUGUUUCUCAAAUCACAUUAAUUAAUUAGAUUAUUAAUGUGCGUUGGAAGGCUCUUCAAUAUGAUUUCUAAUUUCUCCUUUCCAGCAUUCUCUUUUUGGUUUUUGGAGUAUGUAUGUGAUUUGUAUUUGAUUAUAGAAUAAAAAUUAAUAAAACACGAGAUGCAGCAAUUAAUUUGCAUCCUUAUGACAACACAUAUAUGAAAGUGCAUUCAAUUUCAAUGUGCGAAUGUGUGACAGGACAGGAUGUGCCUGCCUGCUGGUGGUGGUAUGCUUGCUGUUGUUUCUUGCGUUGUUAAUUUUUUGUGUGUUGAUUUGAUUAACAAUUCAAGCGUAUCUUAUUUUUUUUGUGUUGGUUAGCAGCCAGUUUUAUGGCCCCGAUCUAGUGAUGCUUCUCAGUGACUGGUAAUUGCAGUUCAUUGCCACCAGUUGGUCAGCUACCUGCUCUGAAAGAGCUCUACGUAGAAGGGAUGAAAGUUGUUAAGAGUGUUGGUGUUGAGUUGUACGGGGGAAAUCAACCAUUUCAAUGUUUAGAGAAGGUAAAGUUUCGGGAGAUGCCAGAGUGGGAGGAAUGGCAGCCUAGUCCAAGUGGAUGUGAAAGUCCAGACUUUCCUCAUCUUAAGGAGCUGAGGUUAUCCGAAUGUCCGAAGCUGAGAGGAAACUUGCCCACUCAUCUUCCCUCCUUGAAAACACUUUAUGUGAACAAGUGUGAGGUUCUACAUAAAAACAGGGCCAGUAAUACCCUGAACGUGGAAUCCUUACGAGGAUCUCUUGAAAAACUGACAAUAAAUGGAUGCCCGGGUCUCUCAUUGUUACUAGAGUCGAUGGAGACGCUGCCGUCGCUUCAGAAGCUUGAUAUUGAUAGUGUUGGUGGGAAAGAGUUGUUGGUGCAAAUGGUGCACAACAGCAAUCGUCUUCAAAGUUUUGACUUUAUAUAAAUGUUCCUCACCCUUGUCGUUCCCUACAAAUGGUCUGCCCACCACGCUGACGUCACCGAGCAUAACAGAUUGCAAGAAAUUAGAAUUCCUAUCACGUGAGAUGAUGGCCAAAUUGACUUCCCUUCAGUCUUUGCGUCUAUCCAACAGCUGUGAAUGCAAAGGCUUGAGUAAUUUUUGUGAGUCUGCUGUUUGGUUUUUUUUUCUUCAUUUUAGAGAUUUUUCUACUGUUUGGUUUUUGGGUUUUGUCUAAUUUUUGUGGUCUGCUUUAUAGAUUGUUCUCUUUGGAAGCUUCUUUCCAGCCUUGACCUUCUUCUUGCCUGGUGCCUUCUCAUUGAGUAUUGGAGGAGCAUUAAAACACAGGUGUGUGUGUUUUGUCGAUGUAAGAGAUGAACGACAUAAAAACAUCCGUCUUUGUAUUUUUUUGUGCUUUUUCUAACCCAUCAAUUUCUUUUGAGUCAACCAAAUAGUCCCAAAUUGCAACUUAUGUUGUGAGGUAUUAUUGUCUAAAAUUAAGUAUGCAUGUAUAUUUUAUGUUUGUGCGCGCGCACACCUCCGCAUGGUGUUAAUCUCUGUGGGUCAUCUAUGUAUAUGUAGACAUAUCUAUAUGUGUAUGUGUGGAAUGCAACAUAUCGGAUUUAGGUUAUACUGUGCAUAGUUUUAUUGCCUGUUAUUAUCUACGAUAUCACUAUGCCAUUUCUAUGCAGGCUCUGAAAGUUAUCCAUGAGCUUUAUAAGCACUUACCAUAAUUUAAGCAGUCUGUUUUGGGUUCUUUUUCAUUAGGUCAUUAGCUACAGAUUAAUGGAGAAACGAGGACCAUGCAACUGAUUUGGGUUCUUUUUCUAAUUUUCUGAUUUUGGGGUUUUGCAGGGAGUACUGAUGUACUGAUUUUCUGGGAUUUUUUUUGUCCUUGCAGGAUUUUUGGUCUUUGGAAUGGGUAUGUGUUGUUUUUAACGUUUCAGUUCUAGCUUGUUCCGUUCUUCGUUGCUUCGUGAUUCUCAUUUUUUAGUGUUGGGUGAUGGAAAUUUGUUCAAGUAGUUGGUAGUUUUUUUAGAAAGUUGGCAUUUUUAGUUAUAUUUUCUGUUUAAUCCUAAAUGUUAGACUGGAAAAUCAUUGAAAUGACGGUUUUUUAAAAACUCAUAAUUUUUUUGUUCUGGGAGUUAAAAGCAUCUUUUCCAGAUUGGUUAUAAGGGUUAUGUUCUCUUCAAUUGGUUCACCUAAUUUUGAUUAGUUUUAAGUUUUGUCCUUUUAAGUUUUGUCUUUUAAGUUUUGUUCUUUAAGUUGUCUUUUAAGUUUGUUCUCUAAGUUUUGUCUUUUAAGUUUUAUCUUCUGUGCUGUAAUGAGAGAUUUCUGUUGGCCUUUCGGAUUUUGGCAUGGGAAAGUUCACUUAUUUGUCUAAUUAGAUUGUGUAUGCCUUCGAUUCUUUAUUUAAUUGUUCUGUUUGUGUUCAGGUGUGAUGAUCUAAAUUUCAUAUGUUUGGAAUUAUUCACUUAACACCAAUUUGUUACAUUCAGAUCUCCACCCCACAUUUCACUAGUUCAAAUUCCAUAGAAGUCGGUUACUGCAGAUUGCGUCUACAAUUAGAUCAGAGAUCAACUGCUCUUUUGUUAUCCUGCAGAAGAUUGCUUUUGGGAAGGAUCUGAAGUAGUUUCUUUCUGUAAGUUUAUUCCCAUGUAGCUCUGUCUUUUCUAAUUGAUGGUGUUGAUAUUACACUGUAAUUCAUGAUGAUGAUUUAAUUGUUUAUUGAUUUGUAAUUGUUUGUGAAUAAUGUGGCAUAUAUGACUUGCAAUAUGUGUUUGUAUGAAAGGGAUGACAUAUUAUGUUGCUGACUUAAUUGUUUAUGUUUUUCAUAUUUGCGAAUGGUGUUAUGAUCAAUUAGGUGAUUGCUGACCUGUGACUUUGUUUGGAGCUCAAAUUUUGUGAGCAUUACAUUGGAUUGUUUUGAUGUUGUUUUGGUUGACAAUGCAGGGAUAGGAGAAACAAAGAGGAUGACACUUAUAACUGCCCUUCCCCAUCGGCCGUCUUCAAAUUUGGAUCACAAGAAGGGAGCAACAUAGGUGUUUUCCUUCUUCAUUUAGAUAUGGUUAGUGUAAAUAAUUGGACAAAAGAGCCAAACAAACCCUGUUCUCUCAAAUGGAGUCGAUGAUGUGGUCGAUGGCCACCAGCCCCAACUCAAGAGUUUGGCCUUCAUAUAAUUGGAUUGUAGUAUAAUUUUAUUUUGGUUCAUUUCUUUUUUCCUUUAUAUAAGUGCAGGUGUUGUGAUGUUUUGAAUAAAGGGUGAUGAAAGGUGGUUCACACACUUCCUCCUUACUUAAAGCAAGUGGAGAUGAUGGGUUGUAUAAAAAGAAAAACUUGCCAGGUACUUCGAUUUUCUAUUUUAUUAAUUAUUGUUUGGUUUUCCAAAUGUUGUAUUCACAAAGAGAGACCAAUGAUGUCUUUGAGAAACAAGUUUCUUUGUCUACAUUGCGAGAAUUUGCAGUUUGCAACUUUCAUUGGUUAUUAUAUUUGAUUGAGUUAAACUUGGAUUUCUGGAUUUUGACUUUUUCGUUUGUUUCUUUGUUGUAGAGUUGGCUUCAUUUCAUUCCAGUAACUCUAUUCCAGUAACUCUCUAAAAUAGGGCCAAGAACUCACUAAAUAGGUAGUCAAGAGGAAUUCAGUUUUGCCUUCAAUUUUUGCCUUCUGUUUACAUUCUUCCUGGAUGCACUCUCACCGCUUCUCUCGCUUACCACUUUUGUCUCACUCACCGCUUCAUCUCUUCUGUUGCUUACAAGGUCGUGUCAUAUAUUUUUUUAAUUUUUGUGUGUUUAAUUUAUUGAAUAUUUGAAAAAAGAGAUAAAAUUUUCAAUUUACAAUUACUGAUAUGAUGUUUGUUUUGAAAAUCAUUAAGGUGAAUGGAGAGAUUUACAACCAUGAAGAGCUGAGGAGCCGUUUGCCAAAUCAGAUUUAUAAGGUCUCAUCAAUUAUAAAUAAACGACUUUUCAUUCCCAAUGACCUUUAUCGUUUUUCUUAAUGGGUUAGCUGAACAUGAGGUAGAUGCUGACUUUAUAAAAUAUGAGAAUGUUUUAGGAUUUCAUUCUAAUUUUUUGGCUGUUUGAUUACUUUGCUUUUCGUAAUUUGUUUUGCUUAUCGUCAAUUGGAUGGGACAACAUAUUUUUGUAACCAGUUUGUACUUUUUUUUUUUGUGGAAACUAACCAGUAUGUACUUUUACCAUCUCGGUUUUGAUGGAAUUGGAGCUUUCAGUAAUGGGUUCUGAGGGAAUUGGAGUUUUGAGUAAUGGGUUUUUUAACAACUAUAGUAUCAUUUGUGAUUCUUUUAUUUAUAAGAUAUUAUAUAGGAAACUGUUAUUAGCACUCUAAUAAUCUUAUUCUACACUCGCGACAAGUGUAUUUUUCUUUCUAAUUAUGGAAAGUUUGGAGUGCAAAAUGAGAAUUUUGGAGUGCCAAUAACAAUUCCCUAUUAUAUAUAGCUCUACUAAGAAGGCGACUGUAUAUGUCUUCAUCCUGUUAAAUUGUAUAUGGCUCUUGAUGUCGGCUGAAUUAAAUCAAAAUGAAAACCAAGCUGCUGAUCUUACCAGCCCAUAUCACUUAUCACUUAUUUAAAUUAUUUGAAGAUGCAUACGUGGAUUGGUGAUUUUGUUGGAUUCACUUAGCUCAAAUAUAUGUUAUCUGAGUCGCUACAUUUGAGAAUGUGAUUCUGUUCCUACCACCAUUUUGCCCACUUUUUGUGGAAAUUAUUCAUUCCUGUUGUGAAUAAUAUCCCCGGCAGCGAAGUGCGGGCGCAUUUUCUAGUUUAAGUUAAAUCACACAAUGGGUCAUCAAUAAUGACAAACUCGUCAUUUAUGCGAGUCAAACAUGAGACCACCUACCUACUAGUUUAGUGGAAUACCACAAGUGACAUGUUGAUACCUUUAAAUCUCAUAUAAUGGAUUGCAGAAUUAGGAUAUACCUAGUCUAAUUUAGUCAGUGCGUGAACCCGAACAAUUAACCAGGGUUUUAUUCUUGCUUGAAUGUUUGUAAUAUGUUCCUAGUUUGACAAGGCAAUUAUAUUUCCGACUACAAAAGUUAUUAAUUUAGUCGAGAAUUGACGCACCUGAAAUGGUGUGAGGAAAACAUGUAGACACAUCAGACGCGGUCCAUCCUGAGCAUUGUGUAUUAAGGAUAAAGCUCAAAGCCAUACAUGAGGGCAUUGUGUAUGUCUUUAUAAGAGAAGUUGCUGUAGUCCUCAACGUGGCCGGCAGCCAAACUCAUCCACUCUACACUGCAACCCUCAUCCAAAUCCCAUGCUUCCAACCUGCCCCCGACAUAGUCAUCGACCAUGACAUAGCUAUACGUUUUUGGUUGACUCGAAGAAGAAGAAGAAGAAGAAGUAUUAUUCAAGCAUGGAGCAGUGUCCACGUACAGAGAAGAAUUCGAUGGAUUCGAACACUUCAAGUAAUAUAUAGAUAGAGAAUUGAUGUCAUAGGUGGGCCAAUAUAGAGAAUCGAUGUCCUCGAUGGGCGGAAUAUUUUGAGACAUGGAAGAGCAAUUGUUGUUGUCAAGCCCAGGAUCUAGAAGUCGGAUUGUUUUGUUAAUGUAGUUGAUUGCCUGGACAUAGUAUUUUCCGGAAGAAGGUAGGUCUAGUACUGUAAUGUUGCUCUCACAGGACAGAGUAAACCUUACGUCGCCACAGUACUUUGGAUCAUCGUUCAGUCGAAAAGGAUGGCUUAUGUUGUGGAUAUGGCCGCAGGAUGAAGUGCAGGACUUGGCACUACUGUUGUCAGCGUUACAAGUUUCACUGCAAAAGCAAAGAAGAAGAAAGGCUAAACUUAAGGUGAAGGACCUGGUUCCACUGAUUUCCAUUGCUCUGAGAGAGAGAGAGAGAGAGAGAGGGCACUAUAGCUUAAACACCAAGGAGUUAUAUAAUAUGGGAGGGGUUAAAGCACCUCGCUUAAAGUUGCAGUAAGCCCGUCAAAUAUCCUAGGGAAAAGUCGGUCAAUGCUGUCCUAUAGAGAAAAGUCGGCCUUGAUGUUUGACACGGUCACACUCUCUCUCUCUCUCUCUCUCUCUCUCAUUGACGAGGGACACUGUAAUUGAAAAAAAAAAUUGUUAUUCAGAGAUAGAUCUUGAAAUUCUUAUUUUAUAUAAAAAAAAGGGGUAUUUAGAUUUUAGGACCUAUAUAAGAUAAUUUUUAGAUUAUAAGGUUUCAAAAUCUUAUUUUAGUCCCUAAUUUAAUAUUCAUCGCCACAUCAUAUUAUAAGAUACCUCUAUUACCUACCAUAUUUACAAACUUUGCCAUUUAAAUUGUCAACCUAUUCUAUAAUUAAGGCUUAAAUAUAUUCCGUUAAUAAACCAUUCGUCAAUAAGAUAAAUCCAACUAUGGUAAAUUAUACUAAUUUAUACUUGCUGACAAACAAAUUAAGUCUAUAGUAAUUUUAGGUCAGUCACCUUAAGAAGUCGAAGAUGAAAAAAUCAAAUACAAAACAAUAGGUUAAAAAAAUUAAAUAAUAACCCUUAAUAUAUAUAUAUAUAUAUAUAUAUAUAUAUAUCACAAAAAAAAAGUAUAACAACUCCUUAUUGUCUAUAUAUAGGAAUUGCAUAAGUGUCGGUACAUAUGUGUAGGUACAUACAUGCACAUAGGUACGGAAGUAUCGGUAUGGAAGUGCCGGUACAUACGUACACAUAGGUACGAAAAUAUUGAUACGUUAGCAUCGGUACAAAAGUAUCGGUGCGGAAGUGUCGAUACUUAUGUACAUAUAUAUAGGUACGCAAAUAUUGAUACAUAAACAUCAAAAGAAAAAAUCGGUAGAUUCGAUGUAUGAGAAGGUAAAAAUAAAUCAUCAACACUAGAAAAAAAUGAUAAAAGUAAAUCAUGCACUAUUAGAUGCAUAAGAAGAAGAAAUAUUAGAUGUGGAUGGUGGCCCUAGCCCUCUCUUCUAACACGGUUGAAGAUAAUUUUUUGGGUUGGACAAAAAGUUUCAUUUUUAAGGAGAACCAUUUAUGUUAGCAAUAAAACUGAAAAGUUAUAAAUAAAAUAAAUAUAAGACAUUAUAAUUCACUCAAGGAUAAUAUAGGAAGAAAAAAAUUACAUAAAAGGAAUUAACUCUGACAUUAAAUAUAAAUGCUGACUUGGACAUAAGUCAAAGGACUAUAAUUAGUUUUUUAUCUUGGUUAAGGUUUUAGUCUAAAGAUAAUCUUUUUCAAGGAUUAAUAUCUAGUUUCCUAUAAAAAAAAACACCUAAUAUUAAUCAUUCAAAUGAAAUUGUUAAAAUUAAGUAUAAAUAAUACAUAAUGAAAACUGAACACAUACAAUCAACGGUCACGACCAUGAAAUCCUCCGGAUCCUCAGAAAAAAAUCCGACGAUGAUCUUUUUCUGUGUAAAAUAAUUUGAGGGUAUAAUACUGGAUGUGCGAUUAAACCGAAGAACCCACCCACCUCCAUCUUCUCUGACCAACUUGAACCCAGCCACUACUACAUGUCAUCCCGACAACCCACUCUCAGCUUCCCAAACCGCCAUUUUUCACCCAAUGGAACAUUUAAAGAAAAAAUCCAUCUGCAAAUCGAAAACCACCGAAAAAAAUUAAAUCAGAUACAUUGGAAAAAACGCAAAACUCAAUGGAACAACACUGGCGUGGAAGAGAAAAAAAGCAGAAGGUGAGAAUGGAGAGAAAGAAGCGAACGGAAAGAAAAAGCAAAGAAGAGGUUGGAAACGGAACAACAGAAGAACAAUAGAAGAACAGAAAUGGGUAUGGGAAACGGAACAACAGAACAAAAAGCAGGCGGUGUAUAGAGCAAGAAAAGCAAACCUCACGAUGACCAACACGUGCUAAGAGAGGCCCCGGUUCACUGUGUAUCACAUUUUUUAAUAUUUUUUUUGGUCUUCCCACCGGCUAUACAUGGGAUUCCAAAAUUAAGAAGGUAUAAAUUUUUAUUGUUUCUUGUGCCACAAACCAUGUGGCCCAGUCUUAAUCACAUUUUUUAAAUAUUUUUUUUGCUCUUCCCAUCAGCAGUACAUGGGUUAAAAAAAUUAGGAAAGUAUAAAUUUUUAUUGUUUGUUGUGUCACAAACCACGUUGCCCGGUUUUAAUCACAUUUUUUUAAUAUUUUUUUGUCUGCCCACCAGCUAGGUUUAAAGAAUUAAAAAAGGACUAAAAGAAAGACUCCACAGAUGGAGGAACAUGGGAAUAGAAAGGGCAAAUUUGGGAUUUUACUGUACAAAAAAGACAAAAAGUAACUGCUGAAGACUAACUUGAGGGGCAUUUUGGUCUGCACACUGCCCUAGAACAGUAACCAUCGGAUUGGGUUUUAGUAUAUAUAGAAUAUGUUUAGAUAAGGACAAUAAACUUAGAAUUUUGCCAAAAGUCAGAAUUUAUAAAUUGAUACAAUCAAUUCAUUUGUUUGGAUUCAUAAACAUAGAAAUUUAGACUUUCCGCGUGAGAAAAAACUUGGAAUUUGGGACCUUCAAUUCUCAUGUUUAAAUUUCAUGUAAAUAGGUGUCAUUUAUAAAUUUCAGUAAGUGAGAGUUUAAAAAUAACAAACAUGUAUUCAAAUUUCAUUCCUCCUUUGGUUAACCAAAAAAGAAAAUUUAUAAAUUCUAGAAAAUAAAAUUUCUUUAUUUUAAUUUCUGUUAUUUUAAAAUUCUUAGGGCUUGUUUGGUAUUCUACUUGAAUCCAACUUUUUAAACUAAAAAAUAAUUUUCAAGUUUUAGGCCUUAAAAACUUAUUUGGUAGAACUAUUUAAAAAAACUGAACUUAAGACUAACUAAAAAAUAUAAUAUAUUAUCUAAAAACACAAAAAAUGAGUUUUUAGAAUUUUUAAACUUAAAUUCACUCAUUUCUUUUCUCUCCCUCCUCCCCUCUCACUCCAAAUCUCUCUCUCUCUCUCUCUUUUCUUCUUUCUCUCUCCCCUUCUCUUUUUUUUAACCUUUUUUUGUCUCUCAUCUAAUCCGCUCUCUUCAUUUUCUCGGUUCUUUCUCUCACUCAUAUUCCUCUCUAUCUCCUCCAAUUCUCUCUCUUCAUUCUUUUUCAACCAAUAAUUUCUUACUUUUUUCCUCUUCUCUCCUCUUGAUUCUCUCUCUUCAUUCUUUUUCAACCAAUCAUUUUUUACUUUUUUUCCUUCUCUCCUCUUUCUCCCUCGACUUCCUCUUUUUGGAUCUCUUUGUUCAGUUUGAGCUGUAAGAUUUAAAAUUAUUUUAAAUCGUAUACCAAACAAGUUUUUGAGUCUUAAAGAAAAUUGUUUUUCAAAAAAUGUUCUUAAGAAAUGUUUUGAGAAAUGAUAAAAAAUUUCAAAUAAGAUACCAAACAAGCCCUUAAUAAUCUUAAAUUUUCCCAUCCAAACAAAAAAUUUUCUUGUCAUAGAACUUUCAAUUGGAAUCAAAGAAGACAAUCUUUUCACAACUAAUUAUUCUCACCAAAAGCAAUUUUUAUUUUAAAGCAAUCAAUACCAAACUGCAAAAGCAAAGUAGGAAGGCUAAAAUUAAGGUGAAGAACCUGCUUCCACUAAUUUCCUUAGGAGGGAGAGAGAGAGGGGGAGAGAGAACCAAGCGAGCGAGCAGAGAGAGAAAACACCAAGUAGUAUUCUAAUGUUGGUGGGGUUAAGUCACCUUCCGUGAAGUUGCAGUAAGGACUUCUAUCCCAGAGAAAAGUCAGUAAAUGAUGUUGACACAGUCAACGACAAAGACAGAAUUGUGUAACCAUAAUUCUCUCUCUAUCUCUUUUUCAUUAUCGGAUGACAGUGUAACACUACUACGUAUAUAUCUCUGCUCAAUUAUUGAAAAGAAAAAUCCAUGUGCAUUAUUUUUAUUAUUAUUAUCUCAGAAAUGCAGAAAUUGAUCAUCUCUUCCUUUUGCAUAUUGAUACUGGUUUUCUUCAAACUAGUUGAAGCAAGUCAAUAUGUGUGCGCGAAAUCCAACUGUAGCAAUGAUCAAAGCGGGGCUAUCCAUUUCCCAUUAAACAUCAGGCGCACACAUCAUUGUGGUAAUUCUGGGCUUGAAUGCAAUGGGAGAUAUGAACAGCAAAUACUAAUAAAAUUAUUUGUCAAAGACAUAGAUUACAAGCGUCAGGAAAUCCAAGUCUAUUCCCCAAGUAACUGCCUGCUGCUAAAGCAUGUUGAAAUCCCAAACAUGCCACCCUCUCCCUUCAACGUGUCAGUCGAUGACUACAUGAGUAACCUUACCUUAUUCAGUUGUCCUACUUCUUUUGCAAGACGAGAUACGGAUGUGUAUCAAGUCCCCUGCCUCGGCGACCGUGGCAAGAGAACUUAUGCCAUUUAUUCUGAUUAUGGUUUUAGAACUCUCUUCCGGAAUCUACAAUCUUGUACAAAAAUGUAUGAUGUUUUAUCAGUUCCAAUACCCUCUGAAUAUUAUGUUCUUCGUUUCAAAUGGUCUAUACCAAAUUGCAGAAAAUGUGGAGAGGGAAAGAGGUGUGAAUGGCAGAACAAUGAAAUUAAAUGUAUUCAAUGGAGGAAACCAAGUAAGGAUAACAUAUGUAUUCAUUGCUAGUUUUAAACAUCUUUACAUUUGUUUCUCAGUAAUUAUUGUUUAAAACAUGUCCAAUCCAUUUUUACUAUGAAUAUUAACUGACAGUCUCAUUUGAAUUUGCCUUUAUCUUUUACAGGCAACACAUGGAAAUUAGUGGUCACAGGGGGAAUCCUGGGUUCUUUGCUUCUUGUUCUACUGAUGAUUGCAGCAUAUCGGGUAUAUAGCGUUGAUAGAAAGAAAAAAGAGAUUCGAUUACGAAUUGAAAGAUUCUUGGAGGAUUACAAAGCACUCAAACCAAGCAGAUACUCGUACGCAGAUAUUAAGAGGAUUACAAAUCAAUUCAAGGACAAGUUGGGCAAAGGAGCCUAUGGAACUGUCUUCAAAGGAAUGCUCUCUUCUGAAUUCUUUAUUGCUGUCAAAGUCCUCAACAGUUCCAAGGGAGAUGGGGAAGAGUUCGUAAAUGAAGUGCGAACGAUGGGUCAUAUCCACCACGUAAACGUGGCUCGCUUGGUUGGAUUUUGUGCUGAUGGAUUUGUACAAGCUCUUGUUUACGAGUUCUUCCCCAUUGGUUCCCUGCAGGAUUUCAUUUCAUCUGCAGAUAGUAAGAAUUCAUUUCUUGGUUGGGAUAAGCUGCAAGAUAUUGCCCUAGGCAUAGCCAAAGGAAUUGAAUAUCUUCACCAGGGAUGCGAUCUACGAAUCCUGCAUUUCGACAUCAAACCCCAUAAUGUUUUGCUAGACCAAAACUUCACUCCAAAAAUUUCUGAUUUUGGUAUGGCCAAGUUAUGUUCCAAGGAUCAAAGCUUGGUGUCCAUGACUACAGCUAGGGGGACCAUGGGCUACAUUGCACCUGAAGUGUUCUCCAGGAAUUUCGGAAAUGUGUCUUACAAGGCAGAUGUCUAUAGCUUUGGAAUGCUGCUGCUUGAGAUGGUAGGAGGAAGGAAGAAUAUUGGUUCAAUCACGGAUAACACUACAAAUGAAAUUUACUAUCCACAGUGGAUUUAUAAUCUUCUAGGGGAAGGGGAUGACCUACGAAUCCACAUUGGGGAAGAAGGAGACGGUAAAAUUUCAAAGAAACUUGCAAUUAUAGGGCUAUGGUGUAUCCAGUGGCACCCGUCGGAUCGUCCUUCCAUGAAAAUAGCGGUUCAGAUGUUAGAAGGAGGAGGAGAAAGCUUGAGUAUGCCGCCUAAUCCCUUUGUGCCUACUGGUUCUACAACUAGGAAUGCAAGACGCCUAGAGCUAGAAGCUAUUGCUGAAUUAGAGUAAAAUGUAUAUGCAGAUAUAUAGACGUAUAGAUAUAGUAAUAUUUACAUUGAAUAAGAUACCGUUUGAUAACCAUUUCGUUUUCAGCUUUUAAUUUUUAUUUUUCACUUUUUUGAAAACUGAAAACUAAAAUCUUGUUUGGUAAAUACUUUUAGUUAAAAAAAAAUGAAGACUGAGAACUAAAAAGUGAAAGCUCAAAGGAAGUAGAUUAAAAGUAGUUACCAAACAAACCGGAAUCUCAAUAAUAAAAAAGAUUGAAUUGCACAAUGCAAUCCAAACCAAUCAAAACAUUAAAAUAGCAAAAAAAUUAAAAUUCUAGUUGAUUAGAUUCUGAACAUAGUAAAAAUGAACAGAUCCGAUGAAAAAACAAAAAAUUCUCAGAUAAAAAUAGGGAUAAAGUAGAAUAUUUAUAAAUAGCUCAUUGUCUCUUAUGUCAUCAAUUAUUUCUAUAGUAUAUACAGGUUUUUGGAAAAAUUAGGUUCCCAUCCCUUAUUUUCAUAUUACAUUGAUUGAAAUCUUAUUAUUUUUCUAUUUUAGAUCAAGGUCCCUUGACUUAUUCCAUGUCAUCAUUUUAGUAUUUAAAAUAUUACACGUCAUCAUAAACGAAAUCUCAUCCCUUUCUGCAUUUAAGGCAAAAUAAACUAUAUAAGUAAGUUUAAAACAAGGAAAAUCCAUUUGAACUCCUCCAUUCUUCUUCUUCCCUUAUGCACAUCUGGAAUCUACAACACCCCAAACCCAAUUUUCUCCAUUUUUCUUCAUUCCUGAAUUGAUCCAAUGCAUAUAUGUUGAAUAAACCUAUUGUGAUUAAAAUACAAAUUAGCAUCAAUGAUUUUAUCGGCUUGUGAGAUUUGUGUGGCAUAGGCAAGGCAAUGCAGGCAUCGCUUUAUCAAAGAAUCUGGUUGAUUCAAACAUGCAGAGACUGUAGAGUGAGCGGGCUAUGUAAAAACUGUACCAUUUUGAAGUCAUUUUCUUUUGUUCUUUACAUUUUUUUUUCUUUUAUUAUUAUAUAUUAGUCUUGAUUAUUCAAUGUCUGGUUGGCUACACUUAUAUCCAUGGGUACAUUUUUAAUCUACAUGUUUCGUUCUAAUAUAUCUAUUGCUAUAAUAUGUUUUGGUUGGUUCAAAUUUGUUUUACAUAAAUAUAUGGGUACAAAGUUUUUGUAGAAUAUUAUGUAAAAUGGUUUUUAAGGUUGCUGCAUUUUACGUACCCACAUAUGCAUGUCUAUAAAACAAUGUGGUAUGAUGUACAUUCUUUUCUUUGAGUUUUUAAAUGUACCCAUGAGUUUUCUUGUAAAUUCGGUAUGUACCCAUAUGCUAUUUAUGUUAUGGGUACAUACAUUAUUUUUGGUCUAAGUUCAUGGGUACAUUACUUUUGUAUGUAUGAAUUCAUGGAGUACAUUAUUUCCCUUAAUACUACUCAAUAAAAUUCACAAAAAUAUGUGUAGCGUGCAUGAUUUUUUAUUGUAGAAAUUGUUUGUUUUUUUUAAGUCUCAUAAUUCAUGAAAUUUGUACAUAUAUGAUCACAUAAAUUUUUUAAUUUUAUUAAAUUUCUUUUAGACUUGAUCGAUUGAUUGAAUCUCAUAAUACUAGGAUUUUGAAUUACAUAAAUUCUUGGAUUUAAAUCCCUUAAAUGUUGAACUGCAAUCAAUAUUUUAAAUUACAGUUUUUUAUUUAAGAUAUCAAAAAGAUGACAUGGAAAUAUAGUAAUACUAAAAUGCUGAGGUGUACAAAGUCAAAGGACUUUGAUAAAAAAAUAAAAAACAAUAAGAUUUCAAUCUAACAAUUGAAUUGACUAGGGAUCGGAACCAAAAUGACCCUAGAUUUUUAUUGAGUUUAAUCUUAAUAAAAAAAAGACUUCUUGUAUCACAAAAAAUACAAGAACCAUUAUUUGAAUGAAAUAAAAGCUAUGGGAUGGAGAUAUAAAUGGAUCCUUUAUUUCACAAUUGGAUUAUAUUUAUUUGAUACACUGUUGUCAAUAUGAAUGCUGAGAAAAGACUACAAAAGAAAAAAACAAUUUAUAAAUAUAACUAACAAUUCCAAUUUCAAUCAAUUAGACAAUUAGAAUUAUAAGAAGAAAAAAAAAAGAAAUUUCAGUUUUCAGUUUAAAAAAAAUGAAAAAAAAAUGGUUAUCAAAGCCGUCCAAAUAAUACAAGUUUGUUUCCACUCUUUGUUUAAGCAUAGAUGCCAAUUUUUGUUUAUCAUUUUUUUAACCUUUAUUUUUUGUUACAGUAGAAGCCCUGGAAGGAAAUCGAGCACUGGACUUACCAAACUCUUAACUUAUUUCUACACACCAAGAGCUUGAUUUCGGUUCUUAUUUAUACUAUUUAAGCUAUAAGCCGUGACAAGAAUUAGAGAACUAUCAUUUGUUGUGAGCUUCAAUUGGUUAGCACUUUGUAUGUUUUCAUUAGAAUAUAUAUUUCACUUAGACUUUCUUAUUAAAAAAGGGAUCAGCUGGUGACUUUACCACGACAAUCCAAUUUUAUGGGGGUCAUGAAUACUCACAAAGGCAUUUCAGCCUCCCCCUAUAUCUACCGUCGCGUGAUUCACCAUUGUCAGAAAUCGAACCCAAGACGUGUUGUAUAGAAUACGGGCCUAAAAUUCAUUUCUAACCACUGAGUCACCCCGCGUUUGAUUAUAUUUCACUUAGACUUAUCUUGCGGUAUAGCAUGUCAUCCCCGCCCAAGUUUUUCCCUUCGCGUUGACUUUGGGAUACCAAAACUUGCCAAACAAAGUAGAUUGAUUAGUAAGCGAAGCUAAUUAUUCGACUAAACAUUGUUUAGAAUUUUAAUUAAAAGAACCAAUAUGAAUCUGUUUUUUUUUUUUUUGACAAACUAUAACGUUAAGGAGUUAAAUUGUUAGUUGUUAAGAGUACGGGGAUAGGUGAGGAUCGAACCUCCACCAUAGUGCAUAGACAUUAUUGGUUCUACAACUGCUGUAAAUCACAUAAAACAAAACGUAAUACUUUGAGGAUGGAAGACACUUCGUGGAUAGCGGGCAAUCAACACUAUCAGUUGCUAUCCAAAACUUGGAAUUAUGUUUAUUGUCCGAAGGAUUUUUCUUCCAUUAAAUUGCUAAGGAAGAUGAGGAUGGGUAGAGUGUCUAAAUGUCAAGGUUGAUAAGAACGUGUAUGGUGUUCAGCUUGCGAUUGAGAUUUGUUGAGUGGCACAACAAACCACAUAAAAUUUUCUAAAUGAUAAGCUUGAGUAUAAUUUUUUACCACGUAUUUAUCUUUAAAAUCAUUAUAAUUAGAUUUUCUCUUAAUUAAUAUAGACCGUUAGAUUCAUCUAAUGACCCAAGUUUUUUUCCUCUUUUCUUUCUACUCUUUUUUUCUUCUCUGAUUUUCCAUUCACCGUGUAGCAGUCGUUCUUCCCCAACUAAGUUUCUUAUUUUUCUUCACAAAAAAAUUGUAGAAAAUAUUAAGAAAAGAAAAGUCAUCAAUAUCAGACUCGACCAGGUAAUCGUUCCAACCUUCCCAGCAACUCUCAGUCUUAACAAGGCACCAAAUUUUCUCCGCCACCUAACUCGUCAUUCAUUUAUGGGUGUUUCAAGCUUGGUGAAAAUUGAUAGAGUUCCAUGUGUGUACACGGAUGUGAACAUAUUGGCCACUCUCUAAUGUGUUGGUUUAUCACAAAGAACCCAGAUACAAAAUUUUAAAAAGCAAACAAUUACAACUUCUCAAAUAUUAUCUAACAAACUUUCAAUGAAAUGUUGCUCAUAAUUGAAAAAAGGUUGACGAAGGACGGAGUUGGAGUUAUUUUAGAUGGGGAAGAGUUAAAAGAAGGAAGCACCAUUUAAUUAAUAAAAGCGAUUGGAGAAAUAGUAAUUCAAUGGUGGGCGUUUUUAAGGUGUGGACCUUGUAUCACACCCCGAUUCCAACAUACAUUGAGGAUCAACACGUGACAUGGGGACAUAGGGGACAUAAAUCUUAUGUAAGAUACAAAAUGAAAUACUAUAAAUAAUAUCCCAAAAUGAAUAUGAUAGUGGGUUCACCCCUAUAAAAUAUAUACGAGUUUGUACAUUCACAAAAAAAAAAAAAAAAAAAAAAAAAAAACACAUACACACACACAAAACUCUCGCUAGGCCAAGACUUGCCCAUGGUGCUCAAAGGAAAGUCCCAAAAGAAAGAGUACAAUGAAGGAUAAAGGGGUAACCUAAACACUCCAAGUCUCUGAUCUCUGCACUGCUACCCUCACCGGCUCCUCGUAAUCUACUCAGACCUAUCACAUGUACAAACAGUGCCUACAUUGUGGGAAUGGUGCAUCGGGCAAACAAAAACCCGGAUAAGCUGCAAAACUCGUGUGAGUGACAAUAAUGCAACAUAUGUGAUAAUCAAGAAAAACAUACCAUCGAUCGCAGUUUAUAAACCUCAAAUAUAACUUCAUACUUAUGAAAUCAUAAUCAAGUCACUGAAAACUUCGAAUGAGUCACCCAGACAUCCAACGACUUUUUAAAAUCAAAUCUCAGAGAUUCCAAAACUAUCAUUCACAAAUACACUAAAAACUAGGGCUAGAGUGACACAGUUCGGCCAAAGACUACAUAAGUAACCAAACAAGAAGUGGCCCCCCAUAGCGGAUUAACCAAGCAGAGCCACUCCUGAAAAAGUAACCAAGUAGGUAGUGACCCCCAUCACGGAUUAACCAAGCAAAGUCACUCCUACGAAACUGUUAGGUAGUGAUCACCCAUCGCGGAUUAACCAAGCAUGAUCACCCCUAAGUACGUAUGGCCAUACCUAAGAAAUAAGGAUCGCCCACCGCAGAUUAACCAAGCACGAUCCAAAAAUAUUAUGGGUCCCCUAUCACGGAUUAACCAAGCAUGACCAUCCAUGUACCACUACUACAUGGUGUAAAUUCGGUGUCACCUAACCUCGUGACACUAGGGUAACGGUCCUUUACUAGCCCUCACGUUUUUCAAACAUUUCAAAUAUAUAAUUUAAAACACAAUUCAUAAACAUUUCGAAUAAGGAAGUCACAUAGUGUUUAAUAAUGUAGGUCAAUGGAAAACUUUAAAAACAAUUAUUUAGCAUAAAACAUAUUUUAGAAAUCCAUGUUGUAUCCACAAAGUAUACUAGCAUGGGAGAUUUUCAGGGUAAUAACUCUAUCAUAUAUAUUAAAGUCACUCACCUGGAGUCCACACUAACGCACCCUAACACGAAUAUCAAGACGUCACGUACUAUCAUCUGUAACAUCCCACAUCAACCAACGGAGAGAGGGUGAUGUGCCUUAUAUGUACAUGCCCACCUCCAUAGCAUGAGACCUUUUGGGAGCUCACUGGCUUCAUAUUCCAUCGGAACUCCAAAGUUAAGCGAGUUUGGGCGAGAGUAGUCCCAGGAAGAGUGACCCACUGGAAAGUUCUCGUGUGAGUUCCUAGAAACAAAAUCGUGAAGGCGUGGCCGGGGGGGGGGGUUAAAGCGGACAAUAUUGUGCUACGACGAAAUUGAGACUGAGAUGUGACAGAAUGGUAUCAAAGCCACUCUGCCGUGUGGUGCGAGUGUGCCGACGAGGAUGUCGGGCCCCUAAGGGGGGUGGAUUGUAACAUCCCACAUCGACCAACGGAGAGGAGGUGAUGUGCCUUAUAUGUACAUGCCCACCUCCAUUUAGCACGAGGUCUUUUGGGAGCUCACUGGCUUCGGAUUCCAUAAGAACUCCGAAGUUAAGCGAGUUCGAGCGAGAGCAUUCCCAGGAUGAGUAACCUACUGGGAAGUUCUCGUGUGAGUUCCCAGAAACAAAAUUGUGAGGGCGUGGCCAAGGCCCAAAGCGGACAAUAUCGUGCUAUGGCGGAGCCGAGAUUGGGAUGUAACAUCGUCACCUAAGACAAAGUACAAGUCCACAUUUAAAGUUCUUCGUGUAUUCACAUAAUAAAAAAUUUCCAUAUGCCCCCUACAACUAAUGAAGAGAAAUCGAGACACGUUGACAAAAAGUCAACUGUUGAUCAACGGUAGGGUCCAUAACCCUACGUAACUCGAUCUGCAAGAUCCAGCCACUGUAUUUGUGAUUCAUAAGUUCCUAAGGUCCUUAAAUCUUACGUACAAUAACAUACUAAACUUUGGUGACGAUCUAAUUGUCGAAUCAUCAUUUGCUAUAAUGUUCAAAUGACGCAAAUUCAUCAAUCAGAUGUUAAAUAUGGAAUCGGUCAUCGAAUUUAGCUUAGGAAGGUCAAGUGGUGUCUCGAGCCACGUGCUGCCGUGCGCAGCAGCUGGCAACCCAAAUUCGUCGGAAAAAUCACCUAAUUCCAAAAUGAAUGUCGUUAGACGUGGAGUAAAUUGUAUACCUGUGAAGAAGCCCAAUUUGGUCGGGAAGUGGCCUGAAAUCACUUUAGACCGUCGGAAACCCUAAAAUAGGUGAAUCUCGAUUCGUCAUCUCCGGUAUUCCACCGUCCUCAAACUUGUUUAGGGUUUGCUCCUGGUCUCAAAAGAAUGCUAAUGAUGGUGGUGAUUGAAGGAGAAUGUUUCAGAAAUAAUGAAUCGUCGACGAGGGUUUCACGAAACCGACAUGGGUGUUCCUUGUGGAACUAAGACCAAAUCUCAACGGUUUUGGCUAGAAAUGGAUGCUGGGAUGUCGUGGUGAGGUUUGGUAGUGAUGGGAGGUCGAAGAAAGCCAAAAAAAUCGACGAAAAAACAGUCGUCGGAGUCGCAGGAAACGGGUUAGAAAAACGAGUCGCCAGGUCUGAAACGGGUCGAAGGCUUUUGGGACAGCUACUUACUCUCUCUUCUUUGAUUAGUCACUCCACUCACUCUCUCAUUUGAUUAGUCCAGCCUUCCCACAUGGUGGGAGUUCCCUCAUAUAGUAACCCAAAAUUUACUAUUUAAAUCUGGUAUCGAACGUUCGUAACUUUUUCGUUAUAGUUUCGAUUCGCAAACAGCUUUCGCCUACGCGCUCGUAUGAUCGAAUUAUACUCGAAAACAUUAAUUGUGACCUCGAAAAGGUCUACGAGUUUUAAAAGAUUAAUUACAAAAAUUCACACCUUGUAACUAUACGAUCCAAAUUCUAAAAUUAACGGAAUUAAAAUAAACUAAAAAUAAUGUAAACACGAAAUACAGACUUUAAUAAUGAAAUACGUAAUUAAUAGUAGUAUUCCGGGAACGGGAUUUCACACCUUGCGUCCGGACCUUGAGUGCGGAUCAGAAUCCAAAGGUCGUGAUCUGACAAGCUCAUGCAUAGAACGGAGUCGUUGUGACCCAAUGCAAUUCAAAACUUUUAUGUUUUUUAUUUGCUGGGUACGUUUUUGUAGGAGGAAAAGGGGAAGUCGAGGGAUUCUUUGCGCAUUAAAGAGGGAAAGAGAGAAAGGGGGAGCUAAGAGGUUCUUCGCGCGUUAAAUUUUUGCUUCUAAUUUUGCAACCUAGAAAUAAAGUAUUUUCUUUAUGGUUUAUGGUUCAAGAAUAUAAUGGAUGCAACCUAAAAAUGUUUCUUUUUUUAUUUUUUACUUUUUUUCUUCUUAUGUUGGCUUUUGGUUUAUUUUUAUAACGCACUAUAUAUUAACUAAAUUUAUAAACAUUUUGUAUCUUUGUUGCAGUCAAAUUAAUCAUAUGGGUCGGCAUGACUAAGUUCGACUGAGACAUACAGAUGUUUUGCAAUCUUAAGUCUAACCUGACACACCUCGACCUCAAUAUCCAGUGAACACCAAAAUUAAGGUGUGCUGGCCAUCAUCCGGAUGGGUGACGAAACCAUAAUAUGCAUGAAAACAUAACUAAAUUAUCAACCAAUAAAAUCUAUUGAAAAAUUUGGCAGAACAUCCCUUAAAAUAGGGAUAUGCCCAAAUUAAAAACACUUGCACAUGAUCACAAUUAUUCAAACACAUCCCGAAGGGCCACACUUAAUGGGACUUCGACCAUCUAUUACAUGCAUGAGAAUAUGUUCAGAGAAUAAUUACCCAAAUACGUCUUAUUAAAAUAUUGAGUAAAUACCAUACAAGAUAGAAUACGUCAGAGCUGUUGCAAAAUACCUCAACGUCGGAUGUAAUCACUGAUAGAAUUACUGAAUCAUGUAUAAAUGGAAAGCUGAUAAAUACAUGUAAUUUGAGUGGAUACUUACCAACAGCAUGGAUACAAUAUCAUCCACCAGUCGUAACUAGUGAAAACUGGAUAAUAUAAUCAUGUCAUUGCCGAGUAAUCUCAAGGCAAUGACAAGAUGAGAAUGUAACUGAGUAAUCAUAUCAUUACUAAAUAAUUUCAAAGCAAUGACAAGCUGAGAGUAUAACCGUAUAAUCAUGUCAUUACCGCGUAAUCUCAAAAUAAUGACAAGCUGAGAGUAUAACUGUAGUACCUCUUAUUAGUGCAAUGCAUGAUAUGAAUUCCAUCUCACAUAUAUAUGCAAGCCAUAAUCAAACCAAUAAACAUCCAACAAAAGCCACAAUCCUUUUAACAUUCGACCACAAGAUCAAUUUUCAUAUUUCCCAAACCUAGGUUCCGAAGCAUUGUUUCGAAUUAUUAAUACAAGAAACCACCACCACCUCAAUCAAUUCCUAUUCAUAAGUGUAAGCAAUUACUAAAUGCAUCACUUUCGACUCUAGUCUUAAUUAGAUUACUUGGGAUACUCAUUCACACCAUCAGAUCCACGUACAAUUUUGAUAAACUUUAAAUAGCAUGGUUAAAAUAAAUGAAACAUUUGAAUGAAACACUUUUAGAAAAUAAGUGAAGAUGUUGUUUACAAAUAUAGAUGCAUCUGUAUAUAAAAGCUUUGGCGGUUGAUUCGUAUACUUCCAGAGAUAUAAGCAAGUUCAUUGGAAUAUGCAUACAUGGUUAAUGUAUUACGGUAUAAUUAAUAAGAAAACAAUUGCAUCCCCUUCAGAUUAUAUAUAUAUAUAUAUAGACACACACACAUACACAUACAUACACACAGGCCCUUUAUGCAAAGGAAUUUCCAUUUUUUUUCAAAAAAUGGGGAUUAGUUGUGGGGCCCACGCUGCAUUGAACUUUAACGAUCCGAACAAUCUAUUUUGUAAGUCUCGAUUCAUAGAUCAUCCUUGCAAAAAUUCAAUUCAAUCCGAACCCUUUUGCCUAUUUAAUUAUCAAGAUAAAAUUUCAUUGUUUCUUAUAUAACAAAGUAUUCGUUAAUUUCUUUGAACUCAAUUAGAUAUCUUAAACAUUUCCGAUUUGGCUAAUAUUUUGCAAAGAUGAUCUAUGUGGUGCAACUUGAAAAAUAGACGAUUUCGAUUGUUAAAGUUCGAUGUGGUGUGAACCCUACAAUUAAUCUUCAUUUUUAUAAAAGAAUGGGAACCCCUCCCCUUAAAGGUUUCCUAUGUAUAUAUUUGUUCUUCAGACAUAUGCAAAAGGUAAUGUAAAACCAAUGAGAACUUAAAUAGAUAUUCCAUACAUAGGACAAUUCCAUAUAUGCUUUUUCAACAUUUAUAUCGAAAAGCCAAAUUGUUUUGAGGAAAUUAAUUGUAGUAAUGGUCCCUUAACUUUUAUCUUAUUGGAGCAAUGGUCUCUCAACUAAAAAUUCAUGACCAUUGGUUCCUUAACUCCACAAAACGUGUAGUUAUGGUCAUUUUCAUUAACUCCGUCAGAACUUUUGUUAAAACAAGUAAUGUUAGAAGAAUCAUUGCUACAAUCAGGUUAAAGUUGGGGACCAUUGCUCUAAUUGAAUUAAAGUUGAGGGAUCAUUACUCCAAAUUGCUUAAAGUUCAAGGACCAUUUCUACAAUUUUCUCAUCUAGUUUCCCAUAUUUACCCCAUGAUUCAGCUUCACAUGCAUUGCACAUGACUCAUUUUGACAAAAGUUUUAACGAAAUUGACGAAAAUGACCAUAAAUGCACGUUUUGAAGAGUAAGAGACCAAUGGUCGCAGAUUUUAGUUGAGGGAUCAUUGCUCCAAUUUGGUUAAAGUUGAGGGACCAUUGCUACAAUUUGCUCAAAUGUUUCGUAUGCGAAAAUAGGCAUUUGUAAAGUUUGGCUUGUUCAUGGCAUUAUUACUUUAGUCUAAAGUAAGGCUGGAAAUGGCACUGUAGAAAUGAAUAGUGUUCCAAUCCGAAUUUCAGUUUAAUUACAACAAUGCCAUUGCUCUUUGUGUUGCCUUUAGGUGAGCAACCCAACUUCCAGCCAGGCCCAAAUGUAUUGGUUUUAGCUGAGAAGCCCGACCUUUGGUCAGGCCCAAAACUUUAAAUUACAGUUUUGCCCAUACAAAAUAACAAUUUGAUUGUAUCGGGAAGGACAAUUUUGUCCUUUUAGUUUUGGGCGAGAUAGGGGGUAACCGGGUAGAUUUCAUUUGCUGUCGUUGAAUGAAGGUUUCGGGGAUGAAGGUUGUGUGUGUGUGUGAGGGAGAUGACGAUGGAAGGAGAGCGAAGGGGAGGGGAAGGGUUCUCGGCACUGUUGCUGCAUGUGGAUUUCACAAGUGGGUGAAUGGGUAUGGUUAGAGAAUACCAUAUAGGUUGUCGGGAUUUCAGGAAACGGGGUAGGGGUCAUGAAUGAACCCUGCUGAGAGUGGGUGCCGGAUCUUGCGCUGCAUGCCUCAAAUCAAAGAUAAGUUCAUUUUUUUAUUGUAUUCUUUAAUGGUAGCUUAGCUUUUGGAAUUGUUUAGUAUGUUAGGUCCAGUUUUGGGGGAUUUAUCUUUUAGAGAGAGAGAUGGACAGGGAGAUAAAGAUAGACAGAGAGAGAGAGAGGAGGAGGAGGCGGAGGAAGUAUGGCUGUGUGCUAUUUUUGGUGUUAAUUAAUGGGUUGGUGCGCAGGGUGAGUGACAGAGUGACAGAGUGACGGAGGGAUGUGUGGGAGGGUAUGGGUUUUUAGUUCUUUCUUUUGAUUCAAUAGGUUAUACACUGUUUGAAAAACCUUUUUUUUAUUUUUUUGUUCUCGUUUGCUUUGUUAAAACCAUCAUUUGAAUUUUUGGGUUUCACUGUGCUCAUUUCUCUGUUUCUUCAUAAUUUGUUGGUGUUUGCUUCUCAUCCCUCUGUUGGUAGAUCUUUUUCUCAUUUCUUGGUUCCUUAUGUAUUCUUUGGUACAAAUCUGUUUACUUUUUGGUUGUGUGAUAAUCUUAGCAGGUGAACUAUAUGAACGUUUUUUUGAAACGAGCACAGUGAAGCAAGCGUAGAUUGGGAGGCAACCCAAUAUUUCUAUUCAUUGCCUUUUUCUGUCAUUUUCAAUUUUCUUGCAUGCUAAACUGAAUUAUUUCUUUUCUUUGUAUUUGGGUUAUGUCCACCCUUGGAGUUGAUUGCGGAAUUAUAGUUUGGGGGUCAUCAUUUGAUUUCACUGCAAAUUGGGGAAGUUUUUAGUCCAAAUGCCGGAUCACUUCAAGUAUCACCUUCCAUUCGAAGUUCACUUCCAUGCCAUGGAACCUAUGGGAGUGUGACUGGAGGCAUCGUCCGGCUGCAAGACGUUAAAGAAAGCGCUUCUUGGGAGGCAACCCAAGCUUUCUAUCUUUCAUCUUUAUUUUGAAUAAUUUUAAAUGUUCUUGUUCUGUUUUUCUCUUAUUUUCUGGUUUUUGUAUUUAAGUCCUACUUUUGUUCCUUUAUGCAGGUAAUGAUUUUGCAAUCUCUACCACAACUUCUUGCAAGGUAGUUUUACAUUCAUAAAAACGAAAGGAACAUUAAGCAUAUAAAUACAAGAGGGAGCCUUCACAAAGGCUGCUUAGGAGAAGUUUCAGCAGUCGGCGGAGUCCCAGAAGGAGGAGGCAUCAGAGGUUGAUCAUUUGGAGCUUCAUUACGUGGUACAACCCCAGAAGACGAAGGCAAAUGCAAAUAAGGAAGAUCUAUGAAUCGCUUCACAAUCGAAAAGGAACAUAUGGUAGAAAAAUUCAAAGAUGAGCAUACAAACAAGAAGGAGUCUUCAUUGGUCAGGAGGUGUCGCAGCAGUCGAAGGAACAUCAGAAAGACGAAGUGUCAGAGCUUGAUUGUCCGGAGCACUUGGUGAAGCACCAGAUGAUGAAGGCAGAAGUUGCCUCAGGAGUAAAGCCAUAAACCUUUGAUGAUCACUCCGAGCCCGAACUUCAGCCUCUUGCAGCUGGUCCAACUUCCUCUUUAUGCUUGUUGAGUAGUUAGUUGCGAGCAUGUGCAACUCUUUAUCUUCAUGCCUCAGCGCUCUGACCUCUUGCCAAAGGCUAGCCACUUCAGCCAUCAACGACUCCACUUGACGAGUUCGAGCAAGAAGGCGUUGGCCCAUGUUUGAUACUGAGCCUGCACUUUGGACGCUGAAAGCCAAAGAAUCCUGAACAGCCUGCUCGUCAGACCGCUUAGAUAGCAUCCUACUGUCUCUUGGAGUAUGAAGAUUUCUAGCAACCACUGCAGCUGUUGCAUCAUUUCUCAUCACAGUGUCCCCAACUGUAAGAGGACCGUUGGAGGAUAUGAAAGAUGGCUGCCAAAUGUUACCUGGAGACGAGAGGUCAAUAUCUUCUUCGAUAUUCAGGUCAAAACGACGGUCGGAUGGGCUAGACAUUUUCAUAGGUGUUAAAGAAAGAAGAGGUCAGACAAGUCAAGAUAGUAGAAAUGCAAGAAGGGAGUAUUCACAGGCAGAAAUUCAUGUGUGCUUUGAACAUCCUGCGAACCUCUAUAAAAAAUAGCACACAAUGAGAUUUCAGGGAUCGAAUAGGCGAGUUCAGAGAUCGAUGAAGCGCCUGCUUUCUCCAAAGCUAGGCCUACUCAGGAAUCACAGGCUGAUCUCAGGUAGUGAAGACGCGCCUGUCUCUCUCAGCCCCGUCAGCACUUGUCACAUGCAGAGAAAACUUUGAGGAAAUCACGGGCAGUUUGUCGAAGCGCCGAUUCCAACCAUCUGUCUUUCUCAGCCUCGUCAGCUUUGAGGAAAUCACGGGCAGUUUGUCGAAGCGCCGAGUCCAACCGCCUGUCUCUCUCAGCCUCGUCGGCACUCGCUUUCUCAAAAGCUGGGCUUGAAAUCACAGGCCAAUCUUCAGUUUCUAAAUUUGUUCGCACUUGUCACAUGCAACCUCUGCACUCAACGAAGCUCAGAACUCGAAGCGCCAAUUCCGGAUAUUAAAGAAGCCUUUGCUUUAUCAGACGUGUCAGCAUCUGUCAAUUGCACAUCUGCGUUGCGUAAAUCACGCGCAAUCUGUCGAAGAUUUCUGGAGAAACGGAAUGCACGUGAAGUUUACUGUUAAAUUACCCCAGGCUUGCUGACACGAGUACUAGAACAAUGCCUUCCCAGCCAUUAAGAAAAAUUCUACAAAUGUUAAAGGCAACCUCACUCAACUUUCAGCCUCACUCAACCUUUCUUCCUCUCUGAGAAUGUAUUCCCGAAGAAGCCUCCCGAGUCACUCUGUGUUUCUCAUCCCUUGGGAUACCCCUGCAAACAACCCACCCAGAGCAAAAGUAUUUCAUAUCAUAACGGUUGAGAGCAAGAGUAUCUCAUAUCAUGCUUUCUCCCUGUCCUUUGUCUCGCCAGCACUUGGUAUCAAUCUUCCGAGCGGGGACCGACUGCCUGGAACCCAUUCCUGAUUGCUUACCUAACCUUGCUCUCGAGUACUCAUCCUUCUUAUGUUUCCUCUUCGUCUACCACAUAGGGGAAGUGAUAAUGAUACCUCGAAGCAUGUGGAUACAACGUGCUGAUUCAUCCUCAACUAAGGACAAGGGAGAAAGCAAGCAAGAUGUGGGCACUUGGAAAGAUUGAACAAAGAAACAGACUAACACCUCUACCUCGUGCCUGCCUACCGAGCAGAAGAAACAAGCAGAGAAGAAUGCAGACUGCACAAUCAAACAACCCAGGAACUCUGAUAUUCCUCGCUCAGGAUUCCAAACCAGUUUGAGAUUCGCCUACACAAAUUGGUGUGUUCUUUCCUUUUCUUUAUGUGUCUUUAUUUCAUUUUAUAUUUCUUUCCUUCCAUUUUCAUGUCUUAUUGUUCAAAAAUUCCUUUCAUUAUCAUUGGGGACAAUGCUAUAAUUAAGUUUGGGGGUAUUUGGAAAUAUAUUUCGUUAGUUUAUUUCUCUAUUAAAAAAAAAAAAAAAUUUUGCAUUUUUAUUGUUGUUUGUAGCUACUUCUCAAUUCAAUGAUGAGAUUUGAUUUUAAUUUCCUUCUUACUUUCAAGAAAGUCUAAGUUCUUUUCGUUGUCUUUGUGUUAACUGUGAUUUCCAGAAAUCAACUUGAAAAAAGAAAUGUGCCUAGUCUUGUCAAUGUGAAACUUGAGCAUGAUUUAGCGUUUCAUAUGUGAAUCAUGUGAGAUUAUGUAAACCUUGUGAGUUUUUUAGCCUAUACAUGAUUGAACCAUUAUGCAUCAAUCUCAUUCCUUCUUGUGCGUAUGAUCUCACUGUACAUGUAUCUCUAGAACUUGCUUUAUACUACUCGAUUCAUUAAUCAAUUCAUGUAAUAACUUGGAAGUGAUAUAGGCCAUCUUUGGAUCGUUUGAGCCUUUCAUGCCUACCUUAUAUGCUAUGUUUAUCCUUAGUAGCCCUUUGAGCCUUUAACUAAGCCAUUUCUUUGUUAACCACAUCUCUUUACCUUGCUCCAAUAUUGGAGUUGAGCCCAUACACAAAAAUCGAUUCCUUAUUGUUUUGAGAAAGUAUUACAUGGGUUGUGCUUUUGGGGGUUUCAUUUAUAUAGAAAGAUGGAUGGAGUAUGUGUAUACAAUGAAAUGUGAAUUUGAUGGGUGAUGUAGAUUUUGAAAAUUAUUUCAAAAGAAAAAAAAAACGAAAAAAAACGAAAAAAAUGAAAAUUGGAGAGUGUUGAUUUGUUGAAAAUGUGUCGGUAGAGUAUAAAUUUCCUUUUAAAGUUAAAUUUGGGGAGUAACAGGUGCUCGAGGUUUUAUUAUUUUGCUUUCAAUUUGAGGUGGUGUGAUAUUGAGGUGUUGGAAAACUACCAAAGUGUACUUUCUCAAAAUUUUUGAUUUCCAUAUCCUUUCUUUCAUUAGCCUAUCACCUUUAGCCCCAUUACAACCGUAAUAAAGUCCUAUUGAUCCAAGGUAUUACUUAAAUAUUGAUAAGCGAGUUAGGUGGACAAGCAAGCACAUGGCGGCAUGUACAAUGAGAUUACUUGAGUGAAACACAUUAACAAAAAAUUAUGAGUGAAUGAGCGUAUGUCUUGUGAGAAACUCACAUGUUUGCAUAUGAUGAUUUAAAGGAGCUUGGAAUUGCAUUGACAUAGCUAGCUCACACAUGGCAUUUCAACGUUUUGUUUGAAGGAAAUUUGGUUAACUAUUGGAUGAUGUUUUGAGCUCUUGCUUACUUCUUGGCAGUGUAUCUCAUGACUAGCACUUAUCUCUGAAAUCGAAAUUGAGAAGUUGGCUACUAAGUUGUUGAAUCUAGUCUUAGUUGAGUGGUUUUGUUUUGCUAGAGGACUAGCAAAAAUGUAAGUUUGGGGGUAUUUGAUCACUCAUAUAUUUCAUGCAUUUAUACCAUCCAUUUCUAAAGUCUUUGUGAUGUUUUUGUGUUAAAGUUGUGGCAUUUUACCUUACCUUGUGUUAAUGUACAGUUAAUUUUAUUUUAGGAUCAAUUUCAAAGAAAAUGGGCUGAAAAGAAAAUAAAAGAAAAGAAAUAAAUGGGACGGAAAGGAAGACACUGACAGAAUAAAAGAAUGAAGAAAGAGGUAGAACGGCAGAUAGAGAAGUGGGAAGAAAGUGGAGUGCGCAUGGGAUGGAAGUGGAACAAAAAGCAGGAGAGGGAGUGAGGAGUGCGGGAUAAAAGCAAAGAAAAAUAGAAGAAUAAGAAAGAAGUGGGAGGACACGGACUGAGUGGAAGAAUUAAAGAGAGAAGCAGGGUGCAGGCACGGACAGAAAGGAGAACUGAAGAAUAAAAGAGAAGACAGAGAAGCAGAAAAAAGAAGAGAAACUGACGUGAAAGCCAGUGCGCAGAGGGCGCAGAGAGAUAGGAGAGAUUGUGCGGGAGCAGAAGCACAGAAGCAGAGGGAACAAAAUCACAGACUGACAGCAGACGCAAGAGGCACGGCAGAGAGCAAAGCUUCACUCUAUUUUUCUUGGUUUUAUCUUCUCAAACCCAUGUUUUACUUUUGGUUUAAUUUGUGAAUUAUGUGUAACUAAAUUUUAAGUAGUUAGGGGCUGUUUUGAAGCCCCGAAUAUGAUUGUAAGUUUGUUGUGAUAUUUUGUUUGAAUGACUUUUAUGAAAGGAUGAAAAUUGUUUCACUACUUAUGUGAUUGAUAAAUUCUUUAUGUGUUUCUAUGGAUGCAUACAUAGUGAGCAUAUCUAGGAUUUUAAUGCUAUGAAUAUAUGUUUACCUGCCCUUGUUGAAUGAGGACCUACAUAUGUUCUAGAGUAGCACUUGUUAAUUGUGGUUAACAUGUGAACCGAUUUCUAGGAUAAGUAAGACAAUGCCAGUACUUAUCAUGCCUUGUGAUGACUCAAACUCUUUUCGUUCUUAAUGAUUUCUACUUGUUAAAUCUAUGAACACGACAUUCUAGAUUACAUGCUAGGGACUACGUUAAGUUGAAAACGCUAUUCUCUUAACAUACUACGUAAGAAAAAGUAAUAGGUUGUGUUCUAACAUUGAGCCAACUUGAGCAUCUUCAUCCGGAAAUAAAAGGAAUUUGAAUGAAACAUAACAUGUUUGCAUGAUUAUUUGGUGGUGGAUAGCAUUUCCCCUAAUUCGUUUUCUUAACUUGUGAAUUAAAAUCUAUUGGUAUUAUUUAAAACUGGUUGAGGUCCUGUUUUGUCCGAUUUAAUUUAAAUAGCUAAUCAACUUCAAAAAUCCCAAACAUUUGUGUGAGCAUAGCUUGGUGUGUCUAGUUUAUGUGUAUAAAAUUUCGUUGCAUUUGGAUAAGUGUAAGUUAGUCUAAUAAUUAUUGUUCGGUGGCUGGUCAGUGGAGACAACCAUCCUGUUUUUGUGACAUUUUAAGUGUUUGGAUAAAACAAUUUUCUGCGGAAAAGACCCUUAUUUUCAUAUGCUACAAUCGACAAAAUUUUAGUGUUAAUAAGGAAAAUCAAUAGGAUUAUUGUGGGCUACUUUGUGGUGCGUUAUAAUUACUACCAUGCUGUCAGUGGGUGUUAAUAUCAGGUACCCAUGUUCAGUUUUUCGUUUUGAUUUGAAGGAAUUUCUUGCGGAGAGGAGCAAGGGUUUCUUGGUGAGUUCUUCGGGUUGUGCAUAUGGGUAAUUUUCUUUUCGGUUUAACCCUCUGCUUCUGCUGCUCUCUCUCUUUCUCUCAUCCCUGCCUGCUCCUCUCCAAUUGUUUGCUGUUCUUAAAUAUUGUGUUCAUUGCCUGAUACAAGGGGCUGCAGCAAUCUGUUUUAUCCUACACGGGACAACGAGGCAAUGGCGUGACAACAGGUGAGCUUGGAUAUCCAAAGAAAAAGAACAGUUGGUUCAUCUGCUGGAGUCUGAGCUUAGAGAAGUGGAGGAAAAUUGCAGGUGUGCGAGAAAUUUUAUUUUGCUGAUAGGACUCCUUAUUUACUGAUGCAUUUUGAAAUAAUUGAAAAGUUGGAUUUGAGUUAACAGCUAUAAAAAUGUAGACAUGAUUGCUGAGAUUAUGCUAUGAAAGUGGAAUAAAAAAAUGGUAGUUUAUAAUAUUGCGUACCAAUUGUUUUCUCUCUUUUUUACCAAAUGAUAAGGGUGGUGGCUCAGGCCGCCCCCCUAAGCGUCCCCACUCUUCGACAAGUUGAAAUCGUGGUGAUAGUUUAUGGGCUGUGGUCUUGGGAUUCUGCAAAUAGAAUGAAAAACAGACACUUAACUAUCUUGUUAUUAAGCAUUUCUGCAUCAUUCAGUUGCUCUUGAUUUUCGUCUUUUAAGCGAUCUUAUUUCUGCGAUCUGACUUGAGGAGGGUUUUUAGACCUAUGGUUGUGGGUGUUUUCUCUGACCCCAUUAUCCGAGAUUUGUAGACUUGCGAUCGGCGGUCAAACAUUUUGUGAUUCUUGUUUUCUCUGCCUUUCGGUCGUUAAGCGCCGGCAGUCUUUAGAUCUUUGGCAAAUCAAUUUAAUACAACCGAGGUAUGUUUUAUAACUGCUGUCUUUCAAUUUUUGUUCUGUAUUUUUGUUAAUUUGGAUGAAGCUCUAAUAAUUUUGUUUUGGAUCAGUUGUGGUCCUCUGUUAGGAUUUUCCUGGCUAAGAGGGUAUUUGCGUUUUUGUUGCUUGGUUGGUCGAUCACAGAUUUACGAACAGCUGUGGUGGUCCUGUUAUUUUUUGGUAUGUUUUUUCUCCUUUUUGGUUUUUUUCCCGGUUUGAGCACCCAUUCUUGAAGAAUUAAAAUGUGUUUUAUAGUUUUUUCAGGAGAGAUUAGAAAAGUGAUUUCAAUUUGGGAAAAUUUAAUGUUGGUUAAAAUUUGUUUAUAAUUUUUGGGAAGGAAUGAGAGGACCCAUUGAAGUAUGUGUUGUGAUUAUUUUUUAUUCAUAUUUUUAACAAAUUGGGCAUGAAUUGGUAGGUUAACUGUGUGUGUUUAUUAUUUGAAUCGGCCAUGUUUGUCUUUCUAUGGUUCUAAAAAAUUUGUAAAGGCUGUUAACUUGGAAGAAAAUGGGAUCGAGGGUGAGGGGAAAACGGCAGAGAAAGCAUGGAAGAGAGAUUUGGGAUUAGGGGUAGGAAAACAGAUGAAAAGAAUAUGAUAGAGGAAUGGGUUCAGUUCAUUUUCACUAUUUUUUUUUAACUGAUUUGGAUUUUGUUUGGGUUUAACUCCGCCUAUGUCUUACAUGGCCGGUCCCAAGCCCGGAUAAAGGAGGAGGGGGAGGGCGUCAGGUAGUCGACAGCCGGCACUCCAUGAUCAUGUCGAAUCCUUAUGAAAAUGAAUCCAGAACAAAAUCGCGCUAAAGCUAGGACGUCACCCGUAAGUGGCGCGCUGUAUGGCCCGAGCACAGUGAUAAGUGAGCAAGGGUCGCUGUAUCUCCAUCGGCACCCGGAUGCAGUGUUAAAUGAGCAAGGGGGCCAUAGAAACUUCUUUUCGAACGACUCCACUCAAAGUUGUUUGAGAGCAUAUGCUCCUAUCAACUUUACCCGGGACACACAAAAGAAGUACUUUGAUCCUAUUAGACGGGGGAGGGUGAAGAAGCUAGGACAGAAGGGUAGAGUUCAAGAGAGCAAAAUGCGUUUAGGAACGUGGAAUAUAGGAACCUUAACGGGAAAAUCUAUGGAAGUAGUGGAAGUUAUGGUGAGGAGAAGGAUAAAUAUUAUGUGCCUACAAGAAACUAAGUGGGUUGGUAGUAAGGCAAAGGAUCUAGAAAACUCAGGGUUUAAACUUUGGUAUUCGGGCACAAAUAGAACGAGAAACGGUGUUGGCAUCAUCGUGGACAAGACCUUGGUACAAGAUGUUGUAGAUGUCAAGAGGGUAGGAGAUAGAAUCAUGGCAAUCAAGAUUGUAAUAGGACAAGAACUUAUCAAUGUGAUUAGUGCGUACGCACCUCAAGUAGGGUUGGAUACGAGUUCGAAGGAGAAAUUUUGGGAAGAUCUUGGAGACUUGGUGCAAGGAAUUGCUCAGACGGAGAAGUUAUUUAUAGGAGGAGAUUUAAAUGGACACGUGGGCAGGGAGACAGGCAACUAUGGAGGUUUUCAUGGUGGCCAUGGUUUUGGGGAGAGAAACGAGGAUGGGGAAGCUAUCUUGGAUUUUGCAAUGGCAUAUGAUCUCUUCUUAGCCAACACCUUCUUUAAGAAGAGAGAAGAACAUGUGAUCACCUACAAGAGUGGGUCGUCAAAAACACAAAUAGAUUUUCUUCUAAUGAGGAAAGGGGAUCGUAUAACUUGUAAGGAUUGCAAAGUUAUACCAGGAGAGAGCGUGGCUAAUCAACAUCGCUUGUUGGUGAUGGAUGUACAUAUCAAAAGAGUAAGACAAAAGAACAAGACUUGGAAGUGCCCAAGGACUAGAUGGUGGAAUCUAAAAGAAGAAAAACAAGCCAUUUUCAAAGAGAAGGUAAUCACCCAAUGUGUGUGGGAUAGAGAGGGGGAAGCUAGCCAAAUGUGGGAUUCCAUGGCUAGUUGUAUCCGAAAAGUAGCAAAAGAGGUAUUAGGAGAGUCCAAGGGCUUUGCCCCACACCAAAAGGAAUCUUGGUGGUGGAAUGAGGAGGUACAAACAAAGGUGAAGGCUAAGAAGGAAUGUUGUAAAGCCUUAUACAAGGAGAGGACCGAUGAAAAUGGUGAAAGGUAUAGAAAAGCGAAGCAAGAGGCGAAGAAAGCUGUCAGAGAAGCUAAGUUAGCGGCUUACGACGAUAUGUAUAAACGACUAGAUACCAAAGAAGGAGAGUUGGAUAUCUAUAAACUAUCUAGAGCAAGGGAAAAGAAGACAAGGGACCUAAACCAAGUGAGGUGCAUCAAGGAUGAGGAUGGAAAGGUUCUUGCUACAGAGAACGCGGUUAAAGACAGAUGGAGAGGUUAUUUUCAUAAUCUUUUCAAUGAAGGACAUGAAAUGAGUGCUUCUUUAGGGGAGUUGAGUAACUCAGAAGAGUGUAGAAACUACUCUUUUUAUCGUCGAAUCCGGAAGGAAGAAGUGGUUGUAGCUUUGAAGAAGAUGAAGCAUAAAAAAAGCAAUAGGCCCAGACGAUAUACCAAUCGAAGUGUGGAAACUUUUGGGAGAGACAGGUAUAACAUGGCUCACUGACCUUUUCAAUAGGAUUUUGAAAACGAAGAAGAUGCCAAAUGAGUGGCGAACGAGCACUUUGGUGCCUAUCUACAAGAAUAAGGGCGACGUACAAAAUUGCAUGAACUAUAGGGGUAUUAAGCUAAUGAGUCAUACAAUGAAGCUCUGGGAGAGAGUCAUUGAGCAUAGAUGAGGCAAGAGACACGGGUUUCGGACAACCAAUUCGGGUUCAUGCCAGGGCGCUCAACCAUGGAGGCAAUCUAUCUCUUACGAAGAUUGAUGGAAAGAUAUAGAGAUGGGAAAAAGGAUUUACACAUGGUCUUUAUAGAUUUGGAAAAAGCGUAUGAUAGGGUCCCAAGAGACAUUCUUUGGAGGAUUUUAGAGAAGAAAGGAGUACGAGUAGCAUAUAUCCAAGCUAUAAAGGAUAUGUAUGAAGGAGCAAAGACUGCCGUAAGAACUCAUGAAGGACAAACCGAAAGCUUUCCCAUAACUGUAGGAUUACAUCAAGGCUCAUCCUUAAGUCCUUACCUUUUUGCGUUGGUAAUGGAUGAGUUAACAGGACAUAUUCAAGAUGAUAUUCCUUGGUGUAUGCUUUUCGCAGACGAUAUAGUGUUGAUAGAUGAAACUCAGGAAGGGGUAAAUGCAAAGCUUAACCUUUGGAGAGAAGUGUUGGAAUCUAAAGGUCUUCGCCUAAGCCGAUCAAAGACAGAAUAUAUGGAGUGCAAGUUCAGUGCAAAUGGAGGCCAAAACGAGUUAGGGGUGAGGAUCGGAGAUCAAGAAAUACCAAAGAGCGACCGUUUUCGUUACCUAGGAUCUAUCUUGCAAAAGAACGGAGAAUUAGAUGGAGAUCUCAACCAUAGAAUACAAGCUGGAUGGAUGAAGUGGAAGAGUGCAUCCGGCGUGUUGUGUGACCGCCGUAUGCCACUGAAGCUCAAGGGAAAAUUUUAUAGGACGGCAAUAAGGCCGGCGAUGCUGUAUGGCACAGAAUGUUGGGCGGUGAAACAUCAACACGUACACAAAAUGGGUGUAGCGGAGAUGAGGAUGCUUCGUUGGAUGUGUGGGCACACGAGAAAGGAUAAGAUUAGGAAUGAGGAUAUCCGGGGUAAAGUAGGAGUAGCCGAAAUUGAAGGAAAGAUGAGAGAAAAUCGGUUACGGUGGUUUGGACAUGUGCAAAGAAGGCCUACUGACGCUCCGAUUAGAAGAUGCGACUAUGGGACAGAGGUUCAGGGCCGAAGGGGUAGAGGAAGACCUAGGAAAACUUUGGAAAGAGACUCUAAGAAAAGACUUAGAGUACUUGGAUCUAACGAAGGACAUGACACAGGAUCGAGCACAAUGGCGUUCUAAGAUUCAUAUAGCCGAUCCCACUCAGUGACUUGGAUUUUCCAAGUCUCCAACCGAGAAGUUUUCCUCACUCGGAAAAUUAAGGGAACACUACCCCAACCUACAUGCUCCACUCAGAAAGCUUCAACAUACAAGCUUCAACAAAAGAAAAUUCAAAGAACUUAGCGAAGAAGGCUUUGGUGUAUUUAACACAAUACGUUGAAAUGAAGGAAAGCUUAUUUAUUGAUAUCCCCGAUAAGCUACAAAUAUGUACAUAUACAUGAGUCAAAAUAAACACACAAGAGGGAGCCUUCACAAAGGUUGCUUAGGAGAAGUCUCAGCAGUCGGUAGAGCCCCAGAAAGAGAAGGCACCGGAGGGGGAUCAUUUGGAGCCUCAGUACUGGACAGAACCCUAGAAGGAGGAGGCAUCAGAGGUUGAUCAUUUGGAGCUUCAUUACGCGGUACAGCCCCAGAAGACGAAGGCAAUAAAUGCCUUUGGAACAAACCCACAAAUCUCUGAUGAUCAAGUAAAACCUGACCAUCAGUUUCCUUCAUCUGGUCAAGCUUCCUCUUCAUGUUUGUAGCAUAGUCAUGUGCGAGCCGGUGCAACUGUUUAUUCUCAUGCUUGAGCCCUCUAAUCUCCUGUUUGAGACUCAUCACUUCAGCCGCCAAUGAUUCAACUUGGCGGGUUCGAGCAAAUAGGCGUUGGGCCAUAUUAGACACAGAACCUGCACACUGAACACUGAGAGCCAGCGAAUCCUUAACAGCUAACUCAUCAGACCGUUUGGAAAGUAGUCUGUUAUCUUUGGGAGUGAGAAGGUUCCUGGCCACCACCGCAGCGGUCAUAUCAUUCUUCAUCACGGAAUCCCCAACGGUAAGAGGACCAGUAGGGGAGACGAAGGAUGGGCGCCAUAUGUUGUCUGGAGAAGGCGGGGCUGCCUCUUCAACAAGGUUCAAGUCAAAACGACGGUCGGAGGGGCCAGACAUUUUCAAAUGUGUUGAAGAGAGAAGAGGUCGGACAAAUCAAGAUCUUAGAAGUGCAAGAAUGAAGCUUCUACUGGUGGAGAUUCAAGUGUGCUUUGGAACUUAAUGCCAGCCCCUAUAAAAAUCUGCACUCGACGGAGCUUCAGAAAUCGAAGAGGCGCCUGCUCAGAAAUCGAAGAGGCGUUUGCUUUCUCAAAAGCUGGGCUGCUUAGAGAUCACGAGGGUUGAUCUCAGAAAUCGAAGAGGCGUUUGCUUUCUCAAAAGUUGGGCUGCUCAAAGACCUCGAAGGCUGAUCUCAGAAAUCGAAGAGGCGCUCGCUUUCUCAAAAGCUGGGCUCCCUAGAGACCACGAGGGCCGAUCUCAGAAAUCGAAGAGGCACCUACUUUUCCAGCCUUGUCAGCACCUGUCACACGCGCACACUCAGCUUUGCGGAAAUUAUGGGCAUUCUGUCGAAGACUUCUGGGGAAGUAGAAAAAACACAUGAAUCUUACUGUUCAAUCACCCACUUCCCACACGCAACAAUAGCUCAUGGGUACCACAGAUAACUUUGCCAAAGUUCUCUGCCAAAGUUGAGCACGUGAAGCUUGCAGCUCCCACUACAUCGCUCUGACCAAGAAGGGUAAAAGAAUAGCAAAGAAACACAGCACUAACAAAGUUUAGACCCAUAAAUUUUGAAGGUCUAGCUACCAUAUUAUUACCACACACAGGGUAAAGGAACAGUACCACUGCUGGAUAAUUGGAAAGUCCCUGUUUGUCAACCUCUGUGCUUCGUGGCAAGGUAGACUAGCAAACAUGCCCAACCUUUACUCACAUUCGAGAAAACACUCCCAAUAAGAUUGCUUGCUCCAAAAUCGAAGAGGCACCGUCCUCCGAAUCUCGAGAGCCAGACUCCCAACAUGACUACUUUCUUAAAAAUCGAAGAGAGGGUAAAGGAACAGUACCAUUGCUGGAUAAUUGGAAAGUCCCUGUGUGUCAACCUCUGUGCUUCGUGGCAAGGUAGACUAGCAAACAUGCCCAACCUUUACUCACAUUCGAGAAAACACUCCCAACAAGAUUGCUUGCUCCAAAAUCGAAGAGGCACCGCCCUCCGAAUCUCGAGAGCCAGACUCCAAACAUGAUUACUUUCUCAAAAAAUCGAAGAGACACUGCUCCCCGAAUCUUCGAGAGCCAGACCCCCAGCAUGAUUGCUUUCUCAAAAAUCGAUGAGGCAUCGUUCUCCGAAUCAAUCGAAGAGGCGCUCGCUUUCUCAAAAGCUGGGCUGCUCAGAGACCACGAGGGCCGAUCUCAGAAAUCGAAGAGGCACCUACUUUUCUAGCCUUGUCAGCACCUGUCACACGCACACUCAGCUUUGCAGAAAUUAUGGGCAUUCUGUCGAAGACUUCUGGUGAAGUAGAAAGCACAUGAAUCUUACUGUUCAAUCACCCACUUCCCACACGCAACAAUAGCUCAUGGGUACCACAGAUAACUUUGCCAAAGUUCUCUGCCAAAGUUGAGCACGUGAAGCUUGCAGCUCCCACUACAUCGCUCUGACCAAGAAGGGUAAAAGAAUAGCAAAGAAACAGCACUAACAAAGUUUAGACACAUAAAUUUUGAAGGUCUAGCUACCAUAUUAUUACCCACAAGGGUAAAGGAACAGUACCACUGCUGGAUAAUUGGAAAGUCCCUGUGUGUCAACCUCUGUGCUUCGUGGCAAGGUAGACUAGCAAACAUGCCCAACCUUUACUCACAUUCGAGAAAACACUCCCAACAAGAUUGCUUGCUCCAAAAUCGAAGAGGCACCGUCCUCCGAAUCUCGAGAGCCAGACUCCCAACAUGACUACUUUCUCAAAAUCGAAGAGAGGGUAAAGGAACAGUACCAUUGCUGGAUAAUUGGAAAGUCCCUGUGUGUCAACCUCUUUGCUUCGUGGCAAGGUAGACUAGCAAACAUGCCCAACCUUUACUCACAUUCGAGACAACAGUCCCAACAAGAUUGCUUGCUCCAAAAUCGAAGAGGCACCGCCCUCCGAAUCUCGAGAGCCAGACUCCCAACAUGAUUACUUUCUCAAAAAUCGAAGAGACACUGCUCUCCGAAUCUCGAGAGCCAGACCCCCAGCAUGAUUGCUUUCUCAAAAAUCGAAGUGGCAUCGUUAUCCGAAUCUCGAGAGCCAGACUCCCAACAUGAUUACUUUCUCAAAAAUCGAAGAGACACUGCUCUCCGAAUCUCGAAAGCCAGACCCCCAGCAUGAUUGCUUUCUCAAAAAUCGAAGAGGCAUCGUUCUCCGAAUCUCGAGAGCCAGAUACCACAUACCACUUUUUCAAAGUGCUCUGACAGAGUUAAAACAUGUGAAACUGGCAGCUCCCACUACCGUGCUAUGACCAAGCAGGGUAAAGGAAUAACAUUACUACUUGUUAGGGAGACUCCUAUAUAUGUUGACCUCCAUCCCCAACAGACAGGCAGACCUGCAAAAAUGCUCAACCCUUCAUCAUAUCUGAGAGGGCACUCCCAACGAAGCCUUUCGAAAUAUUCAGCUUUCUUUCCCCCCGAUAAUACCUCUGCAAACAAGCUAUACUAGAGCAAGAAUAUCUCAUAUCAUCAGGGUUAAAAGCAAGAGUAUCCCAUAUCAUGCUUUUUCCCUGUCUUUUCCUUUGGCCUUGUUUUUACCUGCAAGACAAGGAGAAAGAGAGCAAUCAGUCAGCACUUGGAAUCAAGCUUCCAGCUAGGAACUGACUGCCUGGAACCCCUUACCUGAUUACUUACCUGGCAUUGCUCUCGAGUACUCAUCUUCAACAUCUUAUGUUUCCAGGGAAGAUUCCGCAUCUGCUUGAGGAACAGAUAGGGCAAGUGCGAAAGAUACAAGGAAGCAUGUGGAGACAAGCGUAACAGCACACGUGCCGAUACAUCCAUUACUCUGUCAAAAGCAAAAGUAUCCCAUAUCAGCAGGGUGGAAAGUACUCUAGAUUUGAUGGACUUGUUUUGACCCUCAAAUUCUUCAGUCGACCUUAUACUCUGGAGGAAACCAGAAAACCCUCCAGCUCAGUUCAAGAAUAAGCCUGUGGAAAGUUACUUCUUCAAAAGCAAAAGUAUCUCAUAUCAUCUCUUCUCAUUUUUCUUCUCUUUAUCCUUCAUGCUGCUGCAAGAUGGGGAGAAGGUGAACAAUCAGUCGGAGCUCUGAUUGCUUACCUUGUCUGUCACCUCUUUCAGCAGACCCCUAGCUCGGCGACUUGGGGGACUCCUACUACAUGGUUUGUAUCGCGCUUGACCAAGCCUGAAACUACAAGUAAGCUUCAAGUGAAAUUGAUACAUUACCUUGUGCAUCUCCACCAGUUAAAGAUACCACCCCUGGAUGGAGGAAGAGUACUUCCAGAAAAGAUGCCACAUCUACCUAUGAGACAGAUAAGGCAAGUCAAGACGACACCACACUCCGAUACUUAGAAGUUUCGUGAUUACGAGAUCAUUCUCCCACAAUAUUUCCUAAUGUCAUUUGUACUAAAUCAUUCACUUGUACUCACUAAAGGAGAGCUUGAACCUAUGUACUUGUGUAAACCCUUCACAAUUAAUGAGAACUCUUCUAUUCCGUGGACGUAGCCAAUCUGGGUGAACCACGUACAUCUUGUGUUUGCUUUCCUAUCUCUAUCCAUUUAUAUACCUAUCCACACUAAUGACCGGAGCAAUCUAGCGAAGAUCACAAAAAGCGACCGUUUUCGCUACCUAGGAUCUUAUCUUGCAAGAGAACGGAGAAUUAGAUGGAGAUCUCAACCAUAGAAUACGAGCUGGAUGGAUGAAGUGUAAGAAUGCAUCCGGCGUGUUGUGUGACUGUCGUAGGCCACUAAAGCUCAAGGGAAAAUUUUAUAGGACGGCAAUAAGGCCAACGAUGUUGUAUGGCAUAGAAUGUUAGGCGGUGAAGCAUCAACACGUACACAAAAUGGGUGUAGCGGAGAUGAGGAUGCUUCGUGGGAUGUGUGGGCACACGAGAAAGGAUAAGAUUGGGAAUGAGGAUAUCCGAGGUAAAGUAGGAGUAGCCGAAAUUGUAGGAAAGAUGAGAGAAAAUCGGCUCCGGUGAUUUGGACAUGUGCAAAGAAGGCCGAAUGACACUCCGAUGUGACUACGGGACAGAGGUUCAGGGCCGAAGGGGUAGAGGAAGAUCUAGGAAAACUUUGGAAGAGACUCUAAGAAAAGACUUAGAGUACUUGGAUCUAACGGAGGACAUGAUACAAAACCGAGCGCAAUGGCGUUCUAGGAUUCAUAUAGCCGACCCCACUUAGUGGGAAAAGGCUUUGUUGUUCUGUUGUUGUUGUUGGAUUUUGUUUGGGUUUGAGGCCAUCAUUGGCGUUAAGACGUUUAUUAUCAGAUCGUGUGUUUUUUGCUAACUUUUAUUGGUAAUUUUAAUGUUGUUCUUAUGAUUUUGUGUGGUAGGGUUUCUGAUUUUUAUCGUUAUUCAUUUGGUUUUUUGUGUGUGUUGGUUUGUUUAUUUUGCAGGUUGUGUUUGUGCUGGGACAACAUUUUCCACCUUCUGUUUGCACUGGGAUGAUUGCGUUUUAAAACUGUUGGGGUGAGAUUUACAUAUGGAAUCAUUCCAUUUUUUUUCUUCCAAAUAUGUGCAUUUAGUUCUCUUUUAUUUUAAAUUUUAAAAAUUAAAUCGUUAUUUGAGUAAAAUGUUUUAUCAGUUUAUGUUAUGUGUUGUGACCAGGAAUUCUGUUGGAUUUGCGAAUUUUGGUUUGAUGAGAGAAAUGAGGAGUUUUUUUUGUUUGAAUUUUUUAUUGGACCGAUUUUCAAUUGGAUUGCAUUCUGCCUUUUUGCACCAUUCGUAUGCAAGCAAUUCAUUGUUUUAAAUACAAUUUGAAGAGAGCUGGGUUGCGGGUUGGAUAUAAAAUGUUAAGGUGAGAUAAAAUCGAGAUACCAAGGGUGGAAGAAUGAUUCAGAAUUGGGGGAGGAAAACAGAGGGAAGAUAGAAGAGUAUAAGAGAAGGAUAGGGUUGACCUCAUUUAGAGUUUUUAUUUACUUAUUUUUUUUUAUAAAUUGAUUCAGGACUUGCAUAUCAUUUCUAAAUUUCUAACAUUUUUGUUUAAUUUGACUCCAGUUGAUGGAAAACAGAGCUCUUACUCCUAUCAAUCAGUUGGUCCCGUACAUAAAUGCAGAAAAAUCAAGGUUCGAGUUUGCAGAGUAUGCAGACCAAGGUUUCCCGAAACUACUGGUGCAUAUUCAGGCUUGCAUUGUAUAUUACUUACCUAUUAAAAAUUUGUUUGGAAUUUGCUUUUCCCACAGAGGAGAAGAGCUGACAGUUACGCUGUGGGCAGAUGUUGCUCGAAGUAUUGCUUCUUUAUCCAUUGAAUCAUUGUCUCUGCCGAUCAUUGUGGUUUUCACAAGUUUAAAGGUCAAGCUGUACCUAGGUAUUUGACUUAGUUAAAAACUAAUCUAUUUACUAUUAAUUUUUCUAUUAUAUUCAAACGUUAUUUAAUAUAUACUCUACUAAUAUUUUCUUAACAUGUCACACAAACAUAUUCACUUCUUUUGAUCAAUUUUUUACAGCGUUUCAUAUAAAAGCUAACAUUUAGUUGAAAUUGAUUAGCAACUCUUUUCUUGCAUGUAUACAUACGAAUUAAACAAUAGUAUUAAACUAUUUGUUAUCAUUCUCAGUUUUUGUUUUAGAAUUAGAUUAAUAUAUUUAACCUGUUUUAGAAUUAGAAUUAUUUGGUAUCACUCUCAGUAUUUGUUUUAGAAUUAGAAUUAGAUUAAUAUACUGAGAUUAUUUAGACAAAUCUAGCAUUUUCUCAAAAUAUUUGACUUUUAAACUUAGAUUAAUAUAUUUAGCAGUUUUUUAACAUGCAAUUUUUCAUUAAUUUUUCAACACACAGACAAGAUAGUCUUGAACACCAUUGGUUCAUCACUUUUCUUCAUUGAUCUAGAUAUUCUGGAAGUAAAUUCAUACAAAUCAGUGUAAGUGUGUUUACUUUGUUUAAAAAAAUAUUAUAUGCUCUCACAAUAAAAGAAGGGCUAUUCUCACAAAAUUUAUGAACUAAUGUUCUGUUUUAACCUCUACAGCUUUUCCAAAUGCACAGAACCUCUAAAAAUACUGCCACCUUUUACAAAACAGGCCCGUGAAGCUCAAAUCUUGCAGACAGCGAAGGUCACAAUUGCAGACGCUGAAAUUUUCAUGCCAAAAUAUGAUGUGGAGGAUGAGAAAUUGUUUGCUGUUGUUCUCUUUUCAGUUUUGCAGGCGAUGAUCUUUUACCAAAUGUCGAGGAGCUUCCAUGGGACAUGCUCUAUGCUCUCGCUUCCCAGUUGCCUCUGUUGGGGUUGGAAAAGCUACAGAUCACAAUGUAAGUCAAAAACAGUAAAGUUCCCAAGAUGUUCUGUGCUGGAGCAGAUUUAAAGGUACGAAUUUUUAAUUUUUUUGUGAAGUCGAUGUUUUGUUUUAAAAGGAGUUAUAAUGGAUUGAUUGGACAAGUACAGAGUGUUUGUUUGUUUGGUUGAAUGUAAAAAGGAAUUGGAAGAAUGAUGAAAGUACUUGCAUUUGGUUGUAGUUGGUCAGGCACUGAAGGACCGGUCAAUACGAAGUGCAUCUGUGGGACAAUAGUUGAAAGAAGGCCAGAGCAGGAAGAGAAGGCAAGGUUUGUGAAGAAAAACAGUAAAAGGUCGUACCCAGUGCACAAGGCUCCCGCUUUACGCAAGGUCUGGGAGAGGUGAAUGUCGGCUAGCCUUACCCCCAUUCUGCUUUUGUUUAAUUAGAAGAAAUGUGCAUUUUUUUUUCCCAGUCAAAUUCUGCUUUUGUUCUGACUAUUUUCCUUACUGUAUGCUGAUUUUAUUAUUUAAUUUUUGGUUUUUCCUUGAUUGGCUUGGGAAUUACAAUCAAAUGAUGAAUCUUCAGUUUACUUGGGUAAGCAUUUUUUAACAUAUAAUUUAGCUGACCAUUUUAACUGUCAGACCAUGUUGUUUUUGGUUAUCUAAUCAUUCCAAGAUGGCAAGUUAGGAUUGGAAGGGUUGCUAGAAAUAAGGAUUAUAUCUUGGGACAUUCGGUGAGUGAUUUUUCAAACUUUCAGUUUUACAAGACAAAAUAUCUAUUUUUGUGUGUAUUCUUCAAGCAUGUUAUCAUUAUUUAGGUUGUAGGAAAAAAAGAGAGUGACUUGAGGUGUUUUUAGAUAUUUUUGUGUGUAUUCUUCACAAUGUAUUAAAAGCGCGAGGCGUGGGCGAGGCGUCCGAGGGAUAGCCCACGCCUCACGCCUUACGGGACCUAAAUUUUUUAAUAUAUACACUGAGCGUACACAUAUAUUAUAUUAAAAAAAAUUAUUAAUCAAUAAUCACCCUGAGCACACAUAUAUAUUAUAAAUACAUAUAUACACAUAUAUAUACAUAUAUAUACAUAUAUUAUGUUAUAUAUAUAUAUAUAAAAUAGAGGAUGAAAAGCACAAUGAGCACACAUAUAACAAUGCAUGCAGACAGCACACAAUAUAGUGCAAGGAAUAGGUAUGAGGUAGUUAAAACCCUACCCAAAAUCUGGGUUUGGGAGUAAAAAUAAAAAAAAAAAAAAAAAUUGCAUGAGGCGCGCCUAGACGGCUCCGACAACGCCUUCCGGCGCCUUCCGCCCACUCCCUCAAAACAAAGGCGGCAACCCUCAAGUCCAGCCUCACAGGGUGCCUAGGCGCACCCUGAGGUGAGCCUUUUAAAACAUUGAUUCUUCAAGCAUGCUAUCAUAAUAUUUGUAACUAUAAAAAAUAAUAUACUAUUAUACCUCUGUUUCUCUUUUCUUUGUUUUCAUGAGAAAUUAAUUGCCAUUGGCAGCACUAUAGAAAGCCAUCUUUCUCCAUUAUUCUCCGCUUCAUGCAUAAUUACAUAAUUCUACUAUCACAGUUGUCAGUCCUGAACAAUAAUGCAAGUCUAGUGGCAAAAACCACCUCAAUGAACAACUCACACACACACACAGACACUGAUCAUACAUCUCUAACUCUCUUUUUCAAAUAACACACUCUGAUCCAAAACAGGGUAAAUAAAAUGCACAUCCUUAUACAUUUCUAACUUUGUUUUUCGAAAUCCAAAAUAGGGUAUUCUAACUCUCUUUUUCAUUCAUUUCUUACAAACCAAUCAUACAUUUAAAAUAGGCUUUGAAUAAAAAUAGGGUAUAUAAUUAUAUACCUCAAAAUGCCUAGGAACCAACUUCCCCCUCCAACGAUUCAAAUUCUUGAAAUUGCCAACACAGUAAAUCCAUUAGUACUAUAUAAAUGAAAACACAAUUGAAACCCAUCAAACAAAACAAUCCCACAAUUUAAAUGAUUCAAUCCUACUACAAUUGAAAUUCACAGAAAGAAUGAAAAACCAGAACAAAACUGCAGCACCUAAAAAGUUGUCAUACAAAAAAAAACAUGGAAUGUAAAAAUAUGUUAAGAAAUCUAGUUCGUUAAUUUCCAGCUGCUAAGUGGCAUUAUGUAACUUUAGUAGUAUAACUAAUUAACUACUUAUCUGGUGGGUUGCACUUUUAUCCAAUUGGUAAGGAAAGGAAAAUAAAAAUCAACCCCUUGGUCUUAGUUGUGGCUGCAAAGUGCAGGCCACCACCAAGUCUCAGUGUUUGUGUUUUAGCAAAACACUUAAAUAAAUUAAAUUCUGAAACGUAAAUUAUAUUCCUAUAACUUUAAGAUGCACAUAUAGUAUUGUUGAAGUCGAACUGAAAGCACUGACAAUUCCAAGCAACAAAGCAGCAAUUAUUAAGAGCCAAAACUCAUUCCUAGUCUCCUCAUCCUGGUACUCAACUCCGUAAUCUUCUGUCAGCAUCAUUGACUGAAAUUAGGAGAGAAAAAGAAAAGGAAUUUCAGAAAUUGUCUAUGAAGCAAAGGAUACUGCAGUUACUUCAAGACAUGUAAAUUGCAUAUGUAUAAAGUAAUUUUCUACAUAAAGUAAUGAGGCAUAACUUUCUCUCUCCUCUUCAAACCCUAAACAGAGCAAAGCAAACUUUACAGAGAUUAGAAUGAGAACUGGAACUAAUCGAACAAUGACUGAAAAGUAACAUACUUGAGGAGUGAAUGAUUUAGUGUUUCCAUCAUCGGAAGCCGGAGUAAGUCGCUAAGAGAGGUCGCAAACAGCCCAAAGGGACAAACCCAGAUCCCCGGCCCCGAUCCAUACCCUUCCCCCUCAAAUCCCGACGGCCCCCAUACUUUUCUCUGACUGUACCCCCUCUCCCACUCAUGAAAUCGAGGAUCUGUCGCAAUGGUACUGAGAUCCCCACUCCUCCCUCUCCCUUUCUCUCUGUCGCUCUGUCUCCCUCUCCCUCUGUCUGUCUAUCUUUAUCCCAGAGCGGCAUGGCCUCCCAUCCCUGAAACCCUCACCGAAAGUUGGCAAUUUUGUAAAUAACUUGAAAUCCACCAACAGCAGGGGUAGAGAAUUGAAACAAACAUUUAGGCUCGUUCGAUAACCAUUUAGGCCAAAACUGAGCACACCUAAACCAUUCCUACUCGUGCCAAAUGUUAGUGGGGAAGCAAGAUGAUGACUUUAUUAUUCAAAACCAAAAGAAAAAAAGAGAGAAAACAAAAUAACAAAUGUAAUGGUUGUAGUGUAAAAGCUGAGAACGUAAAUAAACAUGCAGGGAAAAAAAUUGAAGAUACAAAGUAGCUGCAUCAUGAACACUUACUCCAAUUAGACGCAAAAAGUGAUGGUGAUGAGAAGAGAGAGAAAAUGCAGUCGUUUUGAUUUUUCUGGCUUUUAAAGGGAGCAGCUUUCUUCGACCACCAAAAAAAGGAAGCUGCUUUUCGUGUGGUUGUGAUUUCCUGAGUGUAUGUGAGCGGGUCUAUGGCACUUGCACUGUUUGUGUCGGUUACGGUAACCGGGCGAGCUGGACACGGCAGCGUGGGACUGAAUUCGGAGAGGUGAGAAAAAUUAAAAACACAAAAAGAAGGUGUUCAUUUUGUCACAUUUUUAUUACGAAAAAUUCAAUAAAGUACAUUCAUUAGUAUGGUAACUUAACUAUUUAAUUCCAUCUCAUUAAACUAAAAAAAACAAUUACAAAAAAAUAAGGAAAACCUUGUCCAGAGAGACCUGAGAGAAAGUGACGACUUCUCCUCUCAUUCAACUCCAUACUUGAUCUCUAAAGUCCAUUUGGCAUGUAAUUGAUGUUCACUUUCAAAUUUAGUGGUAGCAAUUAGCAAAGCUAAUGAAAGAAUCAAAUAAAAUGAAAGAAAAAGCAUCAUGAAAUAAAUCAAGAUGAAGAAUGAAAUUUUGGCAACUCGCCAUUCUCUUCUUUUAUAUAAAAGAUACAUCCUAUUUGUAGUGAAAACAGAUCCCGACAAACCCAGUUAUCCUCAAGAAGUAUUUUGUAUGACUUUAAAAACAUAAUCCGUGAAAUUAUCUCUUGGCUGAGAACAACAACAAAUCUUCAUGCAUAGCUUGUAGAGAAAGACAUCAGGCAUACAAAAGAACACGCAAGCAUAAAAUAAACGAAGCAGGGAAAACCAAAAAUACAAUUGAAUACGCUGUCAAAAGAACAUGAAUAAAUGAAAAUACCAAACAAAGCAGUGAUGAGAAACCAAAGUACCCAUUUCAUAAUCUAAUUGCUUUUUAGUUUGCUUGCCAUUUUUAGUUCUUCAAUUUAGAGAGACACCAUAAUUCAGCACAUGAAUAAAGUGAAAACGUAAAAGAUAUGUGGGAUAGGCUGACAGCCAUCCCUGAGUAAUGCAUUCACUUCUGAACCCCAAACACACUGAAACAAAAAUUCACACACAUGAACUACAGCUCCGCUUUGUAACAAGAAUUAAAAGCAUCUCAAAACAAAAUGGCAAACUAUAAGAGCAUUGUAAAAGUAAAAUUGCAAGAAAUCUAAUACUUGGAGGGCAAGUACUCAUCAGACGAAAAUGAAAGAUUGAACUACCUCGCGUGGAACUGUGCCUUGGUUUUUUCCCAUGCUUACAGGAAGCUUUGCACUGAGCUCUUAUAGUCCAAAUUUUCUCUGAAGGAAAAAAACACAAUUUUGAAAUAAGAUUUUCGUAUUAUACCUUAAAGAGAAGAAUUAGACAACAAAAUAGAGAACAAUGAGUACUAUUCAUCAUAUAUUGUUAGAGUAUGUGGCCCUCUGGUCCAAUGGUCCCGCAGCCAUAUUUCCUUUAUAACUCUUUCUUUUAAUCUAAAAAACAUCUUGAAUCUCAAAUUAGUAUGAAUACGGAUUCAUACUUUAUAACUAAAGAUCUUACUGCUCUUGAUAAGAUGAACAAUACGCCAUUUCUCGCAUGCAUUGCAUUACAAUCACAAUGCAACAUCUCAUUAGAAAUCCCCACACAAAUUUUUUUUAUUGCUACUUUGAUUUUAGUUUAUAUUUUUUCUGAAGCAUGAGGGAGCUAAUUUUUUUUUUUAAAUUUUUUAUUCCAAUAAUGUUAUAGGGAGGGUUGCAAGGAUAUUAUCAAUUGUAUUUGAUUGGUGGAACUUCUACAUCUAUAUUUUAGGUUUUCAAUUUUAGCACUGGGAGAGUCAUUCAUAAAAUGUUUGACAGUGAGAUUACCUCCAUGGACUAUGCUCACAAUGGACAGCUCAUUUUCCGCGGUGAUGGGACAAUAUAUUUCAGUCAUUCGCCAUUCAAUCAAUUCAAACUGAGGAACAUGCAACAUCAAGAAGAGGAUCUACCAUGUCAGGAUCACUAUCGUCCAAUUAAUACAAAAAAAUCUAGAUAAAAACGAUCAAUUUACAUAAAAGCCCUUCAUUUUCUCAGCAACCAAGCAAAAGAAAAUACCUAUCCGUUAAACACUCGAUUUGGGAGUAAAUGUUGCUGAAACUGGACUUCAAUCCCCUCAACCGCAACAACCGAAUCGAGGUGUGCAAGUCAUUGAAAAACUCACCCAAGAUUUCAAAAUCUGCAUAGAGAAAUAAAUAAGCACAUAAAUUAGCCCAACCCAUAAAUCAAAGAAAUCAAAAUCCACCCAGAAUCAAAGAAAUCAAAAUCCAUCCAGAACCAAAGAAAUCAAAAUCACACACAGAUAUGCAAGACAACGCAAAUUUGAAGCCUUACUUUUCGGGUAGCUUGGCGGCUGACAUGAGUCUUCUUCAGAGUUUCAUCCAUCCAUGGAUCCAUUUGGUCCGCCCGUCGCUUCUGGGUCGUACAAUCUUAAAAUCUGCAAAAUGAAUUUAAAGAAUCAAUUUUUACGAUUGAAAAGCCAAAAGUGCUACAAACUCCAAAUUGCUGAGAACCAAAGUGGAGUAACAGUUACAGGUCACGAGAUGAGAUGAGGACAUUGUCGGAUUUCAGGGCGAACCUGACUCUGGAAAUUGCAUCUCGGAUCGGGCUUUCGAACUUCAAAGGAGCUCCGCUCAUUGUGGUCCUUGCAGACCGAACUGGCCUAACAAUCAGCGAGAGAAAGGAGACGGCGGCAAGAUGAGGGAUACAAUGGAUGCGAGAUCGUCUGUAUCGUUCUCGCGGGGGGUUUGCAAGACGGACGAGGAAAGUAGGGUUUGAUGAGGCAUUGUCUUCGCGCGGGGUAUGUGUCCUUCCCAUUCCAUGAUUAUCAACACGUGUGCAUCAACAGAAGCGGCAGAGAGAGGCAUUAUUGUAAAUAAAGUGAAAUCGAAGGGCAAUGGCCCUUUUUUUUUUAAGGUAAUGGCAUGGCCAUAAAUAGAAUGAAAUCCAGAUCAAAACACUGUCAUUUGUACAGUACAAUUUCUCCAUCUUCUUUAGACUAAAGUAAUGUAUAUGUUAUACGCACCAACACAAGUCCUUCUUAGAUAAAUCCAAGCCAAACAAUUACAGACGAUAGUUAUUCACAAAAUCACUUUAAAGUAAGAAUUUAAUUAAUAAUACAUUACUGCACUUUCUUAACAAUUUGACUAUCACCUAGCUGACAAUGAACAUGUUAGCUAUGCGUUAGAACAUAUUGGGUUCAAUCCAUUGUCUUGAAUAUUACCCCCAGUCACAGCCGUCUCUUGGGGGCAUACAGAAGGCCUGAGAGGCAUUUGCAGACAUUCAACAUCUCCUCCAAGCAUUUCGACAACUUUGGACAUCGAAGGGCGAUCACUUGGUUUCAUUUGAAUACACCACAAGGCGGUUAUAACCACCUUUCUUAUCACUUUCUUUUCCUUCUCUGUAACAUUGUCUAUUUCCAAGUCAUUUCCCACAAAAUACUGAUCGUAUACCUACAGCGGGAAGUAGAUUUGGCUUGGAUGCUCUACCGUUGCAUUCAAAUUCUUCCUUAUGCUUGCCAUUUCCAUCAACAACAUUCCAAAACUAUAGACAUCGGCCUUGUAUGAGACACCUCCAAUAUUUUUGUAGAACAACUCAGGAGCAAUAUAUCUCAUUGUACCCCGUGCUGUCGUCAAAGAGACAAUGCUAUUAUCUACUGGAUACAAUUUUGCAAGCCCAAAGUCAGAAACCUUUGCUUUAAAGUUCUCAUCAAGAGGGAUGUUAUGAGGCUUGAUGUCAAAAUGUAGAAUUUUCAUUUUACAACCUUGAUCUAGAUAUUCGAUCCCAUGACUCCAAGAGAAAUCUUGUACAUAGUCUUGAUAGUUAAGGGAAGACUUCCUUCUUUGGAAUAAAUGUAUUUAUCAAAAGAGCCAUUAGGCAUAAAGUCAUAUAUUAGAGCGCGCUUUGAUCCCUCGACACAAUCACAAUCACAAUCACAAUCACAAUCACAAUCACAUUCCAACAUGGAAUCCUCAGACGACAUGCCUACUGCAGAACAAGUUUCAUCCUUACUUAACUUCUAUUUAGUCCACUUCCUGUUUAGAUUGUAAUCCUAGUUCUGCGUGUGUUUGUAUAGUACUCCUAUAAAUAUCAAUGAAAACCGCUCACUCUAAUUAGGAGUUGAGAUUCUGCAAAUCAUAUUUACUAUCUUUCAUGGUAUCACGAGCCAAGGUCUAACGACAACGGUUCCUGUUAUAAUUUUUUUCUCUUUUGUAGAUCCUAAACUAUGGCAUCUUCUUCCUCCUCCGAUGCUCCCUCCGUCACAAAUUUUCUUACGAUCAAGCUCGACCUCAACAACUACCCUCUCUGGCGUGCUCAAUUUCUUCCCUUGCUGCGCAGCCGCAACUUACUCUCUUAUGUUACUGGCGAAACUCAAUGCCCAUCUGCCUUUGUUCUUGAUGACAAUGGUAAAUUCACAGACAAAGUCAAUCCAUUAUAUAAUGAAUGGAUCCAGACUGACUAGAUGAUCCUAUCUUGGAUUACGAGUUCUCUUACUCCCAAGGUUCUUGCUACGAUCGUCAACAAAAUUGAUUCGACCUCUGCUUGGUUGUCAAACCCGAAUUAAUCUGAUUAUGGGGGUUUUAUUUUAUAUCAAUAUAUUGCAGCAGAAGUCGCACUUUGAAGAGUUCAUGCUGCACAGAAAGAUUCUUAAAUGCUACCUGUUGAGUCUAUCAUUGCUCCAUUGGAGACAGAGCUGAAGCUUGCUGCAGGAGUUAUACAUUUGUUAUGCAAUAUGACCCCUUUAAUUUUAUUUUAAAACUGAUACAAAAAUUUAUGUAGUAUUUUUGUAUCAGUUUUGAGUGUCUAUUUUGGCUUCCAUAUUUCGUCUGUACAUGUGAGAGGUAUAGCGUUCAAUAUGUAUUUGGUUUCUAUAUUGUUAAUGGAUCUUUUUUUUUUUAAGAUAACCAAGUUGCAGGAUGACAGCAGAACACUUGAUCUGUAGGUAAACCUUCAAUUUCCAUAUGAAGUUUGCAUGUUCGUUGUUUCUGGAAUUUGAGUUUUUAUUAUUUCUCAAUUCUAUCACAUAGAUUACGAUUUCACAUAUGGGAUUAUUAAUGGCAAUUAGAUGAUGGAAGAAUUGGGAUUGGAAGAAGAUAUUGAGUUGUUUAUUUAUGGGGAUUAGAAAAUUUUUAUCAUAAGUGUGGAUGCAAAUUUCUUCCUCCUUGAUCUUGGACAAAAUUGCACCUACAAAACAAUUAACACCUUAGGUCAAGGCCAAGAGCCUCACGCGCUCACGAUGAAGGGGGGGGCUUUGGUCGAAGAACCUCCGAUGCCAAAGUUAGAAUUUAGAGAGAAAAAGUGUUUGAGAAUUCUAGAGAAUUUUAGCAAGAGUUGCAACUAGGUUUUGGUGAGAAAUGUGGGGCUUUCUAUAGAGGAGUGGCCGGCCUCUUAGGGUGAGAAAGGACCGGUCACAUAGCCUAGUUUGUGGGUUUUGUUCAUGAUUUAAGAUGAUUUUGGGAGUUAUGUGAUUAAUUGACUAAUUAAUUAGGAAAACUAAUAAAAAGGGCUUGAAAACUUUGAGUUUUAAUGAUAAGGACAAAAUAAAGGGUAAAGUGAAUAGUACCAGGAUUGACUUUUUAGUGUAAAAAUGUGGUUUUUCGUUAAAAUGAACAGUACCGGGUGCUUUUCGUUAAAGUUCCCUAAUUAAUUUGGCGAAAUAAAAUUAUUACCAAAUGAAUUAGCUAAUUAAUGGGAUGAAAUGGGCAAAUAUCAAGAGAUAAACAAAACAUGACCAAUUCCUUUUCUAACAAUAGGUGGCCGGCCCUUCACUUGUUUUUGGGGUUGCAUGGAUGUUUUAAUUGACAAUUAAGGAAUUGAUUAGGCAAUUAAUCCCUUAAUUAGUCAAUUAUUAUGAUUUUAAAGGAAGAUUUUAGGAAAUAUGAAAGGAAUAUAUUAUUUAGCUAAUUGAUUAGCUAAAUGGAAUAAAUUAGGUUUUGGGAAUUACCUUAAAUGAGGAUGGAUGAGAUAAUUUGGAAUUGGUUACCUUUUUGGAGCAUUUUUGACUUGGUUAAGGAUGAUUGCCCGCUACUUGCGCAUAGGAAUCCCGUUAUACCUCAAGGGUAUUUUUGUCAUCUUUUACCCAAAAAACCACGUGUCACCUUGUGAUUAUUUUUGGCUCCACAAUACGAGUGAUAUUUAUUUUUGUGUGGAUUGUUAAUAUAUAAAACUAUAAGCUUUUGAGAUUGGGAGACAAAACCCACAAAUUCAAUUCAGACAAAAUAAAUAAAAAAUUUAACUGACUUAAAGAUCAAACUCCAAAAGGGUAUUAAAAACAAGGCUUAUUUGAUCCAUUGAGUGUGAAAGUUUUGAGCUUUGAAGAAGCAGAGGAGGAGAGUUGUUAACCAAGCUGCAUUAUCUAUGUAUUAGGAUGUUGAGGGUAGGCAGGAAAAAUACUUUUUGACGCCAAAUCCAGAGGAGCAUAACGACAGGCCUGCAUUUUUGCAGCAAGGACCAAAACAAGUAUAAGUGAAGGCUUGACUGUUUGGGUAUUAAUCCUAAACCUAAUUAUUCUUAUUUAGGUUUAGGAUAAAUGAUUGAGUGUGUCUCGAUGAUUGUAUUACUAUGUUUGAUGAAUGAUUUGAGGAGUUGGAAAUGGUUUAUUGCUUAUGUUUUUCUUAGGUGUGUACUUUGGUUAUUUCCGAGCUUUUCACGACUUUUGAUACCUAAUAAAGAAUAUGGAAACCCCAACUUCAAUUUUAUGAAUUGAUUUUGGUGCCUAAAAUGAAAUCUAGCAUAGUGAAAUCUUGCAUAAUGAAAUUAUGACAAAUUUCCCUUCAUCUUUAUAUUUUCAUUUAAUUCAAUUGGUAUGCAAUUUAGGGUUAUUCAAUUCAUGAGUGAUCAAAUUAUGUUUUUAAUUCCUUCUUUUGAUUUACAGUUCAACAUUGUCGUACAAAAUGAAAAAGGCGCCAGUAACAGAGUUAUGGAUUUGGAUGCCUUUAGUGGAAUAAAACUGAAUUUUUUAACUUUGUAUAGUUGUAAACAUAAAAUACUCCAUGAGGUAGACUCAUAGCUUUUGAAAACAAUCCUUGAGGAUGGCAUAACAACAUCUCCAACUUUUGUCAUGUAAUGUAUGAAUGUAAAUAGCACUUCGUAAACAUAUGGAUGUAAUAUAUGUAUAUAAACACUCUUUAGCAUGUAUAUUUUUCAAAACUUUCUACAUCUUCAACAAUGUUUCAAUGAUUUCUUGAUGUAAACAAUGAUAAUUUGAAGAACCAUUUAAAGUAUUUUGGUAAUCAUCAUACUUAAGCUUAAAUGUGAUAUAUCCGUUUAUUAUUUUUUAUACAGUGAUAAUACUCAAGUAUAAUUUACAUCAUAUAUCUUUUGAAGUACAUGAAACUAUGAAGAAAAAACCCUAAUUAAUCUGAUUAUGGGGGUUUUGUUUUAUAUCAAAAUAUUGCAGCAGAAGUCACACUUUGAAGAGUUCACGCUGCAUAGAAAGACGAUGAAAUGCUAUCUGUUGAGUCCAUCAUUGAUCCAUUGGAGACAGAGCUGAAGCUUGAUGCAGGUGGUAUACUUUUGUUAUGCAAUAUGAUCCCUUUAAUUUUAUUUUAAGACAUAUAGGGUUGAAAAAAAUUUAUGUAGUAUUUUUGUAUCAGUUUUGAGUGUCUAUUUUGGCUUCCAUAUUUGGUCUAUACAUGUGAGGUAUAGAGUGUUCAAUAUGAAUUUGGUUUCUAUAUUGUAAAUGGAUCUAUUUUUUUUUUAGGUAACCAAGUUGCAGGAUGAAAACCGAACACUUGAUCUGCAGGUAAACCUUCAAUUUCCAUAUGAAGUUUGCAUUUUCGUUGUUUCUGGAAUUUGAGUUUUUGCAGGAUGAAAACAGAACACUUGAUUGGUUAUUUCCGAGCUUUUCAUGACUUUCGAUACCCAAUAGAGAAUAUGGAAACCCCAACUUUAAUUUUAUGAAUUGGUUUUGGUGCCUAAAAUGAAAUCUAGCACAGUGAAAUCUUGCAUAAUGAAAUUAUGACAAAGUUCCCUUCAUCUUUAAAUUUUCAUUUAGUUCAAUUCGUAUGCAGUUUAGGGUUAUUCAAUUCAUGAGUGAUCAAAUUAGGUUUUUAAUUCCUUCUUUUGAUUUUCAGUUCAGCAUUGUCGUAUUUUGGAUGCCUUUAGUGGAAUAAAACUGAAUUUUUUUAACUUUGUAUAGUUGUAAACAUAAAAUACUCCAUGAGAUAGACUCAUAGCUUUUGAAAACAAUCUUUGAGGAUGGCAUAACAACAUCUCCAACUUUUGUCAUGUAAUGUAUGAAUGUAAAUAACACUUUGUAAACAUAUGGAUGUAAUAUAUGUAUAUAAACACCACUCUUUAGCAUAUAUAUUUUUCAAAACUUUCUACAUCUUCAACAAUGUUUCAAACCCCGCAGCAACGGGCGGGUACACUUGCUAGUAUACAUCUAAAAUUAUAAGACUAAAUCCUUUAGUUCUUGGAUUCAUCUAAGAACUACUUAUUCAAGCAGAUGCUAUGCUUGCACUACUAGAAUUUAUGGCUUGCCCUGUCAACUAUUGCGCGACAGAAGAUUUCGUCGGUUUCACCUUUUUUAACCGACAAAAUAUAAGUUUAGUAAGGCAAAAUCAGUCAACAAACUUGGUUUACUGAAUAGAUUUACAGGAUGUUUAGAGUUCGUAGGUUAAGACAUCAGUCGUUGGGCAAACAUUUGGAGCGAAGAUGUGAGUGUUUUAACUGACGAAUAAGCUGGUCGUCAUGUAGAUCUUCUUUCCCGACUGACGGUUCAACGGGUAGCUCUUUGGAUAACAAAUCAUCUUCAAGGGGAACAGGUUGCCCCUCAGAUGAAUGGUUAGAGGCAAUUGUGAGACUAUAAUUUUCUAGGGCCGGAAAAUCUGUAACCAUCCACCAAAUACCCCUUCUUCCCUUUCUAUUUCUCUCUCAGUAAUUUCCCCUGACCUAAUCACACAAUCCAACCAACUCUUUUUAAGCCUCCCUCAUUGAUUCCAUGGAUUUCAUGGACUUAUCCCACCCUCUCUCCUUCCCUCUAUAUAUAGCAAGUCCCCUUGCCUCAGUGUCCCUGGCAACAGAAUUUAUGGUGUGUCUUCGUUCUUUCAAUUAUUUGAAAGCUUUCCUGCCCUGCAGUCUUGUACAAAGGCGUAUGGUGUUUCAUCAGUUCCAUUUGGUGGUUGGGUGGGAAAUGAAAUUAAAACAUUGAUUUCAAAUGGUCUAAACCAAAUUGAAUCAAAUGUGAAGCAAAGGGCAAAAGGUGUAGAUUGAAGAACAAUGGCACCAAGAGCGAAAUUGAACUUGUUGACAGGAGGAAACCAAGUAACGAUAACGCGUCUAAAUCUUAUUUCGAAUCCAUUCAGCUUAUGAUGUUUUUAAUGAUGAUGAUCUGUAUACUUUGCUACAUGCUGUGAUUUUUUCGCUUUCAUGUAAUUAACGGCUUAUAUUUAUGGUAAAGAUAUUGAUUAAUUUUGAGAAAUGACAGUCUAAUUUUUGCAACUGUCUUUUGCAGGCAAAACAAAGACGUUUGCAAGGGUGAGUUUUGUAGGACCGGUGUUUAGCUUUGUUUCAUGUCCAAAGGACACUUGAGAAUAAAUGUUUACUCAUGGAUAAUAUCUAUCUAUUUGCAUGAGCAACCCUGGGUUCAUUUGUUCUGUUACUGCUGGUCAUUGCGGCAUAUCACGCCUACAGCACUGACAAAGUAAAAAGAAAAUCGAAUGAAAUUUGGUAAGAUUUUAGCGGACUACAAAGAUCUUAAGCCAAUCAUAUAUUCCCAUGCAGAUAUUAAGAGGUUUACAAAUCAAUUCAAGUACAAGUUGGGCCAAGGAGCAUACAUAACUGUUUUUAAAGGAAAGCUUUUUUCUGAAUGCUUUGUUGCCAUGAAAGUACUUAACAUUUCCAAGGGUGACGGGGAAGAGCUUGUAAAUGAAGUGGGGAACAAUGGGCCAUAUUCACCAUGUCAAUGUGGUUCACUUGGUUGGUUUUUGUGCUGAUGGAUUUAGAUGAGCUCUGGUUUAUGAGUUCUUUCCCUUUGGUUCACUUCAGGAUUAUAUGUCAUCAGUAGAUAGAUUUCUUUCCUUGGUUGGCAUAAGUUGCAAGAUAUUGCUAUCAACAUAGCCAAAGGAACCAGGGAUGUGAUCUACAAAUCCUCCAUUUCGAUAUCAAACCCCAUAAUGCUUUGCUCGACCAAAAAAUCACGCCAAAAAUCUCUGAUUUUGGUCUGGCCAAGUUAUGUUCCAAGGAUCAAUCAGUGUGACUAAAGCAAGGGGGACCAUGUGACUAAAGCACCUGAAGUGUUUUCCAGGAAUUUCGGAAAUGUGUCUUACAAGGUAGAUGUCUUGAAUGUUGCUGCUUGAAAUGGUAGGAGAAAAGAAGAAUAUUGGUUCAACCAGAGGACACGACAAAUGAAAUCUACUAUCCAAAAUGGAUUUAUAAUCUUCUAGAGGAAGGAAUGACCAACAGAUCCAUAUUGAGGAAGAAUGUUAUGGUAAGAUUCCAAAGCAACUUGCAAGUUUAGGGCUCUGGUGCAGCCAGUGGCACUUGGUGGAUCGGCGGUCCAUGAAAACGGUGGUUCGGAUGUUAGGAGGAUGAGAAAACUUGAUGAUGCAAGCAACCCUAAAAGCCUCAUACAAUUAAAAGUAAUUGCUGAAUUAGAGUAACAUAUGUAUAUGUAUACGCACCAACACAAGUCGUUCUUAGAUGAAUCCAAGCCAAACAAUUACAAACAACAGUUAUUCACUAAAUCACUUUAAGGCAAGAAUUUAAUUAAUAAUACAUUACUGCACUUUCUUAACCAUUUGACUAUCACCUAGCUGACAAUGAACACGUUAGCUCCGCGUUAGAACAUCUUGGGUUCACUUCAUUGUCUUGAAUAUCACCCACUGUCACAGGCGUCUCUAGGGGGCAUAGAGAAGGCCUGAGAGGCAUUUGCAGACAUUCAACAUCUCCUCCAAGCAUUUUGACAACUUUGGACAUCGAAGGGCGAUCACUUGGUUUCAUUUGAAUACACCACAAGGCGGUUAUAACCAUCUUUCUUAUUACUUUCUUUUCCUCCUCUGUAACAUUGUCCAUUUCCAAGUCAUUUCCCACAAUAUACUGAUCGUAUACCCAUAUUGGGAAGUAGAUUUGGCUUGAAUGCUCUACCGUUGGAUUCAAAUUCUUCCUUCUGCUUGCCAUCUCCAUCAACAACAUUCCAAAACUAUAGACAUCUGACUUGUAUGAGACACCUCCAAUAUUUUUGUAGAACAACUCAGGAGCAAUGUAUCCCAGUGUACCCCGUGCUGCCGUCAAAGAGACAAUGCUAUUAUCUACAGGAUACAAUUUUGCAAGCCCAAAGUCAGAAACCUUUGCUUUAAAGUUCUCAUCAAGAAGGAUGUUAUGAGGCUUGAUGUCGAAAUGUAGAAUUUGCAUUUCGCAACCUUGGUGUAGAUAUUCGAUCCCUUGAGCCACUCCAAGAGAAAUCUCGUACAUGUUCUUGAUAGUUAAGGGAACACUUCCUUCUUUGGAAUAAAUGUAUUUAUCAAGAGAACCAUUAGGCAUGAAGUCAUAUACUAGAGCUCGUUUUGAUCCCUCAACACAGUAUCCAACAAGUUGCACCACAUUGGCAUGGUGAAUCCUUCCGAUUGUAGCUAUUUCGCUAAUGAAAUCUUGGCCAUCAGCUUUGGGCUUGCCCAAAACUUUAACUGCUACAAAUCGACCACUGCGUAGCUUUCCCUUAAAUACAGAGCCAAAGCCACCUUCGCCCAACUUGUCCUUAAACGUGCGAGUCAUUUUCUUGACGUCCGAGUAAGAGUACCUUAUAGGCAUGAAGUUGUUAUUGCAUUGCAGAAAAUCUUCUAUUGUGUUAUACAUUGAUAAAUGUCUUCUGCGCCAUGUGUAGAUUAGAAAUGCAGUCACAACUGGAACUCCAAAAACAAAUCUGGCUAGGAAAAAUAACCCUGCAUGCAUGGACAUUAAUAUGUUAGAUCCACUGCGUACUACUUUUUCUUCCCUUUCUUUCCAAAUUACUUUGUCUUUGAUGUAAUUAAAGAGAGAGAAUGAGAAAUCUACAUAUGUUGAUAAUACAAUCUCAUCUUAGUCCUUACCGAUGCAUAUGAGUAUAAACCAUCCACGUACUGCAACAAAAUCAAUCGACUAUGAGUUUGAAAAGUGCAUAAAGUGAAAAAUAAAUAAUAAAUAAAAUCAAAGGGUGCCUUUAUUGACACCCAAAUUUUAGUUAGUUUUACUCAACUAAAAAAUUUUUGUCAUCAAACUUUUUAAUUUGCCGUUGAAAUUGAGUUCACCCAACCCACAAAGCAGCAACUACCACUCACCAAAAAAACCAACAACACACACCCACCACUCACCAAUAGAAAGAGAAUGAACACACAGACCCACAAAGAGCUGGCAUCGACGCUGUCGAUGAGGGAGGGACCAGAGGAUGGUGUAGUUUUGUCUAGCGCGCGGUAGUGGUUUUGUCUGUUCAUUUUCUCUUUCUUUUGGUAGGUGGAGGCUGGUGUGGAUUUGGGCGAACUUAAAAAUGAGGGGAAACUAUGAAGUUUGACAAAAUGUUUUAGUUAGGGGAACUUAACUAAAAUUUGGGUGCCGAUAAAGAUACCCAAUAUCAAAAAUACUUGAGCGUAUAGACUAAUUAAAUGAAGUUGAUCAAGUUUGUCUCGAUCGAAAACUUGUAAAUAAAACAAAAAGAGGACCCCUUACCGAUUUGUUGCCAUAUAUAUUGAAAGAAACCUACAAAAACAAAGAAAGAACAAGACUACAUGCAUUAGCAUAACAAGAGUGAGGUGUAUAAGCCGUUAGAAAAUAAAUUUAAAAUUCUAGUGCUGUCAAUACAUUGAUAAUAUAUAUAUAUAUAUAUAUAUAUAUGUAUUAUUUUUUCUGAAAAUUUAACUUUUUCCCUCCAAACUCAUUUUUCUAGUCUCUAGCCCAUCAUAUAAUAUUUAUCCGAAUAAAACCAAAUGAUUAGGAUCCAACUAAGAAACUUACCAAAUUAAGUUUGUGUGUCCAUUUUUAUAUUUUUUGGAUCCCUAAUAUACCCCAUCUAAGUCAGUAUGGAAAGUUCUUGUAAUUUUGCUUUAAGUGAUCACGUGCAUUGAAUUUGGCAAUGUCUUGUAGCCAUGAAAUAUGGUUGUAGAUGGAGGAAUUAAUUUGGAAUUUUUUUUAAUUUCAACAACAAAUUUAGUGUUAUUUUCAACAAUAUCUAUUGUUUAAUUUUAUGAAAAUAAUUUACCUAAUAUGAAAAUUAAUUUUAUGAAAACAAUAUCUAUUGUUUUAUUUUAUACCUACAGGAUAAUUACAUGAAAAUAGUUUACCUACUAUGAAAAUUAAUUUUUUGAAAGCAAUAUCUAUUGUUUAAUUUUAUGAAGAUAAUUUACCUACUAUAAUUACAUGAAAAUAGUUUACCUACUAUGAAAAUUAAUUUUUUGAAAGCAAUAUCUAUUGUUUAAUUUUAUGAAGAUAAUUUACCUACUAUAAUUACAUGAAAAAAUUUACCUACUAUGAAAAUUAAUUUUUUGAAAACAAUAUUAUUGUUUAAUUUUAUGAAAAUAAUUUACCUACUGUAUAAUUACAUAAAAAUUAAUGUGCCUACUUUUUAAAUUUGUAACAAAAUUAAUUUACCUACUUUUUAUGGUAUUAGUAUACAUAAAUGUAGAAUAUAUGUCCGUAUAUAUUUGAUCUAAUUAGGUUUUGGAUUGGAGGAGUUGACACAAAAUUAUAAAUAUGUUAAACAAAUUUAUCAAUUCUAAAGUUGGAGGGGAAUUGGUCUGUACAUUGCUACAGUAAACAAAUGCUACUCAAUUUCACGUUAUUUACAACAAAGCUAUCAGAUUUGGGUUGGGUUGGAGGGUAAUUUGUUAAAAGUUAGGAGGGUAAUUUGUUAAAAGUUAGGAGGGUAAUUUUGUGCAUAGGGUUUAGGUGCCCUCCUAUACAUGACCCUUGAUUUUACUUUAUUUACACCACUGCCAUCAUAUAUGUGGCUGAAUUGGGGGGGGUAUUAUUAAAAGUUAAGAGGGUAGUUUUGUUCAAGGAAGAAAAUAUCGGUAAUAUCGGAAAUAUCGGUAGUCCGAAAACACGGAAAUAUCGAUGGAAAUAUCGGGAUAAUAUCGAUAUCGAUAAAAAUUACAUGGAAACCACGGAAAUUGUAAGAAAAACUUGGAAAUUUUUAUUGAAAUUUUGCAGGAUGUUUAUUUAGUCAAUUAUCUAUUAGUUUAUCACAAAAAAUUGGAAGGAAAUGCAUUGCAUGAUGGAUUUAACUUAUUUAAGUUGAUUAUAUAGCGAGCUGACAAACAUUGUGAGUGUAGAAAAUAUGUAGUAAUUAAUGAAAGAAGUUUAAACUUUAUAUAUAAUGACUUAGUACAAUAUUUUACACUUUAUACAUUGCAUGGUAAGAUACAUGAGUUACACAAACAACGGGAAAUUAAUGAGAAAACCCUUCCCAAAACGUCAGCACCCGCUUUUUUAAAUAACUUAUAUAAUGAACCUGUCUGGAUCACUUGUUCUAAUAUAUAAACACAAAACAAUACUAUUUGUAUCACAUUUUCUGACAAUCUCAUUGACCGCUUUUAAUUAAUAAAUUGGUCUCAAGUCUAGUUUCCUAAGAAUUUGUUUGUUUGGGCUCAUCUUUGUUGUAAUAACUUAAUUGGGCUUAGAGUUUUAUUGGGUUUACCUAGCCCGUGCGAGCUCAUCUUUGUAUUUAUUUGACGGAUACCCCGAUUUGUUAUGGCAAAAGCAACCACGCAGUCGACGCCCGAAAACCCUUCCCUCUCUCAUUUGGUCUUCGUCUGUUUUCCCGCAUCAUCCAACAGGUGGACUCGGCGCUUCUCUCUCUCUCCCCCCUCUUCGCCCUCUCCACCAAACCCUAACCCCCCAAAUUCCAACCUUCCACCAUUCAAUCCAACCAAAAUCCCCCCAAUCGGACCCCUACCCGACCCAGUUCAUCUCCGAUUGCCUCCAAUUCCACUCCGCCCCGACCCAUUUCUUCAAAAUUCCAAUUCCACUCCGCCCCGACCCAGUUCCUUCAAUUUCUCAGGUAGGUAAGCUUCGGGUUUUUCUUUUUAUAUUCUAGAUCGAAGCGUAGAUGUGAAAUUGAAGUUAUAUGUCGUGUUUUUGCAAGGUUUUUGGGAUGAAAUCGACUCGGGAAUAAGUACACCCAUCUCCGGCGAGGCUAGGGGGUAGUUUUACAGUCGACCGGAGCUGUAGAAGCUCCAGCGUUCGUCUCCGACGUGCACAGUUCCGAAAUUUCGCGAUAAUAUCGAUAAUAUCGCGAUAUUAUCGAUAUUAUCGCGAUAUUAUAACGAAAACACCUUGGAUACCAUUUAAAAUAUCGGUUCGGGAAAAAACCGAUAAUAUCGGCGAUAUAUCGCCGAUAUUAUCGAUAUUUUCUUCUAUGGUUUUGUUCAAGGGGUGGGGGCGACAUUCGCAGACAGGGCGAUUGGAGCCAUGCCCAUGCCCAUUGCACAGAGAGAAAGGGAGUGAUGGGGGAAAUUACAGACAGAAAGGGAAGGGAUGGGAGGAUUUGAUGGAUGGUCACAGAGAAAGAUUCGGUGAGGGAUGUGAGGGGAGAUUACAGAGAGAUAAAUUAAAGGGGGAUCGGGGGAUUUGAGGGAUGGUCAGAGAGAGAAAUAGUGACGAAGGGAGGGAUGGGGGGGCUAAUUUUCGGUUCCUCCUUCAGAUUUGUUCCGUAAAACUUGUUGGGUACAAUUCAAUUUCCUCCCCCUUUCCCCUGAACGAAAAAUUCGAAACCUACAAUUCAAUUUCCUCCCUUCUUGGCUUUCCGCUUUACUCAUCUCCCGGUGGUUCUUUCUCUCCAUACGAUUCGAUUUCGGUGAGUUCUUCGUUGCCCUCAUGAUUUCCCAGUUUGAUUUUUUGAGCGUCCUUAGUCGUCGUUUUUAUCUGGGUUUAUUGCAUGGUUGCUUUUAGUUUAUGGAUUUUUAUUUUUUCCGCGGUUUGAUGAAUCGUGGUUAAUAAUUUCACACCAUGGGAUUUUUGCACUUCUGAUGGAAUUGAGCGCAGGGAUUCGGGGUGGGGUUUUACUGAUAGUUUGUCUUCAUUCAAAUGAAUGGUUAAAAUUUCUGAAGUGAGUGUGCAGGUGGGCCCGUUCACUAACUAAGCUUUCAAGGGAACCCAUCAACGGUUUGCUUGCUGGGGAACUCGGAGACUACUAUGAUUUAGUUAUCAUUUAUUUUUUUACUUAAUUUUAUCCAUAUAUAAUAUGUGGGUAAAUUUACACUAAACAAUUGUGAUAAGCCAAUAUGCCAAACGACUUUGAAAGCAUUGAUUUUGUGUAUAGUUUGCAUUUUUGCAUUGUGAAUGUUGAAUUUUGUGUUUAAUUUGGAUUUUUGUGUUUGAAUUUGUAGCAUGAUCUUCCGCUGCAGCAUCCAAAUUUUGUAUUUGUAAAUUGUCAAAGAAAAACGAACAACAACAACAACAACAACAAAGCCUUUUCCCACUAAAUGGGGUCGGCUAUAUGAAUCCUAGAACGCCAUUGCGCUCGGUUUUGUGUCAUGUCCUCCGUUAGAUCCAAGUACUCAAGUCUUUUCUUAGGGUCUCUUCCAAAGUUUUCCUAGGUCUUCCUCUACCCCUUCGGCCCUGAACCUCUGUCCCGUAGUCACAUUUUCGAACUGGAGCGUCAGUAGGCCUUCUUUGCACAUGUCCAAACCACCGGAAUCGAUUUUCUCUCAUAUUUCCUUCAAUUUUGGCUACUCCUACUUUACCUCGGAUAUCCUCAUUCCUAAUCUUAUCCUUUAUCGUGUGCCCAUACAUCCCACGAAGCAUCCUCAUCUCCGUUACACCCAUUUUGUGUACAUGUUGAUGCUUCACCACCCAACAUUUUGUGCCAUACAACAUUGCUGGCCUUAUUGCCGUCCUAUAAUAUUUUCCCUUGAGCUUCAGUGGCCUACGACGGUCACACAACACCCCGGAUGCACCCUUACACUUCAUCCAUCCAGCUUGUAUUCUAUGGUUGAGAUCUCCAUCUAAUUUUCCGUUCUCUUGCACGAUAGAUCCUAGGUAGCGAAAACGGUCACUUUUUGUGAUCUUCGCUAGAUUGCUCCGGUCAUUAGUGUGGAUAAGUAUAUAAAUGGAUAGAAUUAGGAAAGCAAACACAAGAUGUACGUGGUUCACCCAGAUUGGCUACGUCCACGGAAUAGAGGAGUUCUCAUUAAUUAUGAAGGGUUUACACAAGUACAUAGGUUCAAGCUCUCCUUUAGUGAGUACAAGUGAAUGAUUUAGUACAAAUGACAUUAGGAAAUAUUGUGGGAGAAUGAUCUCGUAACCACGAAACUUCUAAGUACCGGAGUGUGGUAUCGUUUUGACUUGCCUUAUCUGUCUCAUAGGUAGAUGUGGCAUCUUCUCUGGAAGUACUCUUCCUCCAUCCAGGGGUGGUAUCUGUAACUGGUGGAGAUGCACAAGGUAAUGUAUCAAUUUCACUUGAAGCUUACUUGUAGUUUCAGGCUUGGUCAAGCGCGAUACAAACCAUGUAGUAGAAGUCCCCCAAGUCGCCGGGCUAAGGGAUCUGCUGAAAGAGGUGACAGACAAGGUAAGCAAUCAGAGCUCCAGCUGAUUGUUCACAUUCUCCCUAUCUUGCAGGCAGCAUGAAGGAUAAAGAGAAGAAAAAUGAGAAGAGAUGAUAUGGGAUACUUUUGCUUUUAAAGAAGUAACUUUCCACAGGCUUAUUCUUGAACCGGGCUGUAGGGUUUUCUGGUUUCCUCUAGAGUAUAAGGCCGAUUGAAGAAUUUGAGGGUCAAAACAAGUCCAUCAAAUCUAGAGUACGUUCGACCCUGCUGAUAUGGGAUACUUUUGCUUUUGACAGAGUAGUGGAUGUAUCGGCACGUGUGCUGUUACGCUUGUCUCCACAUGCUUCCUUGUAUCCUUCUCACUUGCCCUAUCUGUUCCUCAGGCAAAUGCGGUAUCUUCCCUGGAAGCAUAAGAUGUUGAAGAUGAGUACUCCAGAGCAAUGACAGGUAAGUAAUCAGGUAAGGGGUUCCAGGCAGUCAGUUCCUGGCUCGAAGCUUGAUUCCAAGUGCUGACUGAUUGCUCUCGUUCUCCUUGUCUUGUAGGUAAGAACAAGGCCAAAGGAAAAGACAGGGAAAAAGCAUGAUAUGGGAUACUAUUGCUUUUAACCCUGAUGAUAUGAGAUAGUCUUGCUCUAGUAUAGCUUGUUUACAGAGGUAUUAUCGGGGGGAAAGAAAGCUGAAUAUUUCGAAAGGCUUCGUUGGGAGUGCCCUAUUAGAUAAGAGAAAGGGUUGAGUAUUUUUGCAGGUCUGCCUGUCCGUUAGGGAUGGAGGUCGACAUAUAUAGGAGUCUCCCUAACAUAAAGUAAUAAUGUUAUUCCUUUACCCUGCUUGGUCAUAACACGGUAGUGGGAGCUACCAGCCUCACAUGUUUUAACUCUGUCAGAGCACUUUGAAAAGGUGGUCUGUGGUAUCUGGAAAGAUGAUGUUGCGUGUGAAGAUUACAGACAAGCUUUAUCCAAGGAGAUCCAGCUCUUGAAGUUGGGAAAGUGGUGCCUCUUCGGUUUUCGAACAAGCAAUCCUGUCGGGGAUCUGGCUCUCGAGAUUCGGAGAACGAUGCCUCUUCAAUUUUUGAGAAAGCGAUCAUGCUGGGGGUCUGGCUCUCGAGAUUCGGAGAGCAGUGUCUCUUCGAUUUUUGAGAAAGUAAUCAUGUUGGGAGUCUGGCUCUCGAGAUUCGGAGGGCGGUGCCUCUUCGAUUUUGGAGCAAGCAAUCUUGUUAUGAGUGUUUUCUCGAAUGUGAGUAAAGGUUGGGCAUGUUUGCUAGUCUACCUUGCCACGAAGCACAGAGGUUGACACACAGGGACUUUCCAAUUAUCCAGCAGUGGUACUGUUCAUUUACCCUCUCUUCGAUUUUUGAGAAAGUAAUCAUGUUGGGAGUCUGGCUCUCGAGAUUCGGAGGGCGGUGCCUCUUCGAUUUUGGAGCAAGCAAUCUUGUUGGGAAUGUUUUCUCGAAUGUGAGUAAAGGUUGGGCAUGUUUGCUAGUCUACCUUGCCACGAAGCAUAAAGGUUGACACACAGGGACUUUCCAUUUAUCCAGCAGUGGUACUGUUCCUUUACCCUCUUUUCGAUUUUUGAGAAAGUAAUCAUGUUGGGAGUCUGGCUCUCGAGAUUCGGAGGGCGGUGCCUCUUCGAUUUUGGAGCAAGCAAUCCUGUUGGGAGUGUUUUCUUGAAUGUGAGUAAAGGUUGGCAUGUUUGCUAGUCUACCUUGCCACGAAGCACAGAGGUUGACACACCGGGACUUUCCAAUUAUCCAGCAGUGGUACUGUUCCUUUACCCUUGUGGGUAAUAAUAUGGUAGCUAGACCUUCAAAAUUUAUAUGUCUAAACUUUGUUAGUGUUGUUUCUUUGCAAUUCUUUUACCCUUCUUGGUCAGAGCGAUGUAGCGGGAGCUGCAAGCUUCACGUGUCUCAACUGUCAGAGAACUUUGGCAAAGUUAUCUGUGGUACCCAUGAGUUACUGUUGCGUAUGGGAAGUGGGUGAUUGAACAAUACGAUUCAUGUGCUUUCUACUUCGCCAGAAAUCUUCGACAGAAUGCCCAUAAUUUCCGCAAAGCUGAGUGUGCGUGUGACAGGUGCUGACAAGGCUGGAAAAGUAGGUGCCUCUUCGAUUUCUGAGAUCGGCCUUUGUGGUUUCUUAGCAGCCCAGCUUUUGAGAAAGCAAGCCUCUUCGAUUUCUGAUAUCGGCCUUCGUGGUCUUUGAGCAGCCCAGCUUUUGAGAAAGCAAACGCCUCUUCGAUUUCUGAGAUCGACCCUCGUGGUCUCUGAGCAGCCCAGCUUUUGAGAAAGUAAACGCCGCUUCGAUUUCUGAGCAGGCGCCUCUUCGAUUUCUGAAGCUUCGUCGAGUGCAGAUUUUUAUAGGGGCUGACAUUAAGUUCCAAAGCACACUUGAAUAUCCACCAGUAGAAGCUCCAUUCUUGUACUUCUAAGAUCUUGAUUUGUCCGACCUCUUCUCUCUUCAACACCUUUGAAAAUGUCUGGCCCCUCCGACCGUCGUUUUGACUUGAACCUUGUUGAAGAGGCAGCCCCGCCUUCUCCAGACAACAUAUGGCGCCCAUCAUUCGUCUCCCCUACUGGUCCUCUUACCGUUGGGGAUUCCGUGAUGAAGAAUGAUAUGACCGCUGCGGUAGUGGCCAGAAACCUUCUCACUCCCAAAGAUAACAGACUACUUUCCAAACGGUCUGAUGAGUUGGCUGUUAAGGAUUCUUUGGCUCUCAGUGUUCAGUGUGCAGGUUCUGUGUCUAAUAUGGCCCAACGCCUAUUUGCUCGAACCCGCCAAGUUGAAUCAUUGGCGGCUGAAGUGAUGAGUCUCAAACAGGAGAUUAGAGGGCUCAAGCAUGAGAAUAAACAGUUGCACCGGCUCGCACAUGACUAUGCUACAAACAUGAAGAGGAAGCUUGACCAGAUGAAGGAAUCUGAUGGUCAGGUUUUACUUGAUCAUCAGAGAUUUGUGGGUGGGUUUGUUCCAAAGGCAUUUAUUGCCUUCGUCUUCUGGGGCUGUACCGCGUAAUGAAGCUCCAAAUGAUCAACCUCUGAUGCCUCCUCCUUCUAGGGUUUUGUCCAGUACUGAGGCUCCGAAUGAUCCCCCUCUGGUGCCUUCUCUUUCUGGGGCUCUACCGACUACUGAGACUUCUCCUAAGCAACCUUUGUGAAGGCUCCCUCUUGUUUGUUUAUUUUGACUCAAGUAUAUGUACAUAUUUGUAACUUAUCGGGGAUAUCAAUAAAUAAGCUUUCCUUUAUUUCAACGUAUUGUGUUAAAUACACCAAAGCCUUCUUCGCUAAGUUCUUUGAAUUUUCUUUUGUUGAAGCUUGUAUGUUGAAGCUUUGUGAGUGAAGCAUGCAGGUUGAGGUAGUGUUCCCUUAAUUUCCCGAGUGAGGAAAACUUCUCGGUUGGAGACUUGGAAAAUCCAAGUCACUGAGUGGGAUCGGCUAUAUGAAUCUUAGAACGCCAUUGUGUUUUGUCCUGUGUCAUAUCCUCCGUUAGAUCCAAGUACUCUAAGUCUUUUCUUAGGGUAUCUUCCAAAGUUUUCCUAGGUCUUCCUCUACCCCUUCGGCCCUGAACCUCUGUCAUAUAGUCGCAUCUUCUAAUCGGAGCGUCAGUAGGCCUUCUUUGCACAUGUCCAAACCACCGUAACCGAUUUUCUCUCAUCUUUCCUUCAAUUUCGGCUACUCCUACUUUACACCGGAUAUCCUCAUUCCUAAUCUUAUCCUUUCUCGUGUGCCCACACAUCCAACGAAGCAUCCUUAUCUCCGCUACACCCAUUUUGUGUACGUGUUGAUGCUUCACCGCCCAACAUUCUGUGCCAUACAGCAUCGCCGGCCUUAUUGCCGUCCUAUAAAUUUUUCCCUUGAGCUUCAGUGGCAUACGGCGGUCACACAACACGCCGGAUGCACUCUUCCACUUCAUCCAUCCAGCUUGUAUUCUAUGGUUGAGAUCUCCAUCUAAUUCUCCGUUCUUUUGCAAGAUAGAUCCUAAGUAACGAAAACGGUCGCUCUUUGGUAUUUCUUGAUCUCCGAUCCUCACCCCUAACUCGUUUUGGCCUCCAUUUGCACUGAACUUGCACUCCAUAUAUUCUGUCUUUGAUCGGCUUAGGCGAAGACCUUUAGAUUCCAACACUUCUCUCCAAUGGUUAAGCUUUGCAUUUACCCCUUCCUGAGUUUCAUCUAUCAACACUAUAUCGUCUGCGAAAAGCAUACACCAAGGAAUAUCAUCUUGAAUAUGUCCUGUUAACUCAUCCAUUACCAACGUAAAAAGGUAAGGACUUAAGGAUGAGUCUUGAUGUAAUCCUACAGUUAUGGGAAAGCUUUCGGUUUGUCCUUCAUGAGUUCUUACGGCAGUAUUUGCUCCUUCAUACAUAUCCUGUAUAGCUUGGAUAUAUAUGCUACUCGUACUCCUUUCUCUCUCUAAAAUCCUCCAAAAGAUGUCUCUCUUGGGUCUCCCCCUAUCAUACGCUUUUUCCAAAUCUAUAAAGACCAUGUGUAAAUCUGUUUUCCCAUCUCUAUAUCUUUCCAUCAAUCUUCGUAAGAGAUAGAUUGCCUCCAUGGUUGAGCGCCCUGGCAUGAACCCGAAUUGGUUGUCCGAAACCCGUGUCUCUUGCCUCAAUCUAUGCUCAAUGACUCUCUCCCAAAGCUUCAUUGUAUGACUCAUUAGCUUAAUACCCCUAUAGUUCAUGCAAUUUUGUACAUCGCCCUUAUUCUUGUAGAUAGGCACCAAAGUGCUCAUUCGCCACUCAUUUGGCAUCUUCUUCAUUUUCAAAAUCCUAUUGAAAAGGUCAAUGAGCCAUGUUAUACCUGUCUCUCCCAAAACUUUCCACACUUCGAUUGGUAUAUCGUCUAGGCCUACUGUUUUUCUAUGCUUCAUCUUCUUCAAAGCUACAACCACUUCUUCCUUCCGGAUUCUACGAUAAAAAGAGUAGUUUCGACAUUCUUCUGAGUUACUCAACUCCCCUAAAGAAGCACUCAUUUCAUGUCCUUCAUUGAAAAGAUUAUGAAAAUAACCUUUCCAUCUGUCUUUAACCGCGUUCUCUGUAGCAAGAACAUUUCCAUCCUCAUCCUUGAUGCACCUCACUUGGUUUAGGUCCCUUGUCUUCUUUUCCCUUGCUCUAGCUAGUUUAUAGAUAUCCAACUCUCCUUCUUUGGUAUCUAGUCGCUUAUACAUAUCGUCAUAAGCCGCUAACUUAGCUUCUCUCACAGCUUUCUUCGCCUCUUGCUUCAUUUUUCUAUACCUUUCACCAUUUUCAUCGGUCUUAUCCUUGUAUAAGGCUUUACAACAUUCCUUCUUAGCCUUCACCUUUGUUUGUACCUCCUCAUUCCACCACCAAGAUUCCUUUUGGUGUGGGGCAAAGCCCUUGGACUCUCCUAAUACCUCUUUUGCUACUUUUCGGAUACAACUAGCCAUGGAAUCCCACAUUUGGUUAGCUUCCCCCUCUCUAUCCCACACACACUGGGUGAUUACUUUCUCUUUGAAAAUGGCUUGUUUUUCUUCUUUUAGAUUCCACCAUCUAGUCCUUGGGCACUUCCAAGUCUUGUUCUUUUUUCUCACUCUUUUAAUAUGUACAUCCAUCACCAACAAGCGAUGUUGAUUAGCCACUCUCUCUCCUGGUAUAACUUUGCAAUCCUUACAAGUUAUACGAUCCCCUUUCCUCAUUAGAAGAAAAUCUAUUUGUGUUUUUGACGACCCACUCUUGUAGGUGAUCACAUGUUCUUCUCCCUUCUUAAAGAAGGUGUUGGCUAAGAAGAGAUCAUAUGCCAUUGCAAAAUCCAAGAUAGCUUCCCCAUCCUCGUUUCUCUCCCCAAAACCAUGGCCACCAUGAAAACCUCCAUAGUUGCCUGUCUCCCUGCCCACGUGUCCAUUUAAAUCUCCUCCUAUAAAUAACUUCUCCGUCUGAGCAAUUCCUUGCACCAAGUCUCCAAGGUCUUCCCAAAAUUUCUCCUUCAAACUCGUAUCCAACCCUACUUGAGGUGCGUACGCACUAAUCACAUUGAUAAGUUCUUGUCCUAUUACAAUCUUGAUUGCCAUGAUUCUAUCUCCUACCCUCUUGACAUCUACAACAUCUUGUGUCAAGGUCUUGUCCACGAUGAUGCCAACACCGUUUCUCGUUCUAUUUGUGCCCGAAUACCAUAGUUUAAACCCUGAGUUUUCUAGAUCCUUUGCCUUACGUCCAACCCACUUAGUUUCUUGUAGGCACAUAAUAUUUAUCCUUCUCCUCACCAUAACUUCUACUACUUCCAUAGAUUUUCCCGUCAAGGUUCCUAUAUUCCACGUUCCUAAACGCAUUUUGCUCUCUUGAACUCUACCCUUCUGUCCUAGCUUCUUCACCCUUCCCCGUCUAAUAGGAUCAAAGUACUUCUUUUGUGUGUACCGUGUAAAGUUGAUAGGAGCAUAUGAGCCUAAACAACUUUGAGUGGAGUCGUUCGAAAAGAAGUUUCUAUAGCCCCCUUGCUCAUUUAACACUGCAUCCGGGUGCCGAUGGAGAUACAGCGACCCUUGCUCACUUAUCACUGUGCUCAGGCCACACAGCGCGCCACUUACGGGUGACGCCCUAGCUUUAGCGCGAUUUCGUUCUGGAUUCAUUUUCAUAAGGAUUCGACGUGAUCAUGGAGUGCCGGCUGUCGACUACCUGACGCCCUCCCCCUCAUCCUUUAUCCGGGCUUGGGACCGGCAAUGUAAGAUAAACUUACACGGCGGAGUUAAAGAAAAACGAAUGAGGAAAUUAUAGGAGAUUGUGUCGGCUUUGGCCAUGAAGGGUAUCAGCAGCUUUUUCCUCCCAUACAGGUGAUUAAUUGUUUUUCAGUCUGUGUUCAGUUUUAUUUAUUGGAUUUGGUUAGCAGCCAGUUUUAUGUAUUGGAUUUUUUAUUUGGAUUUAUAGCACUAAGGGUAUAGGUGAACGGUGAAGCGGUUUGUAUGGGCUCAUGUGUGUUUUAGAUAAUCUCAAGGACUAUGUAGAUACUAUGAUUUGGGGUUGCUUUUUUAAACCAUGAUAAAGCAUUCCAAGUAAUUUUAACAUAGAUAUCAUUUUUUAUGUAAGCAUGAGUAUAUGAAAUGUUAAGACGAUAAUAUAUCAUGUGAUUUAAAAUUCAAAGAGAGACAAUGAACCGUGUUUGAUAUUUUGUUUGUCUUGGUUCGUUUAAAUUUGGGCCUUUUUCAGUUGGAUUCAUGGGUUUUGUUUAAGAUAUCAUUUUUGGUUUAUGAAUGGUUUUAAACAUCCACAACAUCGCGCAGGCACACUUUCACUAGUAUUUUACUAAACUAGUGCACUUGAAUGUCCGUAGCUAAAUAUAUUAUAAUGAAUUAGUGGAACAUAAGAAAAUAUGGAAAAACGUAAGUGUACCAAAAAGUCCGUACCUAAACAUGGUAUACUAAAUUAGUGUAACAUUAUGUCUGUACCUAAAUAUAUUAUACUAAACUAGUAUACCGAAAUAUUCAUACCUAAACAUAUUAUAUUAAACUAGUGUACUGAGAUGUCUGUACCUAAAUACAUUGUAAUAAAUUAAUGGCACAUAAGAAAAUAUGCAAAACAUAGGUGUGCCGAAAAGCCUCUACCAAAAUAUUUUCUUAUAUAAGAUACUUACAAUAAAUUGGUGAUGCAAAAUGUCAACAAAUAAAAGCUAAUUCAUUUGAAUUCAAAUGAGUAUUAAAAUUUAAUUCAUAUCAGCAUAAAAUUAUAAAUAGGAAAAAAAAAUAAAGACAUUGAAUGCAUAUGCUGCCAUUAAAUAGAGUCUAGGAACUAAAAUAAAUUUUUAAUCUUGUGUGAGACAUUUUUCUAAAUUUUAUUUUAUUUAAGGAUUAAAAUCUAGUUUUCUAUUACUUAUAUUUCUGACUACAUAUGGUUAUUAGUUACUUUAGUCGAGAGUUGACGCACCUGGAAUGGUACGUGGAAAACAUGUUAGCACUUGAUUCCCAGUCAAAGCCACACACGAGAGCAUUGUGUAUGUCUUUAUAAGUAAUAAAAACUAAUAACCUGAAAUGCUCUCGUAUUUCUAAAGGCCCGACUCCAAGUUCAAAGCCAUACACGAGAGCAUUGUGUAUGUCUUUAUAAGAGACGUUGCUGUAGUCCUUGACGGAGUAGUCAAAGUGACCCAAAUUCAUCCAAGCCUUCCCCUCUGCACUGCAACCCUCAUCCAAAUCCCAUCCUAUCAUGGCCCCGACCUUGACGUAGCUAUACGUUUUUGGUUGGCUCGAAGAACUUGUAUUAUUCAAGCAUGGAGCAGUGUCCACGUACAGAGAAGAAUUCAACGGAUUCAAACAUUUCAAGUAAUAUAUAGAUGUUGAAUACAGUGAUGAAUAUCGUACGUAUGGAUGAGUAAUGAGCGGAAAAUUUCGAGGCCUGGAAGAGCAAUUGGUGUUCACAAGGCCAGGAUCUAGAAGUCGGAUUGUUGUGUCAGUGUAGUUGAUUGCCUGGACGUAGUAUUUUCCGGAAGGUAGGUAUAGUACUGUAAUGUUGCUCUCACAGGACAGGGUAUACCUUACGUCGCCACAAUAUUUUGGAUCAUGGUUCAGUCGAAAAGGAUAGCUUAUGUUGUGGAUAUGGCAGCAGGAUGAAGUACAGGACUUGGCACUAGUGUCGACCUUAGCGUUACAAGUUUCACUGCAGAAGCCAAGAAGAAGAAAGGCUAAACUUAAGGUGAAGGACCUGCUUCCACUAAUUUCCAUUGGGGAGAGAGAGAGAGAGAGAGAGAGAGAGAGAGGUGUACUAGUCCACACCAAGUAGUUAUAUAAUAUAGGAGGGGUCAAGCACCUUCCGUGAAAUUGCUGUUGAAAUAUCCUAGAGAAAAAUCGUCGUCAAUGGUGUCCUAGAGAAAAGUCGGGCGAUGGUGUUUGACAGUCAGUCAACGGCAAAGAUAUUUCUCUUUCAUUAAGGAAGGAUACUGCGUAAUUACUACGCAUAUAUCUCUGCUUAAUCACACAAAACAAAAAUUUCCAGCUAUAGUAUCAUUUGUGAUUCAUUUAUUAAUAAGAUAUUAUACAGGGAACUGUUAUUAGUACUCUAAAAAUCUCAUUCUACACAAGUUUAUUUUUCUUUUUAAUUAUAGAAAGUUUGGAGUGCAAAAUGAGAUUUUUGGAGUGCCAAUAACAAUUUCCUAUUAUAUAUAGCUCUACUUGGAAGGUGACUAUAUGUCUUCAUCGUGUUAAAUUGUAUAUGGCUCUUGAUGUCGGCUGAAUUGAAUCUAAAUGAAAACCAAGCUGUUGAUCUUACCAGCCCAUAUCACUUAUCUCUUGCUUAUUUAAAUUAUGUGAAGAUGCGUAUGUUGAUUGGUGAUUUUGUUGGAUUCACUCAGUUCAAAUAUAUGUUAUCUGAAUCGUUACAUUUGAGAAUGUGAUUAUGUUCCUACCACCAUUUUGCCUACUUUCUGUGGAAAUUAUUCAUGCCUAUUGUGAAUAAUACAUUCACCUCCUGCAGCGAAGCGCGAGCACAUUUUCUAAUUUAAGUUGAAUCGCAAUGGGUCAUCAAAAAUUACGAACUCGUCAUUUAUACAAGUCAAACAUGAGACCACCUACCUACUAGUUUAGUGGAAUACCACAAGUGACAUGUUGAUACCUUUAAAUCUCAUUUUCCAUAUAAUGGAUUGCAAAAUUAGGAUAUACCUAAACUAAUUUAGUCAGUGCCCGAACAAUUAAGCAGGGCUUUAUUCUUGCUUGAAUGUUUGUUAUAUGUUAAUAGUUUGACAAGGCAAUUAUAUUUCCGACUACAAAAGUUAUUAAUUUGGUCGAGAUUUGACGCACCUGAAAUGGUGUGAGGAAAACAUGUAGACACAUAAUCCGCAGUCCACUGUCCUGGGCAUCUAUCUUCAGGAGGUAUGAAUCCAAGCUCAAAGCCAUACACGAGAGCAUUGUGUAUGUCUUUAUAAGAGACGUUGCUGUAGCUGUAGCUAAAGCCAACGGAGUCGUAAAAGGAAUCCAAGGGCAUCCACUCUACACUGCAACCCUCAUCCAAAUCCCAUCCUAUCAUGGCCCCGACCUUGACGUAGCUAUACGUUUUUGGUUGGCUCGAAGAAGAACUUGUAUUAUUCAAGCAUGGAGCAGCAGUGUCCACGUACAGAGAAGAAUUCAAUGGAUUCAAACAUUUCAAGUAAUAUACAGAUGCAGAUCUUGGAUACCGUGAAUAUCGUACAUAUGGAUGAGUAAUGAGCGGAAAAUUUCGAGGCCUGGAAGAGCAAUUGGUGUUCACAAGGCCAGGAUCUAGAAGUCGGAUUGUUGUGUCAGUGUAGUUAAUUGCCUGAACGUAGUAUUUUCCGGAAGAAGGUAGGUCUAAUACUGUAAUGUUGCUCUCACAGGACAGUGUAUACAUUACAUUGCCGCAGUGCUUCGGAUCAUGGUUCAGUCGAAAAGGAUAGCUUAUGUUGUGGAUAUGGCCGCAGGAUGAAGUACAGGACUUGGCACUAGUGUCGACCUUAGCGUUACAAGUUUCACUGCAGAAGCCAAGAAGAAGAAAGGCUAAACUUAAGGUGAAGGACCUGCUUCCACUAAUUUCCAUUGCAGAGAGAGAGAGAGAGAGAGAGAGAGAGAGAGGUGUACUGGUACUCACCAAGUAGUUGUAUAAUAUAGGAGGGGUCAAGCACUUUCCGUGAAAUUGCAGUUGAAAUAUCCUAGAGAAAAAUCGUCGUCAAUGGUGUCCUAGAGAAAAGUCGGGCGAUGGUGUUUAACACAGUCAGUCAACGGCAAAGUUAUCUCUUUCAUUAAGGGAGGACACUGCGUAAUUACUACGCAUAUAUCUCUGCUUAAUCACACAAAACAAAAAUUUCCAUUUUUUCCCUAAAAAUUAAUUUUCUUUCACCUCCAACCCAUCAUGUAUAUUCUAUAAGAUAAGAAUAAUCCAUUGACUAGCUCCAAUUAAGCAAGUUUCAUAACUUGCUUGAUGACUCUGAUCAUGUGUAAUUUUGGGGAAUUGGAUGCUAUUUUAUCCCUACUUUGUUAGGCUUUUGUAAAUGGUUCUUUCACAUUUUUCAAAUGGUUUACAAUCUCUCUCAUUUUCUCUAUUUAUUUUUAAUCUUGUUUGUAUUUUCAAUCUUUCGUUCUUCCAAUUGCUGGAGCUCUACCAGAUUGGCUUUUCAUUGUUCUGAGUCUAUAUUAGACCCUUUUUCAGGUUUUGAUUUGUUAUGUCUCAUUUUUUUUAUUUACUCGGUUAAUUUGCUUCAAUUCUUUCAAUUCUUUCUUGUUAUUUUGAUGAUUUAUAUUAGUAUUAUAUAAAAUAGGAAGAACUUAUACAUUAAUCCGUUUAUCAAAUAUAUGAAAAAAUAAUUUACCCAACGAAUGUGUUAUGUCGUGUGUAAGAAUGUUUUUCCUUUUGUGUUUUAAUUCUGCACUUAUUUUUAUUUUUUCCACAUAAAUAUAACGAGCCUACAUUAUUUUUUCUAUGAAUUAUUUACCUACUUUAAUUAUUUUAUAUACCUACGUUAUUUAUUCUUGAAUCUUUUCACACAUGGCCAAACUUCUCUUGGAAGUUUAAUUAGAUGAAACAAUAUGAAUCUUGAACAAACCAAAGCAAAGCAAAACGUACUCAACACUUACAGGAAAUCAGUCCAAGAAUGAAAACUUUCUUAUCACUUUCUAUCCAAAAUUUUGGAAUUAUGUGUGUUGCAACGGUUGUCCGAAGGAUUAUUCUUCUUUUAUUAAAUUUCUAAGGAAAAUUAGCAUAUGGGGCGUAAAUGUUGAAUGGAUGAAUUUUCAUUGACUUGGAAAGGGAUUGUGACUUUAACACGCUAUUUUUCUUCAUCUUAUGCACUCAUGUUUAUCAAAAGACAAAUAAAUAUGACUUUACAUAAGGAGAGAGAAAGAGUAUUUUCCUUUGUAAAAAUCAACUAUUCAUUUUCGAAGUGGUAGUCAUUGACACGAUACUUGAUUAGAAGAAAAGUCAUAGUAAUUUGUUUUUAUGGGAACGAGAGUGCAAGUUCUUAAUUGGAAUAUGAGAUGAAGUUUCUACAUAACUAUCUGUGGCAAAGAAAGAAGUCUAAGUUUCUAAGUGGUAAGGGCUCCAAUUGAUGCGCGUUUGUUGAGAAAUGAAGAUGAAGAUGAAUAUUGAUAUUGAUGUGAGUUAGUGAACAAGUUGCUUCGAUCUCCUUUGGCCCUCUAAGAUGAUUAUUGAUUGGUGGACUAAGACGUACCAUACAAUUUUUUAUAACCAGCGAAGAUGAACAGUGUCGUGACAAAAUUUAUCCAAGUAGACCCAAGGGCAAGACUUAGGAACUUCAUAUACAGUGGGAUAAAAUGUUGGGCUAAUUUCCUAUUUUAUCUUAUAGUCAUUAAGUAAAAUGUAUUGCACAUUUCUGGAUGCAUACACAUUAAUGUACAUAAUAUUAGUUGAAUAUCAGAGUACGCAACUUUUACAAACAAAUUAACUGAAUAUAAAACGUUUAUAAAAUUUUAUUAAACGGAAUUGCCAAGAAGGCUACAUGAAUCCAAGAGACCACAUCUUGAUUGACUUGUUAUCUCUCAAUAACAAAGCUCUCUAUUUAUAAUAAACUAACCCUAGUCCCUAAUAAGCAAGGAAAUGAAAACCUAAUUUUAAUGGGCUAAGCCCAAAUCCAAACACUAAAUAAAUAACUAUUUUCCAACACCCCCGUCAAACUUGUGGCGGUACACGUCAUGAGUUUGCCAACAAGCAGAUGUGGAUGCAAGCUCCGUUAGGCGGACACGACAAGACAAGCUUCGUUAGGCGGACACGACAAGACAAGCUCUGUUAGGCAGACACGACAAGACAAGCUCUGUUAGGCGGACACGACAAGACAAGUCUCUAUCCCUCGCACAUCAAUCAAAAGACUCCUUUUUGGUGUGAAAACUGAAAACUUUUAUUCAUUUUAUUUCUUUCAUUUUUCUCAUCGGCUUCAUCUUCUUUCCUUUCCACUUCUUCUUUCUUUUUCUUUCCGUUUUCCUUCUGUACAUUCUCCCUUUUUUCUUGUUUCCUCUUCUUCUGUUUUGCGUUGUAAGUUCCUCUUCUUCGAUGGAUUUCAGAGAGAGGGAGUCACAACAGCUAAGAAGGUGGUGGUGCAUAGAGAGAGGGAGUCAAAGCGGUGGAAUUUCUUCUCAGGAAACCUCCACUCCGCCUACACCACCACCUAGACAGUCGCCUAGAUCGUCGCCUAGACCGCCCAAGCUGCCUAAGAGCGCCUAGGCGAGCGCCUAACAGCUCCAUGAUUUUUCUUAACGAUUCAGACCUAAUCGCAUCGGCACCACCACGCCCAGCUCCUAGGUUGCCGCUUAGGUCAUUUUUUAGAACACUGGUAAUACUCGUGUGGUGCAAUUCUAAUCUCUUAUAUAUAACUUUUUUGUGAUCCAUUUCUCCAUCACCAUGCCUAAAUCCCUUUAGAAUUUGCAAUUUCCUCACCCCAACAAACCCCAACAUUCUGUUGGAUAUGGUAAAAAAAAAAAACUCAGAAUUUCAUUUAAACUUGAAAAUUUAGGGAUGGGAAAGCAAUUUUCUCUUGUUUGGCAACUUGUAGCGAGAGAACAGGAAAAUUCCACAGGAAAAAAGUGGAAAUUGGGGAUGAAGAUUCUUGAGUUUAAUUUUGUCUAAAUAAGUGUAAUUUCACAAUUCCAACUACGACAAGAUUCACAAAUUCAUAUAUGGGGAAGUUUUGCGAGCACCAAACUUUACUAUUAGGGCACCAAAUUUCAUGAUAAAACCUGAUAAGGGUUUAGGGCUGCAUCGUUCACUCUGUUAAGUCUCCAAUCUUCGACGAGAUUUUUAGCUCGUGCAUCAUCUUCUCACUUUGUUGUAGGGUUACAUCUCUUCGUUCUUGAAUUAUUUUUAGCUUUUCGGGUAUACUUUUUCUGCUCAUUGUGAAUUUUGAAAUGGGGCAGGAAGAACAUACAAAAAAAAGAUAAGAGCUGGAGCCCAUCCCAGACAUAAUACGACAGUGUUGGAACCCCAGUGUUGUCCCACAUCGGCUAGAGGGCUCAAGUGAAAGUGCUUUAAAUAGAAAUACCCCUCUCUAACUAACAUCGAGGCCUUUUGUGAUAAAACCCCACACCUGAGGAUUGUGCAGGUGGUUAAGUGGGGACAGUAUCGAUGUUGUUGGAGUGGGCCCUCGGCCCGUCGACCUGAAAAUUUCCACAUGGUAUCAGAGCCAGGAGGCGGGCCCGUACUGCCACGUGAUUGGGUGGGUCCCCUUUGGCCCCGCGCGAUGUCCACGUAGGCCAAAGAUGCCACGUGUUUGGGUGGGUCCCCAAUGGCCCCGCAUGAUGGGUGAGUCCCCAAUGGCUCCACGUGGUUGUCGAUGUGGAUUUUCACGUGUGACCCAUAAAUGGGGUCUCACGUGCGGGGGAGUGUUGGAACCCCAGUGUUGUCCCACAUCGGCUAGAGGGCUCAAGUGAAAGUGCUUUAAAUAGAAAUACCCCUCUCUAACUAACAUCGAGGCCUUUUGUGAUAAAACCCCACACCUGAGGAUUGUGCAGGUGGUUAAGUGGGGACAGUAUCGAUGUUGUUGGAGUGGGCCCUCGGCCCGUCGACCUGAAAAUUUCCACAGACAGUUUUCCAUCCUUAAUCCGAUCAAUGCACUAAGACAAGUGGAGAGCAAAAGAGUUUCCAUGGGUUUAGUACCUAGUACCAAAAUAAGGUGGUACUUCGGCUAUUGCGAUGGGAAUCUUUAUGAACACUAAAUUUGGAAUGUAAUGUUUUUUCGAAUCAACACCAGGGGGCUUCGAGCUAUGUGUUCUGCCCUAUUAUUCAUUACUUCAAAGUUAACGUACUUUGGAAAGAUUGUUGGAUUAAAUCAUAUUCUAAAAUGUUAAAGCAAAGGAUGGAAUGUCCCAAGCACUUAGUCACUUGGGUAAGAGCUAUUUAGACACAGGCAUAAAUGAUCCAAAAGACCAUGCAUUCACAAGUAAAUUGCACCAAAAUAAGAUAUCCCCAAGUACCAUCACUAGGGAAAAGAUGUUGAAGUUAUGGAAAGGACAAGCCCUCAUCCUAGCAAACAACAAAUUAAUGCAAAACAUUGUCAACAACCCUAUUUGGCAACAACUUCCCUUUUGGAAGAAGUUGAAGGAUCUACGAAAAUACUGGCUGAUGGAUCACCAUUGGAAGUAGAUCCUCUUCUUCGGAUGCCUCAAAGUCAGAAAUUUUGCUCAGUAAGUCUUUAAGAGCAGCGAAAUCGGCAUCCCAUAUUUUUUUCAGAAUCUGGUAGGUGUCUCAACCUCCAAAAUGAUCUUACUGCGCGUAGCCAAAUAUAUACCCAAAGUUGUACCCCUCUGCAUAUUUUUCUUCGGACGCCUUCUUGUGAGAUGCACGCACGCCCAUUAUUUCUGACUCAUGCUCAUCCUUGAGUUGUUUAAGAUUUGCAAAGCGAACUUUGUCUUUCUAUUCGAUCUAACGGCGAAGUCUUUCCACCUCUAACGGCGAACAUUGUGAGAUGCACGCACGCCCAUUGUAAGCAUUCCGCUUCGAAGACAACGUUCGAUUGAUUAAGCUUCAAGACGCAACAAAGUUUGUUCCACCUCAACUUUGGCUUUGCAUUCUAGCUCCAACUUUUCCUGCAGUUCAGCAAGAGUUGCCUUGUAUUCAUUUGCUUUAAUAUAUUCAAGAGUGGCUUCAUUUAUGCAUUUCUUUACCUCUACAUUAUGGGCUACUCUCAUAAUUUGUUGCUCUACCUAUACCCUCUUGAGCUUCGCCAAUUGAGCUUGCACUUGUUGCUUGAGCUGUAUUUGGCCUCUGAUUCAUGCAAGGAAAACCGCUUAAGAUGACAAAUUCACUUCGCUUGGCCAAAAAGAGUCGCCUCUGUCCAGACAUGAGUCUGACCAAUGCAAGUAAAGGAAAGGAAAAACAAAAUUACCAAAGUUAUUUUGUAAGAAAAGAAUGAAGGAUUACCUCAUAUCGACUUUCGUGACAUCGCAUCAUGGCGUCUUCAAAGGACGUGCGAGCUUCCUAGUAGUCCGCAUGGGUAAUUGCAGCGCUAAGAAAAGCUCGGGUAAAAUUUAUGUUUCGAGUCUUAACGACAAGCAAGGGCAGCGCGCCCCCUUCAAUUCUGGUUAAAGUCGCCAGCAAGGGAAUGUUAGGUUCGAGAGGCACCUCGACAGGUUCAGGUAAACUCCUUGUCACUAGAGGAAUCAGAACUGGGAUAUAAAGGGGUUUAAGGACUCGAACAUCAUUCGGAAGUGGUGGCAAAGCUGUCUGCUAUUGCGCAGGUAGAGAUUCAAGCUUGGAUUCAUGUGGUUGUUGUUGCGUCAGUUCUUAAAAUGGAAGGAAAAGAGGUUGAGAUUCUCUUAUGAGAUGAUGCGGAGCAGGAGUAUCUGGAGUUGUAUUUAUCGAAACAACCAGACGUCUUUUUCUCCUCAUAGUGGAAUUUCUUCCUCCUCUUUGGGAUUCUUGGGUACCACCUCUAUUAUUGGUAGACUUAUUUGAAAAGGUGUAGCUAACGACGUUGAGGAAGUUUUACCAGACCGUUUUAGCUUUUUUUUGCUGGAGUGGGAUAAAUUUUGGGUUUGAGAUGAUGGACCCCCUAAUAAACCUAUUUCACUUUGAUCCAAUUAGGAUCCAGAAUGGGGAACUUAGAACAAUGAUUGAUGAUUGUAUUAUUCCCCCAAUCCAAAAAUCGAACUGAGGAAGUCAGCCAGUUCCAAUUACGGUGCUUAGUAAGGAUUUGCGUUGCCUGAGUGAUCAACUCUGGUCAACACGUGCCAAUAUUCUUCAGGUCAUUGUUCAGACAAAGGUUGCAAUAAGUGAUGUGAUAGCAGCAUAUUUAUGCGACUUAGUUAGCUUGUUUUUCUUGCAUUUAUGUUGUGAGUUCUUACUUAUUAUAGUGUUUUAAGCUAUUUUCGUGUGUUUGUAGGUCCAAUUGACAAAGUUGGCAAGAAAAUGCAAUUUGGAGCAUUUUGGAGCAGUUUUGGGCAUCAAAUGGAUAGCUUAUGAAUGGAGUAAGAUGGAUGGACGAAUUUGAAGUUCAAGAGGCUAGGAAUGUGUUGAAAAGAUGAAGAAAAUAAAUUCAAGAGAAAGAAGAUAAGGAAUUAGCUCAAAAGAAGGAACAUUAUCCAAAACCUUAUCCAACCUUAUCUUAUCCAAACAAACCUUAUCUUAUCUUAUCCUUGCCUAAUCUAGCUUUAUCCUAUCUUAUCUAAAUCAGUUUGUGCCUUAAAUCCAGCUGCAAGAGGACCUAAAUAUCUGAUUUCUAGAAGGCCUAUCAUUUCCUUACACUUAUGCCGCACCUUUAUCCUUCUAGAACCCCUAAAUUUGUGCCGCAUCUCAGCCCUAUAAAUAUACAUCUUUGAUGCACAAAUAAAUGACCCACGCACCCACAUAUAUUCAGAUACAAUUGAGAGAUUUCAGAGAAUUCAAAAGGUGUACCUGCGUGGAGGAAGGAGAAGGAGAAGCUUGUGUCGUGGCUUGCAAUCCAAGGGGGAGUUUGAAAUCUGCCAUUGGAGUUGCUAGGGCGUUCUUGGUUCUUUCUAUCCUUAGAUUUGUUUCAAUGUUGCUUUUAAUUUGGUUUUAUGUUUUCAAAGACAUGAGGAACUAAUCUCUUUUUAGUUGGAGGUGAAUUUGAAGCCAUGAUUAUAUGUUUUGAUAUGAAUUGAUUACAUCCAGUUAUUGUUUCUUGAGUCUUGAAUGUGAUUUGCUUAUCUGAGUUAUCAAAACUUGUUUAUGUAUGUUGAUUGAGGGUCGACACUUAAUUUGCAUGCAUGAAUUUGAUGCUAGAGUAUAAGGGAGUUUCACCUAAUCAUUAUGAACUUAUAUUCACAAGUAGUAAAGGUUGCUAGUCACAAUCGUGUUAAGUAAAUCCUUGGCAGGAGUAUCAUGCUUUUCAUAGUUACGAAUGCCUCGUCAAUGCUUAUGAUUUUCAAAGAACUUAAUGACCUUUGAUAUGUUUUCUAUCAUGCUUUUCAUAGUUAGGGAACUUGAGAAGGAUAAUUUGGUUGUGAUGUGUAUCCCGUCCAAUUCAAUGAAAUAAGGGAAAUCUGAUGGUUAAUUUGUGCUGUCACGGUUAACUUGGGGUGUUGUCAUUCAUGGUUUAAGGGAACAAUACUGGAAAUUGGUUUAUAUGCAUAUGUCAUGUGUGGAGAAAGAUCCUCUGGCUAAGUUUUCAUCAUUCAAAUCACCUAAUUUACUUUGUUUUGCAAUCUGUUUUGUUUAGUUAAUUUUCGUCCAAAUCAAUCCCCCUUCUAAUUAAGUGUCUUAGAUUAGUUAAAAAAGUGUUUCAAUCUGUCCAACUUAGUGUUUUAAGUCCCACUAGUGUUAAAUUCGUCCAAAUAGUUCUUAGAACCUGUUUUGAGUCUUUUUAACUUAGUUUUGCUGUUUUGAGUGUUUUAUGUCAAUUUUGAGUUUGUAGUGUUUAGUUGUGUGUUUUUUAGUCUAUUUGAGUGUUUCUAAGUCUAAUUUGGUAUUUCUGAGUCAUAUUUGUGUAGAUUAACAUCCCUAGUUAAUCCCCGGUUUAGAACGAUCCUUACUUACAUCUUUACUACAAUUAUCAUUCAUAGGGUUUAAUUUGUGUGUCAAGUUAAUUUUCACAUCAAAUUUGGCGCCGUUGCUGGGGAUUAGCAAACUUGCUAAUCUCUUUUGUUUGAGUAGUGUGUCUUUAUUGUUAUGGCAGAUGAGUCUACAAAAUUUGUGAAAACAUUAGAUAUAAAGAAAUGUGAGAAAUAAGAACCAAAUAACAGUGAAAUGAAUGAUAUAAGACUCAUCUGUCAGAACAACAAGGCAUUCGAUUUUCAAAAGUACACUCAACGAUCACUGGAGGAUGAUCUUAGAGUUGUAGUUGGAAUCAUCUUCCAGUGAUUUGAUAUAAAAACAGAUUUGAUGGGAUUUAGAAGCAAAUGUUGGGUUUGAAGAGAUUUAGGUAAUGGUUGGGGACGGGGAGUGAGUUGAUGGGAUUCAGUAGCAAAUGUUGGAUUGUAGAAUCUAAAAACAGAUUUGAGAGGCUAAAAUGUAAUUCGGAUAUUAGUACUACGGUCUAAUAACGUAUUUGUAAGUGAAAAAUUUUAGGUUUGUAUUUCAAGAAUAAGGAGUUCAUAACCAAUUUAUUCCAUAUAUCAUUGUGCAUAUAAAAUAAUGUAAUUCGAAAAUUAAUUUAGUGACGAUGCUACAAUUAAUUAUAUCAUCAAUUUUGGAAUCCCAUUCUUGGCUUAUGUCAAAAUCCAAACAAAUUUAAACCCUCAUUUUUUUCAGAUUUUGGAAAGAAUGGCAUCAUUGAAUUCAAUAUCGUGAUAUGGGAGACUGAGUAAGCUAAAUUUGGAGUAUUUUAAUGUCACAGUAUAAAUAUGGCACCAACAAUAGACGUAAGCCAAAGUCAUAGGUUUAAUGCAGACAAUAGUAAAUACUGAAUACUGAAUAUUGGAUACUGAAUGGAGGGCGGCUUUAACGCUUUCAGUGUACCAAAUUUUGAUACUAAUUGACUUGAUCUCUUCACAUGGUACAUAGGUAGUCUAGCUCGAAUGUUAUGCAGCCAUAAAAUUAAAUAAAUUAAUAUUGUAUCAUGUCCCGGAGUUCAGCACGUGACAUUAUUGUGAGGUCUAGGUACAGUCCUUAGAGUGAUAAAAACAAGGCUCCUCCAGGGAGGGCUAGUCGGAGGUGUGAAUGGACAUUUACUUCACACUCAUAGGAAAUCAGUCCAAGAAGUGGACAUGGAUGCUGGGUACUCAACACUCAUAGGAAAUCAGUCCAAGAACGAAAGCUUUCUUUUUAGUUGCUAUCCAAAAUUUUGGAAUUAUGUGUGUUGUCCAAAUGAUUAUUCUUCUUUUAUUAAAUUUCUCAGGAAAAUGAGCAUGAGGCGUAAAAGUUGAACGAAUGAAAUUUCAAUGAUCUGGAAAGGGAUUGUGAGUUUGCCACACCAUUUUUCUUUCUUUUAUGCCUUCAUGUUUAUUAGAAGAUAAAAAUAAAGAAGGAAAACUAAUGAAAAGUCCAAUUUUUUUUUAGUUUUAAUGAAAAAUGACAAAUAAAUGUGUAGUGAAUAGUACCAGAGAAAGGUAAAAAUGUGGCUUUUCGUUAGAAGUGAACAGUCCUGGGAGUGUUUCGUUAAAACUUCCAAAUAAAUAUGACUUUAUUUGGAGAAAAAAAAGUAUUUCCUUUGAAAAAAAAUCAACUAUUUAUUUAAGAGGAUGUGAAUGAUUGAUGGUGAAUACAAAGAACCACCUUAGAGGGAGACGAGACAUUUAUUAGAAGCCAAAAAAAAAGUUACAAUGAUUUAGUAAAAAAACAAGAAAACCUCAUUUUCUAAGUGGCAGUCAUUGACACGCUAUUUGACUAGAAGAAAAGUCAUAGUAUUGUAUUUACUUUCAAGCCUCUAGGGGGAACGAGAGUGCAAGUUUCCAAAUGGAAUAUGGGAUGAAAUUUCUACAUAACUCUAUCUGACAAAGAAAGAAGUCUAAGUUUCUAAGUGGUAGGGCUUCCAAUUGAUGUGAGUUUAUUGAGAAAUGAAGAUGAACAUGAAUAUUGAUAUUGAUGUGAGUUAGUGAACAAGUUGCUUCGAUCUCCUUUGGCCCUCUAAUAAGAUAAUACCGGAAAACAAGUUGUUACUAAUACAUGUAUCGGAUUGGUAGACUAAGACGUACGGUACAAUUUUUUAUAACUAGAGAAGAUGAACACUGUCACUGUCGUGACAAAAUUUAUCCAAAUAGAUCCAAAGACUUGGGAAGCUUCAUAUGCAGAUCUAAAGCUAAUUUCCUUUUUAAUCUUAUAGUCAUUACGUAAAAUGUAUAUGCAUAUUUCUAGAUGGAUACACACCAAUCUUGAAAUAGGGGAUGAAGAUUCCCGAUUUUAAUUUCGUCUAAAUAGGUGUAAUUUCACAAUUCCAACUAUAACGAGAAUCACAAAUUUAUAAGCGGAAAAAUCUUGCCAGCGUCAAACUUUCUUGAAUAAGGGUUUAGGGCGCCAAAUUUCAUGAUAAAACCUGAUAAGGGUCUAGGGCUGCAUCUUUCACUCGAUUAACUCUCCCAUCUUCGAAGGGAUUUUCGGCUCUUGCAUCAUCUCUUGCUUUUGUUCUAGGUCAACGCCUCUACUCUCUUCUUUCUUGAAUUAUAUUUUUAACUUUUCGGGUAUACUCUUUAUGCCAAUUGUGAAUUUUGCUAGUUAUUUUUAUUUUCUGAUAGUCAUAUGUUUGUGUGCUUUUUUUCUUCCGAUUGAAUUGUGUAUUGGUUGGAUCUGUUACACAAUUUUUUAGUUUUUUUAUGGAUUUUGAUGUUAGUUCCUUGUUAUAGAUAUUGUGUUUUUGAAGGUUUAACAAUAGGCAAGACUGAAUAUGAUGAUUUCGGUGUUAAUUACUUUCUCAUGGUACUAUACUAGAUUGUUCUCUCUUUGCAUUUACAUGUAACCAACUGUUCAUUGUAGAAAUGUAGUAUUUGGAAGACCUUUUUUUUUUUCUUUCUGAUUUAGUGUAUGUUUUUUGGACAAAAGAAACAUGUAGAAGAGAAAACAUGAUUGAUAACAUUGUGCAUCUUUUUUUUUUUUUUUUGACAGAAAGCGAUAGAGUGUUCCAUGGCCAAUUUGUUUUAUCUAGAGAUAGUUUGCACAAGAUGCAAACAUUUUGUAAACCCUAUACGGCUACCAUAAUAGACAACCACAAACAAGGGUCCCGAUAAAAUUGUCACAAAGACGACAAACGCGGCAAUCCUCACACUGGUACCUUGACAUAAAACCAUCGACAAUAAGACCAAAUAAAUCGCAUAAGAAAUACAAACAAAUCACCACAGUAACACAAAAUCUACUACCCUAACCUGCUCAAGGUCCUACAAACAAAAACUUAAACCUAAAGUCGAUGACAUGUCCACAUGCAUGUCCAAAGGGAAGAGACGUGGCAGGAGGCAUGGGUUGCACGACCAUGUGGGUGUGUCGGUGGCAAGGACAACAAAGGCUUGGGGCUUGGGUGGCAGAGGAGAUACCACGACACGCCAGAGCCACUGUCACAUUGUCAUCGCCGCCGCCACGAGCCCAUAGUAACCUGCAUAAAAUCGUUAGUGCUAAAAGCCGCCAAGGGUUUCCGCCGACUGGGAAAAAGAUAAGAUUUGUGAAGACGGAGGUCACAUGGAUGGCAUCAUAGCAAAAUUGAAAUCUUUUAAUCAUCCUCAGCAUUAUUCCGACAGCUAUCCACAAACUGAAGCAACGAAUUGGGCAAGUGUGCAACAAAUUUUCAAUGUGCGUCCAUUGUGAAUGAUUUACAAGGAGUGGGUUUAAUGACGUUUGUAGUUAAAGUGGGAUGCAACUUAGAGCACCAUCACUUGACUAUGUUCCUCUCAUUUUAUCUGUUCAUUUUUGCCUCAUUUGUUUUUUGGUUGCACCGCCUCAAAAACCUUGUGCGUCUACAUGUAUAUAGAACUUUUGGUUAAAACAGAGUCACAUAUCUUAUAACUAUUUAAAUUUUGUUGCAUAUCACAAUAUAUAUUUGUUCAUACAUUCAAACAUGUAUGGCAAAUACUGAGGAGGAACAUAGAAAAAAAAAUGAAAAUUAUUGUUAGUACAAUUGUAUAUGUUAUUGACAUGGUCAUGCAUUGGUAUAGUAAGAGUUUUCUCGUCGUAGAACUUUCAAAUGAUUGGAAUCAAGGAAGACAAUCUUUUCCCCAAUUAAUUAUUCUCGCCAUAUUUUUCCUUAGCGCCGUUAAGUUUCACUUAAAAAGCAAAAGAAGAAGGCUAAAAUUAAGGUGAAGAACCUGCCUCCACUAAUUUCCAUGAAGUUGCAGUAAGGACAUAAAUCACCUUCCGUGAAGUUUCAGUAAGGACUUCAAAUAUCCCAGAGAAAAGUCAGUCAAUGGUGUUUUGACAGAGUCAGUCAACGGCAAAAGACAGAAUUGUGUAUCAUAAUGCUCUCUCCCUCUCUCUCUCUCGUCAAUGGAUGACACCGUAUAAUUACUACGUAUAUAUCUCUGCUCAAUUACACAAAAGAAAAAUCCUUGCGCAUUAUUUUUGUUAUUAUUAGCUCAGAAAUGCAGAAAUUGAUCAUCUCUUACUUUUGCAUAUUGUUACUGGUUUUCUUCAAACUAGUUGGAGCAAGCCAUGCGUGCCUGGAAUCCAAGUGUGGCGAUGAUCAAGGCGCAGCUAUCCAUUUCCCAUUGCGCAUCAGCCGCAAACAUCAUUGUGGAAAUCCUGGGCUUGAAUGCAAUGUAAGAUAUGAGCAGCAAAUACUAGUAAAAUUAUUUGUCAAACACAUAGAUUACAAGAGUCAGGAAAUCCAAGUGUAUCCCCCAAGUAGCUGCCUGCUGCUAAAGUCUGUUGAAAUCCCAAACAUGCCACCCUCUCCCUUCAACGUGUCAGUCGAUGACAUGAGUAACUUGACCUUAUUCAGUUGUACUACUUCUGUUGCAAGCGAUCCAUAUCCGUAUCAAUUCCCCUGCCUCGGCGACCCUGGCCGCAUAAUUUAUGCCGUUGAUUCCAGUUCUACAUAUCUAUUGGAAGAUCUCUUCCAGAAAGUACAAUCUUGUUCAAAGAUGUAUGAUGUUUUAUCAGUUCCAUUCGGUUCUUGGGUAGGCGGUUAUAAUGUUCGUUUCAAAUGGUCUGAACCAAAUUGCACAGUAUGUGAAGCACAGGGAAAGAGGUGUAGGUGGAAGAACGAUGGCACAAAUAGUGAAAUUAAAUGUCUUGACUGGAAGAAACCAAGUAAGGAUAACAUAUAUAUUCAUUGCUAGUUUUAAACAUCUUUACAUUUACGUCUUAGUAAUUAUUAUUUAAAAUAUGUUGUCCAAUCCAUUUUUACUAGGAAUAUUACCUGACAGUCUCGUUUAAAUUUGCAAUGAUCUUCUACAGGCAACACAUGGAAAAAAGUGGUUACAGGUGGAAUCCUGGGUGCUUUGCUUCUUGUUCUACUGAUGAUUGCAGCAUAUCGGGUACAUAGCGCUGAUAGAAAGGAGAAAGAGAGUCGAUUAAGAAUUGAAAGAUUCUUGGAGGAUUACAAAGCACUCAAACCAACCAGGUAUUCGUACGCAGAUAUUAAGAGGAUUACAAAUCAAUUCAAGGACAAGUUGGGCGAAGGAGCCUAUGGAACUGUCUUCAAAGGAAUGCUCUCUUCCGAAUUCUUUAUUGCUGUCAAAGUCCUCAACAGUUCCAAGGGAGAUGGGGAAGAGUUCGUAAAUGAAGUGCGAACGAUGGGUCAUAUCCACCACGUCAACGUGGCUCGCUUGGUUGGAUUUUGUGCUGAUGGAUUUGCACGAGCUCUUGUUUACGAGUUCUUCCCCAAUGGUUCCCUGCAGGAUUUCAUUUCAUCUGCAGAUAGUAAGAAUUCAUUUCUUGGUUGGGAUAAGUUGCAAGAUAUUGCCCUAGGCAUAGCCAAAGGAAUUGAAUAUCUUCACCAGGGAUGCGAUCUACGAAUCCUGCAUUUCGACAUCAAACCCCAUAAUGUUUUGCUAGACCAAAACUUCACUCCAAAAAUUUCUGAUUUUGGUAUGGCCAAGUUAUGUUCCAAGGAUCAAAGCUUGGUGUCCAUGACUACAGCUAGGGGGACCAUGGGCUACAUUGCACCUGAAGUGUUUUCCAGGAAUUUCGGAAAUGUGUCUUACAAGGCAGAUGUCUAUAGCUUUGGAAUGCUGCUGCUUGAGAUGGUAGGAGGAAGGAAGAAUAUUGGUUCAAUCACGGAUAACACUACAAAUGAAAUUUACUAUCCACAGUGGAUUUAUAAUCUUCUAGAGGAAGGGGAUGACCUACAAAUCCACAUUGGGGAAGAAGGAGAUGGUAAAAUUCCAAAGAAACUUGCAAUUAUAGGGCUAUGGUGUAUCCAGUGGCACCCGUCGGAUCGUCCUUCCAUGAAAAUAGCGGUUCAGAUGUUAGAAGGAGGAGGAGAAAGCUUGAGUAUGCCGCCUAAUCCCUUUGUGCCUACUGGUCCUACAACUAGAAAUGCAAGACGCCUAGAGCUAGAAGCUAUUGCUGAAUUAGAGUAAAAUGUAUAUGCAGAUAUGUAGACGUAUAGAUAUAGUAAUAUUUACAUUGAAUAAGAGGCCGUUUGAUAACCAUUUCGUUUUCAGCUUUUAAUUUUUAUUUUGCACUUUUUUGAAAACUGAAAACUAAAAUCUUGUUUGGUAAAUACUUUUAGUUUAAGAAAAAAUGAAGACUGAGAACUAAAAAGUGAAAGCUCAAAGGAAGUAGAUUAAAAGUAGUUACCAAACAAACCGGAAUCUCAAUAAUAAAAAAUGAUUGAAUUGCACAACGCAAUCCAAACCAAUCAAAACAUUAAAAUAGCAAAAAAAAUUAAAAUUCUAGUUGAUUAGAUUAUGAACAUAGUAAAAAUGAACAGAUCCGAUGAAAAAACAAAAAAAAUUCUCAGAUAAAAAUAGGGAUAAAGUAAAAUAUUUAUAAAUAGCUCCUUGUCUCUUAUGUCAUCAAUUAUUUCUAUAGUAUAUACAAGUUUUUGGAAAAAUUAGGUUCCCAUCCCUUAUUUUCAUAUUACAUUGAUUGAAAUCUUAUUAUUUUUCUAUUUUAGAUCAAGGUCCCUUGACUUAUUCCAUGUCAUCAUUUUAGUAUUUAAAAUAUUACACGUCAUCAUAAACGAAAUCUCAUCCCCUUUCUGCAUUUAAGGCAAAAUAAACUAUAUGAGUAAGUUUAAAACAAGGAAAAUCCAUUUGAACUCCUCCAUUCUUCUUCUUCCCUUAUGCACAUCUGGAAUCUACAACACCCCAAACCCAAUUUUCUCCAUUUUUUCUCCAUUCCUGAAUUGAUCCAAUGCAUAUAUGUUGAAUAAACCUAUUGUGAUUAAAAUACAAAUUAGCAUCAAUGGUUUUAUCGGCUUGUGAGAUUUGUGUGGCAUAGGCAAGGCAAUGCAUGCAUCGCUUUCUCAAGGAAUCUGGUUGAUUCAAACAUGCAGAGACUGUAGAGUGAGCGGGCUAUGUAAAAACUGUACCAUUCUGAAGUCAUUUUCUUUUGUUCUUUAUAUUUUUUUUCUUUUUCUUUUAUUAUUAUAUAUUAGUCUUGAUUAUUCAAUGUCUGGUUGGCUACACUUAUGUCCAUGGGUACAUUUUUAAUCAACAUGGUUCGUUCUAAUAUAUCUAUUGCUAUAAUAUGUUUUGGUUGGUUCAAAUUUGUUUUACAUAAAUAUAUGGGUACAAAGUUUUUGGAGAAUAUUAUGUAAAAUGGUUUUUAAGGUUGCUGCAUUUUAUGUACCCACAUAUGCAUGUCUAUAAAUGACACACCCCGUCCCGAAGGAGGGCAUGCUGGCCGUCACGUGAGAGUGACGUAACCAUUUGCACAGUACGGAAGCUUUAAGAUACAAUUUAUAAGUUGAUACACCCGAAUGUGAGUCCUAAUUUUGUCCAAUCUGUCAGAACACCGUCAAAUUCCUCGUAGUCACCACACCUUUGUGAUUCCUGAACCUGGAGGGGCGCAAAACCAAAAUUGAGUGGGUCAGUAAAACAAUUCUUUUCCAAAUCCAAACAUUUCUCAAAACGUUGUAACCCCAAUCCGUAAAACUUGUAUAUUUUCCCAGAAAUGUAAAAUAUAAAUAUACAUAUAUAUUCUCAAUACUUCAAUUCAUUAACUCAACAUUUUUCAGUACAAUUAUGCCAUGCCAUGUCUAAUUCAACAGUUAAGUAUGGAUGCAUCAACAAUAAUCAUAUCAGGUGCAAGAAAGUAAUCAACCGGAGGCCCUCUAAUAGCCAUGUACGGUUGAACCUAGAGCUCAAAAUCUAUCACUCUCACUCUACCGGAGUCACCUCUGUGACCUGUCCGGCCUUCUGCACACAAGUUACGCUCUAGUGCUUUCUCAUCAAUCAUCUGUGCACAUAAUCUAAGGUCACCCACCAGUCGAAAUCUCACUAACACUCUUCGACUGGCCCGUCGCACCCACUCCGCGUGGACUGUGCGACCAGCAUCUACUUGGAUCCAAGGCGAGCGUGCGAUGCGGUGAAUACUAUAAGCACUAAACCAUGGUGCAGGAUUUGAGCUCAAUAUACAUCAACAUCAUCAUAAUAGUAAUUAAAUACUCACCUGAUACUCACCUGUGCGUCCGCCGCACCAAUUCAUAUAUAUGCAUCAUAUAUCAAUUCAUAUCAUUUCAUACAUGGCAAUUCAAUUCACGUUUUUCAUAUAGUUCUAUAUACUUUUCACAUAUUUCUAUUUAAAGCAUAAUUUCAUGCUUUUUCAAUUUCUGGGAAAACGGCAAGUAUAUAUAUAUACGGAAAACAAAACUGCCCACUCACCUGGAGUUCGCCCUACAACUCCCUAGCACAAUACGCCAAGGCGUCAUGACGAUCGGCGCCUAAAACAAUAAUCAAUUCCAACCUUAGAAUUCAUAUCGAUAGAAUAUAUAACUUAUAUAAAAUACGUCACUGCGUAGUUCGAUCCGGAAGAUCCACCACUCAGAUUUUAAAUCCAUAACUUCCAGAGGUCCACAAUAUAUCUCUAGGAUAACAUCCUAAAAUUUCAUUACCAUCCAACGGUCGGAUCUCCGUCAAUUUCCAAAACUAAGUGACGGUUAACAUUUUAUUUUAUGAACUUACAACUCCAAUUCCUGAAGAUCCGUAAAUCGGAUUCCCAAUCCGAAAGUUCCAAUAAUCCUCAAAUAUUACGUAUUACUACGUAUCAAAGUUUAGUGACGAUCUAACGGUCGGAUCGUCAAUUCACGUUUUCACCUAAAUGUGAAAACUAUAAAACGUUAUUCGAACAUCUAACCAACAAUCCUUAAUAACUUUCUCAUACGGUGCUCAAUUUGGGUAUAUGAAUAUACCACGGUGAUCUACUCGACGUCACGGACGUCGACAUAUUUUUAAAAUAAUUUUAUUUUAUUUUAUUUUUUUUACUGUAGCACCUUCUUCUUCCUUGGGUCGCCGGACUGGUUUUUCCAGCGGCCGUUUUCUGGGCAGUUUUUCAAAUUGCCAUAACUUUGUCAUUUCUCAACGAAAUCAAGUGAUUCAAAAACGAAAGUUGUAGCCCUUGAAGAGACAAAGAGAAUGGUACCUUACAAAACACCUAGUUCUCCGUGGUUUGGCCGGAAACUGCCUCGAAAGCCUCGGAGGUCGCCGGAAACUGGGUAUUUUUCAAAUGAGUAUAACUUCUUCAAUACUCAACGAAAUUGAGUGAAACAAAAAGGAAAGUUGUAGUAAUUGACGAGAUGAAGAGAUUGAUACCUACCUCGACUCCUAACUCGCCGGGGAUUCGCCGGAAAAAGCCUCGAAAGCUCCGGCCAAACUUUGAACUUGUCGAUCUCCGUGUUCUUACGUCCAAAAACUUCCAACGAAGCACUCCGAGCUUCCUUGGGACCUCACUAAGCUCACUAUGAGCUUGGAUUGUCCUAAAACAAAGUCAAUUCGAAAAUCAUGAACAGUGCACUUUCACGGGGAGUUUAGAAUCUAGGUUUUCCGAAGUAAAACUUACCUGAAAUUGGUGUCUACGUGAUCGUGGAGUCUCCAGGAGUUCGAUGGUGGUCUUAACUCCGUCGUUGGUGGAAGUUUAAGGUUGUUUUGCGGUUGGUUUGUUCGAACGGAGAAGAAGAGUGACAGAGAGAGAGAGAUUCGUGAGGGAGGAGAGAGAGAGACAGUAUGCAGAAAAUAGGGAGAGGAUUGAGGGGUGUGGGGAUCCCAUGUGGUCCUUUUCCAAUCCCCAACUCCAAACCACAAAAUUUUAACCUAAAAAUCUAAGUUCCAUCCUUAAUAAAUUCCAUUUUAUUUUCAAAACUUAGGAACCUAGAUAAUUAUCAACUUGAGCUUCACAUACUUAGUAUUUCUUAAGGGCAAUUUCGUCCAUUCACAGCCACGAAUGUAAUAUUUUUGGAACGGGCUGUGACAAUCUUCCCUCCUUAUAGAAUUUCGUCCCCGAAAUUCCAGCAACCAACUAAAUCAACCAUACUUCAACAAUAGCUUCGGGUAAAUCUCUCUCAUCCGAUUCUCUUUCUCCCACAUAAUUUUCUACUGAAUGAUUUCCUUCACAAAGCUUUUACCACUUACUCUGUCUUAAUUCUCAAGACUUUCUUUUUCCAAUCUAAAGUCGUCCUUGGUUCCUUAUCAAGUCGAAUCCAAUUUAAUUCUCAAUAGUUGCACCAGAAUCUCAUGUGACGAAUCUGCCACCUAGUGACAACGUAUCGAACCCAAAAUACAUUAAGUAUCUUAGCCAACUCUGAAGACAUCACCACAUGUAUGCAACUUUAUUGAUUCCUUUAGUGAUCAAAACGGACUGAUGUGUUCAAGACUUAUCUUGUCUUCCUUUCUGAAUCUUACUAUUUCUGUUCAUGGUGAAAUUUCCAAAAAUAUCAAACCAUUUACCUUACACACUCGAUUAGUGGCAUAUCCAUCUGUUAGUCUCUUUUGCCAUUCCUGGUUACUUCAGGUUAACUUAAUCACCUGAAUACUUUGAGGAGACUCAUCCAAAAUUUCGGGUCCACCAAAAUUCUUUUGUGAUCGAAUCUUUCUCUACCCAGAAGCAUUCCAUCCACAAUUCAGCAAAAAUCGACACACAUGACACGCUUCAUGGACAUUAUGGCGUUACUUUGAAAACUGGCGAAACCAACAUACUUAAGAAACUCAGCAGUCCCGUAACCCAAUUCUCUUUUCCAUAAAACAAAUAAGUACUGUUGCACUGUCUGGGAAAGGUUGUUACUCAACACUGGAGUAAAUAUACUAACUUGUUACGUUGCCCAACCAUCACUUCACAUUCAAUCGUAACCAUCUUGUAUACAAGGAAACUUGUACACAUAGUCCAAAGUAAUAUCUUUCCAUUUCUGUUUAGAAACAGAAAAUAGCUGUCUCAAUCCAAAGGUUUAUCUCUUUCCGCCUCAAUCUGCUGAUCAAAUAAACUGUCGAGUGGUAUGAUAAAUCUUAUUACUUUUGGAAUAUUGCAGAAGUUGAACAGUGAACUUUGUCCAAUAUUUGCUUGCUUCAAAUCCUCAGCAUUAGGCACAUACUUUUGGUUUUCUUGUAUCCACAUACCAUUUGAUUCACGAAUCAUGUAUUCAUUCUUUUUCCCUUCUUUCUCUACCUUGGUUAAUUCUUAAAUUUCCUCGUCAAACAUUUAAGUUUCGAGUACGACCUUACCAAACAGGCCUAACUUGAAAUUUAACAAGUAUAACUUCUUCUCGAUCUUUCAUUCUUAACUUUACUUUAGUUGGUUUCCAAUCCACAAGAAGAUAAUCAUGGCAAGCGUACCAGAUAUUAAUUAUUACUGCAGUCUUCUUAUCAAGUGCUUCAGUUACAACAAUUCACAAUCACCCUGAUCGUACAAUCAUAAUCACUAAGUAAUUCAAUCCACCUUUGUUGCCUCAUAUCACAAUCCUUCCAAGUAAACAAAUAUUGGAGACUCUUUUGAUUUGUAAAAUCUUGUAUUCUUAUCAACAUAUAAUGUCUCCAUAACUUCACAGCAAGGAUGAUAAUCGUGACUUCCAAAUCACCAGUAGGGUAAUUCAUCUUAUGAGGUUCCAUUUAUCGUGAAACGUAUGCAAUCACCCUAACAUUUGCAUCAACAUGCCUCCAAUACCAUUCAAGAAACAUCACUAAAAAUUUAUGAUUACCACUAUUCUCUGGGAAUACCAAAAUACGUGCAUGAGUGAGGAAAUACUUCAGUUGUUGAAUCCUUUGCUCACAAUUUCCUUCCCACUCAUACAUAACCUCUUUUCUCAACAGUCUCGUCAAUGACAAAGCAAUGACUAAAAACUCUUUCACAACCAUCCAAGAUAGUCUGGUAAGUUAAGAAUUUCCGAAUCUCAAUUAUGGCUUGUGGUUGUUCCAAUUUCUCAAUUCUGCUGCCUUUUAAGAAUUCAUUUGAAUACCUUAAGCAGAUAUAACCAAUCUCAUAAUGCCACUUGAUUCAUCCAACAUUCGCAUUUGCUAAACUUAGCAUACAACCAACGUUCUUUCAAUCUUUGCUUCAUCGACUUAAUACGUUUACAUGCUCUGCUCUGGCUCAGAAUGUACCAGAAUAUCGUCAAUGAAAAUGAUAUCAAUUAUCAAGGCAUUAUUGGAAUACUUCAUCCAUCAACUCAUAAAACCGCAUGAGUAUCCACAUAGCAUCACCAAACCUCAUAAGGACCAUAACAAGUCCAGAAAACCAUCUUAUGAUCAACGUCAUUCAUAAUCUUUAAUUGGUAAUAACCAGACUUCAAGUCAAUCUUUGAAAAUAUACAAGCACCUUUGAACUGAUCAAAUGAGCGUCAAUACACCACAAUGGAUAACGGUUCUCAUUCGUUACCCGACUCCAUUGUCUAUAAUCAAUGAACAGUCUCAAGAUCCAUUUUCUUCCUCACCAACAAACUGGGGCUCCUCAAAAGUGUUGUACUAGGUUGAAUAAAACUUUUAUCAACCAAUUCUUUCAACUAAAUUUCCAAUUCCCUUAACUCAUCAUGAACCAAUCUCCAAUAUAAAUUUAUACCUGGCAACAAAUCAAUAAUGAACCUCAUAUCUCUGCCUGAAGACAAUCCAGGUAUACUUUCAGGGGAGACAUCAAGAAAAGUCUAACCCUUUUGACAUUAUUCACACUACUCCAAACAACAUCAUUUAGCACCCCAUGAGCUAAGUAUUUUUAACAGCCUUUCGAAAACAAUCUCUUUGCUCUCACAGCAUUAAUAACGGCCUGACUCAAUCCACCUUGCAUACUUACAAAAGUAAUCUCUGGUCAUCCAGAUCGAUGGAAAGUACUGGUUUCCCGUAACAUUCCGUCUUGUCACAAUUAUAACCAACCGAUCUAAUGGAACAGAAUUAACUGAUACAAUAUAUAUUCUAUUAUUAUUAAGCAUUCUAAAUAAGUACAAUACUAACAUAAAAUAAUCUACCGGGUUGCUUGCUUAACGAAUCCACGAAUGAGUUAUUAAUAUUACGGUCUGCAGCCCGCAAUACUGAUAAAUCAUCGUUGUCUCGAUAAGUAGGCAACCACUCUCAAAGAUAUAACAUUACUAUUUUGUCACUCAAUGCAAAAUACAUACACUUGUCUCAACUACAUUUAUUUACUACUCUCUAGGUAAUAACAUACAUAAUAAGAAAUAUAUCAGUCGAAGUCAACUAGAAUGACCAAUACGGCUGAUUCAACUCUUAUCUCAAUAAUACGUCGGCCGGAUCCACUCCGCGUGGUCGGUACGGCCGAGCCUAUAACUCAUCCAACCUCUCUGUACUCACGGUCAAUCCGACCAAACUACUAAGUCCAUAACUCUGCUGAAUCGACACUAUGAUAUCAUGGAAAAUUAUUGAGUACAACUGAUUCUAGGGACGAUUCACAAUUCUGUGUCCCCUCUGUUCACAUAAACACAUUCAUUAAUUUCACACUUCCCAAAGUGUUAAUUUUGUACCUGCUGCACAAGGUACAUUUCCUUUACUCGAGACACCUUGUCUCAAAUAUCUGGGAUUACCAGUAUAUCCAUCACUUUUACUCUGACCAGCAACAUUAAAACCUCAGCUGGAAGAAUUAACUCUAGCUUCACUUCUUUCGAAGCUCUGAAUCUUUCUAUAUCUUUGAUAUGACGAAUCAUUAACUUUAUCGUCUUCUUUUAAUUCCCAUUCAUUUCUUAUUCUUCUUUAUUCUCGUUGCUCAUGUUCUCAGAGUCCUCAAGACUCAACAGCAUCUCGUAUAUUCCUGGUAAGAAGUACAAUGGAUAGUGGUCACCCAAAAUACCACUUCCCUUUUGCCACCCAGCUUAAAACAACAUAACACCUCCACCAAAUUAGCAGCAAUAUCCGAAUGGAAACGAGGCUAGUCUGAAAACUUUCUAUAAUAUUCAUUUAUCGUCAACUUCCUUGAUUCACAUUUGCAAAAUCUUGCUUACUACCAACGAUAAAUGCCGGAGGGAUAAACUUUUCCUUAAAUAAGUCCUUAAACAAUUUUAAAUCGGCUACUUCCUCUGAUGACAACAAUCAAUACUCCUGCUUCCAUCAGGAUACACGUUCAUAACUCAAACCAGGUAGUCGUCUCGACCCACCUGUCAGAAGGAAAUUUCCUUUGACUUGCAUAAUCUGAAACAUCUUUUCCAAUUGGUUAAUCCGUUACUUCGCUCCCUCAGGUUCAUCAUUCCAUAAGGUGAUUCAAAUUCGACUCAUAACCUGUCUUAAAAUGUCCCUUUUUAUAAUAGACUGAAUCACCAUAAUAAUAGUUUCCCCUAAACCGCUAUAUUAGGGAGACUAAAUUCCUCUAACUAAGUGGCUUGCUACGAGGCGGUGUAGUUCUGACAGAAUUCACUAGAACUUCUCAAAAUGUCCAAGAUUGCAACCAUGCUCUGAUACCAACUGACACACCCCGUCCCGAAGGAGGGCAUGCUGGCCGUCACGUGAGAGUGACGUAACCAUUUGCACAGUACGGAAGCUUUAAGAUACAAUUUAUAAGUUGAUACACCCGAAGGUGAGUCCUAAUUUUGUCCAAUCUGUCAGAACACCGUCAAAUUCCUCGUAGUCACCACACCUUUGUGAUUCCUGAACCUGGAGGGGCGCAAAACCAAAAUUGAGUGGGUCAGUAAAACAAUUCUUUUCCAAAUCCAAACAUUUCUCAAAACGUUGUAACAAUAAAAACCAGUCCGGCGACCCAAGGAAGAAGAAGGUGCUACAGUAAAAAAAAUAAAAUAAAAUAAAAUUAUUUUAAAAAUAUGUCGACGUCCGCGACGUCGAGUAGAUCACCGUGGUAUAUUCAUAUACCCAAAUUGAGCACCGUAUGAGAAAGUUAUUAAGGAUUGUUGGUUAGGUGUUCGAAUAACGUUUUAUAGUUUUCACAUUUAGGUGAAAAUGUGAAUUGACGAUCCGACCGUUAGAUCGUCACUAAACUUUGAUACGUAGUAAUACGUAAUAUUUGAGGAUUAUUGGAACUUUCGGAUUGGGAAUCCGAUUUACGGAUCUUCCGGAAUUGGAGUUGUAAGUCCAUAAAAUAAAAUGUUAACCGUCACUUAGUUUUGGAAAUUGACGGAGAUCCGACCGUUGGAUGGUAAUGAAAUUUUAGGAUGUUAUCCUAGAGAUAUAUUGUGGACCUCUGGAAGUUAUGGAUUUAAAAUCUGAGUGGUGGAUCUUCCGGAUCGAACUACGCAGUGACGUAUUUUAUAUAAGUUAUAUAUUUCUAUCGAUAUGAAUUCUAAGGUUGGAAUUGAUUAUUGUUUUAGGCGCCGAUCGUCAUGACGCCUUGGCGUAUUGUGCUAGGGAGUUGUAGGGCGAACUCCAGGUGAGUGGGCAGUUUUGUUUUCCGUAUAUAUAUAUACUUGCCGUUUUCCCAGAAAUUGAAAAAGCAUGAAAUUAUGCUUUAAAUAGAAAUAUAUGUGAAAAGUAUAUAGAACUAUAUGAAAAACGUGAAUUGAAUUGCCAUGUAUGAAAUGAUAUGAAUUGAUAUAUGAUGCAUAUAUAUGAAUUGGUGCGGCGGACGCACAGGUGAGUAUCAGGUGAGUAUUUAAUUACUAUUAUGAUGAUGUUGAUGUAUAUUGAGCUCAAAUCCUGCACCAUGGUUUAGUGCUUAUAGUAUUCACCGCAUCGCACGCUCGCCUUGGAUCCAAGUAGAUGCUGGUCGCACAGUCCACGCGGAGUGGGUGCGACGGGCCAGUCGAAGAGUGUUAGUGAGAUUUCGACUGGUGGGUGACCUUAGAUUAUGUGCACAGAUGAUUGAUGAGAAAGCACUAGAGCGUAACUUGUGUGCAGAAGGCCGGACAGGUCACAGAGGUGACUCCGGUACUAUUUUGACCAUUCUAUUUAACUUGUGUUUCAUUUAUUUUAACCAUUCUAUUUAAAGUUUAUCCCAAGUAAUCUAAUUAAGACUAGAGUCGAAAGUGAUGCAUUUAGUAAUUGCUUACACUUGUGAAUAUGAGUUGAUUGAGGUGGUGGUGGUUUCUUGUAUUAAUAAUUCUAUUUAAACUCAUACCCUCCCACACCAUCAGAUCCAAGUACUAUUUUGAUAAACUUUAAAUAGAAUGGUUAAAAUAAAUGAAACACUUUUAGAAAAUAAGUGAAGAUGUUGUUUACAAAUAUAGAUGCAUUUGUAUAUAAAAGCUUUGGCGGUUGAUCCGUAUACACUUCCAGAGAUAUAAGCAAGUUCAUUGGAUUAUACAUACAUAGUUAAUGUAUUACAGUAUAAUUAAUAAGAAAACAAUUGCAUCCCUUUCAGAUUAUAUAUAUAUAUAUAUAUAUAGACACACACACGCACACAUACAUACACACAGGCCCUUUAUGCAAAGGAAUUUUCAAUUUUUUUUUUAAAUGGGGAUUAGUUGUGGGGCCCACGCUGCAUUGAACUUUAACGAUCCGAACAGUCUAUUUUGUAAUUCUCGAUUCAUAGAUCAUCCUUGUAAAAAUUCAAUUCAAUCCGAACCUAUUUGCCUAUUUAAUUAUCAAGAUAAAAUUUUAUUGUUUCUUAUAUAACAAAGUAUUCGUUAAUUUCUUUGAACUCAAUUAGAUAUCUUAAACAUUUCCGAUUUGGUUAAUAUUGUGUAAGGAUGAUCUAUGUGGUGCAACUUGAAAAAUAGACGAUUACGAUCGUUAAAGUUCGAUGUGGUGAGAACCCUACAAUUAAUCUUCAUUUUUAUAAAAGAAUGGGAACCCCUUCCCUUAAAGGUUUCCUAUGUAUAUAUUUGUUCUCCAGACAUAUGCAAAAGGUAAUGUAAAACCAAUGAGAACUUAAAUAGAUAUUCCAUACAUAGGACAAUUCCAUAUAUGCUUUUUCAACAUUGAUAUCGAAAAGCCAAAUUGUUUUGAGGAAAUUAAUUGUAGCAAUGAUCCCUUAACUUUUAUCUUAUUGGAGCAAUGGUCUCUCAACUAAAAAUUCAUGACCAUUGGUUCCUUAACUCCACACAACGUGUAGUUAUGGUCAUUUUCAUUAACCCCGUCAGAACUUUUGUUAAAACAAGUAAUGUUAGAAGAAUCAUUGCUACAAUUAGGUUAAAGUUGGGGACCAUUGCUCUAAUUAAAUUAAAAUUGAGGGAUCAUUUCUCCAAAUUGCUUAAAGUUCAAUGACCAUUUCUACAAUUUUCUCAUCUAGUUUCCCAUAUUUACCCCAUGAUUCAGCUUCACAUGCAUUGCACAUGACUCAUUUUGACAAAAAUUUUAACGAAAUUGACGAAAAUGACCAUAAAUACACGUUUUGAAUAGUUAAGAGACCAAUGGUCGUGGAUUUUAGUUGAGGGAUCAUUGCUCCAAUUUGGUUAAAGUUGAGGGACCAUUGCUACUUUUUUCUCAAAUGUUUCGUAUGCGAAAAUAGGCAUUUGUAAAGUUUGGCUUGUUCAUGGCAUUAUUACUUUAGUCUAAAGUAAGGCUGGAAAUGGCACUGUAGAAAUGAAUAGUGUUCCAAUCUGAAUUUCAGUUUAAUUACAACAAUGCCAUUGCUCUUUGUGUUGCCUUUAGGUGAGCAGCCCAGCUUGCAGCCAGGCCCAAAUGUAUUGGUUUUAGCUGAGAAGCUCGGCCCUUGGUCAUGCCCAAAAUUUUAAAUUACAGUUUUGCCCAUACAAAAUAACAAUCCGAUUGUAUCGGGAAGGACAAUUUUGUCCUUUCAGUUUUGGGUGAGAUAGGGGGUAACAGGGUAAGUUUCAUUUGCUGUCGUUGAAUGAGGGUUUCGGGGAUGAGGGCUCUGUGUGUGUGUGGGUGAGAGAGAGAGAGAGAGAGAUGGCGAUGGAAGGAGAGUGAGGGGGAAGGGAAGGGUUCUCGGCACUAUUGUUGCAUGUGGAUUUCACAAGUGGGAGAGUGGGUAUGGUCAGAGAAGACCAUAUAGGUCGUUGGGAUUUCAGGGAAACGGGGUAGGGGUCAUGAAUGAACCCUGCUGAGAGUGGGUACCGGAUCUUGCGCUGCAUGCCUCAAAUCAAAGAUAAGUUCGUUUUUUUUAUUGUAUUUUUAUGGUAGCUUAGCUUUUGGAAUUGUUUAGUAUGUUAGGUCCGAUUUUGGGGGAUUUAUCUUUUUAGAGAGAGAGAUAGACAGGGAGAUAGAGAGAGAGGGAGAGGGAGAGAGAGAGAGAGAGAGAGGAGGAAGCAUGACUGUGUGCAAUUUUUGGUGUUAAUUAAUGGGUUGGUGCGCAGGGUGAGUGACAGAGUGACAGAGUGAAGGAGGGACGUGUGGGAGGGUAUGAGUUUUCAGUUCUUUCUUUUGAUUCAACAGGUUAUACACUGUUUGAAAAACUUUUUUUUUAUUAUUUUGUUCUCGUUUGCUUUGUUCAAACCAUCAUUUGAAUUUUUGGGUUUCACUGUGCUCAUUUCUCUGCUUCUUCAUAAUUUGCUGGUGUUUGCUUCUCAUCCCUCUGUUGGUAGAUCUUUUUCUCAUUUCUUGGUUCCUUAUGUAUUCUUUUGUACAAAUCUGUUUACUUUUUUGCUGUGUGAUAAUCUUAGCAGGUGAACUAUAUGAACGUUUUUUUUGAAACGAGUUAAGAAGAUCCAGCUGAAAAUAGCAUACAAGAUAGAGAACUGGUAUGCUGCUCGCCAGGGAAAGGCUGCUGGAGAGGCCGAGACAGAUGCCUCCUUCAGAAACCAGGUCAGUUUCCUGCUGCUCGGCGUCUUAAUGUAUCCAAAUUGUUUAUCUUUUGAUGAAAUUAGCUGGCUUUAUUUUCUAUUUUAUUUAUCUGCAUAUUAUUUUGGUUUGUUGAAAUUUUGACUAUAGUCAUUGUCACAUGGGCGCCCAGCCCAACCCAAAUUAGUUGAGGAUAUUUAAAUCUUCACCAUGGUAUUAUAGUACUCACUCACAGUUGUGAAUACUAAGGUGCAGGCAUGGCAUGAAGAAGUGGACCGUGCACGCCAAUGUCAGAGGGAUGCAGAGGGCAAGCUUUUUUCUUUGGAGGUAAGUAUCCUUUGUUUAUUGCCCAACAGUGUUGUUAUUAUCAAUUUGUAGCUUUGCGUUCUGAAUUUUUUGCUUUGUCAAACAACCUUCUUGAAAUGCUCGAUUUCAAGCCGAAGUCCAAAAAAUGAGAGUUGAGAUGGCUUCCAUGAAAAGGGAUGUAGAGCAUUACUCGCGCCAAGUGAAAUCUGCUUCCUCUCUUUUCGUAUAUCUUCAUAUGAAGAGUUUUACUAAGUUAUAUUGAGAACUAUGUUAUUUAUAGGUUAUAUUUUCCAUUUUGCAGGAACACAUGGAGCUAAGGAAGAGCUAUCGUGAACUCACUGAUCUACUGGUAAUGUCACUCAAACUGCUUUAUUUGUGCAUGCUGCUACUAUGCGCUUGAAUGCAUUUUAUUACUGGCGGGAUGCAAGAAAGCUAGAUAUAUGUGCUGGAUCGCUUGAUUAGUGUUAGGGUUUUAACAACUAAUUGUUAGCAGCUAGAAGCUCUGGUUAGAUGAAUGCUAAUUUGAUUUUCCUUACAGUACUUGAGUGCCAGUUUCAUAUUGUUUGUUCCCUGCUGGAUACCUGUUGUACAGUUUCAUUUCUGUUUCUUUAUAACUUUCUUGGCCCUGGGAUAUAUGCAUAUUGAGUACAAUGAAUAUCCAUUGUUCUCUAACUGUUGGGCUUUACUAUCUUUGUAGCAGCCUGCCUAACAUUUUUUAGGCUCUACACUCUACCAUCCAAUUUAUGAAAAAUUCAAAGAUUGAACGGUAUUGAUUGCAGAAAUGAAAAAAAUACUAUGAUAUUAGAAAGGUGAAUGUAAUUGUGUUAGAAGAAGCGUCUAGCAUGAUGGGUAAUAUUUUAAGUUUGUAUUUCUAAAAUUUUUUCGUUCUGGAGUAUGAUUUACCUCAAUUGUUUUGUACUUUAAUCUUUACUAAUUUUCAUUGUGGAGUAUGAUUUGCCUCAACUAACAACUUUUCAUUGUUUAACUUUUUCCUCCCUUAGAUAGUUGCAUAUGUUUGAUUUGUUAAUCUGCUUCUUACACAUGUUGUUUCCUAAUGGUGUAGGUGGGUUGCCGGAUGCAUGUGCAGAUUACUUGAAUAGACGAAGCUAAGAAUGACUUAGUAUUAAGUGAGAAAGAAGCUUGGGUCAGUUGGAUUUUGAUAUUUGAUUUAUUCAUGUUUUUUGUUGCUUGCAAUGUUCUCGCAUUGUUGUUCUGAGAUUCUGUGAUCUUAUUUUUCAUAGGAACUGACAUUGGUUUGCCAUAUAAUGUUUCAUGAACUAAUACAACAACUAAUCACCUUGCUUAGCUCUCAAGACACAUACUUAAUAGGUUAACAAACACUAACCUAUAAACUGAUCUGCUAAGCUGGACCAUUAACCUCUGUUUAUAUCCCUGCCACUCAUCUUUUGGCACUUAUCAAUAGCAAAAUUUAGAGUUACUGAAACCCCAAUUUUAAUGAAUAUUAUUUUUAGUUGAUAAUUAAAAUUAAUUGAUGAUUAAUCUAUUCCAUUGUGCAUUAUUUUAUCGCCAAAUACUUUGAAUAUUCAUUAGCAAAAGAUAUAGGGUUCACUAUUUAAUGAAUAGAAUUUUGAUGGUGGAUUGCAUUUCCUGAGUUAUAAAUGUGGUGAAUCCAUUAUUUACUAGCUGAAUAAUCAUAAUGUUUUGGCCACUUACCUUGAAUUUUGUUCAAAUUGAAGAAGUCACAUGUUUCUUUCUGUUGUUGAGGUAAUCUCUCUGUUGAAAGCUUCUAUUUCUUUUUUCUUUUUCUCUUUUUCAUUUGGGUAGAUUUUUUUUUUAUGGAUUUAUGUAUUUUUUUUCAGAGAAUUCGAAAUGAAAUAAGAAUAGCGGAUUGAGCAUAAACAAAUUGAUGAAAUUUUUAUUUGAGUGUUUGUGUUGGUCCUUUUUUGAUUUGUUGAGGUUUGGAAUUAUUUGAGUUUUUUUUGCUGUUAGUACUGUGAAGGAUGCUUGGCAAUCGCGAAAUGGGGGCUACCUCUUUGGAAAGAGAAGUCUCGCUAUCCAACCUCUCAUGAAUUACAAACAGGGUGCUUUCUUGCUGAAAAACCACUAAACCAGUAGAACUUUCCUCGGUUCUUCAAUUCGAUUCGAAUAAUUUUUUUACCCAGAAAGCCAGCGUUUCCUGGUGGGUUUUACAGCUUUCUCAAUGUUUUUGUGAUUUUGGAUUUGCAAAUUUGUUUUCUGUUCAAAUUUCCUUUUGUGAUUUUGGAGGUUUUGUUUAUCGAUUCUCUCACUCAUCUCUCAGCUCUCUCUCACUUUUGAGGUACAUGCCGUUGGAUUCCAUUUGCUGCUGCUGAUCUGCAGGUAAAGCUUCAAUUACCAUAUAAAGUUUACAUUUUUCAUGAUUUCUUGAAUUUGGGUUUUAAACAAAGGAAAUAUUGCUAGAUUCUUAUCUUAUGUGCAAAUUACUGGCUAUUUGGAUUGAUGCUUGAGAUUUAGAGAAUGCCUCGAAGCUUUAAUUUCUUUUUCCUUCAUUAUUACUGUUUUCAAAAUUUUUAUUGCUGGGUAUUGAUAAUUUGUAGUAUGUGAGGGCUUCAAUAUGUUGGAAUUUUGAAUGGUUAUUGCUUCAUCGGAAUUUGGGUGGUCCAAAUUUUGAAUUAGAAGAAACCCAUUUGAUUAAUAUUUUUGGUGGAUUGGUUCUCUGUGUUUUCCUUGCUAUUUCUCCCCCAGUUGGAAAUUGGAAGCCCCAACUUUGAGCUCAGAGCUUGAAUUUCUCAAUCGUUCGUUUCUCUGCACUCUCAUCAGUCACUCUUGAUCCUCUAUCUAAAGAACUGGGUAAUUUUCCAGCUCUAUCAAGUAAUACUCCAUUUAAUUGCUUAAUUGAGGUUUUUUGUUUCUCUUUUUCGCUCUUUCAUCAGUUCAUUGGCUUUGAUGUUGAGCUUAAGUAAAUGGGAGAUCAUUAAUUGGCAUUGUUCAAGAUAUAAUUCUGUGUUUUUGGAUUUGUGAAACGAUUUGCCUAAUGAUGAUAGUGGUUAAAAUAAAUUUUUCGUUAUGAAAGAGAACAUUGUUCUUCAUUUGCCUAUGGUUUUAAGUACAAAGUUAAACUACUAUGCUUUUGUUCAAUUGACUGCAACUCAUGCCGCAGUUUGCUUCACAAACCUCUACGGUUAGCUUCCAUAUAGUAUGUUGCAAGUUUGAGGAUAUCUUUACAUCUUAAUUUUUGCUCUCUCUGGUUGCUUCAAGUUUGUAAUUUUACGUGUUACAUUGCUACUUGAUUUGAUUAUAAAAAUGCAAAACAAAAUCCGUUUUGCUUUUAUUCAACUUAAAUGUAUCCUUUUGUUUGUUCAUAAUUGUGUUGAAUUUAUUCAACUUAAAUGUGUUUUAUUCAUCUGUUUACGCUUAAAACAACUGGUUUCCCUAGCAAUGCGCGGGCCUAAUUUCUAGUACAUAUACUAAAAGCCAGCAGAAAAUUACUGUUCAUCAUGGGAGAUAGAGCACUGUUCAUUAACCGUGAAAGGGCGAAAAUGCCCUCGGAUUCUUCUUUACUUCACGUACUGUUUACGAAUUGCUACAGUAUAAAGUCCGUUUUGUCCUUCCUGUCCACGCAUCUUUCAUCGUCCGUUUCUCUUGCUUCGACCACAUCUUUUUUGCUUUACCUUUCCUCUUCGUUUUUCGCAUUCGUUAGGCUACGAUUUUCGGAGGUGGAUUGUUUGCCCUCCCAUUUCCAUGGUCUCCCCAUGCCCUCCCAUUUCCAUGAUCUCCCCACGUCAAUAUUUUAUAAAAAUAAUAAAUAAAAGGUAAUAAGAAUAUAAAAUGUUGACGUGUCUUAACGUGACCACAUAGGCAUUGGGAGAGCAUGGAAAUGGGAGGGCACACAAUCCACCUCCGACUUUCUCCCUUUUCGCCAGCCCCUCUUUUGCUCUCAAAUCCUUGCUCUUUCUUUUGCAAAAUAGUCUCAGAAGAGAUCCUGGGUUUAUCGAAUCCUUUGUUGUUGGGCGUUUUGUUCUCAUCUUGCGAUCGUCGGGGCAGCAGCUUUAAGGUAAGUUUGUUUUUAAUGAUUUAUCCUCAUUUUACGAUGUCUGGGCUAACAAAUUUAAGAUCUUUAUUUUUCUUUUUGCUGCGGAUCUGCAGGUUUUGACAAGUUUUUUGUGAAAUUGGUGCUGUCAGUGGGUGUUAACAUCAGGUACCCAUGUUCAGUUUUUCGUUUUGAUUUGAAGGAAUUUCUUGCGCAGAAGAGCUAGGGUUUCUUGGUGAGUUCUUCGGGUUUUUCAUAUGGGUAAUUUUCUUUUCGGUUUAACCCUCUGCUUCUGCUGCUCUCUCUCUUUCUCUCAUCCCUGCCUGCUCCUCUCCAAUUGUUUGCUGUUCUUAAAUAUUGUGUUCAUUGCCUGAUACAACGAGGCAAUGGCGUGACAACAGGUGAGCUUGGAUAUCCAAAGAAAAAGAACAGUUGGUUCAUCUGCUGGAGUCUGAAGCUCAGAGAAGUGGAGGAAAAUUGCAGGUGUGCGAGAAAUUUUAUUUUGCUGAUAGGACUCCUUAUUUACGGAUGCAUUUUGAAAUAAUUGAAAAGUUGGAUUUGAGUUAACAGCUAUAAAAAUGUAGACAUGAUUGCUGAGAUUAUGCUAUGAAAGUGGAAUAAAAAAAUGGUAGUUUAUAAUAUUGCGUACCAAUUGUUUUCUCUCUUUUUUACCAAAUGAUAAGGGUGGUGGCUCAGGCCGCCCCCCUAAGCGUCCCCACUCUUCGACAAGUUGAAAUCGUGGUGAUAGUUUAUGGGCUGUGGUCUUGGGAUUCUGCAAAUAGAAUGAAAAACAGACACUUAACUAUCUUGUUAUUAAGCAUUUCUGCAUCAUUCAGUUGCUCUUGAUUUUCGUCUUUUAAGCGAUCUUAUUUCUGCGAUCUGACUUGAGGAGGGUUUUUAGACCUAUGGUUGUGGGUGUUUUCUCUGACCCCAUUAUCCGAGAUUUGUAGACUUGCGAUCGGCGGUCAAACAUUUUGUGAUUCUUGUUUUCUCUGCCUUUCGGUCGUUAAGCGCCGGCAGUCUUUAGAUCUUUGGCAAAUCAAUUUAAUACAACCGAGGUAUGUUUUAUAACUGCUGUCUUUCAAUUUUUGUUCUGUAUUUUUGUUAAUUUGGAUGAAGCUCUAAUAAUUUUGUUUUGGAUCAGUUGUGGUCCUCUGUUAGGAUUUUCCUGGCUAAGAGGGUAUUUGCGUUUUUGUUGCUUGGUUGGUCGAUCACAGAUUUACGAACAGCUGUGGUGGUCCUGUUAUUUUUUUGGUAUGUUUUUUCUCCUUUUUGGUUUUUUCCCGGUUUGAGCACCCAUUCAUGAAGAAUUAAAAUGUGUUUAUAGUUUUUCAGGAGAGAUUAGAAAAGUGAUUUCAAUUUGGGAAAAUUUAAUGUUGGUUAAAAUUUGUUUAUAAUUUUUGGGAAGGAAUGAGAGGACCCAUUGAAGUAUGUGUUGUGAUUAUUUUUUAUUCAUAUUUUUAACAAAUUGGGCAUGAAUUGGUAGGUUAACUGUGUGUGUUUAUUAUUUGAAUCGGCCAUGUUUGUCUUUCUAUGGUUCUAAAAAAUUUGUAAAGGCUGUUAACUUGGAAGAAAAUGGGAUCGAGGGUGAGGGGAAAACGGCAGAGAAAGCAUGGAAGAGAGAUUUGGGAUUAGGGGUAGGAAAACAGAUGAAAAGAAUAUGAUAGAGGAAUGGGUUCAGUUCAUUUUCACUAUUUUUUUUAACUGAUUUGGAUUUUGUUUGGGUUUGAGGCCAUCAUUGGCGUUAAGACGUUUAUUAUCAGAUCGUGUGUUUUUUGCUAACUUUUAUUGGUAAUUUUAAUGUUGUUCUUAUGAUUUUGUGUGGUAGGGUUUCUGAAUUUUAUCGUUAUUCAUUUGGUUUUGUGUGUGUGUUGGUUUGUUUAUUUUGCAGGUUGUGUUUGUGCUGGGACAACAUUUUCCACCUUCUGUUUGCACUGGGAUGAUUGCGUUUUAAAACUGUUGGGGUGAGAUUUACAUAUGGAAUCAUUCCAUUUUUUUUCUUCCAAAUAUGUGCAUUUAGUUCUCUUUUAUUUUAAAUUUUAAAAAUUAAAUCGUUAUUUGAGUAAAAUGUUUUAUCAGUUUAUGUUAUGUGUUGUGACCAGGAAUUCUGUUGGAUUUGCGAAUUUUGGUUUGAUGAGAGAAAUGAGGAGUUUUUUUUGUUUGAAUUUUUUAUUGGACCGAUUUUCAAUUGGAUUGCAUUCUGCCUUUUUGCACCAUUCUUAUGCAAGCAAUUCAUUGUUUUAAAUACAAUUUGAAGAGAGCUGGGUUGCGGGUUGGAUAUAAAAUGUUAAGGUGAGAUAAAAUCGAGAUACCAAGGGUGGAAGAAUGAUUCAGAAUUGGGGGAGGAAAACAGAGGGAAGAUAGAAGAAUAUAAGAGAAGGAUAGGGUUGACCUCAUUUAGAGUUUUUAUUUACUUAUUUUUUUUUAUAAAUUGAUUCAGGACUUGCAUAUCAUUUCUAAAUUUCUAACAUUUUUGUUUAAUUUGACUCCAGUUGAUGGAAAACAGAGCUCUUACUCCUAUCAAUCAGAUGGUCCCGUACAUAAAUGCAGAAAAAUCAAGGUUCGAGUUUGCAGAGUAUGCAGACCAAGGUUUCCCGAAACUACUGGUGCAUAUUCAGGCUUGCAUUGUAUAUUACUUACCUAUUAAAAAUUUGUUUGGAAUUUGCUUUUCCCACAGAGGAGAAGAGCUGACAGUUACGCUGUGGGCAGAUGUUGCUCGAAGUAUUGCUUCUUUAUCCAUUGAAUCAUUGUCUCUGCCGAUCAUUGUGGUUUUCACAAGUUUAAAGGUCAAGCUGUACCUAGGUAUUUGACUUAGUUAAAAACUAAUCUAUUUACUAUUAAUUUUUCUAUUAUAUUCAAACGUUAUUUAAUAUAUACUCUACUAAUAUUUUCUUAACAUGUCACACAAACAUAUUCACUUCUUUUGAUCAAUUUUUUUACAGCAUUUCAUAUAAAAGCUAACAUUUAGUUGAAAUUGAUUAGCAACUCUUUUCUUGCAUGUAUACAUACGAAUUAAACAAUAGUAUUAAACUAUUUGUUAUCAUUCUCAGUAUUUGUUUUAGAAUUAGAUUAAUAUAUUUAACCUGUUUUAGAAUUAGAAUUAUUUGGUAUCACUCUCAGUAUUUGUUUUAGAAUUAGAAUUAGAUUAAUAUACUGAGAUUAUUUAGACAAAUCUAGCAUUUUCUCAAAAUAUUUGACUUUUAAACUUAGAUUAAUAUAUUUAGCAGUUUUUUAACAUGCAAUUUUUCAUUAAUUUUUCAACACACAGACAAGAUAGUCUUGAACACCAUUGGUUCAUCACUUUUCUUCAUUGAUCUAGAUAUUCUGGAAGUAAAUUCAUACAAAUCAGUGUAAGUGUGUUUACUUUGUUUAAAAAAAUAUUAUAUGCUCUCACAAUAAAAGAAGGGCUAUUCUCACAAAAUUUAUGAACUAAUGUUCUGUUUUAACCUCUACAGCUUUUCCAAAUGCACAGAACCUCUAAAAAUACUGCCACCUUUUACAAAACAGGCCCGUGAAGCUCAAAUCUUGCAGACAGCGAAGGUCACAAUUGCAGACGCUGAAAUUUUCAUGCCAAAAUAUGAUGUGGAGGAUGAGAAAUUGUUUGCUGUUGUUCUCUUUUCAGUUUUGCAGGCGAUGAUCUUUUACCAAAUGUCGAGGAGCUUCCAUGGGACAUGCUCUAUGCUCUCGCUUCCCAGUUGCCUCUGUUGGGGUUGGAAAAGCUACAGAUCACAAUGUAAGUCAAAAACAGUAAAGUUCCCAAGAUGUUCUGUGCUGGAGCAGAUUUAAAGGUACGAAUUUUUAAUUUUUUUGUGAAGUCGAUGUUUUGUUUUAAAAGGAGUUUAUAAUGGAUUGAUUGGACAAGUACAGCGUGUUUUGCAGAUAAAGGGCCCUAGCCAAUUUUCUAUGACCUAUAAAGCAUUAACCAAAUUGGGUUUUGUUUGUUUGGUAACAGGGGUUGUUCAGGUUAGGUUGGAGAGGUUGGAGGUGAGAAAUGCAAUUGGGAAAGAUACGCUGAGAGUUUUACAGAACACCUUUGAAGCUGUCAGUGAGGAUUCUUCUGCUAAUGUUUUGUUGAUCAGCAGUAAAGUUCCCAAGAUGUACUGUGCUGUAGCAGAUUUAAAGGUAGGAAUUUUUAAUUUUUUCGUGAAAUCAAUGUUUUGUUUUAAAAGGAGUUUAUAAUGGAUUGCAUGGACAAGUACAGAGUGUUUGUUUGUUUGGUUGAAUGUAAAAAGGAAUUGGAAGAAUGAUGAAAGUACUUGCAUUUGGUUGUAGUUGGUCAGGCACUGAAGGACCGGUCAAUACGAAGUGCAUCUGUGGGACAAUAGUUGAAAGAAGGCCAGAGCAGGAAGAGAAGGCAAGGUUUGUGAAGAAAAACAGUGAUGUGUUUAAUUAGAAGAAAUGUGCAUUUUUUUUUCCCAGUCAAAUUCUGCUUUUGUUCUGACUAUUUUCCUUACUGUAUGCUGAUUUUAUUAUUUAAUUUUUGGUUUUUCCUUGAUUGGCUUGGGAAUUACAAUCAAAUGAUGAAUCUUCAGUUUACUUGGGUAAGCAUUUUUUAACAUAUAAUUUAGCUGACCAUUUUAACUGUCAGACCAUGUUGUUUUUGGUUAUCUAAUCAUUCCAAGAUGGCAAGUUAGGAUUGGAAGGGUUGCUAGAAAUAAGGAUUAUAUCUUGGGACAUUCGGUGAGUGAUUUUUCAAACUUUCAGUUUUACAAGACAAAAUAUCUAUUUUUGUGUGUAUUCUUCAAGCAUGUUAUCAUUAUUUAGGUUGUAGGAAAAAAAGAGAGUGACUUGAGGUGUUUUUAGAUAUUUUUGUGUGUAUUCUUCACAAUGUAUUAAAAGCGCGAGGCGUGGGCGAGGCGUCUGAGGGAUAGCCCACGCCUCACGCCUUACGGGACCUAAAUUUUUUAAUAUAUACACUGAGCGUACACAUAUAUUAUAUUAAAAAAAAAUUAUUAAUCAAUAAUUACCCUGAGCGCACAUAUAUAUUAUAAAUACAUAUAUACACAUAUAUAUACAUAUAUUAUGUUAUAUAUAUAUAAAAUAGAGGAUGAAAAGCACAAUGAGCACACAUAUAACAAUGCAUGCAGACGGCACACAAUAUAGUGCAAGGAAUAGGUAUGAGGUAGUUAAAACCCUACCCAAAAUCUGGGUUUGGGAGUAAAAAUAAAAAAUAAAAAAAAAAUUGCUUGAGGCGCGUCUAGGCGGCUCCGACAACGCCUUCCGGCGCCUUCCGCCCACUCCCUCAAAACAAAGGCGGCAACCCUCAAGUCCAGCCUCACAGGGUGCCUAGGCGCACCCUGAGGUGAGCCUUUUAAAACAUUGAUUCUUCAAGCAUGCUAUCAUAAUAUUUGUAACUAUAAAAAAUAAUAUACUAUUAUACCUCUGUUUCUCUUUUCUUUGUUUUCAUGAGAAAUUAAUUGCCAUUGGCAGCACUAUAGAAAGCCAUCUUUCUCCAUUAUUCUCCGCUUCAUGCAUAAUUACAUAAUUCUACUAUCACAGUUGUCAGUCCUGAACAAUCAUGCAAGUCUAGUGGCAAAAACCACCUCAAUGAACAACUCUCACACACACACAGACACUGAUCAUACAUCUCUAACUCUCUUUUUCAAAUAACACACACUCUGAUCCAAAACAGGGUAAAUAAAAUGCACAUCCUUAUACAUUUCUAACUUUGUUUUUCGAAAUCCAAAAUAGGGUAUUCUAACUCUCUUUUUCAUUCAUUUCUUACAAACCAAUCAUACAUUUAAAAUAGGCUUUGAAUAAAAAUAGGGUAUAUAAUUAUAUACCUCAAAAUGCCUAGGAACCAACUUCCCCCUCCAACGAUUCAAAUUCUUGAAAUUGCCAACACAGUAAAUCCAUUAGUACUAUAUAAAUGAAAACACAAUUGAAACCCAUCAAACAAAACAAUCCCACAAUUUAAAUGAUUCAAUCCUACUACAAUUGAAAUUCACAGAAAGAAUGAAAAACCAGAACAAAACUGCAGCACCUAAAAAGUUGUCAUACAAAAAAACAUGGAAUGUAAAAAUAUGUUAAGAAAUCUAGUUCGUUAAUUUCCAGCUGCUAAGUGGCAUUAUGUAACUUUAGUAGUAUACUAAUUAACUACUUAUCUGGUGGGUUGCACUUUUAUCCAAUUGGUAAGGAAAGGAAAAUAAAAAUCAACCCCUUGGUCUUAGUUGUGGCUGCAAAGUGCAGGCCACCACCAAGUCUCAGUGUUUGUGUUUUAGCAAAACACUUAAAUAAAUUAAAUUCUGAAAUGUAAAUUAUAUUCCUAUAACUUUAAGAUGCACAUAUAGUAUUGUUGAAGUCGAACUGAAAGCACUGACAAUUCCAAGCAACAGAGCAGCAAUUAUUAAGAGCCAAAACUCAUUCCUAGUCUCCUCAUCCUGGUACUCAACUCCGUAAUCUUUGGUCAGCAUCAUUGACUGAAAUUAGGAGAGAAAAAGAAAAGGAAUUUCAGAAAUUGUCUAUGAAGCAAAGGAUACUGCAGUUACUUCAAGACAUGUAAAUUGCAUAUGUAUAAAGUAAUUUUCUACAUAAAGUAAUGAGGCAUAACUUUCUCUCUCCUCUUCAAACCCUAAACAGAGCAAAGCAACAAACUUUACAGAGAUUAGAAUGAGAACUGGAACUAAUCGAACAAUGACUGAAAAGUAACAUACUUGAGGAGUGAAUGAUUUAGUGUUUCCAUCAUCGGAAGCCGGAGUAAGUCGCUAAGAGAGGUCGCAAACAGCCCAAAGGGACAAACCCAGAUCCCCGGCCCCGAUCCAUACCCUUCCCCCUCAAAUCCCGACGGCCCCCAUACUUUUCUCUGACUGUACCCCCUCUCCCACUCAUGAAAUCGAGGAUCUGUAGCAAUGGUACUGAGAUCCCCACUCCUCCCUCUCCCUUUCUCUCUGUCGCUCUGUCUCCCUCUCCCUCUGUCUGUCUAUCUUUAUCCCAGAGCGGCAUGGCCUCCCAUCCCUGAAACCCUCACCGAAAGGUGGCAAUUUUGUAAAUAACUUGAAAUCCACCAACAACAGGGGCAGAGAAUUGAAACAAACAUUUAGGCUCGUUCGAUAACCAUUUAGGCCAAAACUGAGCACACCUAAACCAUUCCUACCCGUGCCAAAUGUUAGUGGGGAAGCAAGAUGAAGACUUAUUUUUCAAAACCAAAAGAAAAAAAAAAGAGAAAACAAAAUAACAAAUCUAAUGGUUGUAGUGUAAAAGCUGAGAACGUAAAUAAGAGCAGUUCCAGCCUUGUAAAUAGGCCGGGGGACAGGGGAGAAGAAAAGGCCUGAGGGCCUGUCAAGUUGCUCCAGCUAUGAGGAGCCCGAGCUCGUGGAGAAGGCCCGAGCAGGGGGUCUGUCAAUUUGUGACAGCCUCGGAGCCCGAGCUCCAAGCCCAUUUUUUAUUUUUUUCUGUCAGGCGCGUGCACCCCACUCGCGCGUGGGGGCGCGUCGCCCGACAACUUUUCAGAAAAACAGACAACUUUUCAGCCUUUCACAGUUACCGUUGGGAAGCCACGUGGCUUCCCACGGUCUGUUCGAUCUCAACGGCUCCUUCAUUUGGACCGUUGGAUCUCAAUGGUAAAAAAAAUAAAAAAAAUCUGAUUUAAUAUCAACCGUUCGAUCCGAGAUCAACGGUCGAUAUUAAUAUGCUUUAUAAAUAAAGAAAAAAUAGUUUUAAAAUUAAGAAAAGUUACCGUUGUGACACGUGGCACAAUCUGGAGUGUUGGAAUUCAAAAUUUUUUAAAUCCAACGGCAGAAAUUAAUUAUUGGAAUUUUUUUUUAAAAAUGGAAAAAAUCCGAAAAAAUUGUAAAAAAUCUGAAAUUUUUUUUGUAAAAAUUUGUUUUUACUUUUCUAUAAAUACCACUUCUUCUCUAUCUACCUUACACCACAAUUUCAUAUUUUCUCAACUACUUUCAAUCAAAUUCCUAUCUUUCUCUUAAAGUUUCAAUCCAAUUUUUUUCCACAAAAUGGCUACUGAUGCAGGUUCGAAUUGGUCGCUUCUUGAAGAUGUUGCGUUGUGCACUAGCUGGGUUCAAGUUACUCAUAAUUCCGUUACGGGUAAUGAGAUGCAGUUGCGAGAAAUGUGGAGUUUAAUUCAUACCAAAUUUGUUGAGCAAAUGAGUGGGAAAAGAACCAAAGAAUCGAUAUCGAGUCGUUGGAAAAUACUUAGCCAUUCCUUUAGUACGUGGAGAGAUGCCUUGACACAAGCUAGUAAUAAUGUUCGAAGUGGGGCAAAUUAUGCGGAUGAGGUAAGAAUAUAUUAUAAUUAUUUGUUUGUAUUAUUAUUUUGUUACCUAAUUUGAUUAUAAUUAUUUGUUUGUUUCAUUUAUUUGUUACCUAAUUUCAUUAUUAUUAUUUGUUUGCAAUAUUUAUUUGUGACCUAAUUUCAUUAUUAUUAUUUGUUUGUAUUAUUUAUUUGUUACCCAAUAAUUUCAUUAUUAUUAUUUGUUUGUAUUAUUUAUUUGUUACCUAAUAAUUUCAUUAUUAUUAUUUGUUUGUAUUAUUUAUUUGUUACCCAAUAAUUUCAUAAUUAUUAUUUGUUUGUAUUAUUUAUUUGUUACCCAAUAAUUUCAUUAUUAUUAUUUGUUUGUAUUAUUUAUUUGGUACCUAAUAAUUUCAUUAUUAUUAUUUCUUUGUAUUAUUUAUUUGUUACCUAAUAAUUUCAUUAUUAUUCAUUUGUAGCAACUUCAAGCACAAGCAUGGUAUGCUGCCAAAAUCAAAUCAAGAAACAAAUCAUUCCACCGAUGGGAAUGUUGGAAUAUUGUUAAAGAUUGUCCUAAAUUCAAAGUUGUGCCUGUUGGUCCAGAAGUAUGCAUGAACAGCAUCCCUCUACACAGCACCUUUGUAUACAGCAACCCUCCACACUCUACACCUGAUGAUGGCACUCAGGUUGAUGAAGAAGAUGUAGAUUUAUUUAAUUUCGUAAUAUAUUUAUCCUAAUAAUAGAAUCUUUAUUCAUCAAAUUGUUCACGUAUAAUGAAAUAAUGAAACACACCAAAUAAAACUAAAAAACUCACCAAUUGGAAUUACAUAAACAUACCAAAUAAAAUUACACAAACAUACCAAAUAAUAAAAAACUCACUACAAAAAACACACCAAAUUAAAUUACAUAAACACACCAAAUACAAACAAAUAUAGUAAAUAAACUUAAGUAUCUUCAGCUUGUUUCAAUGCCCACUGGUGCUCUAUCAAGUCAAUUUGCCGAUCAUUGUGUAUAGAUGACCUUUGAAGUGCAGUAUAUUGUUGAAUAACCCUUUCAUUGUAACGUCCAUCCCUUUCUAAUGGCUCGUGUUGCACGGGUUCUUCGGUGGCAUCAUGCGCACAAUAUAUCCGUGUUCUUGAAUUGUUCAUCGUGUCUGGCUCUGGCUCAUAUUCAUCAACCGCAUCAUAAUCGAACUCAUCUUCCACAAUCAUGUUGUGAAGAAUGACGCACGUCAUCAUGAUGGAUCGAAGUGACUCUACAUCGAACAUUCUGGCAGCACCCCUGACAAUCGCCCAACGAGCUUGAAGGAUACCAAAACAACGCUCCACAUCCUUCCUGCAUCCCUCUUGACAGCUUGCAAAGUGUUUUUCCUUUGCACUUCUCGGACGUGGCACUGUUUUGACAAAUGUUUCCCACUGUGGGUAAAUGCCGUCAGCUAGGUAGUAUGCCCCGUCGUACCUACGUCCGUUGACGACAUACGUGACUUGUGAUGCCUUUCCUUGGAGGACGUCGUUGAACACUAGGGAUUGGGUAAGGACGUUGAGAUCAUUUUGAGCCCGGGAACCCCGAAAAAGGCGUGCCAUAUCCAUGUAUCAAAAGAUGCCACUGCCUCCAAAAUGAUAGAUUUUGCUCAUUUUCUGUCCCCAUAUGCGCCUUGCCAUGCACUUGGACAGUUUUUCCACGUCCAGUGCAUACAAUCGAUGCUUCCUAUCAUCCCAGGAAAACCUCGCAUCUCGCCCUUCUUCAGAAGCCUUUGCAAGUCCAUGUGAGUAGGUCUUCGGAGGUACUCUGCCGUGUACAAAGAUUCGACUGCUCCGCAAAACCUCAUCAGGGCCUCAAGAAUGGUUGAUUUCCCCAUCCUCGUUAUCUCAUCCACUUGGUCUGCAGAUGCUCCAUACGCAAGCAUCCGCAACGCAGCAGUGAUUUUUUGCUCUGGCAGAAGAUCCAUAACACCACAAGCAUCCUUCUUUUGCACGAAGUAAGAAUCAUGGUUGCAAACAUCAGUCAUGAUUCUGUUGAACAAAUGUCGUUCCAUUCUAAAACGGCGUCUGAAGUACGUAUCAGGAAAUGCACUGUUAUGGACGAAGUAAUCGUCCAACAGCUCUUCACCCCGUCGUUGCCUGCUUCUAUCAAGGUUUUUUGAACGGCUGGGCCUGCAUAUCUGAGCAACAGUCUGGAUGACUCGACGAGAAUGUGAGGCUCUGGCCAUUCUUGUUUCGUCAUCUCUCUUUCUACGCUCCUCAUCUUCUUCCAUCUCAUUUCUGCCUAUAUGAAGGUUGAACAUUCCUUCAGAUUGGUUAAACAAUUCUUUCUCUUGCUGAUUGAUUUCCCACAUCAUCCUUGAUGAAGAAGAAGACAUUGUAGGAUGGAUGGUGAAGAAGAAGCAAAAUCUAUGAAUAAUGAGAUUGAGAUGUUGAGAAAAUUGGUGUGAGAUUUGUGAGGAUGGAUGGUGGAUUAUAUGGACGAUUCAGAAAGGAUCGGAUUGUAGAUAAGGCCACGUGGCAUGCCGUCAUUCGUUAAAAAUCUGAUCGAAAUCUGUCCUGAAAGAUUCUGAAAAGAUAAUGACACGUGGCACGAUCGUAUUGGAUAAAAAUCUUAUCGAAAUCCAUCUCCAAUAAUUAUCAUUUUGGAUAAUGACACGUGGCGCAAUUUUGAACGAGUUAAAAUCUGAUUGAAAUCUGUCUUGAAAGAUUCUGAAAAGAUAAUGACACGUGGCACGAUCGUAUUGGAUAAAAAUCUUAUCAAAAUCCAUCUCCAAUAAUUAUCUUUUCGGAUAAUGACACGUGGCGCAAUUUUGAACGAGUUAAAAUCUGAUCAAAAUCUAUCGUCAAAGAUUCUCAAACGAUAACGACACGUGGCACGAUGACAUUUGAUAAAAAUCUUAUCGAAAUCCAUCGUUAAAUAAUUGUUUUUUUUUAUAAAAUGAUACGUGGCGCAACGAUAACGAUUUAAAAAAUCUUAUCCGAAAUUACAAAUAAUUUUAUUUUGUAUUAUUUAAACAAACAAAAAAAACUAAUAUUUUAUUGCCUAUUGCCAGGGGGAGGGCUCCAAGGGUGGAGAUGCAAAUGGCAAUUACUGUUCAUUAAUGUCAGUUACUAUUCAUUCAAGGCAGUUACUGUUCAAUAGGGUGGAUUCAAUAGUGGAUUGCCAGGGGGAAGGUCUUCAUGGGUGGAGUUGCUCUAAACAUGCAGGGAAAAAAAUGAAGAUACAAAGUAGCUGCAUCAUGAAACACAUACUCCAAUUAGACGCAAAAAGUGAUGGUGAUGAGAAGAGAGAAAAUGUUGUCGUUUUGAUUUUUCUGGCUUUUAAAGGGAGCAGCUUUCUUCGACCACCAAAAAAAGGAAGUUGCUUUUCGUGUGGUUGUGAUUUCCUGAGUGUAUGUGAGCGGGUCUAUGGCACUUGCACUGUUUGUGUCGGUUAUGGUAACCGGGCGAGCUGGACACAGUAGCGUGGGACUGAAUUCGGAGAGGUGAGAAAAAUUAAAAACACAAAAAGAAGGUGUUCAUUUUGUCACAUUUUUAUUACUAAAAAUUCAAUAAAGUACAUUCAUUAGUAUGGUAACUUAACUAUUUAAUUCCAUCUCAUUAAACUAAAAAAAACAAUUACAAAAAAAUAAGGAAAACCUUGUCCAGAGAGACCUGAGAGAAAGUGACGACUUCUCCUCUCAUUCCACUCCAUACUUGAUCUCUAAAGUCCAUUUGGCAUGUAAUUGAUGUUCAAUUUCAAAUAAAGUGGUGGCAAUUAGCAAAGCUAAUGAAAGAAUCAAAUAAAAUGAAAGAAAAAGCAUCAUGAAAUAAAUCAAGAUGAAGAAUGAAAUUUUGGCAACUCGCCAUUCUCUUCUUUUAUAUAAAAGAUACAUCCUAUUUGUAGUGAAAACAGGUCCCGACAAACCCAGUUAUCCUCAAGAAGUAUUUUGUAUGACUUUAAAAACAUAAUCCGUGAAAUUAUCUCUUGGCAGAGAACAACAACAAAUCUUCAUGCAUAGCUUGUAGAGAAAGACAUCAGGCAUACAAAAGAACAGGCAAGCAUAAAAUAAACGAUGCAUGGAAAACCAAAAAUACAAUUGAAUAUGCUGUCAAAAGAACAUGAAUAAAUGAAAAUUACAAAACAAAGAAGUGAUGGGAAACCAAAGUAUUCAUAAUCUAAUUGCUUUUUAGUUUGCUUGCCAUUUUUAGUUCUUCAAUUUAGAGAGAAACCAUAAUUCAGCACAUGAAUAAAGUGAAAACGUAAAAGAUACGUGGGAUAAGCUGACAGCCAUCCCUGAGUAAUGCAUUCACUUUUGAACCCCAAACACACCGAAACAAAAAUUCACACACAUGAACUACAGCUCCGCUAUGUAACAAGAAUUAAAAGCAUCUCAAAACAAAAUGGCAAACUAUAAGAGCAUUGUAAAAGUAAAAUUGCAUCUAAUACUUGGAGGGCAAGUACUAAUCAGACGAAAAUGAAAGAUUGAACUACCUCACGUGGAACUGUGCCUUGGUUUUUUCCCAUGCUUACAAGAAGCUUUGCACUGAGCUCUUAUAGCCCAAAUUUUCUCUGAAGGAAAAAAAACACAAUUUUGGAAUAAGAUUUUCAUAUUAUACCUUAAAGAGAAGAAUUAGACAACAAAAAAGAGAACAAUGAGUACUAUUCAUCAUAUAUUGUUAAGAGUAUGUGGUCUUCUAGUCCAAUGGUCCUGCAGUCAUAUUUACUUUAUAACUCUUUCUUUUAGUCUAAAAAAACAUCUUGGAUCUCAAAUUAUUAUGAAUACGGAUUCAUACUUUAUAACUAAAGAUCUUACUGCUCUUGAUAAGAUGAACAAUACGCCAUUUAUCGCAUGCAUUGCAUUACAAUCACAAUGCAACAUCUCAUUAGAAAUCCCCACACAAAGCAGCUCCACUCAUUGUGGUCCUUGCAAACCGAAUUGGCCCAACGAUCAGCGAGAGAAAGGAGACGGCGGCGAGAUGAGGGAUAUGAUGGAUGCGAGAUCGUCUGUAUCGUUAUCGCGGGGGGUCUGCAAGACGGACGAGGAAAGUAGGGUUUGAGAAGGCAUUGUCUUCUCGCGGGGUAUGUGUCCUUCCUAUUCCACGAUUAUCAACACGUGUGCAUCAGGAGGAGCGGCAGAGAGAGGCAUUGUUGUAAAUAAAGUGAAAUCGAAGGGUAAGGGCCCAUUCUUUAAGGUAAUGGCAUGGCCAUAAAUAGAAUGAAAUCCAGAUCAAAACACUGUCAUUUGUACAGUACAAUUUCUCCAUCUUCUUCAGACUAAAGUAAUGUAUAUGUUAUACGCACCAACACAAGUCCUUCUUAGAUAAAUCCAAGCCAAACAAUUACAAACGACAGUUAUUCACAAGAAAAUCACUUUAAAGCAAGAAUUUAAUUAAUAAUACAUUACUACACUUUCUUAACAAUUUGACGGUCACCUAGCUAACAAUGAACACGUUAGCUAUGCGUUAGAACAUAUUGGGUUCAAUCCAUAGUCUUGAAUAUCACCCCGAGUCACAACUGUCUCUUGGGGCAUACAGAAGGCCUGAGAGGCAUUUGCAGACAUUCAAUCUCUCCUCCAAGCAUUUCGACAACUUUGGAAAUCGAAAGGCGAUCACUUGGUUUCAUUUGAAUACACCACAAGGCGGUUAUAACCAUCUUUCUUAUCACUUUCUUUUCCUCCUCUGUAACAUUGUCUAUUUCCAAGUCAUUUCCCACAAUAUACUGAUCAUAUACCCACAUCGGGAAGUAGAUUUGGCUUGGAUGCUCUACCGUUGCAUUCAAAUUCUUCCUUCUGCUUGCCAUUUCCAUCAACAACAUUCCAAAACUAUAGACAUCGGCCUUGUAUGAGACACCUCCAAUAUUUUUGUAGAACAACUUAGGAGCAAUAUAUCCCAUUGUACCCGUGUUGCCGUCAAAGAGACAAUGAGAAAACUCUUGAGUUCUUCAGAAACCACGAGAAACUUAAAACUGAGAAAGCUUCGUGAUCUCCCUUCCAUCUCUGCUACGCAAUCUCUGCUUCCUCCGUGAUUUCUUCCUUCCUGAUCGACAUCUAUUCGAAUUGAAAACCUUCUGGAGCUCACUACCCCCUUUGUCAGCAGUAAUUAGGGGUGGGUUCAAAAAACCGAAAACCGAAAAAAAUCGACAACCGAACCGAACCGAGGCCGAAAAAAACCGAACCGAAAAAAAACCGAACCGAAACUGUCAAACCGAACCGAACCGAAUCUGACCGGUUCGGUUUCGGUUUUUGAGGUUCAAAAACUGAACCGAACCGAACCGAACCGAUAUAUAUAUAUUUAAUUUUUUUUUCAAUAUUAUAAAUAGUUUAGGCAUACAAUCAUAACAAAACAGAACUUGUUGCCAAGUUGGUUUAAGCGAAAUUUUUCACACUGGUGGCAAUGGGUUCGAACCCUCAUGCCUUUAGGAUUUAUGAGAUUGUUUUUUAAUUUUGUUGAGAAAUCAACAAAAUCCUUUAACCCUAACUUUUUUAUUUUUCAUUCCCCUCUUCUCUCUCUUGUUCCCUGCCUCCAGUCCAAACUCCCUCCAUGAACCCUAACCCAGUAACCCUCUCGCGCCGCCUGAGCUUCCUGUCUCUCUCGCUCGGUCUUCAAUCGCUCUGUCUCUCUCAAUCUCUCAGGCAACCCGCGACAGUGCGACCCUUCUCACUCUCAAUCUCUCACACCUCGCCCUCUCCAUCAGUCUCUCAUCUCGCCGUUUCGAGUCUCGAUAGCAAAAGGUUAGCCUCCUCUCUCUCUCUCUCGGUCUUCAACUUCAAUCACUCUCUGUCUCUCUCAAACUCUCUGUCUCUCUCGGUCUUGAAUCUCAGGCGACCCACGACGGGGCGACCCAUCUCACUCUCAAUCUCUCACACCUCGCCCUCGCCGUCAGUCCUUCAUCUCGCCGUGAGCUUCUUCUUGCCGUUUCGAGUCUCGACUGCAAAAGGUUAGUCUCGCCGUGAGCUUCUUCUUGUUCGUUCGCAGACGGAAGCUCUCUACUCCAAACUCUACGAAAAGUACACAAAAAUCAAGGUGUUCUGUGUUCUUUCCCACUUCUUUACAAUUUUUUUUGCUCAUUCAUUUUUUUUUGCUUAAUCAGUUAAUUGUAUGUUAAAUUUGCUCAGGGGAGAAAUUUGAGGUUAGGGAAAUAGAAAGUAAUUGUCUUUUUUUGUACUUUUGAAUUUUUUUUGCUCAUUCAUUUUUAAUUGCAUGCUAAAUUUGAGUUGGGAACUUUUGCUUACUUGUUACCCAGUUGGAUUUUUUUGAGCUACUUUUGCAGUUUCUUUCUUCGUCUUAAUUUGGGAACAAUUUGAUCAUGUUUGACUUAUCAUUUUGUUAUUGGAGGAAAUCAGCAGCUUUAUGGUUUGGCAAGGUGUAGUGACGAUAGAUAGCCUACUUUUAUGUAUAAUUUGAAAGAGGAUGGAGAUAAGUAUAUUUCUCUGGGAAUCAGAGCUUCCAUGAUAUGUGAUUACCUGUUAUCUUUGAAUUUCUCUUCCGACUCUUGUAUUUCCUUAAGUGAAACUAUGGCCCUGCAAAUUUGACAUGUUGUUGAAGGUUGUAAAUCAUAUGUUGUUCUUUUAGUGGUAAAAAUCUUGUUAAACAUGUAUUUUCAUUUAGGUUAUGGACUCUUGGACAUGCUAAGUCAUGAUGGAAAAGACCAAAGAUUCAUUGGUAACGUGUUCUGAAAAGUAGCAUAGGCAUUGCAAUUCUCUGAGUAGCGUUUUAUUAUGGAUAACGUUUUUGGUGCUGAAGGAAGAUUUCCAUCAAACCUAGCAUCAAUAGAGCAUAUUGUUUCUUGACUACAUUAUGUAUGAGUAUUAGAGUUUAAAUUGUAAACGGAUCUGGACAAUAUAUGAAGUUGGUAUUGAUUUCUCUCAGAGAACAAAUAGAAUUGAACAUCCAGGCUUGUUCUUGUUGACAUGAUUUAUAUAAGAUAUACUUAUAUCACUUUAGAGAAAACUGGUUAUAUGCAUCUGUAUUGUCUCAAAUUAAUUUUAGGCUUCCCUUCAAAGCGUUCUUUUUGUCCAUCCAUCUGGGUGGUGUUCAAUUUUAGAUUAUCCUUUGAAUACUAGACGUCCAGAUAAUGGCUUUGUGGUCCUUCAAAUAAAUUACUGAUAAUGUUCAUGCAGUUGAUGGUGAAACAGGUAUGGUAAUUAAACGACUUCAUGUUUAGGAAUGAUAGGCUUGUACUUUGUAUUUUAAAGAUGUGUGCAUUUUUCAUAUAAAUUUUGUUCAUUGUGUUAGAAUGCUUAUAUUAUAAUUGUGUUGGAGAUGUUAAAAUUUUAGAUUUCAAUUUUGUUUUCAUUUUUCCCAAAAAAAAAAAAAACCGAAAAAAACCGAAACCGAAAAAAACCGAAAAAAAAAAUGGACCGAACCGAACCGAACCGUUUUGAACCGAACCCAGCUCUAGCAGUAAUAAUUUGUUUUUGCAGCUUUAUGUGUCUCUGUCUCCAAAUAUGAUGAUCUCUUAAUUUGCUUCUAUAGCUUUUGUAAUAUGAUGAUCUCUUAAUUUGCUUUUGCAUAUCUUCUUUGCUUCUUCUGCUAGCUCUAUAUGAGAUUCCAUCUCCAAAUAAUUGUUCCCUAUUUCCUAUUUUUACAGGAAGCAAAUCAUUGAAUACACAUGGAAAAUUAAAAUGGUUUCAGUUUUUGGUUAGUUUAAAUUUUUUGUUGGUUAUUGCUUGUAUUGUGAAAUCUCGUUCCCGGAUUUCACUGUUAUAAUGUACGUGUUUGUAUUCUCGAGAAUUUAUAUUAAGUUAUUUGAAGUUAUACUUUAAUUAAACUAGUUACGAAGGUUAGAGUUUGGAAAUUAAUUAUUUAAAAUUCGUAAACCGUCCGAGGUCACAAUUUAUAUCUGUGGAUAGAGCUAGGGGUGGGCAAACGGGUCUAGGAACCGCGGGGCGGGUCGGGUCUAGCCGGUUCGGGGCGGGUACAAGUUUUGUAAACUCAAAACGGGGCGGGUCGAGGCGGGUCCAUGUAAUUGGCGGGGCGGGGCGGGUCUAAAUUUCUGAAAAACCGGGUACCCAGGCCCGGACCGUUUCCACCGUCCAUAUACGAAGAUUAAAUCUCUACCAUUCAUUACUACCACUCUUUCUCUUAGUCGCUGACUCUCGCCUCCUCUCUCGACUUUUCCAGGAUCCAUCCUCUCUCAAGAUGGACUCAGCGCCUACUCCACCGCUCACUCCUCCUCUCGUUGAAGCCACGGCGGUCUUCAUCGGUGCUACCCCUGCCCCAUAUUCUCUCAGAUCAGAGUCGUCACUCCCCUCUCCCACUCGAGUCGAGGCCUCUUGUGAACACCACCACCGCCGUCGAAACCUCCUCCAUGAAAGACACCUUCUCCAAAUAUUCUGAUUACCUCAACAAUCUCGUAAUCCCUAAUUUAAUCUUCACCAAUUUGCAGCUCUGUGAGCGACUCGAAGGUUUGUAGAAUGACAAGCGGGAAAGGGUUGUAAAAGCAAGUCGCGAUAUCACCAUUAAUAGCAAAAAGGUCAUCUUUAAGGUUCACAGGUAAGAAAGCUGCGACCUUUUGCUUCAAAUUUUGUUUCUGUUUUUUGGGUUUUUGAUUUUGGAUUUUGGUUUUUUUUUUUAUAAUAAUUUUAUUUAUAUCAUCAUUGAAAUGAUGUUGCUGUGGAAUUUGAACUUGAACAGAAUCAAUAAACACAACAAAGAGGAAGUUCUGCAGAAAGCUGAAAAGGAUUUAGUAGCUGUGAGUCUGCGACAGAUCAGUACAUUUCCCAGCUUGUUAGAGAGAUGCAGGCUAAGUUUUUUUCUUUUAUUACUGUUACUCUGGGAUUCUUUGAGAAAACUUGAAGCUUGAAUUGUUUUUGUUUUCUGGGUGAUUUGGAAAAUGGGCGAAAAAAAAAACAAGGACCCGUGUACCCGGCCCAAACCGGCCCGUUUGAAAAGGGUCGGGUUAGGUCCGGUUUCUAUUUUAAAAUUUGUUGCACCCGGCCCGCUCCGGCCCGUUUCUUUUACACCCGGGUCCGGUCCGGUCCCUUCAAAAUUGGGCCCGGCCCGGCCCGUGCCCAGCCCUAGAUAGAGCUCGAUCUCACGAACGCGUAGGCGCAAAUCGUUCAUGAAACAGAUCUAUAACGAAGAAGUUAUAGACGUUUUAGUUGUUGGAAAAUAAAUAAUUAAAUGUUUAGAAGCUGCCAAGUGGCAGCAAGGGAGAGGGGAGAAAGGAGAGAGUGCGGGAGAGAAAAGAGGGGGACACCCAAUAAGAAAGGAGAAAGGAGGGAAAUGAGAGAAAAGAAAAAAAAAAAGGGAAGAAAAGGGAGAAACGGGUUCGUACGACCCGUGGGUAUUGCCGGCCACCCAUCUCCAUUUGCCGACGAUUUUCCGACGAAUUUCUUCAAACAACCACUUGGAAACACUCCCUUGUCCUUCCCUCUACAUGUUUCACCCUAAAAAUAAAAGGUUUUGGACUUGAAUAGGGAGAAACCGCACUAAGGGUGUAGCGGGUGUGUGUGUCAAAUCUCCCAAAUCCAAAAUGUUUACACCCAACGACCACCAUCAAAAGACUUUCCUUAAGCCCCUGAACAAAGCCCAGGCAGUGGUGGAGACGUCGGAGCAAGUUUAGAGGUCGAAUUGGAGCACACCCAAUUCUAGGGUUCUUACGGGUUUUAGAGAAAUUGGAAUACUUCUUGAUCAAAUUAGCCUUGGUCACAGGUAUAAAGUUUACUCUACUCAUUGAGAUCUUUAUUUCUGUAAUUUUUGGUAAUUUUUAAAAAUAGUUGAAUUUUUCCGGCAAAUCGGGGCGGCCGACCGCCACCCGCUGCGGCGCGUGCGGCGGCGGCCUGGCCAGCGAGCCAACGAUGUCCUUUUAAGUUCAAUUAGAUGCCCUGAUUUCAUAACUGACAUCCUUAUGUUAUGGUUUGAUUGUUUAAACCUAAUUUCAUUACGAUAUGUGGGUAGGUCAAAAUGUGAUUCGACGAUCCGACCGUUGGAUCGUCACCAAACUUUAAUGCGUCAUAGAAUGUAAUAUUUGAGGAUGGUUGGAACUAACGGAUUGGGAAUCUGAUGUAUGGAACUUCCUGAUUUGGAUUUCUAAGUUUGUAAAUCAAACAUUGGUCACCACUUGAAAUUGUAAAAUCAAACAUUGCAUAUAAGCAUGCUAGAGCCUUUAAUUGUUAAUUACAUGUAUAUGUGUUGCUAAAAUGAACUUAGUUUAUCAAAUUUUUAUUUCAAUAUCAACUUCUAUGGCAUGCGUGGUGUCUCAUGUCAAUCACACAAAUGUUAUGUAAAAAGAAUAUACACGUUGUGUUGCAUGAUUGACAAUUAACGACACAUAGUGUUAUAACCGUGUCAAUGUUAUGAAGGUUUUUAUGCAAAGUCACUUGAUAUGCCGCAACAAUUAGUAAACAAUAUUAGAAAGACCUAGAGGAACCCACAAUUAAUUCCGAUUCAAUAAGUAGGUCAUGUGCAAGCAAGGCAUGGGCUUCCCAUGGGUAGGAGCUGGAAUUUACCCAUAUUUGGUAGUUAUGUACCAUAUGUUUACCCGCAUGACGCUGAGUGUAAUCCUUCUUAAGGUUCAACAAUAUUGUUUCUAUUAACAAAUAUAAAUAAAAAAUAAGCAAAAUACUAGAGAGAUUACACGUUUAUAUUACAUUGUUGUACCAUAUUGUGAUAUGGCUGUGUACAUACCAUGUCUUGUAAUGAGUUUAUCUCAUUAGAUGUUAGACUGUUAAUUAUAUGUAUCACUUGUCAUAUCAUACAAUACAUCAAUAUGAUAUAAAUAUGCCAUCUCUCAAACAUUACUCUUAUCAGAAACCCCAAAAAAUAGGAAAUGCUCUAUACUAAAGCGGAAUGAGAAAAACAUUGUUCAUAGGCAACAGUAUUUUUACUUUUUUGCCCUCAUUUUUAAUGUUUCUGUGUUCCUACUUUUAUGCCUCUAUACGGUGAAAUCGCCAAUUGACCUAUGGGCAUGGGUGUGUAUAAAAAUUGUUUUGCACACGUGGCGUGCUAGGGAGAUUUCUCUGCAGCACUGCUUCAUUAACUGUUUCAUUUCUCUGCACCGUUUCCUUCUAGCUCCACUCCGAAUUGAUACCGAAUACUGGUCAACCAAAUUUUCUCAUCAUUUCGUUCCGUCCUUCUCCACAUCUUCAUUCUUGCUCCACCAUGAAUCGAAACAAAAAAUUGCUCAUCCAAAUUGUUUGGUAUCAGCCGCUCCAAGGAGACAAAUUGCUGAGAAAAGUAAAGAAUUCAGAUAAAAAGUGAAAUUGUUCAUUCAUAACCUUUAGGGAAAUACAGAUGGGUUCUUUAUACCCCAUUUCAGCUACUACAGACAAAAGGUUAGGUAACCCCAAGUGCUGAGUCACCAUAUUCUAAUAUUCCAUUACAAUGCAAAGGAAAUAACUUAAGGGAAUGAGCUAAAGCAUAUCAAGGUCCUAACACAAGUCAAUUUCAGUUAACUCAAAUCCCUAAAACCCAAUUUUCUCCAGAUCGUUGGAUUUAGUUUGCUGUUGUUGUUGCUAAUCUACAGGUAAAGCUUAAAUUUACAUACAAUUUUUUAUUUUUCUUGAUUGGAAUUUGGAAAGAAUUAGUUGUUCUUGGAAAGAAUUACAGAAAAUUGGAAAAGGGAAAUGGGAAAGCGAGGAAAUGCAAGAAAAUGUGUUUGGAAAAUGGAAAAUGACUUUUCUUUGGCAUUCGCUUUGACUUUCAUCCUUUCUGCGUUUGCUUUUCCUCAUUUUUUUUCUCAAGAACCAAACAUAAAAUAAAUAAAUAAACCUAUAAAAAAAAGAAAAGGAAAAUCACAAGAUUAAGAACCUGGGAAUGCAACAAUCGAGCUUCUGUGCCGAAAUAUCAAUUGGGUCCCGUUGGAUCUUCGGUGCUUCUUCUGCAUUCAAAAAGUUGGGGUAUUUCUGCAUCAUUUUUGUGUGUAUUUUUAAAUUCCAGAAGAAAGUGGAUAGAGAGAGAGGAAUAUGCUUUGGGUCGAAAUGGGAACACAAUUCCAAAUUCGCCCUCAAUCCCAAAGUUCAGUAAUUUAUGCAAUUUUUGUCGAAAUUGAUAUUCUUUAUUGCUGAUAUUUGUUAAAAAAGAGGGGGAUAAGAGCAGUAAAAAGAAUCUACAGAAAAUAUUUGUUUUGGAAGAGUAUGUCUUGAUUGGAUAAAACUCGCACCAGAGGGCGAGCGCAUCUGCUAGUAUGCAUUUAAACUUAUAAGGCUAAAUCCUUUAGGGGCGUUUGUUUGCCCUCCUUAACUCUCAUUGGACUGGACUAGAUUAAGGGUUAGUCCAAUCCCGUGUUUGGUACCCGCUAAAACUAACUUUAAUGAGACUAAAGGGGAUUCGCUCCGACUAUCUCCCUCGCUAGGAGGUCUUAGCGAGAGCGCCCUGUGACUAUGGGACUGCUAAGCCCUUCGGCUGGUAUGUCCUCAUCUCCUCUCAUCCACUCUUCUUUCUCUGUUUUCUUGAGCACCGACAGCCACCAUCACACCACCACUCCCAACUUCAGCGAGAUACACUGCUAGCCCAACACCACUCUCUCGAGAUCCAAGGAAAGCAAGCAUCAUUUGGCAAUUUUUGGUAGAAUUGCAGGGGAAGAAGAAACGAAAUGAAAAGGCUUGAAUUUGUUACAGGCCAUUGAUGGACAAGAUUUUUUUUUUGGGAAAUCGAUGAUCAGGGAUUUUUUUUUGGAGAAAUCUGGAGAUCAUGCAGCUUAUGGAACUCUCUAGAUAGAUUAAAACUCACAUAACCAAUAUGGGCAAUAAUUCAUACCUGAGAUAGAGUUUGAGAGAGCUUAAGCUCUCUGCGUUAAUGGCAGAGCGCCCGAUGGUGCAUCGAUGAUACGUACAACGCCGUAGGUGGAUUCCCCAUGUCCCAAGGGUUCGAGGUUUAGAUUUUUUAGGGUUGAUUUGGUCAGCAUCAAGAGAAAUGGUGGGGGUUCCUUCUCGGAGAUUAGAGAGAGAAAGGUUGUAGAUUAUUGUUGAGGAGAGAGAGAGAGAGAGAGAGAGAGAAAAGUGCAGAGAAAGAAAGAGAGAAUGAAAGAGGGGUCACGGGGUGAGGGACCGUAAGAGCAAGUCCACCCAUGCCAAUCGGCCGGGGGACGGGCUACAGCAAAGGGCCCGAGGGCCAGUCAAUUCAUCUCCAGCCAUGGAGGGCCCGAGUGAGGGUGGGAGCCCGAGGGCCGGGGGGGUGGGUAAUUGACAGGCCUGUGGCCCGAGGCCCGUGACGUCAGGCCUGGGUCCAGGCUAUUUUUUUAUAUUUUUUUUGUGUCAGGCGCGUGCCCCUCACUCGCGAGUGGGGGCGCGUCGCCCGACAAGAAAUCAGACAAGUGGGGUUUUCGGCCAGUUACCGUUGGGAAGCCACGUGGCUUCCCACGGUCCGUUCGAUCCCAACGGCUCUUUAAUACGAGCCGUCCGAUUUGCAACGGUAAUAAAAAAAAAACUGAUUUUAUAUCAACCGUUCGAUCUAAGAUCAACGGUUGAUAUUAAUCUGCUUUAUAAAUUAAAAAAAAAUAGUUUUAAAAUUAAGAAAAGUUACCGUUGUGACACGUGGCACAAUCUGGAGUGUUGGAAUUCAAAUUUUUUUAAAUCCAACGGUAGAAAUUAAUUAUUGGAAAAAAAAAUUUAAAAAAAAUGGAAAAAAUCCAAAAAAAUUGUAAAAAAUCUGAAAAAAAAAAUUGUAAAAAAUUGUUUUUACUUUUCUAUAAAUACCACUUCUUCUCUAUCUAUCUUACACCACAAUUUCAUAUUUUCUCAACUACUUUCAAUCAAAUUCCUAUCUUUCUCUCAAAGUUUCAAUCCAAUUUUUUUCCACAAAAUGGCUACUGAUGCAGGUUCGAAUUGGUCGCUUCUUGAAGAUGUUGCGUUGUGCACUAGCUGGGUUGAAGUUACUCAUAAUUCCGUUACGGGUAAUGAGAUGCAGUUGCGAGAAAUGUGGAGUUUAAUUCAUACCAAAUUUGUUGAGCAAAUUGGUGGGAAAAGAACCAAAGAAUCGAUAUCGAGUCGUUGGAAAAUACUUAGCCAUUCCUUUAGUACGUGGAGAGAUGCCUUGACACAAGCUAGUAAUAAUGUUCGAAGUUGGGCAAAUUAUGCGGAUGAGGUAAGAAUAUAUUAUAAUUAUUUGUUUGUAUUAUUAUUUUGUUACCUAAUUUGAUUAUAAUUAUUUGUUUGUUUCAUUUAUUUGUUACCUAAUUUCAUUAUUAUUAUUUGUUUGCAAUAUUUAUUUGUGACCUAAUUUCAUUAUUAUUAUUUGUUUGUAUUAUUUAUUUGUUACCCAAUAAUUUCAUUAUUAUUAUUUGUUUGUAUUAUUUAUUUGUUACCUAAUAUAAUUUCAUUAUUAUUAUUAUUUGUUUGUAUUAUUUAUUGUUACCCCAAUAAUUUCAUUAUUAUUAUUUGUUUGUAUUAUUUAUUUGUUACCUAAUAAUUUCAUUAUUAUUAUUUGUGGUAGAUUAUUUGUUAUAUAAUAUUUAUUUGUUAUUAUAAUUUCAUUAUUAUUAUUUCUUUCUAUUAUUCAUUUAUUAUUAUUAAUUUUUAUUAUAUUUAUUUUUCCUUACAUAAUUUCUUAAUUUAUUAUUUUGUUAUUUCUUUAUUAUUGUUAUUCCAUAUUAUUUCAUAAUUAAUUUCAUUCAUAUUAUUUAUCUUCCUAGAUAAAUUCAAUAUUUGUCUUUUGUAUAAAUUUCAAAGAGAAUUAUGUUGCAUGAAGUAUGGCCAUGCAUGUUAGUGUCCCAAAAUUCAAGCAAUGGCAUGUUGGAAGUCAUGCCAUUGAAAGCCCGUUACACCCAGGUUGCAUUGAACAGCACCCUCCCAGCACAUUUUGUACACAGCAACCCUCUCCACACUCUACACCCUGAUGGACCUGAUGAAGAAGAUGUAAAGAAGUGCCUGAAACACCCAUUCCUGAACAAGCGUCAAGCGUCGGGGUCGACCGUUUCAUUAAUUAGGCUCAAGGUAAGAAGGCUUCAAAGAGGAAAGGGAGUGCUUCCAUGAAUUAUUUACAUGAAUUUUGAUCAUUGGCUAUUUGACGUUGAAUAAUGACGGCGGGAUUUAUAGAGAUUUGAGCAAAAGAAUUGAGGCAGAAGAAGGCAAGAAUUGCAAAUUUUGAGCAAACAGAACAGAACACAAGAUUGCUACUUAGAACAGGGAAAGGCAAGAGCUACUUAGAGAAGAAACCUUAGAAGAAGAAAAAGAUGAACAAGAGAUCGUCAAUUUGAACACGCGUUUAGGAAGGUGAAUUGACGUUGGCACGGGAUUUGGCGAAAUAUGAGGCUGAAAAGGCUAGAGAAGAGGCAAAAGCUGCAGCUACUGAACAAACAUUUCAAGUUGAACAGAGGGAAAGAGAGCUACUUAGGCAAGAAAGGGAGUUGCUUAGAGAAGAAAGAAAUGCACAACGAGAUCGUGACAUUAUGAACACGCGUUUAGAAGGGAUGUCUCCAAAUUCUAAAUAUUUUUGGAAGUCGGAGAAAGCGGAUGUGGUGCGAAGGAGGCGUGUAAGAGAAGCGAGAUCAAGACAAGAUGGUCCUAGCACAACAAGACAAGAUGAUCCUAGCACCACAAAUUGGUUAAGUGAUGAUGAAUAGGGUACUUUUUGUAAUCGGACCCCAUAGUUUUCCGAUCACUUUGGGUUGUAAUUUAUUAUUUAUGUUGUUUCCAAUUUAUUGAAGUUAGUACUUUAUUUAACGUGAGAGUACAUUUAUUUAAUUUCGUAAUAUAUUUAAAAUUAAACUACAGUCAAUGACGUGUCCAGAUGCGUGUCCAUAGGCAAGACACGAGUACAGACGUGGCAAGAGACGAGGGUUGUACAACCAUGAGCUUGUGUCCGUGGCAAGGACAACAAAGGCUUGGGGCUUAGGAUGGCAGAGGAAAUACCACGGCAAGCUAGAGCCACCGACACAUCGUCGUUGCCGCCAAACUUACGUAAAAUCGUUAGCACAAAAAGCCGCCAAGGGUUUCCGCUCACUGGGAAAAAGAUAAGAUUUGUGAACGCCAAGACCACAUGGGUCACAACAUAGCAAAAUUGAAAUCUUUGUCAUCCUCAGCAUUAUCCGACCGCUAUCCACAAAUUGAAGCAACGAAUUGGGCAAGUGUGCAACAAAUUUCCAAUGUGCUUCUAUUGUGAAUGAUUUACAGGGAUUGGGUUGAAUGAGGUUUGUAGUUAAAGUGGGAUGCAAUUUAGAACACCAACGUUUGAUUAUGUUUCUCUCAUUUUUUUCUGUUCACUUUUGCCUCAUUUGUUUUUUUUGUUGCAUCGUCUCAAAAACCUUGUGCGUCUACAUGUACAUGUAUAAGUAUAAAUUUUGGUUAAAACAAAAAGUCACAUAUUUCAUAAUUAACUAUUUAAAUUUGUUGCAAAUCACAGUAUAUCUUUGUUCAUACAUUCAAACAAGCAUGACAAAUACUGAGGAAGAAAAUGAAAAUUAUUGUCACUACAAUUGUAUAUAUUUUUUUCUUUUUGAACAAACGAUAUUAUCUACACUAAGGGGGUGAGGGAGUGGCCUAAGCCUAACAAUGAGCUAGCAAUAAUAUAGUUCAAUUUGCCUUUGAUGAGAAUCGAACAUAAGACAUUUCACUUACAAGUGAAGAGAAAUAUCCUAGACCCUAACUGGAUAUGUUAUUGUCAUGGUCAUGCAUUGGUAUAGUAACAAUAUGUUUGGAUAAGGACAAUAAACUUAUAAUUUUGCCAAAAGUCAGAAUUUUUAAAUUGACACAAUCAAUUCCUUUGUUUGGAUUCAUAAAUAUAGAAAUUUAGACUUUCCGCGUGAGAAAAAACUUGGAAUUUGGUACCUUCAAUUCUCAUGUUUAAAUUUCAUGUAAAUAUGUGUCAUUUAUAAAUUUCAGUAAGUGAGAGUUUAAAAAUAACAAACAUGUAUUCAAAUUUCAUUCAUCCUUUAGGUUAACCAAACAAGAAAAUUUAUAAAUUCUAGAAAAUAAAAUUUCGUUAUUUCAUUUCUGUUAUUUUAAAAUUUUUAGGGCAUGUUUGGUACUCUACUUGAAUCUAACUUUUUAAACUCAAAAACAAUUUUCAAGUUUUAGGCCUUAAAAACUUGUUUGGUAGAACUAUUUUAAAAAACUGAACUUAAAACUAACUAAAAAAUAUAAUCUAUUAUCUAAAAACACAAAAAAUGAGUUUUUAGAAUUUGUAAACUUAAACUCACUCCUUUCUUUUCUCUCCCUGCUCCCCUCUCACUCCAAAUCUCUCUCUCUCUUUUCUUCUUUCUCUCUCCCCCUUCUUUUUUUUUAACCUUUUUUUGUCUCUCAUCCAAUCCGCUCUCUUUAUUCUCUCGGUUCUUUCUCUCACUCCUCUUCCUCUCUAUCUCCUCCGAUUCUCUCUCUUCAUUCUUUUUCAACCAAUCAUUUCUUAUUUUCUUUCCUCCCCUCUCCUCUUUCUCCCUCGACCACCUCUUUUUGGAUCUCCUUGUUCAGUUUGAGCUAUAAGAUUUAAAAAUUUUAAAUCGCAUAUCAAACAAGUUUUUGAGUUUUAAAGAAAAUUGUUUUCAAGAAAUAUUUUGAGAAAUGAUAAAAAAUUUCAAAUAUGAUACCAAACAAGCCCUUAAUAAUCUUAAAUUUUCUCGUCCAAACAAAAAGUUUUCUUGUCAUAGAACUUUCAAUUGAAAUCAAGGAAGAUAAUCUUUUCACAACUAAUUAUUCUCACCAAAAGCAAUUUUUAUUUUAUAGCAGAUCAAUACCAAAUUGCAAAAGCAAAGUAGUAAGGCUAAAAUUCAGGUGAAGAACCUGCUUCCACUAAUUUCCUUAGGAGGGAGAGAGAGAGAGAGGGGAGAGAGAACCAAGCGACCGAGCAGAGAGAGAAAACACCAAGUAGUAUUCUAAUGUUGGUGGGGUUAAGUCACCUUCCGUGAAGUUGCAGUAAGGACUUCUAUCCCAAAGAAAAGUCAGUAAAUGAUGUUGACAUCCGUCAACGACAAGGACAGAAUUGUGUAACCAUAAUUCUCUCUCUAUCUCUUUUUUCAUUAACGGAGGACAGUGUAUAAUUACUACGUAUAUAUCUCUGCUCAAUUAUUGAAAAGAAAAAUCCAUGUGCAUUAUUUUUAUUAUUAUUAUCUCAGAAAUGCAGAAAUUGAUCAUCUCUUCCUUCUGCAUAUUGAUACUGGUUUUCUUCAAACUAGUUGAAGCAAGGCAAUAUGUGUGCGCGAAAUCCAACUGUAGCAAUGAUCAAGGCCCGGCUAUCUAUUUCCCAUUGAACACCAGGCACACACAUCAUUGUGGAAAUUCUGGGCUUGAAUGCAAUGGGAGAAAUGAGCAGCAAAUACUAAUAAAAUUAUUUGUCAAACACAUAGAUUACAAGCGUCAGGAAAUCCAAGUCUAUUCCCCAAGUAACUGCCUGCUGCUAAAGCCUGUUGAAAUCCCAAACAUGCCACCCUCUCCCUUCAUCGUGUCAGUCGGUUACCUGACGAACGUUACCUUAUUCAGUUGUCCUACUUCUGUUGCAAGUGAUCCAUAUUAUCCGUAUCAAGUCCCCUGCCUCGGCGACCGUGGCAAGAGAACUUAUGCCAUUGAUUCUGACUCUGGUUUUAGAACUCUUUUCCGGAAUCUACAAUCUUGUACAAAAAUGUAUGAUGUUUUAUCAGUUCCACUAACCUAUGAAGAUUAUGUACAUCGUUUCAAAUGGUCUAUACCAAAUUGCAGAAAAUGUGGAGAGGGAAAGAAGUGUGGAUGGCAGAACAAUGAAAUUAAAUGUAUUCAAUGGAGGAAACCAAGUAAGGAUAACAUAUGUAUUCAUUGCUAGUUUUAAACAUCUUUACAUUUAUGUCUCAGUAAUUAUUAUUUAAAACAUGUUGUCCAAUCCAUUUUUACUAUGAAUAUUAACUGACAGUCUCAUUUGAAUUUGCCUUUAUCUUUUACAGGCAACACAUGGAAAUUAGUGGUUACAGGUGGAAUCCUGGGUUCUUUGCUUCUUGUUCUACUGAUGAUUGCAGCAUAUCGGGUAUAUAGCGCUGAUAGAAAGGAAAAAGAGAGUCGAUUGCGAAUCGAAAGAUUCUUGGAGGAUUACAAAGCACUCAAACCAAGCAGGUAUUCGUACGCAGAUAUUAAGAGGAUUACAAAUCAAUUCAAGGACAAGUUGGGCGAAGGAGCCUAUGGAACUGUCUUUAAAGGAAUGCUCUCUUCUGAAUUCUUUAUUGCUGUCAAAGUCCUCAACAGUUCUAAGGGAGAUGGGGAAGAGUUCGUAAAUGAAGUGCGAACGAUGGGUCAUAUCCACCACGUCAACGUGGCUCGCUUGGUUGGAUUUUGUGCUGAUGGAUUUGUAAGAGCUCUUGUUUACGAGUUCUUCCCCAAUGGUUCCCUGCAGGAUUUCAUUUCAUCCGCAGAUAGUAAGAAUUCCUUUCUUGGUUGGGAUAAGCUGCAGGAUAUUGCCCUAGGCAUAGCCAAAGGAAUUGAAUAUCUUCACCAAGGAUGCGAUCUACGAAUCCUGCAUUUCGAUAUCAAACCCCAUAAUGUUUUGCUAGACCAAAACUUCACUCCAAAAAUUUCUGAUUUUGGUUUGGCCAAGUUAUGUUCCAAGGAUCAAAGCUUGGUGUCCAUGACUACAGCUAGGGGGACCAUGGGCUACAUUGCACCCGAAGUGUUCUCCAGGAAUUUUGGAAAUGUGUCUUACAAGGCAGAUGUCUAUAGCUUUGGAAUGCUGCUGCUUGAGAUGGUAGGAGGAAGGAAGAAUAUUGGUUCAAUCACGGAUAACACUACAAAUGAAAUUUACUAUCCACAGUGGAUUUAUAAUCUUCUAGAGGAAGGGGAUGACCUACGAAUCCAUAUUGGGGAAGAAGGAGAUGGUAAAAUUCCAAAGAAACUUGCAAUUAUAGGGCUAUGGUGUAUCCAGUGGCAC